rnacentral:lncRNA from 1 species
GGCAUCUUCAUCUUUAGGUAGGCGUAGUGGGGCACAGCCAUGAACUUGGCCAAAGCAGGUCGGCCAAGUAGUGCAUGAUAGGGGCUCUCCAAAUCCACCACCUUGAACCAUAUUGCUUCCCGGCGAAAAUGAUCUUUGUCUCCGAAGAGAACAUCCAUUUUGAUCUUGCCGAUUGGAGAGCAAGAUAGACCGGGUACGAUACCAUGGAAGAUGGUGCGGCUCGGCAUGAGCUGCUUUGCUUUGAUGUUCAGCUUGUCCAUGGUAUCGCGGUACAGUAUGUUGAUACUGCUUCCGCCGUCUAUCAGGACACGGGAAAAUCUGGCAGCUCGCCUCUCCGUCGCGAGGGUGACGUCCAAGACCAUCGCAUAGGAGCCAGGCGAAGGCAUCACCUCUGGGUGGUCGGCCUGGCUCCAGCUGAUUGGCUUUUCCGACCAGUGCAUGAACUCGGCGGUGCUAGAGGCGACUGCAUUCACCUCUUGGUGCUGUCGGCGUCGGCUGCGCUUGUCGUCGGCUUGACUUGUGAAGACGACAUAGGCAGCGUGCUCUUCGGGGAAUUCGUCCUGGAUGGCGCCGACCGCCGGCCGAGCCGCCGGCUGAUGGGGAGCUGGAGGCGGCGGGCCGGGAGGCGGAGGCGGCACCAUCCCUUUGCCCUUGGUGAUGCGGGUGAGCCAGUGGCAUUUCCGUGUUGUAUGGUUGGACGGCUUCGCGCCGCUGUGGAACUUGCAGGGAGCAUCGAGCGCUUGUUCGUAGGAGAAAGACGGCUGCCAGGGUGGCCGGCCACCCUUCUUCUUGGGAGUUGGCCGCUCUUCGGGCUGCUCGUCUUCAAUUGUGGCCACCUGCCGACUGGAGGAAGUUAGCAUGGGGCCCUUGCGCUUGUGGUCAUUCUGGUAGGGGCGCCGAUUAGGGUCGCCAGCCGGCGUCUUGGGAGCCGGAGCAACUACGUUCCCCGAGACGUCCACUCGGAGCUCGGUCUUCAUUGAGGAGUCGGCAGUGGCGUACUUGUCAGCGAUGACCAGUAGCUCGUCGAGGGUAGCCGGCUCGUCGCAGAGGAGUCGGUGCUUGAGGAGGGUGCCCUCUCGGCACCCGGCAGUGAAGUACUCGAUGGCCUGAACCUCAUGCACUCCCUCGCAGGAGUUGCGGAGCUCGGCCCAUCGCGUGAGGUAGUCGCGGGUCGACUCGUUGGGCCCCUGGACGCAGAGGGAGAGCUGGUGAGGCUUCGGAGGCCGCUUGUAGGUGCUAGUGAAGUUGCGGACAAAAACUUCGGUGAAGUCCAGCCAACUGUUGAUGCUGUAGGGCUUGAGGCUGUUGAGCCAUGUACGCGCCGUGCCUUGCAGCAUCAGGGGGACGUACUUCACGGCGACGCGCCGAUUGCCGUUGGCGAUGCUGACGGCCGUGGAGUAGUCGAUGAGCCAAUCUUCCGGCUUUACUGAGCCGUUGUACUUGGGCGUGUCUCUGGGAAGCGAGAACCCUUUGGGGAAGGGCUCGUCGCGGAUGCGGGGGCCAAAGCAUGGCGGGCCGACAUCGUCUUCUUCUUCUAACGCCAAGGAUCGAGCAAGGUGGUCGAUCCUGUGGCGGGCGUCGUUUUCGCCGACUCCUUCUCGGCGGCCGAGUCGGUCGCCAAGAGUCGGAUGUGUGACAGGCGGUGGAGUGAGGCGUCUUUCUCUUCGAGGCGGGGGAGGAGGCAGGUUUCCCUGGUGCUCUACAGCUCGAGGGCGGCCAUCCGCGUCGCGCUCAAUGGUAAUGCGAGUCCGGCUGUGGCUGGUAGCCGGCUCCUUGUCUUUCUUCUGGCGCGGGCCGCUCGCAGUCGGCGAGCGGGACGUCGCGGCGUGUUCCUGGCGCGGGGGAUGACUAUCAGCACGGGCGCCGGCUUCGUGUCGUUCUGCAGUCGCGUCGAUCAGCUGCUGGAUCCGUCUUGUCAUGUAGGGGAGCUCAUCGGCUCCCAGCCCAUUGAGCUCCUCUGCAGCCGCCUGAGCGGCUCGCAGAUUCUCGAGCGGGGUGGCGUAGACGGGGCGAUCUGCGCCCAACAUGCUGGCAACGGCUGCGCCGCGCUUCUGGACGAAGCCGGCUCGGCUCGGGCCGCUAGGCGGCGGCGUGCCGAAGGCGGCGCGGUCGACUUCGCGCUGGUGGGCCUCGGUGAGGCGUCUCAUCGAGGCUAUCUUCUUGCCCUCCGCGAUGAGGGCAAGGCGGCGUGCCUCCAGGGUCUCGGCAUCGGCGUCGGCCGGGAUGGGGACAGAGAGGUCAUGCAUCGCCGCUGGCUGAGCGUCGCGGGCAUUCUCGCCCGAGUUGGAGACGUGGCUAAUGACCAGCACUUCGGUGAUAGCGCUGCUGCCGCUGUCAGCUCGAGGGAGGGGGUCGUCGAAGACCACCACGUCGGGGGGGGUAGGCGUCGAGCGACGCGGUGUCGGAGUCGAUGAGCAUCGGGUCGGUGGAGCCGACCGACUCCACAUCUGCAGUAGGCUCGCUGGAGACGUGAAGCUGGUCGAGGAGGCUGACGAGGCGGCUCUCGGGGUAGUCGGUGCCUGCGUCGGACGCAGGCUCGUCGGAGAUGCGAGUCUCGCCGAGCAAGUCGGCGAGGCAGCUCGCUGCGCAGGCGUCGUCAACGCCUUGCAGCGCGUCAAGGCAAACGCCAUCGGGCGCAGCAGGCUGCUGCGCUCGCGGGGGAGGAAGAGGGUUCCCGUCCAGAACAGGUCUCCGGACGACGGUGCACCUGGCCCCACGGUGGGCGCCAAAUGUCGGGUGGUUGGUGCGACAUAUGCCAAGGGAUGACUUAUCAUUGUGGGAGCCAAUAAAACGUCGCCGGUGCCUGGAAACGGGAUGAGGCGAAGACAUGCACGCCGGCGAAUCUUACCCAGGUUCGGGGCUCUCCGAGGAGAUAACACCCCUAGUCCUGCUCUGCGGGGUCUCCGCAUGAUCACUAGAUCGAUAAAAGGUGGCUACAAUCGCUCCUAGAGCUGUUGAGAUCAAGGGAGAAGAAGAACAAGGCUAGCUCUUGCUUCUCUCUAUCUAUGGUGUGUGUGCUAUGCUUAGAGGGCAACUCUAUGCUCAGAGGCCAUCUAUGCUUGGGUGCCAACCCUUUGCAUGGGUGCUCCGGGGGGUUUAUAUAGGCCUACCCCUCGGGGGUACAAUGGUAAUCCGACUGGGAACCGGUCCCAGCCUUCAGUGUCUACGCUUGCCGGCUUCUCCGCCGGCUGCUGGGCCCCGCCAGCUGGUGGGUCCCGCCGGCUGCCGGCUACUUGGUCGAUAGGCUGGCCCCACCGCCUAGGGUCUUGUCGGCGGCCGCUUACUGUAGUCUCGCCUGUGAUGAUGAGGGCUUUGUUGAGGUAAGCGUGGCUAAAGUGGACCGCCUCGGGGGCUAUCACUGUAGCCUUACCUCGUCUUGUCUCCUUAAUGGGGCUCCUGCUUCAAGGAAGGGAGUAGCCGGCUUCUGGAGGUCGGCUAUGUUCUUGGCCGACUGGGAAAGGCCGGGCCGCCUUCACGCCUCUCUCUGGCUGAAGGGGCCCGCAGUCCUUGGGCCGUACAGGAGUGGGUCGUAGAUGACGUCGAGGCUAGCAUGGCUACAGUGCCGAGCCGCAAGGGAGACGGCCGUCCCGUACGGCCUCCUGUAGCCAUGCCCGCCUCGGGCUUCGGGGGUAGUGGGCCGCACUGUGGCCACACCCCGUCGUGUCGCCGUUAUGUGGGAACAGCUUUGGUGGUUGUGGUCUCGGCCGGCUGCUAGGAGCCGGCGUCCUUCUUGGUCGGCUUCUUGGAGUCGGCCACCCCGUAGUCACCCUGGGGAGAGGUUACUCGAGGCUGGGUCGCCUUCCGGGAGUCGGCUUUUAGAGGUAGCCGGCCAGGGAAGGCGGCCCAAAUGCUUGGAGUGCUUGAAGGCCCAAAGGCCUGAUAAUUUUUCUGAAGAGCCAGGGGUAGUCGGUUUGGCUACCCGUGGCCAAUUACUCCGACAUGUUCAUCGGGAGGGGUGUGGUGUACCGCAAAACGAGACUCUACGGGAUACUGUUCAUCUCCACCGUCGACCUCCUCCAGCCUCCACGGGCUACUGUUCAUCUACCGUCCACCUCCUCCAGCCUCCACCAGCGACUGUUCAUCCACGGGCUCCUGUUCAUCCAGCCUCCACCGCUCCUCCACCGGCUACUGUUCAACCAGCCCUCUCCACGGGACCUGUUCAACCACCCCUCCACGGGCUACUGUUCAUCAGGCCCUCCACCGGCUACUGUUCAACCAGCCCUCCACAGGGUCGUCCUGUUCAUCCAGCCCUCCACGGGGUCAUGUUCAUCCACCCCUCCACCGUCUCGAUCGAUCGGGGUACUGUUCACCCGGCGGCAACGGCCUCUACUACCACGGGGUCCUGUUCAUCCAAUCCCCCACUGGGAACUGUUCAUCCAAACCCCCCAACAACGCUCACUGUUCAUCCAGAGGCAGCAUCGAUCGGCUUCAGUUAGCAGCCGUAGUGAAGGAAUCACUCGGGUUCAGUUAACAGCAAGGGAUCGAUCGAUCGCUUGGGUUCAGUAACGCGUAGCCUGUAGUGCAAUCGCUCGGGUGCAGUAGGCGAACGCCUCGCUCGGGUUCAGUUAGAGCCCAACGCCUCACACCCACGUGCGUACGUGUACGAGAGAAAUGCGCAUCGCUCGGCCCCCGACCACCCACCGUACCGGGAAAUCCCCGAUAUUUUCCGCGCCCUCGCUUCUACCACGGUUUUUUCCGUCAUGGACAGCCCAAAGAAUGUCAUGCAGCUGCGUCUCCGGCCCGCCCAGGACGAAAAGCCCAUUUUUUGUCAUGAUUUUUUGUCAUAGAAGUAGGAGCCCACCACAUCUAUGAUGAUACCGGGUUUUGUCACAAUUUUCGUCAUAGAAGUGUCAUAAGUAUGACAGAAAAAAAAUCCGUUCAGCCCAAAAUCUAUGUGUCUUUUUUUUUGUAGUGUAUUGCUCCCCCGCAACGGCGCCAGAAAAGAGCUUGAUAAUCCCCAAGUGCAGGGAAUCAUCGUAGCAAUUCCCAAAGGUGGAAGUGAUAAGUAUGGAGUGUCGAACCCACAAGGAGCUAAAGGUAAGAUCAAUAUUCUCUCAAGUCCUAUCUGCCACUGAUACGACUCUAUGUACACCGAACGUUUGCUUCCAACUAGAAACGAGAAACAAAACUACGUUGUGGGUAUGAAGAGGAUAACUUUGCAUGAUAUCGGAGAGCUAGCUAAAACAUAAAAGUAGGUGUUGUUAUCAUAAAGUUAGAAUAUAUUACUAAAUAUUAUAAAUAGCGAGUGUGGAAUAAUGAUGGGUCGGUGUGUGCGGAAUUAUCCUAGGCAAUUGUUAACAAGACCGGUAUUCACUAUUGCAAUUUCAUAUGAGGGAGAGGCAUCAGCUAACAUACUUUCUCUUCUUGGAUCAUAUGCACUAAUGAUUGGAACUCUAGCAAGCAUCCGCAACUACUAAAGAUCAUUAAGGUAAAACCCAACCAUAGCAUUAAAGCAUCAAGUCCCCUUUAUCCCAUACGCAACAACCCCCUUACUCGGGUUUAUGCUUCUGUCACUCAAGCAACCCACUAUAAGCGAAUCAUGAACAUAUUGCAGCACCCUACAGCGGGAAUCCCUCACGCUUGUGUGACACGGAGGGCACAAUAGGACAGCACCAAAAUAAAACAUACAACUCAUACCAAUCUAGAUCAUCAAUCAACCCAAAGACAAAGGAUAUCUACUCAAAACAUCAUAGGAUGGCAACACAUCAUUGGAUCAUAAUAUGUGGCAUAAAGCACCAUGUUCAAGUAGGGAUUACAGCAGGGUGUGGGAGAGUGGACCGCGUAAAAGAGAUGAGGAUGGUGAUGAUGAUGGUGAUGUUGAUGAAGAUGGUCACCGCGGCGAUGAUUCCCCUCCCGACGGCACUCCGGCACCACUGAGAGAGAGGAGGAGAGGUUCUCCCCCUUGUGCUUCCUCCUCCAUGGCCUCCCCCCUAGAUGGGGAGAGGUUCUCCCUCUGGUCCUUGGCCUUGAUGGCGAUGAUGGCCCCUCCAGGAUCCUCCUCCAUGGCCUCCGGUGAUAAUGGCCCCCUCCGACAGGGUGCCAGAGAGGGCCUAGAUUGAUUUCUCGUGGCUACAGAGGCUUGCGGCGGCGGAACUUCCGAUCUAGGUUAUUUUCUGGGCAUUUAUAGGAGAGGUUGGCGUCGAGAACAAGUCAGGGGGCCCACGGGAAGUCCACGAGGCGCAGGGGCGCGCCCCAGGGGGGUGGACGCGCCCUCCACCCUCAUGGGGCCCACGGGACUCCCCUCCAGUAACUCUUUGUUCCAUUAUUUUUUAUAUUUUCCAGAAAAAAUCUCCGUUGAUUUUCAGCGCAUUCCGAGAUCUUUUAUUUCUGCACAAAAACAACACCAUGGUAGUUUUGCUGAAAACAGCGUCAGUCCGGGUUAGUUCUAAUCAAAUCAUACCAAAAUAAUAUAAAACUAUUGUGAACAUGGCAUGAAUGCUUCAUAAAUUAUAGACACGUUGGAGACGUAUCAGCGGUGUGGAGGCACAAUGCUCCCCAAGAAGCCACUAGGGCCACCGUAUUCUCCUCACGCCCUCACACAAUGCGAUGCCGUGAUUCCACUAUUGGUGCCCUUGGAGGCGGUGACCGAACCUUUACAAACAAGGUUGGGGCAAUCUCCACAACUUAAUUGGAGGCUCCCAACAACACCACGAAGCUUCACCACAAUGUAAUAUGGCUCCACGGUGACCUCAACCGUCUAGGGUGCUCAAACACCCAAGAGUAACAAGAUCCGCAAGGUACUAGUGGGGGGAAUCAAAUUUCUCUUGGUGGAAGUGUAGAUCGUGGCCUUCUCAACCGAUCCCUAGAAAAUCAACAAGUUUGAUUGGCUAGGGAGAGAGAUCGGGCGAAAAUGGAGCUUAGAGCAACAAUGGAGCUUGGGGAUGGAAGAGGUGGUCAACUCGGAGAAGAAGACUCCCCUUUUAUAGUGAAAGAACAAUUCCAACCAUUAUCCACCAACUCAGCCUGCGACACGCGGUACUACCGUACCAUAUAAGGGGUACUAUCGCAAGGGCCCGCGGUACUACCGCGGAGAACUGUGGUACUACUGCUAGCACGGCAGGGGCUAAGACCAGUCCUGAUGCGCUAAGGCAGGGAGCGGUAGAACCGCUAGCGCGGUACUACCGCGCCCCCUUGCGGUACUACCGCAAGGCAGGAAUAGUCUAGGCUGGGAAGGCACGGACAUAUAAAAAUACAUCCGUGACUACUUCCGCUGAGUUUUUAUCUACGCAAAAAUCCAACAUGGUACUACCGCAAGCCUGGAGCGGUACUACCACAUAGGGCGCGGAUGUAAAAAAAUUACAUCCGCCCCUACUUCUGCUCAUGCUGUUGUGCCAGGCCAGAGCCCACGGUACUACCGCACCGAUGGAGUGCUACUACCACGUAGGACGCAGAUGUACAAAAUUACAUCCGCCCCUACUUCCGCUCGAGCAGCUGCGCCUGGCUUGAGGCCACGGUACUACCGCUCCCAAGGAGUCGUACUACCGUGAGCACCUGCAGUACUACCAUGCUGGUGGCCGGUACUACCGCAAGGGCCUGCGGUACUACCGCUCCGAAGAGCAGUACUGUCGCAUGCCUCAGUUCAGCAACACUAGGAGUCAUUCAUUUUGCAGAGACACGGAGAGACGGAGGAUGCUCCAAAGAGCCAAAGGAAAGGUGGUGCAAAAAGGAACGGACGUGUACGUGUUGAUUCCACCCAAACCUUUCCAACACAGACCCCCUCUUAAUAGUACAGCUUUCCUACGACUCAAAUCCAUCGAAAAGAAACGUAGUGAAAUGCCAUCUUCAAUAGUCUUCGAGGGGCACCAAAUCGUCUUGUGUUUAGACAUGAUAUAUCUGAAAUGCUCAAUGCACAUGAUUAGUCCGCAAAAGCAUUGACAUCAAUCACCAAAACUACUAAGGGAUAAAUAUGCCCUUACAAUCUCCCCCAUUUUGGUGGAUUGAUGACAAUACGGGAUUUGCGCAUAGGGAUAUAAAAUGAAACAAAGGCAAACCCACCAUCUAUAAAAUAUAGACGGGCUCCCCCUAGAUGUGUGCACUCUAGAGAAGUGCUUUGGACUCCACGGCACACAUACUAGGAUCAACACUCCCCCUAUAUUUUAUAGACAAGGCAUAUCUUGCAACAAUACAACUAACACUAAGCAAGUAGGCAAGAUAAUAAUUAUGUGCAUAACGAAAAAGGGCACAAGAUAGCAUAGGCUUACAGGCUACUAAGCAUUAAAGACAAUAAAAUACGCUAGAGAGCAUAUGUCUUACACCAUAUGAUAGAGAACUAGGUCUUACGAGCACAAACCAAACCAAAGCAAACGAGGUUCAACAGAACGAAAGCAAAGCGACAGAGCGAAAGAACACGACACAAGACUCGCAAAUCCUACACUCUCUCCCCCUUUGGCAUCGAGACACCAAAAAGGCAGAUAUGACACCUACGACACAGGUGGUAGCUCAGGCUAAAGCGAUCACUCGUCGCGCUCCUCGUCAGUCUCAGCAACAGGAAUGGUCUCCUCCUUCUCCUCCUCAGAUUCAGUGCACUCGUAGCCCUGCUUCGCCAUCCAUUCUGCCUCUGGGGUGAUGUGCUUCUCGGACCCCCUUGAUAUCUCCUGGCCAAACAUCCUCAAGAUCCUCUUGUCGCGACGGUGACUCUCCUUCUGAGAAAGUGAGACCUGUACUGGCCCUUGGCCUGCAUGCAGAACAGAGCCUUCAUCUUAUUCUUCAGCUUCUUAGCCUAAGAAGGCUCAGAAGAUGAAGGCGAGUAGCCGGCAGAGCUGUCCUCAUCAGCGUCCUCCUCCUCGAUCUCAUCCUCAUCCACAUCCAUCUGAGCAGCCGCUGCCUCAGCACGGGUAGUGGUGUUAGCCCACUAGCUCUUGAUGCAGAGCUUGAUGGGCUCAUGACAAAUCCAGUCCGGGGCAACAAACUCAUCAUCGGGAUAGAGCUUCUCCCAAGUCUUCAUGAUCAAGAGAAAUAGGUAAGGUCCAUAGAUGGGUACCUUACGGUUGAACACCGCAAACCAUAGCUCGCACCACAUGAUAUGUGAGACAUCAAGUGGUUGCGUCUGAGCAUGACGCGCCUCCUCACAAAUGAGCAUCAUAUCCACGAGAUAGGCAUGCACCUUAUCCUUGUCACCAAUGCGCUAAAAGAGAGAGUUGCGGAAGAUUCGAUGCAUGAUGUCAGGGAAUGAGUUCAGCACCCACGCCUUCUUGCCACUGGGAAGCGUCUUCUCAACAUAGUAGGACUGAAGCUUGUUCUUGCUGGCUGACUCGGGCUUGGCAUGAGGGCGAGCACCAACGGGCGUGUUGAUCCCCUCAUCAGGAACCUGAAGCAAAUCCAUGAAGUCCUUCCACUUAGCAGUCAUCUGUUGUCCAUUGGUCAUCCAGGUCAUGGUCCGUUCCUCAUCAGUAUGGAAGUGUAUCGAGCAAAGAACUGUGCCACAAUCUCAGGGUCAAAGUCCAGGUGGAAAGAGACCACAUCCUCAAUGCCAAACUGCUCCACCAGUUCCAAAGCCUCACCAAAAUAGUCACGGUGCUUAUCCUGCCUCAUAUGAUUCAUGUCAAUCCAGUGCACACCCACGUAGAUGUUCUGCUUGGCCUUGAUCACAUCUAGAUAGAUAAGAUCUGCUACUUGGUCCAGAACAAAUCAUUCCCUCUGAAGUUUGCACGGGGAUUCACAUAGGGUUUGAUCUUCCUUCGAGUGACAAACUCAGCCAGUGGUAUCUCAUCCAUGCCCAUUGAUGGCUCCUUGUGGUUGGUGGCGGUGGUCUUGGUUCUGCGUUGGGGGGCAUUGCAGCCCUCUGGAGCUUCAUCUUGGUUGCGCAUGCGCUUCGAGCCCAUGUCGCGGAUAGGAUUCGACCGACGGACAUUGGAACCGGAGCCACCACCUAUGACACACAACACAAGAACAUGCAAGAGAAGCGAGAAGGAUCAAUGCAAAGACCACAGCAAAAAAAUGAAACAAGUAGAAAUAACAUUGGGUAGUUGCCACAGGGAAGGUUCAACCUCAACAGUAGUACCGCACCAUUGUGCGGAACUAAAAUUUUACCGCUGCUCCAGCCGUGGUAGUACCACGCCAGGAUGGCACUGUAGUACCGUGCCUGGAGCGGAAGUAAAAUUUUACUUCCGCGCCUCGCGCGGUAGUACCACUCCUGAGGAGCGGUAGUACCGUAGGAGGUGACAAUGGCCAGAGCGGUAGUACCGCACGGGAGGUGCGGUAGUACCGCUCGGGGUCAGAUCCGAGGUGAAUCAGAUCUGGGCACAGCCGCAACAGCGGAGCGGUACUACGGUUGAUCAAAAAUUCCGUGUGGCAACACACCAAAUAGCAUAUCUACAACACUACUACUCUCCUCCAUCCUACUCUUGCAAAGAUUUGGCCUAAAAUCUCAAGAACAACAUGCAUCUCCCCAAAAACCUAGAGAGAAAACAACAAAGCAAAGAGCCAGGGAUUUGGGGAGAAACCUUGUUCCAUGGCAAGAGGGCGAGGUGGGGAACGAUCCCACCGGUCGGAAUGCGAGGAGAGCGGCCGGAUACAGAGAUCCGGCGAGGUCCUCCGGCGCCGUUCUUGGGCAGGAGAGAGAGAGACGACGUGGGGAAAAGGAGUUGAAUGGGUAUGGGGGAGUUAGAACUCCCCUUGCUCGCUCUUAACCCCCACGCGCUCACGACCGCGUGGUAGUACCGCGGGUCAUUGUGGUCGUACCGCCCAGGAAGAAGUACCGCACGCUGGGUGGUGGUACCGCUCGUCUAGCGACAGUAAAAAAUUACUGCCGUGCUGGUUGCGGUAGUACCGUGCACAGCUCCUGCGAUAGUACCGUGGCGGGCCACGGUAGUACCGUAGACCCAAGAAAAUCCAAGUUUCACAAACAAGAGAGGGAAACAGCCUUUGCAAUGCAACCUUCACGCAAACGGACACACCAAGGAGCUAGCACACGAGGUAACUCAAACACAAGCACGGCACGAAGAAAGAAAGGCAAGAGACAACAGGGACCAAACACGCGACACAACCUCUCCAAAGAGAGGGCGGUGGCCAGAGCCACCUAUGUUUGAGUCAAUUGGUGUAGGAGAUAUGCCCUAGAGGCAAUAAUAAAUGUUCUUGAUUAUCUCCUGGUUCAUAAUUAUGUUUAUGUUCCAUGCUAUAACUGCUAUGGUUCUCGAGUCUGCAAUAACCACGAGGCUCGGAGGAAGACUCAUAUGCAUGUGUGGAAUAAUAAAGGGCAAAAUGUAUUCCUAGUCUGGCCUCUAAGACUAGCUCAAGUAUUGCAAGAUGGUUCUGUUUUCCCGAUCAUGGGCAUGUCUAUGCCAGCAACCUUGAGGGCACAAUGUUAAGAGAACAUUUGUGUUGAAUCGACCUGGAUUGAUGUUAUGCUAAGAGAUUCAUUCGUCACAAGUUAAUGGUACAUAACACAGAAAUGGUUAUCGUUUGCAAAAUUCCUUAGACCAUGAGAGUAUCGAGUUUCUUCAUGCUUGCUUCAUGAACUUUGGGGUUUGUUAAACGUCAUCCGUAAAUGGGUGGCUAUUACGGCGGCUUACGGGUUCAUGGAAAAGUGUGUAAAGUAACUUGAUAGCUCAAGAUUGUGAUUUGCUCCUCUGACGAUGGAGAGAUAUUCUCGGCCCCUCUCAGUAUUACGGUAUCCAUCAUCGUCUGGCCAGACACAGUGUGAUUUUAUCACUGGGAUGCCGGAACACGGAAACGAGAAAAGAGAACAAAACCGAUAAUGAGGUAACUUGCAUGGUGGACAAAUUGUUCGUCCAUGUGGAUGCAAUACUCACCUCGGGUGUUUGUGACAUAUUGCAAAGCAACAGGAAUAGCUCACUGCAACUGGAGGUUCACUCGAAUAUUUAUUCCUGUGGGUAUAGGGGUCAAUAUGGGUGUCCACGGCUCCGAUGUUGAUCAUUGAUCGGAAGGGGUUCUGGGUCAUGUCUAUACUUCACCGAACCUAUAGGGUCACAAGCUUAAGGGUCAUCUAUCUGCUGAAUACUAGACAGGGAGUCUGAGAGAAAAUCAUCAAAAAAGUUUCGGACACCGAGAAGUUUCGUACAGCGGAAAAGUUCCGCAGAGACAGGUCACCAGAUGAGUUUCGGUGAAACCGAAAACGCUGUUUUGGGGUAUGCCAUUAAGUCAAAAUGGUUUCGGCACAUGCCUGAUAAUUCUUGGAGGGUACCAGAAUCAUUCUGGAAACUUUUUGGAAUUUUAGAAAUAAAAACCGGAAAUGUUCCGGAGCUGCAGGAACCGGUUCAGAUGCUUUUCGCAUAUGAAAAUCACUAAACUGGAAUUGUUCCAGAACGCGUUGAAAAUUAUUAUGAUAGGUACUAGAAAUGUUCUAAGCCCACAUAAAUAUUUUCAGUUCGAACGGACGCUGAAAAAUGUCGUCGUGAAUAGUGAAGUGCUUUUUGGGAUAUUUUAUGGAAAGCCACCUUUUGGGGCUUUGCCCAAAAGAUCUAGGGAUGACAUGGAAGGGUGGGAACCUCCUUUUGGGGGGCCCCACAAGGGGUGGGACGUUCAUGGGUGCAGCUCAUCCAUGGGGCCCCACUUGUCCCUUGUUUACACUCUUUAGGUCCUUGGGAAGGACUCCAUUUCAUGUGGGUUUUGGGUUUUCUUGUAAAACCACCCUACCCCUUGGGAUUUCCUAUAAAUAGAGGUGGAGGGGCAGCCCUCCACUCUCAUCCCUUGCUCUCAUACACAUGCCAGGCAUUAUCUGGCUUCUUCUCUCCCUCCCACGAAAGGAGUUUCAUAGAGCCGUAAGGCUGUCUGGGUUCCGGUAGGAACUAGUUCUGGACGGCGAAGCCCUGCCGGAUAGAUGACACCGUAUGUGUGCAACUCUGUAGAGAGAUCAUAGUUUCGGUCUUAGUUCGUGAGUGCCUCCCGAAGGGCUGUCCGUGUGACCGUCCAAGUUUCGAAGGUCCUCCCGAAGGGCUGUCCGAGUGACCGUUCGAGUUUCGAAGGCCCUCCCGAAGGGCUGUCCGCGACACCGUCUGGGGGGUUGUUCGACCACCUCCCGGAGGGCUGUCUGAGGAGCAGAUGAGGGUAUACAUCCUCGCGGUUGGGAGGUUGUAAAUCCUAGCUGCGGGGAUCUGCACCGCCGAUCGUCAUCGACUCUAGUUCCCGCUGCGCUACGAGUCGGUAACGAAAAAGAUCAAACCAUGUAUGCAUUCUCCAUAGUGGUCCUGGGCUGGUGCGUAGGUCGGAAAUUUUUUGUUUUCUGUCGCGUUACCCUUCAGUGGCAUCAAGAGCCGUGCUAUGCAUAGAUGCAGGUUUCGAUCUAGAAUACAUGGAGAUGUAUGGGUAUUGCAUAUAUAAUUAGGUAGUAGAUGAGAUCUGUUGCUGAAAAUUAUUUAUGCGGGUGACAAACGAAAUCAGUUACCCGACAUUCUUGUUGCUUCCCUAGAAUUUGCGUUUGCUCAAUCUCGAGACAGCAUGGUGGAAUUUGACAAAGUUCUGGCAAUCCGUGAUCCUGAUUGAUCAUGGAAGUGCUAUCAGUUCUUUGGGUUCUGCCGUAGUCAAAAGAAAGAUGAAAUUCGCAGAUGAAAGGGCAUUGCAGAUAUGAUCCGCACGGGGGUCAUGCGUAUGACGAAGUUUAGUAUGGGGCUCAAGAUUUAAUUAUCCCAUGUUUCAUAAACCCCGAGAUGUUAAUCUAGCACCUUGAAUAAUCAUACUUGAUGAUAAAACGUUGGUAGCUGCGGUUUAAGUCAAAACCUUAGAAGCCACGUAAAAUAAAAUUUUGCAUAAACCGAUUAGAGGCGUCUAACUUGGUUUUGCAGGAUGUGCAUGUGAUGUGGUAUAGCAGUGCUCAUAAUAAUUUGAUUAUGUAUGAGAUGACUAUAUGAUGUAAUUAACAUGACCUGCGUGUCAUGAUUCGGCAUGAUGGUUGGAGCCAUAUGAUUGCACUUUAAUGACCUGCGUGUGAAUUGCCUAAGAUGUUUAUCCCUUAUGAUGCACCCUUCUUGAUUGCGCGGUAGUCGCUUUUUAUUAGGGUGAUCUCUCACUAAAAUAUCAAGUAGUUAGUGUUCUCCCAAGUGUAGCACCGUCACGGCACCUAUCUUUUCGGGGUGCGCCAUGGACGCAUGGGUACGAACGAUUAGAGAAGUGUGAGGCGGGUGAGGUCAGACCUCACAGCAAGAUCACUUGGUUGUCUUGACGUUCAUGGCAGGAUCGUCCUAAGCUCGGAACACACGCAUCGAAAGAUGAGCAAGAGUCACAUAUAUAUGUGAUUGGCAAGUUGGCCUACCGAUUAAAAUUCCCGUUAUGAGAUGAUGAUUCUAUGGCGAUGAAUUGAAGUCUCGAUCUUGUAUCACUCAUAAUCAAUGUUGAGAGAUAUUGAUUUGAGUGGGAGUGCACUGUUGAAUUAACAUGUUUAAUUCUUAGUGCAAUUAAUUAUGAACAUUCUCUAAGUGUUUCUUGCAAAAUAGUUGUAGAAUAAUGGCUCGCGAUUCCACUUUCCCUGUUAAAAUUGAAUAGCUGUUAAAUAUCUGGUUAAAACUUUACGAUUGGUAACGUAAUAUGAGGAUUUUCCUCAAAAGUGCUGAGAAGGACUUUGUCCUAUCGCAUGCUUUCCGUAUCCUCCCGCUAAUGCUAUGGAUCAUGUGAGUCUUGUCCUUCGAUCCAAAAGCUAGAAUUCUGUUACGGUCAAGUGGAAUAUGUUUGCUUCCAUGAAACCCGAACUUCGAAAGUUGGGAUAGUUAUAUGAUAUUCAUGGAACUGAAAAUUAUUUUCAGAUACAAACAAAGGAAUGUUUGUUUGCAAGUAUUAGUAAAAGUAUUUACUAUGCACUUGACUGUUGGGAAAGGGAUCCAGAAGAACGCCUGUCAUAUAAUGAAAGGUGAAUAAAACAACAACUUAAAGAAAAAGGAAGUGUCCAAAGGGUGUUAGUAUGACUUACACGCCUAGGAAGUCCGGGGCUAACGCCACUCUUAAGUUGGGUGCUUCUUUUGCAAGUAGGAGAAAUACUAAAAGUUAAAUUGUUAGAAGUAUAAAGGCAGAAAGAAAGAUGCCUGGAAUAUCCAGCUCAUGUUUGAAUGUCAUACAAGUUUUUGAUAUAUAGUAGGCUGGUCAAAGAUAUAGUUCUUGGGAAUUAUGGUUAAACAUGUUAAUCACUAAUUCUUGGGUAUUGUGAGUUAAUCACAAAGAUACCCGCUCGAUUGCAUUCUGUUACGAAUCAAUGUAAGAGCUACUAUGGCCUAAAAAGACUAGCCAGAAAUGAGGUUAAGGUAUACACAGGGAACAUAGUAAAUGUUACUAUACCUUCCAUCGGUGUAUUUCCGUUUGUAUUUAUUUUCAUAAUUCAUUUAGAGUUUUACAAAUUCUAGCCCAUUGCAUACGGUAUCUUGCAAGAAGGUUGUUCAUAAGAGAACUUUUUAUAUUUGAUGUUAUGAAUAACACAAGGGCCAUACUUUCAUUAUGAAUGAGAUGUAUGUUAUGGAUAUUGAUAAUAAUACAGUACCUCUGGAUUUACUUACAUAAUUCAUUUUGGAGUUUCAUACACUCUAGCCCAUUGCACAAUGUUUGUUGCAAAAGAGUUGUUCAUAAAAACAACAAUUGUUGUUAAGUAUUAUGAAUAACAUGAAGGGCCAUGCUUCCAUCCAAGAUGGGAUGUAUGUUAUGAAUAUUGAUGGUAAUAAGAUACAUCCAUAACACUGGCGCUAAAUGUCGCAAGACUAAAAGAAUACUACACAAGUGUGGCACUACAUUUGGUCACAUUGGAGAAACCCGCAUGGAAAAUUCCAUUAUCAUGGAUUUUGAAGACCUUUUGAUUUUGAAUCAUCUGACACUUGCAACUUUCCUCCAAAAAGUGAAGUGACUAAAAUACCGUUCACAGGCCAUAAGGAACGAACAACAAACUUAUUAGUGAUCAUACAUUUGACAUGUGUAGUCUGAUAAGUGUUGUUAGUGGUGGAUUUAUUUAUCUUCAGAAAUGACUCAAGUAGAUAUAUGGAUAUUUACCUGAUGAGACGUAAGUCUGGAUCUUUUGAAAUCAUUCGAAAGGUUUUCAAAAAUGAAGUAGAAGUUAUUGUAACAACACAAUUAUGUUUCUGCAAUUUGAUUGCACAAAGGAAUAUUUGAGUUACAUGUUUAGCGAAUGUCUGAUGAGUUGUGAAAGGGGUUUCAUAACUUGCACCUCCGGGAACACCACUGCAAGUGAAAAGUCCGUGGAGGCGUAAUCUAACCAUUUAUGACAUGGUAAGGUCAAAUAAGACAUAAAUAAAUUUUCCAUUAUCCCUUUUAAAGUGAUGCUUUAGAGACUGCGGCUUUUACACUGAAAAGAGCUACAUCGGGUCUGUUGAAAUGAAGCCAUGGUAUGGUACGCCCAACCAUGUUAUAUCUUUUCUUAACAUAUGGAAUAUGGGGCUUGUGUAAAAGGUUACAAAUCUAUUCCAAAUCAGACAAGUGCUACUUUGUAGGUUAUACCAAAAUGUUGGGUAUUCCUCCCUCACUAUACCGAGGCAAAUAGUUUUGCCGCGAAACGGUGUGCUUUUAAAGAGAAUGGUUCUUUCUAAAAGGUGAGUGGGAGAAUAGUGCAACUCAACGAGAUAAACAGUAUCUUCGUCAUCAGAUCAAAGGAAAGAGGCCUUGGAAGUUAUUCCAUAGUUUCCGACUGCGACUGAUACGGAAGUCUCUACAAUAAAAUGUAUGAACUUCGGUCGAACUUGCAGCUGAACCACGUAGGCAAGGCUCGUGCAAACCUCUCAGGUGCGCAAAUGAGAUAUUGUUGUUAGACAACAUUAUACCUGCGAUACACAAGGAAGCGUUGAUGGGCCCUCACUCCGGAAUUGGCUAAAUGCCAAUACAAGCCGAGUUAGUUUCUGUAUAAGUGAUUCAAGAUUAAAACCUUGAUACACCUUUCGGAAGACUUAGAGUCUAACGAAUAUUUAUGGAACUUAAAACUGAUAUGGAUAAAAAUGUUUUAUCCAUAAAGCUCGACUUGUUGAAAUAACAAGUUCAAGUGUUGACUAUGAUGAGGUUGUUUUCAUCGUAGCGAUGCUUAAAGUCGGUUCGGGUUGAACUAGCAAUUAAUACAUAUUUCAAUCAUGAGAUAUGAAACAUGGAUGACAAUAGGAUUUCCAUCUGAUGGAAAUGAAACCAAGGACUUGCAUGUGUUAGAGUCCAAGGCAUUUUGUCUAUCCAGAGGAUGCUAGUAAGGGUGCAAACUUCAGAGUUCCAGCGAUGGACAGAAGAGAGCAAAAUGGGGUUGGAAUCUUCGUGCUUUGAUGAAAUGGUCAAAGGGGUUUUACUUCAUCAAUGGGUAACGAAGAUGCUUGUAUUUCAAGAAAGUAAGUGCAAGCGUAAUAAAUAUUUCUAAAAACCUUGUGUGCUUGACAGAUUGUUAAUUGGAAAUAAAUUUCUUGACACGAAUUAGGACUUCAUUUGAAAAUAGUUUUUUGAUGAAGUGCUUAGGCUAAAUAGCCUCAAUAUUAGGCAUAAUGAUCUAUGGAGAUAGAUUUACCUAAUAGGGCUAAGCAAUGAAUACAUAUUGACAAGGUGCUAAAACCUUUUCGCAUUUAAAACCGCCAAGGAGUGAUUCUUGCCGGAGUCACAUGGAAGAGUUUUUUGCAAGACUUGGUGUCCGAAAACACUGAUGAGCAAAAUACAUGAUGUAGAUUCCACACACUUUUGUGUUUGGAUUAAUCAUAUAUCCAUGGUAUGUAAAACAACCAGAUAUGUCCGAUACUCCCAUGCUGUUGCGAGUAUGGAUACUAAAGUGAUCAAAGUACUGAUCGUGGGACAACAGUGAAAGAUGUCAUUGAGUACUAGAGUAAGUACUGAUGAUAUGUUUUCUUGCAAGUGGAGAUCAUGAAGAUUUCAUUGUAGAAUGUUACAUCGAUACAGUAUUCAUCUUUUCUCCAUGCGAUUUUCGAUUUAAGUUAAAGGUGUUUGUAUAAUACACAAUAUGGUGGCACGGUAGUUGGAAAUUGUUCCCAACGGGAUACUGUGGCGAAUUCUAUAACAAAUGACUAAGUAUGUUGACGCUUUAGAAGUGACAAACAAGAUGUUGAAUCAUAUAGUUCAUAAAUGAACUUAGUACGGUUCCAAGAUGGCUUUUGUAAAUGGGACACUACUGCAGGUAGUUUCUCCAUAACUCAGUCUGAGGAAUCCAGGUUCGACUUGUGAUUCACAUACAUAAAAGCCAAGUCCGCACAAAAUAUGAAUUUUGUGAAAGCAUGAAAACGCGAGGAUAUGCAGAGAUACACACGGAGCUGAAAUUGUCAGAUCCGAUGGACAUCAGGCUAUACCACAUGCGAAGCAUUUUUUUACACCAGUAUGCCAUAGGUGUAAACUGCAUUAGCAUUAACUAGAUUAUUGACUCUAGUUCAAGUGGGAGUCUGUAGGAGAUAUGGCAUAGAGGAAUUAAUAAAUGUUCUUGAUUAUCUCCCGGUUCAUAAUUAUGUUUAUGUUCCAUGCUAUAACUGCUAUGGUUCUCGAGUCUGCAAUAAUCACGAGGCUCGGAGGAAGACUCAUAUGCACGUGUGGAAUAAUAAACGGUAAAAUGUAUUCCUAGUCUGGCCUCUAAGACUAGCUCAAGUAUUGCAUGAUGGUUCUGUUUUCCUGAUCACGGGCAUGUCUAUGCCAGCAACCUUGAGGGCACAAUGUUAAGAGAACAUUUGGGUUGAAUCGACCCGGAUUGAUGUUAUGCUAAGAGAUUCAUUCGUCACAAGUUAAUGGUACAUAACACAAAGAUGGUUAACGUUUGCAUAAUUCCUUAGACCAUGAGAGUAUCGAGUUUCUUCAUGCUUGCUUCAUGAACUUUGGGGUUUGUUAAACGUCAUCCAUAAAUGGGUGGCUAUUACAGCGGCUUACGGGUUCAUGGAAAAGUGUGUCAAUUAACUUGAUAGCUCAAGAUUGGGAUUUUCUCGUCCAACGAUGGAGAGAUAUUCUCGGGCCCUCUCGGUAUUACCGUAUCCAUCAUCUUCUGGCCAGACACAGUGUGAUUUUAUCACUGGGAUGCCGGAACACGAAAACGAGAAAAGAGAACAAAACCGGUAACGAGGUAAUUUGCAUGGUGGAAAAAUUGUUCGUCCAUGGGGAUGCAAUAAAUCUCACCUCGGGUGUUUGUGACAUAUCACGAAGCAACAGGAAUAGCUCACUGCAACUAGAGGUUCAGUCGAAUAUUUAUUCGUGUGGGUAUAGGGGUUAAUAUGGGUGUCCACGGCUCCGAUGUUGAUCAUUGAUCGGAAGGGGUUCCGGGUCAUGUCUAUACUUCACCGAACCUAUAGGGUCACACGCUUAAGGGUCAUCUAUAUGCUGAAUACAAGACAGGGAGUCUGAGAGAAAAUCAUCGAAAAAGUUUCGGACAGCGGAAAAGUUCCGCAGAGAGAGGUCACCGGAUGAGUUUCGGUGAAACCGAAAAAGUUGUUCGGGUAUGACAUUAAGUCAAAAUGGUUUCGGCACAUGCCUGAUAAUUCUUGGAGGGUGCCAGAAUCAUUCUGGAAACUUUUUGGAAAUUUCAGAAAUAAAAACCGGAAAUGUUCCGGAGCUGCAGGAACCGGUUCAGAUGCUUUUCGCAGAUGAAAAUCACUAAACUAGAAUUGUUCCAGAAUGCGUUGAAAAUUAUUAUGGUAGGUACUAGAAAUGUUCUAAGCCCACAUAAAUAUUUUCAGUUCGAACGGACGCUGAAAAAUGUCGUCGUGAAUAGUGAAAGUGCUUUUUGGGAUAUUUUAUGGAACACAUUUUGGGGCUUUGCCCAAAAGAUCUAGGGAUGCCAUGGAAGGAUGGGAACCUCCUUUUGGGGGGCCCCACAAGGGGUGGGACGUUCAUGGGUGCAGCUCAUCCAUGGGGCCCCACUUGUCCCUUGUUUUCACUCUUUAGGUUCUUGGGAAGGACUCCAUUUCAUGUGGGUUUUGGGUUUUCUUGUAAAACCACCCUACCCCUUGGGAUUUCCUAUAAAUAGAGGUGGAGGGGCAGCCCUCCACUCUCAUCCCUUGCUCUCAUACACAUGCCAUGCAUUAUCUGACUUCUUCUCUCCCUCCCACGAAAAGAGUUUCGUAGAGCCGUAAGGCUGUCUGGGUUCCGGUAGGAACUAGUUCUGGACGGCGAAGCCCUGCCGGAUAGAUGACACCGUAUGUGUGCAACUCUAUAGAGAUAUCGUAGUUUUGGUCUUAGUUCGUGAGUGCCUCCCGAAGGGCUGUCCGUGUGACCGUCCGAGUUUCGAAGGUCCUCCCGAAGGGCUGUCCAUGACACCGUCCGGGGGGGCUGUUCGACUGCCUCCCGGAGGGCUGUCUGAGGAGCAGAUGAGGGUAUACAUCCUCGCGGUUGGGAGGUUGUAAAUCCUAGCUGCGGGGAUCUGCACCGCCGAUCGUCAUCGACUCUACUUCCCUCUGCGCUACGAGUCGGUAACGAAAAAGAUCAAACCAUGUAUGCAGUCUCCAUAGUGGUCCUGGGCUGGUGCGUAGGUCGAAAUUUUUUUGUUUUCUGUCGCGUUACCCUACAGUGGCAUCAAGAGCCGUGCUAUGCGUAGAUGCAGGUUUCGAUCUAGAAUACAUGGAGAUGUAUGGGUAUUGCAUAAUAUAAUUAGGUAGUAGAUGAGAUCUAUUGCUGAAAAUUAUUUAUGCGGGUGACGAUGAAAUCUGUUACCCGACAUUCUUGUUGCUUCCCUAGAAUUUGUGUUUGCUCAAUCUCGAGACAGCAUGGUGGAAUUUGACAAAGUUCUGGCAAUCCGUGAUCCUGAUUGAUCAUGGAAGUGCUAUCAGUUCUUUGGGUUCUGUCGUAGUCAAAAGAAAGAUGAAAUUCGCAGAUGAAAGGGCAUUGCAGAUAUGAUCCGCAUGGGGGUCAUGCGUAUGACGAAGUUUAGUAUGGGGCUGAAGAUUUAAUUAUCUCGUGUUUCAUAAACCCCGAGAUGUUAAUCUAGCAACUUGAAUAAUCAUACUUGAUGAUAAAAUGUUGGUAGCUGCCGUUUAAGUCAAAACCUUAGAAGCCACGUAAAAUAAAAUUUUGCAUAAACCGAUUAGAGGCGACUAACUUGGUUUUGCAAGAUGUGUGUCGGAGUAAAUGGCCACGGGUAGCCUAACCGACUACCCCUGGUUCUUCAGAAAAAUUAUCAGGCCUUUGGGCCUUCCAACGCUCCAAGCAUUGGACCCCCUUCCCUGGCCGGCUACCUCGGAAGCCGACUCCCGGAAGGCGGCCCAGCCUCAAGCGACCUCCCUCCCCAAGACAACCGCGGGGUGGCCGACUCCAAGGAGCCGGCCUCAAAAAGCGCCGACUACAAGAAGCCGGCCGAGACCACAACCACCAAAGCUACUUCCUCAUAACUGUGACAAGACGGGGUGUGACCACAGUGCGGCCCACUACCCCCAAAGCCCGAGGCGGGCAUGGCUACAGGAGGCCGUACGGGACGGCCGUCUCCCGUGCGGCUCGGCACUGUAGCCAUGCUAGCCUCAACGUCAUCCACGACAGACUCCUGUACGGCCCACGGGCGGCGGGCCCCUUCCGCCAGAGAGAGGCGUGGAGGCGGCCCGGCCUCUCCCAGUCGGCCGAAGGGUGUAGCCGGCCCCCAGAAGCCGGCUACCCCCUUCCUCGAAGUAGGAGCCCCAUUAAGGAGACUAGACAAGGUAAGGCUACAGUGAGAGCCCCCGAGGCGGCCCACUGUAGCCACGCUUACCUCGACAAAGCCCUCGUAAUCAGAGGCGAGGCUACAGUAAGCAGCCGCCGACGAGACCCUAGGCGGUGGGGCCGGCCUGUCGACCAAGGAGCCGGCAGCCGGCAGAACCCACCAGUCGGCGGGACCCAACAGCCGGCGGAGAAGCCGGCGAGCGUAGACACUGACGGCUAGAACCGGUGCCCAGCCGGAUUACCAUUGUACCCCCGGGGGGUAGGCCUAUAUAAACCCCCCGGAGCACCCAUGCAAAGGGGAGCUUCUGAACACAGCACACACACCAUAGAGAUAGAGAGAAGCAAGAGCUAGCCUUGUUCUUCUUCUUCCUUGAACCCAACAGCUCUAGGAGCGAUUGUAGCUACCUUUCCUUGAUCUAGUGAUCAUGCGGAGACCCCGCAGAGCAGGACUAGGGGUGUUAUCUCCACGGAGAGCCCCGAACCUGGGUAAGAUCCGCCGGCGUGCAUGUCUUCGCCUCAUCCCGUUUCCAGGCACCGGCGACGUCUUAUUGGCACCCACAAUGAUAAGCCAUCCAUUGGCAUAUGCCGCACCAACCACCCGACAUUUGGCGCCCACCGUGGGGCCAGGUGCACCGUCGUCCGGAGACCUGUUCUGGACGGGAACCCUCUUCCUCCCCCGCGAGCGCAGCCAGCCCGCUGCGCCCGAUGGCAUUUGCCUCGACGCGCUGCAAGGCGUCGACGACGCGCUGCAAGGCGUCGACGACGCCUGCGCGGCGAGCUGCCUCGCCGAUCUGCUCGGCGAGGCUCGCAUCUCCGACGAGCCUGCGUCCGACGCAGGCACCGACUACCCCGAGAACCGCCUCGUCAGCCUCCUCGACCAGCUUCACGUCUCCAGCGAGCCUGCUGCGGACAUGGAGUCAGUCGGCUCCACCGACCCGAUGCUCAUCGACUCCGACACAACAUCGCUUGACGCCUACCCCUCCGACGUGGUGAUCUUCGACGACCCCCUCCCUCGAGCUGACAGCGGCAGCAGCGCUGUCACCGAAGUGCUGGUCAUCAGCCAUGUCGCCAACUCGGGCGAGAACGCCCGCGACGCCCUGCAAGCGGCAAUGCACGACCUCUCCGUCCCCAUCCUGGCCGACGCCGACGCCGAGACCCUGGAGGCACGCCGCCUUGCCCUCAUCGCGGAGGGCCAGAAGAUAGCCUCCAUGAGAUGCCUCACCGAGGCCCACUAGCGCGAAGUCGACCGCGCCGCCUUCGGUACGCCGCCGCCUAGCGGCCCGAGCCGAGCCGGCUUCGUCCAGAAGCGCGGCGCGGCCGUCGCCAGCAUGCUGGGGGCAGAUCACCCCGUCUACGCCACCCCGCUCGAGAAUCUGCAAGCCGCUCAGGCGGCCGCAGAAGAGCUCAAUGGGCUGGGAGCCGAUGAGCUCCCCUACGUGACGAGGCGGAUCCAGCAGCUGCUCCACGCGGCUGCAGAACGGCACGAAGCCGGCGCCCGUGCUGAUAGUCAUCCCCCCCGCCGGGAGCACGCCGCGACAUCCCGCUCGCCGACUGCGAGCGGCGCGCGCCAGAAGAAAGACAAGGAGCCGGCUGCCAGCCGCAGCCGGACUCGCAUUACCAUCGAGCGCGACGCGGAGGGCCGCCCUCGAGCGGUGGAACACCAAGGGAAUCUGCCUCCUCCCCCGCCUCAAAGAGAAAGACGCCUCACUCCGCCGCCUAUCACACACCCGACUCUUGGCGACCGAAUCGGCCGCCGAGAAGGAGUCAGCGAGAACGACGCCCGCCACAGGAUCGACCACCUUGCUCGAUCCCUGGCGUUAGAAGAAGAAGACGAUGUCGGCCCGCCAUACUUUGGCCCCCGCAUCCGCAACGAGCCCUUCCCCAAACGAUUCUCGCUCCCCAGAGACACGCCCAAGUACAAUGGCUCGGUGAAGCCGGAAGAUUGGCUCAUCGACUACUCCACGGCCGUCAGCAUAGCCAACGGCAAUCGGCGCGUCGCCGUGAAGUACGUCCCCCUCAUGCUGCAAGGCACUGCGCGCACAUGGCUCAACAGCCUCAAGCCCUACAGCAUCAACAGUUGGCUAGACUUCACCGAAGUCUUCGUCCGCAACUUCACCAGCACCUACAAGCGGCCUCCCAAGCCUCGCCAGCUCUCCCUCUGCGUCCAGGGGCCCAACGAGUCGACCCGCGACUACCUCACGCGAUGGGCCGAGCUCCGCAACUCUUGCGAGGGGGUGCAUGAGGUCCAAGCCAUCGAGUACUUCACCGCCGGGUGCCGAGAGGGCACCCUCCUCAAGCACCGACUCCUCUGCGACGAGCCGGCCACCCUCGACGAGUUGCUGGUGAUCGCGGACAAGUACGCCACAGCCGACUCCUCAAUGAAGACCGAGCUGAGAGUAGACGCCUCUGGGAAGGUGAUUGCUCCGGCUCCCAAGAUGCCGGCUGGCGACCCCAACCGGCGCCCCUACCAGAACGAUCACAAGCGUAAGGCCCCCAUGCCGACUUCCACCAGUCGGCAGGUGGCCACAGUUGAAGACGAGCAGCCCGAAGAACGGCCCGCUCCCAAGAAGAAGGGUGGAAGGCCGGCUUGGCAGCCGUCUUUCUCCUACGAACAUGCUCUCGACGCCCCCUGCAAGUUCCACAGCGGCGUGAAGCCGUCCAACCACACAACCCGGAAAUGCCACUGGCUCCCGCAUCACCAAGGGCGACGCGAUGUUGCCGCCUCCGCCUCCCGGCCCGCCGCCUCCAGCCCCCCAGCAGCCGGCGGCUCGGCCGGCAGUCGGCGCCAUCCAAGACGAAUUUCCCGAAGAGCACGCCGCCUACAUCGUCUUCACCAGUCAAGCCGACGACAAGCGCAGCCGACGCCGACAGCAUCAAGAAGUGAAUGCAGUCGCCACUAGCGCUCCCGAGUUCAUGCACUGGUCAGAAAAACCAGUCAGCUGGAGCCAGGCCGACCACCCAGAGGUGAUGCCUUCACCUGGCUCCUAUGCAAUGGUCUUGGAUGUCACCCUCGCGACGGAGAGGCGAGCGGCCCGAUUCUCCCGAGUCCUGAUAGAUGGCGGAAGCAGUAUCAACAUACUGUACCGCGAUACCAUGGAGAAGCUGAACAUCAAAGCAAAGCAGCUCAUGCCGAGUCGCACCGUCUUCCAUGGUAUCGUCCCCGGCCUAUCUUGCUCCCCAAUCGGCAAGAUUAAAAUGGAUGUUCUCUUCGGAGACAAAGAUCAUUUUCGCCGAGAAGCAAUCUGGUUCGAGGUGGUGGAUUUGGAGAGCCCCUAUCAUGCUCUGCUUGGCAGACCUGCCCUGGCCAAGUUCAUGGCCGUGCCCCACUACGCCUACCUAAAGAUGAAGAUGCCGAGCUCGAAGGGGAUCAUCACAGUAGCCGGCGACUACAAGAAGUCCAUCGAGUGCGCCAUGGCCAGUAGCCGGCUGGCCGAGUCCCUCGUGGUGGCUGGAGAGAAGAAGAUGCUGGAGCGGGUUGUGGCCAUGGCCGGCAAGCAGCCGGCCUUGUCCCCCAACCCCAAAGAUUGUGAAGCGCAGGGCUCCUUCCAGCCUGCCAAAGAGACGAAGAAGAUACCUCUGGACCCGGAGAACCCGGAGAGGUUCGCUGUCAUUGGGGCGAACUUGGACAGUAAAUAGGAAGGCGAGCUCGUCGACUUCCUCCGUGAGAAUCGAGACAUCUUUGCAUGGUCCCCAAAGGACAUGCCGGGUGUCCCAAAGGAUUUCGCCGAGCACAAGUUACAUGUCCGAGUUGACGCGAAGCCGGUCAAGCAACCCCUCCGCCGACUGUCAGAAGAGAAGCGAAGAAUUGUGGGAGAAGAGAUAGCCCGGCUCCUUGCCGCUGGCUUUAUCAUGAAAGUGUUCUUUCCAGAGUGGCUUGCCAACCCUGUUUUGGUUCUGAAGAAGAAUAACAAGUGGCGUAUGUGUAUAGGCUACACCAGCCUGAACAAGGCCUGCCCAAAGGAUCCGUUUGCUCUGCCGCGGAUUGACCAAGUGAUAGACUCCACAGCCGGAUGCGAGUUGUUAAGUUUUUUGGAUGCGUACUCAGGGUACCAUCAGAUCAAGUUGGCCCCAGCUGACAGCCUGAAGACUGCCUUCAUCACACCCUUUGGAGCUUUCUGCUACCUGACAAUGACAUUCGGCUUGAGAAAUGCCGGUGCCACUUUUCAGCGUUGCAUGCAGAAAUGCCUCUUGAAACAACUCGGCAGAAAUGCCCACGUCUAUGUAGACGACAUUGUGGUGAAGACAGAGAAGCGCGGUACCUUGCUGGAAGACCUGAAAGAAACAUUUGCCAACUUGCGCCGAUUCCAAAUCAAACUCAACCCCGAGAAGUGCAUGUUCGGAGUACCAGCCGGCCAGCUGCUAGGCUUCCUGGUCUCUGAACGCGGCAUCGAGUGCAACCCCGUCAAGAUCAAGGCCAUCAAGAGGAUGGAGAUUCCCACCAAGCUGCGAGAUGUGCAGAAGUUCACUGGCUGCUUAGCCUCCCUGAAUCGUUUCAUCAGCCGACUAGGAGAGAAGGCUCUCCCCCUGUACCGACUCAUGAAGAAGUCCACUCACUUCGAGUGGAAUGAUCAAGCCGACCAAGCCUUCCAUGAGUUGAAGAAAAUGCUGACCACUCCACCUGUCCUGGCUGCGCCGACUGAAAAGGAGCCCAUGCUCCUCUACAUCGCCGCGACUAGCCGAGUCGUCAGCACUGUUGUUGUGGUCCAGCGCCCGGAGGAAGGCCGAGCCCAGCUAGUCCAGAGGCCGGUGUACUAUCUCAGCGAAGUGCUGUCCAGCUCAAAGCAAAACUACCCGCACUACCAGAAGAUGUGCUCUGGGGUGUACUUCGCUGCCAAGAAACUGAAGCCCUACUUCCAAGAGCACCCCAUCACGGUCGUGUGCACUGCCCCGCUUGCCGAGAUCAUAGGCAGCUGGGAUGCAUCCGACCGGGUAGCCAAAUGGGCCAUUGCAUUGGCGCCCUACACGAUCUUCUACCAACCCCGCACCGCCAUCAAGUCGCAAGCAUUGGCCGACUUCCUCGUCGACUGGGCCGAGACCCAGUACCUACCGCCGGCUCCCGACUCUACCCAUUGGCGGAUGCAUUUCGACGGGUCCAAGAUGCGCACCGGCUUGGGAGCCGGCAUCGUCUUCACCUCUCCCAAAGGCGACAAGCUCAAGUACACGUUGCAGAUCCACUUCGCCGCCUCCAACAACAUGGCCGAGUACGAGGCGCUCGUACAUGGGCUCCGGCUAGCCAAAGAACUCGGCAUACGCCGGAUCCUGUGCUACGGCGACUCAAACUUGGUGGUCCAGCAAUCGUCUGGCGACUGGGACGCCAAGGACGCGAACAUGGCGAGCUAUCGAUUCCUCGUCCAGCAGAUCAGCGGAUACUUCGAGGGGUGCGAGUUCCUCCACGUACCAAGGGCCGACAACGACCAAGCAGAUGCCCUAGCACGAAUCGGCUCCACCCGACAAGCCAUACCGACUGGCGUCUCCCUCCAGCGCCUCCUCAAGCCGUCCAUCAAGCCGUCUCCAGAGUCGGAUUCCAUCUUCGUACCGCCUGCACCAGAUACAGCCGGAUCCGAUUGGAGAGGCCCCGCAGGCGGCACGGGGACUUCAACAACUGGCCCGGGGACUACCGUAGUCGCACCCGGCCCGGGGACUUCAGAACCCGGCCCGGGGACUGCAACGACACAAGAAGCAGUGGCUGACUCACCCAACCCACCCACCCGAGUCAUGGUGGCCACAUUAACAGAAGAAGAAGUCACAGCUCCCUCAUGGGCCCAGCCCAUCCUCAAGUUCCUAGUCAGCAGAGAGCUGCCGGCUGAUGAGAUCUCCGCAAGACUAAUGCAACGACGAGCCGCAGCAUAUACAAUAAUCAACAGAGACCUUGUGAAGCGCAGCGUCACUGGAGUCUUCCAGCGUUGCGUCGAGCCAGAAAAAGGUGUGGCAAUCCUCAAAGACAUCCACCAAGGCGAAUGCGGCCACCACGCAGCCUCAAGAUCCCUUGUGGCCAAGGCUUUCCGCCAUGGUUUCUUCUGGCCGACUGCCUUGGAGGAUGCUAAAGAAAUAGUCAAGAGCUGCAGAGGAUGCCAAGUUUUUAGUUCCAAGCAACAUCUGCCGGCUUCUGCACUCAAGACCAUUCCCCUCACCUGGCCUUUUGCUGUCUGGGGACUGGACAUGGUGGGCCCUUUCAAGACAGCCCGAGGCGGCUUGACACAUCUACUUGUUGCUGUGGACAAGUUCACAAAGUGGAUUGAAGCAAAGCCAAUCAAGAGGCUCAAUGGGCCGACUGCCGUAACAUUCAUCACCGACAUCACUACUCGGUACGGCGUGCCGCACAGCAUCAUCACCGACAACGGCACGAACUUUGCCAAAGGAGCACUGGCACGUUUCUGCGUGACGCAGGGCAUCCGACUGGACUUAGCGUCCGUUGCCCACCCGCAGUCAAACGGCCAGGUCGAGCGAGCAAAUGGACUCAUCCUCUCCGGCAUCAAGCCUCGACUGGUUGUACCACUGGAGCAAUCGGCCGGCUGCUGGCUCGAGGAGCUGCCGGCUGUACUUUGGAGUCUGCGCACUACACCCAACAAGUCAACCGGCUUUACUCCAUUUUUCCUCGUGUACGGUGCCGAGGCUGUCAUCCCAACAGACAUCAAGUUCGACUCGCCUCGGAUCACCAUGUACACAGAGGAGGAGGCCAAAGAAGCAAGAGAAGACGGUGUGGACCUACUGGAAGAAGGCCGGAUGUUAGCACUCAGCCGGUCCGCUAUCUACCAGCAAGGCCUGCGUCGCUACCACAACCGCAAUGUCAAGCCAAGAUCCUUCCAAGAGGGCGACCUUGUGCUUCGGCUGAUCCAGCGAACAGCCGGCCAGCACAAGCUCUCGGCCCCUUGGGAAGGCCCCUUCGUCGUCAGCAAGGCACUCGGCAACGACUCCUACUACUUGAUCGACGCGCAAAAACCAAGAGACGCAAGAGAGACGACUCCGGCAAGGAGUCGGAGCGACCAUGGAACGCAAACCUCCUGAGACGAUUUUAUAGUUGAAAGCAGUAUGUGUCAUGCUACCCCUUUUGUAUUAAGUACAAACCAACAGGCCCCCCGAACAGUACUCGGGGACUGCCUUUGUUUAUCUAUGAAUGACAAGUGUCAUAUCCAUGAAUGUAUUAUUACAUUUGAAUUCUUGUCUGGGACCGGGUUCGACUAGUCGGCCCGGGGACUGGCCGCCUCGAGCUAUAUUAAAGGUUCUACCUGAAGUCAGAAAAGUAGUGUGCCGGCUCCAGAAUCCUCUCUUGUUGAAAGUCGCAGCUCGAAGAACCGACUGUCCGACUAGCAAGAGGCAAGGCAAAAAGGAUGCCCACACGAAAAACGGCUAAGGACUAAUGAACCUAUAUAGCAACAAGACGGCCUCCAAACAUGCCUGCCGGCUGUCAGAAUAGCCGGCUGGCCGGCUCCCUAAAAACUUAGCUUUAGUCCAGUGAAGCUAGAUUACUUGCCCUCCCAAUCGGCCAAGCACUUCUCCAGCAACAGAUUGCAGAGCACCUGUUGGACUGGGAAGGCGGCAACCAAGGGAGGGCGGCAAAGGAAACAGCAGAAGGACGAAAAGCAAAGUACAAGAAAAAGCCAAAUGCAUGCAUAAGUUAUAUAUACAUAUAAGGCCCCCAGCAGGCUGGCCAUCAACAUGGUUCGAAUACACCCCCAGUGGGUGGAAUUGUGCAGACUUAACAGAAGUUUUGUUCCAAAAGUAACAAGACAGGAAAACAAAAGACGGCGGACUAGACUAAGGCGCGGUGCGGAGGCCGAGCUGGUCGGUGAAGGCGGCCUGGCCGGCUGAAGGAGCGGCCGCCUAGCGGGUCUCGGCCUGGCCGCCACCACGGGCAGGCGACGCACUCGCGCGUGGCGUAGUGCUAGAGGCGCGGUCAAGAUGAGGCUGGUCGGCUGCUCCACCAGCCGGCUCGGCGUCUUCACCCUCCUCCUCCUCCUCUUCACCCUCAUCGCUGGAGUCGAUCUCCUCCGCCGAGUCUUCACCGUCCGCCGGGUUCAGCCCGAACCACUCCUCCGGCUGGGCGACACCAUUGUCGUCUACCUCGGGGGCGAAGACGCUGGUGUCGGUGUAGUCGGCGAUCGCCGAAGCCCGCCGGAUGAUAGCCGGCCGCGCCGGCUCCAGCUCCGUGUCGGUUUGUUGCCGCCAGGUAGCCAGCUGAUCCAGGCUCAGGCCGGGAUACCAGGCCUUGACGAACUCAAGCGCCCGCCUGGCGCCGGAGCGAGCCGCCGAGGCCUUCCAGGCUUCGAAGCGGCCGACUGCCACCUCCAGCCAGUCGGCAGUCCGACGGGGGUGCGGGGAACCGCCUGGCCGGGCCAGAGGGUGGCCAAGACUUGCGCCCCGACGCGCUGAAGCCGGCGCAGCAGUUGGUGAGCCGGCUGGAUACGGGCUUGGAUCGCCAAAAGCUGUUCCUCCAGCGAGCGGCCGGUUGUGGGCGAGAUUUCAAAGCCAGCCUGCCUUCGUGCUUGGCGACGUGCCUCGAUGGUCUGGUUGGCGGCAGUAGAAUAGCCAGGGAAAUACUCUGCGCAAGAAAGGAAGAAAAGAACACCAAAAUCAGAAAACAAGCCAAAGUGGCAGAUGGCAAGAAAGGACGAAGAGGUAGGCGGCUUACCGUCAACCAGAUCUUCGAUCUGGCCGUAGCCAGAGAUCAGAGUCUACCUGGCCUCAGCCCAGCCAGCCGCCUCCCUCUCGAACUCGGCCUGGAGAGUGGCUUCGCGGUCCUGCGCAGCCUUUAGGGCUGCCUUGUGGCCUUCCUCCUGGUCGGCCAGCUUCUUGACCAGGCGGUCGCGCUCCUGCACCAAGGCGGCGAGCUCGGCAUCCUUGGCACGAAGGGCAGUCUGAGACUCUCCCAGCUGUGCCCUCAGACUGGCGUUGGCCGCUGCAGAGACGGCAGAAGAAGAAAAAAGAAUAGAAAGAAGAAGUCGUCAAGGAAGAUCCGACCCGACUGCUCAGCAGUCGGCCCGAAUCUCGGGGACUACACCCAGUGGGUGCGCUGACGCGCCCCCACAUGAGACAAAGAACCAAGCACAUACCUCGGCUCUCAGUAAGGUCGGCGGUCUUCUGGGUCAGCUCCCGAGCCUGGGAGUUGAAGGCGGUCGCAUGAAGAUUGUGGUAGUCCUGCAGAAUAGACAGAAGAUCGGAGUAAGAACAAGAAUGGCAAAGGCAAAUCCUCCAAGGAGUUCCAAGCCGCCUGCUCAGCAGCCGACUCGGAACUCGGGGACUACACCCAGUGGGUGCGCUGACGCGCCCCCACGGAAGAAAUCAAGAUCAAGAAGAAGCAAGAUAAGAAGCCUAACCCGGAUGGCCGCCCGCGUCGCGAGGAACUCGUCGGUGUACUGCCUCAGCGCCGUAGCCUGGGCCUGGAGCCGGGUCCGGACGUCCUGCGCGGCCACGUUCACCAUGGCCGUCCCUCCGCCUGGCGUCCAUCCCGAGGUAGCACUGGCCGCCUCCGCAUCCUAGGCCGACGAGCAGGAGCCCACGGCCGGCUGCGGCUCCGACGCGGCCUUCUGUGGCUCCGACGCGGCCCUCCCCGCGCGCCGGCUCGACGGAAUCCGGACCGCCGUCUCAGCCCUCACGGCCGCUUCGCCCCCCGCCGACGGUGCAGGCGACGGAUCAGGCUGGCCGCCUUGGGCCGUCCCAGUUGGCGGGGUCGGCACCGGCGCCCUGUCCAAGAUGAUGACGUCGUCGCUUCCCCCCAACCCUGGCUGGUCGCCGCUGGCUCCCUCUGGCGAGGGCUCCAUGGGCCCCGGCGCCGCAACACGCAGAGGGGUGACCAUCAAGACCUCCCCCGCUGCUUCUGCUACUUCAGCCUCUGCUUGGGCCCUGGCUGCAGCAUCGGCGAGCGCCUUUGCCGCCUCCUCCUCCCGUGCCGCCUGGGCGGGCCGCCGCCUUCCGUGCCUCCGCCUCCCGUGCCUCCUGCUCCUCCCGCGCCUCCCGCGCGUUCCGUUCCGUCGCCGCCUGAAGCUCAGCACGGGGGUCCACGCGACGAGUGGUACUCCCAGACCCCCUCGGCGACUCCACGACGGAGCCGGCAGCCGCCCGCUCAAGCGAAAGCGGAGCCCUGAUCAUUGGAAAAGAAGACAAGAGCUCAAGAACCACCAAAGAAAAGGAAUAAAAAAGAGUAUAGGAAAGAAAGUGAACUUACGCCGACACGGUCUGCGGUUGCUUCACCGCCUUGCAGAAGCGAGCCGCCUUUGCAGCCGCCUCCUCCCGCCUGGUGGCUGCCGCCCCGCCUCUGGGCUUCUUCGUUCGGCUGCCGAACAAACCCUGGGCGGCACGACGCUUUUGACCCCCACCCCGAGCAGGCAGCGCGGCGGAGGAACCCGCGCCGCGUCCAGAUGCCGGCUGGCGGCGCGGGACAACUUCGGCCUCAUCGUCGUCCGGCCAGUCGUCAAAGGUGGCACUGAGCCCGGAGCCGCCUGCUUCGCCGCCGGCUUGGCCACCACCCGGCUCGACAUCGUCGUCCAUACCGACCGCCCUCAGGUCGGGGUCAUCCCGAUCGUGUUCGGUCCGGUCGGGGACGAACCGGCGCUCCGCGUCUGACCCGCCAGCCGGCCGAAGAAGAGGGCUCUGUUGAAGAACAAGCCGACUAAGUCAGAGUCGGCCAAGAGGUACUCGGCAUCAAAGCUGAGAGAAAAAGAAGAGACAAGGAGAGCAUACCGUAGGCGGCGGGUUGGCUCGGCUAUAUGGCUCCUUGCGGAACUGCCACUCCACGGAGAGUUUGCAGUUCGCGAGGUAGUUCACCAUAAAGGCCACCUCCUCGUGCGGCAUCUCCUUGGUGCACAUCCGGCUCGGAUCGAGCUCGCCGCUCAUCUAACAGAUCAGAUGAGGCCGGCUCUGGAGCGGAAGAACCUGGCGCGUGACGAACGCGGCCAGAAGGUCGGGCCCCGUCAAGCCCUCUGCCUGGGUCAGCUCCCGCACGCGGGCGACGGCGGCGGACCCGGCCGGCGUCAGAGUCACGGCCCGGAAGGACCAUUGGGACCGCCUGCCCUCCGGCGGGCCGGCUACGUAAGCCGGCAGGUUGAUGUAGUCGCCCCGCGGGGCGAUGUUCCGUACAUAGAAGUAUGAUUUUUGCCACUUCUUCACCGAUUGGAUCAGCGUGAUGACGGGGAAGGGGUUGUCGGCGACCGAUCUCCGCGACGCGAUGAAGGCGCCAGUUGAGCCGGCACGCCCCGCAUGCGCGUGCCCAGCUUCGACUGGAAGAACUCCCCCCAGAGCUCGAGGGUGGGGAGGACGCCGAGGUAGCCCUCGCACAGGGUGACGAAGGCGGACAGCAGCACCACCGCGUUUGGGGUGAGAUGGUGCGGCUGGAGCUGAUAGAAGUCGAGCCAGGAGCGGAAGAAGGCGCUCGCGGGCAGGCCGAUGCCGCGCAAGAAAUGCGAGCGGAAGACCACCCGCUCGCCCUCCCGCGGCUCCGCCGUGAUUUCCCUCGCCGGUGCGAGACGGACCUCCACUUUGUCCGCGUCGAGCAGCCUCCGCGUCUGGCGGAGGAACUCGACGUGGACCUCGUGGACGUUGGAGCCGUCCCAAUCCCCGCCAUACUGCUCCGUGGCGGGAGGCAUGGCGAAAACAAGCGCGGCGGUGGAGGAAUGCAUGGUGGAAGAGCGCGGCAGCGAGGCGCUGUCGCAAGAACCGGCAAGCGAAGAAGAUGGAGGAGGUGGGAGGAGCGUGCGAGGGCCUGCCGCCCUCCACCUCCCCCUACUUAUAGCUUCGCGAGGCAGGACCAGGGAAGCCGAACGUGGGGGGAGUCGUGGGAUUAACUGCACCCACUCCCCCCACGCCUCGCGAUUAUUGCGCAUAAAUGCGAGCCGAAACUGCCGCACCAGACGUGCGGGCGGUUUCGGGAUGCAGACGAUCCGCGCCUGGGCCGGGCGCGGACGUGGCGGGCCCCCUCCCUGCGGCGACGUCCCGUCACGCGCGUGGGCUGGCAGGCUUUCCGGCCAAGAGGGGCCACGUGGUUCGCAGACGGCCAGUGGCCGGCCCGCGGCCCGGUGCACGCACUGGCGGGCUCCCGCCCUCCGACUUCGGAAGUUUUCGACCUAGGCGGCACGCCUAACUAGAGUCGGCUCCCAGCUGCCGACUUGCUAAGAUGGGAAGCUGAUCGAGCUUCUCAACUCCUACUCAACCUCGAAGCCCAAUUAGCUUCGGGGACUACUGUCGGAGUAAAUGGCCACGGGUAGCCUAACCGACUACCCCUGGUUCUUCAGAAAAAUUAUCAGGCCUUUGGGCCUUCCAACGCUCCAAGCAUUGGACCCCCUUCCCUGGCCGGCUACCUCGGAAGCCGACUCCCGGAAGGCGGCCCAGCCUCAAGCGACCUCCCUCCCCAAGACAACCGCGGGGUGGCCGACUCCAAGGAGCCGGCCUCAAAAAGCGCCGACUCCAAGAAGCCGGCCGAGACCACAACCACCAAAGCUACUCCCUCAUAACGGUGACAAGACGGGGUGUGGCCACAGUGCGGCCCACUACCCCCAAAGCCCGAGGCGGGCAUGGCUACAGGAGGCCGUACGGGACGGCCGUCUCCGGUGCGGCUCGGCACUGUAGCCAUGCUAGCCUCAACGUCAUCCACGACAGACUCAUGUAUGGACCACAGGCGGCGGGCCCCUUCCGCCAGAGAGAGGCGUGGAGGCGGCCCGGCCUCCCCCAGUCGGCCGAAGGGUGUAGCCGGCCCCCAGAAGCCGGCUACCCCCUUCCUCGAAGCAGGAGCCCCAUUAAGGAGACUAGACAAGGUAAGGCUACAGUGAGAGCCCCCGAGGCGGCCCACUGUAGCCACGCUUACCUCGACAAAGCCCUCGUCAUCAGAGGCGAGGCUACAGUAAGCAGCCGCUGACAAGACCCUAGGCGGUGGGGCCGGCCUGUCGACCAAGGAGCCGGCAACCGGCGGGACCCACCAGUCGGCGGGACAAAAUAGCCGGCGGAGAAGCCGGCGAGCGUAGACACUGACGGCUGGGACCGGUGCCCAGCCGGAUUACCAUUGUACCCCCGGGGGGUAGGCCUAUAUAAAUCCCACGGAGCACCCAUGCAAAGGGGAGCUUCUGAACACAGCACACACACCAUAGAGAUAGAGAGAAGCAAGAGCUAGCCUUAUUCUUCUUCUCCCUUCAACCCAACAGCUCUAGGAGCGAUUGUAGCUACCUUUCCUUGAUCUAGUGAUCAUGCGGAGACCCCGCAGAGCAGGACUAGGGGUGUUAUCUCCACGGAGAGCCCCGAACCUGGGUAAGAUCCGCCGGCGUGCAUGUCUUCGCCUCAUCCCGUUUCUAGGCACCGGCGACGUCCUAUUGGCACCCACAAUGAUAAGUCAUCCAUUGGCAUAUGUCGCACCAACCACCCGACAAUGUGCAUGUGAUGUGGUAUAGCAGUGCUCAUAAUAAUUUGAUUAUGUAUGAGAUGACUAUAUGAUGUAAUUAACAUGACAUGCGUGUCAUGAUUCGGCAUGAUGGCUGGAGCCAUAUGAUUGCACUUUAAUGACCUGCCUGUCAACCUUAAGUAAUGCAUUUAUUUUAUCCGCUAUGGAGAUAGCAAUAUUAUCUGGUGCAUUGACAAGGUGCUGGCAAUCUUCAUGAAGGUGAACACCGACGCGAAUGCCAAAGACGAAGAAAUGAAAGACUUCUCCGUCAGAAAGGGCUAUACCAUAUCAUGCUAUUAUGAAUUGCCUGAGAUGUUUAUCCCUUAUGAUGCACCCUUCUUGAUUGCGCGGUAGUCGCUUUUUAUUAGGGUGAUCUCUCACUAAAAUAUCAAGUAGUUAGUGUUCUCCCAAGUGUAGCACCGUCACGGCACCUAUCUUUUCGGGGUGCGCCAUGGACGCAUGGGUACGAACGAUUAGAGAAGUGUGAGGCGGGUGAGGUCAGACCUCGCAGCAAGAUCACUUGGUUGUCUUGACGUUCAUGGCAGGAUCGUCGUGAGCUCGAAACACACGCAUCAAAAGAUGAGCAAGAGUCACAUAGAGAUGUGAUUGGCAAGUUGGCCUACCGAUUAAAAUUCCCGUUAUGAGAUGAUGAUUCUAUGGCGAUGAAUUGAAGUCUGGAUCUUGUAUCACUCAUAGUCAAUGUUGAGAGAUAUUGAUUUGAGUGGGAGUGCACUGUUGAAUUAACAUGUUUAAUUCUUAGUGCAAUUAAUUAUGAAUACUGUCUAAGUGUUUCUUGCAAAAUAGUUGUAGAAUAAUGGCUCGCGAUUCCACUUUCCCUAUUAAAAUUGAAUAGCUGUUAAAUAUAUGGUUAACACUUUACGAUUGGUAACGUAAUAUGAGGAUUGUCCUCAGAAGUGCCGAGAAGGAAUUUUUCCUAUCGCAUGCUUUCCGUAUCCUCCCGCUAAUGCUAUGGAUCAUGUGACUCUCGGCCUUCGAUCCAAAAGCUAUUAUUCUGUUACGGUCAAGUGGAAUAUGUUUGCUUCCAUGAAACCCGAACUUCGAAAGUUGGGAUAGUUAUAUGAUAUUCAUGGAACUGAAAAUUAUUUCCAGAUACAAACAAAGCAAUGUUUGUUUGCAAGUAUUAGUAGAAGUGUUUACUAUGCACUUGACUGUUGGGAAAGGUAUCCAGAAGAACGCCUAUCAUAUAAUGAAAGGUGAAUAAAACAACAACUUAAAGAGAAAGGAAGUGUCCAAAGGGUGUUAGUAUGACUUACACGCCUAGGAAGUCCGGGGCUAACGCCACUCUUAAGUUGGGUGCUUCUUUUGCGAGUAGGAGAAAUACUAAAAGUUAAACUGUUAGAAGUAUAAAGGCAGAAAGAAAGAUGACUGGAAUAUCCAGCUCAUGUAUGAAUGUCAUACAAGUUUUUGAUGUAUAGUAGGUUGGUCAAAGAUAUAGUUCUUGGGAAUUAUGGUUAAACAUGUUAAUCACUAAUUCUUGGGUAUUGUGAGUUAAUCACAAAGAUACCCGCUCGAUUGCAUUCUGUUACGAAUCAAUGUAAGAGCUACUAUGGCCUAAAACGACUAUCCAGAAAUGAGGUUAAGGUAUACACAGGGAACAUAGUAAAUGUUACUAUACCUUCCAUCGGUGUAUUGCCGUCUGUAUUUAUUUUCAUAAUUCAUUCAGAGUUUUACAAACUCUAGCCCAUUGCAUAAGGUAUCUUGCAAGAAGGUUGUUCAUAAGCGAAAUUUUUAUGUUCGAUGUUAUGAAUAACACAAGGGCCAUACUUUCAUUAUGAAUCAGAUGUAUGUUAUGGAUAUUGAUAAUAAUACAAUACCUCUGGGUUUACUUUCAUAAUUCAUUUUAGAGUUUCAUACACUCUAGCCCAUUGCACAAUGUUUGUUGCAAAAGAGUUGUUCAUAAAAACAACAAUUGUUGUUAAGUAUUAUGAAUAACGUGAAGGGCCAUGCUUCCAUCCAAGAUGGGAUGUAUGUUAUGAAUAUUGAUGGUAAUAUGAUACAUCCAUAACAAUGGCGCUAAAUGUCGCAAGACUAAAAGAAUACCACACAAGUGUGGCACUACAUUUGGUCACAUUGGAGAAACCCGCAUGGAAAAUUCCAUUAUGAUGGAUUUUGAAGUCUUUUUGAUUUUGAAUCAUCUGACACUUGCAACUUUCCUCCGAAAAGUGAAGUGACUAAAAUACCAUUCACAGGCCAUAAGGAACGAACAACAAACUUAUUAGUGAUCAUACAUUUGAUGUGUGUAGUCUGAUAAGUGUUGUUAGUGGUGGAUUUAUUUAUCUUCAGAAAUGACUCAAGUAAAUAUAUGGAUAUUUACUUGAUGAGACGUAAGUCUGGAUCUUUUGAAAUCAUUCGAAAGGUUUUCAAAAAUGAAGUAGAAGUUAUUGUAACAAGACAAUUAUGUUUCUGCAAUUUGAUUGCACAAAGGAAUAUUUGAGUUACAUGUUUAGCAAAUGUCUAAUGAGUUGUGAAAGGGGUUUCAUACCUUGCACCUCCCGGAACACCACUGCAAGUGAAAAGUCCGUGGAGACGUAAUCUAACCAUUUAUGACAUGGUAAGGUCAAAUAAGACAUAAAUAAAUUUUCCAUUAUCCCUUUUAAAGUGAUGCUUUAGAGACUGCGGCUUUUACACUGAAAAGAGCUACAUCGGGUCUGUUGAAAUGAAGCCAUGGUAUGGUACGCCCAACCAUGUUAUAUCUUUUCUUAACAUCUGGAAUAUGGGGCUUGUGUAAAAGGUUACAAACCUAUUCCAAAUCAGACAAGUGCUACUUUGUAGGUUAUACCAAAAUGUUGGGUAUUCCUCCCUCACUAUACCGAGGCAAAUAGUUUUGCUGCGAAACAGUGUGCUUUUAAAGAGAAUGGUUCUUUCAAAAAGGUGAGUGGGAGAAUAGUGCAACUCGACGAGAUAAACAGUAUCUUCGUCAUCAGAUCAAAGGAAAGAUACCUUGGAAGUAAUUCCAUAGUUUCCUACUGCGACUGAUACGGAAGUCUCUACAAUAAAAUGUAUGAACUUCGGUCGAACUUGCAGCAGAACCACGUAGGCAAGGCUCGUGCAAACCUCUCAGGUGCGCAAACGAGAUAUUGUUGUUAGACAACAUUAUACCUGCGAUACACAAGGAAGCGUUGAUGCGCCCUGACUCCGGAAUUGGCUAAAUGCCAAUACAACCCAAGUUAGUUUCCGUAUCAGUGAUUCAAGAUUAAAACCUUGAUACACCGUUCAGAAGACUUAGAGUCUAACGAAUAUUUAUGAAACUUAAAACUGAUACGGAUAAAAAUGUUUUAUCCAUAAAGCUCGACUUGUUGAAAUAACAAGUUCAAGUGUUGACUACGAUGAGGUUGUUUUCAUCGUAGCGAUGCUUAAAGUCGGUUCGGGUUGAACUAGCAAUUAAUACAUAUUUCAAUCAUGAGAUAUGAAACAUGGAUGACAAUAGGAUUUCCAUCUGAUGGAAAUGAAACCAAGGACUUGCAUGUGUUACAGUCCAAGGCAUUUUGUCUAUCCAGAGGAUGCUAGUAAGGGUGCAAACUUAAGAGUUCCAGCGAUGGACAGAAGAGAGCAAAAUGGGGUUGGAAUCUUUGUGCUUUGAUGAAAUGGUCAAAGGGGUUUGACUUCAUCAAUGGGUAAUGAAGAUGCUUGUAUUUGAAGAAAGUAAGUGGGAGCGUAAUAAUAUUUCUAAAAACCUUGUGUGCUUGACACAUUGUUAAUUGGAAAUAAAUUUCUUGACACGAAUUAGGACUUCAUUUGAAAAUAGUUUUUUGAUGAAGUGCUUAGGCUAAAUAGCCUCAAUAUUAGGCAUAAUGAUCUAUGGAGAUAGAUUUACCUAAUAGGGCUAAGCAAUGAAUACAUAUUGACAAGGUGCUAAAACCUUUUAGCAUUUAAAACCGCCAAGGAGUGAUUCUUGCCGGAGUCACAUGGAAGAGUCUUUUGCAAGACUUGGUGUCCCAAAACACUGAUGAGCAAAAUACAUGAUGAAGAUUCCGCACACUUAUGUGUUUGGAUUAAUCAUAUAUUCCAUGGUAUGUAAAACAACCAGAUAUGUCCGAUACUCCCAAGGUGUUGCAAGUAUGGAUACCAUAGUGAUCAAAGUACUGAUCGUGGGACAAAAGUGAAAGAUGUCAUUGAGUACUAGAGUAAGUACUGAUGAUAUGUUUUCUCGCAAGCGGAGAUCAUGAAGAGUUCAUUGUCAAAUGUUACAUCGAUACAGUCUUCAUCUUUUCUCCAUGCGAUUUUCGAUUUAAGAUAAAGGUUUUUGUAUAAUACACAAUAUGGUGGCACGGUAGUUGGAAAUUGUUCCCAACAGGAUACUAUGGCGAAUUCUACAACAAAUGACUAAGUAUGUUGACGCUUUAGAGGCGACAAACAAGAUGUUGAAUCAUAUAGUUCAUUCAUGAACUUAGUAUGGUUCCAAGAUGGCUUUUGUCAAUGGGACACUACUGCAGGUAGUUUCUCCAUAACUCAGUCUGAGGAAUCCAGGUUCGACUUGUGAUUCACAUACAUAAAAGCCAAGUCCGCACAAAAUAUGAAUUUUGUGAAAGCAUGAAAACGCGAGGAUAUGCAGAGAUACACACGGAGCUGAAAUUGUUAGAUCCGAUGGACAUCAGGCUAUACCAUAUGCGAAGCAUUUUUUACACCAGUAUGCCAUAGGUGUAAAGUGCAUUAGCAUUAACUAGAUUAUUGAUUCUAGUGCAAGUGGGAGUCUGUAGGAGAUAUGCCCUAGAGGCAAUAAUAAAUGUUCUUGAUUAUCUCCCGGUUCAUAAUUAUGUUUAUGUUCCAUGCUAUAACUGCUAUGGUUCUCGAGUCUGCAAUAACCACGAGGCUCGGAGGAAGACUCAUAUGCACAUGUGGAAUAAUAAACGGUAAAAUGUAUUCCUACUCUGGCCUCUAAGACUAGCUCAAGUAUUGCAUGAUGGUUCUGUUUUCCUGAUCAUGGGCAUGUCUAUGCCAGCAACCUUGAGGGCACAAUUUUAAGAGGACAUUUGUGUUGAAUCGACCCGGAUUGAUGUUAUGCUAAGAGAUUCAUUCGUCACAAGUUAAUGGUACAUAACACAGAGAUGGUUAACGUUUGCAUAAUUCCUUAGACCAUGAGAGUAUCAAGUUUCUUCAUGCUUGCUUCAUGAACUUUGGGGUUUGUUAAACGUCUUCCGUAAAUGGGUGGCUAUUACGGCGGCUUACGGGUUCAUGGAAAAGUGUGUCAAGUAACUUGAUAGCUCAAGAUUGGGAUUUGCUCCUCCGACGAUGGAGAGAUAUUCUCGCGCCCUCUCGGUAUUACGGUAUCCAUCAUCGUCUGGCCAGACACAGUGUGAUUUUAUCACUGGGAUGCCAGAACACGGAAACGAGAAAAGAGAACAAAACCGGUAACGAGGUAACUUGCAUGGUGGACAAAUUGUUCGUCCAUGGGGAUGCAAUAAAUCUCACCUCGGGUGUUUGUGACAUAUCGUGAAGUAACAGGAAUAGCUCACAGCAACUGGAGGUUCACUCGAAUAUUUAUUCGUGUGGGUAUAGGGGUCAAUAUGGGUGUCCACGGCUCAGAUGUUGAUCAUUGAUCGGAAGGGGUUCCGGGUCAUGUCUAUACUUCACCGAACCUAUAGGGUCACAUGCUUAAGGGUCAUCUAUCUGCUGAAUACAAGACAGGGAGUCUGAGAGAAAAUCAUCGAAAAAGUUUCGGACGGCGGAAAAGUUCCGCAGAGAGAGGUCACCGGAUGAGUUUCAGUGAAACCGAAAAAGUUGUUUCGGGGUAUGCCAUUAAGUCAAAAUGGUUUCGGCACAUGCCUGAUAAUUCUUGGAGGGUGCCAGAAUCAUUCUGGAAACUUUUUGGAAAUUUCAGAAAUAAUAACCGGAAAUGUUUCGGAGCUGCAGGAACCGGUUCAGAUGCUUUUCGGAGAUGAAAAUCACUAAACUGGAAUUGUUCCAGAACGCGUUGAAAAUUAUUAUGGUAGGUACUAGAAAUGUUCUAAGCCCACAUAAAUAUUUUUAGUUCGAACGGACGCUGAAAAAUGUCGUCGUGAAUAGUGAAAGUGCUUUUUGGGAUAUUUUAUGGAAAGCCACCUUUUGGGGCUUUGCCCAAAAGAUCUAGGGAUGACAUGGAAGGGUGGGAACCUCCUUUUGGGGGGCCCCACAGGGGGUGGGACUUUCAUGGGUGCAGCUCAUCCAUGGGGCCCCACUUGUCCCUUGUUUUCACUCUUUAGGUCCUUGGGAAGGACUCCAUUUCAUGUGGGUUUUGGGUUUUCUUGUAAAACCACCCUACCCCUUGGGAUUUCCUAUAAAUAGAGGUGGAGGGGCAGCCCUCCACUCUCAUCCCUUGCUCUCAUACACAUGCCAUGCAUUAUCUAGCUUCUUCUCUCCCUCCCACGAAAGGAAUUUCAUAGAGCCGUAAGGCUGUCUGGGUUCCGGUAGGAACUAGUUCUGGACGGCGAAGCCCUGCCGGAUAGAUGACACCGUAUGUGUGCAACUCUAUAGAGAGAUCGUAGUUUUGGUCUUAGUUCGUGAGUGCCUCCCGAAGGGCUGUCCGUGUGACCGUCCGAGUUUCGAAGGCCCUCCCGAAGGGCUGUCCGAGUGACCGUUCGAGUUUCGAAGGUCCUCCCGAAGGGCUGUCCGCGACACCGUCCGGGGGGGGCUGUUCGACCGCCUCCCAGAGGGCUGUCUGAGGAGCAGAUUAGGGUAUACAUCCUCGCGGUUGGGAGGUUGUAAAUCCUAGCUGCGGGGAUCUGCACCGCCGAUCGUCCUCGACUCUUCCCGCUGCGCUACGAGUCGGUAACAAAAAAGAUCAAACCAUGUAUGCAGUCUCCAUAGUGGUCCUGGGCUGGUGCGCAGGUCGGAAAUUUUUUGUUUUCUGUCGUGUUACCCUACAAUUGGUAUGGUACCGCGAAGAAUUAUCCUUGGGCCCAUGACCAAAACUCGUCUUUGAAGCACAAGUACCAUCAAAAAUGGCUAAUGUGAAAGAUUUGAUCAAUUUAUGCAUAAUGGGGGGAGGGAGAGUUCAGUGAGAGAACAACACUCCCCCUAUGUCCAUGCCUACACCUAAACAAGAUAACAAGUUGAGUAUGGUGGGGUGUGCAAGGGUUCAAGCCACAUUGCUCGAAUCAAUGAUAUUUAGCUCAUGCCUUAACUCGCGAAAUCUUGCUUCAUCCAAGGGCUUCGUGAAGAUAUCUACAAGGUUAUCAUGAGUGUUGACAUAGUUGAGCUCGAUCUCCCCUCGCCUAAUAUGAUCCCGGAUGAAGUGAUACCGAAUCUCAAUAUGCUUCGGCUUGUAGUGCACCGGGUUGAGAGAAAUCUUGAUGGCACUUUCACUGUCACACCAAAGAGGCACUUUGUCACAAAUGACACCGUAAUCCUUUAAAGUUUGCCUCAUCCAUAGAAGUUGUGCACAACAACUACCGGCCGCCACAUACUCCGCUUCGGUGGACAAGAGAGAUACACAACUUUGCUUCUUAGAAGACCAACUCACCAAGGAGCAACCAAGAAAUUGGCACCCUCCGGAAGUGUACUUCCUAUCCACUUUGUCUCCCGCCCAAUCAGAGUCCAAAUAUCCUACGAGUUUGAAAUUUGCACCUCUUGGGUACCAUAAGCCAAAGUUUGGGGUAUAAGCCAAAUAUCGAAUAAUUCGCUUGACCGCCACAAAGUGGCUUUCCUUAGGUGCGGCUUGAAACCGAGCACAAAUUCCCACACUCAACAUGAUAUCCGGUCUAGAUGCACAAAGGUAAAGCAAGGAGCCAAUCAUGGAGCGAUAUACCUUUUGAUCCACCUCUUUACCAUUGGGAUCUAUGUCAAGUUGGCAUUUGACGGGUAUUGGAGUGGAAGCCGGCUUGACAUCACUUAGCUUGAAUCUCUUGAGCAUGUCUUGAGUGUAUUUGGCUUGGUUGAUGAAGGUUCCUUCUCUUAUUUGCUUGACUUCGAACCUGAGAAAGAACUUCAACUCUCCCAUCGAAGACAUCUUGAACUUUGAGGUCAUGAGUGCGGAAAAUUCCUCAUUGAAAGCUUUGUUAGGGGAACCAGAGAUAAUAUCAUCAACAUAUAGUUGGCACACAAACAACUCCCCUUUGACCUUCUUAGUAAAAAGAGUGGGGUCGAUUUUCCCAACUUCAGAUCCACGAUCUUGCAACAACUCGGUAAGGUGGUCAUACCACACACGUGGGGCUUGUUUAAGGCCAUAGAGUGCCUUAUCGAGUUGAUACACAUGAUCGGGGAAGUAGGGAUCCUCGAAACUGGGGGGUUGUUUGACAUACACCAACUCAUUAAUAGGACCAUUAAGAAAAGCACUCUUCACAUCCAUUUGUUGCAACUUAAAGUUAUGAUGAGAAGCAUAAGCAAUCGACAAACGAAUGGAUUCAAGGCGAGCAACGGGUGCAAAGGUUUCACCGUAGUCGAUACCCUCGACUUGGGAGUAGGCUUGAGCUACCAACCGAGCCUUGUUGUGAAUGAUAAUCCCAUGAGCAUCUUGCUUGUUCUUGAAUAUCCACUUGGUUCCAAUGACAUUAUGGUUCCCCGUUGGCCUUGGCACCAAUCUCCACACCUUGUUGUGCUCGAAGUUGUUGAGUUCUUCAUGCAUCGCAUUAAGCCAAUCCGGAUCUUCGAGCGCCUCAUAGACCUUUUGGGGUUCAACACAAGAGACAAACGCGUGAUGUUCACAAUAGUUUGCUAAUUGUCUACGAGUGCUUACCCCCUUUCGUAUGCUUUCAAGCACAUUCGUCAUGAGAUGACCCUUGGUAGAUAGCUUGGAUGCAAUCUUGGCGGCACGACGCUCCAAUUCCUCCUCAGGGGUGAGUUGAGGAGCGGAAACUUGAUCAUCUUGAGCGUCGUCUUGAGCUUGUUCUUGAUCUUGAGCUUACUCUUGAUCUUGAACUUGCUCGGGGGAGCGAACUUGACCUUGGGCAUCACUUGGUGGUUCACCACCAUCUUAAGGUUGAUCUUGACCUUGAUCUUGUCCAUUUGGUUGAGUGCCUUCACUUUGUUCUUCGGAAGCGUGUGGGUCUUGGGUUGGUGAUGGUUCCACUUGAGUGGAACAUUGUCCUUCUCCUUCGGCCACAAGGGGUUCCUCAAUGGGUAGGAUAUGACCAACACCCAUUCUUCCUAUGGCUUGGGGAGGAAUUUCAUAACCUACAUCACAAGUACCACUUUGCUCCACUUGGGAGCCGUUAUUCUCAUCAAACUCCACGUUACACGUCGGGACUUAUUGAGGACACUUUAAGCAUGAGAGUUUGUAGCAUAACCAACAAAUAUGCCCUCAUGAGCUCUAGCCUCAAAUUUAGACAAACGAACACCUUUCUUGAGAAUGAAACACAUACACCCGAACACCCGAAAGUACUUGAGGUUGGGCUUGUUACCGGUGAGAAUCUCAUAUGGAGUUUUGUUCAAGCCUUUGCGGAGAUAGAGCCGGUUGGAUGCAUGACACGCGGUGUUGAUGGCUUCGGCCCAAAAGUUGUAUGGAGACUUGAACUCCGCCAUCAUGGUCAUUGCCGCAUCCAUCAACGUCCGGUUCUUUCUCUCCGCUACACCAUUUUGUUGAGGGGUGUAAGGUGCGGAAUGUUGAUGCUUGAUACCCUCAUCACUAAGGAACUCAUCCAAGGUGUAGUUCUUGAACUCGGUGCCGUUGUCACUUCUUAUCGUCAAGAUCUUUGCAUUGUGUUGCCGUUGAGCUUCAUUUGCAAAGGCAAUGAUGGUUUGUUGGGUCUCACUCUUCCUCUUGAAGAAAUAUACCCAAGUGUAUCUUGAAUAAUCAUCUACAAUCACCAAGCAAUACUUUCUACCCCCAAGACUAUCAAAGGAUGCAGGCCCAAAGAGAUCCAAGUGAAGGAGCUCCAAAGGCCUCUUCGAGUAAAUAAUAGUCGUGGGAGGGUGAGCAUUCUCAUGUAGCUUUCCUUUGAUACAAGCACUGCAAGCAUGAUCUUUGGCAAAACUAACAUUUGUUAGUCCAUGGACAUGGUCCCCCUUGAGAAGACUUUGCAAAGAUCUCAUAUUGACAUGGGCUAAACGGCGAUGCCAAAGCCAUCCCACGUCAACUUUAGGCAUUAGGCAUGCCGCGGUCUUAGUGGGUCGCUUCAAGAAGUUAAUCACAUAGAGACCAUUCUCGACAUGCCCAACAAAGGCUACUUUAAGAGUCUUGCUCCACAAGAGGGCCACGGUAUCAAUAUCAAAGAAAGUAGCAAAGCCCAUAAGUGCAAGUUGACGAACGGAAAGUAAAUUGUAUGCAAGGGACUCAACAAGCAUGACUUUCUCGAUCGUGAGAUCAUGAGAAAUGACAACCUUGCCAAGACCCAAUACCUUAGAAGACGAGGCAUCACCCCACUCGACAUUGGUGGGCAUAGAUGGAAUCUUGUGCACGUCCACCACCAAGUCCUUGCUUACGGUCAUAUGAUUAGUGGCUCCACUAUUGAGCAACCAUGAUCCCCCACCGGAAGCAAACACCUACAAGAGAUCAAUGCUUGGUCUUAGGUACCCAUUUUGUAAUGGGUCCUUUGAUGUUAGUGACAAGGGUCUUAGGAACCCAAAUGGACCAUUCAAUGUACUCAUAAGGAGAACCAACAAAUUUAGCAUAAACAUGUCCAUCACUAGCACAACAUAACACAUAGGAAGGGUUAAAGUCGCCGGCUUUGUUGGAAGGGGUGGCAUUGCCUUUCUUGACACCACCACCCUUCACAUUGUUCUUCUUAUCCUUAGAAGAACCCUCUCCCUCUUUCACAAAAGUUUGCUUGAGAGGAGGAGGUCGUUUGGCCUUGUCAUUCUUUUUCUUGUUCUUGGACUUGGGUGCGAACCCAAUCCCUUCCUUGGCCACAACUUCCUUUUGAUUGCUCAAAAUGUCAUUGAGGUUCUUCUCACCUUGUAUCAUGACACAAGGCCUUUCUCAAGUUGCUCCUUCAACUUUGCAUUCUCCUCAACAAGAUGCACAUGCUCACAACAAGGGUUAGUAGCAUUUGCAUUAUCAAUUAAAACCAUAUGAGGAAAGGUGGCUUUCUGCUUGGUUAGCUUCACUUGGAGUUGAUCAUGAGACUCUUUAAGACUAGCAUGAGUACCCUUCAAGGCCUCGGGAGCCUUGUCAAGUAAACCAAACUCCUCCUUGAGUCUAGCAAGAUCAACCCCAAGUUUGGCCUUCUCGGAAUUUAGCACACGGGAUACAACACGAGCAUGAUCAAGAUCUUUCUUUAAUUUAGCAUGGUCAUCGUUUUGUGACUCCUCAAGAGUCGAACGGUGUCCACGCUCUUCCUCAAGCGCAUUAAAGAGAUCAAAUAUCUCAUCGGCAUAGUCACAACUAUGCCCCUCCAUCUUAGAGAUGGUUUCUUCGUGAGCCUCGACCAUGUCAGUGGCUUCACCAAGUUGUUCCAAGAGAGCAACAAAGUGCUUCUUGGAUUUACCCUUGAGCUUACUCAUAAAAGAGUCAAAUUCAUUUUCCUCCUCAUUAGACCCCUCAUUUUCAUCAAUGCAAUCCGUAAAAGAAGGAUUAGUAAUGAUGGUAGUAUUGAUGUUGGGGGUUACCUUGUUGGUGGCUUUAGCCAUGAGGCACUUGGCAGUAAUGUUCUCGUUGGGUGAGUCGAAGAGGGACACCCGUGGAGUUGUUGCAAUGGCCACAAAGGCCAUGGCAACCGAGUCACCAUAUUCAUCAUCAUCAUCAUCCUCAUUGUACUCUUCUUCUGCCACCAACCCCUUAGGAGGAGUCUUCUUAGUGAAGUUGCUCUUGUUGGGGAAAGACUUGGCCUUGUAUUUUUGGAUGAGCUUGCCACCAUUGUCUUCCCUCUUCUCAUAUGGGCAUUCCGCAACAAAGUGGCUCACAUUGCCACAAUUAUAGCAAUUCCUCACACGUUGCUUGCCCUUCAAGCCACUUGAGUUGCUCUUGUUGAAGUUGGGCCUUGUGUUCUUCUUGCUCCAAAAUUGCCUUGAAGCGAGAGCCAUGUGCUCAUCAUAAGCAUACUUUGUAUCUUCGGGGUUGCUCUCCUCUUCUUCCUCUUCAUCAUCUUCUUCCACACUAACCUUGGCCUUCAAAGCAAGGUUGGCCUUCUUAGCUCUUUGAGAAUGCAAUACCGCAUUGUUGGCAGUCUUAUCCAAGAUCCUCAUUGCCACAAACUCAUCCAAAACUUCACUUGAAGACAAGGUGUGGAAGUCUGGCCUUUGACGGAUGACGGAGGACAUGGCCUUAUGGUAAGGCAUCAUGGCCUUGAGGAACUUGCGCUUGAUCCAAUUGUCGUCCGUAUCCUUGCUUCCAUGAUCUCAAAGUGAGACCGCGAGAGUGGUUAGCCUUUGGUAAAGCUCACGAGGUUCUUCAUCUUCAUUCAUUGCAAACUCAUCGGCUUCAUCUUGCACCACUUCAUAGUUUGAGUAUUGAAUGCUUGUGCUUCCCUUGUAAAGGGAUACAACAUGGUGCCAUGCUUCCUUGGCCACGGUGAAAGGUCGGAGAUGAGCAAUAUCUUCGGAUGGAAUUGCAUCUUGGAUGAUGAAGAGAGCAUUCUCGUUGAAUUGAUGGUCCGCGGCUUCUCUAGGGGUGAAGUUGCUUGGGUCAUGCGGAUAGAAACCUUGCUCAAUGAUUCUCCAAAGGUUAGUAUUCACAUGAUUUAAAUGGCGUUUAAAGCGAAAGACCCAAGAGUCAAAAUCCUCAUUUUUCACAAUCUUAGGAGGAGAACCCGCAUGAUUUAAAUGAGUGGAGGGAACCGGUCCUCCAUAAGUAAGAGGUGGUUCAACCUGGGCAAAGAUACCGUUACCAUUUUUACCACUAGAUGAAGGAGCUUUUUCACUAGUAGCUUCCCCCUUGUCGGAGUUAGCAUCUGUCACCUUGUUAGUGGGAUCACCCACUUUCAUUAGUGCGGUGGAUAAUUUAAGCCCUUCUAAGAACUUGUUAAACAUGCUUUCAACCUCGGUCGUCAUGGAGGUUUUCAAUGUGUCCAAAGCCACAUUGAAUUCCUCACGAGAGAUCGUGGUUCCCCCAUCACCCGUAGACAAGACCGGGUUCACACCGGAGUGCUCCUCCCCACCGUCUACGGUGUCAACCAUACUCUUCGGACGGUAAAGUCCUUAAUAAAGAGACAAGGCUCUGAUACCAAUUGAAAGGAUCGAUAUAGUUGACUAGAGGGGGUGAAUAGGCAACUAACAAUUUUUAGCUUUUCUUCACCAAUUUAAACUUUGCAUCAAAGUACGUUGUCUAGAUAUGCAACUAGGUGAGCAACCUAUAUGAUGCAACAACAACAAGCACACAAGCAAGCUAGGGAAACAAGUCAAUAUAAGCUUGCACAAGUAGAGGUAAGAAAUAACCAAGAGUGGAGCCGGUGGAGACGAGGAUGUGUUACCGAAGUUCCUUCCCUUUGAGAGGAAGUACGUCUCCGUUGGAGCGGUGUGGAGGCACAAUGCUCCCCAAGAAGCCACUAGGGCCACUGUAUUCUCCUCACUCCCUCACACAAUGCGAGAUGUCGUGAUUCCACUAUUGGUGCCCUUGGAGGCGGUGACCGGACCUUUACAAACAAGGUUGGGGCAAUCUCCACAACUUAAUUGGAGGCUCCCAACAACACCACGAAGCUUCACCAUAAUGGAAUAUGGCUUCGCGGUGACCUCAACCGUCUAGGGUGCUCAAACACCCAAGAGUAACAAGAUCCGCAAGGGACUAGUGGGGGGAUCAAAUUUCUCCUGGUGGAAGUGUAGAUCGUGGCCUUCUCAACCGAUCCCUAGAAAAUCAACAAGUUUGCUUGGCUAGGGAGAGAGAUCUGGCGAAAAUGGAGCUUAGAGCAACAAUGGAGCUUGGGGAUGGAAGAGGUGGUCAAUUCGGAGAAGAAGACUCCCCUUUUAUAGUGAAAGAACAAAAUCAAUCGUUAUCCACCAACUCAGCAUGCGACACACGGUACUACCGCAAGGGCCCACGGUACUACCACGGAGAACUGCGGUACUACCGCUGGCACAGCUGUCGGUGUAAAAACCGACGGAUCUCGGGUAGGGGGUCCUGAACUGUGCGUCUAAGGUCGAUGGUUAGCAGGAGACGGGGGACACGAUGUUUACCCAGGUUCGGGCCCUCUCUAUGGAGGUAAUACCCUACUUCCUGCUUGAUUGAUCUUGAUGAAUAUGAGUGUUACAAGAGUUGAUCUACCACGAGAUCGUAAUGGCUAAACCCUAGAAGUCUAGCCUGUAUGACUAUGGUCAUGAGUCUAUCCUUUUCGGACUACACCCUCCGGUUUAUAUAGACACCGGGGGGAUUGAGGGAGUCCUGGAUUAGGGGGUCCUUGGACAGCCGGACUAUAUCCUUUGGCCGGACUGUUGGACUAUGAAGAUACAAGAUUGAAGACUUCGUGAAAGUGCGUUAUAUCGACUAGAGGGGGGUGAAUAGGCGACUUUUAUGAAUUCUUCAUUGAGGAAUUUGUGGGUGAGGAAAUUCCUUAGCGAAGAACUACUUGCAGCAGAAUAAGUACUCAGAAGUAAACAUAACAGAAUACAAGCAUGGUCAUCAUGAUGAAAUGAAGACAAGCACAGAGUACAGAAAGCGUAAACAUAGGAUAACACAAGAUGAAGACAAACAGACUAAAGAAAUUGAACUGAGGAAAUUUGAGAAAGUCUUCAGUCAAAGUCUUCAAACAUAGAUAUGACAAGCACACAACACAGUAAUGAGGAAAUGAAAGAGUUGAGGAAAUAGAACCAGUAAGCUCGGUGAAGACAAUGAUUUGGUAGACCAGUUCCAACUGCUGUCUCAGUUGUACAUCUGGUUGGAGCGGCUAGGUAUUUAAACCUGAGGACACACAGUCCCGGACACCCAGUCCUGAACACACAGUCCAGGACACCUAGUCCUCACAAUAUUCUCCUUGAGCUAAGGUCACACAGCCCUCGCCCAAUCACUCGUGGUAAGUCUUCAGGUGACUUCCGAACCUUCACAAACUCGGUCACUUGGCGAUCCACAAUUCCUCUUGGAUGCUCUAGACCAUGACGCCUAACCGUCUGGAAGAAGCAUAGUCUUCAAAGGUAACAAGCGUCGGAUCCACACAGGAUCAAUCUCUUCAGUGAUGCUCAAUCACUUUGGGUUUUUAGGUGUUUGGGUUUGGAGUUUUCCUCACUUGAUGAUUUUCGCUCAAAGUCCUCAGAGGAUGGGAUGCUCUCAAUUGACAAGUGUCAGUUUCUCUCGGAGCAGCCAACCAGCUAGUGGUUGUAGGGGGCGGCUAUUUAUAGCCUAGGGAGCAGCCCGACAUGAUAAGACAUAAAUGCCCUUCAAUGAUAUGACCGUUAGGUGGGUAGAUAUUUUGGGACAGCUGGCGCAUAGCACAGCAACGGUCGGAAAUUUGAGUAUCAAAUUCCUCAGGGCUAUCAUGUUCCUCACUGUGUAGGCAAUUCGCACUGGCAAAUUCCUAACUCCUCAGUCAGAACAAAUUCCUCAGAGACCAGAAGAACUUCGUCUCUGUCACUGAAGAAUAUGACUGGACUGUAUGAGAUUUCCAAUGGCUUUACUCCAAGGGAUUGGUAGGUGUAGGAUUUUGAGUUGAGCAUCACAUGGAAAUUUUUCCUUAGUAUUUCCUCGACCCCCUUUAACAGUACGGUGUUUCCUAUGACUCAAGAAAGAGAACAUGAAACUACGAAAACAAAAGUCUUCACGCUUCAUGUUCCUCAAAUGAAUACCAAGUCUUCAAGGUCACACCAAUUUCUUCACUUUCAAAGUCUUUAGAAAGUCUUCAGAAAUCCAAAGUCUUCAGUCGAAGAACUUCAUUUUUAGGGGUCGACUUUCUCUGUAAAUAUCAAACUCCUCAUAGACUUAUGGACCUGUGUACACUCAUAAACACAUUAGUCCCUUAACCUAUAAGUCUUCAAUACACCAAAAUCACUAAGGGGCACUAGAUGCACUUACAAUCUCCCCCUUUUUGGUGAUUGAUGAUAAUAUAGGUUAAGUUUUCAACGGGGAUAAACAAAUGAAGUGUAAAUACUGAUAUUGAGGAAUUUGAUUGCAAGAUAUAGAAGAACUCCCCCUGAAGAUGUGCAUAGUGAGGAAUUUGCUUUUGAAGCAAUGCACACUUGAAGAGUUGAAUCAUGGAGAUCUCCCCCUAUAUCUUGUAAUUCAUACACGCAUUUGACAUAAUAUAUGAAGAAUUUGAAAUGCAUGAUGAAAUAUGGUGACUGAUGUAAUUCAGCAUGCGUGCAAUAACAUUAACGAGGAAUAAGCAUGCAGAAGAAAGCAAAAGUAUCAGGCCACCAUAGAGUUUAAGUUUACAACUCGAUCCAACAAAGUCAUCAGAAGAACGCGAGUUGUAACUUUAGAAAAAAAACACCCAUAUAAGAUAGACCCGCUUGAAGACUAACUCAAAUUUCUCCCCCUUUGUCAUCAAAUGACCAAAAGGGUCGAAAAUGAGGACUAACGCCCCUGAAGAAUAUCAAGGUGAUGAAGGAGCGUCAGCGUUGUUGGGGUCGUUUGUUGGAGUAGGGCAUGUUGUAGUGUCGUCCAAGUCUUCAUGUUCAUCAGUGUCACGUGAUGAAGAAUAGGAGCUGGCCACCAAGGAAGGAACCUUUACCUUCUUGUACUUCUUCGGAGGAGGUGCAGCCCAGUCAAGAUCUUCCUUGAGACCCAUUUUCUUCAGAUCUUCUUCAUCAUAUAUGUGCGACAGAACAGCCCAGGUGCGGUUGAGGGUUUCAUGAAGGUAGUGGUGGUUUUUCUUCACUGCAUUGUGGGUAGCAGUCAUGUUGUGAAGAAUUGAACCAAACUGACGCUCGACCCAUUUAUGAUUGCGAUCAACCUUCUGGUGAAGACUGAGGAGAAGCUCACGGCCAGUCAUCACCCUGGGUGCUGUGCCUUGAGGAUUUUGCUUGGGUGCGUUGGCGGCAGAGUCAUGGGUGGCAGAGUCAUCAUUGGUGGAGUAGGAUGCAGCCUUGCGAAAUUGUCCAUCCAAUGGACGAAUGUCUUCAUCAAUAACAGCAGUAGCCUUGCCCUUUUCAUCAGCUGAGGAAAAUGUCCGUUUGAGGACUUCAAUCGGGGGCAAGUGGCUGCAAUGAUUCAGUGUAUCAACUUUGUAGUUGAGUGAAGACCUUGUUCUGAUGAAUCUCAUAAUCCACGGAGCAUAAGGCUUCAACUCAAAUGGUGACAUUGUGACAUUGGCCAGAGUCCUCAUGAAGAAAUCAUGGAAGUUGACGGGAACACCAUGAAUGAUAUUGAAGAGCAGAUUCUUCAUGAUGCCAACGACUUCUUCUUCAUUCGAGUCAUGGCCCUUGAUAGGACUCAUUGUCUUCGUCAGAAUGCGAUAGACAGUCUGAGGCACAUACAGCAAUUCCUUCACAAGGAAUUUUGUUCUUGGAGCCUGACCUAGCUUCAAAGGCUUCAUCAGCACUUGCAUAUAGUGAUCGGUAAGCUCAGGUUCAUUGUAGAUGCAACAAGCACCUUCAAGGGCGGACUAAGAGGAAAAGCAUGAAGCAAUUCAGUAGCUGGUGCUUUGUAAUGAGUGUUUUCAGACAUCCAGUCCAGCACCCAUGAAUUCACCUCUUCAGAGUUGCUGGUGAUGUGCAGAGUUGCAUAGAAUUGAAGAAUUAGCUCUUCAUUCCAAUCACAUAUGUCAGUGCAGAAAUUUAAUAGUCCAGCGUCAUAGAGAACACGGAGGACUGGCCCGAAGCAUGGCAAAGAUUCCAUAUCCACGUGAGGAAUGUGCUCAUGAUCGAAGACUUUGUCUUUGUUGAACAGCACUGAGGAAUAGAAAUUUUCCUGGAUGGCAGUCCAGAAACGCCUCUUCCUUAUGCAAGCAGAGUCAUAAGGGUUGUAAUCAGUGAAGAAUACAUGCUCGCCAAAGAAGGCAUCAGCCUUGAAUUUUUGCUUCCUUGAGAAUGGAUCCUUUGGCUUGGGCAGUGGAGUGUCAGUCAGUUGCAUGAUGACCUCAGGAAUCGCAAUCUCAGGUUCUUCAGGCUGAGGAAUUUCUGGUUCCUCUUCAGUGGCAGCCUGGUUCUUCAAUUCCUCAUUCUCAUUUUCUUCAGCACUAGCGGCUGGAAUGUCUUCAUGAGCUUCAUCAGAUCCCAUUUGAACUGUAGUGGCUGGGGACUGAGGAAUUUGCUGCAGUGGAGUGAAGAGUGGAGAAUUGGGGUGCUGACUUUCCCAAAAGUCAUCAUUCAUUGCUGGUGUGGUACAGCCAAUGUGCACAUCUUCUUCUUCAAUUUCUUCAACGCCAGCCUCUUCAGCAGUAAACUGAGGCAUAGGCGAGGAAACUGUGGGGGUUGAAGGGAUUUUAUCCACAUCAAUUUCUUCAUCCAUCUGCUCUGACGUAGCAGCAGAGGGAUUUUCUUCAUCAGAUCCGCUAGGGAUCACAUAUUCUUCAUCAAAAGGGAUGAUUUCCUUUGAUGGAAUGGAGGAAACUGGAACAGCAUCAAUUGGAUUAGCAAAUGAGCUUGUCAAUUUCUUCAUCUUCUUCGGUGCUGAAGAAUCUGAAGGAGCUGAUGCUUUCCUUUUCUUCACUGCUGCACGCUCUGCAGCCUUGGUCUUCUUCACAUCUGAUGCAGAUGGAAGGAUUGGAGUUGGAGUAGGCGCAGGAGGAGCAGAGGAAUAUGGUUGAUUUUCUUCAGGCACAACUGAUGCAGUUGCCCUGACCUCUUCAUUUUCUUCAGGCGCACCACUGGUGGGUGCCCUGGCAAUUUCUUCAGUGGCUGGAAUGCAGUCAUCAGCCCUGGAACUCACAUUUUCUUCAGCAGCCUGAUUGUCAUCAGCGGUGCUGGCAUGUUCUUCAGUUGGCAGAGCAGAGGCUUCAGCCUGAGGAAUUUCUUGUUGCGAUGGGGCUGCAACAUUUGAGGUGAACAACUUAGUCAGUUUGACAAACCUGACCUUGGCUCCUUUCCAAUCAGCAUAGUAAGCAUUGAAAUCAUCGCUGCGGACUCUGAUUUCAGAUUGGAUCAUCACAAGUUCAUCAGUUGUCAUAGAGACAACGUUGCUUCAAUAAUUUCUCCUUCCUGUACUGAGCUUUCUUGAGCUGUCUGGCCUUCUCAAAUUUCCAUUUUUUUCUUGGAUGAAGGCAGUCAACAUAUGACUUUGACCAGGAGUUAGCUUGAAGUCAGGCAUAGGAGUGUUUGGGUCCUUGUGCCAGAGGUCAAUGUUGUCGAGGAUCAACUUUGGAUGCAAAAGCAGUGGCACAUCUGUGCCCUUGGCUCUAGCGACCCUGACUUGCCUGUCUCUGAUGAUUUCAGCAAGUUCUUCAUCAUCAGCUUCGUCUUCUUCAGACGGGACUUGGAAGGCUACCUGCCUCUUGUGAGGACUUGGGCGAGAGCCUCGUCCAGCAGUGGUCUUUGUCUUCAGCAGAGAUGGUCCUGUUGAAGAAUUUGGUGCAGCUGGGGAACUAGCUGAAGCUCCUGAGGCAAUGGAGAUGCCUGUAGUCCUUUGGCAUGUGGCAAGAUGCACAGGUGCUGAGGAUUUGGGCGGAGCAACUGAGGACUUUGGAGGAGCAGGAGUGGCUUGAGGAAUUGGCCGUGAGGGCUUGGCUGAGGAAAUUGGUCGUGAGGGCAUUGAAGAAGAGGCACUUUGCUUGUGCGCGGGCUUCUUUGCCAUGGAUUUCUUCGGCCUUACAGAGGCCUCAGCAACAGCAGCAGUAGAGUCUUCGUUGAAUUUCCUCACUGCAUCUUUUGCCUGUUUGGCAAACUUGGCCUGGCGCUUGGCCCAUUCUUCAGGAAAAUCCUCACCGCGCUUGAUGCUAGUGGGAUCUGCCUCUUGGCCAGGUGCCAAUGGUGGUCUUGAGCAUGGAGGAGUAACAGCGAAUUUCUUCAUGUAUUUUGGAGUCACAUACCUGUACUCCCUCCACUCUUUUGCCCAUCUCCAUUCUAUCCUCUGAAUGCGCACCUUGCGCUGAUUUUUAUCUUCCUCAGGGGGUGUGCAGUACCCAGCAUAAAUGUCCUCAGGGAUUUCAAAGGCAGUAUUGAUUUCAGGCCUCUUUCCUCCUUUCUGUGGCUUCUUUCCAUCAGCCAUUUUCUUCAGUUGAGGAAUUUGAACAAUUGAACUCUCUGAAGAAGUAUGCAACUUUUCUUCGAGGAACGCUGCAAAUGAGUUAAGUUAAUGAGAACCUAGUGAUUCAGCAGCGGACAUGAGUACCUGUGAACAGAGUAUAGUUGCGAGGAAUUUGGAGAGGUCAUAUGCGUUCUCAGAAGGUUUUUCAAAAAGAACAAGUUUCAGGAAUUUGACCAGUUGAGUCUUGAAGAAUUUCACUAAGCGUUCUUUGUCUUAGGUUCCAAAGUUGUAUAGAUCAAAGAUCCACACAAUUGAGGAAUCUUGAAGAAAAAUGAUGCUUAGGGAAACGAAUCAAGAACAGAUGAGAUGUAAGGUGUUUUGUGUGUGAAAAUUUUGAAGAAUAAACACAUUUGAAGAUUUUGUAGGAAUCAUUUGAAUCAAAAGGGGCAGUAAAAGUAACUUUUAAUUACCCUGAACGAAGAACACGACGAACUGUGAGGUGGAGAAGUGAGGUUUGUCUGUGCAGAUCUUCCACGCCCUAACUCGGCGGAGGAAGACGGCUACAGCGGCGGCGGAGUGAAGAUUUCCGCGGCCGGCGCGAGUACGGCGGCGACGAGGUCGAGGCAGUGAAGCUCUUCCUCACCGGCGACGAUGAAGUAGCGGCGGCGCUAGGGUUUGAGAAGCUUGAGCUGGAGAGAGGUCGAGCGGAGUAAAAGAAGUGAGGAAGGGGAGAGGGGGUAUUUAUAGCCACGGUGAAAAACCUUUCGCCCGAGGAAAUUGGACGAACGUGCCCCUGACCCUUCUCAUUCGCUUGACUUGUGUCACCCACGUACUGAGAAGUGGAGAUCCUGUUAGAUCAUGGGUGAAUAGAUAAGUAUAUCGUGGGAUGCGGAACGGUUUGAGCGGCAAAGCCAAAAAUUUGGAUAAGAUCAGUUAAAAGUUCCGUUCGCAAAUUCUUCAGCUGACAAGGACACAGUGAAGAUUUUGAACGAGUUUCAAAUAGAAUGCACAUGAAGAAUUUGUGAAUAGAUUGGGUUGAGUAUAGCAUAGAGGGGGAAGGGUCCGAUCACAUUCACUUAGCAGAAACACCAACUUGAAGAAUUAGCCAUAAGUGANNNNNNNNNNNNNNNNNNNNNNNNNNNNNNNNNNNNNNNNNNNNNNNNNNNNNNNNNNNNNNNNNNNNNNNNNNNNNNNNNNNNNNNNNNNNNNNNNNNNNNNNNNNNNNNNNNNNNNNNNNNNNNNNNNNNNNNNNNNNNNNNNNNNNNNNNNNNNNNNNNNNNNNNNNNNNNNNNNNNNNNNNNNNNNNNNNNNNNNNNNNNNNNNNNNNNNNNNNNNNNNNNNNNNNNNNNNNNNNNNNNNNNNNNNNNNNNNNNNNNNNNNNNNNNNNNNNNNNNNNNNNNNNNNNNNNNNNNNNNNNNNNNNNNNNNNNNNNNNNNNNNNNNNNNNNNNNNNNNNNNNNNNNNNNNNNNNNNNNNNNNNNNNNNNNNNNNNNNNNAUAUAUAUAUAUAUAUAUAUAUAUAUAUAUAUAUAUAUAUAUAUAUAUAUAUAUAUAUAUAUAGCCAAUGAAGAAAAACGACAGAAACAGUGAAGACAAGGCAAAGUUGAAGAAAAUGAACAACUGAGGAAUUUCAAAAAACUGAGGAAAAACUCAAAUUGAAGAUUUUCAACUUUUGUGGUGGCGUGUCCCACCGUAUAAGAAUGAUGAUUUCAGACACCGCGUACAAUUGUCGUAGGGUUCUGAGAAUCAAAUUCUUCAUUAAUUUCUUCACACUUAGAGUGUUAUUCUUCGUUGAUUGAAGAAAAAUGUUUCUUCAUGUGUUGCACAUCUAAGUCAUCAAUUUUGCAUAAGUGUUAGGAUGAGUGUCCUUUUCAAAGAACAUUCGAAGAUUCUAGGAUAUUUAGCUCACACCGCAACUUGCUAAAUCUCUUCUCAUCCAAGGGCUUUGUGAAGAUAUCGGCUAGCUGUUCUUCAGUCUUCACAUGCUCAAUAGAAAUUUCGACCUUCAACACAUGAUCGCGAAGAAAAUGAUGACGAAUCUGAAUGUGCUUUGUCUUCGAGUGUUGAACUGGGUUGUGAGCAAUCUUGAUGGCACUCUCAUUGUCACAGAAGAUAGGCACAUUCUUCACGUUGACUCCGUAGUCCUUGAGUGUUUGCUUCAUCCACAGCAAUUGAGCACAGCAAGAGCCAGCAGCAAUGUACUCAGCUUCAGCAGUAGACAGUGAUACGCAGUUCUGUUUCUUCGAGGACCAACAGACCAAAGAUCGUCCGAGGAAAUGACAUGUACCAGAUGUUGACUUGCGGUCCACACGAUCACCAGCAUAGUCAGAGUCAGAAUAUCCAAUGAGAUCAAAAGCCGAGCCCUUGGGGUACCAUAAUCCUAGUGUUGGUGUGUGAGCUAGAUAUCGAAGAAUAUGCUUCAUAGCCUUAUGGUGUGAUUCCUUCGGUGUAGCUUGAAAUCGGGCACACAUGCAAACACUAAGCAUUAUAUCUGGCCUAGAUGCACAUAAAUACAAUAAAGAACCAAUCAUGGAGCGGUAUACCUUUUGAUCAAAGUCAAUACCAUUUUCAUCAGUGCACAGAUGGCCAUUUGUGGGCAUAGGAAUUUUGACGCCUUUGCAAUCUUGCAUGCCGAAUUUCCUCAGUACAUCCUUGAGGUAUUUCUCCUGAGAUAUGAAUAUGCCAUUGCGCUGUUGACGAAUUUGAAGACCUAAGAAGAAUUUCAACUCUCCCAUCAUAGACAUUUGAUAUUCUUCACUCAUCAUAUAGGCAAAUUCAUCACUAUAACGUUGGUCAGUACAGCCAAAGAUGAUAUCAUCAACAUAUAUUUGACACACAAACAAUUCAUCAUCAUAUGAUUUAGUGAAAAGAGUAGGGUCGAGUGAACCAGGUUUGAAGCAUUUCUUCAUGAGGAAUUCCUUCAAAGUAUCAUACCACGCCCGAGAGGCUUGCUUGAGGCCAUAGAGGGCCUUAUUUAGUCUGAAGACUUUUUCAGGAUGCUUAGGAUCUUCAAAACUUGGGGGUUGAGCAACAUAUACUUCUUCCUCAAGCUUACCAUUGAGGAAUGCACUUUUCACAUCCAUUUGAUAUAAAGUGAUAUCAUGAUGGUUAGCACAAGUAAAUAAUAUUCGAAUAGCUUCAAGUCUAGCAACAGGUGCAAAAGUUUCAUCGAAAUCAAUUCCUUCAACCUGUGUGUAGCCUUGAGCUACUAGCCGUGCCUUAUUCCUCACCACAAGGCCAUUUUCAUCUUGCUUAUUGCGGUAGAUCCAGUUUGUGCCAAUGAUAUUGUGUUUGCGAGGAUCUGGACGAUUGACCAGUUCCCAAACGUUGUUGAGCUCGAACUGAUGUAAUUCUUCUUGCAUGGCCUGAAUCCACUCAGGCUCCAGAAAUGCUUCAUCUACCUUAGUGGGCUCUGUGAUAGAGACAAAAGCAUAGUGCCCACAAAAGUUAGAUAAAUGUGAAGCUUUUGAGCGUGUGAGAGGACCUGGUGCUUCAAUGUCAUCGAUGAUCUUUUCAACUUGCACUUCUUUUGCAACGCGAGGAUGAGUUGGUUGUCGUCGAGGAAUUUGAUCAGCAUUUUCUUCAGCACCAUUUUCUUCAGCAUUUUCUUCAGGUGCAUUAGCUCGACGUUCUUCACGUUCUGGAAUGAAUUCUUCAGCAGAUUCUUCGGUAGGAAUGACAUCCUCAGUAGCCUUGAACUUGAUAGUUUCCUCAGGUGCUGGUUCAUCUAUCACAGAGGGUAGGUGCUCUCUUUGCGAGCCAUUAGUUUCACCGAACCGCACAUCUAUAGUUUCGACAACCUUGUGAAGAACGUUGUUGAAGACUCUGUAGGUGUGCGAGUCCUUUCCGUAACCAAGCAUAAAGCCUUCAUGUGCUUUUGGUGCAAAGUUAGCAUUGUGAUGAGGAUCUCUAAUCCAACAUUUAGCACCGAAGAUUUUGAAAUAACUCACAUUGGGUUUCUUGUCAGUGAGGAGUUCAUAGGCAGUCUUCUUGAAGAAUCUGUGAAGAUAUACCCUGUUGAUGAUGUGGCACGGAGUAUAAAUUGCCUCAAUCCAGAAGUGACGAAGUGUCUUGUACUCAUCAAGCAUAGUGCGAGCCAUCUCAACAAGAGUUCUGUUCUUGCGCUCCACGACGCCAUUCUGCUGAGGAGUAUAAGGAGCAAAUAACUCAUGAGUAAUACCAAGUUCAUCAAGAUAGUCAUCAAGACCAGAAUUCUUGAACUCAGUUCCAUUGUCACUUCUAAUGUGCUUGAUCUUCACACCAAAGUUGGUUGAAGCCCUCGAGGAAAAUCGUUUGAAGACUUCCUGCACUUCAUGUUUGUAAGUAACAAUGUGUACCCAUGUGUAACGAGAGUAAUCAUCAACAAUAACAAGGCCAUAGAGAGAUGCGUCAUUUGUGACAGCUGAGUAAUGGUUAGGACCAAAGAGGUCCAUGUGAAGCAAUUCGAAUGGUCGAGUAGUGGUCAUGAUAGUCUUCGUUGGAUGCUUAGCCUUGGUCAUCUUUCCAGCUUCACAAGCUCCACACAAGUGAUCCUUGAGGAAUUUUACAUUCUCAAUGCCAAUGACAUGCUUCUUCUUCACAAGCGUGUGCAAAUUCCUCAUGCUUGCAUGACCAAGUCGUCGAUGCCAUAGCCACCCUUCUGAGGCUUUUGCAAGUAGGCACAUGGCUAGUUGCGGUCCUGUAGAGAAAUCAACAAUAUACAAGUCUCCUCCCCUAAAGCCUUCGAAGACUUUGGAAUUGUCAGUUUCCAUAACCACAACACAACGAUACUUGCCAAAGACAAAUACCAUAUCAAGAUCACAAAGCAUUGAGACAGACAUAAGAUUGUAUCCUAAGGACUCGACAAGCAUGAUUUUGUCCAUGUGUCGAUCCUUUGUGAUCGCAACCUUACCUAGACCCAAUACCUAACUUUUGCCUUUGUCAGCGAAGAUGAUAUGCUUCAGAUGCGAUGGUGACAAAGGUGCAUCCAUCAAUAGAUUCUUGUCACCAGUCAUGUGAUUUGUACAUCCACUAUCGAGGACCCACUCAGUGGCUUUGGGUUGAUCAUCCUGCAGAUGAAUUAGUGCAGCUUACGAACUUCAUAUACUUCAUCAGUGAAGAAUAUGACAUCACAUUUCAUCAGACGAAUUUCAUGAAGCAAUACAACAGUUAAAACAGUAUGAGGACGUGAGAAAUGAAAGUUCAUUUCUUCAUGAUUAGCCUGCUUCCGUUCAGGCAUUCUUCAGGUCUCCAGCAAAUUCUUCAGACGUUUAAGUACGUCUAGAGACCUGACCCUGCAGAAGAGAUUAGUUCUUUUACUUCACCACCCUCAUCUGAAGGGGUGGCAAAGAGUUCAUCACUCUGCGAGCUCCAUACGAGAAAGGUGGCAUAGAAGCCAAUCCAUUUCAUUUCACAAAAGAGGAGUUAGGGUAAGCAUAUGAAUAAGCACAGAAAUUCUUCGAGGACUUAUGAACAUAAUGAUUAGAAGAAUAAUGCUCAUAUUCAUAGCCCUUGGCUCUUCCCUGCGAAACAGAGUUGUUAGCACGAUGAUGUUCAUAUGAGGACUUUGAUCCUUUUGAGGAAUUUGAUCCAUGUGAGGAAUUUGGUCCGUAUGAGGACUUGGAUCCAUAUGAAGAAUUUGGUCCAUAUGAAGAAUUUGAUCUGGGGUCCUUAUUCUUCACAGGUGGGGUCAUGAGGACAUUCACCUGAAGACUUUCAAGGCACCUUUUGGGAACCCAGAUUUUCUUCAUAGGAGAACCGUUCCUGCAGUUAGUGCCAACAUAUCUAGCAAAUACUUCACCAUUCUGAUUUUUGAACAGUUUAUAGUUGGAGUCAAAUGACUCAUCAAAAGAAUGAGAAGAUUCACAUGUAAACCCAGAUAAAUUAGACGGAUCAAGUGGAGGCCCCUUUGUAGCAACCCAUGAGGUUUUGGGGUACUGCUCAUGCUUCCAAUAUGUACCAUCAGCAUUGAGUUUCCUAUCAAAGGCAAUACCCUCUUUCCUAGGGUUCCUGUUGAGGAUAUCACAAAGAGUCUGAUGUGUACAUGCCUGUCAUGUACAAUUCCUUCAGCCCUGCAUCGUCAGUGAUACUAGCAAUGUCCUCAGAUGAGGAAUUAGUGAUAGCAGAGAUAGUUGAGGAAUUUGUAGCAUUAGAAGCAUUUGAACAUUCAGGUGAAGAAUUAGCAGAUUCACGUUCAAUGCAUUUCAAACAUGGAGGAACAAAUUUUUCCUAAGCAGCGCUGAUUUUUUGAGCAAGUAAUGAAUCGCGCUCCUUCUGAAGAUCUUCAUAACUCACUCUUAGCUUUUCAAGAUCUUGCUUUCUUUGAAGAAAUUCAUAAGAAAGCUUCUCAUGAUCAGACAAGAGAGUGUUAUGAUGACCUUGAAUGUUGUCAAACCUCGUCUGAAGUCUCUGAAGAUUUUCAGUCAAGGUUUUAGUGUGAUCCAUUUCUUCACCCAACAUAUCAUCACUUUUGUCUAGCAUGUUUUGAACCUUUUCAAGGGCCCUUUGUUGUUUCACAGCAAUCUUAGCAAGUUUAGAAUAGCUGGGCUUAAGGUUUUCAUCAGAUUCAUUCUCACUUGAUUCAGAGGAGGUAUAUUUGAGUACCUUGGCACCCUUUGCCAUGAAGCAAUAGGUGGGAGCAUAGUCAUCAUUGCCUUCUCCAGCCUUGUUGGUGAGGUCAUUUUCUUCAGUGUUGAAGAUAGACUUGCUGACAAAUGCAGUAGCGAGGGCUAGGCUCGCCACACCGGAUUUGGAAUCCUCAGAUGCCUCCUCUUCCUCAUUUUCUUCAGAUUCAGCCUCGGAGUCCAUUUCCUUGCCAAUGAAUGCCCGAGCCUUCUUGGAGAUGCUCUUCUUGUGAGAUGAAGACUUUGAGGAUUUUGAUGAUGAGGAUUUUGAGGAUUUCUUCUUUUUCUUCGCAUCAUUAGAACUGUAAUCCUUGUAUUUCUUCUUCUUUGAUUCCUUUUCCCACUGAGGACAAUCUUGAAUGGUGUGUCCUGGUUUCUUGCAUUUGUGACAAAGCCUCUUCUUGUAGUCACUGGAUGAGGAAUCAUUGCUCCUUGAGGGUCUUCCAAAGCGACCACGUCUUGAGAACUUCUAGAAUUUCUUCACGAGCAGUGCUAGAUCAUUGCUCAGUUCUUCAGGGUCACCAAGGCUGCUGUCAGAGUCUUCAUCCUCAGACUCAGAAACUGUCUUGGCCUUCAGUGCACGUGAUUUGCCAUAGCUCAAACCAUAUAGAUCUCUCUUUUCAGCAAGCUGGAACUCAUGAGUGUAGCCUUUCGAGGAUAUCAGCGGGGUCAAGUGACUUGUAAUCAGCACGUUCUUGUAUCAUCAAUGCCAGAGUAUCAAAUGAAGAAUCAAGCGAUCUCAACAAUUUCUUCACCACCUCAUGGUCGGUGAUGUCAGUGGCACCAAGUGCUUGAAGCUCAUUUGAGAUGUCAGUGAGGCGAUCGAAGGUUUGUUGAACAUUUUCAUUGUCGAGUCUUUUGAAGCGGUUGAAGAGAUUGCGAAGAACAUCAACUCGAGAGUCACGCUGAGUUGAGACUCCUUCAUUCACUUUGGAUAGCCUAUCCCAGAUAAGCUUAGAAGUUUCCAAAGCACUCACUCUUCCCUACUGUCCUUUGCUCAGAUGGCCACGUAUGAUAUUCUUCGCUUGAGAAUCGAGUUGCUUGAAUCUCUUCACAUCGGUAGCGUUCAGUGAGGGUGAGACAGAGGGAACACCACUUUCCACAACAUACCAGAGAUCGUUAUCAAUUGCCUCAAGAUGCAUUCGCAUCUUAUUCUUCCAGUAGGGGUAGUCCAUCCCAUCAAAGGUAGGACACCCAGCACAGACCUUGAUCAUACAUGCGGUCGACAUAACUAAAACUCCAGGCGGUUAAACCAAAAUCUCACAGAACAAGGGAGUACCUUGCUCUGAUACCAAUUGAAAGUGCGUUAUAUCUACUAGAGGGGGGUGAAUAGGCGAUUUUUAUGAAUUGUUCAUUGAGGAAUUUGUGGGUGAGGAAAUUCCUUAGCAAAGAACUACUUGCAGCGGAAUAAGUACUCAGAAGUAAACAUAACAGAAUACAAGCAUGGUCAUCAUGAUGAAAUAAAGACAAGCACAGAGUACAGAAAGCGUAAACACAGGAUAACAGAAGAUGAAGACAAACAGACUGAAGAAAUUGAACUGAGGAAAUUUGAGAAAGUCUUCAGUCAAAGUCUUCAAACACAGAUAUGACAAGCACACAACAUAGUAAUGAGGAAAAGAAAGAGUUGAGGAAAUAGAACCAGUAAGCUCGGUGAAGACAAUUAUUUGGUAGACCAGUUCCAACUGUUGUCUCAGUUGUACAUCUGGUUGGAGCGGCUAGGUAUUUCAACCUGAGGACACACAGUCCCGGACACCCAGUCCUGAACACACAGUCCAGGACACCUAGUCCUCACCGUAUUCUCCUUGAGCUAAGGUCACACAGACCUCGCCCAAUCACUCGUGGUAAGUCUUCAGGUGACUUCCGAACCUUCACAAACUCGGUCACUCGGCGAUCCACAAUUCCUCUUGGAUGCUCUAGACCAUGACGCCUAACCGUCUGGAAGAAGCACAGUCUUCAAAGGUAACAAGCGUCGGAUCCACGCAGGAUCAAUCUCUUCAGUGAUGCUCAAUCACUUUGGGUUUGUAGGUGUUUGGGUUUGGAUUUUUCCUCACUUGAUGAUUUUCGCUCUAAGUCCUCGGAGGAUGGGAUGCUCUCAAUUGACAAGUGUCAGUUUCUCUCGGAGCAGCCAACCAGCUAGUGGUUGUAGGGGCGGCUAUUUGUGGCCUAGGGAGCAGCCCGACAUGAUAAGACAUAAAUGCCCUUCAAUGAUAUGACCGUUAGGUGGGUAGAUAUUUUGGGACAGCUAGCGCAUAGCACAGCAACGGUCGGAAAUUUGAGUAUCAAAUUCCUAAAGGCUAUCAUGUUCCUCACUGUGUAGGCAAUCCGCACUGGCGAAUUCCUAACUCCUCAGUCAGAACAAAUUCCUCAGAGACCAGAAGAACUUCGUCUUUGUCACUGAAGAAUAUGACUGGACUGUAUGAGAUUUCCAAUGGCUUCACUCGAAGGGAUUGGUAGGUGUAGGAUUUUGAGUUCAGCAUCACAUGGAAAUUUUUCCUUAGUAUUUCCUCGACCCCCUUUAACAGUACGGUGUUUCCUAUGACUCAAGAAAGAGAAAAUGAAACUAUGAAAACAAAAGUCUUCACGCUUCAUGUUCCUCAAAUGAAUACCAAGUCUUCAAGGUCACACCAAUUUCUUCACUUUCAAAGUCUUCAGAAAGUCUUCAGAAAUCCCAAGUCUUUAGUCGAAGAACUUCAUUUUUAGGGGUCGACUUUCUCUGUAAAUAUCAAACUCCUCAUAGACGUAUGGACCUGUGUACACUCAUAAACACAUUAGUCCCUUAACCUAUAAGUCUUCAAUACACCAAAAUCACUAAGGGGCACUAGAUGCACUUACACUUCGUGCCAUGUCCGGGUGGGACUCUCCUUGGCAUGGAAGGCAAUCUUGGCAAUACGGAUAUGUUGAUCUCCUCCCUUGUAACCGACUCUGUGUAACCAUAGCCCCCUCUGGUGUCUAUAUAAACCGGAGGGUUUAGUCCGUAGGACAAUAACAAUCAUACCAUAGGCUAGCUUCUAGGGUUUAGCCUGUACGAUCUCGUGGUAGAUCAACUCUUGUAAUACUCAUAUCAUCAAGAUCAAUCAAGCAGGACCAUGAGGGUGGAUGCUUCGUCGUCGCCCCCCACUCCCUCCCCGUCCAGGUGGGAGCUUCACCAGGCACGCGUUGAUGUGGAUUUAGCCCGCGUCGGCUCUUCCUUACAGUAGCAGGUGGAGGAGAAAAAAAAGGAAGGAAGAAGAUGAGGAGGGGGACGAGUGGAGGAGAAGGAGCCGGAAGGGAUAAGGUGGGGAGGAAAAAGCGAUGGACUGAGGGGGCGCGUGGCGUGCGUACGAGGCGGCUUACCGAGAUAGAAAAUCAUCCGGUUUAAACUAAAUGUUUUCCAAUCUCUUCCAAAGGGGCAAGGUGAUACAACCAGCUGAGCAUAUUUUGAACAAUUUUUUUAAAACCCCGAACAUAUUUUCAAAUUUUUGAACAAUUUUGAAUUCUAAACACUGUUAAAGUUUGCACAUUUUGAAAAAAGAAACAGAAAAAAGGAAAGAAAAUAAAAAGAAGAAAGAAACAGAAAAGAUAAAGGCGAAAACGAAAAUAAAAAAGAAACAGAAAAGAAUAAAACUUAAAAAACCUAAAUGAAAAUCAGCCACAAAAAACAACAGGAAAAAAGAAAAACCUAUUCAGGGAUCCCUCGCCAACGAUCGAUUGAGCCAGCUUGCAUCUCGUGUGUGCCACACAGAGGCUCAAUAUCUUAUUGGCGUCCGAGCUACCUACCCGAUCCGCAAAACCUUGUUGUUAAACCUCAUGUAUUUGUGUACGACUACCUUGUACACUAGAGUAUAACAGAGCGUGCGUGUGUGCAGUUUUGUCAAUCAGCACACACGACCGCCUCCUCCGAACAUGGCCCGGCCACGAUCACCAUCGUGGGCUCGCGCCCUCUGUUCCCCACUAUAUAAAUGUAACCAUCCUGAUCAAUACAAAGCGUGUUCGAUCUUCUCUCCCUCAAAGACAUGUGUGCCAUGAUCUAAGAGAUUUUGUUUCGGUACUCCGAUCAUUUUUACUCCGCGUAUUAUAUUUGUGUCAAGUCAAAAUUGUAAAGUUUGAUUAAAUUAACAUUAAAAAAUAUCAACAUCUACAGUACCAAAUUUAUGUACAAUGAAACUGCAUUUCAUAAUGAAUCUAACAAUAUUAAUUGCAAUUGUGAAUGUUGAUAUUUGUUUCUAUAAGUUUGGUCCAAAUAUAGCUAAUUUGACUUCGGAUAAAACUUAUAUGUGAACUAAAAAUGACCGGAGGGUGUUUUUUUUUGGACGUAAUGCCGUCAUGCGUGGUAAACUGGAGGACACAGCAGCGGCAAACAAUAGUUUCGGGCCGUGGUCAAUCAUUAACUGGGCCAAGGUACAAGAUUUAGUGGGCCGAGCCCCAUAAAAUCUAACAACCCCCACUAGGUCUCAUAGGCAAAUUGGAUUACAUUGUUCCAAUUGUAUUGUUUGAUAUGCCUGCAAUUCAGUGGAGACCUAUUAAAAUUGAGCUUCACCUAGACAAGCAGCUACAUUUGUCCACAACUGAAGAAUGGACUAUGCCUUGAUUAUUAGUCUUGCGUGAACAAGUUUUACUGAAUGUCAUUAUUUUUUUUGAGACAAUCUCGCGAAGCUUUAUUUAAACUGCAUCAAUGUUUACAGAGAUAAAAGAUAAGUUGCUGGGGUGUCCUAACCAAACAUGGCGGCCCACCCCCUAACUUCAAAACGUGCUUCGCUAGAUUGUGAGUUUCGAAAUUCGAGCUCCUAAACUCAUGCUCAAUGUUACAAACCGCAAAUGAGGCUUUAUGCUCCGUGAUUUCAUGUAGAAUAGCACCAUAGCUAGUAGGGUUCCUUCGCUUGAGAUCAUCAAUUACAACCUUACAGUCCGAAGCAAGGUGAACAUGUUGCACAUUUAGAUCAUCCGCAAGUGCAAGCCCUUCCCUUAUAGCAAGGGAAUCCAACGUUGGAGGGUCGCUCAGCCCCCUGAUCACAAUUGCUGAUGCACCCUGGAAACAACCAUUGUGGUCGCGGCAGAUAGCAGCCGCCACCCCUCUGCCACGUGCGACCGCGGCAUCCACAUUUAUCUUGGUGCAACCAUCCAUGGGAGGAAGCCAGCGAGUUGGUCGUGCAGCAGUUUGUUGCCUUCUCUCUGGCCUUGGCUCCUGUAUGAUUUUAAGAUCCCUCAAGUAGGAUUUGAUGAACUGGUUUGUGGCUUGGGAGCUCUGAAAGACGUCCUCAUAGAUCGCUUUACGUCUUGCUCGCCAAAUGGCCCAUAGGGUCACCACUAAAACAUUAUACUCCUCCUGGCUCAGUGUAUCAUGCAGAUUAAAAAGCCAGUUUCUUGCGUUGGUCUCAUCAUUCAGGCUUAUUUGUUCUACCAGAUAUUGAUCAGAAAGUGCCCAGAUGCACCGUGAGUUUGUAUUCCAGAAGAGCGUGUCUCCAAGAAUCAUCUCGCCCGCACAGCGCACAUGUUCUCGUUGUGGACAUAUUUCGGUGGUGGAGGAGGUCUGCUGUAGGCAUCGGGUGCCUUGCUAAGCGCUAGAGAAAAACCUUCAGCUUAGAUGGUACCUUUGUGUGCCAUAAUUCAGUCCAUGCUAUACUGUUAUCCCGAAGAUCAGAGGCACCUGCAUUCUCUUCCAUCCAGUUCUCCCUAUGCUCCUUUUUGUUUUGCACCAAGUGAUAGGGCGACUUUACCGUGAAUCUGCCACUGCGCUCUCCAGUCCAAGCCCAGAAAUCCUCGAUCGCCCUGUGCAAAAGGGCGGGGAAAGAAUCGCUUCAGCAUCGAAAGGCAGAAAUGUUGCCCGAAUAACAUCUUCGCGCAGGUCACUGUGGUGUUGUCAAUCAGUUCCGCAACCCUAGACGGCGGAGUAUCCGUUAACGAGAUGAUCGGCCGCAUCGGCCCAAUCCUGGGAAUCCAGUUUGUGUUCCAAAUGUCUGUGGUUGCCCCAUUCCCUAUUCUCCUGAUGAUGCCCUGCUUCGAUAUCUCUCUACCAUCCAAUACCGCUCGCCAAAUCUGCGAAGGGUUGCUACCCAACUCUGCUUCCAUGAAAGUCGUAUUUGGGUAGUAGGCCGCUUUAAGCAUUCUUGCACUGAGAGAUAGUGGAUCAUCGAGCAGCCUCCACGCUUGCCGAGCCAACAAGGACAAUUUAAAGAUCUCGAUGUCUCUAAAGCCCAUUCCUCCCAAGUAUUUCGGUUUUUUCAUAACAUCCCAGGAGACCCAAGCGGGCUUUCUCUUACCCCUUUUACUACCCCACCAAAAUUGGUGGAUGAUAGCAUUGAUGUUGUCGCACAAGCCUCGGGGUAAUCUGAAACAAGCCAUGGAGUAAACCGAAAUAGCUUGUGCCACCGAUUUUAUUAGCACUUCCUUCCCUGCUGCAGAUAACAAUUUCUCCAUCCAACCUCUUACUUUUUCCCAACCUCUAUCGCGCAGGUACUUGAACGUGCCCAUCUUGGACUGUCCAGCAUCUGUAGGCAUGCCCAAAUAUCGAUCACUUAAAGACUCAUUCUGGACAUUCAAGUUCUGCUUGAUACUAUCUCGUAGAGCUUGCGGACACCCGUUUCUAAAAAAUAUGGACGAUUUUGCAUGGUUGAUUCUCUGACCGGAAGCAUUACAAUAGGUUUCCAGAAGGUUUGAAACCCUAGUCGCACCUUGAUCACUUGCCUUGAAAAGCAGCAGGCUGUCGUCAGCAAACAAAAGAUGAUUAAUAGGCCGUGCAGACGCUGCCACCUUAAUACCCUCAAACCCUGACGAAUUAGAAGUUGUCUUUAAAAGGCACGAAAGGCCCUCUGGUGCAAUCAAGAAAAGGUAAGGAGAGAUAGGAUCUCCCUGUCGUAUACCUCUGCUUGGUAAAAAUUCUUGUAACUUUUCUCCAUUAAAAAGAACUGAAAAAGAGACUGACUGAACCAUACCCAUGAAUGUCUACACCCAAGAUUGUGCAAAACCCAGUUUCUCCAUCAUUGCUUGUAGGUAAGGCCACUCUAGCCUAUCAUAUGCUUUCAUCAUAUCAAGCUUCAAAGCACAAAAGGUAUUAGAUUUAGCUCUGCUUCUCUUCAUAAAAUGCAGACACUCGUAGGCACAGAUGAUGUUGUCAGUUAUCAGUCUGCCAGGAACAAACGCAGACUGUUCCUCAGAUAUGAUGCAUGGAAGGAUCACUUUUAGCCUGUUUGACACAACUUUCGAAGCAAUUUUAUAGAUUACAUUACAUAAACUUAUUGGCCGAAACUGAGAGAGUUGAGUUGGAUUGAGAACCUUUGGGAUGAGUACCAGAACGGUGUCAUUGAUACACGCAGCCUCCUCCUCCCCUCUCACAAUUCUCAGAACUGCCUUUGUCACUUCCUCUCCACAAAUAUCUCAAUGCCGCUGAUAAAAAUGUGCUGGGAAACCAUCCGGGCCUGGGGCCUUAGUUGGCAUCAUCUGGAACAGUGCUGUUUUUACUUCCUCUGUUGUAUACGGUGCUAGAAGCAUAGCAUUCAUCUCAUUAGAAACCUUCCUGGGUACAUGUGACAGCACUUGUUCCAUACCUGACACCCCUUCCGAAGUAUAGAGAUUUUUAUAAAACUCUGUUACCAUAUUUCUGAGCUCUGAGUGAUCCUCGGUUAGUGUAACAUCCCAAAAUUCUAAAUUUUGGAAUGUUAUAUUAAAUAGAUAGAUUUGAUUGAUUGUUUGGUUGUUGUGUGAUUGAUUGACUGAAAGUGAGUGAAAUUCGAAACUUUUGAAAGUUAAAUGAGAGGGAAUAAAAGGACUUUCCCACACUUUCAUUUUUGCUUUUAUGAUCUCCGUAAAUUCAAAUUCUUUUCACCACAAAACCCUAGAGAGAAGAUGACAUGACUUCUUCCAUUUAUUUAAAUGACAAGGGGGUGUUGAAAAUAUUUGAAUUUUAUUUGAGAAUAUUCCCAAUUCAGAAACUUUAUGCAACUCAAUGAUUUUCACGAGAGAAGAUAAAAUGACUUCUUCAUAAUAUAUGAAAUAUGAGUUGGGAGUUUCAAAGGAUCAAAUUCAAAGUCCUUUUGGGAAUUAUUUUUAAUUUGGAGUUAUUUGGGUUUUAUUCAAAUUAUUUUUCUCCAAAAAUAAAAUAUAUGGAAAAUAGGGUAACAUGAUUCCCUACAUCAGAAAAUUGGAGAGAAAUAAAUUUGAAAUCAUUUUGGUAUUUUUAAAAUGAUUUUUACUGCAUUUUAUUAGAACAGUAGCACUCUUUGCUUUAUUUAAAUUUGUGUGAAUUUUAUUUGGCGUUGUAAAAAUGUUCAUGUUGUAGAAAAUCUUUUUCUGAAAAUUUUGAUAUAUUAUACGCCUAUAUAAUAUUUUUUUUAUUUCCUUUGUUUUAUUUAUUUUGUUUGUCUGUGUUUUUUUAAUAAAAAAAAAGAACUUUUCCCCGCGGACCGAACUGGGCCGGCCCAGCUCCCAGCCAAGCCACGGCCCAGCCGGCCCACCGCCUCGUCUUCCAGCUUGGGACGGAGUCCCGAGCGAGCACGCAUCGCCGCCGCCGUGCCCGACCCGGCCUCGCCCGCGCUUGGCCCCUCCUCCACGCCACCGCCUUCCCCCUCCUCCUAUAAAUCCCGCAGCCCCGACCCCCUCUCCACUCCUCCCGUUUUCGCCGCCGCCGCUGCACACAACUGCCGCCGCCCGACAAGAUCCGCCGCCGCCGCCUCCUCNNNNNNNNNNNNNNNNNNNNNNNNNNNNNNNNNNNNNNNNNNNNNNNNNNNNNNNNNNNNNNNNNNNNNNNNNNNNNNNNNNNNNNNNNNNNNNNNNNNNNNNNNNNNNNNNNNNNNNNNNNNNNNNNNNNNNNNNNNNNNNNNNNNNNNNNNNNNNNNNNNNNNNNNNNNNNNNNNNNNNNNNNNNNNNNNNNNNNNNNNNNNNNNNNNNNNNNNNNNNNNNNNNNNNNNNNNNNNNNNNNNNNNNNNNNNNNNNNNNNNNNNNNNNNNNNNNNNNNNNNNNNNNNNNNNNNNNNNNNNNNNNNNNNNNNNNNNNNNNNNNNNNNNNNNNNNNNNNNNNNNNNNNNNNNNNNNNNNNNNNNNNNNNNNNNNNNNNNNNNNNNNNNNNNNNNNNNNNNNNNNNNNNNNNNNNNNNNNNNNNNNNNNNNNNNNNNNNNNNNNNNNNNNNNNNNNNNNNNNNNNNNNNNNNNNNNNNNNNNNNNNNNNNNNNNNNNNNNNNNNNNNNNNNNNNNNNNNNNNNNNNNNNNNNNNNNNNNNNNNNNNNNNNNNNNNNNNNNNNNNNNNNNNNNNNNNNNNNNNNNNNNNNNNNNNNNNNNNNNNNNNNNNNNNNNNNNNNNNNNNNNNNNNNNNNNNNNNNNNNNNGGAGACGCCCGCCCCACCGCCGGAGUUGACCGAACCGGUAAGACCGCUGUCGACCGGUCCAGAUCGGUUUUUUUUUAAAACCGUUUUAUUUCAUUAUGCAGCGGAUGUUUUCCGUUUAGAUCUCCUUAGCGAACGGUUUUGUUAGUAAGCGUUCGGCAGCGAACGUUCGCUCGGUAGAGUUUUUCUUUUCUUUUCUUUUCUUUUUAAUUUCGGCCAGGGGCUUAUCCGUGAAUAUUUUAUUUACAUAUUAGUCCCUAAUCUUCAAACGGCUACAACUUUUUGCUCGUUUGUCCAAAUCCAACGAAACCAACGCCCACGUCUUCGUUAUGAUCCCCUCUAUCCAGUAAAUCCAACUCAAACAUGUUUUUGAAAGUUUAAAAUUUGAAUUAGACCAGAUUUGAAUUCAAACUUCGUUUGAUCGUAACUUGAGUUUCGUAGCUCCGAUUUAGUUGAUUCUUUUUGCAAAUCGAAGCUCUUGACCUAAACUUUCUGAUAAGGCCAAAUUCAUAUAAUUUUGGUACUGUUAGAAAUUGUUUUAUGUUGCAAGAGUUAUUUGCUUGGUUUUGAUGUUUUCCGAAUCGUCGUUUUCGUUCUUCCCGAUCUUUUGAGUGAUUGCUUAUGUAUGGUUACCAUUGCUUGCUUACGAUAGAUUGACCAGAGUGUGACGAGUAGAACUAUCAAGAGUUUUGAGUGCGAAUCAUCUUCAUCAACAUUGUAGGCAAGUAACACUUUGAUCAUAUCCCCCUUACUACCCAGUUUUAUUGCAUUAGAUCAAUCCUCAAACAUUGCACGGUUAGGAUCUAAUUAAACUGUGGGAAUUGGGAAGUAGAUGAGGUAGUACCUAUCACCUGUUUCAUUAUCAAACCCUUGGGAGUUACUUCUACGUUGCUUAUAUUGCUAUGCUAUGCUUGUAGACGUGGAUUGGGUUUGAGAGAUAUUCACGACAGAUGUGAGAUUGUUAAUUAAUGGUUUACUUAAGGUGGCAACUAAAACUCACAUCUGGGUGGAUUGAGGUACCUGGGUAUUCCAGGAUUGCCUGUUUUUCUUUUGGACCGCCACCCAGGUUCAAAGGAAUCAUGAGAUUAUUCAUGCUAGAAACUUCCGUGUGCAGCCACAAGCUAUUAUGGGCUCUAGCAUAGUUGAUUAAGUCGUGUGAACUCUUACAGUGGUAGACUAGCAGAUGUAGGGGAUGUAGGUGGUACGGUCUACCCAUCGUAAGGUGCUAACGCUUCUGAAAGACUAUGUCUCGAUCAUCCAUUACUCAAACACCAUGUAGUGCGAGUAAUCCAACGGAGGCGGUCGAGUCUUGUGGGGAAAAGUGCACAAACCUCUGCAGAGUGUAUAAACUAAUCAUGGUUAGCCGUGUCCCCGGUUAUGGACAACUUGAGUAUCUAGUACUUGGAUUAUCAUGUUGAUCUCAUCAUGUUACUUUAAUUAAUCUUGUUGGGUUAAUGAUGAUACUUAAUUGGGACUGAGAUGAUGUCAACCAUUUCAAUGUUUCACAACCACCAUGAUAGUUAAAUAAAAUUUAUUCCUUUGUAGUAGGGAAAAAUUGGCUUUUCACAAAAACAUUAUAACCAUAGAGAUUUUCCACCAGCCAUAUAUGCAUGUAGUGAUAGCCCUUGUUCAUCAUUUCUCUAUGGUGUUAAUUUGCCAGCAUAUUCCAUGUGCGGACCCGUUUUCGGGCUGCAACGUUUCAUGUUGCAGGAUUCUUACGACGAGUAAGUGAUACGUUAGGGUUACGAUUUCUACACUCAACUUUGCCGUUGGUGUUGAUGGGAAUCCACAACCUUGUUACUUUCGCUAUUUGGAUUGAGGUAAUAGUAUUUACGUUACUUUAUACAUGUGAUUUACCUAUGUUAUAAAUCCUCGAGUAUUGUGUGUGUCAGCAUACCGAUCCAGGGAUGACACUUAAGCACAAAGACUUGACCGUCUGAGGUCGGGUCGCUACAGUUAGCACCCCCCAACGAGUUCAUAAGUGCCUUAAUCAUGUUUUUCUUUCUCCGUUGGCUGGCGCGAAGAUGAAAGAAACGUGUAUUUCUGUCUCCCGCCGUGAGCCACUCUAGCCUUGAUUGCUGUCUCCACAUGAGUUCCUCUCUGUGAUACAACUCUACCAAGUUCUCGCUGAUCUUUAGUUCAAUACGAGAAGGUGCAGUCCUUGCAGGGUCAUUUCGAAGUCGUUCGAGCUCAAGCUUUAGUUUUCUGAUUUCUUUCUUGACCGAACCGAAAGUGGUCUUGUUCCACCUCCCUAGAUCCCGCGCUACAUGCUCCAGCUUGGCCCUCAAGCCCGCCAUUACCGCUGCUUGGCCUCCUUCUGUCCAGCGCGACAGAAUAGUUCCAGACCAUGAUUCAUAAGUUUCCCACAUAACUUCAUACUUGAACUCUCUCCUUCUGUUGGGUGGACGUGUCCCUUGGUAGUUCAGAAUAAUGGGGCAGUGAACGGAUGUUGCUGCUGUUAGAUGCUUGAUGUGAGCUCUGGGAACAUCUCGUUCCACUCCACAGUGGUUAAUGCCCGAUCUAGCCGGACCCUGGUGUAACUGCCUCCAGUUACUUUCUUUUCAUACGUCCAAAAGGGCCCCUAAUAACCCAUGUCCAUCAACAUGCACACAUCAGUCGCUUCCCUGAAGCCCUGUAUCUGCGCAUUGCUCCUCCCCCAACGCCCACUUGUUCUUCCGGGCGUAAUACUUCAUUAAAAUCACCUAUGCAAACCCACGGAAGCUCACUCAAAGUGCCGAUUCCCUUCAACGUGUCCCACGUCCUGUGACGUAGAUUUGUCUGUGAUUCGCCAUAAAAAAGUGUCAAUCUCCACUUGUCCCUGUCCGGUUCUUCCACAGAACAAUCGAUAUGAUAAACCGAAUAACCAAGUAUUUCAAUCUUUAUUGGGUUGUUCCAAAAAAUCCCUAAACCUCCACUUCUUCCUUGACUACUUACAGUAUAGCCAUUAUCAUUGCCAAUAGAUCCUGCUAAAUUUUCUACCCUUGUUUUCUCUAUCUGAGUUUCAACAAUACAAAUAAAGGUAGGGGCAAAGGUACGCGCUAAAUCGCGUAAUUCUCGAACUGUCGCGGCCUUGCCCGCCCCACGACAGUUCCAACUCAGUAUACUCAUUGUGCCCGGCGGUACUCCUCGCGGGAGCCCGCCGAUGUUGCAUUGGGUGUUGUUGCUUCAGCUGGACCAUUCUUGCCCUCGGUUGUGACUGCCAUCGUCUCCAGAUCAUCCUCAACCCUGGCCUUCUUUGGCCUCUUGCUCUCUUUCCUAGGAGACACAUAAACAGGGGGGAGGGGGGACUAGUGUCUGAGCGACUACCAGCUCCCUCGACUGAUUCCCUCUUGGCCCGUCUGCCUCAGACGAACUGGCUCCAUUCUCAACAGAAAGUCUUUUGUUUGGAAGCUGGAUAUGAUCUUGCUCAUACUCCUCCACUAAAGGGAUUUUGCUUGUGUCAGCCCCGUCACCUCUCUCUCUGUCCACCGCGACCGAUUCAUUGGUUUUGGGCUGUUGCUGGCGUGCAUUGAAGCGCCAACUCUGAUUAGGGUUAUAGGCUUCACGACCCCUUCCACGUCCACCUGAUCUAGCUCCUCCCCUUCCGCGCUGUGGCGUGAAGUUUCCCCGUCCUGCAGGUCUGAAACGGGUUCUGUCCGCAUACAGAAAUUCUCCCCACUCAAACUUUGAUUCAUCAUGCUCUCCAUCUCCACAUUCCUCGUGCCAAUGCCCAAACUCUCCACAGUUAUAGCAGAAGACGGGUAGUUUUUCAUAUUUGACCCGGUACCUGACCCUUUCUUCUCCCUUUUUCCCUGUGACAAACCUCUUGAUCUUAGCAUUGAUGUCAAACUUCACCCUGACCCUGACAAACUCACCAAAAAAAACUGCUGGUAACUUCAGCUGCACCUCUUGCACCUCUCCAAUCCUGGUUGCCAAGCCUUUGACUACAGGCUCGAUCAAGAACUUGUCGGGGAGGCAAUGUAUUUGUGCCCAGACAGCCAGUUUAUCGAGCCUAAACGAUUCUGGGUUCUUAAACCCGUCGUACUCCUCCAAGAUCACUGCCUGAUCUCUGAACAACCAUGGACCUUCAAACAUUGCCUUGUUCCAGUCCCCAGACAUCCAAACUGUGUCGUGAAUAGAUUAUCACGGAUUUUCCUCCACGCCACCGGGCGAGCCGGGUUCCAUGCUGCCCUCAUAUCCCCAUACAAAGCAUUAGGGCUGAAGGUUUUUGGUGUAUGGACCCUUGCGAUCGCGAGCCACUUCGCCGGUUCCGCCAUGUCCGUCAGUUCUUCCUCCCAGAUGAAAUCAUCCUCCUCCUCUUCCUGCAGGGUGAGCCUCUGUAGUUUCCUCUCCCUUCAUCUUUUGCGAUCUUGCGUUGUCCGCCAUCCCCCCGAUCCAAUCUAUUCCAGUUGACUCCGCCUCCUCCUUGACGAAAAACAGCCAGGUAGAUCACUUGCCAACGAAGAGGGAGCAGUCCCAAACCCAGUACCGCCGAUCAGAUCGACAGGAAGCGAGAGAUAAAAGAUUCCGACGGUGGCCGCCGGAAGAGAUCAAAACCCUAGGGUUUUUUGCCUAGGGGAGAUGAGAAAUCCUGUACGCAUUAUUUACUGAAUGUCAUUAGUGGUACAUGGCUGCUAGGGCUACCUCGCGGGGUGGAUCAAAUAAGUCGUACUCCUGGCCUUUCAUGAGUUUACUGUAGACACUUGCAAUAUCACUGUCAAACAUUUAAUACUACGAUUUGAUGGGUAAAAUAAUUAUUUUUUAUUAUUUCAUGGUAACACACGGACAUUUAGCUGGUGUAAUGAUACUUGCGAAAUAAAUAUAUUUUCGAAAUUUGUAUGCAUGGGCAUCAACGUUAUCUUUAUCCACCCACACCAUGAUGGAGGCAAAACAAAACUUGCACGCAUUCCUGAACGAACAAACAGACGGACAACUUUUGCAUCCAGCCCCUCCGCUUUACCCCUUUUCUCCCGCCCUCGCAACCACCUCCCCUGUCCUCCCCAGAGUCUCUUCUCUUCUCUCGUCGCCUCCCGAGUCUCCGGCAACCACGCCAGCGCGGCCAUGGAGCAAGGCACCGACUCCGCGGCGGCGAGGCGGAUGGCCAGGGUCGCCUCCCACCUCUGCCCGCCCACCUCGCAGGCACGAACCCGCAACCACCCCUCCCUCCCUCUGCUUGUUUGCUCCUCUCUCUGCUCAGAUUUGGUCGGAGCGAGAUCCUUCCUACCCAGAGGGGGAGUGCUAGUUCUUCCCCUGAUUAGCUCUCGCCGCCGGCCGUGGUGGCAUCCGGUGGUCCCUCCCCGCGGCGCUUCUGCGCGUAGCUGCUUAGCCUGGGCGCAUCCGUUCUUUCCAGGAUCCUCGUGCGGCCGAAGACGCAUGGCUUGUAUGCUUCGGAGUUAGGGAUCCAUGGACCAGGAAACGACUGUCGAGUAGCCUUGUCUAAAUCUGAGUUGAGUCUAUGCAAGGUUCGGGUCUGAAGUUGCUGCUUCGGGAAGCCUAAUAAUAGACACCACCACAGUUCUUGUGUACAACAAAUACUGAAACAAGGACCAUUGGAUUUGUUAUUACAGAUGCAGCAAUUACUAGAAAAGUAGUAGUACAAGCACUAGCCAGUUGAUAAGCAAGUACAAGCACUAGCCAGUAUUGCUAUAUCUAGCUGUCGGGGAAAUUCAGAAUCAUCUGAAUUAUUCUUAGCUAGUGAUUUUGUCAUACAACUUCCUAAAUUUAGCUCUUAAACUUAGUUAAACCUGUGGAACUGUCGUGGUUGACCAAUACAUAAAAGGUAUCAUCGACUCCAGAAUCGGCUUCUACUAGACUAAAUUUCACUUUUAUUAUUUUGAAGAUGGAGGAGGUGGCCAUCUUGAAGGGCUCUAAUUGCCGUGCAAAAGGUGCGGCACCAGGGUUCAAGGUCGCAGUCCUGGGUGCAUCUGGUGGGAUCGGCCAGCCGCUCUCGCUGCUUAUGAAGAUGAACCCUCUUGUUUCGGUGCUCCAUUUGUAUGAUGUUGUCAACACACCUGGUGUCACAGCUGACAUUAGCCACAUGAACACUGGUGCUGUGGUAUGCCCCUUAACCCUGUAUUUAUGUCCUUUUUUGGCUUUUUGCGAAGUUCCUCACUGAAAAUUGAUUCUGAAAGGAUACUAUAGUUGCAUGUUGGUAGACCUCUAGUACAGUUGCUCUCCAUGUGAUCCGUGUAGGUUAUGUUUAGAGGAAAUGAAUUACUGAAGGAAUGUAUGUCUUCUCUACUGCCCUUUUAGCUCGUACAAUAGUUUUUUUUAUAGCAAAGGGAUCUCUUCCCGGAUUUCCAUUAAAGAAAUCAAUCGAGGUACAUAUGGUAGAGGUUUGGAAAUUAGCAUUAGCCAGCUGGCUGUUACUGUGUUAAAAAUCUUAUAAUCCAUAACUCAGCAAACAAGUAGCCAGUUUCCAGUGGCAUCAUGCAUUGUUCUUAAAGUCAUGUUGCAUCAGGAGUGUGGCAGAGGUCUCCGAAGAAUAUAUGAAGUAUCUGAUCAUUCAGUAAUAAUUGUGGAUUAAAUCUGAGAACAAUAAAUAAUGUUGCAAGGAAAAAAUAUAACCUACUUGAAUUUUAUGUAAGAGGCAGAUAUUUGAUUGGCCCAUUAUUAAUAGCUGUCCACAUAUCUUUGUCCGCCCUAGCCUAUGCAUACAAUUAUCGCUUGAUUCUUGAACCUUAAAGGUUAUCUGAUCAUUGGGUGGAAUUAUGCUAAGGUAUAAUUUAUACAGGUGCGUGGCUUCUUGGGUCAGCCACAAUUGGAAAGUGCUCUUACUGGAAUGGAUCUUGUGAUCAUUCCUGCUGGCAUUCCUCGGAAACCUGGGAUGACAAGGGAUGAUUUGUUCAACAUCAAUGCUGGGAUUGUUCGGACUCUUUGCGAGGGAAUUGCAAAAUGCUGCCCAAAUGCGAUUGUGAAUGUGAUCAGUAAUCCUGUAAAUUCUACCGUUCCGAUUGCUGCUGAAGUAUUUAAAAAAGCUGGAACAUAUUAUCCUAAGCGUCUAUUGGGGGUGACAACACUUGAUGUAGUGAGAGCCAAUACCUUUGUGGUAUGUACUUCAAAAUUGUUUGCCAUAGUGCCCAAUUAUAUUGGUAGUUUCUAUAUGGACAGGUUCUCAAAUUCCUAUUCCUGUCAUUCUCUGUCUACAGGGAGAGGUUCUUGGACUUGACCCCAGAGAUGUCAAUGUUCCUGUUGUUGGUGGGCAUGCAGGAGUUACGAUAUUACCACUCCUUUCACAGGUUAUUAGCACUUGCAGCUGCUUCAAAUUUUGAACCAUAUAUGCAGCUGAAAAAUUGUUUCCAUCUGAUGUAACUAGUAGUUACUCUGUUCAUUUUUACGUUUUCCUUCAUUGAACUUUGUUGUUUUCGUAGGUGAAUCCUCCCUGUUCGUUUACCUCAGAAGAAAUUAGUUAUCUCACUUCUCGCAUACAGAAUGGUGGGACAGAAGUAGUUGAGGUAUGGUUUCCCUUACCAUCUAAUGCCAUAUCUUGUACGCACAGUGGAGGGAAUAAAAGUCAAUUUAAAAGUUUCUUUUGCAAUUGCUUUCUCUGAACAGUGGCUUAGUGACGAAGUAAUAGUUUUGUAUUAGCUAUGAAUACUGUAUUGUGUCCGAUCGCAAGAGCUAGAAUGUUCUUACAAAUUAAACACAUCAUUAAUCUGAACUCACAGCAGAACUGAGGAUCUGCAAUAGAUUGGCAAAGAAGCAAGGAGAAAGAAAGAAGGUGGAGAUAAGUUAGGGAGGACUGAAAUUCCAUCUCAAUGCCUUUACAGACUUGGUCCUCUCCUUUAUGUUGCUGAAAGCUUGGAUCGAGACGUUUUUCAAACAUGACAAACUCAAUUGAUAGCGUCCCUCGUGUAGUAACAGUGCAGCUCAAACAUUCUUCAGAUAUCUCUCAUUUCAUUUGUCUUCAGAGUCCGGCAUACUGGUUUGCAGUUCUUCAGCUUAUAGUUAACAAAGCUGAAUAAGAUCUGACGAGCUAUGUUUUGAGAACAUGAGAGUUAGACCUCAGUAGAUGUGAGAUGGAUAUGUGAAAUUACCAAAUUCCUUGUGUUCUAUAAUAGACAAAGAUGCAUAUAUUAGUUUAUUCGAGAGCUUCACAGUGUUGACAACAAAGGUCAAUUAUCAGGUGCAUGUUAACUGUUAAGUUGAGCAGAAACCUUCUUGUACACAAUACUUUUACCCGCAUAGGGGGCUAUACUAAUUUCUAGUGCUAGCUGCGGACACAUGUUCUGGUUUGGUGGCUGCCUGACAGUCAAUAGAAUUUUCCUAAGCUGUUGGCUGGCCGGCCGGCCAGUGUUUGACCAGUGUUGUGUUGUAGAGGAACCUUGACCACUGUUGUAUUAAUGCGAUGAAGUUCCUUUCUGACAAUCCAAAUUCAUUUCAGGCGAAGGCAGGAGCAGGAUCAGCAACCCUUUCCAUGGUUUGUCUCCCCCAACUUACAUCCCCAUCAGUCAACCUGGUUUGUAUGCUCCGACGAUGGCUGAAGCAACACUAAAUCUUCCCUUUUUUUUUAAAUUUCAGGCCUACGCAGCAGCCAAAUUCGCGGACGCCUGCCUGAGAGGGCUGCGCGGCGACGCCGGGAUAGUGGAGUGCUCUUACAUAGCCUCUCAGGUUAUUAUUUCUUUCUCUCAGCUCAUCCCUAAGCAAUCAUUCCUAGCCGACCGACAAGCAUUUUCUGAAUCGCAAAAUCUUGUUCUUCAUUGCGUGUCUUGAAGGUGACGGAGCUGCCCUUCUUCGCGUCCAAGGUGCGGCUGGGCCGGUCCGGCGUCGAGGAGGUCCUGCCGCUCGGCCCGCUGAACGAGUUUGAGAGGUCUGCAGCUGAGCACAUACAUACAUAGCCUAGGGAAGGAUGAUUUGCUUGUGUCGCCCAAUUUAAUGUUGCCUUGUCGCCGUGGUGCAGGGCCGGGCUGGAGAAGGCCAAGGGCGAGCUGGCCGAGAGCAUCCACAAGGGCGUCGCUUUCGCCAACAAGUGAAGAUGGGAAGAAAAUCCUAGCACGCAGCUCCGUAUCUUUCGCCGAAAUGCUCCAAGGCCAGCAUAGAAAUCUGAGAUGCCUUUUGCUUCCUGCCUGCUCCCGCCUGGGAGCAACAGUCCCCGUGUGAUGUGAUGUAAAUCUCCCUGUCAUAACAAUAAUAAUAAUAAUAAAAUUGUACAGUAUUUUGUACCGGUAUAUACGAUGCGGACUACCCGAUGUUUACGGCUGUAUAAUAAAUAAAUACGACAGAUCUGAUGAUUGAUUAGAUUAUAAUAAUAAAAAGGUAAACAAAACAAAAGUUCAAGUUGGCUCGCUCUUGUGCCAUUUAUUGUUCUCUUGCUGAUUAACCCGAUGUCACCUGGAUCGGCCCAAUGGGCAGACGACAAGUGUCCCCAUCAGCCUAGCCCCACCUGGGGCGCUCCCAGACCGCUCUGCGAAUCCCACGGCAUAUUCGCCAGUUGUUCCAUCUCCGUGCGCGGCCGCCCGCGUGGCGCCCCUUACACGCGGGCCCCCGGGAGGACCGCCCGCCCGCCGGCCCCACCCGCAGAGAGACGCGGCGUCCCGUGUGCUCGUCAAAAACAAUAGGCGAACCAGCGGCGCCCCCGUUUGCAUCUGCAUCGUCGCUAUAAGAAAGCAGGGGCCGCCCCUCCGGUCCGCCCACCCGUACAGCGAACCCGCACCCCUCUCGCUCUCCGCUCCAUCUGGUCCGAUUCGAUUCGAUUCGAUCUCGGCUUCCUCUCCAAGCCACGCGAGACCAGCCAUGGCGGCGACGAUCCAGUCCGUGAAGGCCCGCCAGAUCUUCGACAGCCGCGGCAACCCCACCGUCGAGGUACGCACGCGCGCGCCCAUCCCCCGUCCGUCUCCCUGAUCUGUGCGUUGUGGUCCGGUUCGACUCGAUCUGCUAGCGGUAAGGGGUGCCGCGAUCGUUCGUGCGUGCGUGCGUUCGUAGCAGCGGCUCGGCUUUUUCGAUUGCGCGUCCGAUCUGGUCCGGUUCGCCCGCGGGGCGUGGGCUGGGGUUUCUGCGCAGCAGAGCGUAGGGUUUCUGACGGACCCUUUCGGUCAGAGUCGAGGGGUUUUGGGUAGGUGGGUGAGCCUGAGCCAGCAGGAUGUUUUUUGAGUUGGGCGGGUUGGGUUAUGCUAGAUUCGGCGCGAGGUGGUUUGUUCAGUCAGAUGCCAUGGCGCGUGCAAUUUUCAUGUUAGCCUGCUUGUCAUCUAUUUUUGGUUUUAUCCACGGAUCGGUUUGUUUGUCAUGCUCAUGCUCAGUUUGUGGUUGCUCAAAAGCAAAAGCUAGUCGGAAAAGCCCGAUUAUCGCCGUCCACCUGGCUGCCAUAGUGUCUAUGUAGCUUAUCUUAUAAUCCUUGUGGUUUGGCGUCCUAGUGAUGCUCUGAUUUUGUUGUUUGCUGUGACGGAAAUGUAAGAUGAGGUUGCUGACUUCACUCUUGUUGUGUGCAUCAGGUUGAUGUGUGCUGCUCAGAUGGAACCUUCGCCAGGGCCGCCGUUCCCAGCGGUGCAUCAACUGGUGGGUCAUUUUUGUUAUUGCAUCACCGCUGUUUUCCUUUCAACCUUAGAAUCAACUUUUGCCUUGGUUCCUGUCUAGUGAAGGUACACAAUGUCCCUGUCAUCAUUUAUUGACUGAAUGAAGCUAAUCUUGUCUGAAUCAUCCCUCUUAUGUAGGUGUCUAUGAAGCUUUGGAGCUGAGGGACGGUGGAUCUGACUACUUGGGCAAGGGUGUUUCCAAGGUUUACAUUCGUUUGACUGGAUUUUAUCUUCACAAUCUGUAAAUCUAUGUUGCGGUUCUUGCUGAUUUAAUGUGGCUGCUGCUUAUACUCACAUUCUGUAAAUCUAUGCCAUAAUUCUUGGCUAUUUAAUAUGACCAAACUUAUUUUAACAUGCUGCUUUCAUCCAAGCAAUGUUCCCUGCGGCUGUAUGACUUACUAUUUCUACUCUGUGCCAGGUUUUAUAAAAAAAAUCGUAAUAAUGUUAUAAUGUGAACUAAAUAUGUUUUAUUGUGUUCCCUGUCUCUGCAUGGCAUUUUUUGGAUACAUUGNNNNNNNNNNNNNNNNNNNNNNNNNNNNNNNNNNNNNNNNNNNNNNNNNNNNNNNNNNNNNNNNNNNNNNNNNNNNNNNNNNNNNNNNNNNNNNNNNNNNNNNNNNNNNNNNNNNNNNNNNNNNNNNNNNNNNNNNNNNNNNNNNNNNNNNNNNNNNNNNNNNNNNNNNNNNNNNNNNNNNNNNNNNNNNNNNNNNNNNNNNNNNNNNNNNNNNNNNNNNNNNNNNNNNNNNNNNNNNNNNNNNNNNNNNNNNNNNNNNNNNNNNNNNNNNNNNNNNNNNNNNNNNNNNNNNNNNNNNNNNNNNNNNNNNNNNNNNNNNNNNNNNNNUAUAAAUCUCACGUCGUAUAUUUUUCCUUGCUAAUAAACCAACUUGCUGAAGACCACCAUAAAAUGAACAGCGGGGGAUCAUUUAGUGGACUGUAGAAUAACUGCAUUUAUGGCAUGAUGUUUCACUAGAAUAACUGCAUCUAAUGGUGGUUUCUACUGCAGUUGACAUUAUAUUACCAACUGCAUGCAUAAUUUAGUUCUUGUGAUAUUUACAUGUUUUUGCUGUUCUGUCACAGGCUGUUAACAAUGUGAACUCCAUUAUUGCACCCGCUUUGGUCGGCAAGGUUAGUUUUGUCUUUGCCCCCCUUUCUCUUUCAUGAGAUUUGAGAAUGCAUAAUUUACUCAUUGCUCUUUUUCCUUCUACAGGACCCUACCGCUCAAACUGAGCUCGACAACUUUAUGGUUCAGCAGCUUGAUGGAACCAAGAAUGAGUGGGGUUGGUGCAAGCAAAAGGUAUAACAUAUAACCCAUGAUGACUUUUACUUUUAGAAGUCUAGUAGCAAAUACUUAUUUCCAUUUGUAGGUUCCCUUCUAACAGUCUGAUUUCUUUUGUGAAUUCAGCUUGGUGCUAAUGCAAUCCUGGCUGUAUCACUAGCUGUUUGCAAAGCUGGAGCCAGCGUCAAGAAGAUUCCACUGUACCAGGUAUGCAGCAUAUUAAUCCCCUCUGAUCAUUCUUCAUGUGUUUGCUUUUAGCUAUCCUGUUUUCUAACAUGAGAUAUUCUUCACUGCAGCACAUUGCCAACCUUGCUGGCAACAAGCAAUUGGUUUUGCCCGUUCCUGCGUUCAAUGUCAUCAAUGGUGGAUCCCAUGCUGGAAACAAGCUUGCUAUGCAGGCAAUGCUCUGAACUAAGAUUUCCACAUGUGCUGUCAUGUUGUUUCCGCACAUGUGUUAUUUAUGCCUAUACUUGCAUAUCUGCAGGAGUUCAUGAUCCUUCCUACUGGAGCUACCUCAUUCAAGGAGGCAAUGAAGAUGGGCGUUGAAGUGUACCACAACUUGAAGGUAAUACUUUAUUCUUAGUUUUUUUUUGUCCCUAUCAUCUUGUAAAACAUAAAUUCACCGAAACUGUCAUUUUCUGUAACAGUCUGUUAUCAAGAAGAAGUACGGGCAGGAUGCCACCAAUGUCGGAGAUGAAGGUGGUUUUGCUCCUAACAUUCAGGUAUUUUCCUUGUUUUCUUAGGUUAUGAACUGCAGUUCCUUGCUUUGGCAUGCCUUGGUGUUUUGACAGCAGCCGUUGACUGUUAUGUUUUAAUGUAUAGAACUACUGUUUUACUACAAAAUUGAGAGUCAAUGUAGGGUGGGAAUUGAGUUUGUUUUGUUUUCUGGUAUUUUAGGAGAACAAGGAGGGCCUUGAGCUCUUGAAGACUGCAAUUGAAAAGGCUGGAUACACCGGCAAGGUUUGUCUGCUUGAAUUGAUCUGUUCUUGUGCACUUCUCUCUCAAGUUUUAGUUUGAAGCUAAAUUAGCUUUGUUGCUAUGGGAAAUUCUAGGUUGUCAUUGGAAUGGAUGUUGCUGCUUCAGAGUUCUACAAUGACAAGGACAAAACCUAUGACCUCAACUUCAAGGAAGAGGUAAGCAGCCCCAUUGUUUAUUUUGUGGUAACAAUUUGUUCUCCUUUCAUGAGCAUUUUUAACAUCCCCUUCUCUUGUUGUAGAACAACGAUGGUUCCCAGAAGAUAUCUGGAGAUAGCCUGAAGAACGUAUACAAGUCAUUCGUGAGCGAGUACCCCAUUGUGUCGAUUGAGGACCCGUUUGACCAGGAUGACUGGGUGCACUAUGCUAAGAUGACUGAAGAAUGUGGAGUGGAAGUUCAGAUUGUUGGUGAUGACCUUCUAGUCACCAACCCAACUGUGAGUGAUUUGCUCUGUCGAGUAGGUGGUCACUUUCAUUUUGUUGGACCACUGCAAUUGCUUAUAUCAUUUUGUUGUGCAGAGAGUUGCAAAGGCAAUCCAGGAGAAGUCAUGCAAUGCUCUUCUGCUCAAGGUAUUAUUCUGUUAAACCAGAAGUUGGUUCUUACUCGUUAUUUUCCUGUGACGAGUAUAGAGUGAUGUCCUGCACAUUCUGACUGUUCAUCCUUUGCACGUAAUAGGUUAACCAAAUUGGAUCCGUCACUGAGAGUAUCGAGGCCGUGAAGAUGUCAAAACAUGCCGGCUGGGGUGUGAUGACCAGUCACAGGAGGUACAUGAUAGGAGAUACUUCCUUGUUGUGCGAGUUUUCCCCUUUGUUUCUCUUGUUACCAUCUGUAUGCUUAUUUACAUUUGCUGUCUGCAGUGGUGAGACCGAGGACACAUUCAUUGCUGAUUUGGCUGUUGGUCUGUCCACGGUAUGGUUUUAUAAUCUGCAUAGUUAGCAUUUGUCGGGGCAAUUUUAACGAGACUGGUCGCAAUGCUCAUAAACCUUCUGGGUGUAACUGACCAGUGUUUGUUUAUGUGCAACAGGGUCAGAUUAAGACCGGGGCUCCGUGCCGCUCAGAGCGUCUUGCCAAGUACAACCAGGCAAGUAGCUCUCCCUGUUUAUUCUUGUUCUGUUGAAGCAAUCUCCUGAUAUUAUGUUGGCCAACAGUACCUUGCAAUCAAACAAAAGAAAUUUAUGUGAUCCUCAUGUGUUAUUCGUUUAUUAAGUGCUGUGUGUUCAUUUCUCAUUUGCUGUGUGUCUCAUUUGUGUCUGAUCUUGACAGUAUUCAUUUUCUGCGAAGCCAAACUAACGGCUAUUUUUUCAAAUUGAACAGCUUCUGAGGAUCGAGGAGGAGCUGGGCGAUGCCGCGGUGUACGCUGGCCUCAAGUUCCGUGCACCGGUGGAGCCCUACUAGAUGGGAUCUGCACGAGUUUUUGUGAAAAUGGGUGUGUUUAACCUCCGGAAUGAACUCUGGUUGAAGCUCUUAGGAUUGAGCAAUAAUGAAUGCCGCGCAUGUUUUAUGUGAACGGAACGGAUAUGUACCCCCAAACUUGCUCCAAUUUUGGUCCUUGUGGAUAUGUACCUGAUUCGGCCCUGAACCUUUUGGAUGUGUAAUACUAGUUUUUGGCGCAUCAUCUUUGCCGUUAUUGUGUUAGUUUACUUGUUGCAGAAAGCAUGCUUCUGAGAAACUUGCUUUCAUCUUUGUUUGCUAUUCUCAAAACACUGGUUUUCCAUUGCCAUCUGUUUUUCUUUUAAAGAAACUUGCUUCUGUUGUCAUUGAUGGGGCGUCCUGGUUGAUUGGAGAUGAGUACUUGAAGCACGUCAUGAUUUCGGAGGUUUGCCUCUGACAGCAACGGAUUUCAACUAGAAAAACUGGGCGAAAAACAGAUUGAAAACCGGCUGAAAACCAUCAUAUCUGAACAAAUUACUCCAUAGGUGAUUGUCGAGAUAACCCACAUUGUAGCGGACGCGUGAAGGUGAAUGAAAAUCUGCACAAAAACUUAGCCACUUGCAACCACCUUCAAUCUUGCCACAAAAGCCUGGACACCACCACCGCUAACCAUCGGUCCUGCUUGUCGUGAGCUCCAAGAUGAAGCCCCUGAGAGGGAAAAUGACACACCCGAGUGCCACAAUCGUCCGAUCACAAGAUCAAGGGUUUCCCUUGAAGAGGGAGGCCAUGAUGGUCGGGUCCCUGCAGGAGGUGUGCGAUAGCAUAACACCGAUGCCUAAAGGAAGGUUAAGGACGACCACAACCGCAACCAUUGUUGGUCAUGGCACAAAGGUCGAGAUGGGGUCUUCACCCAAGCUCCCUUACCACCUCGGUCGCACAUCAUCCCGCACUGGCGCCGGCAAGACCGCCAACCACCGUCUCUCACAAACCAUCAUCCCACACUGGCGCCGGCAAUGUCUCUUCUCUCUACUCGAAUCAUUAUCACAUGGGCCGCUCGUAAAGAUGGAAGUUACUCUCUGGGCCAUUUGAUCGUCACGUUGAAAGGCCAUUCACGAAAGCAUCUUUCAAAGCCGGGCUGCAUUGCAUUCUUUUGUCACAAGAUUCAUUGAUGUCCAAAUUAUUCAUGAGAAGAAGCCGUUAGCUGCUGUGGUGGGCAUUGCUACUGCAAAUAUGGGUGCUCAUCGCCCCAAGGGGCCCCCUCCGUACUUUGCAAAAAUCCACCUUGACGCGACUAUUCAGCCAUGUAUGGGAGAAUCGGCGGUGGCUGUUUGCCGGGACAACAACGACAACUAUCUACGCAGCUCGGCACUAGUUAUUGGAGGUGUUCAUGGCCCAACGGCUGGCUUGCCGUGAAGCUCUAUCAUUAGCAAGAGACCUUCAUCUACACAAUUUUAUCAUAACAUCUGAUUCUAAACAAGUUGCGGGAGAUAUUAGGCAAGGUAGCUAGGGUAGAGUUAGUGCCAUCAUCAGUGAGAUCAAAGCAGAGCAGCUUCUUUUAAUUGUAAUUUUACUUUCGAAUGUCGUGUUAUUAAUUUCGACGCACAUAGUUUACUAGUGAGGUUCUCUUUCUUUACCUCGGCCCGAAUUGUAUCCCACUAAUUAUGGUCUUUGAUCCCCUAAAAAAAUGAUUUUUGAUUAAUAAAAUUGGCUUUACCCUAAAAAGGUAAAAAAUAAUUAUCUCCCAAAAAAAGCUAAAACGAAAAAAAAACAUCACCCCAUCUUCUCCCCACUCCUUGAUGGCGCCUCCCGCCGCCGGGGAAACCCCACCUACGGAGGCUGCGGAGAACAGCGCCAAGACCGAGGAGUCGCGGUGGCUCGCGGCCCUCUCCGAGCCAGAGCUCGUCCGUGACGCCCCUCCUCUUCUUAUUCUCUCUUAGCUUCUCUUCCUAACGACUGGUGUUAAUGGCGCCACGGUGGUGUUGUGCAGGAUCUCCUCAUCAGCCUGAAGAUGCUGGCCGUGAAGCGGGCGGAGACGGCCGGCCGCCCCCACCUCGCCGACGGGUUCGAUCUGCGCACGCUGCGUGCCCUCGGUACUUACUACCUGAACCACUUUGCCAGACACUCAUCAUAUAUAGCCGCAGCGAUCUCUUUGCUGAGCAACAUGCUAUAUGCUUGUGCUUUUCCAGGUGUUGUUUUGCUGGAGGAUUUCAAGGCACGGUUAGAAGAAACCUCGGUCGAUGCAUCCGUUCUUGAUAGACUUGCGCUGUCGAGGGACUGUGUCGCGGAUGCCGGCGGCGGCAGUGGUGACUCUGAGGUGCUCAGGCGGCACGGCAAAGAUGAGCCAAAGCCAAAUAGCGUCAAGAGAGAACGAAAGCAGAGGCAGGAUGGGUGAGUCCUUUUGAGUAUUCGGUCGGUUUGGCUGAAGCAGUGCAGUCCAAUUUAGCUCAUGCCGAUAGUUUCUUGAGGUUCUGUCACUACUAAUGCAGUUACGGCGUGUUUGCGUAUGAUGCAGGCGCCAUGGAGAAACCGUGAAAAGCAAGAAGAAAAGAAAACUGAGCGAGAGGAGAUAGCAUCGAGAGAGCAGACUGCGACGAUCUUCCUACUGAUAGUGAUCUAGUGCAAACACCGCCCAGGGAUGUAUGUCGUUGAGCGACAACACUGAAGCUGCUGCUGCUGCUGUUAGUGGUGUAAAUUUUGCUUUUUUUUUAUCUGAACUCGAAACUUGUUUUGGGAAUGCAACCCGGCAGGGAAGGGAUGCCGUGAACUGAUGAUGAUGACUGCUGUGGCAACCAGGCGUAGUUUAAUGCAUCUUCGUUUCAGGACUCUCUUAACUGUGCCAUGAUUUCUUUUCUAGCAGCUGUAGGUUGCUGGGACCUGGGAGCAUGAGACACUCCCCUCCAGGAAACUGCUUUCGAAUCAACAACUAGGGUGGGUUAGCUGCUGGAUUCUAAUUUGUUUCGUUGCCUAGGCACCAGUUAGGUCGAUCAUAGCACAACUAAGAAUAUGAUUUCACCUCCUAUUCUUGGCAAAUAAUAUUUAGUGUCACAAAUUCAGUUGCUAGCAACAUGACGAUAUUUUCAGUAUCUAAUAGCAUUGCUAAUAAACCUUGCACCUUUUUUUUGGCAAAUGAUUACCUCUACUGAGCAAUGCCACAGCCUCUCAGGAAUGUGGAGAAUUUGGUUUAGCGUUAGCUGAAUCUUUAGUCUCUACAACAAUGCACCAAUAUCAAUUUUUGGAUUCUGCAACAAAUUAACUGAAAUAAUUUUCAAGGCAUAUCAGUGUUGAUGUUGAUUAAUUAUUCACUGCCAGGCUAAGAUCCUUUGGCAUCUUCUGUCACGGCAGCUGAAGAUGAUGAUUUAUAAUUUUAUAUAGUUGACUUGUCUGUUGUGACAUAAACUUACUUACUCUUUGUUUCCUUGAUUAAAUUUUCUUUUUUGUGGGGAUCUUAUGCACGGAAAGACCAUGUGCAUAACUUUACAUGCAUGUUCUUCCACCUAGACUGCUCUACGGCUGUGUUAAGGUGCCGGUUGGUUGACAAUGGUCACACAUUCAUAAUAUGAAUGUCUAUACAAGGGAUUAGGAUCCUAGUCUGUGAUGCAGUUUUUCUUCUAGAUGUACUAGUUCAACUCCUUUUCAUCAGUAUUUGAUGUUAAACUAGAUUCUUGUGCAGAUGGUUACCUCUUCUGAACAAUGCUUGCAAUGCUCUGGAAUGCUGAAAAACUAGUUUACCUUUUUGCUGAUUCUUUUUUAAUUCUUACAAAUUUAGUUGAGUUGCAUAACUAUAUUAUAUCUUAUAAGUAGCCAUCCGAGUACUUCUGUUAACUAAUGAUUUAGAGACUCACGGUGACCGUGUGACCAUUGGAUAACGCCGUCGAGGUGUUAACAAACUGGUGUUACCAAUAGAACAUCUCACAUUUAAUUUGCAUUUCUUGAUGUUUUAUAAUAGCACAUACCAUCUCUCCUGAAAUUUUAGAGACGACCAAUGAAUCACAGGUCUUGAUCAGUUUGUCCUUCUAUACAUACAAUUUGAUCGACUCAGGAACUAUCGAGAGGACAAAAACGACAGACGGACAGAUAAUCAACACAUAUCCAAGUUGUUUCAAAUUAAUUGCAGCCUGCAGGAUGCAACCUAUCACCAGAAUCUAAUUUCAAUUAUAGGAUUUUGGAAGCGCUUACCAGCUAGUCAUAAAGUUCAACAAUCUCUGAAUUGCUGCGGUGUCUGAAGAGCAGGAUGAGAACAGGUAGCUCCAGAAGCUGUAGAAGUUCACCCUCUCGUUGCACUUAUUUGUAGCCUGCAUAGCUCAUCUUUUGCUUCUUGUGGCACACCACCUACUUAAUUAAUAGAAUGAGUCAUAUAUUUGAACUCUCUACCUUGUUUAUCCUGCCAACCCAAACCCAAGAUAAAAGAUAUUAGUCAAUAAUAAUAAUAAAUGCUGACCAAAAUACCACUGUGUUAUUACAACUGUUGUUUCGGUGCUACCACAGUACACGAUGCGCGCAGAUUCAGGUUGCCACAGCUAUCACAAAUGCAACACUUAAUAUACUACCACCGUGGCAACUGGCAAGUCACAAAAGUUAUCAGUCCUUGGAUUUAAGUGAAGAUAGUUCACCUUCUUUGUGUACAUGACACCAGCAGAUCAGAAGAUAAUACACCAAAUGCACAUAAAAGACAAUACAGUUAACACCAUCUUGUUUACAGCAAGGCAAUAUAGUAGCAUGCCUCUGACACAUCAUCUUGUUUGAAUGCCUUCCGGCAAGAAAUGGACAACUAGUCUAUUUCUCUCACAUUUUCAGAGUAACACCAUCAACAGUGGCAGGACCAAGCUGCUCCAGCCUAAACAAUUGACUGGUACUGCUGGUUAAGCAAUGCAAACUACUACGAAACGUAACUUACUGUCAGCGCAUCGUCAAUAACUUAUAACCACAUGGCAGAGAUUAGCAAUCAUAGCUGAAAUGGAUCACUACUUUUGAUAUGUCAGUUUACCAAAAGAAAAGAAGCACAGGUCCAGUUCUUGCAGGCAACGAACCAACAGAGUAUUGGCAAUCAUUCGGCAAUUCCCAUCCAGCCAGCACUAAUACCACUUCUACUUUCAGAUAACCAGAGUCAGACAGGCACCAAGUAAACAGAACCAUCUACAGUUGCUACUAGAUGUACAAUCUAAGAGGAGGUGAACUUGGUGACGGCCUUGGUGCCCUCGGAGACGGCGUGCUUGGCGAGCUCGCCGGGGAGGACGAGGCGUACGGAGGUCUGGAUCUCCCGGGAGGUGAUGGUGGGCUUCUUGUUGUAGCGGGCGAGCUUGGCGGCCUCGCCGGCGAGCUUCUCGAAGAUGUCGUUGAUGAAGGAGUUCAUGAUGGACAUGGCCUUGGAGGAGAUGCCGAUGUCGGGGUGCACCUGCUUCAGCACCUUGAAGAUGUAGAUCUUGUACGUCUCCACGCUCUUCUUGCUCUUCUUCUUCGACUUUUUGUCGCCGCCGCCCUCCUUGCCGGAAGUCUUGCUCUUGCCCGCCGCCGGCAGCCGCUUCUCGGCCCUGGGCUUCUUCCCGGCCGGCGCCUUCUCGGCCUUCUCCGUCGUGGCCUCCUCCUCCGCGGGCUUCUUCGCCGCCGGCUUCUUCUCCGCCGCCUUGGGGGCCAUCGCUGCUUCUGGAGCGGGGAAAGGGGAAGCCGCCGAAGCCGGUGCGGGUUGGUUUGUUGGGGAAAGGUUGGGAGAUUUGGAACGAGAUGCUGGGAAAGGAGGAGCGGAGCUGAAGGAUUUAUACAGGGAGAGAUGUGACUGCUGAUUGGUGGAGGCGUGGUUGUCCCGGAUCAGUGACGUGGGACGGUGUGAGGCGUUCGGUGCUGUUUGGAUGGACGAUCGUGAUCUCUGCCGGGCGGACCGUGGUUUUCUUGAAAAAAAUUGGACCCUGAUAAGGCCCGAACGUUCGGUAGAAGCCCUUUCCAUACCGAAGAAAUGAGGAAUGCUGCGUCCACGCAAAGCUAUCUAAGGUUUACGUUUGUCUAAAAAAAAAAAGCUAUCUAAGGUUUACGUAGUGCUGCUGAUUUGGCAAAUUGGAAUAGGGAAGGGAGAGGGGCCCACACCCAUGAAAAUUAGGGGGAGGAGAGAAUUAAAGGGAAAGUUACGUAGGAUCACGUAACAGGUUACGUUGAUGUAAUAUUAGUGCCGAACAAAUUGUUCCCCAAGGCAGAAACGACCCAACGAUUCCGCUCGGAGCGGGGGUGUAGUGGGAAGAGAUGGAUUCGUUCGGCCGAUGGCGUGGUUGCGUUCGGCCGAUGGCGUGGUUGCGCCGAAGGCCUGAGGAAAAUGACGCGGCACCAUAAUUGCUUCAAGAUGCGUGUGAUUUCAUCCGACGGCCAUCGUGGUGUUCGGCCCAAAAGCUUAAAAUCUGGUCAUUCGGGAGUUAUAGGUUCCGAAGUUUUUUUAGGCGAACAGUGCACUUCACUUAAUAAAAAAUGUCUACGUGGAUACAAAUAUUUUCUGGAGGUUUUUUUAGGGGAAGGCCACAAUGGUUAGUGUCGGGGCCGGAUUUCCGGGACAUAAAUUCCCAGCAAACGACCCUUAUGUCACCACCAGCCCCAGGAUUACUGUUGCUGAUGGACAUUUCCUUGAUACAGAAUUCCAAGCAAUUACAAGUAUUUGAGUACAAGACCUUAUAGGUCCAUUGAGUACAACAAUGAUUUCUAGUGGCAGGUGAUGGAAACGACUCGUGGAUCUCCAACGUUGGUGGAACUCCAUUCCCACGGGAACAGCUGACCUGGAUAACUCCUAUCUCGCGUGGCUGCUAUCUCCGAAUCCUAGGUUGCGGGGUGUCUUCGUAGUGCUCGUCUCUGAGUCAUGAUCUGGCCAAGACAAUAGCCAGGGACAAGCCAGUGAGUACGUUUGAAUGUACUCGCAAACAUCAAGAACAAAAGAUAUACCGGAUGCAUAUGCUCAUGAUGAAUUAAAUUAUACUACCUCAUUUCCGGUUUAUAGGGCUCAAUUCAAAAAUCUCACCAACCAAGGUGGAUGAUGAGUGAUGGAAUAAUUUUCGUGGUUUGUAAAAGCACUCAAUUAAUGCGUUCGUUUUCCUCAAAGAAUUGUGUUUACCAGUGCAUUAAUUGCAAUGCAUGCAUGCAUGAAGUACAUGCAUUGGUCAAGUUUCUCAUAAUCCUUGCAUGCAAUGAAUUAAUGCAUCUUGAAAUCUGAGCAUGUGAUGGGGAACAAUCAAAUUGAGACUUAUAAAACGAGAAACCGAAAUUUUUGAGAUAAGCCCUAUAAACCGGGAAGGAGGGAGUAUGCAUGUGCUGACCGAGAAUAAAAGCAUGGCAUGACAAAUAUUCAUACGGUGCAGAAGGGUAAAUAAGUCAUAUGAUUAGUAAAUCAAAGAAAUGAAACGAAACAUCGGGCGUUGGACCGCCCAAAAAAUUCCAAGAGAAAUGCCAAACGGGUGUCUAAGAGAGAAUCGGGCGAGACAGGACCGCCCGAGAACUCAAGCGACGCCACGAGAGGUCUUGAAAAUGCAUGCCACAGUCGGGUGUCUGAAGCGACGCCUCAUAAAGGGCUUAUAUGAAAAUAAUAAAACGAGUAUCCAGGUGGACUAGCCAUCCUAAGUGAUACUCAUAAAAGAAAAGAAAACGAGUAUCCCGGGUAGUCUAGCCAUCCCAAGAGAUACUCAAGGUUAAACAUAAAAUGAAAAGGUUAGUCCACAACAAUAUCCAUAUCAACAAUAAUAUUCAUAGUGGCACCAGUAGUGACAAUAAUUAUCCUGCAGAACGAACCAUGAUCAAUUUAAUUAUUUCCUUCGGAGACUGACACUAAGACCGACACUUGACCAACUGUCGGGGGGAUGAACCCCGGGCAGGCAACGGAACCCGUAUCCUUUUCAAAAAUGACGAGGCCAACAUCGCCCCUCAAGCCGGCACGUGCUUGGCCGGGUCGCCCAACCCGGCCAACCCCCUCGACCCGGCCAAACUUCCAACCCGGCCGGACUCCUCAACUCGGCCCCAACAACCAGCUCAAGACAGUCAAACCCGGCACCAAGACUUCUCCAACAAGCCAGCUCCACCCUUGGCGCGUUCCUCAACCCGGCCACGGGUCAGUUCCCGUCCCAGCCCAGCCGUACGAUGGGACGAGUCUCCACCUACCAAUGACCGAGGCAACAGUGCCCCGCCCAUGCCUCUGGUCAGCCGGGGCAUGGCAACAGUGCCCCACCUACCCACUGACCAGGGCCGGCGUGGCAACAGUGCAACCAUCGUCACCAAUGACGCCAGCAAGCGGCGACCUGACGGAGCGCCACUGUAGCCGACUGAUAACCCACAAGUAUAGGGGAUCACAACAGUUCUCGAGGGUAGAGUAUUCAACCCAAAUUUAUUGAUUCGACACAAGGGGAGCCAAAGAAUAUUCUCAAGUAUUAGCAGUUGAGUUGUCAAUUCAAGCACACCUGGAUAACUUAAUAUCUGCAGCAAAGUAUUUAGUAGCAAAGUAGUAUGGAAGUAACGGUAACGGUGGCAAAAGUAACCGUAGCAACUUUGUAGUAAUUGUAACAGUGGCAAUGGUAAAGUAACUAAGCAAAGAUCUAUAUGUGAAAAGCUCGUAGGCAUUGGAUCAGUGAUGGAUAAUUAUGUCGGAUGCGAUUAUUCAUGUAACAGUUAUAACAUAGGGUGACACAGAACUAGCUCCAGUUCAUCAAUGUAAUGUAGGCAUGUAUUCCGAUUAUAGUCAUACAUGCUUAUGGAAAAGAACUUGCAUGACAUCUUUUGUCCUACCCUCCCGUAGCAGCGGAGUCCUAUUGGAAACUAAGGAUAUUAAGGCCUCCUUUUAAUAGAGUACCGGACCAAAGCAUUAACACUUAGUGAAUACAUGAACUCCUCAAACUACGGUCAUCACCGGGAGUGGUCCCGAUUAUUGUCACUUCGGGGUUACCAGAUCAUAACACAUAAUAGGUGACUAUAGACUUGCAAGAUAGGAUCAAGAACUCACAUAUAUUCAUGAAAACAUAAUAGGUUCAGAUCUGAAAUCAUGGCACUCGGGCCCUAGUGACAAGCAUUAAGCAUAGCAAAGUCAUAGCAACAUCAAUCUCAGAACAUAAUGGAUACUAGGGAUCAAACCCUAACAAAACUAGCUCGAUUACAUGAUAAAUUUCAUCCAACCCAUCACCGUCCAGCAAGCCUACGAUGGAAUUACUCACGCACGGCGGUGAGCAUCAUGAAAUUGGUGAUGGAGGAAGGUUGAUGAUGAUGACGGUGACGGAUUCCCCUCUCCGGAGCCCCGAACGGACUCCAGAUCAGCCCUCCCGAGAGAGAUUAGGGCUUGGCGGCGGCUCCGUAUCAUAAAACGCGAUGAAUCCUUCUCUCUGAUUUUUUUCUCCCCGAACGUGAAUAUAUAGAGUUGGAGUUGAGGUCGGUGGAGCACCAGGGGGCCCACGAGGCAGGGGGCGCGCCUAGGGGGGCAGGCGCGCCCCCACCCUCGUGGACAGGGUGUGGGCCCCCUGGUCUUGAUUCUUUCGCCAGCAUUUUUUAUAAAAUUCCAAAAAUAUUCUCCGUGAAGUUUCAGGUCAUUCCGAGAACUUUUAUUUCUGCACGAAAAUAACACCAUGGCAAUUCUGCUGAAAACAGCGUUAGUCCGGGUUAGUUCCAUUCAAAUCAUGCAAGUUAGAGUCCAAAACAAGGGCAAAAGUGUUUGGAAAAGUAGAUACGAUGGAGACGUAUCAACUCCCCCAAGUUCAAACCUUUGCUUGUCCUCAAGCAAUUCAGUUGAUAAACUGAAAGUGAUAAAGAAAAACUUUUAAAAACUCUGUUUGCUCUCGUUGUUGCAAAUAUGUAAAGCCAGCAUUCAAGUUUUCAACAAAGAUUAUGAACUAACCAUAUUCACAAUAACAUUUAGGUCUCAUGUUUACUCAUAUCAAUAGCAUAAUCAACUAGCGAGCAAUAAUAAUAAAUCUCGGAUGACAACACUUUCUCAAAAUAAUCAUAAUAUGAUAUAACAAGAUGGUAUCUCGUUAGCCCUUUCUGAGACCGCAAAACAUAAAUGCAGAGCACCUCUGAAGAUCAAGGACUGACUAAACAUUGUAAUUCAUGGUAAAAGAGAUCCAGUCAUAGUCAUACUCAAUAUAAAUUAAUAGUAAUGGAUGCAAAUGACAGCGGUGCUCUCCAACUGGUGCUUUUUAAUAAGAGGAGGAUGACUCAACAUAAAAGUAAAUAGAUAGGCCCUUCGCAGAGGGAAGCAGGGAUUUGUAGAGGUGCUAGAGCUUGAUUUUUGAAAUAGAGAUCAAUAAUAUUUUGAGCGGCAUACUUUCAUUGUCAACAUAACAACCGAGAGAUCUCGAUAUCUUCCAUGCUACACACAUUAUAGGCGGUUCCCAAACAGAAUGAUAAAGUUUAUACUCCCCCUCCACCAACAAGCAUCAAUCCAUGGCUUGCCCGAAACAAUGGGUGCCUCCAACUAACAACAAUCCUGGGGGAGUUUUGUUUGCAAUUAUUUUUAUUUGGUUUGAGCAUGGGACUGGGCAUUCCGGUGACCAGCCAUUUUCUCGUGAGUGAGGAGCGGAGUCCACUCCUCUUGAGAAUAACCCGCCUAGCAUGGAAGAUACAGAUAGCCCUAGUUGAUACAUGAGCUAUUCGAGCAUACAAAACAGAAUUUCAUUUGAAGGUUUAGAGUUUGGCACAUACAAAUUUACUUGGAACGGCAGGUAGAUACCGCAUAUAGGAAGGUAUGGUGGACUCAUAUGGAAUAACUUUGGGGUUUAUGGAAGUGGAUGCACAAGCAGUAUUCACGCUUAGUACAAGUGAAGGCUAGAAAGAGACUGGGAAGCGACCAACUAGAGAGCGACAACAGUCAUGAACAUGCAUUAAAAUUAAUAAACAUCGAGUGCAAGCAUGAGUAGGAUAUAAUCCACCAUGAACAUAAAUAUCGUGGAGGCUAUGUUGAUUUUGUUUCAACUACAUGCAUGAACAUGUGCCAAGUCAAGCCACUCGAAUCAUUCAAAGGAGGAUACCAUCCUAUGAUACCACAUCACAACCAUUUUAAUAGCAUGUUGGCACGCAAGGUAAACCAUUAUAAACUCCUAGCAAAUUAAGCAUGGCAUAAGCAACUAUAAUCUCUAAUUGUCAUUGCAAAUAUGUUUCAUUCAUAAUAGGCUGAAUCAGGAACGAUGAACUAAUCAUAUUUACAAAAACAAGAGAGGUCGAGUUCAUACCAGCUUCUCUCAUCUCAAUCAGUCCAUCAUAUAUCGUCAUUAUUGCCUUUCACUUGCACGGUCGAGGUGUGGACAAUAAUAAUAGUGCACGUGCAUUGGACUAAGCUGAAUUUUGCGAGCAUUUAAUUCAAGGGAGAAGACAAGGUAAUAUGGGCUCUUGGUUAAAUCAACAAUAAUGCAUAUGAGAGCCACUUCAACAUUUCCAUUAUGGUCUUCUCCUCUCGACCCCCAAAGAAAAAGGAAUAAAAUAAAACUAUUUACACGGGAAAGCUCCCAACAAACAAAAAGAAGAACGAGAAAUCUUUUUGGGUUUUCUUUUUAAUUAUUACUACUACAGGCAUGGAAAGUAAACUAGCUAAAAGCUACAACUAUUCUUUUUGUUUUUCUUAAGGUUUAUCAAACACACAAGAAGAAAGCAUAAAAAGAAAAAUAAACCAGCAUGGAUAGUACAAUGAAAAAGUAUGAGCACCAACAACUAGAAUGGGUGUGUGAACAUGAAUGUAAUGUCGGUGAGAAAUACGUACUCCCCCAAGCUUAGGCUUUUGGCCUAAGUUUCUCUAUGCCCAUGGAUCAAAGUUGUAGCUGGGGUCGUACUGAGAUGCAACAACUAUUGCCUCAUGAGCUGCAGCUUGGAGGCGAGCUGCCUCCGUCCUCCUCUCGUACUCGGUCGCCUCCUUCCUGGUUAUAAUAUAUCUCCUUUUUGCCUGAAAGUCAAAGAAAGUAGGAGCGGGGAGAGCAAUAUGGACAGCUUGACGCCUGUCAAACAUUAGUCGGUACUGGAGGGGCUGUUCAUUCCUCUCAACAAACUGAUGGCGAACCAUAGCAUUAUAAUCUAAAUAAGCAGGAGGCAAUUCCAUAUCAUUUUCAUGUAUGGGUAUCUCAAGAUAAUUAGCCACACGGGUUGCAUAAAUUCCACCAAACAAAUCUUCACUAAUACUGUUAUUAUGCAACCUACGUGCAACAAUGCCCCCCAAGUUAUAUUGUUUAUCUCCUAACACAACACUCUUGAGAACACUAAGAUCUGGAACACACAUGUGACAUGCCUCAUCCUUACCGUUUAUGCAUCUACCUAUAAAGAGAGCAAAAUAAUGUAUAGCAGGAAAAUGAAUGCUCCCUAUGGUAGCUUGUGUUAUUUCUCUAGAUUCCCCCACAGUGAUACUAGCAAGGAAAUCUUUAAACUCAGAUUUGCAAGGUUCACUAGCACUACCCCAUUGCGGGAGUUUACAAGCAGUAUUAAAAUCUUCUAAGUCCAUGGUAUAAGAUUUAUUAUAAAGAUCAAAUAGGACCGUGUGAGAAUUGUGUGAAGAUGUAAAUUUAAACCUUCUCACAAAGGAAUCAGUAAGGUGGUAGUAUUGAGGGCACUUAUCUAACAUGAAGCCCUCGAGUUCAGCAUUACGCACAUACGCGUCAAAUUCAUCCUUAAUUCCUGCUUGGACCAUGAAAUUUUAUGACGGCCAUUCACAAGGCCGCACUUGAGCUUCUCUUGGUGGUUCAUGGUCCGGCUCACGUAUUGCAGGCCUGGGUCCCUGCUUCCUUGAAGAAUCACCUUGGUACAUUUUCCUAAAUAUAUUUCUUCCUCUGAAAUAUUUCUGAAAUUUUUAGUAACUCGAAAUAAAAGUGAACCAAACUCAACAAAAUUGAUAGCAACCACUCCCACAAGUGCCUAGAGACUAUAUCAUGCAUUAGAACUACUUGGGACCAAAUAAAUUUGAUAUGCAAGCUCAAGAACAGGGUCACCUAAGCAACAAAAAUUUGCAAUGAAUAAAGCACUAGAACAAAAACUAAUUGGACCAUUGGAGGAGUCACAUAUCAAAGAACAAUCCCCCAAAGCAGUUUUGUGAGUGGAGCUUUGAGCAAGGAGAUCGAAAAUCGCAGCAAAACUAGCUAGAACACGGGUUUGAGCUAGGUGGUGAUUUUUUCUGGAGAAAGACAAAGUGUGUGGGUGCUGGAAUAAGUGGAGGGGGGCCACCAGGGGUCCACGAGGCAGGGGGCGCGCCCAGGGGGUGGGCGCGCCCUGGACCCUCGUGGCCAGGUGUUGGCUCCCCUUGAUGUGUUCUCAGUGCCAGAUAUUCUCAAAUAUUCUAGAAAAAAUCAUAUUUCAAUUGCAGGGCAUUUGGAGAACUUUUAUUUUCGGGGUAUUUUUUAUUGCAGGGAUAAUUCAGAAAACUGACAGAAAAUACUAUUUUUGCUUUAUUUAAUCUAAAUAACAGAAAGUAAAAAGAGGGUACAGAGAGUUGUGUUUUCUAACUUCAUCCAUCUCAUGCUCAUCAAAAGGAAUCCACUAACAAGGUUGAUCAAGUCUUGUUAACAAACUCAUUCCGAAUCGCAUGAAACCAGAGAAUUUUUGAAUAGCACUAGGUUACCUCAACGGGGAUAUGCACGUCCCCAACAAUAAGAAUAUCAUAUUUCUUCUUGACAGUAGGAAGAGGAAAUUCAAAACCUCCAAUAGUGAUCGUUGGAAUCUUUCCAAUAGAAUUGAUACUGUGGACUUGAGGUUGUUUCCUCGGAAAGUGUACCGUAUGCUCAUUACCAUUAACAUGAAAAGUGACAUUGCCUUUGUUGCAAUCAAUAAUAUCCUCUACAGUAUUCAAAAAGGGUCUACCAAGGAUAAUAGACAUACUAUCGUCCUCGGGAAUAUCAAGAAUAACAAAGUCCGUUAGAAUAGUAACGUUUGCAACCACAACAGGCACAUCCUCACAAAUACCGACAGGUAUAGCAGUUGAUUUAUCGUCCAUUUGCAAAGAUAUUUCAGUAGGUGUCAACUUAUUCAAAUCAAGUCUACGAUAUAAAGAGAGAGGCAUAACACUAACACCGGCUCCAAGAUCACAUAAAGCAGUUUUAACAUAGUUUCUUUUAAUGGAGCAUGGUAUAGUUGGUACUCCUGGGUCUCCAAGUUUCUUUGGUAUUCCACCCUUAAAAGUGUAAUUAGCAAGCAUGGUGGAAAUUUCAGCUUCCGGUAUCUUUCUUUUAUUUGUAACAAUAUCUUUCAUGUAUUUAGCAUAAGGAUUCAUUUUAAGCAUAUCAGUCAAAUGCAUAUGCAAAAAGAUAGGUCUAAUCAUUUCAGCAAAGUGCUCAAAAUCCUCAUCAUCCUUCUUCUUGGAUGGUUUAGGAGGAAAGGGCAUGGGUUUCUGAACCCAUGGUUCUCUUUCUUUACCGUGCUUCCUAGCAACGAAGUCUCUCUUAUCAUAACGUUGAUUCUUUGAUUGUGGGUUAUCAAGAUCAAUAGCAGGUUCAAUUUCUACAUCAUUGUUAUCGCUAGGUUGAGCAUCAACAUGAACAUUAUCAUUAACAUUAUCACUAGGUUCAUGUUCAUCACCAGAUUGUGUUUCAGCAUCAGAAAUAGAAAUAUCAUUGGGAUUCUCAGGUGUGUCAACAACAGGUUCACUAGAAGCAUGCAAAGUCCUAUCAUUUUUCUUUUUCUUCUUCUUAGAAGGACUAGGUGCAUCAACAUUAGUUCUCUGAGAAUCUUGCUCAAUUCUCUUAGGGUGACCCUCAGGAUACAAAGGUUCCUGAGUCAUUUUACCCCCUCUAGUCAUAACUCUAACAACAUUAGCAUUUUUAUUAUUAUUUAAUUCAUUGAGCAAAUCAUUUUGAGCUUUAAGCACUUGUUCUACUUGAGUGGUAACCAUAGAAGCAUGUUUACUAAUAAGUUUAAGUUCACCUUUUACUCUAGACAUAUAAUCACUCAAGUGUUCAAUCAUAUAAGCAUUACGUUUCAAUUGUCUACCAACAUAAGCAUUGAAGUUUUCUUGUUUAACAAUAAAAUCAUCAAACUCAUCCAAGCAUUGGCUAGCAAACUUAGUAGAUGGGAUUUCACCCUUAUCAUAUCUAUAGAGAGAAUUUACCUUUACUACCUGUGUCGGGUUAUCAAGACCGUGUAUUUCUUCAAUAGGUGGUAAAUUAAGACCAUGUAUUUCUUCAAUAGGAGGUAAAUUCUUAACAUCUUCAGCUUUAAUGCCUUUUUCUUUCAUAGAUUUCUUUGCCUCUUGCAUAUCUUCAGGACUGAGAAAUAGAUGCCCCUUUUCUUCGUAGUUGGCUUAGGAGUUGGUUCAGGAAGUGUCCAAUUAUUUUCAUUAGUCAAAAUAUUAUUCAAUAGCAAUUCAGCUUGAUCAACUGUUCUUUCCCUGAAAACACAACCAGCACAACUAUCCAGGUGGUCUCUGGAAGCAUCUAGUAGUCCAUUAUAAAAGAUAUCAAGUAUUUCAUUUUUCUUGAGAGGAUGAUCAGGAAAAGCAUUAAGUAAUUGGAGAAGCCUCACCCAAGCAUGUGGGAGACUCUCUUCUUCAAUUUGCACAAAAUUAUAUAUUUCCCUUAAAGCAGCUUGUUUCUUAUGAGCGGGGAAAUAUUUAGCAGAGAAGUAAUAAAUCAUAUCCUGGGGACUACGCACACAACCAGGAUCAAGAGAAUUAAACCAUGUCUUAGCAUCACCCUUUAAUGAGAAUGGAAAUAAUUUAAGGAUAUAGUAGUAGCGAGUUUUCUCAUCAUUAGUGAAUAGGGUGGCUAUAUCAUUUAAUUUAGUAAGAUGUGCAACAACAAUUUCAGAUUCAUAGCCAUAAAAAGGAUCAGAUUCAACCAAAGUGAUUAUCUCAGGAUCAACAGAGAAAUCAUAAUCCUUAUCAGUAACACAGAUAGGUGAAGUAGCAAAAGCAAGGUCAUAUUUCAUUCUAGCAUUCAAAGAUUUUUCUUUCAGCUUAGCUAAUAAUUUCUUAAGAUCAUUCCUAUCGUUGCAAGCAAGAAAGUCUCUAACAGUUUCUUCAUCCAUAACAUAACCCUCAGGCACAAUAGGCAAUUCAUAUCUAGGGGGAGAAUCUUCAUCAUCACUUUCAUCAAUAUUAUCAGUUUCAAUAAUUUCAUUCUCUCUAGCCCUAGCAAGUUGUUCAUCACGAAAUUCACCUAGUGGCACACUAUUAUCAAGCAUAGAAGUAGUUUCAUCAUAAGUAUCAUGCAUAGCAGAAGUGGCAUCAUCAAUAACAUGCGACAUAUCAGAAUUAAUAGCAGAAGAAGGUUUAGGUGUCGCAAGUUUACUCAAAACAGAAGGAGAAUCAAGUGCAGAGCUAGAUGGCAGUUCCUUACCACCCCUCGUAGUUGAGGGAUAAAUUUUGGUUUUCUCGUCUUCCAAGUUCCUCAUAGUGACCAGCAGAUAUAAAUCCCAAGUGACUCAAAGAAUAGAGCUAUGCUCCCCGGCAACGGCGCCAGAAAAUAGUCUUGAUAACCCACAAGUAUAGGGGAUCGCAACAGUUUUCGAGGGUAGAGUAUUCAACCCAAAUUUAUUGAUUCGACACAAGGGGAGCCAAAGAAUAUUCUCAAGUAUUAGCAGUUGAGUUGUCAAUUCAACCACACCUGGAUAACUUAAUAUCUGCAGCAAAGUAUUUAGUGGCAAAGUAGUAUGGAAGUAACGAUAACGGUGGCAAAAGUAACAGUAGCAACUUUGUAGUAAUUGUAACAGUGGAUAUGGUAAAGUAACUAAGCAAAGAUCAAUAUGUGAAAAGCUCGUAGGCAUUGGAUCAGUGAUGGAUAAUUAUGUCGGAUGCGAUUAUUCAUGCAACAGUUAUAACAUAGGGUGACACAGAACUAGCUCCAGUUCAUCAAUGUAAUGUAGGCAUGUAUUCCGAAUAUAGUCAUACGUGCUUAUGGAAAAGAACUUGCAUGCCAUCUUUUGUCCUACCCUCCCGUGGCAGUGGGGUCCUAUUGGAAACUAAGGGAUAUUAAGGCCUCCUUUUAAUAGAGUAUCAGACCAAAGCAUUCACACUUAGUGAAUACAUGAACUCCUCAAACUACGGUCAUCACCGGGAGUGGUCCCGAUUAUUGUCACUUCGGGGUUACCGGAUCAUAACACAUAAUAGGUGACUAUAGACUUGCAAGAUAGGAUCAAGAACUCACAUAUAUUCAUGAAAACAUAAUAGUUUCAGAUCUGAAAUCAUGGCACUCGGGCCCUAGUGACAAGCAUUAAGCAUAGCAAAGUCAUAGCAACAUCAAUCUCAGAACAUAAUGGAUACUAGGGAUCAAACCCUAGCAAAACUAACUCGAUUACAUGAUAAAUCUCAUCCAACCCAUCACCGUCCAGCCAGCCUAUGAUGGAAUUACUCACGCACGGCGGUGAGCAUCAUGAAAUUGGUGAUGGAGGAAGGUUGAUGAUGACGACAGCGACGGAUUCCCCUCUCCCGAGCCCCGAACGGACUCCAGAUCAGCCCUCCCGAGAGAGAUUAGGGCUUGGCGGCGGCUCCGUAUCGUAAAACGCAAUGAAUCCUUCUCUCUGAUUUUUUUCUCCCCGAAAGUGAAUAUAUGGAGUUGGAGUUGAGGUCGAUGGAGCGUCAGGGGGCCCACGAGGUAGGGGGCGCGCCCCCACCCUUGUGGACAGGGUGUGGGCCCCAUGACGUGGAUUUUUCUUCCAGUAUUUUUAAUAUUUUCCAAAAAGAUGUUCCGUGGAGUUUCAGGUCAUUCCGAGAACUUUUGUUUCUACACAUAAAUAACACCAUGGAAAGUCUGCUGAAAACAGCGUCAGUCCGGGUUAGUUCCAUUCAAAUCAUGCAAGUUAGAGUCCAAAACAAGGGCAAAAGUGUUUGGAAAAGUAGAUACGAUGGAGACGUAUCACCGACUCAACCCGGCCACUCCCUGACGAUCGACAAGACGGCCAACAGUGCCCCCAUACCCGGCGGGCCCAGCGCCCGGAGAACCCGGCGAGCCCUGACCCCAGGCAGGUCCCAGCGCCGGCUUCUCGGACAAUGACAAUCCGGCCCCACGGCCUUGUAACAUUACCCUUGUACCCCUGGGGGGUUGGCCUAUCACUACUAGGGAAAACCUUAUACAUAGAAUCUUAGCAGCAGCGCGGCACAAAAAGAGGCGCUACUGCUAAUUAGCAGUAGCGAGGUUAAGAAAAGCACGCUACUGAUGUAUAGCGCGUGAUGUCUAAACCGCGCUGCUACAAAAAUCUACCGACACUACCCAACAACCUAAGUUUACCAGCAGCGCUGUGUGACGAUGCGCGCUACUGCUAAUGCGAUAGUAGUAGCGUGCUUUUGAGUCACGUCGCUGCUGCUAAUUUUGAAAUUGUCCACACGGUUGGCCCGUUUAGCAGUAGCGCGUGUGAUGAAAGGGCGCUGUUGCUAAGCUCUUAGCAGUAGCGCGUUUUUCCUCCCGCGCUACUGCUAAGACGCAGCACCCCACCACCUUUUCCCACCCGUACGUCCUCCCCUCCCCCAUCUCCUCUCCUCCCUUUCCCCUACCUCCCACAUCCUCCCUCUCUCACUCUUCUUCUUCCUCAAUACUUCUUCCUCAAUACUUCUCCCCCCAUUACUCUCCCUCUUCUACCUACCUUUCUCUCUCUUCAUUACUCCUAGCUAACUAACACCACCUCCAUCAAUGCAUCUCCUUUCUCUUUUUCCUUCCCCCUCCACUAGUUGAAGUUGUCUCCUCCCAAAUUAGCUAGCUAGGUAGAUGUAGCAUUUAGUCAAGUGACCUAUUUGCCCCCUAACUAGAUCUAUCUUUGUCAAGAAGAGCUUUGUGCACUUGAUCUCCCUACAUCAUCAUCUCCACCGUGUGCUCGAUCUCGAGAUAGAGGUGAUUAAAAUUUCAUGCUUUUGCAAAAUGGAAAUAUGUGUAUGUGUGUGUGAUAUGAUAAUUGGGCAAUAUGAUGGAAAUUGUGUGUGUGGCAUGAGUUGACGCCAAAUUGUGCUUUUGAGUUGCCUAUGUUUUGCCGAAAUGUCGAUUUAUUUCCGUUUCGGCGAAUUCCGGGCAAACUCUAGAUCUAUAUAUGUCCUAUUUUUAGGGAAGGUCAUGCCGAAUUUUUGUAUGACUUUGAUGCAUGCACGCAUUUUUAUAAUCAAUUUGUUUAUUAUUACCGUGCAGACGUUCAUGAUGGCAGUGGAACGAUGGUGGACAGGUGGUUGCGGUCGGUGGUGUAGGACAUGAAAGAAAAUAACCGGACAGAGGUUUUAUGUCCGUGUCAGAAAUGCAAAGGAAUAGUUUGGCUCGACCCCUAUGACGAUGGUCGUGUCGAAGCACACCUGCUCAUGACUGGUUUCAUGGAUGGCUAUACUCGAUGGAUAAUUGAAGAUGAGGAUGACGAUGUUGAGGACACCGACGGGGCAGGCAAUGACGACACGGGGCAAGAAGAAGAGAUGAUCGAUAAUGGCGGCGGGGAAGAGGCCGGACAUGGCGGCGGAGAAGGGGCCGGACAUGGUGGCGGAGAGAACGACAUGGACUCCACGCAGCAGAGUUCGUCGGUACUAAGUUCAAUCGUGCGGGACCCUCAUGUUCAAGCACUGCUUCACAAGGAGACGAGUACUGAGAGAGCUGCUUCUAGAGAGGAGGCUAAGCUGGAGCAACUGGUGGUAGACUCAAACACUCCAUUGUAUGAUGGUUGCAAUCCUGAGGUGACCCGCUUGAGUUUCACGCUCCAACUCCUGAAGACGAAGGCUAAAAACAAAUGGACCGACACUAGCCUCGAUGAGCAUCUCAAGUACCUAAAGGAUGUUCUUCCCGCGGGGAAUCUAUGUCCUACUAGUGUUGAUGAGGCCAAGAAGAUCGUGUGCCCUCUUGAUCUGCCGCACGUUAGAUACCAUGCAUGCAUCAACGAUUGCAUAAUUUAUCGGAAGGAGCACGCGGAAAAAACCAGCUGUCCGGUGUGCAAUGCUUCUCGAUACAAGAAGGCCGGGAAGAAAUGUCCCCAGAAAGUUGUAUGGUACUUACCGAUCACUCCCCGUCUCCAGCAGUAUUUCAUAGAUCCCAAGGAAGCAAAGCUAAUGCGCUGGCACGCGGAGAGGAAGAAGCCCGACGAUGGAGAUGAUCCGAAGCUGAGACACGUCAAGGAUGGAAGCCAGUGGAGAGCGUUGAACAACUUCUAUCGGUAUUUCGAAUGUGAUGCAAGGAACAUCGUGCUCGGCGCGUGUACCGAUGGCAUGAAUCCGUUUGGCAACCAGAACACCAACCAUAGCACAUGGCCCGUGUUUGUAUGGAUGUACAACCUCCCCCUGGUUGUGCAUGAAGUCGAAGUACAUUCACAUGAGCAUGCUUAUUCAAGGGCCAAAACAACCAGGAAAUAAUAUUAAUUUGUAUCUUGGGCUACUUCAAGAGGAGUUAGACACAUUAUGGAAAACAACGGCCAAGACAUGGGACACCAGCAAAGGCGAGUAUUUCUACAUGAGAGCCGCGCUGAUCACGACGGUGCACGACUAUCUCGGUUAUGGAUAUGUCGUAGGCCAGGUGUGCCAUGGAUAUUGCGAAUGCACGCGGUGCAUGGAUGAUACGACGUCUCAGCAGCUAACGUCAAGGAAAGAUGGCGGGUCUGGGAAAAUCGUGUACAUGGGGCAUCGAAGAUGGCUCGAACAGGACGACCCAUGGAGAAACCAUGGAGAUCUAUUCAAUGGUCACGCCGAGCAUCGAGGACCUCCACGUAAGCGGAGCGGUGCCGAAAUCGAUGAGCUGUUGAAAAACUGGAAGGAGUGCCCCGCGCCGGGGAAGACGAUGAAAAAGGCGCCAGAGCCGCUGCUGAAGGUAUGGAAGACGAAGUCUGUGUUCUGGGACUUGAGUACUGGCACAAACUCGAUACACCUCAUUACCUUGAUCAAAUGCAUAUCUGUAAGAAUGUCCUUGAGAGAUUGCUCGCGACACUGAUGAUCAUGCCGGAUAAGACCAAGGAUGGGCCGAAGGCAAGAAAAGACUUGCAAGAUUUGAAAAUCAGGGAAGAUCUGCACAUGCCGCCCCGUAAAAAGUUAGACGAGACAGAGACGGAGACAAAGGCGCGGGAGAAGAAGGGCAAGAAAAUAAAGAAAUAGGAUUAUUGCCCCCCUUCUUGCUUCACCUUAAGUCAGGCUGAGAUCGAUCAAUUCUUUAAGUGCCUUACUGGAGUCAAAGUUAGUUCCGGUUACUGUGGCAAGAUAAGUAGAUAUCUAGACACGGACAAGAAAAGGUUCAGCGGGAUGAAGUCCCAUGACUGUCAUGUGAUGAUGACGCAGAUACUACCUAUUGCCCUUAGAGGGAUAAUGGACAAGCACGUCCGUGACACGCUUAUUGGUCUCUGCAACUUUUUCGACGUCAUCUCUCGAAAGUCGAUCAGUCUGAAGCAGCUCCGAAGGCUACAGGAAGAGAUCAUUGUGAUACUGAAUGAGCUUGAGAUGUACUUCCCGCCCGCGUUCUUUGAUGUGAUGGUGCAUCUGUGUGUCCAUAUUGUGGACGACAUAAUAGACCUGGGGCCGUCAUUUCUGCACAACAUGAUGCCGUUUGAGAGGAUGAAUGGGAUCAUCAAAGGAUUCGUUCGUAACAUGUCCCGUCCGGAUGGAAGCAUCGUCCAGGGCUAUCUGACACAAGAGUGCAUCUCUUUCUGCAAGAAUUUUCUAUAUGGCGCAGACCAGCUGCCUGGUGUUAGUGUUGGUUUGCCCAUUAACAAGCACGAUGGGAGGCUCGAAGGAGAAGGUCACUCCAACGGUCGCAGGGAACUGCACGUGGCAUACUCAGAUCGACGCAGCGACUUUGACAGAACAAACUUGGUAGUGCUACAACACCUAGACGAGGUAGAUCCUUUCGUGGCACUGCACAAAGAAAUUAUCGCAAAGAAGUAUCGUGACCGGGGGGUAUGCAGGACGGACGCCGAAGUUACUAGAGAGCACAACUCCACUUUCCUGCAUUGGUUCAAAGAGCAUAUUAUUGCUAAUCCCCCGGAGGAGGGCUCUAAGGACGGAUUACUCAUAUACGCCUUAGCACAUGGCCCCUCGCCCAACCUCGUUACCUAUCAGGCAUACGAUAUCAAUGGAUACACGUUCUACACGGAGGCCACAGAUAUGGACAGUGAUGAUCAGAACUCAGGGGUGACGAUGGAAUGCAUGACCGGCAGCGACAACAGCGCAACUGAAAGAUUUUACGGAAGGGUCGAGGAGAUCUGGGAGCUUGACUACUAUGGACUGCACAACACGACGAUGUUCCGUGUCAGAUGGGCUAAGAAUGUCGAAAGAGAAAACCGAAAUUUCACUACCAUGACUAUACCCGACGCCAAGAGCCCUACCGUGAACGCUAUCGCAAAAAACGAGCCAUGGGUACACGCUAAGCACGUGACACAAUGCUUCUUCAUAACCGACCCGCGCAAUCCCAGCCGUGUUAUCAUGAGGAGAGGCAAAAGGAACAUCAUUUGAAUGGAUGGAGGCGCCAACGAGGAAGACUACGAUCAGUACGGCAACCCAAUGAGGGAAGAUGACGAUGAUGAUGAAGUAUACGUCAAAAUAAGAAUCAAUACUACAUUACCUAAGAAAAAUCGUACUCCAUGGAAAAGGCAAAGUCACAAUGAGGGGCUCAAUUAUUCUUCAACGAACAAGAAGGGAAAGAAGCUGACUCAAAAACGAAAACGUCAAUGAUGAGGAACCGUAUGUAUGUUAUCGGUCAAAUGAUGUAAUAUAUAUGUUCCUAUUUUGUAUACACACUUAGCCAUUAUUAUGCAUGGGUCCAAUAAUGUAAUAUAUAUACAUAUGUUCCUAGUUUGUAUACAUAUUUAACCGUCAAAUGAUGCAAUAUAUAUCGCCUUCCAUUCGUUCACUGCUCUCGGAAAAAAAGAAAAGUAAAGUGAGAGAAAAUAAAGGAAAAGAAAAUAGAAGGAAACAAACAGGAAAACUGUUAUAUAGGUGUUAUAGCAGCAGCACUUUUGUGAGAGAAGAGCUACAACUAGUCAAGAUAGCAGUAGCGGUUUCUACACGAAACCGCUAUAGCUACCUCGGGUAGCUAUAGCGCGUUUUUCCUAAACGCGCUACUGCUAUGCCCACUUAACCCCCAAAAUCGGUCCCCACUCCUCUAUUCAUCCCACCUCUUUUCCCCCAAAUCCCCCGUCGCACCGCGCGCCGGAGCCCUGCCCUCGUCGGGCCUCUGCGCUCGCCCCCGACCCCGACCGACCCCGGCGCCGGCUCCGUCCCCNNNNNNNNNNNNNNNNNNNNNNNNNNNNNNNNNNNNNNNNNNNNNNNNNNNNNNNNNNNNNNNNNNNNNNNNNNNNNNNNNNNNNNNNNNNNNNNNNNNNNNNNNNNNNNNNNNNNNNNNNNNNNNNNNNNNNNNNNNNNNNNNNNNNNNNNNNNNNNNNNNNNNNNNNNNNNNNNNNNNNNNNNNNNNNNNNNNNNNNNNNNNNNNNNNNNNNNNNNNNNNNNNNNNNNNNNNNNNNNNNNNNNNNNNNNNNNNNNNNNNNNNNNNNNNNNNNNNNNNNNNNNNNNNNNNNNNNNNNNNNNNNNNNNNNNNNNNNNNNNNNNNNNNNNNNNNNNNNNNNNNNNNNNNNNNNNNNNNNNNNNNNNNNNNNNNNNNNNNNNCCCCGACCCCGACCGGCCCCAGCGCUCGCCCACGGCCCCGGCCCCGACCCCGGCUCCGGCCCCGGCGCUCGACCCCGACACCGACCCCUCCCAACCUCGGCCGUCGUCGGGACUGCACCCUCCAUAAGCCCCCCACCGCUCCUCCUCUCUCUGGUAGCUAGGGUUUUUGGUUAAUUUACUUAGGUUUUAGUUAGGGAAGAUGGUUAAUUAGGUUAUAUAUUUAGUUAUGAAUUUAGCUAGGUUUUUUCUUCAAGUUCUAUAUUUUUCUUCCUUCUAUAUGCAAAUUUGAAGUGGACAUGUGAUAUGUGGACAUGUGAUGUUUUGGACAUGUCAUAUUUGGAAUUUGGACAUGUCAUUUGGACAUGAUGAUUAUGUGCAGGGUAAAUGAUCCAAGUGGCCUAUGUUACGCCGGAAUGUUGAUUCAUUUCUGUUCCGGUGAAUUUCAGGCGCUCGAUAUGUCCAUUUUUUUAGCAAAGGUCAUGCCAAAAUUUUCCGUGAAUUUUGGCAUGAUUUGUGCUAGACAGUAGGCAUAUCGAGUGCCGCGAGUUGCUGGGAAACGACAUUCCAGCAAACAUAGAUUUCUUUUUUAUGUCAUUUCUCAUUUUUUCAUAGUUUUAGAAUUAAACGACGAGACUUAAUCAUAGGAAACAUGUCGAACAACAAAGAAAUCGGGCCUACUGACCAAGAUGCAGACGAGAUGGAUUAUGAGGGUGAACAAGAGUACCUUGACUAUUUGACUGCUAAGAAAUUCCAAAGUCAAUGUUUGUAGGUCGGCCUAGAUGAUGGUACUGACGCCGACAUCGACACCGACGGCGCCGGCACCGAUGGCGGCGCCGAGACGGGCGGGGAAGGUAUCGGCGGGGAAGAUACCGGCGGGGAAGGUACUGGUGCCGAUGCCGCUAUCGAAAGGAAGAAGCAGAAGAAGCAGAGGAUACAAAAACCUAACAACCUAGGGAUUGGACGACUGGUGAUCACAAAGAUGGCACCUGGCAAGUUUGAGCCAUUAGAGGCGGAAGAACCUCGCAAGUGCUAUGGGAACCAAGUAGGAUGCAUCCUACGGGAAUGCGCGAGCAUCAACGACGAUGACUUAAGGAGUAAAGAACAUUUGAUGCAGUUGCUCCCGACGAAGUUGCCCAAGAGACUCAAGUUCCCCGACCGGGAUGAUAACAUAGAACAACCGUGGGAUGAUCCGAAGAUGAAAAAGAUUAACAAUCACGCCAUGGGCAUGUUCAGCAAUGAUUUGGCCUCCUGGAAAGGGGGGGUGAAACGAGCUAUUGAGGAUGAGGAACCCCUGUCCAAGAUUCUGGAGGAAAAUCCGACACUUACGGAAGAGGAGUUCGAAAAGUUCAAGGACACUUGCGCUACCGAGGCAGCCAAGGCUAAGGCUGCAAAAUUCAAGAGCCUUCAGCAAAGGAACACGGGGAAGCAUCGCCCCGGAAGUCGUGGCUACCUCGGUAAAAGGUCCAUAUGGGAUAAGGAGGACGCGGAACGUGAAGCCACGGGUAUCCCAGACCCCAUCGCGAAGUUCACCAACCCCUUGGAGCGUGACUUCAUCAGGGCCCGCUACAAGUGGGACAAGGAAAAGAAGGUUUUUUACACGGACCAGAUCACGAGGAAAUUGAUUAGACUACUGGUAAUUAUUCUUUUACCACCUUACAUUUAGCUCCAUAUCUAGUCGACUACACAUUCCUAAACAGUUCACACUCCUUCUGCAGGAGAAGCAACACCAGCUUGCAGCCGAAAGCCCUACUUCUCCGAUGAGGCCCAAGUGGGACACCCCUCUCAACCGGGCCUUGAACGAACUUAAGGGACUGCCUUUGGGCCAGCGGCCGCAAUAUAGUCGUGUGCACGGCGCUGGAGACGGCGCCACGUGGAAGGUGUUUUAGAACGAGGGCCCGGAGGCCAAGAAGCAGAAAAAGAAGUUUAGUCAGGCGGACAUCAACGAGAAGGUGAAGCUUGCGGUCGAGAAAAAAGCAGCUGAGGAUGCGAAAAAAAUAGCCGAGGAGAAAAAUGAGUUGCUACAACAGGCAGUCAAUGCAGCUGUAACUGCCUACAGAAAUGAUUUCGCUACUAACUUGGUUCCAGCUAUCAUCAACUGGACAAAGGAAAAUCCAGACAAGACGGUACAUGAUUUCCCGUUGCCCAGUUUCGUCAGGAGCAACUCCAUGAACAACAACACCACCGCACCAUCACUUGCUCACGCAACUGGGCCUCCUCUCGCAGUUGCUCCCGCUCAUAGCAGCCAUCCUCAGUCUCUGGCGCGCUAGGUGGGCCUUCAUCUUUGGCUGAGCUCGACGCCCUCACGGUAAUUACAUGUCGCACCAAAAUAUAUAGAAUAUUCCAUUUUCGUUGCCUUUCGGAUGUUUUAUGCCACAGACAUAUGUUUUUGCAGGCCGAAGAAACCCCGUGCACCAUACUCUACUUGAUCAAAGGCCAAAAGGUGGACGUGGGAAAGGGGAUGAUAAUUGUAAGUGCAUCUAGUGCCACCCCUAGUUGGUUUUGGAGUAUUGACGACAAACCUGGUUGAGGGACUAAUGUGUUUGUGAGAAUUGCAGGAUAACACAGGUAGUAGUCCCUCAUUGAUUCGGUUUACCUACCGGAGUUGACCCCUAAAAAUGUAUGAAGACAUUGAAGACAAUGGUGGUAUGUGAAGAUAUUCACAUUGAAGACUAUGACCUGAGAAGACAUUGUGUGAAGAGUAUGGAGCGCGAAGACUUAGUUGUUUCGUUGUUUCCUUUUCUUCUUUGUUGAGUCGUAGGAACCACCGUACUGUUAAGUGGGGUCCCAGUGAACAAAGUCAGAGUGACUGAAGUGAUGCUCAACCAAAAUCCUAUGUCUUCGAGCGAAGACAAUGAGAGCAAAUCAUAUCCAGAGCUGGAUGAGUCAGCUUACUUGCAGCCCAAGUCAAGCUGUCGCGUGUGUUUGAAAUAUGACCGUUGGAACACGUGUCAGUUCCUGAGUGACCCAGGGUCAUUUCGGACAAAUUAGGUCGGGUUGCCUAGUGGCUAUAAAUAGCCCACCCCCUACACCAUAAAUUGGUGGCUGCUCAGAGUUAGUGCACGGCUUCUGUCGUUUGAGAGCAACCCACCUCCGAAGCUUUUGAGAGAGAGAAAUCCUUGCGAGGACAAAGCCCAAACACCCAGAGCCAAAGAGUGUUAGGCAUCACUGAAGUCUUUCUGUCCGCGUGACCUGAAGACUUGUUACACUUGAGGACUGUGAAUCCUCCAGCCAGUUAGGCGUCGCGUUCUGAGCAUCCAAGAGUCAUUGUGGAUCGCCGGUGAACGAAGUCUGUGAAGGUUUGGAAGUCUACCUUGAAGACUUACCAGAGUGAUUGGGCGAGGACUGGGUGUCCUUAGCUCAAGGGGAAUAAGGUGAAGACGUGGUCUUCUGAGUUGAAUCUCAGCCUCCCUAACCAGACGUACAGUUGUCACAGCAACUGGAACUGGUCCAACAAAUCCUGUGUCCUCACCAAGUGACUGGUUCUAUCCUCUCCCUCUCUUUACCUACAGUUUGUCUUCGUGAAGUCAUUGCCUGCUUGCACUACUUGUUUGACUUCACUGUGUGACUACUAUCAUUGUUUGGCUUCAUACCAUCUUCCAUCCUGAUCUGUUCUACCUAGCUGCUAUUAGUCUUCGUGCUUUCACUUCAUUGCAUACUUGACUAUGGCUUGCUUAGUGUAGUCCACCUUCCACUGCAUAUCAAUAGGUUCAUUUCUAUUUGGACGUUCAUAAGACUCGCCUAUUCACCCCCCUCUAGUCGAUAACUAGCACUUUCAAUUGGUAUCAGAGCAAGGUACUCCCUUGUUCUGUGUGAUUUGGUUUAACCACCUGAAGUUUUAGCUAUGUCGACUGCAGGGAUAAUCAAAGUCUCCGCUGCUUGCCCCGUCUUCGAUGGAACUGAAUAUCCCUACUGGAAGAAUAAGAUGCGCAUGCAUCUUGAAGCCAUUGAUGUCGACCUCUGGUAUGUCGUCAAGAAUGGCGUUCCCAAGACUGGUGAAGGUGUCACCCCUGCUGAUGUCAAGAAGUUCAUUCAACUGGAUUCUACUGCCAAGAAUAUCAUCUGUGGUCAUCUGACCAAAGGAUAGUAUGGCCGUGUGAGUGCUCUGGAAAUGUCGAAGCUAGUCUGGGACUGGCUCUCCAAGGUCAACGAAGGCGUCUCAACCCAGAGAGAUCAAAGGAUCAGUGUUCUUCGCAACCUCUUCAACCGCUUCAAGAGAAAUGACAAUGAGAAUGUCCAGCUCACGUUUGAUCGCCUCACUGACAUCACAAAUGAGCUACGUGCUCUCGGCGCCACUGAGAUCACCAAGCAUGAAAUCUGCAAGACACUACGGAGAUCACUUGACAGCUCGUUUGACACCCUUGCCCUGAUGAUACAAGAACGCCCUGACUUCAAGACACUCGAUCCGUCUGAUAUACUUGAGAGGCUCAACACACAUGAGUUCCAGCUAUCUGAGAAAAGAGAUAUCUAUGGUCCCAACUAUGGCCGAACUCGUGCUUUGAAGGCAAAAGCUGUUUCCUCAUCUGAAGAAGAAUCUGACUGCAGUUCUGAUGAUCCUGAAGAUAUUGGAAAGGAACUUGCUAUGCUUGUGAAGAAGUUCCUGAAGUUCACUAAGGAGAAGGGCUUCAGAAAGUCUUCACGAUCGAGCUCAAGAAAUGAUGAAGCUUCCACUCAUGACUACAAGAAGAGAACAUGUCACAAGUGCAAGAAACCUGGACACUACAUCUCUGAGUGUCCACAGUGGGACAAUGAGAACAACAAGAAUAAGAAGAGCAAGGAAUAUGAUUCUGAUGACAAGAAGAAGAAGAAAUCCUCAAAGUCCUCUUCCAAGUCCUCAUCCAAGUCUUCAUCUCACAAGAAGAGCUCAUCUGGCAAGGCUCGUGCCUUUGUGGGCAAGGAGAUGGAUUCAGAGGAGGAGUCUGCUUCUGAGGAGGCGGAGGUGGAGUCUGAGGAGGAGUCCGACCCUGGCAUUGCAAGUCUGGCUCUAGCUACAGCCUACGUCGCCAAGUCUAUCUUCAACACUGAAGACAAUGGCCCCGUCACCAACGCUGAUGCUAAUGACAAGGACGACUCUGCUCCCACCUACUGCUUCAUGGCACGUGGUGCCAAGGUAAAAUCACGCUAUGCUUACUUUCAAACAUCAAGUGAAGACGACUCUGAUUGUGAAUCCAAACCCAGCUACAAAACACUUGCUAAAAUUGUAGCUGAACAACAGAAAGCUAUGGAACAUACUGAAAAACUGUUAGACAAACACGAUGACCUGUUGGACGCGGAAAUGACCCGUUCUCAGUCCUUAAUUGAAUACAUAAAAAAUAUUCAUGUUAAGUACCAGGAACUUGAAAGUCGUCAUGAAACGCUCUCAACCACUCAUGAAAAGCUCUCCUAUGAUUAUCUUCAAAGGAAGCUAGAGAUUGAGAAAUUGAGAGCGGCUCAUGAAGAUCUUCAAAAAGAAAAUGAGUCACUUCGCGCUCAACAGAUCAUGAAACGCUCUCAACCACUCAUGAAAAGCUCUCCUAUGAUUAUCUUCAAAGGAAGCUAGAGAUUGAGAAAUUGAGAGCGGCUCAUGAAGAUCUUCAAAAAGAAAAUGAGUCACUUCGCGCUCAACAGAUCAGUUCCGCUCAGGAAGGAUUUGAACCACCAUGUCUAAAAUGCCUUGAGCGUGAUAACGCUACUUCUAUUGCUGAAUGUUCUACUGCUGCUACUGUUGCAAUAUCUUCAACUGUUGAUGUGGUAACUAACCCCUCUGCUGAGGAUACCACUACUAUUGCUGAUGAAAAUGCUAGGUUAAAUACAUUGCUUGAAACAGGGAUGUACAAAAGUCUCAAAGGGCAUCAGACAUUGUGCGAUGUCCUCAAAAAGCAGAUUUUGAACCAAAACCCUAGGAAAGAGGGUGUUGGGUUCGAGAGGAAAAUGAAUGUUGAUGGCUCCUACUGGAAGCCUGAGCAGUAUCCCAAAACCACAUGGGUUGCUGCAAAGGGACCUUCAGUGGAUCCAUCCACCUUAUCUGGCUUCACUUGUGCUAACCCUAUUAUCAUUGAUGAAUCCUUUGAUGCAAACUAUAAACUGUUUAAGAAUCAGAAUGGUGAAGUGUUUGCCAGGUAUAUUGGUACUAACUGCAGGAAUGGGCCACCUAUGAAGAAGAUCUGGGUUCCCAAAAGUUGUCUUGAGAAUCUUCCUGUGAAUAUCAUCAUGACACCACCUGGGAAGAAGACAAAUCUCAGACCAAAGGCUUCAUAUGGUCCAAAGGCUUCAUACAGAUACAGGACUCAACUGAGUCACCCUAACGCCAAUGUUUUGCAGGGAAAUCGUACUAAGACUUAUGAAUAUGAGCGUGUGUCUUCAAACCGCUAUGUUCGUAAAACUAAGAACUUUUCUGCUUAUUCAUAUGAGUAUCAUUCAUCUCCUGCAAGGCUAUUUGCUAGGGCUCCAAAGCCGAAGUUCUCAGAUGCUGCACUUAGACUCAUUGCUUCUAAGCCACCCCUGAAGAUGUGGGUGGUUAAGAAGAAUUAACUUUCUUUUGCAGGGAAAGGUCUCCAGCCGGAAAUCAAAGGCGUUUGAUGCUAUUGCUGGGGACCUAAAACAUCUUGUAGGGCGCAAGAUCAAAUGCCCAAAUGGUCUUACUAUGUAUUUUGUUCCUGAAUCGCUUGCCAAUCAUCCUAUCAGUCCUAAUCUUGAUCUGAGCUUUGAUAAUCCUCUUGCCCGUCAAAUGUUUAUGCUUCACAAUACUCUUGGUGAAGCCUAUCCCCCUAACUGUACUAUAGGGUAUGACACUUCAUGCUUUAGAAUGGACGAUGGACAGCGGAUGCACUAAUCAUAUGACUGGUGAUCGAAGUCUUCUCAUGGACUCAACCUUACGACCAUCUGACAAGAGUCACAUCACAUUUGCUGACACUGGUAAAAGCAAGGUAUUGGGUCUAGGUAGAGUUGCAAUCUCAAAGGAUCAGCACAUGGAUAAAGUGAUGCUUGUUGAAUCCCUUGGUUUCAACUUAAUGUCUGUCUCAAUGCUUUGUGACUUAAACAUGAUUGUGAUAUUUGGAAAAUAUCGUUGCCUUGUACUAAUGGAAUCUGACAAAUCUUUAGUCUUUGAAGGGUACCGGAAAGAUGAGCUGUACAUGGUAGAUUUCUCAGCAGGACCACAGCUUGCCGUAUGUCUUCUUGCAAAAGCUUCAGAGUGCUGGCUCUGGCAUCGGAGGCUAGGGCAUGCUAGCAUGAGGAACUUGCAUACUCUCGCAAAGAAGAAGCAUGUCAUAGGCAUCGAGGGCGUCAAGUUCAAGAAGGAUCACUUGUGCGGUGCCUGCGAAGCUGGAAAGUUGACUAGGGCCAAGCAUCCCUCGAAGACAAUCAUGACGACAUCACAACCCUUCAAGCUGCUACACAUGGACUUAUUUGGCCCUACUCACUACUCUACUCUCACUACUACUGCUUGUCUUUAUGGCUUCGUCAUUGUUGAUGAUUACUCAAGAUAUACGUGGGUGCAUAUAAUUCUCUACAAGACUGAAGUGCAGGAUGUCUUCAGACAAUUCGCCAACCGUGCCAUGAACAACUAUGGCGUCAAGAUCAAGCACAUCAGAAGUGACAACGGCACAGAGUUCAAAAACACCGGCCACGAUCUUUACUUGGAUACACUGGGAAUCACUCAUGAGUUCUCAGCUCCGUAUACACCUCAGCAGAAUGGCAUCGUGGAGCGCAAGAACAGAACGCUCAUUGAGAUGACAUGGACAAUGCUUGAUGAAUACAAGACUCCAAGAAAGUUCUGGCCUGAAGCUAUUGAUACUGCAUGCCAUGUCAUCAACCGUGUUUAUCCUCACAAGCUUCUGAAGAAAACAUCCUAUGAACUCCUCACUGGUAAGAAGCCGAAUGUCAGUUACUUCAGAGUAUUUGGUGCUAGGUGCUGGAUCAAGGAUCCACAUCACACUUCAAAAUUUGCACCGAAAGCACAUGAAUGUUUUAUGCUCGGUUACGGAAAGGAUUCGCACUCCUACAGAGUCUUCAACCUCUUUCACUAUAAAGUGGUUGAAACUAUGGAUGUGCGGUUCGAUGAGACUAACGGCUCGCAAAGAGAGCACCUGCCAAAUGUGCUAGAUGAUGUUCCACCUAGUGAAUCCAUCAAGCUCAUGGGAACUAGAGAAAUCAUACCGUCUGAAGCACAGCCUGAAGAGGAACUUAUCAUUUCUGCACCUAAUCAACCAGAAGACAGUGCUCAGCCCGAAGACAAUCCUCCUAACGAUGACAAUGAUCAGCAAGAGCAAAAUCUUUGUCCGGUUCAUCCUCGUGUUGCAACUGAAGUACAGAUUGAGAAGAUAAUUGAUAGCAUCAAUGCGCCUGGUCCACUCACUCGUUCAAGAGCAACACAGCUAGCAAAUUUUUGUGGGCACUUUGCAUUUGUCUCAAUAUCUGAACCCAAGAAAGUCGCUGAAGCCUUCAUGGAACUUGAAUGGAUUCAAGCCAUGCAAGAAGAGCUUCAACAGUUCAAGCUGAACAAUGUCUGGGAACUUGUCAAGCGUCCUGACCCCCGCAAGCACAACAUAAUAGGCACACAAUGGAUAUAUCGCAACAAGCAAGAUGAGCAUGGUUAAGUUGUCAGAAACAAGGCUCGUCUCGUUGCUCAAGGAUACACUCAAGUUGAAGGGAUUGACUUCGAUGAAACAUUUGCUCCUUUGGCUAGGCUUGAAGCUAUUCGCAUAUUGCUAGCCUAUGCAAAUCAUCACAACAUCCUGCUGUAUCAAAUGGAUGUGAAGAGUGCAUUUCUCAAUGGAAAGAUUGAAGAAGAAGUGUAUGUUGCACAACCUCCUGGCUUUGAAGAUCCAAAACAUCCUGAUAUGGUGUACAAACUAAACAAGGCACUGUAUGGCCUCAAACAAGCCCCUCGCGCUUGGUAUGAUACACUCAAAGACUUCCUGAAGAGCAAAGGCUUCAAACUUGGUUCCCUGGAUCCCACACUCUUCACGAAGACAUAUGAUGGUGAACUAUUUGUAUGCCAAAUAUACGUGGAUGACAUUAUCUUCGGCUGCACCAACCAAAAAUACAGUGAUGAGUUUGGACACAUGAUGCAAGAGCAAUAUCAGAUGUCCAUGAUGGGUGAGCUGAAGUUCUUCCUUGCUCUUCAAAUCCGUCAACAAAGCAAUGGCAUCUUCAUAUCUCAAGAGAAAUAUCUCAAAGAUUGCCUGAAGAAGUUUGGAAUGCAAGACUGCAAAGGUUACACGACGCCAAUGCCAACCAAGAGUCAUUUGGGUCCUGAAGCCAAUGGUAAAGAGUUCGAUCAAAAGGUAUACCGCUCCAUGAUUGGUUCUUUACUUUAUUUAUGUGCAUCUAGGCCAGAUAUUAUGCUUAGUGUUUGCAUGUGUGCUCGAUUUCAAGCGGCACCAAAGGAAUCACAUCACUUAGCUGUGAAGCGAAUUCUUCGAUAUUUGGCUUACACCCCAACAUUAGGAUUAUGGUAUCCAAAGGGCUCAGAGUUUGAUCUAGUUGGAUUCUCGGAUGCUGAUUAUGCUGGUGACAAGGUGGAUCGCAAGUCUACAUCAGGCACAUGUCACUUUCUGGGACGAUCACUUGUCUGUUGGUCUUCAAAGAAGCAGAACUGUGUAUCACUCUCCACUGCUGAAUCUGAAUACAUUACUGCUGGAUCUUGUUGCGCUCAGCUUCUAUGGAUGAAGCAAACACUCAAGGACUAUGGCAUCCAUCUGAAACAAGUACCACUAUACUGCGACAAUGAAAACGCCAUCAAGAUUGCCAACAACCCAGUUCAGCACUCGAAGACAAAGCACACUGAAAUUCGUCAUCACUUUCUCAGAGAUCAUGUCAUGAAGGAAGAUAUUGAUAUCAUACACGUCAACACUGAAGAGCAACUGGCAGAUAUCUUCACAAAGCCCUUGGAUGAGAAAAGGUUUUGCAAGUUGCGGUGUGAGCUAAAUAUCUUGGAAUCCUCAAAUGUCCUGUGAUCAGGCACAUCUCCUAACACUUAUGCAUGUUGAUGACUUCGAUGUGCAACACACGAAGUAAAGUAUAUCUUCAAUCAAUGAAGACUUACACUCUAAGUGUGAAUACAUUAACGCGAAAUUUGACUUCGGAGCGCCACAAUAAUUGUGCGCCGUGUCUGGGUCUAAUACUUCCUAUACGGUGGGUAACACCACCACCAAAUUUUUCUGUUUGAAGUGUUUUUCUCAUGGCGUUACAUUUGCUAUGUCUUCGCAUUUGGUUUGUCUUCAAUAUCAACAUGACUUCAUGUUUUUCUUCACAAUGAUGAUUUGGUUUCAUUCUGAUAUAUACAUAUACAUAUAUUAGUGUUCUGUCCUCUACAGCAUUCACUUAUAGCUAUGUCUUCUUGUUUGAAUCUUUUGAACUAAGUGAACUAGAUGAUUCCCCGCGCGUUGCUGCGGGACUUUGUUGUGGAUUUUCUGUGACAUCACUACAUCAAAUAAGAAAAUAACUUGAACAAAUAAUAUGAUAGAUUUUUCCAUAGGGAGUUGUGAAUGGCUGCCGAACAACACAACCCACUAUCGAAACAUGGACCCUAAAUAAUAAGCAAUACAACAUGGCAAGCAUUCACACAAUGGUAAGACGACAAAUUUCCAAAAAAAAGUAUGUACUGUAUUGACAUAGUUCAAGCAAAUACAUAUAGAAGCAAGAAUGUUGAGCCCCCCAAGCUGUAAGGGCUUAAAGAUGGCUCCUGGAAGAUGGGUCACUAAACAUUAUUUGUGUGAAAACAGUACUACAUACACCUGCAAGCUACCAAGAAGAGAAGUGAACGACAUAAGCUUACGGAAUACGGAUAUGGGAAAAAGGGUCAAAUUUGGUGCUUGCAAAGAUGAGUAUUUUUAGUUUGGCUGUUGAGUCAGUGAACUCAUGUGUUAAGAUGCUGUUUUGAUUGAUACCAAGAAUACAUGAGAUCUCAUGUGCUUUUAGAUAAAGUGAUAGAUAUAAUACAUGAGAACUUGAGAUCUCAAGUACUUCAUCAACCUAACUAACCUCUAUUAAGUUAUCUACGGUACUUUUUCAGCUCGUGCAACCAGGGUUGGUCAUGGGAUUAGAACAGGUGGCAAUGGUGUGUGCGUGGCGUGGUCCGCGAGUACGUCCAUGACCUUGUAGAACCGCGACCCCCAAUCUUAUAACCACAAGGGUAAAUUAGAAAGAUUAUCAAAAACUCAGUACCGACUAACAAAAUAAUAUGGUCCCUUGUAUUGUGCUCCACAUGCUAGUUAACCUUAAAACUGUUCUCAGAAAGUGUCUCAUUAAAUUGAUUUAAUUAAUAACAUGUUAAUACAUAAGUGCUCCACAUGCUAGUUAACCUUAAAACUGUUCUCAGAAAGUGCCUCAUUACAUUGAUUUAGUUAAUAACAUGUUAAAUACAUAAGGCGGGGAACAUGCAAAGACAUGGAUGUGUCUCAUAAAUUCAUAGUACGAACAUUGAUUCACUGAAUUCAAUAUAGGUAAAGUCUCAAGUUCACCAUAGUAAUCUGACAACAAAAGAGAGAACCUGGCAUAUAGAGGGGAUCGUGACGGGUCGCAGGCAAUGUCGAGGGCACAGCUGGGUCCUGGCCUAAUACGUUUCCCACCCUCCCGUUAGUGAUUGCAAGAGAAACCUGCAUGAAAAGGUGGCCUGAUAAGGACAAUUCUAAUUCAGCAACUUAGUAGUAAUUUAUUGAUGACUAAACAAACUGUAUUGACCACGUAGGUAUGCUAAUAUGGCUGUAGUUCUACCUGUAGACUAAAGAUGGUCAAAAAUUCGGUAAUAUCCAUGUAGAAAAUCAUGGAUGCACACCAUUUGAUCAGUUGGUAGCAGUGAACACCAAAGUAAGAGAGCAUUUUAUGUAGCUUCAGAUAGUAAGCAGCAAAGUAACAGUGGCAAUACAUGGUCGCAUCAAGGCUCUUUUUGGGUAUGCAUUUAUAGAUAAGUCAAUUUGACCUGCAGCUUUAGGAAGACAGUUAAAUUUAAGAGCGAAAUAUCAGUAUAGCAGUCAGAUCGAUAGUAUCAAGUUUCAGCAUCUCUAUAAUCUGAUAUUUGCAUCAACCAAGCAUGAAUAUUGCAACACGGUAUCUCUGCAGCUUGUGCAGUUAUACAAACAUCAAUUGUAAAAUCUCUGUAUUAAGAACGGACCUGUAAAAAACAAAAAACUGGAUGUCCGAGACCAGAAUCAACGAACGCCGCGAGUAAGAAGGUGUAGGGAGAACCUUGCAUGGAGAAGGACAGUAGCAAAAUGGCCACCCACCCACCCACCCGCCCGCCGCCACCCUAAAACCCUAGCCCACUCACCGCCGGCGAUCUCCACGUCUGACCGUGGGAUCACUCAUCGAAUCCGGCCAUCGUGUUCGGCGUCGUCUGCUCCCUCUUUUGGUUGUCAUCUCAAUGGCGGUACAUGCUUCCAUCUCCCUAGGUUUGGAUUUCUCAGCGGGGAUGAGCAUGGCGCAUGAGAUCGGCCGCUUGUUUCACCGCACGGUCCAUCCUACGGAUCGAUCUGGCCACUUUGUCCUGGUGGCUUCAUUUGCAUGGCACUCUUUCCAUUUGGACGAGGACAAUGUGGGCUUGGCACUUGAAUCAGCCAUUGGUGGAUAUUGUUCUGCUCUCAAGGUAUCUCAACUGCAUGAUCGUGUUUUCUCUUUCAAUGUUUCGUGCAAAGAAGUUGGGUUUUUUAUCUUGCAUCAAAGGAGUUUUGUCUACCCGCAAUUCAAAUGUUACUUUCAUCUUUGGGGUCAUGGUGGCCCAGAUUGGGAAAAAGAAUUUAGGUUAUGGCAAUCUGAAUGUGAUCAGGAGUGGACUUUGAUUAGUCCCUCUAAGAAGAGAGCUAGGUUAGGAUUGGAAGCCAUGCAACAUGCCCCAAGGAAAUCUUCUCUCUGUACUCAAUCAGCUAGAUCUAAGCAUUCCAAGCAUAUUCAAUUUGCCACGUUCAUGCAAUACCCGACUAGAAAAGGUUAUAAUUAUGGGCCUACGUCUGAUGAGGUCACAAUUGUCCGGGAGGCAGGCUAUGUGGUCUCUGGGCAUGAAGCUGUUUCUUCUACGUCGUCGGCAUCUUCGCCGGUACCUGUUUCUUCUUCGUCAUCGGCAUCUUCGCCGCCGGCGUGCCCAGUCAUUCAGUUUGGAACGUUGCCGCCAUCCCCGCAGGGAUCCCAUGCAUGCGACAAGUCUGGAUUUUCGGGUGGUCUAUUGUUACCUGCCACGGCAAGUUUAGACUCGCCCGUAUUGCCUUCUGUUGCAUCUUUGGACCUUGUCACGGCCCUGGGCUCUAGUGCCCAGCCCAUCUACCUAUCGGAUGAUGAAGUUGAAAGCCCAUCUUCGCCGGCGAUUCAGUUUCCCUCUCCAAAAGAUAUUGUUGAUGAUCUGCAGAGUUUUGAUGAGAUGAUUGAGGAUUUAGCUGCAAGCUAUUGGGACUACCAGAAUUGUUUGGGCAUGCGCCACACGUCAGAGACCUGCACAAACCUGAUACGGUGCAGAAAUUGUUUUCGUUCCGGUCAUAUUAAAAAAGAUUGCACCGGUCACGCUCCUGACUUAUCCCUUUGGGUGCCCAAAGUCCCAUCACCUUGCUUUGGAAAUCAUGAGAGGAAGGAAAUUUACUCUGCUUCCCUUGCCUCUUCGGUUUCCCAAGAACAAACGCCUCCCCAGCAUAAAACCCCACCUCCUGCUACUCCACCGUCAUCGCCAUUGCCACGCCCGCCGCCGCAAACCACAUAUCACCAAGCAGCAUCAAGCUCUGAUCCUCGCCCGCCUCCCCCAAUGGCGGUGUAUGAGAUCGAUCCGUUUUGCUUCAUCCCUGCUGGCUUCGACAUUGUGGAUGGUGGUGCGGAUCGUCUGCCGCGCACCUACUACACUCCGGCGAUCCCUCCCCCCCCGAGUGCAUGAGCAGUACAUGGUGGCAAUCGUUGAGCCCGUCCCCCCGGCUCAUCUGGUUGGUGCUCGUCGGCAGGAGGUGCUUAACUUCUUAGUUCAGACCAUGCAUGUUCCUGUCCUCUCUGCUCAAACUUGGUUUCAAGGAGUUGGUUUAUUCAAGAUGGAAGAUCCUGUGGUCCGUGACUCUUUCACUUCGCAUCCGCCUUUUCCUUUGGGUUUAGAUGAGGAUGGCCAGGAGUUCUUCGUCAGAUUAAUUUUGCAUAACCAGGGAGAGGGUUUCAGAGCUCUACAUGGACACAUACAUGGUUGGUUGAUGUUUAUUGGCAUACCUCUGGAUUACCGUAAUACACAGUGCAUUGCGGAUAUGGUUAGUACCUUUGAUCAGUUCCACUACUGGAAUAGUAUAGAUCGUCAGAAAGUCAGAUCAUUGGUUCGAGCUUCGUUCCCUGACAAUGCGCUGGUUCCACGCUCGGUUGCUUUUAGGGAAUUUCCUAAUUGGGGCGGUACUCUAGUUUCUUGGACGGCUGGCUGCUAUAUCCUGGAUGGUGACUUUGCUGAGGCUAUGGUUCCAGCGGAUGAGGACCCUAUGCCCCUAGAUGGCAACCCACAUCCCAUGCCAGGCGCUAAUGCUCCCCCUCAGCCAUUCUGGGCCAUGCCGCCGUACCCUGCUUUGGGUUGGAAUGCGGUGCCCCCUGGUCAUGAUCAAGGACACAAUGAUGCUCAAGGAUGGGGACAGAACUUGAACAAUGAAGGUGGUUGGGGGCCUUGGGAGGAAGCCAACCAGCCCGCCCAUGAACCUGUACAGGACCCAAUCGUACAGGACCAAAACUCCAUGAUCCUCAAUCCAUCCAUGAAUUCUGAUGAUGAUGCUGACAUGGAAGAUGUUCAGGAGCCUUUGGUCCAUGUUCAUCCAGCGGGGCCGCUCGAUCCUAUCAACCUGGGUAUUGUCAGGGUGUUCUAUGGGCCGGUGCCACCACCAGCAAUGAUUUGGGAAAAAUCUUUCAAGUCCUUGAUGCCAGAGUUCUUAAUCAUGAAUAUUCCAGCCUUUCUGCCAGGCCUUUGCUUGCCGCCCUUGCCUGUUAAGUUGAGCUCGCCUCUUUUGGAGCAAUGCUGGCACUCCCUGGCUUUCUACAAGACUGAUUUCUGCACUCAACCACGCCCCUCUAUUGUACUUCAAGACAUACCAGAUGAUUCGCAGGACCCUGCCUCUCAAGCAAUGGAUCAUUCCCAGGAUGAGUUCCUGUUCAGAUCUGUCACCCCCUCGCCCUUGGGGAAGAGACCACGGCAAGCUCGUCACUCCAAGCGUGAUGUUCAGAUCGUUCAAGAGUUGGCUGAUUUUUCUGUCAGACGGAUGACACGCAACUGUGCAAAAAGGACUGGCAUGAAGCCCACCUCUGCAAUUCCUGUGAAGCCUACUCCUCUCCGUCGCCCAAGGCCAAGAAGCUCAAGCUCGACGCGGAUGCAGGCCAAGAUACUCCUCUGCCACCUCCGACGCUGAUCGCUACAAUGCAGGCAAUCGGCUCUUCACUUGUGUAACGCCCACGAUGCGGCUAUAUCUCCCACGUGUCGAGGCACGACUUAGAGGCAUAACCGCAUUGUGGUUUUGUCGCAAGAAGGGUCAUCUUCACACAAUCCCAUGUAAUGAACAAGAAUGGGAUAAAUAGAGUUGGCUUACAAUCGCCACUUCACACAAUACAUAAAUUAAUUCAUACAUCAUCCAAAAUCCACACAUAGACCGACUACGGUCAAAUCCAAAUGAAAAGAAGAUAACCCCAAAUGCUAGAUCCCCGAUCGUCCCAACUGGGCUCCACUACUGAUCAUCAGGAAACGAAACAUAGUAACGACCAAGUUCUUCGUCGAACUCCCGUUAGAGCUCGGUAGCAUCACCUGCACUGGUAUCAUCGGCACCUGCAACUGUUUGGAAGUAUCUGGUGAGUCACGAGGACUCAGCAAUCUCACACCUGCGAGAUCAAGACUAUUUAAGCUUAUGGGUAGGAGAAGGUAGUGAGGUGGAGCUGCAGCAAGCACUAAGCAUGUAUGGUGGCUAACAUACGCAAAUAAGAGCGAGAAGAGAAGCAACGGAACGGUCGUCAACUAGUAAUGAUCAAGAAGUGAUCCUGAACUCCUACUUACGUCAAACAUAACCCACAAACCGUGUUCACUUCCCGGACUCCGCCGAAAAGAGACCAUCACGGUUACACACGCGGCUGAUGCGUUUUAGUUAAGUCAAGUGUCAAGUUCUCUACAACCGGACAUUAACAAAUUCCCAUCUGCCACAUAACCGCGGGCACGGCUCUCGAAAGUUUAUACCCUGCAGGGGUGUCCCAACUUACCCCAUUAUAAGCUCUCACGGUCAACGAAGGAUAUUCCUUCUCCCGGGAAGACCCGAUCAGUCUCGGAAUCUCGGUUUACAAAACAUUUCGACAAUGGUAAAACAAGACCAGCAAAGCCGCCCGAAUGUGCCGACAAAUCCUGAUAGGAGCUGCACAUAUCUCGUUCUCAGGGCACACCGGAUUGUCCAAACUUCCGGUAGGCGAGCCCAGAGUUGCCCCUGGUGGCCACCGGUGGCUGACAGGUUGGACCAACACUCAGAGGAGCACUAGCCCAGGGGUUCAAAAUAAAGAUGACCCUUGAGUCUGCAGAACCCAAGGGAAAAAAAGGCUUAGGUGGCAAAUCUUAAAACCAAGGUUGGGCCUUGCUGGAGGAGUUUUAUUCAAGGCGAACUGUCAAGGGGGUCCCAUAAAUCACCCAACCGCGUAAGGAACGCAAAAUCAAGGAACAUAACACCGGUAUGACGGAAACAGGGCGGCAAGAGUGGAACAAAACACCAGGCAUAAGGCCGAGCCUUCCACCCUUUACCAAAUAUAUAGAUGCAUUAAUAAAAUAAGAGAUAUUGUGAUAUGCCAAAAUAUCCAUGUUCCAACAUGGAACCAACUUCAACUUCACCUGCAACUAGCAACGCUAUAAGAAGGGCUGAGCAAAAGCGGUAACUUAGCCAAACAACGGGUUGCUAGGAAAGGAUGGUUAGAGGAUUGACAUGGCAACAUGGGAGGCAUGAUAUAGCAAGUGGUAGGUAGCGCAACAUAGCAAUAGAACGAACAACUAGCAAGCAAAGAUAGAAGUGAUUUCGAGGGUAUGGUCAUCUUGCCUGAAAUCCCGCAAGGAAGAAGAACGAGUCCAUGAAGAAGACAAACGGACGUAGUCGAAUGAAUCCUCACAAACGCAACAUUACUGGAACUAUCAAGGGGAAGCGCAACCGGAAAGAAGCAAACAACAUGGUAAACAACCAUCACAUAAGCAUGGCAUGAUGCACAAUCAAGUAUGAUGCAUGUCCGGUUUAAAGAGGCAUGGCAAGGUGAAGCAAACAAUACUACAAUUUAAGUGGAGCUCAAUAUGCAACGGGUUGCAUAUUGACGAAACACCACAUCAAUUAUUUAGUUCGCUCUUGUUUAUGCUACUCAUCAAUAUUAAAUGUUGGUUAACAUGGCAAGAGGUGAGGCUUAACAAAACUACCUAUCUAGGCAAAUUUAAAUGAGGCCGGAACAACAAACAACAAUUCCGGAAAAUCCUCAUGUGCAUAUUUUAUAUUUGGUACUGUUCUGCCUAAAACCAUAUUUUAAUGGUAUUAAACAGUAAAACAAAGUGCACCAUGUUAAUCUAUGCAUUUUUCCACUCCAAUUACGUAUAAAGUUUAUUUAAUUCGGAGCUACGGUUAUUUAAAUAUGAAAUAAAUCUUUUUAGCAUGGCAUUUGAGCAAAUUUAAUCAAACAGCAAUUUAAACAUUUCAAACAUGGAUGAAAGUAGCAUAUUAUGAAACUAGAAAAAAUUCUAAGCAUUUUACAUGUCUAAAUCAUUUUAAUCCGAUGCACGGUUGUUGAGUUAUUAAAUGCAUGAUGUUGAGGGUUUUUCUGUAAAACUGCAGUUCCUGGAAAAAUAGUUAAAAUCGUUCCGUGGAAAAAAACAUGAAUCGGGCCGAAUCUGCUGGCCCAACAGUGCACAGAGGGGGCGCUGGAUCUGAUGCUCACCAUGGGUUUGGCCCGGGUCGGUGGAGAGGGGAGGCAGGGCGAAGUGGGGCUGGAGACGCGUUGGGCCUUCGCGCCCUUGCAGCCCACGCACGCGACGAGGAGGCACGAGGCAGCAGGCGUCGCCCUUCUUUGCUUGAUGCAGAGACUGAAGCCGACCGCGGUGGCUUCAGGUGAGACAGGGGACGACAUCUACGCGGGGAACGCAAGGAGGCGGCGGAGACGAGCGGAACCAGACGCGUGAUGGUGUUCUCCGGCGAGGUGGCACGCGGGCGAAGCUGAAGGUUGCGGCGCAUGUUCUCUGUUCAAAUGCAGAGAAGGUUUCAGAGAGAUAAAGAAAUCGGGGUGGAAACAAGAAGGCCGUGAGGAGGCUUGCUGACCAGCGAAGGAAUGGCCAGGAUCCGGCGGAUCCUGAUGCGAUCGAGGCUGGGGAACGGCGAGGCCGGAUGGAUCCACCUCGGACCCGGCGAGGCAGCUUGAGCUCGGCGGCUGGACUCGUUCUGUAGGCAAACAGAGAGGGAGAGAUAUUUAGAGAAGCAGAACGAAAAGGGAAAGAAGAGAGAAGGCGAGGGCGACGGGCGCGCGACUUGCAGGGCUCCGGCGACGAGGCAACGCGGCGGCCACGGACUUGGCGAAGCAGGGGAGCUCCGGGACAUGCGGGACGCGGGGAUGGACGCUGGAGGACGGAUCCGUCCGUCUCCCGGCUGGCCUGGUGCAAACGGCGGCGAGGGAGCUGCGGCCAACCAUGGCUGUUCCUGGUACAGAGAGGGAGAGGCAUGAGAGACGAGGGAGAGGUGCGGCGGCCUGCUCGUACUCGAUGGCGAAGGGACGAAGCAGCAUCGGCGGUGGCGCUCGCCGGCACGGUGCUGGAGACGGCAGAUGCAAGGGCAAGGGAGGAGCACGACGCAGGGGCUCCUCGGGCUCAGACGUGAGGAAGGAGGAGGCAACUGCGGGCUGGUUGGUCCGAUGAAGAAAAUGAGGGAGGAUUUUUGGAUCGGGAGGGGAUCCCGAGGUGGGAGACGACCAGGUGGAGUGUGGCGGCGGCUAGGAGGACAAGGGGGUGGAUUUCUACGGUUAUCCAAAAUGGACUAGGAAUUGACUAUAAAUAUGGAAAGGAGGGAAGUUUGGAUCUUCUGAUUGAAAUCUGACGGACGAGAAUAAAUAGGCUACGGAGUCCAAUAAAUAAAACAAUCAUAUCUUAGGGAUACUUGGAGAUGAUCCGGAUCCAUCGGUAACGACAGCCGGGUUCGGGUUCAGGGAAGUUUUGGAAGCGCACACGAGGGGGUCUGUGCACUAUACAGAGAGACUCCAGUUUAGGCAAGAGGGAAACGGAGAACAAGGUUGGCUCAGAACGGUCAACAAAAGCAAGGGGGGAUGCGGCAACUACGAGUAGAUGCGAGUUUUAAAAAGAAUGACGACAACGAGUGCCGAUGCAAUGCGGAUGAUGCCAUGAUGAAAUGCAACAAACAAAAUAAAACACACGACGGCAACGAAGAACAUUGAAGGCUUCUGAAGCGUCGGUCUUGGGGCGUUACAACACUCCACCACUACAAGAGGAUCUCGUCCCGAGAUCUAAGGACGGCACCGGAGAAAAGCGGAAGAGGAAGAGAAGAGGUAAAGCUAAGUUGCUUCUUUGACAAACGAGUGAAACCACGAACCUUGAGAGAUUGAAUGAAUGAAAAGAGAGAAUACAAGGGAGAUGAACGAGAUUGAAAACACUCCGUUAUCAAAGAGGAACAAGGAACAUUGCGAGAACCUUUGUAGGUUGAAUAAUAUGAAACAAGAGCUUAACGGAUCAGAAGGAAUAUGAAAGCACACCGGUAGAAAAGAGAAACAAGGAACACCAUGUGAACCUUGGAGUUUGCAAAGCUAUGAAUGACGAGAACAAUGGACGAGAAGUACAUGCAAGCACUCAGGUUGAAACGAGAUGUACAAGGAACGAUAAGGAUCAAUUACGAUAACGCUCCGGUUGGAAAAUGGAAGGGAUAGAAUAUGAACUUGGCAAAAUGAAAGCACUUGGACGAGACUCCGGUUAAAAUAGGAAUGAUAGACACAACACUCCGGUUAAAUGGAUAAGUAAGAAAAGAACACGAUCCUCACAAUUCGAUAUGAUGAGCGAAGAGAGCAACAUCACCAUGCCUCCGGAAGAAAAAAUAGAAGAUAGAUCAUUGGAAUAAAGGAAUGGAGAAGAAAAUGCCAACUUCUGCCACCAAUGAUCUUGGAAAGCACCCUUCCAAGAAUGUUAGAACGGAGUUGUUGGAAAAAACCAACAACGAAACGAAUAAGCUUGUAGUGGGCUAAUGGAAACAUCUCAACAUUAUGAGGUGACAAACGGCCACUAAAGGAAGACAUUGGUUUGAGUGAGAGCACCAAGGCGAUGAAAAACUUCUUUCACCAAGAGGAUAGGAGAAAACUUGGAUCAUUGAUAAGCACCAUAAUAGCAACAUUCCUUAGGGAAGGCUUUAAGUGAAACAUGACACAAGAUAAAUCCAACGAAGAGAUUGGUGGAUUUAAAAUAUCUCAUUCUUGACAACAUGUGAAUCAUGAAACGCGAACUCAAAUUGUCAAGAAUGACAUAACACCACCUCAAAUGAUAAGGUAGAAUGAAUUGCACUUUAGAAUGCAAGAUGAAGAAUGCUUGGAAUCCACAAAACAAAACAUGUGUUGAGCACCAUGUUUAUUUUGAAGUAUGGCUUGACAGUUCAUAGCUUCGAGAGAAAUCUUGAAGAACAAUUGAAGAAUGAAAGGAAUCCUUGACGAAGCACCAUGUAGAGCCUCCAUGAAGAACUCCGGUCAAACCAGGAUGAUAGAAAGAGAUAGAAGUUGAAAACACAAGGUGAAGCCUUGCGAUGAUUUAGAUGUAGCUUCGCGACGAGAUAAUGCGAAAAAACUUGGAACUUCGGAAAAGAAAAGAUGAAUCAUCCGGAAUCGAGAAUGUGAUAUGAUGAACAACUCUGGAAAGAAGGAACUAGAUCACUUGGAUGAAAAAUAAUAAGAAUUACGUUAUGCGUAUCCUUCACCAAUUUAAAUUGAUGACAAGCAACGGAUUUGGCAUACUACUUAUUUUUGUAGAAAGGAUUAAGAUAGAUAUGGCGCAAAGUUGGGAAGGUCUUCAACGAACCACCGGUAGGAUUGAAAAGAACGAAUGAAUCUAUAUGAUAACGAAGGAAGAGAAUUCUUGAACGAACCACCGUAAGAAUUGAAAAUGAACGAAGAAAAGAUAAAGAAACACCGGGAAGAAUUAGAAAAUGAACGAAGAAACUUGAGAGAAUUUAGAUAAAAGUGAACGAAGAGAUCAUGAGCUGAUUAGAGAAUACUUGAACGAUGCACCGGAAGAAUAUGGAGAUGAACGAAGAGACAUCAAUUUAGAAUAAUUGGAGAACGAGGCUGAAAACUUAGAACGAAGAAAUCUUCUGAAAUGAUGGCCUUUGGAUGAUCAAGAAACAAAAACAACUCAUGAAAUGCUCCAGAUGGGUAUGAAAAGAAUUUUCACAAUCGAAAAACAAUUAUGAGAGGAUGGCAUAAGCUAGAACUAUGAAUCUUCAAGAGAAUGGACAAGAUUUAAGAGAAACUCUUCUUCGGUCUUCAAAUGUUGAGAAUGACGAUGAGAAACACCACCAUGAAUUGUUGAGGCACUCCGCAAUGAAAUUAGAAAGGUUGAACCAACGAUGAAAAGAAUUUGAAAGAUCUUGGAGAAGGAGUAUGACUGAUGAUACUUCAUUCUUACAUCAAACUUCUAAAAGAAUUUGGGAAUAGCUCCGAAAAGAAUUAGAAGAGUCAGGUAAGAUCCUGGGAAAAGACCUAUGGGUUAGGGCCCACUCAAAAGAUACACCGUUGAAUGACUAAAAGAAAGAUUGCGCCGGUUGAAUUAAAUGGCUCAAAAGAGAUAACAACCUCGAGAUAGCUUGAAUGGAUUGGGAAUGGAAAUGCGAAUCUUCUGAGAUAUCUUCAGCACUCCAGAUAACAUGAAUAGCAAGAGGUGGAUGAUUAAGAGAUGCACCGACAUGAGAAAGCAUUUGAAACAAGGAAAGGAAUGUGAUUAACCCCGAAAACUUGAAUUGAAUCCACCGGAGAAGAAAAGAGAAUGAUGAACUUGAAGCUCCGUUAGUAUCUUCCUGAGAAUCACCGGAUAAGAACAUUGACGGAAAAGGAUGGAGAGACUUCCCAUCAAUAAAAAGGAUACUUGGUUAAGAAAUCUUAGUCCUUGAAGAAAAAGGGUGGGAGGGCGGGAAAACAAAGACAAUUUGGGACGGAUGAAACAAACAACGUUGGGAAAAACUGAGAGGUGAUCUUGUGAAUGUUGAAAUGAUCGGAUCCACUUGAAGAGAAGCACACCGGUUGAAAAGAAUUAAUAUGACAACCUCGAUGAUCGAAAGGAUUAGCAACCACAUAGAAAUAUGAGAACACCACUUAGAAUAAGGUAUGGAAUCAACACUUCGCAUUGAAGCAACUCGAAUACCACAAAACAAAACAACAACAAAGGAUUGGCUCGCAAAAUAAGCCAGAACAAACAUAUGAUAGAUAUUUCAUCCGAAGUUUUCGUGGUGGGGCCCACACGGGCUCGAUCGUACAGCACCAUCAUGUACAAGGCAGUGCACAUGACAUACGAAGCGUCCCCGAGUCGGCAUAGCCAAGGAAUCUUUAAGACACUACGAGACCACUGUAAAACCAACCGUGGAUAGGCAGACCACUAGACGUCGAACCCCAAUCUCAUAUCAUGCUUCUGUCGGAAAGAUAUCCUAUGAGCUACUUGAAUUCCCACUUAUAAACUCCCGAAACUUUCUGGUUAUGCAAUCAGGUGUUGGGGAUAUAGGGGACGCAAUAUAUCUCACCCAAACUAACAAUACCUAGAUCCAGCUGUAUCCAUCCCUCAACACAUAACCAACAAACCUUCGGAAAUCAUUUACCUCAACCUUCGAAAAGCAUCCGUUAUACGAGUUAUGGCAAUACUCCCGAACUCCCGCCCCAGUACUGGGUGGCGUCGAGGUGAUCUCACCAACAACUGCAUAAAAGAGAUUUUCGAUGUCGGCGAAAAAAACUCAGGUAUUCCAGAACUGCAACGAUAAAAUUGUGACGACAACACCUCGGAGCUCAACUCCCCGGGACACUGCCACAACCCCUAAAUGUCAGGAGGCACCAAGAACAAUGUUCUCGUCACAAAACCAUUGGAACGAUUCCAAGAUACCCGCGUGAUCCUAAAAAAAAAUUCGUGAAAUUUGAGGAGAGGAGAGCCAAAACUUCUACGUCAGGGGGCCUCACCAGAGAGAUGAAGGGACUGAGGAGUAAAAAGAAUCCUACUCUCCGAUAUAUAUAAUCCUAAGACUCAAAACAUUUUUGUUCUAGACUCAACAACACCAGCGAUUCGAUCAAGCAGGGGGCUCCUAAGUCGGCGAUGGCUCUGAUACCAACUUGUAACGCCCACGAUGCGGCUAUAUCUCCCAUGUGUCGAGGCACGACUUAGAGGCAUAACCGCAUUGUGGUUUUGUCGCAAGAAGGGUCAUCUUCACACAAUCCCAUGUAAUGAACAAGAAUGGGAUAAAGAGAGUUGGCUUAUAAUCGCCACUUCACACAAUACAUAAAUUAAUUCAUACAUCAUCCAAAAUCCACACAUAGACCGACUACGGUCAAAUCCAAAUGAAAAGAAGAUAACCCCAAAUGCUAGAUCCCCGAUCGUCCCAACUGGGCUCCACUACUGAUCAUCAGGAAACGAAACAUAGUAACGACCAAGUUCUUCGUCGAACUCCCGUUAGAGCUCGGUAGCAUCACCUGCACUGGUAUCAUCGGCACCUGCAACGGUUUGGAAGUAUCUGGUGAGUCACGACGACUCAGCAAUCUCACACCCGCGAGAUCAAGACUAUUUAAGCUUAUGGGUAGGAGAAGGUAGUGAGGUGGAGCUGCAGCAAGCACUAAGCAUGUAUGGUGGCUAACAUACGCAAAUAAGAGCGAGAAGAGAAGCAACGGAACGGUCGUCAACUAGUAAUGAUCAAGAAGUGAUCAUGAACUCCUACUUACGUCAAACAUAACCCACAAACCGUGUUCACUUCCCGGACUCCGCCGAAAAGAGACCAUCACGGUUACACACGCGGUUGAUGCGUUUUAAUCAAGUCAAGUGUCAAGUUCUCUACAACCGAACAUUAACAAAUUCCCAUCUGCCACAUAACCGCGGGCACGGCUCUCGAAAGUUUAUACCCUGCAGGGGUGUCCCAACUUAGCCCAUUAUAAGCUCUCACGGUCAACGAAGGAUAUUCCUUCUCCCGGGAAGACCCGAUCAGUCUCGGAAUCCCGGUUUACAAAACAUUUCGACAAUGGUAAAACAAGACCAGCAAAGCCGCCCGAAUGUGCCGACAAAUCCUGAUAGGAGCCGCACAUAUCUCGUUCUCAGGGCACACCGGAUUGUCCAAACUUCCGGUAGGCAAGCCCAGAGUUGCCCCUGGUGGCCACCGGCGGCUAACAGGUUGGACCAACACUCAGAGGAGCACUGGCCCGGGGAUUUAAAAUAAAGAUGACCCUUGAGUCUGCAGAACCCAAGGGAAAAAGGCUUAGGUGGCAAAUGUUAAAACCAAGGUUGGGCCUUGCUGGAGGAGUUUUAUUCAAGGCGAACUGUCAAGGGGGUCCCAUAAAUCACCCAACCGCGUAAGGAACGCAAAAUCAAGGAACAUAACACCGGUAUGACGGAAACUAGGGCGGCAAGAGUGGAACAAAACACCAGGCAUAAGGCCGACCUUCCACCCUUUACCAAAUAUAUAGAUGCAUUAAUAAAAUAAGAGAUAUUGUGAUUUGCCAAAAUAUCCAUGUUCCAACAUGGAACCAACUUCAACUUCACUUGCAACUAGCAACGCUAUAAGAAGGGCUGAGCAAAAGCGGUAACUUAGCCAAACAACGGUUUGCUAGGAAAGGAUGGUUAGAGGCUUGCCAUGGCAACAUGGGAGGCAUGAUAUAGCAAGUGGUAGGUAGCGCAGCAUAGCAAUAGAACGAACAACUAGCAAGCAAAGAUAGAAGUGAUUUCGAGGGUAUGGUCAUCUUGCCUGAAAUCCCGCAAGGAAGAAGAACGAGUCCAUGAAGAAGACAGACGGACGUAGUCGAAUGAAUCCUCACAAACGCAAUAUUACCGGAACUAUCAAGGGGAAGCGCAACCGGAAAGAAGCAAACAACAUGGUAAACAACCAUCACAUAAGCAUGGCAUGAUGCACAAUCAAGUAUGAUGCAUGUCCGGUUUAAAGAGGCAAGGCAAGGUGAAGCAAACAAUACUACAAUUUAAGUGGAGCUCAAUAUGCAACGGGUUGCAUAUUGACGAAACACAACAUCAAUUAUUUAGUUCGCUCUUGUUUAUGCUACUCAUCAAUAUUAAAUGUUGGUUAACAUGGCAAGAGGCGAGGCAUAAGAAAACUACCUAUCUAGGCAAAUUUAAAGGAGGGCGGAACAACAAACAACAAUUCCGGAAAAUCCUCAUGUGCAUAUUUUAGAUUUGGUACUGUUCUGCCUAAAACCAUAUUUUAAUGGUAUUAAACAGUAAAACAAAGUGCACCAUGUUAAUCUAUGCAUUUUUCCACUCCAAUUACAUAUAAAGUUUAUUUAAUUCGGAGCUACGGUUAUUUAAAUAUGAAAUAAAUCAUUUUAGCAUGGCAUUUGAGCAAAUUUAAUCAAACAGCAAUUUAAACAUUUCAAACAUGGAUGAAAGUAGGAUAUUAUGAAACUAGACAAAAUUCUAAGCAUUUUACAUGUCUAAAUCAUUUUAAUCGGAUGCACGGUUGUUGAGUUAUUAAAUGCAUGAUGUUGAGGGUUUUUCUAUAAAACUGCAGUUCCUGGAAAAAUAGUUAAAAUCGUUCCGUGGAAAAAAAACAUGAAUCGGGCCGAAUCUGCUGGCCCAACAGUGCACAGAGGGGGCGCUGGAUCUGAUGCUCACCAUGGGUUUGGCCCGGGUCGGUGGAGAGGGGAGGCAUGGCGAAGUGGGGCUGGAGACGCGCUGGGCCUUGGCGCCCUUGAAGCCCACGCACGCGACAAGGAGGCAUGAGGCAGCAGGCGUCGCCCUUCUCUGCUCGAUGCAGAGACUGAAGCCGACCGCGGUGGCUUCAGGUGAGACAGGGGACGACGUCUACGCGGGGAACGCAAGGAGGCGGCGGAGACGAGCGAAACCAGACGCGUGACGGUGUUCUCCGGCGAGGUGGCGCGCGGGCGAAGCUGAAGGUGGCGGCACAUGUUCUCUGUUCAAACACAGAGAAGGUUUCAGAGAGAGAAAGAAAUCGGGGAGGAAACAAGGAGGCCGUGAGGGGGCUUGCUGACCGACGAAGGAAUGGCCAGGAUCCGGCGGAUCCUGAUGCGGGCGAGGCUGGGGAACGGCGAGGCCGGAUGGAUCCACCUCGGACCCGAUGAGGCAGCUUGAGCUCGGUGGCUGGACUCGUUCUGUAGGCAAACAAAGAGGGAGAGAUAUUUAGAGAAGCAGAACGGAAAGGGAAAGAAGAGAGAAGGCGUGGACGACGGGCGCGCGACCUGCAUGGCUCCGGCGAUGAGGCAACUCGGUGGCCACGGACUUGGCGAAGCAGGGGAGCUCCGGGACGUGCGGGACGCGGGGAUGGACGCCGGAGGACGGAUCCGUCCGUCUCCCGGGUGGCCUGGUGCAAACGGCGGCGAGGGAGCUGCGGCCAACCAUGGCUGUUCCUGGUACAGAGAGGGAGAGGCAUGAGAGACGAGGGAGAGGUGCGGCGGCCUGCUCGUGCUCGAUGGCGAAGGGACGAAGCAGCUUCGGCGGUGGCGCUCGCCGGCGCGGUGCUGGAGGCGGCAGAUGCAAGGGCAAGGGAGGAGCACGGCGCAGGGGCUCCUCGGGCUCAGACGUGAGGAAGGAGGAGGCAGCUGCGGGCUGGUUGGUCCGGUGAAGAAAAUGAGGGAGGAUUUUUGGAUCGGGAGGGGAUGCCGAGGUGGGAGACGACCAGGUGGAGUGUGGCGGCGGCUAGGAGGACAAGGGGGAGGAUUUCUAGGGUUAUCCAAAAUGGACUAGGAAUUGACUAUAAAUAUGGAAAGGAGGGAAGUUUGGAUCUUCUGAUUGAAAUCUGACGGACGAGAAUAAAUAGGCUACGGAGUCCAAUAAAUAAAACAAUGAUAUCUUAGGGAUACUUGGAGAUGAUCCGGAUCCAUCGGUAACGACAGCCGGGUUCGGGUUCAGGGAAGUUUUGGAAGCGCACACGAGGGGGUCUAUGCACUAUACAGAGAGACUCCAGUUUAGGCAAGAGGGAAACGAAGAACAAGGUUGGUCUCAGAAUGGUCAACAAAAGCAAGGGGGGACGCGGCAACUACGAGCAGAUGCGAGUUUUAAAAACAAUGACUACAACGAGUGCCGAUGCAAUGCGGAUGAUGCCAUGAUGAAAUGCAACAAACAAAAUAAAACGCACGACGGCAACGAAGAACAUUGAAGGCUUCUGAAGCGUCGGUCUUGGGGCGUUACAACUUGGCAUCGCUCCGGACGAUUUAUCGGAGGAGAAGCUUAUGGCUCCUCCUAAACAAGCUCCACAAGACGAGGGUUCUCAUGAUGAGUGAUUUACAGAGUUAUUUGCUGGGACCAAGGAAACAUCUGGUCGUUUGUUCUUUUGGUUUUCUUUUGUCUUAUGUCGCUCUGAACUUGUCUGAUGUGGCUGUGUGUUACUCUGCGGAAGUUAUACCUAAACUGUUAAGCAGCUCAGUAGGAUUCUAUUGUCUUAUGUUAGUUAUUUAUGGAGACUACAUCGUUUCGUAAUUGGAAUGUGCUGUGUUGGAAUGUACGUGGUCUGAAUUCUGAUGCUCGCCAGCGUGAUAUUAGAGCUAAGAUCGAGGAGAGCCACUGCUCCGUAAUUUGUUUACAGGAAACUAAGUGUGAGCAGUUUGACAUUAGGAAGAUUCGGUCCUUCUGCCCUAGGCGUUUUGAUCAGUUUGCUUUCUCUCCUUCUGUGGGUGCCUCUGGUGGAAUUUUGGUCAUUUGGAAUUCUUCUGUCUUUGAGGGGCAGCUAGUGGAGGUCCAACGCUUCAGUGUUGUUGUUGUUGUUUCUUUCAAGUCUGUUCGUAACUCAGAACGAUGGACUCUGGUUUCAGUGUAUGGGCCAUGUGAGGGUCAACCUAGAGACGAUUUUGUGAGUUGGUUAUAUCAUCUAACUAUCCCUCUGGAUGAGAAUUGGUUGCUCCUUGGUGAUUUUAACUUCAUUCGCUCUCUAGAUAACAGAAAUCUGCCAGGAGGUGAUAUAAAUGACAUCUUUCUCUUUAAUGAAAUUAUUGGUCAUCUUGGGCUAAUGGAACUGCCAAUAAAGGGUAGAAGCUUUACUUGGUCCAAUAUGCAGCAAAUCCCUCUCCUGGAACAGCUCGAUUGGUUCUUCACAACCUCCGACUGGAUCUCUCACUACCCUAAUACAGUUGUCUUUCCUUUGGCUAAAACUGCAUCAGAUCACGUGCCAUGUGUGGUUUUAAUUGACACUAAAAUCCCCAAGUCCAAGGUUUUUAGGUUUGAAAAUUUCUGGGUGGAAAUACCAGGGUUUAUGGAGUGUGUCAAGAAAUCUUGGGAGGCCCCUGUGUUUUCUGACCUCUCUGCAUCUGCAGUUUUAACCAGGAAAUUUAAACGCCUCAGGUAUGAUUUGAGAGUUUGGAGUAAAACCUCUCUUACCUUAAGAAGUUAACUGUGGAUUGCAGCAAGGUUAUUCUCUAUUUUGAUAAGAUGGAGUUAAGACCACUCGUUAGAACUGAGUUCAAUUUCAGAAAAAUCGUCAAGCUUCAUUAUGAGCAUUUGUUGAAACUCCACUAUAUUUAUUGGAAGCAGAGGUGUACGAUCAGGUAUAUCAAGGUGGGUGAGGAAAACUCCAAAAUUUUCCAUGCCAUGGCAUCUGAGCGCAUGAGGAAAAACUCUAUAGCUAGUCUGAAAACCCCGAGGAUGGAUGAUCCCGUUUCAGAUCAUGAUCAAAUGGCGGGAAUCCUCCGGGCUUCCUUCAAAAACCGAAUGGGCCAGGCCCAGGACAUCUCAAUGGGCUACGAUUUGGGCGCACUCAUUCAGCCUGUCCCUGGUUUGGAGGAAUUUUCACUUCCCUUCUCUGAUGCUGAGAUUCAAAAGGUUUUGCAAGAGCUGCCAACCGAUCGGGCACCAGGGCCUGAUGGUUUUAAUGGCAUGUUUGUCAAGCGCUGUUGGCCGAUCGUCGAGAAAGAUUUCUUGAGUUUGAUCAAAGACUUUUAUGAAGGGAAAGUUUCUCUGGAAAAUAUUAAUGGAUCUCUCAUUACCCUCAUCCCUAAGAUGAUAUCUCCUGAGGGGCCGGAUGAUUUUAGGCCUAUUUCUCUUACCAACACCUGCUUGAAGUUUCUAACCAAGUUGUUGGCUAAUAGGUUGCAAAGGGUGAUUUUGAAUUGCAUCCAUAAAAACCAGUAUGGCUUUCUCAAGGGUAGAUCAAUCCAGGACUGUCUGGCUAUUGUUAUUCUGAAAUUGGAUUUUGCCAAGGCUUUUGAUAUAGUUAAUCAUGAGGUUAUUUUGCCGAUGCUCAAACACAAAGGUUUUGAUGAUAAAUGGAUUGGUUGGGUCAAAGAGAUCCUUUCUACAGGGUCUUCUUCUGUGUUGCUCAAUGGCAUCCCUGGCAAGCAGUUCAAGUGCAAAUGUGGGGUCAGACAAGGGGAUCCUUUAUCACCUCUUCUAUAUGUAAUAGCAGCUGACCUUUUACAAUCUGUGGUUAAUCAAAUGCUGGCCCAGGGUAUCUUAUCACUCCCAAUCCCCACACAUGACCAGGAGUUCCCUAUUAUACAGUAUGCUGAUGAUACUGUUAUCUUUCUGUCACCCAGAGAUGAGGAGCUGGUUGCUCUCAAGAACAUGCUGCUUACCUUUCAGCAAUCUACUGGUCUCAAGGUCAAUUUUGCAAAGUCUUUAAUGAUCCACUCAACCUUGAGGAAGGUGAAGCAAUUAGGUUAGCUGCUGUGUUGGGCUGCAGGAUUGGCCAACUCCCUUUUACUUAUUUAGGGUUGCCCCUUGGAACCACUAGGCCCAGGAUUGUUGAUCUCAUGCCUUUAGUGAACACUUUGGAGAGGCGUCUGACUGCUAGCUCAUGUAUGCUAAACCAAGGAUCUCGUUUGCAGCUCCUAACUUCAGUCCUGACUUCUUUGCCAAUCUACUUUCUUUGUAGUUUGCAAAUCCCACCUGGUAUUAUCAAGCAGUUGGACAGAAUCUUCAGACAGUGCCUCUGGAGGGGGAGUUCUGAUGUUCCCAAGCAAUCUUUGGCCGCUUGGGAUUUAGUCUGUCGGCCAAAAGACAAAGGUGGUCUUGGGGUUAUCAACUUAAACAUUCAAAACAAGGGUCUUCUGCUCAAGCAUUUGCAUAAAUUUUAUAAUAAGGCUGACAUACCCUGGGUGUCCCUCAUCUGGAACAGUUAUUAUGCUGAUGGUGUUCCACACGCUACAACCCCAGUGGGCUCCUUUUGGUGGAGACAUAUCCUCAAGCUCCAUGAUGCAUACACAGCUAUUGCCUCAGUGCACAUCAACAUGGGUGACUCUGCUCUGUUUUGGACUGAUGCUUGGUUUAUUGGUGGCUCUUCUAGACCUUUAUGUUGGAGAUUGCCAAGGUUAUUUUCCUUUGUUAACAAUGACAAGGUUUCAGUGCAUGAAUUCCUCAUAUCGCAGGAUAUUUUUACCAUGUUCUUCUUGCCAUUGUCUCAUGAGGCUGCUCAGGAGUUGCAAGUGCUAGAAGAUUGGAUCAUGGCCUUGAACAGGGACACCAACAUACCAGAUGUUUGGGUUUGGCCGGGCAGAUCUAGUAGUUUCUCAGCCAAGAGUUUCUACACCUUGAUGCACUCACAUUUACCCACAAUUCAACCGUGUAAAUGGUUGUGGAAAAGCAGAUGCACCAUGAAGAUCAAAGUCUUUGGAUGGUUACUUUUGUUUAACAGGCUUAACACCAAGGACCUUCUGAUCCGCAGGCACUGGAGAUCCCCCCUGGAUGAUAAUCUUUGUGUUAUCUGUCAUGAAUUUUCAUAUGAGGAUACGCUGCAUUUGUUCUUCAACUGUAAUUUCAGUCGGAGGGUUUGGAACUACCUUUCUAUUGACUGGUCAAGAGGGCCGGAUAUUCAGCAAUGUAUCCAACAUGCUAGCUCAAGCUUCAGGCAUCCUUUCUUCUUCGAAGUAAUUUUGACGGCAUCAUGGAAUAUUUGGAUCCUCAGGAAUGGCAGAACUUUUAGAGGGGAGAGAGCUACUUUUGCUGCUUGGCGGUCUAACUUUGUACAUGAUCUUUCACUCCUAACUCAUAGGCUCAAGGAUGAUACCAGCAUCAAGCUUAAAGCUUGGAUAAAUGCUUUAGCCUAAUUAGUCCAGGUAGGUAGUUCUAGUCUUGUACCUUAGCUUUGUAGGCUAAUUUCUUAGCUCCUAUAUAUAAUCCUACUAUUCCUUUUUGUACAGUUGCUCGAUUUCAAUAAAGGGCUGUGGGGCUUUGCCUCACAGUAAAUAUUAAAAAAAAACCUUGCAUGGAGAAGUGAGACGACGCCUAGGUUGUAGGUGUGUCCCGGGGAGCACGUGCAGCACCAGUAGGCGAUGAUUAGUGGAUCUGUUGAUGAUCAAAUUCAUCACAUCCCAUGAUCAUACGGACUACGGAGGGUGAAACAUGGCGAUUGUGGAUCAGAGGUGCAGGCUUGAGACAACGGGAAUGGAGCAGGUUCGCCACUUAAAAGGGGAGGGGGAAGUUCGUCGGCUACACGCACAUGAGCAGGAGCAAUAAACCCAGCCGUUCCUUUUCUCGAUAGUGGAUCUGUCGAUUGGAGAAGAUGAAGAGGAAAAGGGGCGGCCGUGAAGAACACUGGAGGUGUUAUGGGAAGAACAGGAGUGCCAUGAUGGGAGGGAAUUGAAGCGAUGGGCAAGGCACUACGAUGGGGAAGAAGAAGCGACGGGGAAGAAGCGCGAGGGGAUCCCCUUUGGGGGAUAAAAAUAUCUGACGCUACAAAGCGGUGCGCCUGGAAAAAAAGGACGACUUCUUUAGAGAAAAAAAGGGACAUGAAGAAAAUGAUGCCAAGUGACGUGGCAUCAUCACAAUCUAGGAAAAAUCAAUAGUGGGAGUUUAGGAAUAGAGGAUGACGUGGCACACUGAUGUGGAUAGUGUGCAUGAUGAGAGAAUAGGGAGUAGUGGGGAGUAACUUCUUAAAAAUGGUAGAUGUGAUCGGACCCUAACCUCUCUAUGCUUUCUGCCUCAAACUCUAUAUAUCCAAAUCAUAUGCAUUCUGUUGAAACGGUCAAAUGUAUUCUCUGCGUCCUUGUCAGCGGAAGAUACAGAGACAAACAUUAAAUCUAUUUUAAAUGCUCAAUUCUUAUUGCCUGAAACCCGGAGAAGCCGGAACGAUCAUCCGACAGUCCAGGCGGGCGUGGGAACGUGGGACAACUCCCAAUGUGUUGCAUGUUCGCCAUGUGUCCCUCAGAUGUGAACCACCAGGGGCGCCUGCGUAAUUGUGCUGUGCUGUCCCUUUCCCUAUAAAUACACAUCCAAUCGCGGUCAAAAUCUUUCUUCCACCUCUCCACCUCAACAAACCCUAGCGCCAUCGCUAGCUCUCGACGACGCCGGCGACGAAGCGCUUAGCUGCCGCGACCUCUCCGACGCCGUCUUCACGCCGGCCGCGGACAUCGUCUUCUCCGCCGCCGCCUUAGGUGUCCUCCGUCGCCAAGUUAGGGCACGGAAGAUCGAACUGCUCGGCCUCAUCUUCUACUCCGUCUAGCAGUUCAUCGUGUGGUAAAUUAAAACCCUCUUUUUACCGUCUUUUUGAUCCUAUAGAUUAAUCCUUUCUACCAAAAGUGGUUUCUGCCUCCACAAAUUUGGAUCUAUCCUGUUUGCAUCUCAUAUGAUGCCUAGUAUAUUCACUUAUGCUUCACACGUAGUUAGAUUCCUCACUUGUACGUAUUCUUGGAUUCGUACAAAUCUGGAACCAACUCUCAACAUAUAAGUGAAUGUCUUCGCGCUAUGAGGUCAAUGGCUUCUAAACUGAUUUAUCUUCAAAAUCUUCUAAGAAUGCAUAUGACCUCUUCCCCUUCCCUCGCAUCUCUAAUGCUGUCACAGGUACAUGUCCGUGGGAGAAUCCCUUGGUUCUCAUAGUCUGCAUUCAUUUGCAGAAUUCUUACAACAUCAUAUCAACUCUCCCGAAGCCAGUUCCUGUCUGACCAGCAGACGGAAGCCUUUGACAGUGUUGAAGCCAUUCAGUCUGAACCUCAUGGCAAUAGAAAAGUCUGCAAGGAAGGGUGGCAGACAGCGCCGUGGGAACACAUCGAAGGAUUUGCCACCAUAUCUCUAUGAGCUGUACAAGACAGAUCCAGAGGAGGACUACAAUCAGUGAAAACCCCGAAUCCAAUGGAUUCGAAGAUAUUGGGCAGAACAAUGGUACAAGUACAGGUUCGUGACCCAGGAAUAUGCUGAGAAGAAUGCCAUCAAGCGACCCUGGGGAGACAUCUUGUACAAAAAUCUUCCACCCAAGUCCAGAGCUGAAGCCAUUGAACAAGGCUUCUACCCUUGCAUGGUCCGUGGACCACAGCCUGCAGAUGCCGACCCAUCUUCAUUGCUAUGGUGUCGUGACGACAAUCUGUUCAAGCGCAACUUCCAGUUUGCCAAGAACUCGGCCAAAGAAAACAAGAAGUCGCGGGGAUUAGACUUCAACCCCGGUCCCUCUGCUCCUCGUGCUGAUGGCACACGCGAAGCUGAACCCAAUCUUGUUGGUCCCUUCUACAACCUGGAAGGUCUCAUCACUCAUAUUAUGGUUCAAGGGACAGACGUGGAUCAACCUACAGAUGACGCUGAUUCUGACGAAGCGCCUGCACCACCGAAGACUAAGAAGCUGAAGAAACCCAAGGCUUCGAAGCCUUCCACUGCACCAAAAGCUUCGCAAGCGAAGCCUCUGGCCACUGCUCCUUCUCCACCAGGUGUGCAGUCUGAAGCCCAUGCACACCACUGGUCCAGCUCUGACCCCUGCUGCUGUUUUGAGGAAUGAAAAUGACGCCAUUGAUCUGUCAAGUGAUGACGAUCUUGCCGAUGACGCUCUUGAGCAGCUGAUAAAGAGCAAGCAAGAGGCAUAAAUCUUCAAUGAUUUGCCUCUCUUUGACGUGGAAGUAUUGAACAACUUCAUUGAUGAGUGGUUUGACACCCCCAAUCUCAGCUUUGAUGAUCUGCAACUUCCCAUUGGGCUAAGCGUCUCCUUCCAUGGCGCCAUUGCUGCUGAGCUGGCUCUUGCACAGAAAAUUGUUGAGCUGAAGCACAAGAUCGACUAUGAAAAGGCUCAGUUCAAGAAGCACAUGGCCAAGCUCAGCGUAACAGACGUCCAGAACUUCAAGGUCGUGCUGCAUGAGCUCAAGGAAGCGUUUCACAAGAAACGUGAAGAAGCCAAAGGUUCUCGAGAGCGCAUGAAGCUUCUGGCUGCAAAGUGUGUUCAAGCUUACAAUGAAGCUGAGAAGCGCAAGGCACUUGGGCAUCCUGGCAUCGACCCUAAGAUGGCUGCCAAGCAGAAGAAGAAGCCUGCUGUGGACCAAGCUGAACCAUCCAGGCGGGAAGAACCUCGCAUUGUCUUCCCCGCUAGUAUGACAUGCGUGAAGCCUAAGGUCCCCAUAGUGGCUUCAGAGCUUCAGAAGACAAGGGCAGCCGAAGCCAAAGCCAGAAAGCUCAAGACCAAGAACACCACUGACAAUGCUCCACCCACCAAGAAGCGCAAGACCAAGAAGAAAGAUCGGGCUGCUCCCACAGAGCCCCUUGUCGUCGAGCCAAUUUCUGUUGCUCGUCCUCCAUCUGCACAACAAGAAUGUCGUUUGAUAGUUCAUGAGCCUGCUUCCCCAAAGGCUCUUGAAGUUGAAGACAUUCCAGCUGUUGACCCCACCGCAGCUGAAGACAUUUGUCAUCAAUACAAUGUUGAAGAUGAUUAAGUCCUUCCUCAGAUCGAGCAUAAUGUGGUAUCAUCGCCUGUUCUCACGAACAACGAACUCAUCAGCAUUGGUCGUCCUUUGACGCUAAUUGCUCAGGAUGACUCAUGGGCUGAUCACCCUCAAGACUCCCCUCGUCAAGCAGAAACACCAGUUACUCCCCCAACUCAAGUCACCACUCCGAUGAUUGAAGAUGAAGACUUUGUGGCCCAACCAACUCCAUCUCCACAAGCGUCACCAGCAUUCCGCAGGCUUCGCAAAGGACCAAGGCCACAGGUCACUCUGUCAAGUGUUCCAGAAGGAGAAGAGCGCCAAUCGGUUUCUCGCCAAGUAUUUCCUGAAGCCUCUCCAACUGUGAACAACCCUGAGUCUGAAGCCAACGCAGCUGAAGAUAUUCCGGCUGCAUCAGCCGAUGACCAAGAAGAAGAACCAAGAGUUGAAGAAGUUCGUGUUGCUACACCCCUGUCCAACCCUGAAAUUGUUCUCGAGGAGAACGUGACCGACCCUCCAGCUACUCAAGUGGAGGUCAACAACAUUCAGGCGAUCACCAACACCAACACUGAAGCCAAUGACGUUGUCAUGGCUGAAGCUAAUGUGGCGCCUGAAGUCAAUGUGGUGCCUGAAGUGAUAGCACCUGAUGCAAAUCAGCAGCCUGAAGUCACAACCACUGUCACUGCUCCUGUACCGCCUCCCAGGCCACAUACUAUUGAGCAAGCAUACAACUAUGGUCAGCUGAUCACUGUCAGAUGGCCUAUUCUGGUUCCUCCACCUGCUGCUGGUCCGCAGUUUGAUUACCAUGUCGAGCACAGGCCUCAGGUCCAGAAGCCAAAGCCAAGACUGCCCAGGUUUCCAGGUACUGCCACUUCACCAGGGUCCUUUCUUUGACAGCGCCAAGAACCCCUAUUCCAAGCCAAGGAUUUCAUCUAAUCGGUUCUGGAGCUGUCAGCAGCGCAGCUACUACUCAUGUGUUCUCUAUGAUCAAGGGCACAUCUUCCCUCAUAUGCGUCUUGACUGUGAAGCCAUUGCCGGAUUGCCAUGCCUUGAAGAGCCCUUGACUGCUUCCGUGAUGCUGGAUUGCUGAAUUUUGUGACUGAUAAGGAUCAUUGGAAUGAAGAGCUUCUGCUGCAAUUCUAUGCCACCCUCCACAUUCGCGGCCACAACAGGGAUCCGAAGACAUGGGUCCUUGAGUGGAUGUGUCGGUGUACAAAAAGAGGGGUGCGUUUUUGUACCCCUUUACCUGUGCACGGGCAGUCGGAGCGGCGCCCACGGUCACGCCAAGCAGAACAGGGGAGGUAAGCCAAGGUAAGACCGAAGCCCAAGAUAAUCAGAGCAAAGCCAAGGCCAAGACCACAAAGAGCAGAGGGACGAAGCAGAUUCCCCCGGCAAGACCCUUGCCGGGGCAGCCUCAGCAGCCCCGGCAAGAUCCUUGCCGGGGCAGCUCGCCCCACACCAACAGAGCGAGCCACCCUUGAGCCCACGGUCCCCAACGCCAUCAUCCACGUGGGCCCAGGGCUCGGGAAGGCACCUCUGUGGUGGCAUGCAGAUCUUUGUGAAGACAUAUUCAAGGUCAGAUGAGGAUUAGAAGACGACGAUCCUCGGCAAGAUCCUCGCCGAGGAAGGCCACCAGAGCCCCGGCAAGGCCCUUGCCGGGGACGACAGCGCGCCACGGCAACACCCUUGCCGGGCCACACGGCAAGACCCUCGCUCGGCCACCCGGCAAGGCCCUCACCAAGGACGCCAGCGGGGCCACCGCCAGGCCCAUGCCAACCAAGCUUCCACCGCCGUUCACAUGCAGCUGCCAGCCCAACCAGCUGGGCGGGCACCUGCGUGGCGACAUGCAGCCUCCAGGCCAACUCAUCAAGCGCCUGCGUGGCGGCAUGCAGAUCUUCGUGAAGGCUCCACCACCGCGCCACCUCAGCUGCCUGCCUGCCUACAUGGCGCCGCACACAUCGCUGGCCAGGGCGCGUGUCAAAGCGAGGAGGAGCGGCGACGGAUGGGACGGGCCUCGCCCCCGUCCCCAAUAAAGCAAGGAGACACCUAAGCUACGCAUUAAUGCGUCUUGUCCUGUAAUACGAGCGAUAAGCUCAGGGCACUGUACGCCUUUCCACCUCCUGUGUGCCACUGUGGCAGCCCCUUCCGACUAUAAAAGGAGGCCCGUGGCAUACUGGAGAAGGAUUCGGCUCUUUCGAACCACGCACUCACCACAGCUAGUUCGAGAGCUCAAGAACUCUCUGAAAUACACCCUCCAAAGCAGGACUAGGGUUUUACGCAUCCUCGCGGCCCGAACCUGGGUAAACGAUCCUUGUGCUGUCUACUAGCCCUGCUCUUCUCGCAACCCCGCGCCCCGGCAACCGUAGUAGGGAUUCUUGUGAUCCCAUAGGUGUCGUUCCACACCGACAUCUUUGGCGCGCCAGGUAGGGGAGUGCAAUUGUGAGAAUCUGGUCUAGUAGUUAGCCUAGCGGUUCUUCAUCGCCAUGGCUCCCAAGAAGAAGAUGGCCACGGCGAUCGGCUCAUUGGGAGCCGAACGGCCCGUGCCGGUGCGCACGAGCAGUGGACCGGUCGUGGGCAGGACCCGGGCCGCGGUCCGCGAGCACCAGCAUCGCCCUGGCAGUCAGAACCUGGCGAGUGGCGUCGUUUGCGCCCUAGAUGACCGGCCGCACGUCGCCAGAUCCAAAGACGGAGCUGGGGCCCCCGCAGGCGGCGCGGGGCCCUCCAGGGGUGUCGUUGUGCCACCUCCGGGCGGCGCAGCGACCUCCAAGACGCCCACGCCGGCGACCACUGCGCGCUCUUCCCAUGGUGUGCGCGCCGAUCAGCGUCACCACGCUGGUGACCCUGGGCACCGCCGUGGGAAGAGCCCUGUGCGUCAUCCGCGGGAUGAAGGGGUUCAGCAUGCCCACCGAAGCGCUGGCGAAAAUGGCAUGCAGCUGCUGGGUCGUAACGGAGCUCCUUCUAACAUAGUUAGAAGUCGAAGCGCGCCGCGAUCCACGCAGCAGUCGCCGCCGCCCACGCCAGCAGAAGCUUUGGCACGCGCGCGCAGCUGCUCCUCGACUUCUGUAACGCCCACGAUGCGGCUAUAUCUCCCACGUGUCGAGGCACGACUUAGAGGCAUAACCGCAUUGUGGUUUUGUCGCAAGAAGGGUCAUCUUCACACAAUCCCAUGUAAUGAACAAGAAUGGGAUAACGAGAGUUGGCUUACAAUCGCCACUUCACACAAUACAUAAAUAUAAUUCAUACAUCAUCCAAAAUACACACAUAGACCAACUACGGUCAAGAUCCAAAUGAAAAUAAGAAAACCCCAAAUGCUAGAUCCCCGAUCGUCCCAACUGGGCUCCACUACUGAUCAUCAGGAAAAGACACAUAGUAACGACCACGUUCCUCAUCGAACUCCCACUUGAGGUCGAUCCCAUCAUCUGCACUGGCAUCGUCGGCACCUGCAACUGUUUUGGUAGAAUCUGUGAGUCACGAGGACUCAGCAAUCUCACACCCGCGAGAUCAAGCCUAUUUAAGCUUAUAGGACAGGAUGGUGUAAUGAGGUGGAGCUGCAGCAGGCACUAAGCAUAUAUGGUGGCUAACAUACGCAAAAGAGAGCGAGAAGAGAAGCAAUGGAACGGUCGUCAUCUAGUAAUGAUCAAGAAGCGAUCCUGAACUCCUACUUACGUCAAACAUAACUCAAACCGUGUUCACUUCCCGGACUCCGCCGAGAAGAGACCAUCACGGCUACACACACGGUUGAUGUAUUUUAAUUGGGUCAAGUGACAAGUUCUCUACAACCGGACAUUAACAAAUUCCCAUAUGCCUCAUAACCGCGGGCACGGCUUUCGAAAGAUAAUACCCUGCAGGGGUGUCCCAACUUAGCCCAUCAUAAGCUCUCGAAUGUGCCGACAAAUCCCGAUAGGAGCUGCACAUAUCUCGUUCUCAGGGCACAACGGAUGGGCAAGACGUCGGGUUGGCAUAGACCCUGGUUGCCCGGGGGCGCCGGACAUCGCCCAGUUUGGGCCAGCACUUGAAGGAGCACUGGUCCGGGGGUUUAAAAUAAAGAUGACCCUCGGGCUCACGAAAAACCGGGGGAAAAGGCUUAGGUGGCAAAUGGUAAAACCAAGGUUGGGCCUUGCUGGAGGAGUUUUAUUCAAGGCGAACUGUCAAGGGGGUCCCAUAAUCACCCAACCGCGUAAGGAACGCAAACUCAGGGAACAUAUCCCGGUAUGACAGAAACUAGGGCGGCAAGAGUGGAACAAAACACCAGGCAUAAGGCCGAGCCUUCCACCCUUUACCAAAAAUAUAGAUGCAUUAAUUAAAUAAGAGAUAUUAUGAUAUCCCAACAUAUCCAUGUUCCAACAUGGAACCAACUUCAACUUCACCUGCAACUAGCAACGCUAUAAGAAGGGCUGAGCAAAAGCGGUAACUUAGCCAAACAACGGUUUGCUAGGAAAGGAUGGUUAGAGGCUGUCAUGGCAAUAUGGGAGGCAUGAUGUAGCAAGUGAUAGGUAGCGCAGCAUGGCAAUAGAGCGAACAACUAGCAAAGCAAAGAUUGAAGUGAUUUCGAGGGUAUGGUCAUCUUGCCUGCAAGGUUCUCAGAGUUGUCGAAAGCUUGAUCCUCGUAAGCGUACUCAACAGGUUCCUCGUUCACGAACUCGUCUCCCGGCUCUACCCAAAACAAGAACACAAGCAAUGGAACCACAAUCAAUCACGGGAAAUGCACAAGCAACAUGAUGCAAUACAUGAAUGAUAUGCAAGAUAUGAUAUGCGAUGCAUAUGCGUGCGCCGGAAGAAAAAUGAUGAACAAGGCAGUAACUUGGCAAACCAAGUAUGCCACUGGAAAGAUGAGAUGAUUUCGGUCGAAAUCGAUAUAAAGAUCACCGGAAACGGAUGCACGGUUCGCGAAAGGCAAGCAAAACAAGAAUGACACGAAUCUGUGAUUAACAGCAUGAUAUCACUUAGAAUACAUCAAGUAACUAUGCUACAGCACUCCAACAUAGCAACAAAGCAUAUGAAAGUAAUCUAAAGGAGGUGUUUGACAAAAGAUGAACACUGAGCUACGGCUAGAUCACAACAUAACAGGCUCAAACAAGCAUGGCAAAAGUGCGAAAGAUAUCAGGUUAACAGACUUGGUGAAAUUACUGGACAUGGCUGAAACAGCAUCAGGUAGCAAUGUUCAGAGCAAGAAACACACAUGCUACAGGAACUUAAUAUAGCAAAACAAGGCAUGGAAUGAAUCUACUAAAUGCAUAGAACAAAAGUCCCUUACUGACCAUAAGCGAAAAACGACCAAAAGUUAUGAUGGCAACCAUGUGAACAUAGCAAGUUUCGUUAACAGGUUACAGACUUGGCAGAAAACAGAGCAUGGCAGAAACAAUAAUAUGAAGGCAUCUUGGUAAGCUUGAUGCACUCACCACAAAGAAAUUCAUGACAAAACAAGCAUACCUACAGCAAGAUGGCAUGUUUAUGAAGCUAUCCAUGGCAAGAGCAAGUACAUAGCAUGUAUGAAACAACUACAACAAGCUUGGCAAAUUGAAUAACACGUAAACAAUCUGCCAUAAAUAUUUUAUAGCAAAAGUAGAGCAAGAUUGAGUCAUUCUAUGGCACUCCAUAAUUGCAAACAAGGGUAGUAGUGGAUCAAUUACAACAAUAUCUACAAAACAUCCUUACUGAACAUCUCCAAAAUAUGCAUGGAUCUCUCUGUAGCAUCAAGUUUACAUGGCAACAAAAUAACAGCAGACAAAGACUUGGAGAAAUCACCAAGUCUCUGAAAUCAGAAACAUUACAGAGCCUAGUUUGCAUGCUUGUGCUAGUCACCACACAGAUCACAAAAAUACAUGGCAUACACCUCUGUAAAUAUGGCAUGGCAUACAUCAAAACACAUGUAGAGCUCCUACUCAUAAGAUGCACAUAUCAAAUGCAACAAAAAUAACAAAUCCUCAUGUUCUGAUAAGUAACAGCAGUUAACAGCAUAUAGCACGCUUGCACCAGAGAUUUGGGCAUCAAGAUCAACUCAAAUGAACAUAGUGCAAUUGAACAAAAUGUAGAGCAUCACAAGACGAACAUUUCGAUAUAUUACAUGCACGAAACGGAGCUAUAUGCAGAGAGUUAUGCCAUGAUGAACAGGGGUAUAUAAUGUGAACAUGCAAAAGACUUGGGAAUAUUUUCGGGGAGAGGAGAGGAAAGUCAACCGUGGGCUUCCUCGAUCCAGAUCUGGCCCGGGCCGGGCUUCGAGCUCGCCGGCGGUGGAUGGCGACGCCGGAGGAGAGGAGGGAGAGGCCGGAGGGAGGCGGCGCUCGGGGCCGCUGGCGGCGGAGGAGGGGGGCGCCGGCGACGGGCACGGCUCGGGCGGCGCCGACNNNNNNNNNNNNNNNNNNNNNNNNNNNNNNNNNNNNNNNNNNNNNNNNNNNNNNNNNNNNNNNNNNNNNNNNNNNNNNNNNNNNNNNNNNNNNNNNNNNNNNNNNNNNNNNNNNNNNNNNNNNNNNNNNNNNNNNNNNNNNNNNNNNNNNNNNNNNNNNNNNNNNNNNNNNNNNNNNNNNNNNNNNNNNNNNNNNNNNNNNNNNNNNNNNNNNNNNNNNNNNNNNNNNNNNNNNNNNNNNNNNNNNNNNNNNNNNNNNNNNNNNNNNNNNNNNNNNNNNNNNNNNNNNNNNNNNNNNNNNNNNNNNNNNNNNNNNNNNNNNNNNNNNNNNNNNNNNNNNNNNNNNNNNNNNNNNNNNNNNNNNNNNNNNNNNNNNNNNNNNNNNNNNNNNNNNNNNNNNNNNNNNNNNNNNNNNNNNNNNNNNNNNNNNNNNNNNNNNNNNNNNNNNNNNNNNNNNNNNNNNNNNNNNNNNNNNNNNNNNNNNNNNNNNNNNNNNNNNNNNNNNNNNNNNNNNNNNNNNNNNNNNNNNNNNNNNNNNNCGUAGCGGACGCGGAGAGGCUGCGGGCGGCGGCGCGUUUGUCCGGCGGGGUACGGACAUGUCCGGCGGCGCGGAGGGAUAGGGUUAGGGUUUGGACUGCGGAUUAUCUCGGGAGGGGUGCAAUUAUAUAGGUAGAGGGAGCUAGGAGACUCAAAACGAGGUGCGGUUUUCGCCCACACGAUCGUGAUCGAACGACCUAGAGCAUGGAAAUGACUUGGAGGGGUUUUGGGCUGUUUAGAGAGGGGGUUUUGUGGCAACACACAGAAGGCAUCUGCGGUUACCCGGUUAACCGUUGGAGUACCGAACGACCUCCAAAUGGAACGAAACUUGACCGGUGGUCUCCCGGUGGUAUACCAAGGCCACUUGACAAGCCUCGGUCCAUUCCGAGAACGUUCGACACCCGCUCACGAAAAGAAACAAGAGGGGUGCGCCGAAGGAGGUGGGAGUGCCGGAUUGCAAAACGGACAACGGGGAAAUUGCUCGGAUGCAUGAGACGAACACGUAUGCAAAUGCAAUGCACAUGAUGACAUGAUAUGAUAUGCAUGACAUGAAAAAAAUGCAAAAUGAAAGACAAAACCCGACCACGGAGGGAAUAUCAUAACACAUAGCCGAAAAUGGCAAGAGUUGGAGUUACAAAUAUGGAAAGUUACAUCCGGGGUGUUACAACACUCCACCACUACGAGAGGAUCUCGUCCCGAGAUCUAGGACUGAAAGAACUCCGGAUAUUCGGAACGAAGAUGGUCCUCGCGUUCCCAGGUGGCUUCUCGGUCGGAAUGGUGUGACCACUUCACUUUCAGGAAUUUGAUUGACUUGCUGCGAGUCUUGCGCUCAGUUUCUUCAAGAAUAGCAACGGGGUGCUCAUGUUAAGACAAAUCUACUUGGAGGUCAAUCUCUUUGAAGUUGAUAGUGCGCUCAGGCGUCUUGAAGGACUUGCGGAGCUGUGACACAUGGAACACAUCGUGCACGUUCACGAAGUUGGAAGGAAGCUCAAGUUGAUAGGCGAGGUCGCCUCUUUUGCGAAUGAUCUUGAAAGGACCCACGUAUCUAGGGGCAAGCUUCCCUUUGAUACCGAAGCGACGAGUGCCUUUCAUUGGAGAGACGCGGAGGUAGACAUGGUCUCCGAUCUCGAAAGCCAAAUCACGGUGCUUACUAUCAUAGUAACUCUUCUGGUGCGAUUGCGCGGCUUUGAGAUUAUCACUGAUGACUUUACACAUUUCUUCAGCUUCAGUGAUUAAGUCAUUGCCAAGAAGUUGGCGUUCACCAGUCUCUGACCAAUUGAGAGGAGUACGACACUUUCUGCCAUAGAGAAUCUCGAAUGGGGCCUUGCCCGAACUCGCUUGGAAGCUGUUGUUGUAGGAGAAUUCAGCAUAUGUAAGACAAUCUUCCCAUUUCAUGCCAAAGGAAAUGACACAAGCCCUGAGCAUAUCUUCAAGAAUUUGAUUGACUCGCUCGACUUGGCCACUAGUUUGAGGAUGGAAAGCUGUGCUGAAGCGAAUGUUGGUGCCCAUGGCCUUCUGGAAGGAGUCCCAGAACUUAGAGGUGAAGAUGCUUCCACGAUCAGAAGAAAUCAAUUGUGGAAUGCCGUGCAAGGAGACAAUUCUGGAGGUGUAUAGCUCUGCCAACUGAGCUGCUGUGAUAGACUCUUUCAUUGGAAGGAAAUGAGCCACUUUAGAAAGCUUGUCGAUGACAACGAAGAUAGCAUCAUUUCCGCGCUUGGACUUGGGAAAACCAGUCACGAAGUCCAUUUCGAUAUGAUCAAACUUCCACUCUGGGAUAGCAAGAGGUUGGAGGAGACCACCUGGUCGUUGGUGUUCUGCUUUCACUCUUCGACAGACAUCACAUUCAUUCACGAAUUGAGCAAUUUCUCGCUUCAUUCGAGUCCACCAAUACGACCGCUUGAGGUCAUGGUACAUCUUCAUACUUCCAGGAUGAAUGGAAAGAAGAGAAUUGUGCGCCUCGUUCAUAAUGACUUUCCUUAGAUCACCUUUAGGAACCACAAUCCGGUCCUCGAAGAACAAAGUGUCUCUGUCAUCAAUGCGAUAACACUUGUAUUUGGAAAGACCCUUGUCGACACCACGUUUCACCUUCUUCACCAUGGUAUCCAGGAGUUGUGCCUCACGAAUUUGAUCUUCCAAAGUAGGAGAGACUAUGAGGUUGGCAAGAAAGCCUUGAGGAACAACUUGGAGAUUCAGCUUGCGGAAAGCUUCACAAAGAUCCGGUUGGAAAGGCUUGAGAAUUAAGCUGUUGCAAUAAGCCUUCCUGCUUAAAGCAUCUGCAAUGACAUUGGCCUUGUCUGAGUAUAUUCAAUACUCGGAUUGUACUCUUGAAUCAUUUCGACCCAUCGAGUCUGCCUGAGGUUGAGGUUGGGCUGAGUGAAGAUGUACUUGAGACUCUUGUGAUCGGUGAAUAUGUCCACUUGUCUUCCCAACAAGAGAUGUCUCCACGUUAUUAAUGCAUGGACAACUGCCGCCAACUCAAGAUCGUGAGUGGGGUAGUUCUUUUCAUUGGGCUUCAACUGACAAGAGGUAUAGGACACAACUUUCUUCUCUUGCAUUAACACAACACCGAGACCUUGGAGAGAAGCAUCACAGAAAACUUCAAAUGGCUGGAUUCGUCAGGAGGAGUUAAGACAGGAGCUGUGACGAGUUUCUCUUUGAGAGUGUUGAAAGCAACAUCACACUCAGGAGACCAGACAUACUUCACAUGCUUUUGGAGGAGGUUGGAAAGAGGCUUUGCAAUCUUAGAGAAAUUCUCAACGAAUCUUCGGCAAUAGCUUGCAAGACCAAGAAAACUGCGGAGCUGCUUGACAUUCUGAGGAGGUUCCCAAUUCACAAUUGCGGACACCUUCUCGGGGUUAACAGCGAUGCCCUUGGCAGAGAUGAUGUGACCAAGGUAAAGAACUUCAUCAAGCCAAAACUCACAUUUGGAAAACUUCGCAUAGAAUUGAUACUCUCUGAGCUUGUCGAGCACCAAUCUCAAAUGUUUGGCAUGAUCCUUCUUAUUCUUGGAGAAGACCAAGAUAUCAUCGAGAUACACCAGGACGAAUUCAUUGGUAUAGGGGUUGAAGAUGAAAUUCAUCAUCCGAGAGAAUGUUGGAGGAGCAUUGACAAGGCCGAAAGACACGACAGUAUAUUCAUAAGAACCAAAGCUUGUUCUGAAUGCUGUCUUGGGAAUAUCUUCUUCACGAAUGCGAAUCUGAUGAUAACCCAUGCGAAGGUCAAGCUUGGAGAAUACUUUAGCACCUUUGAGUUGCUCGAAUAGCUCAUUGAUGUUGGGAAGUGGAUACUUGUUCUUGAUUGUCUUCUUGUUCAAUGGACGGUAGUCGACACAAAGUCGGUCCGUGCCAUCCUUCUUCUUUACAAAAAGAACACCACAACCCCAUGGAGAAGAACUCGGUCUGAUCAAACCCAGACGCUCUUGUUCAUCGAGCUGUUUCUUCAAUUCCUUCAGCUCCUUGGGUCCAAGCUUGUAUGGACGCUUGCAAACGGGUUCAGUUCCUGGCUCAAGAUCGAUAACGAACUCAACUGGCCGGCGAGGAGGCAUACCCGGAAGCUCUUCUGGAAAGACAUCUUGAUACUCACAAACAACUGGAAUUUGAGAGAUGGCAUUCAAUUCGCCCUUCUCAUUGAGAGAAAAUAACCGAAUGGUUUCAUCACGAGCGGCAUAGAUAAUCACAUCCUCAGAAGAGUGUGUCAAUUGAAUUUCCCUGGCAGCACAAUCAAGUUGAGCCUUGUACUUAGAAAGCCAGUCCAUCCCGAGAAUUAGAUCAAUAUCCGAGUCACCAAGAACCAUUGGAGAAGACAGAAAUUUAUAAUUGCCCAUCUUGAUAGAAACAUCCGGAGCCAUCAUUUUGGUAUUCAUGAAUAAUCCCGGAGCGGAAACCGCUAUCGGCUUAGGAAGAUCAACAGUAUGCAAAUUGUUCAUGGAUGCAAAAGGUCUUGAUAUGAAAGAAAUAGAUGCACCAGUAUCAAACAAGACUUUUGCAGGAAUAUCAUUAACAGGAAGAUUACCCAUUAUCACAUCAGUAUAUUCCUCCGCUUGAGCUGCAUUCAUCAUGUUCACCUUUGCAGACUUUGGAUUAUGCUUGACCACUGCAUUGUUGAAAGAUCUGACAGGGGGAGGAGGCGGAAGACGCCUUUGGUUGAAGCACUUGUUAGCAUAGUGACCUUUCUGCUGACACUUGUUGCAAGUCACCUCUGAGAGUGGACGGUGAUAAGGAGCAUUGGACUUUGGAGCUUGAUUCUGAGACUUGUUCUGAUAGCCAGAGUUGGAAGAGUGGGAAGAACCAUGGCCACCUUUGUUCUUCUGCUGGUAAGGCUGACGAAACGGAGGAGGAGGCAACCAGAACUUCUGUUGCUUAGCUGCCACAAGUGAGGAAGAAGAAGACUGCACUGCAUCCCUGACUCUCUUCUUAGAAGCCUCACACUUGAGCUGAGCAGCCUCUUGCUUCAGUGCCAUAUUGUAGAAUUGAUCAAACUGAGUAGGCUCAACAAGAACGAGAGCUAACUGCAGAUCCUCUCUAAGGCCACCUCUGAAGUGAUAGAUCAUGCUCUUUUCAUCAGGAACGUCUUGUUUAGCGAAGCGAGCAAGUUUCUGAAACUGGAUGUUGAAUUGAUACACAGACAUGUUGCCUUGCUUGAGAUUGCAGAACUCCUCACGCUUGCUCUCAACAACACUUUGUGGAAUGUGGUGCGCUUUGAAAUCCCGACAGAAGUCAGUCCAAGUAAUCACAGGACCUCCUCUGGAAUCUUUGUAUUGUUGAUACCAAUCAGCAACUUGGUCCUUGAGCUAAAAAGAAGCGAACUUGACAUAGUCCUCAGGCUUGACAUUGCUACAUUCAAAAUGCUUGUUGAUGUCCACGAGCCAAUCAUCGGCAUCCGUGGCCUCGGCACAGUAGCUGAAAGACUUGGGCUGAUUUGCGAGAAACUGGUUGAGGGUAGCGAAGUGAGGCUGAUUGUUGCCUUGGCCUUGAUUCCCUUGAUUGCCUUGCCCUUGGGUGCGGUCUUGCAAGAGUUGCAGAAUCAUCUGAGCAUUGGCGUUGGUGGCUGCCAUGAUAGCUUGCCAUGCCUCCGGAGGUGGAGGUGGUGGUGGAGGGUUCUCUUGACUCCCUUCAUUGCGAUCCGGAUUCUGACGCGUUGGCGGAGCCAUCCUGAAGAGGGUGACGUCCGUUAGCAUCUUGAUAGACAAAUAGACAAGUAGAAUCAACAGAUAGAAAUUGCAACAUAUAGUCUUCACAAUAAACAUUCGAACGAGGAUGAACGAAUGAAUUCCAUAGUAAAUCAUUGCACUUCCAUAAAUUGAGAAGCCACUUAGAACAAGGUAUGGAAAUCAACAUUUGACUUCGAAGCAACUCGAAUACCACAAUUCAAAACAAAACAAAGUAUUGGCUUGCAGAAUAAGCCGGAACAAACAUAUGAUAGAUAUUUCGUCCGAAGUUUUCGUGGUGGGGCCCACACGGGCUCGAUCAUACAGCACCAUCAUGUACAAGGCUGUGCACAUGACAUACGAAGCGUCCCCGAGUCGGCAUAGCCAAGGACUCUUUAAGACACUACGAGACCACUAUAAGACCAACCGUGUACAGGCGGACCACUAGACGUCGAACCCCAAUCUCAUAUCAUGCGUCUAUCGGAAAGAUAUCCUAAGAGCUACUUGAAUUCCCACUUAUAAACUCCCGAAACUUUCUGUUUAUGCAAUCUGGUGUUGGGGAUACAGGGGACACAAAAUAUAUCACCCAAACUAGCAAUCCCUAGAUCCAGCUGUAUCCAUCCGUCAACACAUAACCAAGAAACCUUCGGAAAUCGUGUACCUCAACCUUCGAAAAACAUCCGUUAUACGAGUUAUGGCAAUACUCCCGAACUCCCGCCCCAGUACUGGGUGGCGUCGAGGUGAUCUCACCAACAACUGCAUAAAAGAGAUUUCGAUGUCGGCGAAACUCAGGUAUUCCAGAACUGCAACGAUAAAAUUGUGACGACAACACCUCGGAGCUCAACUCCCCGGGACACUGCCACAACCCCUAAAUGUCAGGAGGCACCAAGAACAAUGUUCUCGUCACAAAACCAUCAGAACGAUUCUAAGAUACCCGCGUGAUCCUAAAUUUUUUUUAGUGAAAAUUGAGGAGAGAAUAGUCAAAACUUCUAUGUCAGGAGACCUCACCAGAGCGAUGAAAGGACUGAGGAGUAAAAAGAAUCCUACUCUCCGAUAUAUAUAAUCCUAAGACUCAAAACAUUUUUGCUCUAGACUCAACAACGCCAGCGAUUCGAUCAAGCAGGGGGCUCCUAAGUCGGAGAUGGCUCUGAUUACCAACUUGUAACGCCCACGAUGCGGCUAUAUCUCCCACGUGUCGAGGCACGACUUAGAGGCAUAACCGCAUUGUGGUUUUGUCGCAAGAAGGGUCAUCUUCACACAAUCCCAUGUAAUGAACAAGAAUGGGAUAACGAGAGUUGGCUUACAAUCGCCACUUCACACAAUACAUAAAUAUAAUUCAUACAUCAUCCAAAAUACACACAUAGACCAACUACGGUCAAGAUCCAAAUGAAAAUAAGACAACCCCAAAUGCUAGAUCCCCGAUCGUCCCAACUGGGCUCCACUACUGAUCAUCAGGAAAAGACACAUAGUAACGACCACGUUCCUCAUCGAACUCCCACUUGAGGUCGAUCCCAUCAUCUGCACUGGCAUCGUCGGCACCUGCAACUAUUUUGGUAGAAUCUGUGAGUCACGAGGACUCAACAAUCUCACACCCGCGAGAUCAAGACUAUUUAAGCUUAUAGGACAGGAUGGUGUAAUGAGGUGGAGCUGCAGCAGGCACUAAGCAUAUAUGGUGGCUAACAUACGCAAAAGAGAGCGAGAAGAGAAGCAACGGAACGGUCGUCAUCUAGUAAUGAUCAAGAAGUGAUCCUGAACUCCUACUUACGUCAAACAUAACUCAAACCGUGUUCACUUCCCGGACUCCGUCGAGAAGAGACCAUCACGGCUACACACACGGUUGAUGUAUUUUAAUUGGGUCAAGUGACAAGUUCUCUACAACCGGACAUUAACAAAUUCCCAUCUGCCUCAUAACCGCGGGCACGGCUUUCGAAAGAUAAUACCCUGCAGGGGUGUCCCAACUUAGCCCAUCAUAAGCUCUCACGGUCAACGAAGGAUAAACCUUCUCCCGGAAAGACCCGAUCAGUCUCGGAAUCCCGGUUUACAAGACAUUUCGACAAUGGUAAAACAAGACCAGCAAAGCCACCCGAAUGUGCCGACAAAUCCCGGUAGGAGCUGCACAUAUCUCAUUCUCAGGGCACAACGGAUGGGCAAGACGUCGGGUUGGCAUAGACCCUGGUUGCCCUGGGGGCGCCGGACAUCGCCCAGUUUGGGCCAGCACUCGAAGGAGCACUGGUCCGGGGGUUUAAAAUAAAGAUGACCCUCGGGCUCGCGAAAACCCGUGGGAAAAGGCUUAGGUGGCAAAUGGUAAAACCAAGGUUGGGCCUUGCUGGAGGAGUUUUAUUCAAGGCGAACUGUCAAGGGGGUCCCAUAAUCACCCAACCGCGUAAGGAACGCAAACUCAAGGAACAUAAUCCCGGUAUGACAGAAACUAGGGCGGCAAGAGUGGAACAAAACACCAGGCAUAAGGCCGAGCCUUCCACCCUUUACCAAAAAUAUAGAUGCAUUAAUUAAAUAAGAGAUAUUGUGAUAUCCCAACAUAUCCAUGUUCCAACAUGGAACCAACUUCAACUUCACCUGCAACUAGCAACGCUAUAAGAAGGGCUGAGCAAAAGCGGUAACUUAGCCAAACAACGGUUUGCUAGGAAAGGAUGGUUAGAGGCUGUCAUGGCAAUAUGGGAGGCAUGAUAUAGCAAGUGAUAGGUAGCGCAGCAUGGCAAUAGAGCGAACAACUAGCAAAGCAAAGAUAGAAGUGAUUUCGAGGGUAUGGUCAUCUUGCCUGCAAGGUUCUCAGAGUUGUCGAAAGCUUGAUCCUCAUAAGCGUACUCAACAGGUUCCUCGUUCACGAACUCGUCUCCCGGCACUACCCAAAACAAGAACACAAGCAACGGAACCACAAUCAAUCACGGGAAAUGCAAUAGCAACAUGAUGCAAUACAUGAAUGAUAUGCAAGAUAUGAUAUGCGAAGCAUAUGCGUGCUCCGGAAGAAAAAUGAUGAACAAGGCAGUAACUUGGCAAACCAAGUAUGCCACUGGAAAGAUGAGAUGAUUUCGGUCGAAAUCGAUAUAAAGAUCACCGGAAACGGAUGCACGGUUCGCGAAAGGCAAGCAAAACAAGAAUGACACGAAUCUGUAAUUAACAGCAUGAUAGCACUUAGAAUACAUCAAGUAACUAUGCUACAGCACUCCAACAUAGCAAAAAAGCAUAUGACAGUAAUCUACAGGAGGUGUUUGACAAAAGAUGAACACUGAGCUACAGCUAGAUCACAAGAUAACAGGCUCAAACAAGCAUGGCAAAAGUGCGAAAGAUAUCAGGUUCACAGACUUGGUGAAAUUACUGGACAUGGCUGAAACAGCAUCAGGUAGCAAUGUUCAGAGCAAGAAAAACACAUGCUACAAGAACUUAACAUCGCGAAACAAGGAUGGCAUGAAUCUACUAAAUGCAUAGAACAAAAGUCACUUACUGACCAUAAGCCAAAAAGGACCAAAAGUUAUGAUGGCAACCAUGUGAACAUAGCAAGUUUCGUUAACAGGUUACAGACUUGGCAGAAAACAGAGCAUGGCAGAAACAAUAAUAUGAAGGCAUCUUGGUAAGCUUGAUGCACUCACCACAAAGAAAUUCAUGACAAAAUAAGCAUACCUACAGCAAGAUGGCAUGUUUAUGAAGCUAUCCAUGGCAAGAGAAAGUACAUAGCAUGUAUGAAACAACUACAACAAGCUUGGCAAAAUUGAAUAACACGUAAACAAUCUGCCAGAAAUAUUUUAUAGAAAAAGUAGAGCAAGAUUGAGUCAUUCUAUGGCACUCCAUAAUUGCAAACAAGGGCAGGAAUGGAUCAAUUACAACAAUAUCUACAAAACAUCCUUACUGAACAUCUCCAAAAUAUGCAUGGAUCUCUCUAUAGCAUCAAGUUUACAUGACAACAAAAUAACAGCAGACAGACUUGGAGAAAUCACCAAGUCUCUGAAAUCAGAAACAUUAUGGAGCCUAGUUUGCAUGCUUGUGCUAGUCACCACAGAGAUCACAAAAAUACAUGGCAUACACCUCUGUAAAUAUGGCAUGGCAUACAUCAAAACACAUGUAGAGCUCCUACUCAUAAGAUGCACAUAUCAAAUGCAACAAAAAUAACAAAUCCUCAUGUUCUGUUAAGUAACAGCAGUUAACAGCAUAUAGCACUCUUGCACCAGAGAGUUUGGCAUCAAGAUGAACUCAAAUGAACAUGGUGCAAUUGAACAAAAUGUAGAGCAUCAUGAGACGAACAUUUCGAUAUAUUACAUGUACGAAACGGAGCUAUAUGCAGAGAGUUAUGCCAUGAUGAACAGGGGUAUAUAAUGUGAAAAUGCAAAAGACUUGGGAAUAUUUUCGGGGAGAGGUUUGGAAAGUCAACCGUGGGCUUCCUCGAUCCAAAUCUGGCCGGGGCCGGGCUUCGAGCUCGCCGGCGGUGGAUGGCGACGCCGGAGGAGAGGAGGGAGAGGCCGGAGGGAGGCGGCGCUCGGGGCCGCGGGCGGCGGAGGAGGGGGGCGCCGGCGACGGGCGCUGCUCGGGCGGCGCCGACGACGGGCGAGGCGGCGAGCGGCGGCGGGGCCNNNNNNNNNNNNNNNNNNNNNNNNNNNNNNNNNNNNNNNNNNNNNNNNNNNNNNNNNNNNNNNNNNNNNNNNNNNNNNNNNNNNNNNNNNNNNNNNNNNNNNNNNNNNNNNNNNNNNNNNNNNNNNNNNNNNNNNNNNNNNNNNNNNNNNNNNNNNNNNNNNNNNNNNNNNNNNNNNNNNNNNNNNNNNNNNNNNNNNNNNNNNNNNNNNNNNNNNNNNNNNNNNNNNNNNNNNNNNNNNNNNNNNNNNNNNNNNNNNNNNNNNNNNNNNNNNNNNNNNNNNNNNNNNNNNNNNNNNNNNNNNNNNNNNNNNNNNNNNNNNNNNNNNNNNNNNNNNNNNNNNNNNNNNNNNNNNNNNNNNNNNNNNNNNNNNNNNNNNNNNNNNNNNNNNNNNNNNNNNNNNNNNNNNNNNNNNNNNNNNNNNNNNNNNNNNNNNNNNNNNNNNNNNNNNNNNNNNNNNNNNNNNNNNNNNNNNNNNNNNNNNNNNNNNNNNNNNNNNNNNNNNNNNNNNNNNNNNNNNNNNNNNNNNNNNNNNNNNNNNNNNNNNNNNNNNNNNNNNNNNNNNNNNNNNNNNNNNNNNNNNNNCACGGGGCGGACGCGGAGAGGCUGCGGGCGGCGGCGCAUUAGUCCGGCGGGGUACGGACGUGUCCGACGGCGCGGAGGGAUAGGGUUAGGGUUUGGACUACGGAUUAUCUCGGGAGGGGUGCAAUUAUAUAGGUAGAGGGAGCUAGGAGACUCCAAACGAGGUGCGGUUUUCGCCCACACGAUCGUGAUCGAAAAACCUAGAGCAUGGAAAUGACUUGGAGGGGUUUUGGGAUGUUUAGAGAGGGGGUUUUGCGGCAACACACAGAAGGCAUCUGCGGUUACCCGGUUAACCGUUGGAGUACCAAACGACCUCCAAAUGGAACGAAACUUGACCGGUGGUCUCCCGGUGGUAUACCAAGGCCACUUGACAAGCCUCGGUCCAUUCCGAGAACGUUCGACACCCGCUCACGAAAAGAAACAAGAUGGGUGCGUCGGAGGAGGUGGGAGUGCCGGAUUGCAAAACGGACAACGGGGAAACUGCUCGGAUGCAUGAGACGAACAUGUAUGCAAAUGCAAUGCACAUGAUGACAUGAUAUGAUAUGCAUGACAUGAACAAAAUGCAAAACGAAAGACAAAACCCGACCACGGAGGGAAUAUCAUAACACAUAGCCGAAAAUGGCAAGAGUUGGAGUUACAAAUAUGGAAAGUUACAUCCGGGGUGUUACAACUUCCCUCCUGUUGCAGAGAAGCUCGACAAGUGGAGGGCCACCAUCCGGAGCCUCGUCGCCAUCGCCAACAAAGACGAUCCACGACCAGCGGGGCCCUCAGGUCGGCGCUCCACCGAGCCACCACGUGCUGGCGCUGGGAGGACCGGGGGAGCUGCGGCCACGGUGCACUCUCCUCCUCCUCGCCAGCCGCCGCGGGCGUCUGCCCGUCGUGACGACGCUUGUGAUAACAUCUCAAUAGCGUCGUCCGACCCACGGACCCUCCGCGACCAGCGCCAGGUCCUUCGGGAACGAGCUCACAAAGACGCUCGAACCAGCGUCGAACGCCGACGCGAAACGCGCGUCCAGUCGGACAAGCGGGCGGGACCCGCUAUGGACCACCCGGCACCGGGGGGCUCCGGCGGCCUACCUUACGAGGUGGGAUGCCCGGCCUUUACCCGUGAGCUGCGGCAGUUCCAGUGGCCGUCCCAUUGCACGUUCAAGCCCGACGUCAGCGAGAAGUACACUAGCAGGACCCAUCCGUCCGAGUUCCUCAGCAUCUACACCAUCGCGAUGCAGGCUGCUGGGGCUCGCGACGACAAGGUGCUUGCCAACUAUUUCCCGCUGGUGCUCAAGCCCAAUGUGAUGUCUUGGUUGAUGCACUUGCCGGUGGAUUCCAUUUCUUCCUGGUCGAAUCUGUGCCAUGAGUUCGUUGGCGCCUUCACAGGAGGCCACCAAGCUCAUGGCCAGGCCAGUGAUCUGCAUAUCAUUCCCCAGAAGGAAGGGGAGACCCUACGCAAGUACAUCCAGAGAUUCAGCCGGGUGCAGUACAACAUCCCUGACGUUCAUCCCGCCGCUGUGAUUAGCGCGUUCCACCAGAACAUGCGCAAUCGCAAGAUGCGCGAGGAGCUGGCGAUGACCAAGGUCAAGGAUGUGGCCGAGCUCUACGUUCUGGCCGAUAGAUGCGCCCGGGCUGAAGAGGGAAGGAAGUACCCCGGCGAAGACGCCGGCACGGAAACCGACUCUACCGAUGAGGACGCCGCUACCCCGACGAAGAAGGGCCGGCGUUGCAACAGGAAACGCAAGGGCCAGGCCGUGCUUGCCGUUGAGGGAUCUGACGACACCGGUGCCGGCAAGAAGGUCAAGGCAGGCGCUCCCGGCAAGGAGAUUCCGGGUGCGCCGCCUGCCGGGCCUUGGUGGCUACCGACAAGCCAGGGAGCUCCGGCAAGCAAUACUGCAAGAUCCACCGCACCAAGGGCCACGACCUCCAGAACUGCCGACAAGUCGAGCUGCUUGCUGAUAAGCAAAAGGCUGAGUACAAGAGGCGGGACAAGGAGAAGGACAAGGACGGUGCCGAGGGAUCCGACAAGAAGCGUGGCGGCCAAGGAGGCUGCCCCGGCAAGGACAACCAGCAAGAGAGGCCCGCCCGGGGCCGCGACAAGAAACAAGAAGAUGAUGAUCACGACGAGGAGGACGAGUCUGGUGAGCAAGGGUUCCAGAAGGCUACGGAGGCCAUGUGCGUCGAUGGCGGCGCCUCGCUGCAUACCUCUCACCGCCAGCUCAAGCAGUGGGCGCGUGAGAUUACAGCAGCAGAGUCGUUGUUCGACUCUCAGAAGCCACUGAAGUGGUCCAACACGCCCCUCAUCUUUGACGCCGAGGACCACCCUAACCGCACUACCGCGGUCGGGUGUUUGCCAUUGUUGGUCACACCAACGAUACGCAACCUCAGGGUGAACAAGAUGUUGGUUGACAGCGGGGCCGGCUUGAACCUGAUUUCGCCUGUCGUGAUCAAAAGGUUGCAAAUCCCUGAUGGAUACCUCGAGGAAACGGGCAUGUUUCAAGGGGUCAAUCCAGGGAGGAGCCAGCCGAAGGGAAAGGUCACACUGCCCGUGACAUUUGGAGGAGAGUUGAACUACAGGACAGAGAGGAUUGUCUUCGACGUGGCCGAGAUCCCCUUGCCCUAUAACGGGAUCCUCAGCCGCCCGGCACUAGCCAAGUUCAUGGCGGCAUCACACUAUGCCUACAACAUGCUAAAGAUGCCUGGGCCGUUGACCAUCAUCUUCGUCCCCUCCGGCAAGAAGGACAUGCUGAUCUGCGCCGACCAACUCUACCGGGAAGCAGUUGCAGCAGCUGCCGUCAAGGCACCUGCUCCUGCCGCUGAAGGGCUGGGAGGGAAGAAGAAGCCCGACAAGACCUCUCGCACCCACUCCGGCAAGCGCACCUCCUCGGAGUGUUGCGCUACCGUCGAGGACGUGCCAGAGAGCUCUACCGACAAGAGCAAGAGAUCCAGAGCCGAGCCGCCGCAGACCAAGAAGGUGCCCAUCAGGGAGGAUGGCGCGGGAGGGGUCUUCACCAUAGGCUUCACCCUCGACAGCAAAUAGGAAGGCGCGCUCGUCACCUUCCUGCGGGCGAAUGUCGACGUGUUUGCGUGGCAAGCAUCUGACAUCCCCGGUGUUCCCAGGGAGGUGAUUGAGGACCACCUAGCUGUCUGCCCCCACGCGCGGCCCGUCAAGCAGAAGGUCAGAAAGCAGGCUCUGGAGAGGCAGGAGUUCAUCACAGAGGAGAUCAGGAAGUUGGAAGCGGCAGGUUUGGUGAGAGGAGUGCUCCACCCGACGUGGUUGGCCAAUCCGGUAGUGGUGCGCAAGGCGAAUGGGAAGUGGAGGCUGUGUAUUGAUUACACAGAUAUCAAUAAGGCUUGUCCUAAGGACCCCUUCCCGUUGCCGCGCAUCGACCAGAUUGUUGACUCCACAGCCGGGUGUGAUCUGUUAUCAUUCCUCGACGCCUACUCAGGCUACCACCAGAUCUUCAUGACAAGAGAGGAUGAAGAGAAGACAACAUUCAUCACCCCAUGUGGUACGUAUUGCUUUUUACGGAUGCCUUUCGGGUUGAAGAGUGCUGGCUCAACGUUCGCAAGAGCAGUCCAAAUUGGUUUUGAACCUCAGCUCCAUAGAAAUAUGGAGGCCUACAUGGAUGACAUAGUGGUCAAAACCAAGGACGGGCCACCUCUUGUGCAAGAUCUGGAAGAGACAUUUGCCAACCUGCGCAAGAUCAACCUCAAGCUGAACCCUGAGAAGUGUGUCUUCGGCGUUCCAUCCGGCAAGCUUCUCGGGUUCUUUGUGUCGCAGCGCGGGAUCGAGGCAAACCCAGACAAGAUCAAGGCUAUUGGGUUGAUUGAGGCGCCCAAGCGGAUCAAAGAUGUGCGUCGGCUCACCGGCUGCGUUGCCGCCAUGAGCCGAUUCAUCUCCAAGUCUGCCGAGCGCGCCCUUCCCUUCUUCAGAAUCUUGAAAAAGGCAGGCCCAAUGGAGUGGACCCCAGAAGCCGAGGCAGCAUUGCAGGAUCUAAAGAAAUACCUUUCCUCCACGCCAAUACUGGUUGCGCCUAAACCACAAGAGCCGUUGCUGCUGUAUCUGGCGGCGACGAAUCAAGUGGUCAGCGCUGCGCGGGUGGCACAGAGGGAGGUCAACGAGGAGGCAGUGACAACGGCAGAACCAGCGGAUGGCAAGCCCAAGAUUCCCCCGGUAGGGCCUGGUGCCAGCAAGGCGAGGCCCCCGACAGAGUCUGAUGCCGCCGAGGCAGUGCCUGCGCAGUCAAGUGAGGUGGUGCAGAAGAAGAAGAUGAUGCAGCACCCGGUUUACUUUGUCAGCUCCCUCUUGCAGGGAGCUAGAUCGAGGUACUCCGGUGUGCAGAAAUUGCUCUUCGGCCUCCUGAUGGCCUCGAGGAAGCUGCGUCAUUACUUCCAAGCCCACGAGAUCACCGUCGUCACCCGCCUCCCAUUGCAACGGAUACUGUACAACCUAGAUGCGACUGGAAGGAUUGUGGAAUGGGCCUUGGAGUUGUCAAGCUUCGGUUUAAAGUUUGAAAGUACCUCGAGAAUUCAGAGCAGAGUCUUGGUGGAGUUCAUUGCAGAAUGGACCUCAACGCCCGACGAAGAAAUCCAGGAGACCACUCUCCCCGGCAAGGAAGCAGACCGCGACUGGAUCAUGUACUUUGAUGGGGCUUUCUCGCUGCAAGGCGCCGGUGCCGGUGUGCUGCUCGUCGCGCCAACCGGAGAGCACCUCAAGUACAUUAUCCAGAUGCACUUCCCCAGGGAGAUGUCCACCAACAACACUGCUGAGUACGAGGGAUUGCUCGCCGGUCUCAGGAUCGCGGCAGACCUUGGGGUUAAGAAGCUCAUCGUCAGGGGAGACUCGCAGCUUGUUGUUAGGCAUGUCAACAAGGAUUACCAGAGCCCAUUGAUGGAGGCCUACGUAGAUGAGGUGAGGAAGCUGGAGGAACGCUUUGACGGUAUCCAAGCGGAGCACGUCCCCCGAAUGGAGAACGACAUCGCCGAUUACCUGUCAAAGCGUGCUGCAUUCAAGCUACCUGUGGAACUAGGUACCUUUUUACUCCGGUUAACUCAACCAUCCGUCGAGCCAUCAACGGGGCAGAACAAGCAGAAGUAGUCAGGUCCCGGCAAGUACUUUCCUACCGAGCCCCCUGGGGCCGCCGGCAAGGGUGCUGCCGCGGACGCUGAGCCUGCCCAAGAGCAACUGGCUCCGGCAGGGCGUCAAGCCCUGGCCGUAGAGACAGCCGUUCCCAUGGCGGAAGAAAUGCCUUUGGCCCUUGCCGUCGAGCCCCAGGCUCCGGCAUGGGCGCAGCAUACCGUCCAAUUCCUCCAAACAGGGGAGCUUCCUCAGGAGCAGGAAGAAGCGGAAAAAGUAGCCCGUCGGUCCGCCCUGUACCAGUUCGUCGAUGACGUCCUGUACAGGAGAAGGCCGAACGGCGUGAAAUUGAAGUGCAUCCCCCGGGAGGAAGGACUGGUGCUGUUGGCGGAGAUACAUGGAGGCAUAUGUGGCUCCCACAUAGGGUCGAGGGCCCUUUCCAGAAAGGCGUUCCGGCAAGGUUUCUUCUGGCCCACCGCCCUCCAGGAUGCGACGGCAGUAGUAACCAAGUGUGAAGCGUGUCAGUUCCAUUCAAAGAAGCUUCAUCAACCAUCCCAAGCCCUUCAAACAAUCCCUCUCUCCUGGCCAUUCUCGGUCUGGGUCUCGACAUACUGGGCCCUUUCCCCCGCGCUGUCGGGGGCUUUGAGUACUUGUACGUUGCAAUCGACAAGUUCACAAAGUGGCCGGAGGUGGAAGCAGUGAGAAAGGUGACUGCUCAGUCACCUGUCAAGUUUUUCAAGGGACUGGUCUGCCAUUUUGGUGUGCCAAAUAGAGUCAUCACCGACAACGGCACGCAGUUCACGAGCCACACCUUCAUGCAAUACAUUCAAGACCUCGGCAGCAAGGUCUGUUUUGCUUCCGUGGCACACCCACGGAGCAACGGCCAAGCGGAGAGGGCGAAUGUUGAAGUGUUGCGAGGCCUAAGGACAAAGACUUUUGACAAGCUGCGCAAGAGCGGAAGGCGCUGGAUUGAUGAAUUGCCGGCGGUUCUUUGGUCGAUCAGAAUGACGCCAAAUCGAGCCACCAGCCAGACACCUUUUGCCCUGGUCUACGGGGCAGAAGCAGUUCUCCCCACGGAACUCAUAUACGGGUCACCUCAAGUGCUAGCUUAUGAUGAGCUUGAGUAAGAGCAGUUGCGCAAAGAUGACGCGACGCUCCUUGAGGAAGAUCGUCUUCGGGCGGCUGUGAGAGUAGCACGCUACCAGCAAGCCUUGCGCCGCUACCAUAGCCGCAAGGUUCAUGCCCGAAGCUUUGAGGAAGGCGACCUUGUUCUUCGGCGCGUUCAGUCGGCCAAGAAUGCCAACAAGUUGACGCCGAAGUGGGAAGGCCCUUAUCGGGUAAUACGAGUCACCAGGCCCGGCGCAGUCCGCCUGGAGACCGAAGAUGCCGUCCCAGUGAGCAACUCCUGGAACAUCGAGCAUCUUCGCAAGUUUUACCCAUAAGGUGCGGCUUGCCGGGCCUCCCGGCAAGCCACCUUUUGUACAAGCUUUGCCGGCAAGGCAUGUGACCCUUUGUACAAAGCCAGGCACAAACCCUGAGCAUAAAUAAAUGAAGCGCUGGCGCCCUAAGUCAUAGCAUGCAUGCUAGGUCGAGUCCCUUCCUUGGUUAGGGUUGAUAGUACUCAGCAGCGACUAACCCCUAGCUUAGAGGUCGAGUGCGCGUCUAUCUGUUUCUCUUCUGUCCUCUUUUGGUUCGCAGGGCACAUGAGCACUUCUACCGAGCUACUUGGAAGAAAGAAAACGGAACAGCGUCCUGACCCCGGCAAACCAGAGUUGCCGGGGGCUGCAAGCACAAGGAUCCAACCGCGGCAAGAUGAGAUUGCCAGGGGCUGCAGAUCUAGAUAAGUCUUUCAUCCUCUGUCAUGUAUUUCGGAACCGGACUGGGGCAUGUGAAACCUCGUUUUUAUCUCUAGGCUGCCGUGCUCCCCUUUUUCCUAUACCUAAGGAUUAUUUCCUGGGUUCGGAUUUGGUUGUAGCCGCGGUAGCAAGGAGGUAGAACGAGGAGCCUAAAGCCCACUUCAUCCCUGCCUCCGCCAAGAGCGCGAGAAGGUCGAGUGGAGUGGGGGGACGGCAAGGUCUGUUGCCGGGUGAAAAACGUUUAUCUUAAACAAUAACAAGGAUUCGCUCCUUGUCGCGGGAUUUACCCAUGAACGAAAAACCCGGCAAGCAUCCCUUUUUCAUUAAAAACAUCCCAUACAGGUACAGUUCGUACGGAAUGAAAAACUUGAGCAAGGGGAUUACAAGUUCUAAAUUUAACGAAGGCCCGCAGGCUUACAAACUAAAAAAGAGAUAAGAUGCCCGUAAUCCCUUUCUUGUCCCUGUCCUCAGGAGGCAGGUCGAGGAGGCGAGAGGGCAAAAGGGGCGCCUAGGCGAGCUACGAGCAGCAGAAAGCACCAAGAGAACACCUCGGUGGCUGCCCACGGGUGGGUCGGUGAUGACGGUGCCGGGAAAGGAGCUGGAAGAUGAGGCGGCAGGACCGGCAAUACGCGAUGAAGGCGUCGGUGCCCGCGUACUCCGAGUUGAUGGCCUUGCCACCCGCCCUCUUCCUCUUCCGCAGCCUCCCGACGCUAGCCUCCCAAGGAGACGGCCCCGAGAAGUUCAAGGAGCUGGCCCCACCCCUGGCAAACCUCUGCCGGAGGAGCGGCCAGGUGCAGAUGCUGCUGCUGCCGCACCCGCCCAGGCGCGGGGCGUCCGACGCCUAGUCGGACUCGUCCCCGUCAUCUGCCCCGCUGUCCUCCUCAUCACUUUCACUCGAGGAAGAGCUUCCAUCAUCGGAAUCUUCGUCGGAGGAGCUUUCCACGCAGCACUUCAGGCGAGUUCCAAACUCUCCGAAGACCUUGACGGAGAGCAGGCCAUCCUCCAUUAAUUUGAAGUAGAGGACGAGCCCCGCCGUCAGGCUGUGGAUGCGAGCAAACGUCUUCCAUCCACGGCGGAUGUACAUAACCCGAGGAGCCGAGAAGUCGACGUAGACCCGCGUGCCCCCGUUCCCACAGCCCCUCAUGUGCAACCUGAGGGUCUGGGGCGGGUCACGCUCCAUCACCCGAGCAAACGGGGCGGGGAGACGAAGACGAUGACACGGAGGCCGGCGCAGCCUGAUGAAGAACUCGCGGGGCUGGUCUCCGACAUGGCCUUCCAUCGGAAAAGGCAACAUUGGCGGGGGCGAAGCCGGCGCGCCGCCUCGUCCUCCUCUUCCCCGAGCACUGCGACCUCUGCCCCGGCCUCGCCCACGGCCUCGCCCCCUCCCCCUUCCCCUCGCGGCCGGCUCCACCACCGCGGGCUCAGGAGGAGAAGGGACGCGCUGUCGAGCGGCGACCCUCGCCGCCACCGUCGAAGGACCAGGAUUCCCUUUCUCCAUGGCGAGUGAAAGGAAGAAGCAGAAGCGAGAGGAGAUAGAUGACAGAAGAGUGCGAGACGCCAUCUCUCCUCCCCCUUCCUUAUAAGGGAGCGGGGUCGGGGCUCGGCUGCCCCGCUCGGCCAAUCCGGCCACCAGAGGCGCAGGGAAUCGGGACCGACCCGCUGCCCCAACCAGCGACGGCCUGGUUUCCCGCCUCCACCGCUUGCCACCCCAAGUGCAUGGAGGACGCGUGGCGAACGUGCAGAACCGAGGGGACGGGCGAAGCGACCUCUCCCCACCCCGUGAUCGUGGGGAGUGGACGCCUUGAAGACCGCACCCUGGCCCCGUUCAGUAAAUGAGCCGCGCCUCCACGCCUCCCUCUUUUUACAGGGAAGGCGCGAGCCGCCUCUUUACUGCGAUGUGACGCAUGCAUGUGGAGACCGCCCCAUGCAUGCCGCCCAUGUCACGCACACCCCUCCACGCCGCGCUGCGGGCGCGGGUCGUGGGUAGUGCAGCGCGCGAAAAGUCUUACCACGGUAAAAAACUGCCCCGCCUGCCCGCGCACCGUUUUGGGCCUGGCCUAACAACGUGUCGUGCUUAUGUGUAGCAACACGAACUUCUUCAACUCUUGGUUCUUCUUCUUGGUCAUCGGCUGAUGUGUCGGUGUACAAAAAGAGGGGUGCGUUUUUGUACCCCUUUACCUGUGCACGGGUAGUCGGAGCGGCGCCCACGGUCACGCCAAGCAGAACAGGGGAGGUAAGCCAAGGUAAGACCGAAGCCCAAGAUAAUCAGAGCAAAGCCAAGGCCAAGACCACAAAGAGCAGAGGGACAAAGCAGGUUCCCCCGGCAAGACCCUUGCCGGGGCAGCCCCGUCAAGAUCCUUGCCGGGGCAGCUCGCCCCACACCAACAGAGCGAGCCACCCUUGAGCCCACGGUCCCCAACGCCAUCAUCCACGUGGGGCCAGGGCUCGGGAAGGCACCUCUGUGGUGGCAUGCAGAUCUUUGUGAAGACAUAUUCAAGGUCAGAUGAGGAUUAGAAGACGACGAUCCUUGGCAAGACCAGACCCCCGGCAAGGCCCUUUCCGGGGACGACAGCGCGCCACGGCAAGACCCUCGCCGGGCCACCCGGCAAGGCCCUCACCAUGGACGCCAGCGGGGCCACGGCCAGGCCCACGCCAACCAAGCUUCCACCGCCGUUCACAUGCAGCUGCCAGCCCAACCAGCUGGGCAGACACCUGCGUGGCGACAUGCAGCCCCCAGGCCAACUCAUCAAGCGCCUGCGUGGCGGCAUGCAGAUCUUCGUGAAGGCUCCACCACCACGCCACCUCAGCUGCCUGCCUGCCUACAUGGCGCCGCACGCAUCGCUGGCCAGGGCGCGUGUCAAAGCGAGGAGGAGCGGCGACGGACGGGACGGGCCUCGCCCCCGUCCCCAAUAAAGCAAGGGGACACCUAAGCUACGCAUUAAAUGCGUCUUGUCCUGUAAUGCGAGCGAUAAGCUCAGGGCACUGUACGCCUUUCCACCUCGUGUGUGCCACUGUGGCAGCCCCUUCCGACUAUAAAAGGAGGCCUGUGGCAUACUGGAGAAGGAUUCGGCUCUUUCGAACCACGCACUCACCACAGCUAGUUCGAGAGCUCAAGAACUCUCUGAAAUACACCCACCAAAGCAGGACUAGGGUUUUACGCAUCCUCGCGGCCCAAACCUGGGUAAAUGAUCCUUGUGCUGUCUACUAGCCCUGCUCUUCUCGCAACCCCGUGCCCCGGCAACCGUAGUAGGGAUUCUUGUGAUCACAUAGGUGUCGUUCCACACCGACAGGAUGACAGGCAACGUACACCAUGAAGCUAAAGCUUUUGACAUUAUUGAGCUCACUGGUCCGCCCACUCCAGGUGAACUAUAUGAACCUGGUUGUCAGCUUCACCGCAAUGCUUUGGAGAGCAUCUUUUAGAAGCCAGAGCCCAACAUGAGCCAAAUGCUGAGCACGAUGAAGCCUCUGCCACAUGACGCUGAUUACCCAAAGGAAUUCUUUGUUGAAGACCUAGAGUAUCUGCCCCGCACUAUUUAUCAUAUCAUCAGGCGAACUCUAUGGCCUGUCAAAGGACAUUCUUCAGCAGCGAAACUUGAAGGAGCAAUGAAGACUUUGGUCUUUUAUAUCUUCAAUGGCAUCAACUUCAAUGCUCAAGACUUCUUUAUCAGGCAGUUGGCUGCAUCAGGCUCUGAUCUCUUUGGACCGAAGUUCUACGCUCCAUGGGUUAUGCGCCUCAUCAAGCUACAUUCAGCUGUGAACUAUCAGCCCUCUGCUCGCAACCAUCUGAUCUUUCUGCCAGAGGUUGAUAUGUCAGUUGAAGCCAUAUACCCAGAGCCUGCCAAGGAGCCUGUUUGUCUUCACAAUGCUGAUCACCAAAGCUUCACACAACCCAUUGAAGGAGUCCAGGCAGUCACUCGUGUUUAUCCUUUGGCUGGCAAUACACGCUUACCUUGCCGUGCUCAAACUGAAGCCACUGAAAGCACUAUUGCUCAAAGGCCUCGGAAGCGAUCUCGUGUUCUCAAUGACCGAGAACUUCUUGUUGCCCUGCAUCAGAAACAGGAUAAGCAUCACUUCUGGCUGAAGUGGCAGAUGCAAAGCCUCUUGGUGGACGUCAAUCGCAUUCGCAAUCUUGCCACCAAGAAUGCCUUUGUUACACAUGAAACCUGUCGGAGGUCAUGGAAGAGUUUGACAUUGCUCAGUGCUGAAGCAGAUCUUCAAGACGAUGGCUUCACUGAAAGAUUCAAGUUUGACUCCACUCCUCCAAGGAAUGCUAUCUUGUGUCGACCUCCGUCUCUUGAAGACUCUGACUAUUCCUCCUCCGCUGCAAUGGUGAAUGCCAGAGUAAUCGAUGAUCAAGAUGAUGCUACUUCACCUCCUCCAACUUCAGCGCGUAUCGACACUGCACCAAGUUCGUCUGCACCGCCAAACCCCGACGCCGACCCUGCAUCCUCUCCUACUCCUUCUGGGAAUGAGUAGAGGCUCUAUGUCUUCAAACCUUUUUGGUCCUUACUGACAAAAGGGGGAUAAGCAUAUGAGUUGAUAGUCUUCAAGCGGGUCCAUAUGGGCGGUUGCUUUAUAUUUUGCCUAGUGUUUACAACUCUCGCUUUUGAAACAUUUGGUUCUUUUGAGUUGUAACACUUAAACUUGAUGGUCGUCUGCUACCUCUUUGCUAUUCUGUGAUGCGAUGAUAAAUUCCGCAUGUGCGAUGAUAAAUCCCGCACGAAGUCAAAUUGCAGACGUCCAUUUUUCAUUAUGCAUGUCAUUAUCUUCGUUAUAUCAAAUCAUGCAUGAUGAAUUGUCUUCAUAAGUGAAGAGAAUCUCCACAAGUACAACCUGCCAUGUGCAUUUGCAUUCCAAAAGCAAAUUACUUAUAUGCACAUCUUCAGGGGGAGCCUUUUGCUACUUAUGAAGACAAUACCUAAACCCCAGUGAACAAAGUCAGAGUGACUAAAGUGAUGCUCAACCAAAAUCCUAUGUCUUCGAGCGAAGACAAUGAGAGCAAAUCUUAUCCAGAGCUGGAUGAGUCAGCUUACUUGCAGCCCAAGUCAAGCUGUCGCGUGUGUUUGAAAUCUGACCAUUGGAACACGAGUGACCCAGGGUCAUUUCAGACAGAUCAGGUCGGGUUGCCUAGUGGCUAUAAAUAGCCCACCCCCUACACCAUAAAUUGGUGGCUGCUCAGAGUUAGUGCAUGACUUCUGUCAUUUGAGAGCAACCCACCUCCGAAGCUUUUGAGAGAGAGAAAUCCUUGCGAGGACAAAGCCCAAACACCCAGAGCCAAAGAGUGUUAGGCAUCACUGAAGUCUUUUUGUCCGCGUGACCUGAAGACUUGUUACACUUGAGGACAGUGAAUCCUCCAGCCGGUUAGGCGUCGCGUUCUGAGCAUCCAAGAGUCAUUGUGGAUCGCCGGUGAACGAAGUCUGUGAAGGUUUGGAAGUCUACCUUGAAGACUUACCUACAGUUUGUCUUCGUGAAGUCAUUGCCUGCUUGCACUACUUGUUUGACUUCACUGUGUGACUACUAUCAUUGUUUGGCUUCAUACCAUCUUCCAUCCUGAUCUGUUCUACCUAGCUGCUAUUAGUCUUCGUGCUUUCACUUUAUUGCAUACUUGACUAUGGCUUGCUUAGUGUAGUCUACCUUCCGCUGCAUAUCAAUAGGUUCAUUUCUAUUUGUUUGUCUUCGAAACUCUCAUGUUUUGAAGACGUUCAUAAAAAUCGCCUAUUCACCCCCCUCUAGUCGAUAACUAGCACUUUCAAUAAUGAACCCCUUGCAACCCACGUUCCACAACCAGCCGAUCCCCGCUGGGCACUUCAAGGUUAACUUGUCCAGUGUGAAAUCGGGGCACGGGGAUUUGCCUCCUCCAGUACAGCAUGUGGGAGAGGACGACGAGACCCCGCCGCGGAUUGGAAGCUGCCAGGGUUGGGUGCUGCUAUGGCCGAAGAAUCUUAUUCACCUGGAGCCGGCCGAGAGCACACCAAUAACCACACAUCAACAAGCAUGUGCGGAGACCACCACCCCGCCUACGCAAUUACCAGCUCCUGUAGUGCCGGGUGAGAGCGGCGGACGACGUGAUGAAGGGGGUGCAAUAGUACUGGCUGCUGUAAUAGGUCCUGUAGAACAAAGAAUGGAUGAUGAGACGGAGGUCGACCCAAUGGGUUUCCUCAAUACAAACGCGUAUGACUGUGACUUAGAUAUGAUGAGUCAACCAUAUGACGAACCGGGCUAUCAGCAUGCUAAUGAGGAUAUGGAUGAUCUGCCCGGGCAGGAAGGUCGUAGCAGGGAUUGCAAAAAGUCUCUCUUCAUGAAAUCCUCACAGGACACGCCUGAAGAUGCUGCCUCAACACAGGCUCAACUAGCCGGGGGUCGUACAGUGCUUAGCCCGGGAACACCGGGGCAGGGGUUAAGGAAGGGUCUGGAAGGUGUGCCCAAGAAAAAGGAGAGGAAGAGAUCGGGGAAGAUAGCUGCCUCCAAACAAGCCAGAGCACAUAGCAGCCAGACGAUGGAUUCUGAAGAGCGUGUACCCGUGAAAUGUGCGGCCAUGUUCCAUCUCAUGGGCGAGCCGAUGCUACCGCCAAAACCGCUGGAGGCACUAUCAGGGGAUCUGAGGAGACUGCACGACCAUGUGGUGUCGACUGAGAAAAGCCUACUAGCCUCGAAGGAUCCAGGAUAUCUGACAUACGCGGCUCGUGUGCCUGAGGGGAAGUGCGACGUCGACACACGGCCCGUGGAGGUGUUCUUCCUGCGGUUUGACCAUAUCUUUGAGAUGUUUCUGACAAGGUGGCUCGAUUUUACAAUCGUUCGCCUUUUUGCGCUACAUAUGAGCUCCGUCAUGAAGAGAGAAGAAGUCUCGCAAAUCUGUGUGGCGGAUCCGUACUACAUGCACGAGUCUUUCUUGAGUCUCGUCGACUUUGAGUGUGAAACCGCUAGGGACUACCUCCAAAACUUCAUGGUACAGAAUACGGACCAGGAAAUUGUCCUCCUGCCUUAUCAUCCAAAGUAAGUCAAUUCCGGACAACCCUUUCGUACAUUUCAAUCAUUCCUUCUUGCUCAUAUGGAGAGUAAUUUGAGGUGUCUUUUCCCCGCAGCAACGGGCGCGCCGUCCUUAUCGUUCUUUACCUGCGAGUCUCCCACACCGUGUAUUUUGACCCUUCUAGAGACUACGAGAAAAAGGACUACACCCACAUAAUGAAUAUUCUAGAUGAUGCUCUCCAAGGCUUCAGCAUUAGAGGUGGCCACAUGCAGAUCAGGAAACAAAGGAACAAGAAGAUGGGUUUUGCGCAUAAAACUAACUUCUGUUGCAUCCAUGUCCCAGAACCAAGUAAGAAGGAUGGAUUCUACAUCCUCCAUCUCAUGAUUGAGUUCAGCACGGAUCACCAAAAGCUUCGCAUGACAAGCAGAAAUGAUGAUCAUAUCCACAAGUGGCUAGAAUCUCAUGGAGAAGCGGAUUAUAAACUUAGAGAUGACUUCUUUCGCAUCCAAAGGGACAUUGCGAUGAUCAUCAUGAAAGAAGUCGUCGAUGAGAAGGGGAUGUUCCACCACGGCCCUAUAUCGCGAGCUGACGUCCGAACUCGCAUAGGCAUGCAACGUCAAGACCUUAUGCCGUUUAACAAGCUAGGGUCCAUCCUCGAUGAUAUGGAAGGAUGGAACUUCUAGUGAUUUAUGAUGCCGAUGAUGAUGAUAUGUGUCGGUUGAACUUGUAUACUUUCUGUAGCGAUGAAACUUUGUGAUGUCCAUGGUCCCUGCCAAACUUGCAUAACGCUACUUUGUUAGUUUGCGUACGAUGACCUGCGUACCUCUAGUUAAUUAGUUUGCGUACUGUAUGUUGCAUCUAGUUGCUAACCCUUUCUUUUUCGUGUUGCUCUAGUAUAUUUUGUUGCAUAUGAUUGUACAUCCUCUUCAUGAAGAUGCAUCUCUAACAGGUACCUAGUUUCUUGAUGGCGAGAUGGCAGUGCUAUGUCGUGUACAAAGGGAAGGUUCCGGGGGUGUACAACGAGUGGCCUGAGUGUUAGGCGCAAGUGAAUGGGGUCUCGGGCGCCAGCCAUAAAGGCUUCAAAAGCAAACAAGAAGGAGAAGCUAGUUACUUGAGGUUCACGCUAGCGCGAGAGAGGACUCGUAACCGCCGCCUCAUGUACUGCAUAGUUCCGCUCUCACUCAUAGUGAUAGCUCUUCUCGCGUAUACCAUUGUUUAGAUGGAUGACGUUGUAGUUGCAAGUAUUCGAGACUUGCAUGUAUCGCUAUUUUUGAGAUGAUGACGAGAUACCACUUUGUGUUGGAUGAUGAUUAUGAUGAGACUAUUUGUAUGUAUAUGCUAUGAUUACAUUUCUGGUCUCGGAGCCAUUUGUAUGUGCAUCAUGAUGACAUUUGUAUCUGCUAAAGAUUCCUGUAUAAAGCCUGUUCAAAUACAAAACAAACAUGCAGAAAAAAACAAAAACUACUAAAAUUAGCAGUAGCGAGUGGAGAAAAGUUAGCAGCAGCGUCACAGUAGCAGUAGCGCGUCCUGGCAAAGCGCGCUAGAGCUAUUAGCAGUAGCAAGCUUCCACGAAGCACGCUGCUGCUACACUUGUAUAGCAGUAGCGCGGGUGUGCACGCGUUGCUGCUAUGGGUUAGCUGUAGCGCCUUAUUAGUAGCGUCGGUCCCUGCGCUACUGAUAUACCUAGAAACCGCGCUGCUGCUAGCACUACAAAAAAAAAAGACACAUCCAUGACAUUUUGGGCCGAACGAAUUUUUUUUUCUGUCAUACUUAUGACACUUCUAUGACAAUAAUUGUGACAAAACACGGUAUCAUCAUAGAUGUGGUGGGGUCCUACUUCUAUGACAAAAAAUCAUGAUAGAAAAUGGGCUUUUCGUCCUGGGCGGGCCGGAGACGCAGCUGCAUGACAUUCUUUGGGCCGUCCAUGACGGAAAAAACCGUGGUAGAAGCGAGGGCGAGGAAAAUAUCGGGGUGUUCCCGGUUAUGGUGGGUGGUCGGGGCCGAGCGAUGCGCGUUUCUCUUGUACACGCACGCGCGUGGGUGCGAGGCGUUGGGCUCUAACUGAACCCGAGCGAGGCGUUGGGCUCUAACUGAACCCGAGCGUUUGCACUGCAGGCUACACGUUACUGAACUCGAGCGAUCGAUCGAUGGCUGUUAACUAAACCCGAUCGAGCGAUUCCUUCGCUACUACUGCUAACUGAAGCCGAUCGAUGCUGCCUCUGGAUGAACAGUGAGCGUUGCUGGGGGGGGGGGUUGGAUGAACAGUUCCCAGUGAGGGUGGAUGAACAGGACCCUGUGGUGUUGCCUCUGGAUGAACNNNNNNNNNNNNNNNNNNNNNNNNNNNNNNNNNNNNNNNNNNNNNNNNNNNNNNNNNNNNNNNNNNNNNNNNNNNNNNNNNNNNNNNNNNNNNNNNNNNNNNNNNNNNNNNNNNNNNNNNNNNNNNNNNNNNNNNNNNNNNNNNNNNNNNNNNNNNNNNNNNNNNNNNNNNNNGGUUUGGAUGAAUAGUCCAGGCGGGGGUGGAUGAACAGGACCCCGUGGUGUUGCCUCUGGAUGAACAGGACCCCGAUCGAUCGAGCCGGUUGGGGCUGGAUGAACAGGACCCCAUGGAGGGCUGGAUGAACAGGACCACCCCGUGGAGGGCUGGAUGAACAGUAGACGGUGGAGGGCUGGAUGAACAGUAGCCCGUGGAGGGGUGGUUGAACAGGAGCCCGUGGAGAGGGCUGGUUGAACAGUAGCCGGUGGAGUAGCGCGCGGUGGAGGCUGGAUGAACAGGAGCCCGUGGAUGAACAGUCGCAGGUGGAGGCUGGAGGAGGUCGACGGUGGAUGAACAGUAGGCCGUGGAGGCUGGAGGGGGUCGACGAUGGAGAUGAACAGUAUCCCGUGGAGUCCCGUUUUGCGGUACGCCACACCCCUCCCGAUGAACAGGACCCCCUUUGUAGCGCUCCAACACAAGUCCGUUUCCUCCGUUUUGCGGUACGCCACACCCCUCCGAUCAACAGGACCCCCGUUUCGACCGUAGGAGGUCUGUUUCCUCCGUUUUGCGGUACGCCAGACCCCUCCUGAUGAACAAGAUCCCGUUUCGAAUGUGGCCGGGCGAACACAAGGCCGUUUCCUCCGUUCUGCGGUACGCCAGGCCUCGUUUCCAUCGGCUGUUCCGUCCAAGCCGGUUGGCUCCCACGCGUUCCGUUGCCUCCCGAUGAACACGACACAUUCCGUUGCCUCCCCAUGAACACGACGACGACGCAGUUUCUCCAUUCCGACCCAGCCAUGUACACGAGCCCUGGCCGUACGUACGCACGAGUAGGCGUUCGAGACCCCGCCCGUAUGUACGUACGUGGCCGUAUUUACUUUCUUGCACCCUGGCCGCUGUACGUACAUGUACAUGCUACGUGCGCGCCUCUACAUUGACCAGUAUGUACGUACACGUUCGCGAUCAGAAUGACAACGCUACGUAUGCUUCGACCAGGUGGGUCCCGACUGUCAGGCACUUCCUUGCGUGCGAAGAUGUAGCUGGUGGGUCCCAGCAGUCAGUGGGGCGAAUUAUUUUUUUUUGCCCGGACGCACUUCCUUGCAUGCGAAGAUGUCGCUGGUAGGUCCCAGCAGUCAGGGGGGAAACGUUUCUUUUCACGAAAUACGGUUGCCCGUUCGGUGGGUCCUUGCUGUCAGGUGGAGGAAUCAUUAUUUUCCGCGUAAUAAGGAGGCACUUCCUUGCUGCGUCCGUGGACCCAGCCGUCAGCCUCUCCACGUACAGUCCACAUCCGAUGGAAGCCGUUCCUUGACCACGUUGACCACGGGGUGCCGAGAGCACCAGGGCGGUGGACGACGGCGAGGCCUAGGAAGGGGACGACACGGAGCCGGGGAAGACGCGGCAGUGGAUGCCCACGCGUAGAGGAGUAUGAGGGUUCACUGGUUCGCUGUGGUGUGAGGCUGUUGUCGCCGCAGAAUAACAGGGGGUGUGGGUGAGUAGAGGGAUGGCCUGGCCAGCGGUGGGAGUAGUAGAUGUGGUGAGGCCUCCGCGACGUCGCAGCCGGCCACGAGAGGCAGGAGCACGAGGCACGACCGGCGCUGCUUUGGGCGGCUGGAGCAAGAAGACCAGAGGUUGAAGAAGCACUACGGCCGUUGGAUGGACAUCGUACGGUCACUGGAGCUAGAAUCAUUCAUAUUGACUAAGUUGACAAAGCACUCCGUCCCCAUCAACUUAGUAGGCCCACAAGUCAGCCUCCCACCAAGGUGGGUCCCAACUAGCAGGGGGAGUAUUCAUUUUUUGUGCGUAAUAAGGAGGCACUUCCGGUGGGUCCGAGCUGACAGCGGGGGGAAUGUUUUUUCGCGAAAUACGGUGGCCCAUCCGGUGGGUCCCAGCAAUCAGGGGGGAAACGUUUUUUCGCGAAAUACGGUUGCCCGUCCGGUGGGUCCCUGCUGUCAGGUGGAGGAAUAAUUAUUUUCCGCGUAAUAAGGAGGCACUUCCUUGCUGCGGCCGUGGACCCAGCUGUCAGCCUCUCCACGUACAGUCCACGUCCGAUGGAAGCCGUUCCUUGACCACGUUGACCACGCCGCGCCGAGAGCACCAGGGAGGUGGAUGACGGCGAGGCCUAGGAAGGGGACUACGCAGAGCUGGGGAAGACGCGGCAGUUGAAGCUCGCGCGGAGAGGAGUACGAGGGUUCACUGGUUCGGCUGCGGUGUGAGGCUGCCGUCGCCGCAGAAUAACAGGGGGUGUGGGUGAGUAGAGGGAUGGCCUAGCCAGCAGUGGGAGUAGUAGGGGGCAGUGAGGCCUCCGCGGCAUCACAGCCGGCCACGGGAGGCAGGAGCACGCGGCAUGACCGGCGCUGCUUUGGGCUGCUGGAGCAAGAAGACCAGAGGUUGAAGAAGCACUACGGCCGUUGGAUGGACAUCGUACGGUCACUUCAGCUAGAAUCGUUUAUAUUGACUAAGUUGACAAAGCCCUUGGUACGCGUCAACUUAGUAGGCCCACAGGUCAGCCUCUGAAACGGUGCACCCCAGAUGUCAGGGGGAGGAAUCAUUUUUUGGGCGGCUGAAGCAAGAAUAUCCGAGAUUGAAGAAGAAGCACGACAUCCGUUGGAUGGACAUCCAACGGCCACAGCUGCCAGAACCGUUGUUGUUGACAAAGCCUUGCAUACGCGUCAACUUAGUUUUUUUUAGGGGACGCGUCAACUUAGAAGGCCCACAAGUGUGUGGCAAAGAACAUAUAGCCCAUUUGCGAUUUGUAAGAAUGUACAGCCCAUUUUUUAAUUCUAAUGGAAUUUACUACAUCCCAUUUAUAGUUUGUUAAAAGUACAGCCCAUUUUUUAAUUGUAAUGGAAUUUACUAUAGCUCAUUUACAGUUUGUUAAAAGUACAACUCAUUUUCUAGCUAGGACAAUGAUUAAUAAUUUCAACCAACCGCUCAAAACAGAAUUAAAAAGAAAUUCCCACAUUUUUAUGGGAUCCGAAAUAUUUUUAUCCCAAAUUUCUAGUCAGACUAAAUAUAAUUUCAAAAUAAAGUUGUAUUACGUUAAAAUCCAACGAAAUAUUACACGCGCAACAAGUAAUGAAAUUAAAAUUUUCAAAUUCCAAAAAUAAUAUAUUUUUUAAACUAAUUACGUGUUUGGUGCAUUUUUUUAUAGUUACUGCCCAGUUAUUAUAAUUACAUCCCAUUUAUUAUUUCUUAAAGUCCAUUUUCCUGUUAAGCCUAAUGCAUACCUUCUAGGAAAGUUUGCAGCCCAGCGGGGCGGAGAAUAACAAGUUGACCCGGAUAUUGUGUACAACUGUCGGCCCAAUUGCAUUGCUAAUGUUGAGAAAAAAGCCUGUGUAGUACAGUACAACCUAACAUGGCUACUCAACCCACAUUCAGCGACGCCGGAAAGGCCCAAACAAGGCUUCUAUACAACUUUUUGAAGUCACUGAGCUCAAUUAAUAACUUAAGAAAAAAGUUAGAUUACAGCGGAACCUAAUUAAAAGCUGUCACGAGCAAAGAAAUAAUUCAACGGGUCCCACUUGUGCGUGUGUGCGUGUGCGUGUGUGUGUGUGUGUGUGUGAGAGAGAGAGACCCAUCGGUCGAUGCUCAUAAAUACAUCUUUCAGCCAUAUGCAUUGCUGAUGCUCAGUAAAAACUUAUAUAGUUGACACAAUCAUAUAGAACAUCAUAGCACACCGAACUUGCAUACAAAAAUUUCAUGCAGGCGGCACAAUCAGGAUGGAAGGAGUGGAUCGCUACGGGUAGGGCUAUGUUGAAACCAACGAACUCGUACAUAACGGUUCAUCGUAUUUAUCAAUGACAGGGAAAUAUCUUGACUACUGUGCAAAGAAAACAGACAGACAACACAAUAAGUUCUGCUAGCACAUUAAGUUGACGUACAUCCCUUUCUAAAAAAAGUUUAGGUACAAAAUUACAACAUGUCACAAUCAAAUGUACUGGCACAUCAGUGCUUCACACCCAUAGCUCGGAUUUAACUAGUAUCUGACAAGAUUCAGUUGUUACCUCAAAUUAGAGCACAUCCAGGCAGCCAGCCCUGCCUCUUCUCCCAAAGAAGCAGUGGCCUCCGCCGCGCGAUGGAGUAGGCCCUGUGCCAUCCAUCGUUCCGAGCAACACGGGGAAAGUCUGACGUUGACUCCUAUAAUGGACGUCGUCGACGGACCCUGGCACCAGCGGUGGCGGCAGGACUUCGAUUGAUGGAUUGACCACUUUGUCGACAUGCACGAACACUCGAUACAGGUACAUCCCUAACGUGGUCCGCGGCGGCCUUGGUGGCGACGAAUAGUACAACCCCGCUUCCUGAACCGGUAUCUCAACACCAAUCACCUUCGGUAUAGUGGACGGCUUCUUCAUCCAUGCCAUAACCAUCAGAGCCCAGCUGUUUGGAGGAACAAACAUACUUACGAGCUCACCUCCAAGGUCGUUGAUAAGCUCAUUCAUGGACUCGCUGUUCCAAGCACGUCGAGGCAUGCCGUGGAAGGUAAGCUUUGUUAAAAACUCAAGCUCAGAGGGCACCGAGCCCCAUCCUGGGUGCCACCGAUCAAAGCUCACCAGCGCGCCAUCGCAGAACAAACGCCGGGAAGAUUCAAACACACGACUGUAGUCGAAAGUUGUCCGGAACCUGACGAAGAAAUCAGCUGAUGGCGGACAGACUUCAACGAGUAAGUCACUUAUUUGGAUGCCGUGCGCAAUAACAAGAGCUUUGACAAGGUCGUCCAGCGAGACGGGAGGCCGGUCGCCGUUGAUGGUUACCAUCAGCACUUUGCCGGCAAACUGGUCAUCAAGCGCCGCCAUGCCACUGUUGAGCGACAGCAUGCAGUGACCGAAGGCAGGAUGGACCUCAGGAUCUCUGGCUCGGAGAUCCGCAUUGACCGGUGACAUGAUGGUGAGCUUGAGUACAGGGAGUACAGGAGGGGGAUUUGGGGGAACUGGAGUAGGAAUCGAGAUUCUAGAGGUGGGGGAGGGGCGGGAGAUUGGGGAUGAAAAGGUAGCUUGAAUUUCGAACACGCGCCAAUAUGCUCUCGGCGCGCAAGCGCACGAAAACACCGGUGGCACCCACAUGUCGGCCUAAGAGUCCUUAUUCUUUCUUUUUUGGAGAGCCUGGCCUUUUUUUUGAGGAUCUUUUGAGAGCCCGGCCUGAGAGUCAUAAUUGACCUGUUUGGCAUUGCGUUACUACUCGGCCCAUAUUCAACGACACCUCACUGGCCCAAACAAGUGUACAUCAUUGAAAAGACACUGAGCUCAAAUUAUAUAACUUGAAAAAAGGAGAUACACUCUGAACACUGGAGAAUGGUGAUGCCCUCAUUUAGCCCACCAGUAGUUCGAGACAAUAAAUAGUUCGAAACAACGAUAUAUACAACAUUCAAACACUAACUAGUGACUACUACUGACAUAAACAACAAGACAUGAUAGUUCAUAAGAAGUCUUGCUACACCACCAAAACGCACCCAUCUGCAGCGCUCAGACUCUCGUGAUCCAGACGAGAAUGACAUUCUAAACAGAGGUAACUAUUACAUAGUAAGAGUGACAUAGACGAGGAUGACCAAAUGACAAGGAAUAUGCAUAACAAAAGAAAGAACUACCCAUCCAGAACAAGCAGCAAAGACAACAAAGUCAUUCGAAGAGAUGAUCCAACACCAUCAUAAUCUGCAGCCCUGCUUCAGCGACCAAUGAUCCGGAGACACCAGUACUUCACCCUUCUGAUGCAACAGCGCAAUUACCUAUCAACCUGAAGGCUUGAACCACAUCACUGCCUGUCGUAAUUGAGACAUCCAAGGAUCAAAGUUAAUCCGGAUGCCUUUGUCAUUCUCACCUUCUUUUGGUUGCAGGCUGUAUCGUUGACAAUCAGGGGAGUUUGCUCCCGAACUCCUAGGGCUUGCCGUGUAGACACAAUUUUCCAUAGCAAACAGAGCCUCUCUGCCAUCAAGGUCCUUGCCAACGGUGAUCUCCUGGUUAAUCGGAUAAUUGAGUCCAAGAAAUAGAGAGUAUGAACCAAGGUUGUUUACCCGCCUCCAACUAAAAAAUCCUGAAGGCCCCAACAAGCUGGUAUCCUGCUCAUAGACGUAACAACCACUGUCCGGAUACUCACGUAUUUCAUGGUGCUUGUAUACAAUGGGGUUUUUGCAAUAUAACUUUUCUGGCUCAUGUGUCCGAAUGAUCAUUAGUCUUUUGCCAUCGUCUGAUCGAGCUAGGAACCAGUUGUGCUUCCCUAUUUUUGGCAAAGGUGGUGUGAUUACAAAGGGCAGUAACUAUAGGGACACUGCAUCAUAUAAAAAAGGACAGACAUUGUUAAUGUAAGAUUAGCAUUGUUCAGAGUAUGAGUAGGAUAAUGCAAGAAGCAACAUUGAUAUGUCCCUGUUGGAACUGGGAGGAAAAUACAGGGAAAUGUAUACUGGGUUCGAAAAUAUAGAAGUGCCAUGCAUGGUUAUACUCAUGUUAUCUCGCAAUCGAUUCUUCACAGGAAACUACCAUGUCAUGCAUGUUAUGUAAUCAUGUUCUAUCCUCACAAACAAAUUCUUCAAGGUAACUAACAGACCAUGCAUUGUUAUAUACUCGUGUUCUGUGGGCAAAUUUUUUGUGAGGAUAUUAUUCUAGCCAUUGAUUGCUGAAGGGCGAAUAUAGGUAUGUACACAUGGUAAGUGUCGUGGAAUUGUCACGGCAGAUGUCCUCGAGCUAGGACUUAGUCGUGGAGCCAUCGCAACUAGGAAGCUUAAAGGGGUUAAACGGGACAAGGAACACGGGGUUUAUACUGGUUCAGCCCCUUACGGUGAAGGUAAAAGCCUACCUCCAGUUGAGGUGGUAUUGCUUAUGGUUUCGAUGACCAGGGAGCUUAAUUGCUAUGCCUGGCUCUCGACGAGAUCUUACUUGUCCCUAAACCGCCGCCGGGUCGUCCCUUUAUAUAGAGAGGUUGACGCCCAGCGGCUCUCAGAGUCCCGGCCGGCUCAUAAGAGUGUCCGGCUCGGACUCUCAACUAUUCUUGCCUUACACUACAAGUCUUGCCAUACGGCGGUCUAUCACUACGGGCCUUAAGCCAUCUCCGGGUCUUAGGCCCAUCAUUGACCCGCUGUCUUCAAGCUCGGUACUGGGCUUCGCGUGAUGACCAUUAUGAGUAACCCGGCCCCUCCUAGCGGGUGACUCUAAUGGUUAUAUCCUCAACAUUAGGCCCCAGAUUGAUUUGAACCUGUUCAUGUCAAUGUUCAAUUCUUUUGAGAGAAAGGAUCUUCCGGCUUCUGGUCGUGCGAAGAUUAUAACCCGCCGUGACGUCAUCUUCUGGAUUCUUGGUAACCCGCCAUGACGUCAUCUUCCAUUAAGUCCAUUUUUUUAUUCCACCAUAUCCGCAACGGAUCUUAUCUUUAAUUGCCAUCCUGAAAAUUGAGGCAUUUUUGUGGUGAGAUAAUCACGCCGUGACCUCCUCGUUUCUCGUGCCCACUUAUGAGCCUCACCUUAUAAAUAGCCCGGCCCAUGAGGCUCCAGUUACUGGUCGCCUCCAUCAUCUUCCUCCUCUCGCCACUGUACUGCCGCUCGAGCUCCACCGCCGCCACCGCCGCGGGUCUCCUCGUCUUCCCCGACUCAGGCCGCUGCAUCAACCUGACUUGACCAGAGAAACGGCGGCGACCUCCGCAACUCUCCAGCACCCGUAAGCCCUUGCCACUCCAUAGAAUAGAUCUGCAUUAGGGUUCUUUUCUGUUCUUCCCGUGUUCGUCGCCGUUCAUCGCGAGCUCUUGAUAGAUUUCAUUAUUACCACCUUUUCUUGAUCUUUAGACUGCAUAGAACUGCUGCGGUAGCUGUUUCACACCCAUUCCCAAUGUACAUAGAUCCCCUUUCAUUGCAUAAAGGCUCCGUUCAAACCCUUGAACUUUUUCUGUGUCUGUUCUAGGUCUAGAAAUUUUUCCUUUUAGCCAACCGUUUGAUCCAAAAUAAUUACUGCGAUCUGUGAAACUUGUUUUCACCACACUUAGUCAAAAAUUCGAUCUGCUGAGCUAUGGAGGCUCACAUUUCCGGCUUAAAAGAAGCCACGCUCCGUAAACUUUCCGGCUCAUUUAAUGAUAAAGCUGUAGACAAUUUGAAUUACUCACGAUAUCUUCAGCGGCUUAGAUAACCCGAUGCACUUAACCAUAUGUCAUUAGGCCCCUCUCAUAAGCCGCCAUUUGAGUAUUAAACUGUAGACAUGUGCCGGCUUAUAAUUGAACCGGACUUUUUCCUUUUGUCAUAGGCUUCAUCUUUCACAAUGCCUCCCAAAGCUCCCAAGGCACCCAUCACGUGCAACUGGAUGAGAUCCAAUGUCACCGACGACACUUUAGCUGAUUUCAUAAAGACGGGUUACUUGCCCAAGAAGGAAAUCAUGUCCUAUCAUGCCCCUGACCCGUCGGAAGAGAGACCUCAACCUAGAGAUGGUGAGGUGGUGAUAUUCGCUGAUCACAUGAGCCGGGGCUUCGCACCGCCCGGCUCAAAAUUCUUUAGGGAUGUUCUGAACUUCUUCGAUCUGCGGCCGCAAGACAUAGGACCCAAUUCCGUGUCAAAUAUAUGCAACUUCCAAGUAUUCCGCGAAGUCUAUCUUGGAGAAGAGCCCAGCCUGCUGCUCUUUAGAGAGCUUUUUUAUCUGAACCGCCAGAAUGAGUGCGCCAACGGGCCGAGCCUGGAAGUUGGUGGAAUCUCCAUUCAACGCCGGAGAGAUUGCCUCUUUCCUUAUGCUGAGCCGCCAAGCCAUCCAAAGGACUGGAACCAGACGUGGUUUUAUUGUCAGGACACUUCUCCGGCUGACGAGAGCCCUCUGCUUGGCUUUCGUGCCCUGCGUCUGGAACCAAAUCACCCUUUGCCAGACAAACUCUCUCAAGCUGAGCGUCAACCUCUGAUCCCCACCAUCAACAAGAUCAAGGCUCUCCUGGGAAACGGCCUCAACGGCAUUGAUCUGGUCCGGGUUUGGAUCUCUUGGCGGGUGAUCCCCUUGAGCCGCCGCCCCGGCUUAAUGUGUGCUUACACGGGCCGGAAGGAUGACCCCCUGCGGCACAGCCCCAACGAUCUUCCUGAGGACGUUGUGGAUGACAUGACUAAGUCUCUCCUGAACGAGAGCUUAGCCGACUGUGGGAGAACCGCCCUGAACCCCUUCUGCCAAGCUAACCCGGCUCCGGCGGUAAGCCACUGACCUGAACACCUUGGUUUUCUUUUUAAUAGUUUCCAUCUAGACCUUAAGAAAUCUUUGUUGUAUGUUUCAGGCUAAUGACAAGUUCUGGAAGGUCAAAUAUGACCAUGAAGCGGCCAAAAAAGCCAAGAAGGCUAAGAAAGCCGCCAGGAGAGCCACUCCCUGCAAGAAGGGAAGCAGGCCUACUGCCUCAGAGCUGCAUCAGCUAAGUGACAUCUCCGAGUCAGAGGUAACCCCUGAAUCUGUAGGCUCUUGUUUUGUUUCUUGUUUAUUCCUAUCCACCUUACCGAUACCGAUUAUCAGCAGGAGGACACCGGAGCGAGUAUCCCGGUGACUGAAGAGGUAACUACACUUUUCUCCGACUCGGAGCCCUUGCCAAGGCUGAAAGUCCGAAGAGUAACUCGGAAAGUAAGAUUUUCACAUCCUUUAGCUUAUCAAGAUCCUCAAUUUCUUUUGAAGCGACAGAUUCAUGAGAGUCGACGGCACACCCGGACCAACAAGGAUGCAGACCUCUCCUCCGGCUUACCUGAAGCAUCAAGGAAGCGCCGGACCGAGGUUAUCUCCAACUUAUAUCCUUUUCAUCCUUUGGCGGGCGUUACUCGUCAACCGCUCAAUUCUUCUUAUUCAAAUUAUCAGGACACUUCACCUUCCUCUGGUGAUUCUAUGCAAUCGAACCUGCCGGCUUUCAAGACCGCACCCGGGUAAUGAUGAUCAUCUUAUAUUGUGCUUAUCUUUACUCAUACUUUUGUACUAACCUUUUGUCCUUUCAGUGCUCAAGCAAAGCUCAGCAAGAGAGCGAAGAAGAAUAAACCGGUCGAAGACCCGGUCUUGACUGAGCCGGAGGUUUCAGCUCAAGAGCCGCCAGCUGCCUCUGCUCCUAAAGCCACCGCUCCAACCGACGAGCCAAUCACAGAGACUUUUGCUAACCCGGAGAUCUCCAGCCCAGCUCAGCCGGCCGAUGACCCGGACGUGGUAAUCACCCGGACGGAAUUUGUCGAGCCGGGGAGACCCACUGCGCUGGCUAAGUGCUCUGCCAAGGAAGAGUUGCUAGAGCGCCGCAGGGCCAAGCUGGACAUCACCAACUACGCUAACUUGAGCAUUGGAGAUAUCAUCUCCGGCUAUGUCAAUCAGGUGCACAACAGCCGGGACCUGGAGAUCGACAUGGUGAAGCAGAUACAGCAGAAAUCUGAGGUACCACUCUCUUGCUUACUGCAUAGUCAUCUUUACCAUACUAGCCCCCAAGUCUACUACUUAUGAUAGAAUAUGUUGUAGACUUAACUUCCGGCUUACUUUCAUGAACCGGCAAUUUGUAGAUAGAACCUUUCAGCAUACAUUAGCCCCCAAGUGCCAAGUGUCUUUGCUUGGAAAGUGCUUGGGACUUUAAAGUUGUAUAAUAAUUAUUCAUACUAUAACCCGGAAAUUGUACAGGCUGCUUGCAAGAAAUUUUAGGCUGAUAUCUCUGAGCUGAAGAACCGCCUGAAGACUCAGGAAACUGAGACCCGGAAGGCCAACGCUAAAUUUGAGUCCAGUGUUGCUGCUCAAGAGAAGCUGAAGAAGAAGUUUGAAACCGAAAGGAAGACUUGGGCCGAAGAGAAGGCUGCUCUGGUCAGCCGGGCCGAACAGGCGGAGGCGGCUCUGACGGAGAGAACCGCCGAACUCUCCGGCUUAAAACGCCAUGUGUCACAGAUGGUCGCCGCAAUCUUCGGUAAGUCAUUCUACAGGCUUUAAACAAGUUUAUAGUCUUUAUGUCUCAUAAUUCCCAUCAUUGCUAGCGGCUUAUCUUACUUUGUUAAACAGGUCCCAGAAGCGCCAACCUCAACCAGAACAUGCUGACCAAGCUGAAGGCCGUGUACACUUUGGUGGAGCAACUCUACACCGGGUCACAACGCGCCUUGGCCGCUGUGGCCCUGUCCAAUGAGGUUCCAACUCACCUGGCGGACGUACUUCAGCGGCUUGCCGUUCUUCCUCAGCGUUUCCAAGAGCUGCGACGGGCCUCUGCAAGAGCCGGAGCCAUAGCUGCUCUGAGCCGGGCCAAGGCUUUCUUUCCAGAGCUAGACCCGGCUGACAUCGCACUUAGAUACCCCAGCCUGAAGGAAGACGGCACCCCCUUCGACCAAAAAGACUUUGCAGCCUGUGUGAAGAUCAUGCGCCCGGUGGCCACCCUGAUUGGGAAUGACACCGACCUUACCAAGUACCAGCCGGGCUACGACGCAGAGAAUCAGAGGGUCCCUACUCCGCGUUAUGAAGCCAUCAGCUUGGUCCCGCCGACUCGUAAGCACACCUUUGCCCCAGAAAUUGACCCGGCCGGGUUAAUUGACGAGGAGGCUCAGUUUGAAGCAUUGAGCGGCAUUGACUGGAAAUCGUCAACCUUCCAGGUCAUGGGAACAGCCGGAGGAGCGGAGAGGGAUGAGUUGGAAGCUUCAACUCAACAAGCAUCUUGACUUGUAGGCGGCUCAUGAGUACAUCUUAAAACAAUGCCUCAUCUUUUGGACUCGGGGAGUCUUGUAAUAGAGUAGGACAAAUACUUAAUUUUGUCGUGCCAUCGUGCACGUGUUGAAUGCUUAGCUCCGUUGAAACUGAUUUUUCUUAUUCCUCCGGGUUAUAAUUGAUCAGUUAUUUUCCUUAAGCUCGAAUAGCUGUAUUGAACCAUCCUGCAUAGAAAACAAGUCACAAGUCUCUAGGCGGCUUACCGCACUGAGAAUCAUAAACCUUAUAUAUAUAACCCGGAAUAUGAACGAAGUCACCAAAGACUGGCCCUCAAUUAUAUCUUUGAUGUAACUGUAACAGCAUACUUACAAACCUUCAAGCAUACUUCCGGUUCAUGUAACCCGAAUAGUAUGGUUAAAAUCUCAAUGCCGGUUCACCAGUAUCGAUAAGGCUUAUUGCGUGUUACCCAAGUUAAGCCGGCGGAGCCAAAAACCGCCCUUGCACACUGCUGAUGUGACCAAAAGAACUUGUUGUAAGUCAGAAGAUCAAAACUUAGGGGCUUCCAGUUCGAAUACGACCAGAGAACCUUCCAAAGGGGUUAAGCUAAGAUUCGAAUGCGAUCAUAUAGCCCCCAGUGGCUUUGGCAAUGCCGAUCAAGAGGGUACCGACAGCUAUGUUCUAUUUGGUUCGAAUACGACCCAUGUUUGAACAGGAAGCCCCCAAAUGACCUUAAGAGUUGUUUAAUGACGGUGAUUCGAAUACAAUCCACGUCGGUUCCCAAAGGGGGUUGAGCUAUGAUUCAAAUAUGGUCAAAGAAAACUCCCCAAUGAGCUCGGCACUUUGCCAAUCAAGUGGGUAUCGACAGCUAUGUUCUCUUUGGUUCGAAUAUGACCCAUGUUUGAACAGGAAGCCCCCAGGUGAUUAUACUGCUUACGGCUAGAUUCGAAUACGAUCAUAAGCCGGAUCCACCUCCAAGUGACCACGUGAUGUUGUAAUGGAAAUAACAUGUUUACCUUUGGAGGAGAAAAGGACAGAGGUCCUGCUUUAUUAUUUAACAUAAUAUAUACAUGGCUAUAGAGAUAUGUACAUUAUGAGAGCCGGUGGCUCAAGUGUAAUAAGGCCGAAGCUGAGCUAUGUUCCACGGCCGACGGGUUUCUUCCUCCGACUUGCGUGAAUCUUUAUGCUCCCGAACAUCAAUAAGGUAGUAUGACCUGUUGUGCAAGUUCUUGCUGACCACAAAGGGCCCUUCCCAAGGCGGGGAUAGCUUGUGUGCAUCUGUUUGAUCUUGGAUGAGCCGGAGCACCAGGUCACCCUCCUGGAAGACCCGGGACUUAACCCGGUGACAGUGAUAACGGCGCAGGGCUUGUUGGUAAAUCGCUGAACGAGCUGCUGCCACAUCACGCUGUUCGUCCAACAGGUCAAGGGCAUCUUGGCGCGCCUGUUCAUUAUCCACCUCAACAUAAGCCGCCACUCGAGGCGAGUCAUGACGGAUGUCACUGGGGAGGACUGCUUCCGCUCCAUAAACCAUGAAGAAGGGCGUGUAACCCGUAGACCUGUUAGGAGUAGUAUUGAUGCUCCAUAACACGGAGGGUAGCUCCUCCAGCCAACAACCCGGCGUCCGUUGCAAAGGGACUAAAAGCCGGGGCUUAAUGCCCUUCAAAAUCUCCUGAUUAGCUCUCUCAGCUUGACCAUUGGAUUGAGGAUGAGCCACUGAUGAAACAUCAAGUCGAAUAUGCUCCCGUUGACAAAACUCCUCCAUGGCGCCUUCAGACAGAUUGGUACCAUUAUCAGUUAUAAUGCUGUGUGGAAAGCCAAAGUGAAAUAUCACCCUUUUCAUGAACUGAACCGCCGUGGCUGCAUCACACUUGCUAACUGGCUCUGCUUCAACCCACUUUGUGAAUUUGUCAACUGCCACCAAAAGGUGGGUCUUCUUAUCCUUGGACCUUUUAAAAGGCCCAACCAUAUCAAGCCCCCAGACCACAAAUGGCCAAGUGAUUGGUAUCAUCCUCAACUCUUGAGCUGGCACAUGAGCCCGUCGCGAGAACCUCUGACAAUCGUCACAUUUACUGACCAAGUCCUCCGCAUCAGCAUGAGCCGUCAGCCAAUAAAAACCAUGACGGAAAGCCUUGGCCACGAGAGAUUUUGAGCCGGCAUGAUGGCCACAAUCCCCUUCGUGAAUCUUACGCAAAAUAUCUUGGCCUUCCUCAGGGGAAAUACAACGCUGGGAAGUUCCAGUAACACUACGACGAUGCAGCUCGCCAUUGAUGAUGACCAUUGACUUAGCCCGCCGGGUUAUUUGUCUGGCCAAAGUUUCAUCCACAUGCAAAUCUCCCCGGGUCAUGUAAGCCAAGUAUGGUACUGUCCAGUCUAGGGUGAUGUGGAGAGCCGCCACCAAAUGUGCUUCCGGGUCAGGGACAGCCAAGUCUUCCUCUGUAGGUAACUUAACAGAAGGGUUAUGCAAGAUGUCCAAGAAAGUAUUAGGCGGCAUCGGCUUUCGCUGAGAGCCCAGCCGGCUUAAAGCAUCAGCCGCCUCGUUCUUCCUGCGAUCGAUGUGCUCUACUUGGUAACCCUGGAAGUGUCCAGCAACGGCAUCAACUUCACGGCGAUAAGCCGCCAUGAGAGGGUCCUUGGAAUCCCACUUGCCUGAUACUUGUUGAGCCACUAGAUCUGAGUCGCCCAAACAUCUUACUCUGCUCAAGCUCAUCUCCUUAGCCACCCGAAGACCAUGGAGCAAAGCCUCGUACUCGGCCGCAUUGUUAGUGCAUGGAAACAUCAACCUUAGCACAUAACGGAACUUGUCACCUUUAGGGGAAGUCAACACGACUCCAGCCCCCGAGCCCUCCAAUUGCCUAGACCCAUCGAAGUGAAUAGUCUAAUAUGUAUUAUCCAGCUUUUCUUCAGGCACUUGUAGCUCUGUCCAAUCGUUGAUGAAAUCCACCAAGGCUUGAGAUUUAAUAGCAGUGCGUGGUACGUAUUUCAGACCAUGAGGCCCGAGCUCUAUAGCCCACUUAGCCACUCUUCCUGUGGCUUCUCUAUUUUGGAUGAUAUCUCCAAGGGGAGCAGAACUAACCACAGUGAUAGGGUGACCCUGGAAAUAAUGCUUAAGCUUCCGGCUUGCCAUGAACACACCAUAAACAAGCUUCUGCCAAUGUGGAUACCGCUGUUUGGACUCGAUGAGCACUUCACUGACGUAAUAAACCGGCCGCUGAACCGGAUACUCCUUACCCUCUUCCUUGCGCUCCACCACCACAGCCACACUGACGGCUCGUGUGUUAGCAGCUACAUACAGUAAUAAGGGCUCCUUGUCAACCAGAGCAGCAAGGAGUGGGGGCUCCGCCAGCUGUCUCUUCAAAUCCUCAAAAGCAGUAUUAGCAACGUCAUUCAAGACAAAGUCAUCAGUUUUCUUCAUCAACUGGUACAGUGGCAUGGCCUUUUCACCCAAACGGCUUAUAAACCGGCUCAAAGCAGCAAUGCGGCCUGCUAGACGCUGGACGUCGUUUAGACACGCCGGCUUAGCCAGAGAGGUGAUUGCCUUGAUUUUUUCCGGGUUAGCUUCAAUGCCUCUGUUAGAAACCAGGAAACCCAAGAGUUUGCCUGCAGGAACACCAAAAACACACUUGGCCGGGUUAAGCAUCAUCUUGUAAACCCGGAGAUUAUCAAAGGUUUCUCUAAGGUCAUCGACCAGAGUCUCCUUUUCCCUGGAUUUAACCACGAUAUCAUCCACAUAGGCAUGAACAUUGCGCCCAAUCUGGUUAUGAAGACAAUUCUGCACACAACGCUGGUAAGUCGCCUGUGCGCUCUUGAGUCCGAAAGGCAUAGACACAUAACAGAAGGCUCCAAAGGGAGUGAUGAACGCCGUCUUCUCUUGGUCCUUAACUGCCAUUUUAAUCUGAUGGUAUCCAGAAUAAGCAUCCAAGAAACUUAAACGCUCACAACCCGCCGUGGCAUCAAUGAUUCGAUCAAUACGGGGGAGAGCAAAAGGAUCAGCCGGGCACGCCUUAUUUAUGUCCGUGUAGUCCACACACAUCCACCAGGUGCCAUUCUUCUUGAGCACGAGCACCGGGUUAGCUAACCAUUCUGGGUGAAAGACUUCAACAAUAAACCCAGCCGCCAAGAGCCGGGCCACCUCCUCACCAAUGGCUUUCCGCCUCUCUUCAUUAAACCGCCGUAGGAAUUGCCUGACCGGCUUAAAUUUCGGAUCAACAUUGAGAGUGUGCUCAGCGAGUUCUCUAGGUACACCUGGCAUGUCAGAAGGUUUCCAUGCAAAGAUGUCCCUGUUCUCACGGAUGAACUCGAUGAGCGCGCUUUCCUAUUUCAGAUCCAAAUUGGCAUUGAUGCUAAACUGCUGAGAUGAGUCACCUGGAACGAAAUCAACAAGUUUAGUCUCAUCAGCUGACUUAAAUUUCAUCACCGGCUCAUGCUCCGUGGUCGGUUUUUUCAGGGAUGUCAUAUCUGUUGGGUCAACAUUGUCUUUAUAAAAUUUCAACUCCUCUGUUGCACAAACAGACUCUGCAUAAGCCGUGUCGCCUUCCUCACAUUCCAAGGCUAUCUUUCGGCUGCCAUGAACCGUAAUGGUCCCAUUGUGACCCGGCAUCUUGAGCUGUAAGUAUAUGUAACACGGCCGUGCCAUGAACUUGGCGUAAGCCGGCCGCCCAAAUAUGGCAUGGUACGGACUUCUUAUCUUGACCACCUCAAAGGUCAAUUUUUCCACCCUGUAGUUGUAUUCAUCUCCAAAGGCCACUUCCAGUUUGAUCUUACCAACUGGAUAAGCCGACUUACUAGGCACCACACCAUGGAAAACAAUAUUGGACUGGCUGAGGUUCUUGUCAAUCAACCCCAUGCGACGGAAGGUUUCAUAAUAGAGGAUGUUGAUGCUGCUGCCUCCAUCCAUGAGCACCUUAGUGAACUUAUAUCCUCCCACCGGAGGAGCCACCACCAGGGCCAAAUGACCCGGAUUAUCAACCCGGGGAGGGUGAUCCUCCCUACUCCACACAAUAGGCUGCUCAGACCAUCUUAAAUAGCGUGGAACCGCCGGCUCAACAGCAUUCACAGCCCUCUUAUGAAGCUUCUGAUCUCGCUUACACAGACUGGUGGUAAACACAUGGUACUGUCCACCAUUGAGCUACUUUGGAUUGGUCUGGUAUCCCCCCUGUUGCUGUUGAUGACCCUGGCCGGAUUGCUGAUUAAAGCCCCCUUGAACAUUCUGAGGAUUGGAAUUUAAGCCGCUGCCCGGGCCAUGAAAGCCGCCGGCGCCUGAGCCGCCGCCCGAGCCAUUGUUGCCAUUAAAGGCAUUGGAGUUCUUAAAGGCCUUCAUGAUUGCACAAUCUUUCCAUAGAUGAGUAGCUGGCUUCUCCCUGGAGCCAUGCCUUGGACAAGGCUCAUUCAACAACUGCUCAAGCGUUGGGCCUGAACCGCCGGCUCGGGGAGGUGGCCUCCCUUUACGUCGCUGGUUGUUACCCUGUGAGCUGGCAUUGGCCACAAACUCCAUGCUGCCAUCAGCCUUACGCUUGUUACCUCCUUGGUUUGCCGGGUUAUGCUGAGGACCCUUGCCAUUGCCGUUCUUUUUUUCCUUCCCUGUCCUUUCAUCAUCUGAAGCGGGGUCCUUUGUACUAUCAGAGUCGGCGUACUUGACGAGAGUCGCCAUCAGCGUACCCAUAUCAUUGCAGUCGCGCUUAAGCCGCCCGAGUUUCAUCUUCUGGGGCAGGAAACGACAAUUCUGCUCCAACAUUAAGACUGCAGAGCCGGCAUCCAUCUUAUCAGAUGAAUGUAUUAUCUCUUUGACCCGGCGAACCCAAUGUGUCGUAGACUCACCCUCCUGCUGUUUACAGUUAGUCAAAUCCACAAUUGACAUAGACUGCCUACAGGUAUCUUUGAAGUUUUGAAUGAACCGGGCUUUCAGCUCAGCCCAAGAUCCGAUAGAAUACGGCGGCAGCCCUUUCAACCAAGUGCGGGCAGUCCCAUCUAACAUCUUGGUGAAGUACUUGGCCAUCGCCGCUUCGCUGACCUCCAGCAAUUCCAUGGCCAUCUUGUAACUCUCGAUCCAGGCUCCGGGUUGUAAAUCAGCCGUGUAAUUAGGCACCUUCCUAGGCCGCUUAAAGUCCUUGGGUAAACGUUCAUUGCGAAGAGCCGGCACUAAACAAGGGACACCUCCAGUCCUUGUAGGGAUACCCACGUCGGCGGAAGCCGUCGGAUAAGCCGGGGGUGUUUGGUAAGCCGUCAACUGAGGCAUCUGCUCCGCCUCUUGCCGUGCUCUGUCUUGGUCUGCUGCGUGAAAGGCCCCGUUAUGAGCCGGGCCGUGGCCAGGUGGCAAGUCACGGCGUCAGACAUUACUUGAGCCGGUCGCUGAGACCAUGUGUCUGCUAUAACUCGGGCUCCGGCCUGGAUGAGGAGUUGAAUGGAUCCUGUCCCGGCUAUAAGAGUAUGCCUCUUGCUGCACCAGAGCUGUCUGAAGGAGUUCUCUGACCCGGCGGGUUUCAACAGCCAUUGGAGAGUCGCCAUCAAUUGGAAGAGCCGCCAGCCGCGCCGCCGCGGCAACCAUGUUUUCCAGCGGGUUGGCAUAAUGACCCGGUGGUAUUGGCACGUACUGAGGCGGGGCGGGGUUCACCCGGGGAGGUCCCAUCACUUGGGGCUGAAUUGGUGCCCCUGCCCCGGGCACUAUAAUCUCCGGCGGGUUACUAGACCCUGCACCCGGCGUGUUGAAGAGAUUUCGAGGAUCGUAAACCGGAGGGAGUCGAGAUUGGGCCUUUUGAUGCCUCCUUAUCAUGACCUCAUUGGAUGCGUUUUGAUCCAUCGUGAGCCGGAAGGACUGUGCCUGAAUCAGCUGAGUCUGGGCGUCGAGAGCCGCCCUCUCUGCAGCCAUCCUGAUCCCCUCCGCCGCUAGAUCCUCCUUGGCCUUUGCUAGAUCCAUCUUUAACUGUGCCACCUCCGCGUCAUGCUGAACUUGAUCCGCCGGAGCCACCGUAGCGGUCAACAGGACCGUCAACUUGUCUGUGAGAUCCAUCAGCACCUGAGCUGGUGAGGGCACCGGGCUUCCUGACCCGGAGGCGGGGUUCUGAACAGGUUGCGCGCCGGCCAUGAAGAUGCCAACCCGACUCGGCGGUUCAAAGGGGUCCGGAAUACUGUCGCCGUCGGAACAACCCCUGAGCCUGCCAUCUUGAAGUUGAUACAACGAGUUUGACUCAUCCGUGGACGACUCGCCGUCAGAGCCGGCAGCCGUCUCAUCGCCAGAUCCAGACCCUUCAGAGAGUCCUCCAUGAACACAUCCCACAAAAGCGUGCUUCAAGGCAGGUAGAGCCCGGGUGGGUCGUGCACGCUGAGCCAUCUCGAUGAGAUCGGCGCAGAGAUCCGGCUUAGGGCCCGGCUCACCAAUCUUGCCAAUGAAGACAUGAAUUCCGCCAAAGGGGACCCGGUACCCGCACUCAAUUGAGCCGGCGUCGGGGCCCCAAUUUGCAUCGUCGAUGUAGAGCUUGCCGCGACGACUCUUGGUCAUCCGGCCCACAGCGUAUCCCUUGAGCCCUUCGAAGCUGCCCUUUAAGAACUCAAAUCCACCGUGCGCUGGCCCCAUGGUGGGCGCCAACUAUCAUGGAAUUGGCACGGCAGAUGUCCUUGAGCUAGGACUUAGUCGUGGAGCCAUCGAAACUAGGAAGCUUAAAGGGGUUAAACGGGACAAGGAACACGGGGUUUAUACUUGUUCGGCCCCUUACGGUGAAGGUAAAAGCCUACGUCCAGUUGAGGUGGUAUUGCUUAUGGUUUCAAUGACCAGGGAGCUUAAUUGCUAUGCCUGGCUCUCGACGAGAUCUUACUUGUCCCUAAACCGCCGCCGGGUCGUCCCUUUAUAUAGAGAGGUUGACGCCCAGCGGCCCUCAGAGUCCCGGCCGGCUCAUAAGAGUGUCCGGCUCGGACUCUCAACUAUUCUUGCCUUACACUACAAGUCUUGCUAUACGGCGGUCUAUCACUACGGGCCUUAAGCCAUCUCCGGGUCUUAGGCCCAUCAUUGACCCGCCGUCUUCAAGCUCGGUACUGGGCUUCGCGUGAUGACCAUUAUGAGUAACCCGGCCCCUCCUGGCGGGUGACUCUAAUGGUUAUAUCCUCAACAGUAAGCAUUACAGGAUUUCACUACUUCCAAAUAUAGAGUUCUCCAUAUGCACAUUUACUUCCCUAAUGUAUGGUUAGAUGAAACCAACUGUGUGGUGCAUGUUUCUACAUCAUGAAAAUGAGGAAACUAACAUGGCCAUUGAUACGCACUUAUAUUAGUAGUAGUAUAUAGAUUACUGUAAAAUAAGGAGAAUAUCCAUAUAUUCCUAACCGUUUGAUUAUUCAGGGGUACAAAUUGGCUGUAAUGACAUGAUCACAAUCGCAUGAAUUAACUCAUCCCAAAUAUAGCUGAUUUACGGCGUCUCUAAUACAUUGCCAUAGUUCUACUCAAAUUCUGCUCAACACAGGGAUAUGCCAAUCAUCACAAAAAAGUUCAAACAGUGUCAUGGCGUCAUCAUUAACAUGAGACGGAAACAACUUACACGUGCCGUCCCAGCAAUAGGUGGUGCCAUCUGCUUUGUCGAUCGCGUAGAUGAUGCCAUUGUGUUCAAUAGCAUCACAGAAGUGUGUAUCAGCUUUGACGAUGAUCCACUGUGAGCUGAGUUGUCUCUAGCUAAAGAAGGCACCGCCGUAAAGAUAGGCGAGUCCGCGGUCGAACAAGGCAAUUAGCUUGAAGUCUGCGUAAUUCGCAUGUCGUGUGGGCACUUGGCAGAUUAUAAUCUUCUGCAAAACAAGGUCCGCCCAACUGACGUGGUAAUCUAGAUGACUAGGACCGCGAUGGCAAAACUCUAUAUAAUCCAACGGAGGAAGGAUAAUCUCAUGGGAGGUCUGGAAGUUCACGAGCACCAACUUUUUACCGUCUUCUCUGCAGGCAGCCAUCCAGUGGGAGUUCAUGCCGACCCAGUACAUACCUGCCAAGAAGUUUCGGGCGAUGGUGAUCGGAUCGAAGUCGAGGGAAAUGAUGUACGGCGACCCACUACAUACGUGCAAAGAAGUUUCGGCUAAUGGAGAUCGGAUUGAAGUCGAGGGGCAUCAUGUACGCCUUCGCAUCAUGGUGAGCCAAUAUCGCAAGACCAGAUAGCAGCAAGCAGGGUGUCUUGAAAAGCUUUGGCCUCGCUUCGAUGAUGGUCGUGUGCAUGCCCCUCAAGCAUGCAGCCAGCCGCAGGGCGCUCAACAUAUCCAUACAGGAACAAUAGAGGUCGAGGACGUCACUGGGGAGGUUGCUCCAAUCGCGUCUCAUAUGGAUCUUGCGCGGUUCGCGUUCGGCCAUGGUGGAGUUUGGAAGGUGGGGUUUUGGGGGGCUUGAUUUACGGGGGAGAAGGCUGUCGGUGCUGGAGCGGCUAGCGAGGGAAUAGUGGUAUUGGGGGAGGCGAGCGAGGCGAGGGUAUGCGGGGGCACAGUGAGAUAAUGAAGAGUGACCUCAGGAUCUCCGGCGAGACGGAGAUGGAGAUGGAGUGGUGCUAGGGGAGAGGGAGACAAGGCGAGGCAUGCUAUACAGCGGCGGUGAAAGUGACUGCACAGUGCACAAGGUGAGGCUGACUUUGGUAACCCGGACACGCCGCCUGGACUGGUGUCACCUCGGGCGCAGGGUCUUGUCACUUCACUGUGAGGACCGGAUGAAUAAUAGUAUUUUGACCAUCAAGUGUACCAUAGUUGUACUACUACUACUAGUAGUAGGAGUGGUAGGAACAUGAGUACACUCCCGUGCUAGCAUGCCUCUGGGUUCACUUCAUCCUCCAGCUAUCAUCCAUAUUGCCAGCAGAACCAAAUUCUCGUGCAUGUGGAACCGUGAAGAAGGACUUUUCUUUUUUGAGGAUAACCGCAUAUUCCUUAACCAUAGUAGGAACAUGAGUAGUACUCCCUCCGGUCCUCUUUUGUCUGCGCAUAACUUUUUUCAGUAUUUCUCUAAUUAGUCUGCGUAUAUACCCUUUUGCAUGCGCCCAUUUCCCUCCAUGCCCCGCAUUCACAGCAUUAAUUAGCAUACGCAUGAGCAGCUGCAGCCAGACUCCAGCCAAUAAACUGCAGCAUGCAAGUGGGCCAUUCUGUGCGUGUGGGAGAGAGAAAAGGCAACCGAAGAGCCCGUCCAAUCCAUUGCAUGCAGCACUCAAACCACCGCAGAUCUCCUCAUGCAUGCGCAUAACUUCUCCCAUUUACUUCUCCAUCGGGAACCGAUUUUCCUCGGCUUUUUCACUACUACUCGAUCUUCAUUUGCAUCCAAACCACACUGCAUUCACAUUGUUUUAACCUCUUCACAUCCUCCUGGAGUAAUUCCGAAGCCCCUAUAAAUAGUCAUCUUCUUCAGUUAGACUAGCCAUCUAAUCCUAAUUCUCCAAACCAUAGCCCUCCGGUCCAGCGGUUCCAAAUGGCGAAAGAGAUCGAGAUGCAGGUUUUUAGCAUCCAACAUGUCCUCGUCGUAGGCUCGUUGAGCAUAGUUGCCACAGUCACCGACCACCCAAGGGUUGUUCGGAAGUGGAUCAUUAAUGUAUCCAACUCCCUCCAAAAGGUGGAGAUGAAUGUCAUCGGUCUCGACGCAGAGUACACGGAGCGUGCCACUGGGAAGAUCCAACGCGCCGCUGUCCUUCAGCUGUGCCUCGAAGAUGAUGUUUUGGUGUACCACAUCAUACACGCGCCCUCCAUACCAGGUGAGCUUCACGAUUUCUUGUCUCGGGAGGACAUAUACUUCUGUGGGGCAGCCAUCGCAGGGGACAAACAGAAGUUGGAGCCGUACAACCUUGAUUUGAAAAGCAUCGCUGACCUACGAACCAAAAUAAAAAUUCCUGUAGAAGAUUGUGAUAAACCGACACCAUCCCUAUUCGACGUAGCAAAUUUUGUGCUAGGAACAAAUCUUUAGAAGGGUGACGCGAUGCUGGCAUUAAGUUUGUCUGGAUGGGAGAAUUAUCCCUUGACGUACGAGCGGAUAAAAUAUGCUGCCCUCGAUACCCGUGUGAGUUUCGAGAUAGCUGCAAGGUCUGGAGAGCUUGUUGCGAAGCCGUCUCCCACAGAAAAUGAGAACAAGAAGAAGAAGAAGAAGAUGCUGCACCAGCAGCAGGGCAUUAUGGAUGGAUGAACUAUUUCCUCUCUUGUAAAAAAAAAUUAUUCCCUCUCUAGGUAUAUUGAUAUAGAUGGACUAUUUCGAUGGUGUGCAUGUCUUUGGAACAAGUAGUAGCGUGGGUCCGCUUGACUAUAAGGAACUAUUUAUCCGCCUAGCUUUCUCUACUACUCCUUCCAGUGAUAGGUAUGCAAUGCAUGUGUCCAUAGACAUGACAGCUUGUCCAUGAAAGUUCAACUACGGCGACCAUCACGUUUCAUCCACUGCCACUCGUGAUUCCCACGACGCCGCUCCAACCCACGGCACCACGUCCCCCGACGUGCGCCUCACCCCUCUCGGCCGCACCGCCCAUCUGCCUUUGUGUGCAUGACAUGUGGGCCACCUUAAAUGCGACGAGCAUCAAGUUUCUACCACAGCCGCACGCGAUUCCCACGAUGCCGCACGAACCCAUGACACCACUCGUCCCCCGACCUGCGGCUCACCCCUCUCGACCCCACUGCCCCUCUAAAUUUGAAUUUGAAACUUAUAAAAUGAAAAGAUUCAAAACAAAUAAACUGGGAAAGAGGGAGUAUAUCGUAGGAUGUGUCCCAUACGAAACAAGUCCCCUGGUUUGUCACCGCAAAGAUGCGGUUAGAAAGGAGCACAGCGUCUUCGUACUCGUACGGCAACAAAUCAGCCGCAGACAGCAUGGUCCACCUUUGACCGCCAUGUGCAAGGUUCGUGCUAUCUUAUUCAAUCUCACCGUGGUUCUAUCGUACCAAUUCAUGCGGUGGCCCGUUGCAUGGCUGAUCCCAAUGCUGGACAAAGGUUCUACCGGAAUGGUGUCACCGUUGUAAAUGUUGUGCAAAUUGAUGUUGGUACCCUCCCGUACAUAUGCAAGCCAGUCUCCACUCGCACCGAGCCUAACCUGUGAAACAGUGGGCAGGGGGAGAAUUAGGAAAUGGACACGGAAGUAGUCUUUAGAAUGCAUUUACUACAUGAUCAAACUCAUCUUACCUGCUCAUCGGUGGAAAUCCGAGUGCCCCUCAAUGUCGGUAUCUCAAGGGGCGUCAACUUGCAACUACGGCCACGCCGCGCUGGAGAGACCCCCAAGGAAACAUCCUCGCGCGUUCCACGGAACAUCAAGAUGCAUUUGUAUGAGUAGUUUAUCUUGUGAGAGAAAAGGAUGAACGAGGGAAGGCCUCUAGAGAUAGAGAUAGACACUACUACUAACAAUGUGCUAGCCCGUGCGUUGCAAUGGAUCCAAAGUAGUAGAAUAAUACUUGUUCACGUGCUUGAAAUAUAAACACUCUAGUUUUGAUAUACAUGUGUCAGCAGACAUGACAGCUUGUCCAUGGAAGUUGAACCACGACGACCAUCACGUUUCUUGUUUCUACCACUGCCACACCCACACGUGAUUCCCACGACACCGCUCCAACCCUACCUGUAAGCACGACGUCCCCCGGCAAGGACAUGGAUCCUCUGAUGUGGCUAUCACUGCCUUACCCUGCCUUUCCUUCGCUGACUGGUGGGACCCACACUUGUGGGUCCCACAUGUCAGUGAUAGAAUGGUAGGAUUGUUCACGUCAGGGAAUCCUCAUCCCCCCGACGUGCGCCUCAUCCUUCUCGGCCCCACCGCUCCUCUGCCUUUGUGUGCAUGACAUGCGGGCCAGCUGAACUGCGGCGACCAUCAACUUUCUACCACAGCCACACCCGAUUGGACGCGGUUUGCCUGCUCUGCUGCUGUGCUCCGAUCCGUACUCCCGCACCAUCGAAUUUUCAUCCAGCGGCUGUGACACAUUUCGUCCCGGGCAUCAAUCCUCAGAUGGAGUACUUCUGUACUACAGGUAGUACCCGCCGGUGUGGCCAUCUACGCCUCGUAACGCCCCGACGCCCAGCUGUGGCACCCUCGCCACGGCCACGCCACCACCGGCCAGUUCAUCUCGAAUGAGUGAGUCGCGAACCACACCACCACCAUGAGAAUGACAUGUGGGCCAGCCGCAUUUAAGGUCCACAUGUCAUUGACUCAUAGGUCGGGCACUAAGCCACUGAAGUUCCGUCCCAUGGGCCCGGAGAGGGAAAUGUAACUCCUGCGGCAGGCCUUGUGGUGCUCCCGCAGUACGAGCUCGUGCCAAACCCGGAAUUUGUUUCUUACUAUCUACCAACUACUACUAGUAAGGUACACGUGCAUUGCACGCAUGAGAUUCUGGUGGUUUGAGCAUUAUGCUUCUACAUGUGGAGUCUUCUAGAUUCUACAUGUGGCAAAAUCUGGUGGAAUGUAGAUGAUAUCCAACGGCCAGUAGUGCUAGGAUUUUCCAUCUUUGUACCGUCGGAUUGGCUUCAUCCAACGACCAACUUUCAAAGUUAUGGUUUGGUUUGCAGCCUAAGGUUGCCACGCCUAAGCUUAGGCGUGCCACAAGUGUGUUUGGUUGUGUUCUCGUCUCAGCAUAGUUGUUCCCUCUUCAUGCAUGCUCAACUCAACACCCCUCUUCCUGUAUGCUCUCUUCAUGCAUGCUUCUAGUGUAUUUGUGCUAAUCUAGUGUGGACUCAUGCACCCUCCAUACACUCUACCAAACACCCAAAAGUGGGUCGAGAAGGGAACUCUUGGGAUCAUGCACCCUUCAUACACCCUACCAAACACACUAGGCAUGUGUUUGGUUCAUUGCUACACUUGUGGCUUGCCACACUUUUCUAGCUACAUGGUCCACAUGUCAUAGACUCAACUUCUUGCCAAAUCUUGCCACACUUGUGGUUGCCAUUUUGUUAGCCACAUUUUUUGUGGCAGACACACUUUGCCUAAGCUUAGUUGUGGCAAAGUUAGUCAUGAAUGAAGUUCAACCAUGGAGUCUUCUAGAUUCUACAUGUGGCAGAAUCGGGUGGAAUGUAGAUGAUAUCCAACGGCCAGUAGUGCUCGGAUUUGCCAUGUUUGUACCGUCGGAUUGGCUUCGUCCAACGACCAACUUUCAAAGUUAUUCACACACUAUAUAGGGGGUAUACAUAUAGAUGUGCCGGCCCGUUGCAAUGGAUCCAAAGUAUAUCUAUUUAGUGGAGUGCACUCUAAACACAUUAUCUAUUUAUUUUUCUCUAACCUUUCGUGGCCAUGCAACCAAGCCACAUAAGCUUCAUGGGUGCCCCCACAUCAUCUUAUUCAUACUACGUUGACUGAAAAAAAGAUAAAUCACCCAAAACAAGAUCUUCCCGUUUUUUGUUCCUACGAUGCUGUGCCGUGCACGUACCUACUAGUUGUAUAGUGGUAGUACUAGUUGUGUAGUACAAACUUGGUACUAGUAGGAGUAGAGUAGUACGGAAUGCUCCUACUCUAUCAAAGAGCCCCAUCUGACACCAAAUUUCUUGGCUUCCGUGCUACAGCUAGAUCUUCCCCUCGUUUCUGUUUUCCAACCCGGCGGCGGGCGGGGUGCGGUUUGCCAAUAGUCGGUUUGCUCAACGGCGGUCCCACAUGAAAGUGAAAGUGCUAGGCAACACGCCUUCCCUAAGCUAUGUGUCGUGCCGGACGGGCCGUGGAGUACUCCCGAUUCCCGGGCGUGUGUGGGGGAGUGCGACGCGAACGCGGCAGGCCUUUUCCUUUUACUAGCAAUGUGCCCGUGCGUUGCGACGGAUCCAAAGUAGUAGAAUAGUAGUACUUGUUCACAAACUUGAAAGAAAUCACUCUUGUUUUGAUAUACUCCUAAUAUAUUACUCCCUCUGUUCCUAAAUAUUUGUCUUUUUAGAGAUUUCAAAUGGACUAUCACAUACGGAUUAUAUAGACAUAUUUUGAAGUGUAGAUUCACUCAUUUUGCUCUGCAUGUAGUCACUUAUUGAAUUCUCUAGAAAAACAAAUAUUUAGGAACAGAGGGAGUACUUUUCACUCAAAAUAUAUUUCUCAGGCUGUUUUGAUGAGGUGAGGGAGGGAUGUGGUUGCUUUCAAAAUAAUAAGGGGUUUUCUGCAAAUUGGAGCAGAGAAGUGGGCCAUUGUUGCAAAAAUGCCACAACUUACCUCACAGCCGUUAGAUGCAGAUCUAAUGGUCAGAAACGACGGAUGGCAGACACACCACCAUCACCAACUGAGUCUUUUAUAGGAGUAGGAGUAGAGAAACAUGUAUAAAUUGUAACAUUUGGUUCUACUCCUUGGCACGAUCGAUAGAUAGAAAUAAUGAUUGGAAGGCGGGGCUAUUUCCGCCAGAUAAGCAGGGUACGUAGUAGCUAGGUUUGCGCAUCGUCGGUUUGGUCACACGCGGUCUGACAUGUUCUAGUGUUUCUAGCAAGAUGCCCGCGCGUUGCACGAAGUUGAUGGAAAAGGUAAGCACAACUUAUAAAUUGAUGGAUGGAGUACUAGUUACAGUGCUGCAUAUAAUUAAGCAAAGGGAUCGCACAUGUCGGUAUUGACUGGAACGAGAAUGCAACAACACAAUAAGAAUUAAGGCCACGAUGAUGAUGCGAUCGUAGUGGUGGUUACUGAAGGCAAGAAGAAAGAUGCAUCCAUCAAUGUACGACCUCCUCCUCCUCAACUUAGUGCGCCGGGCCACCGACCGGCGUCUAAGGAGCGGCGGCUUUUGUGGUGAGGUCGAGGUGCUUCUCAGCAAAGGCAUCCAAGGCUUCCAGCCGGUUGAGGAAGGCCAACGUCGUAGCAUCCUCACUGGCCUUGUAGACACCUAUGUACAUGAUUUGCUCAUACACGUGGAUGUGUAGGUCGACAAAUUCUUGCAGGGUGAGGUGCCUCGCGGCGAGCACGACCUCCAGGUGGACAUUCUUCGUGGCAUCGGCGGGCAGUCGCAGGGCCACCAGUGCUUGAAAGAGGUUCCGGCCAUGGACGCCGAUUAGGGUGGCAGGCAAUGAGGAGCCCGGGCGCGCGGGCUGGAGGAGUACGAUGAUGUCGUCCGCGAACUUCUUGAGGACGGUGAACUUGUUGGUGGUGGCAAUGAUCAUCUGGUCCAACUGAGAGUCAUAGUUGGCGUCGACAGCGGCCAUCCACCAGCCGGUCUCCAAUACCGUCUGGAGACGAUCCUCGGCGCCAUGCCGCAGGCCGACGUCGUGGACCAUCUGGCACAACCGCUGGCCGCUCGCGCGCAUCGCCACCAUGGGUCUGUAGUGAGCUCUUUUGCGCUUAGUGUAGGUGCUUAGGCAAAUGCUUAGGUGCGUACGAUGUGGUAGAUGCAUUGGAAUGGAGGGGCGCCUUUAUAUGAGGGCAAACUGCGUUGCAUUCACAUCGUGCAACCUCUUUUCCCGGUCCUCCUCCCAUUACUUCCCUCAUGCAUUAAUUGAAGGAGGAUGCAUUGGCCGUUCAACAUUUCGGGAACCGCUACUCCCUCCCUCGUCUGCAUUAAAGCCGUAUCGGGAACUACGCCGCCCGCUGUCAAAUUGAAUAGUACUGCGCCACCCGCUGCACGCCCGGCUGAACAUGCCUCCAUCAAACAGCUCCGUUAAACCCGCAUGCAAACCGAGAAACCUACUCUGGCCACACGUCCGUUCAUGACCGGGCCGGAAUUAAACGCAACACCGGCCGAGCUCCUCCCGUCCGCCCUCAGUUUAAACGAGGCCAGACGCCGGCCAAGCUCCUCCCGUCCGCCCUCUAUUUACACGAGGCCAAACAAACAGCGGGCAAGAAUCGCACCCCUCUGCCGCUCCCCCAUCUCCUCCUUCACCAUUUUCUCCACUCUUCCGACGGCUUCCGAGGAGCCGUUCUUCGGCAUAUUACCCGGCUGGGUGGCCCGCCGAGCGCUCCGGAUAUGGGCGAGGCCACUCGGUGCUUCACCAACCUCGCUUGCCCGAUGGAGCCAGUUGCCGCCCCAAGCAGGCGCGUGGUUCAGCAACUCACCACUCCAGUUCAGCUUGAUGAGGAGUGGCGAGUUGCUGCACGCCGGCACGGCGGUGAGCACACCGGUACAGGCGUCGUCGCUGCCGCGUCGUACCGCGCCACCAGUGUCUGCGGUGCCGCGCCUCCCGUGUCUGUGGGCGCGCCUCCCGUGCCUGCGGCAGCGCCAUGCAGGCAGAGACAGAAGCCGGGUGCAUGGAGAGCGACGAGUCGGUGGCCAGCUUCUUCGUGUCCGCUGCCAUCAUCGAGGAGAAGUAGAACACGGGAGGCCGCCGCCACUUGGGUCCCAUGAAGGCCACCGCCGAGGCGACGACUGCGCAUUCAGGUGGUUUCUUUGCUUCUUCGUCUCUUCCGAGGACCUUCGUCGACCCCGCAAAGUGUCUGCCCGGCAUGAGGAAGACAAAGGGAUCCGCGGGCGGCCAUUUCGAUUAUGUACUCCCUCUCCAGCUGGCGGGAAAUUUUUGUUCUAAGAAUGGAUAAAUUGUAUGUAUCUAUAACUAAAAUAAGUCUAGAUACAUCCAUUUCUAGGACAAGUAUUUCCAGACGGAGGGAGUAUUAAUUAUACCAAGAGAGCCGGAUUGGCACCGCUUAGUUCAUGUAAAUGUAAUGAAAUCCAUCAUGUUUAUAUGAGGAUCCGGCUUUUUUAUACGAAAUCCUUCAUGCUUAUAUGAAAUCAGUCCGUGUUUGCACGAAUUUCAUCUGGUUGGUUAGAGUUGUGAAAAUGUAUGCCGCUGGCGUUUGAUGUCGUCCUCCGCGGAAGGAAGUGGGAGGAAAUUUGCCUGCUACCGUUGGAGAUGCUCUUAUGCUGGAAAUAAUAGAGUGACAUCCAAUCCAUUUGAGUUAAUUGCGUGUAUGAUUGUCCCUCUAUAAAAAGUUAAUUGCAUGUACAGUGUACACGUGACUUGCAGGGUGGCUCCAGCUUCAUACAGAAAGUUAAAAAGAAACAAGUCCAUCCUUAAUCUUGUAUUCUAAGUACUCUGUGGGUUCCACUGUCAGUACAGUAGCGAAAGAAGUAUAUAUUAAAUAAGUAAUAUAUAAUAUAAAAAUCUAAAGUUAAAAACAGAAUUCGAACUCAUGUCAUCGCGUUGCGAGCAUCCGACGCUAACCAGUCCAGCACAUUUUUGUUGUAGACCAUGCUAGAGAUAUAUCUCCAUGUCUACUGUUAUACUCCAUCCGUUCCUAAAUAUUUGUCCUUUUCAGAUUUCAAAUGGACUACCACAUACAAAUGUGUAUGUAGACAUAUUUUAGAGUGUAGAUUCACUCAUUUUGCUCCAUAUGUAGUCACUUGUUGAAAUCUCUAAAAAGACAAAUAUUUAGGAACGGAGGGAGUAGAAAACAGAGUUGGUGAUGAUGGUGUGCGUGCCGUCCUGCAAUAUACGCCGUCGGAUUUAUAUCUAGCGGAUAGGCAGAAAACUAUGGCAAUUUUGCAAAAAUAUACCCACACCCCUCUCCACGUUCGCAAAUACGGCCUUCCCUCGUUCAUCCUUUUCUCUCACAAGAUAAACUACUCAUACAAAUGCAUCUUGAUGUUCUGUGCAAUGCACGGGCAUCUAGCUAGUUUCUUUUAAAAUAGUUACUGCGAUAAUUGGGUUGAAGUGAUAUAUUUUAUGUCUGCCCCGAAUGAUUUCAGAUCACUAGUAGUAACAAAGAAAAGGUUGCCUUGCUAAUUAACAGAAAACAGGGUGAAAACUAUCACAUGAGGCCGGUAAAAACGAGGCACACUGGGUUCAGCAUCAUCGUCACUACAGCUGUGCGCGCACGAGAAGUCUACAUAUCGAGGGGGCUACUGAGCGAGGCACAGAGACACAAUGUUUGAGAGUGAAACCAAUUGACAGAUUACAAUCAGAUCGAGUUGUCACCCUUCUACUGUCAUUGUNNNNNNNNNNNNNNNNNNNNNNNNNNNNNNNNNNNNNNNNNNNNNNNNNNNNNNNNNNNNNNNNNNNNNNNNNNNNNNNNNNNNNNNNNNNNNNNNNNNNNNNNNNNNNNNNNNNNNNNNNNNNNNNNNNNNNNNNNNNNNNNNNNNNNNNNNNNNNNNNNNNNNNNNNNNNNNNNNNNNNNNNNNNNNNNNNNNNNNNNNNNNNNNNNNNNNNNNNNNNNNNNNNNNNNNNNNNNNNNNNNNNNNNNNNNNNNNNNNNNNNNNNNNNNNNNNNNNNNNNNNNNNNNNNNNNNNNNNNNNNNNNNNNNNNNNNNNNNNNNNNNNNNNNNNNNNNNNNNNNNNNNNNNNNNNNNNNNNNNNNNNNNNNNNNNNNNNNNNNNNNNNNNNNNNNNNNNNGGUGUGGGUGUGUGUGUCGGGGGGGGGGGGGCAGUGACACUUACAUAUCCCUACUCUUAUAAAAAUAGAGUUGGUGAUGAUGGUGUUCCUGCCAUCCUGCAAUAUAGGCCAUCUGAUUUAUAUCUGACGGAUAGGAAGGAAACUGUGGCAAUUUUGCAAAAAGAUACCCACACCCCUCUCCGCAUUUGCAAAUAAGGCAUUCCCUCGUUCAUCCUUUUCUCCCACAAGAUAAACUACUCAUACAAAUGCAUCUUGAUGUUCGGUGCAACGCAUGGGAAUCUUGCUAGUAGGGAGAAGGAGUUUGUGUGACACAUAUCUAGCUAUAUUAAGGGAUAGGUAGAUAGCAUUUGUGCGAGGCAUACUUAAAGCAUCACGAAGAUAAACAAAAUUGUGUGCAUGCAAGUGCCGGAAAAAAUGAAGCGAGAAACAAUGUGUGUGUGUGCGCGCGCGUGUGUGUGUGAGAGAGAGAGGGAGAGAGAGAGAGAGCGAAAUCUCAAAACAAAAGGUGCUCUGCUGGAAUCCCAUUGUAUGUAUUCAUAUGGUUUCGGAACUCGAGUUAACCUUAGGCAUAUGUGUGAGAGACAUUAUUAUACUUUGAGACAUUAGUGGCUGUGGGUGGGCGGAAUUAAAGGGGUGGGCGUGUUCGACAGAGAGAGCAUGUGUGUUUCUGUGUGAGAGACUUGUAGGACGGGGUAGAAAGACAAAUUCUAACCUUGACGGAGGGAGAGAAAUACACGAAGUGCGCGUGUGUGAUUCCGAUGCCCACAUGGAAAUGAGAUAUGUAUGCGUGUGAGAGAGAUUGCACAAUUCAUUCACGUAUCACUAUCUAGCGAUCGUAGACGUGCAUCGCUUGAACAUAAAUCAAUAUCUACUUCAUAUCGUGGCCAAAGGUACAAUAUCGAUUCAACGCUAUAAAGAUUGGACACUCACAUAUCACAUUUUUUCUAUUUAAAUAAACCUUUUCAGUUGUGCAUGCCAAAGUUACAGUGAUGUUUCUUCAAACAACCAAUGUAGCUAUCAUGUACAUGCACCAUUGUUACUCUUGCAUUCAAAAUCAUUAGUCUAGGAUGAUUUAAGGUUCUAUUAUGAAGUAAUAUAUGUAAUAUUCAUAUAUGAACUCAACAGGUACGCAAUUUAUGAAAUGGAGGCUAUGUAAUCAUAUGAGGUAACACUUUUAAGUAGCGGACUACAAUAUCCAUUUAUUUUUGUGCACCUCUACACUAACACGUCAAUGCAUUAUGUUUAAAGUAAAUAACCAAUUGCACUAAAUUAUCUAUUUACACGAGAAAUACAUAGGCUGAGCGUUUGAUCCCUUUUUUUGUGAACGCGCCACUACACCCGUACGAUUGGCCGCGCCCGUGUGAACGUCCAAGUUAUCGGCGCAUCAUCCCGAGUUAUUGUCUUUUUUUCUUGGUUGGACUUCACACUAGUUAUUAACUGUUGACGCGUGCCCCGUGUACACAGUCUCGCAUGACCUUCCCGCUAGCACAGUCCAAAAUUAGUUGAAACUGGAUACGAACGAUCCCGCGGGCGGCAACAUCUCCCGCCUCCUUCUAAAAUUUCCGCCACCUUAGUCUUUAGCAUGCGAAAUUCCCCUUUUGUUCUUGGUGCACGGAGACCAACAGUUACAAUACCGCCCUCAUCUACAUAAUAGGUCGAGGCUGCUUUGGUAACUUCCGGUUGCCCCCACUACACAACACCCCCAUUUCCUCUCCACCUCCCGCAAAAACGACUAACUCCACAGCACCAGAGCAUCUCACAUCACGCCGCCGUACUUCAUCAGCCUUUCUCCCCCCCUCUCGAAACCCUAGACUGCUCAUCCACCGGCGUACCAGAGCCCAUUCAUUGCCAGCGGCGUCCACCUCGCCGAAUCUGCUUCUGCGGCCGCAUCUACCCCUCCCACCUCCCCUAGAAAUAUGUAGACUGCUCACCCACCACUGUACCACAGCCCAUUCAGUGCCGGCCUUGUCCACGGCGCCGGAUCUGCUUCGCCGGUACUCUCAUCAACCGCAGCGCAUCUGCAGCGGCUCAUUCGUACUCCCCACCGGAGAUGCUUCGUCCACACCCCCCCGGAGCCGCCCCACCGACUCCCCCAUCGACGGCCUUUGAUCCUCUUCGCCGACACCUUCCUCAACCCUACCAGAGCCGCUUCACCGACACCAUCGUCAACCCCACCGGAGUAGCUUCGCCUAUACCAUUUUCAACCCUACCAGAGCCGCUUUGCCAACUCAGAAGUCCACGGCCUCAGAUCCGCUUCCUCACACCCUCAUCCAACCUACCGGAGCAGCUUCUGACGCCCCGUCCACGACCACAGAUCUGCAUCAUCGACACCAUCCUUAACCCAACCACCGGAGCAGCUUCACCUACCGGAGCCACUCCACAAACACCCUACUCAACGGUUCUAGAUCCCCUUACCGGACCCCGACAGCCAGCGCAGGGUCAUCACCCUUGACGUUUCUAACCUGAUUCCCACCAUCGGGAAAGAUGCCAAGGACCCGCCACGGCCUAGGUACUUGUCACCUUUAAACCCGUUCAGCAUCACCUGCCCGAUGUACUUCAAAUAUACUAACAGGUCGCUGUUACCUGAUAUGUAGCUGGCAAAAACUACAAGGACGAUGUUUCUUCUAGAUCUAACAACUUGGCCAACCAAGAUCCUGGACCGAGGCAUUGCUAUGAUCUUGUAAGCGUGUCUCUCUCUCUUGUAUUGUUCUGUGCCUGCCAGCGUGCUUUGCUAGGAUUUUCGACCAGUAAUCCCUUUGUGCAGACAAUGAUUUCUACUACUGGCUGCUAAAUUAGAUAUGUAGACGUCAUACAUGAUACUACCUCGUACCUCCGUUCCUAAAUAUAAGUCUUUCUAGAGAUUCCACUAUAGGCUACAUACGGAGCAAAAUGAGUGAAUCUACACUCGAAAAUGCAUCUAUAUACAUCUGUAUGUGGUCCAUACUGGAAUCUCUACAUAGACAUAUAUUUAGGAACAGAGGCAGUACGUUACACAAAAUCGUAGGUGGCAUGUAGGAAUUCUAGUACACUACAUUAGGCUCCCUUAAAGUGCCUGCUAGUCCAGCACACAGAGUCAUGGCUAGUUUAUGCUACGCACACAAUCAUUAAUUGGUGGUUUAAAUAUGCGCAAGGGAUAUGCAAUGUAUUAUCAUAUAGAGAUGUCUGAAAAUUAGUCGUAUCAACUUGCAGACAGGGUUACACAAUGAAAAAGUACAAGAUGUAUGUGGCAAUUUCAUGGAACAUCGCAAAAAAAGGAGAGCCAGCGGUGAGCCUAUACAGUGUGCUAUGGUACGUUACUCCUCCAUUGCAAUCAUCAUGACAUGUUAUUUGUAUGUCAGUUCUAUUGGCCAAGUUUCUUAGGGACAGUUAUUACGAGUUAUCCUAAGAAAAUAAGCACCUGUGAAUAUAAGCUCCAUGUAAUAAGCCAACCAGUUCUUUUCAUUGCGUUUUCAGCUUAUCUUUGGUAUGAUCAGUGAAAAGUCUAGAUUGCAUUAUAUUUUUUUCAUUUUGCUGCCCAUAUGAAAAUUAAUUUGACUUGCAAACAUCACAAAUUGAACCCAGUGCAGUAAUUAAUAUGAUAGUAAAACAUACCAUCACUAUUUGCUCAAAAUGCAAAUACAAAGAUACCAUCUACUUGGCACAAUCUACUUUGGUCAAUGUUUUCCAUAGAGAUCCCAUUGCCUAAUUUAGACGAAAAAUGCAUGACCCAUAUUUAAGUGAAGAACAAUUAUUUAUUGAAAUUCGAUGGUCCAAGUGGCUGGUUAUUAUCAUAUAGCAGCACCAUCUGAAAGCAUCAUAUAGCAGUAGCAGCAGCUCAUAGCAACUCAUCAUACAGCAGCAGCAGUGUGCAAUUCAUCAUAUACCAGCAGCAGCUCAUAGCAAUUCAUCAUAUAGCAGUAGCAGGAGCAGCUCAUAGCAAUUCAUCAUAUAGCAGCAGCAGGAGCAGCUCAUAGCAAUUCAUCAUAUAGCAGCAACAGGAGCAGCUCAUAGCAAUUCAUCAUAUAGCAUCAGCAGGAGCACCUCAUAGUAAUUCAUCAUACAGCAGCAGCAGGAGCAGCUUAUAGCAACUCAUCAUAUAGAAGCAGCAGCAGCUCAUAGCAAUUCAUCAUAUAGCAGCAGCUCAUAGCAAUUCAUCAUAUAGCAGCAGCAGGAGCACCUCAUAGCAAUGCAUCAUAUAGCAGCAGCAGAAGCAGCUCAUAGCAAUUCAUCGUAUAGUGGAUCAGAAUGAAAAUUUGGCAAAAAAUCAGAGGAGAUCCUCACCUUGUUGGAUGAGCUCUUCCUUCAACAGCACCUCAAGGCCACGGCCUGGGAGGUGGGGAGGGGGAAUAAGGUGCCUUCUGCCGCAGUGUGGCAUCAACCGUAGUUGUGCAGCGCCUACUGGAGUAGUGCGUUGGACAAACCACAGUGGAGCAACUGCUGGAGACCAUGAGAAUGAGGGGCGGCACCAGAGGUAGGAGCAGCCAGGGAGAGUUGCCCCUACCCGCCGACCAUGUAGCCUAGAUGGACAAAGCAUCGUCGAGGACCAGGCUAGAUGGGACUAGUGGCGACGGCUUGCUGGAGGAACCCUAUGCUGCAGGUAGGGGAUCGAGGUAGAGGGAAAGGGGAGAGGAGAUGCAAGCGGGCAUGGCAAUGAACGCUUGCGUGUUUGUUUUUACUUGAGGGUGAGGUGUGACGCGGGCGUCACCAGUUGCAUUUUGAGUGUAAUAUAGGCAGACAACAGAGUCAUUUCACUAUUCCCCUUCCCUUCAAUUUUUAGUGAGGUUCUACCUGAAACACCCCCCUCCAAAGAGAAAUUAGUUAAGCCCAAGCCCAUAACUCAAAAAUGACUUCUUUACAUCUUUUAUGGCUUAUUUUGACAAUAAGCCCUGAAAAGGCGGAAUAGAACUAGCCCUUAACCUGCAAUUCAAUUGUGCGUGCAAUGAUGAAUCACUCCUGCCUGCUAUAGUGUACAUUUGGGCAUCAUCAUACAUGGCAUAACCUAAUACAUGUGCAUUCCAUUGUAGAAUCUUGAAUAUGCAAUGUUUAUGUUAGUUCAUAUGUUGCACAUGAUGUUUAAAUGCCCCUUAAAUCUGGUCAGUCAAGUGAUGGUCUUUAAGCCUCCUUCUUUGCUUCUUUUCUUGAUAUGUAAGAUUUGCUCACACAUCUGUUCAAUUGCUUGUUUGCAUCAGCCAACCAUACUAGGACUGUUUGCUUUGAUUACUUGUUGUUCUUGACCUAACACUCUAACAGAGCUUGUCAACGAUUUAAACACUAAGGGCUGCUGUAGUGGGGCCUUUUCUAACUCAUAGGUGACAUAAAGGUUUGGCUGUACACUAAAGUAGGCUCUCCAAGAGUACCUGGAGAUCCAGUUCGAAGGUAUGCCUAGUUUUUACAUAGUACAGACAUAGUAAAUGCUCAUUUCAUUGUGUGCAAGUGCAAGAGAUGCAGCAUGUUUCAUUAUGUGGUGUUGUUUUGUUAUAAUCUCAUCCUUUUGUGUUCACAGACUGGAAAGUAUGCAUAUUUAUCUUCCAAGGAGACGAGUAACUAGUUUGUGUCACCUUGAAGAGGGGGUGCAAUGAAGAUAAUAUUGAGGAUUUCCAAGUACAAGAUGUUAGGAAGGAGCCUUGCAAGAGAAGUAGGACCACCGCUGAGCCUCUUCAACCUGUUAAGGUAAGUCACUGUAUCCAACUCAACAGUUCAAUUCCUUGUUUGUUUCAGGCAUAGUUAAUUUGCUCUUUUCAAUUGCUUUAUUUGUCCUCAGUUAAUGAGAUGCCCAAGGAAUGAUGCCUGAUGUUGGGUACUUGUAUAACUAUUAGUUGACAUAAUUAAAUGCCUUACCAUUUAAUUACUAUGCCGAAGUGUGCCUGAAGGUUUGAAGUCUAUUAACCAACUAUUAUUGCAUGAGGCUCACAAUCUAGUUUAUACUAGGCUAAUGAUUGCAUAGUUUUGCUUGCUGUAGUAUGUUUGUAUGAAACUCUCUGCUGUUCAUUAUGCUCCCUAAGACUUUAAUUGAGCUACAGAAUGGCCAACUGCUUGCUUACUUCUACGCAACGUGCUGUCUAAAUUUGUAACUUGUCUGUGUUUUGGAUUGGGCCCCAACAUCAUGCUCCUCUAGUGAGCUAAGAGAGAUUUCUGUAUGCAGGCUGCACAGACUACCUUUUUAUAAUUUUUAAAAUAUCACCUGCUUAUGCUUCAUGACGUGUAACAUUAUUGUUAGUCCUGUUUUGCCAUGUACAAAAUAGUCUGUCUUGCUCGCUCCACAGUUGUAACUAUAUUUUUGCCCUAGUCAUGUGUACUUACAGAAACAUUUCAGGAUGAAGUGACAUCAACACAAAGAUCUGCGAGCAGUGCGGCAUGGCCAUUACCGAAUGAUUAUGGAUUGGAAUUGGAAUGUGCUGAUGUUCUCGAGCAUCAACUAGAGGUGGCAAGACAACGUGUACAUGAUUCUGAACGUACAAUCAACAAGUUGAGACUGGACAUGCAGGUAUUAGAUGCAGGAGUCAAAAAAAUGAAACAAGACACUGAGGUAACAACGAAGGAAUUGGAGAUUUUGCAGACUAAAAUUUGUGCUAUCUAAAUCCGGCCAAUCCUAUUUUCUGAAGAGAUUAUAGUUCAAAUGGUAAGUUAUGUUGAUGCGCGUCCAUGAUGUAUGAGUUGUAUUUGCCCAGUGUAUGCAAUUUGCUGUUUGUGUAUGCUUUAUUAUCAUUGGUGCCGAACCAUAAUGCCCAGUGGGUAUAAUCAGAUGUAAUUUCUUUAUUGUAUAGUGUAGGAUUAUUCUACGUUUCUAUGCCUUAGUCUCUUUAUUGUAUAGUGUAUGUUUUUUAGAGGUGAUAGUAUAGAGUAGGAUAAUUCUUUGAAUAUGCUAUAUCGUCAAACGGGGGCCAACUCGCCCAAACGUUGUAGUGACCAUGGCCCUCCACAUGCCGUACAAUCCAUGGGCCAUCUACGGGACAGACGAUCCAUGGCCUUCUAUGGCUGUCGGAUUCGUGGGCCUUCUAUCUGCUGUCGGAUCCAUGGGCCUUCUAUGGGCCAUCGGAUCCAUGGGCCUUCUAUGGGCCGUCGGAUCAAUGGGCCUUCUAUGGGCCAUCGGGUCAAUGGGCCCUCUACGUCCCGUAGGAUCCAUGGGCCUUCUACGGGCCGUCUCAUCUAUGGGCCUUGUACGGGCCGUAUAAGGGGCCAUAAACAGGCUAGAGUGGAAAUCGUACGUUUUAUGGGCUGACCAUAACGGGCCGUUAAUAGGCCGUAUUUGAUGAUGCUAUGAAAAUGGCCCAACAGAUUAACGGGCCGUAAACGGACCGACAAUAUCCACGGGCUGAAUUUGGUCCACAAGCAGAAAAGGCCAGUAACGGGCCGUAAGUAACCGAAUGCUAGAAAUGAGCCCAAGAAUAAAUGGGCCCUCAGAAGGCCGAAAGGUAACACGGGCUAGAAACGACCCAGUGGAAUAAUGGGCCGCUAAUGGGUAUAAAGCGAUACACUGUUCAUUACGGGCCGGUUUCACCACGGGCCAUUAAUGGGCCAAGAGUUACAAAGGGGCUCAUAUGGGCCAAAAUACGUCAUGGGCCAUACAUGGGCCGGAAGUUAAAACGGGCUGGAAUUAUAUUGGACGGCCCAGAUGACGCUACUGGGCCUAAUUCGGAUAGGCCGUAAAUGGGCCAUGGGUUAGCGGGCCGUAAAUGGGCUAUAUGCGAACAUGCCGUUAACAGGCUUGCCGUGGGCCGGCCCGCCACCUUUUGACCAAGUCAAACGGGCCGACCUUUUCACAGGAAUGGGCCUCUGUUGGGCCGUGCCACGUGUCGACGUAUCAUAGUCGCUUUGGGUCCAAUGAGUGGAUGACAUAUGUCCCAACGGUGAGCCGACACGUGUUUCCUCUAGCCAAUGAUGAUUUUACACGUGGAAAAUCCCCAUUGGUCGGGGCUGUUAACGUGUUAUCGGAUCCAAAACCGGACCCGAUAGCUUAACGGCGUUCCGUUACGGUGGAUGCCACAUGUCGGUCACCCUUGACGAAAGCACUUCUGUGACGCGCGAUUUAUCGUCAUGGAAGUGGACACUUCCGUGAUGAUAAUUUUGGUAAUGUCAUGGAACACUUCUACGGCAGCACAGGUAUGACUAUCUUUCAUAAAUUUGUCAUGGAUGUACAUGCAUGACAGAAAACGUGACCUACUGUGACAAACACGUAUCAUCACGGAAGUGUAUUUUUUUGUAGUGUAGGCUUUUCCCUAGUAGUGUAUAAAACCCCGAGGAGCCCUCAUGCAUACGAGCGAUCGAACACAGAGGAUCGCUCACUCACACACGCAUAGCAAGCCACACCCAAGGAGAGGGCGUAGCCUAAGCCUCGGCCUUCCUUCCUUCCUCCUCCAUAUAGCUCUAGGAGCAACUCUGUACUGAUACACAUCAACUACACUCGGCAGGACUAGGGGUGUUAUCUCUCCGGAGAGCCCCGAACCUGGGUAAGUCUUGCGUCCCGCGCUCGCUCAUGCCGACCUCGCCUCUGGAGCCCACCAGUGCCCUCGAGCCUCCUCCUAUCUUUAGCCAUCCCUUGGCAUCUGUCGUGCGCCCACCACGAUAGUUAGCGCCCACCGUGGGGCAGCUCGAGCUCCUGGCCGGGAGCAUGCUUCAGACGGGGCUCCUCUCCGACUCCGACGAGCCUGUCAUGUUGGCGGACGACGUCAUCGACGCACUCGCCGCCUCCUUCGCCGCGCUGCGCAUCUCCGAUGCGCCUGCGGCCGACGAGUACCCCAGCGAGGUACUUGACUUUUCCGAAUCCCCCCUCUCCCUCAGCGGCAGCGCUCCCGCCGGGGCAAUGGACCUUUGCGUGGAGGUUUUCAUCACCGACACCGGCACCUCUUCCUCAUCGUGCGCGGAGAGGAAGGCCGCAGCGGAUCGGGCCGGCUCGCCCAACCCACUGCGCCCCAUGAUGCAGAGCCUUCGCGUUCCCAUCAGCACCGACAUCGACGCGUCCAACGUCGCCGAGGCCCGGACUCGGCUCAAGGAGGACAACCAGCGCCUGCUGGACCUGACCGAGACGCUCGCCGCCACGCAGCGUCACGUCGACUCCGUGCAGCUGGAGCGCAACGCCGCCUACGGCUUCACGCCUACCGCGGCCGAGCCAAGCCGGGUCGCGGACGUGCGAGCCCGGGGAGGCGCGAUCGGCCGUGCUUUCGGCGCCAUCCCGCCCGUCUACGAGACUCCCAUGAAGAAAAUGCGCGCCGCGCAGGCGAGGAGCUGAAGGAUCGCCUCAAGCGGGUGAACGACCUCCUCGACGCGGCCAACGCGCAGCAGGACCGCCUCAACCAACUCGCCAAGCCGGCGGGAUCCAGCUCCGCCCGCAUCGGCGGACCCGGCGACCACCAGAACACGGCGUCUUCACCACCCGGCGAGGCGCACUCCGGCCGGACCCGGCGCAACCCUGACCCGGCAACUGCCGGCGGCUUGGGCGAUGAGCCGGUCUUGGAGGACCGAUGUCGGCUCGACCCUCUGCUCCAACCCGGUUGACGUCCGACUACGGUUGACUUGGGCCCCCGCGGCACGGUCACCGACCGGCUGGGCCCGCGCGCCAUCGAUGACACCGACGCCCGCCACCGCCCCGACCGACUCGCCCUUUCCCAGGAGCUGGAGGAGAGCGGCCCUGUCAGGUCAGCGUGCUUCAGACCACGCAUCAGGGAUGAGCCCUUUACUAAAGGGUUCUUGCUCCCCCGCGAUACCCCCAAGUACAACGACACCGUGAAGCUGGAGGACUGGCUCACCGACUACACCACCGCCAUCGGCAUCGCCGGCGGUAACCACCGUCUCGCCGUGCGCUACGCGCCGCUCAUGCUCCAAGGGUCGGCCCGCACUUGGUUGAACAGCCUGCCGGCAGGCAGCAUCAACGAGUGGGUCGACUUCGAGCAGGCCUUUGCAUACAACUUCACCGGCACCUACAAGCGACCCGGCCGCCCCAGCCAGCUCGCCAUGUGCGUGCAGGGGCCGACGGAAACCGGCCGCGAAUACCUCGCACGCCGGACCGAGCUCCAGAACAGUUGCGAGGGCGUCCACGAAGUCCAAGCGAUACGGUACUUCGUCAAUGGGUUCCGGGAUGGCACCCUCCUCAAGCACAAGCUCUUGCUCUCCGAGCCGGCCACCAUGGCCACGCUCAUGGUGACGGUGGACAAGUACGCCAACGCUGACUCCGCCAUGAAGAUCCAGGUGGCACUGGAUGAAGCCGGCGAAGCAAAGCCGGUUCCCCCUCUGAAGCCGGCCGGCAAAGGAAGCCGGCAGCAGCAUAACCAGUAGAACAACAAAUGCAAGGCCGAUCAGCCGGCCCAGCACUACGAAAACCGGCUCGUCGCGGCCGCCGCGCAGGCGCCCGCGACCGACCCGGCCGCCAAGCGCCGGCAGACCGGCAAGACGACGUGGCAACCCGCCAUGAGCUUCGAGGAGAUGCUCGAUGCUCCCUGCAAGUACCACAGCGAUGCAAGGCCGUCCAUGCACACGCUUCGGCAGUGCGCCAUCACCAGGCGCAUCAUGAGGGGCGACAUCCUACCUCCUCCGGCGCCGGCUCCGGGAGCGGGGCAGCCGCCUCCGCCUCUGCCUCCACCACCACCUCCGGCUGGCGGCACGAUGCACGACGACGUCUACCCGUCCCAGAACGUGACCUAUGUCGUCUUCACCAGCCUCGGCGACGACAAACACAGCGAGCGCCUCCUUCGGCAGGAGGUGAACACCGUCGUCCCAGCCAAGCCGGAAUAUAUGCACUGGUCGGAGCGCCCGGUCACCUGGACUCGGGAGGACCACCCGGCCGUCAUGCGGAGCCUGGGUGGUUAUGCUCUCGUCCUCAACCCCACAAUCGUCGCACCUCGGUGCACAUGCAAGUUCUCCCGGGUUCUCAUCGACGGCGGCAGCAGCAUCAACAUCCUCUACCGUGACACCAUGACCAAGCUCGGCCUCGAGGCCAAAGACCUGGAGCCGACCUGGACGAUCUUCCACGGCAUCGUUCCUGGACUCUCAUGCUCUCCAAUCGGCCGGGUCCGGCUCGACGUCCUGUUCAGCGACAACAACCACUUCCGACGCGAGCCAAUCUGGUUCGAGGUGGUGGACCUGUCCAGCGCGUACCACGCGCUGCUGAGCCAGCCCGCGCUCGCCAAGUUUAUGGCGGUCCCCCACUACGCCUACCUAAAGAUGAAGCUGCCGGGUCCGAAGGGCCUCAUCACCAUCACCGGCGACUACCGCAAGUCCCUGGAGUGCACCCGAGACGGCGCCAAAUUGGCCGAGUCGCUGGUCAUAGCCGAGGAGCGGCGCGAGCUCGACCGGAUUGUCGCCCUAGCCAAUGAGACGUCGGCCGUGCUGAUCUCGGCCGACGAGCCGGCGGACGAGGCCUUGUUCAAGCCCUCCAAGGAGACCAAGAAAGUGAAGCUGAACCCGGAAGACCCCAGCUGUAGCAAGUACGUUGUCAUGGGCACCCACCUCGACAGAAAAUAGGAAGGCGAGCUCGUCGACUUCCUCCAUGAGAAUCGGGAUAUUUUUGCAUGGACCCCAAAGGACAUGCCGGGUAUCCCGAGGAAAUAAGCCGAGCACAAACUCCACGUCCGCAAGGAUGCCAAGCCUGUCUGCCAACCCCUACGGCGUUUCUCUGAAGAGAAGAGAAGAACCAUCGGUGAAGAGGUCGCCAAGCUUUUGGCGGCCGGCUUCAUCCUGGAAGUGUUUCACCCCGAGUGGCUGGCCAACCCAGUCCUCGUCCUGAAGAAGAACAAGACCUGGCGCAUGUGUAUCAACUACACCAGCCUGAACAAGGCCUGCCCCAAGGAUCCGUUCGACCUCCUGUAGAUCGACCAAGUCAUCGACUCCACUGCCGGGUGCGAGCUCCUGUCCUUACUAUAUGCUUACUCCGGCUAUCACCAGAUCAAGCUGGACCCGGCCGACGCCCUGAAUACGUCCUUCAUCACGCCCUUUGGGGCGUAUUGCUACAUCACCAUGUUGUUCAGCCUGAAGAACGCCGGUGACACCUUCCAGCGCUGCAUGUAGAAAUGCCUGCUGCCGCAACUCGGCCGCAACAUCCACGUCUAUGUGAACGACAUCGUGGUGAAGACCAAGCAGCACCUCACGCUCCUCGACGACCUGAAGGAAACCUUCGCUAACCUGCGUGAAUACAAGGUCAAGCUCAACCCAAAGAAGUGCGUUUUCGGUGUCCCGGACGGAAAGCUACUCGGCUUCCUCAUCUCGGAGCGCAGCAUUGAGGCAAACCCGGAGAAGAUCAAGGCCAUCGAGCGCAUGCGCAAGCCGGCUCGGCUGCGCGAUGUCCAGAAGUUCACCGGCUGCUUGGCCUUGGUCAGCCGGUUUCUCAGCCGGCUGGGCGAGAGGGCCUUGCCCCUGUAUCAGCUGAUGAAGAAGAUGACACCGUUCGAAUGGAACGACCUGGCGGACAAGGCUUCCCGGGACCUCAAGCGCAUGCUCUCCACCGCACCCGUCCUGGCCGCACUGGCCAAGAAGGAGCCGCUGUUGCUCUACAUCGCCACAACCUCGCGGUCGGUCAGGACGGUGAUGGUGGUUGAGCGACCAGAGAAGGGCAAGAUCCAAGCCGUCCAACGUCCCGACUACUACCUGAGCGAGGUGCUCUCCGCCUCCAAGCAGAACUACCCACAGUACCAGAAGAUGUGUUACGGCGUGUACUUCACCGUCAAGAAAUUGAAGAAGUACUUCCAAGAGCACGUUGUUACCGUGGUCAGCACGGCCCCUCUCGGCGAAAUCAUCGGGUGCCGGGAUGCCUCUGCCCGGGUCGCCAAGUGGGCGCUCGAGCUAGCCGGCCACACCAUCCUCUACGAGCCCGACACUACGAUCAAGUCCCAAGCUUUGGCCCACUUCCUCGUCGACUGGAUUGAGACCCACUACCUGCCGCCGCCGCCGGACUCGACACACUGGCGCAUGCACUUCGACGGCUUGAAGAUGCGUCUCAGCCUAGGGGCCGGCAUUGUGCUGUCCUCCCUGAAGGGCGACCGGCUCAAAUACGCGCUCCAGAUCCACUUCACCGCCUCCAACAACGUCGCCGAGUACGAAGCCCUUGUGCAUGGCCUCUGGCUUGCCAAGGAACUCGGCAUCCGGCACAUCCUGUGCUAUGGCGACUCGGACCUGGUGGUGCAGCAGUGCUCCGGCGAGUGGGACGCCCGCGACACCCACAUGGCGAGCUACCGCUUCCUCAUCCAGAAGCUGUCCGGAUUCUUCGCGGGCUGCGAGUUCCUCCACGUCCCGCGUGUUCGGAAAAUGAGGCAGCCGACAUGCUCGCCAAGAUUGCCUCGUCCCGGCAGUCCAUCCCGUCCAGCGUCUCCCUUGAGCACCUGCACAAGCUGCCUGUCAAGCCGUCUCCGGACUCUGAGUCCAUCUACGUCUCGGACGACCCGGCCGCACCUCAACCCGUCCCGGGGACUGCCAAACCCGGCCCGAGGACUGCUGAACCCGGCCCGGGGACUGCCGAACCUGGUCUGGGGACCGCUUAACCCGGCCCGGGGGCCGCAGCCAUCAAUCUGACCGCUGCUGUUGCCGACCCGGGGGCUGCCGCCCCAGAACCCGCCAUGGUGGUCGUCUUCGCCAUGGUGAUGGCACCAUCAUGGGUCCUGCCCAUCUCAGAGUUUCUGGAGAACGGGGUCCUCCCCAUGGACGAGACCGAAGCCCGGCAAGUGCAGCGCCGGGUGUCCGCCUACAACAUCAUCAACAACGAGCUCAUCAAACGCAGCUCCAUCGGCGUGUUCCAGCGCUGCGUCGAGCAGGACAAGGGCAUUGAGAUCCUCCUCGACAUACACCAAGGCGAGUGCGGGCACCACGCCGCCUCGCGAUACCUGGUGGCCAAGGCCUUCCGCCAUGGUUUCUACUGGCCCACGGUCCUCGAAGACGCCGAGUCACUCAUCCUCAAGUGCGAGGGAUGCCAGCGGUUCAGCAAGCGCAGUCACCAGCCGACGUCAGCACUCCGGACCAUCCCGAUCGCCUGGCCCUUCACGGCCUGGGGACUCGACAUGGUGGGGCCCUUCAAGACCGCUCGAGGCGGCAUGACGCAUUUGCUGGUGGCGGUGGACAAGUUCACCAAAUGGAUCAAAGCAAGGUCAAUCAAGAAACUGGACGGGCCAACGGUCGUCCGAUUCAGCAAGGACAUCGCGGUGCGCUACGGCAUGCCGAACAGCAUCAUCAUGGACAACGACACCAACUUCGCCAAGGGUGCACUCGCGUAGUACUGCUCCGUCUCUGAUACGUCUCCGUCAUAUCUACUUUUCCAAACACUUUUGCCCUUGUUUUGGACUCUAACUUGCAUGAUUUGAAUGGAACUAACCCGGACUGACGCUGUUUUCAGCAGAAUUGCCAUGGUGUUAUUUAUGUGCAGAAACUAAAGUUCCCGGAAUGACCUGAAACUCCACGGAACUUAUUUUUGGAAAAUAUAAAAAAUAUUGGUGAAAGAAUCAAGGCCAGGGGGCCCACCACCUGUCCACGAGGGUGGGAGGCGCGCCUGCCCCCUGGGCGCGCCCCCCUGCCUCGUGGGCCCCCUGGAGCUCCACCGACCUCAACUCCAACUCCAUAUAUUCGUGUUCGGGGAGAAAAAAAAUCAGAGAGAAGGAUUCAUCGCGUUUUACGAUACGGGGCCACCGCCAAGCCCUAAAACCUCUCGGGAGGGCUGAUUUGGAGUCCGUUCGGGGCUCCGGAGAGGGGAAUCCGUCGCCGUCGUCAUCAUCAACCAUCCUCCAUCACCAAUUUCAUGAUGCUCACCGCCGUGCGUGAGUAAUUCCAUCGUAGGCUUGCUGGACGGUGAUGGGUUGGAUGAGAUUUAUCAUGUAAUCGAGUUAGUUUUGUUAGGGUUUGAUCCCUAGUAUCCACUAUGUUCUGAGAUUGAUGUUGCUAUGACUUUGCUAUGCUUAAUGCUUGUCACUAGGGCCCGAGUGCCAUUAUUUCAGAUCUGAACCUAUUAUGUUUUCAUGCUAGUUUAUUUUCCCUUUUCUUGCUUUCUUCUUGUGAGUUCAAUUAACCUUAAGAAAACAAAAAAAAUUAGUGUAGCUUUUAGUUAGUUUUCUUUUCUUGCUGUAGUAGUAAUAAUUAAAAGAAAACCCAAAAAGAUUUCCCGUUCUUCUUUUGUUUGUUGGGAGCUUUCCCGUGUAAAUAGUUUUAUUUCUGUUCUUUUCUUUGGGGGUCGAUAGGAGAAGACCAUGAUUAAAUUGUUGAAGUAGCUCUUAUAUGCAUUAUUGUUGAUUUAACCAAGAGCCCAUAUUGCCUUGUCUUCUCCUGUUUAUUGAAUGCUCGCAGAUUCCAGCUUAGUCCAAUGCACGUGCACUCUUAUUAUUAUUCACAUCGUUCGGUCGUGCAAGUGAAAGGCAAUAAUGACGAUAUAUGAUGGACUGACUGAGAUGAGAGAAGCUGGUAUGAACUCGACCCCUCUUGUUUUUGUAAAUAUGAUUAGUUCAUCGUUCCUGAUUCAGGCUAUUAUGAAUAAACAUGUUUGCAAUGACAAUUAGAGAUUAUAGUUGCUCGUGCCAUUCUUGAUUAGCUAUGAGUUAUAAUGGUUUACCUUGCGUGCCAACAUGCUAUUAAAAUGGUUGUGAUGUGGUAUAGUGGGGUGGUAUCCUCCUUUGAAUGAUUCAAGUGACUUGACUUGGCACAUGUUCACGCAUGUAGUUGAAACAAAAUCAACAUAGCCUUCACGAUAUUUAUGUUCAUGGUGGAUUAUAUCCUACUCAUGCUUCUACUCAAUGUUUAUUAAUUUUAAUGCAUGUUCAUGACUGUUGUCGCUCUCUAGUUGGUCGCUUCCCAGUCUUUUGCUAGCCUUCACUUGUACUAAGCGGGAAUACUGCUUGUGCAUCCAAUCCCUUAAACCCCAAAGUUAUUCCAUAUGAGUCCACUAUACCUUCCUAUAUGCGGUAUCUUCCUGCCGUUCCAAGUAAAUUUGUAUGUGCCAAACUCUAAACCUUCAAAUGAAAUUCUAUUUUGUAUGCUCGAAUAGCUCAUGUAUCAACUAGGGCUGUCCGUGUCUUCCAUGCUAGGCGGGUUAUUCUCAAGAGGAGUGGACUCCGCUCCUCACUCACGAGAAAAUGGCUGGUCACCGGGAUGCCCAGUCCCAUGCUUUAUGCAAACUAAAUCCAAAUAAUUGCAAACAAAACUCCCCCUGGGACUGUUGUUAGUUGGAGGCACUCGUUGUUUCGAACAAGCAAUGGAUUGAUGCUUGUUGGUGGAGGGGGAGUAUAAACUUUACCAUUCUGUUUGGGAACCGCCUAUAAUGUGUGUAGCAUGGAAGAUAUCGCCAUCUCUUGGUUGUUAUGUUGACAAUGAAAGUAUGCUGCUCAAAAUAUUAUUUAUCUCUGCUUUAAAAUCGACCUCUGGCACCUCUACGAAUCCCUGUUUCCCUCUGCGAAGGGCAUAUCUAUUUACUUUUUAUAUGUUGAGUCAUCACCUUCUUAUCAUAAGCACCAGCUGGAGAGCACGGCUGUCAUUUGCAUCCAUUACUAUUAGUUUAUAUUGGGUAUGACUAUGACUGGAUCUCUUUUACCAUGAAUUACAAUGUCUAGUCAGUCCUUGAUCUUUAAAGGUGCUCUGCAUUUAUGUUUUGCGGCCCCAGAAAGGGCUAGCGAGAUACCAUCUUGUUAUAUUAUAUCAUGAUUGUUUUGAGAAAGUGUUGUCAUCCAAGAUUUAUUAUUAUUGCUCGCUAGUUGAUUAUGCCAUUGAUAUGAGUAAACAUGAGACCUAAGAGUUAUUGUGAAUGUGGCUAGUCAUAAUCUUUGCUGAAAACUUGAAUGCUGGCUUUACAUAUUUACAACAACAAGAGCAAACAGAGUUUGUAAAAGUUUUUCUUUAUCACUUUCAGUUUAUCAACUGAAUUGCUUGCGGACAAGCAAAGGUUUAAGCUUGGGGGAGUUGAUACGUCUCCGUCGUAUCUAAUUUUCCAAACACUUUUGCCCUUGUUUUGGACUCUAACUUGCAUGAUUUGAAUGGAACUAACCCGGACUGACGCUGUUUUCAGCAGAAUUGCCAUGGUGUUAUUUAUGUGCAGAAACAAAAGUUCUCGGAAUGACCUGAAACUCCACGGAACUUAUUUUUGGAAAAUAUUAAAAAUAUUGGCGAAAGAAUCAAGGCUAGGGGCCCACCACCUAUCCACAAGGGUGGGGGGCGCGCCUGCCCCCUGGGCAUGCCCCCUACCUCGUGGGCCCCCUGGAGCUCCACCGACCUCAACUCCAACUCCAUAUAUUCGUGUUCGGGGAGAAAAAAAUCAGAGAGAAGGAUUCAUCACGUCAAGCCCUAAAACCUCUCGGGAGGGCUGAUCUGGAGUCCUAAAACCUCUCGGGAGGGCUGGAGUCUGUUCGGGGCUCCGGAGAGGGGAAUCCGUCGCCGUCGUCAUCAUCAACCAUCCUCCAUCACCGAUUUCAUGAUGCUCACCGCCGUGCGUGAGUAAUUCCAUCAUAGGAUUGCUGGACGGUGAUGGGUUGGAUGAGAUUUAUCAUGUAAUCGAGUUAGUUUUGUUAGGGUUUGAUCCCUAGUAUCCAGUAUGUUCUGAGAUUGAUGUUGCUAUGACUUUGCUAUGCUUAAUGCUUGUCACUAGGGCCCGAGUGCCAUGAUUUCAGAUCUGAACCUAUUAUGUUUUCAUGAAUAUAUGUGAGUUCUUGAUCCUAUCUUGCAAGUCUAUAGUCACCUACUAUGUGUUAUGAUCCGGCAACCCCGAAGUGACAAUAAUGUAACACCCCGGAUGUAACUUUCCAUAUUUGUAACUCCAACUCUUGCCAUUUUCGGCCAUGUGUUAUGAUAUUCCCUUCGUGGUCGGGUUUUGUUUUUCGUUUUGCAUUUUGUUCAUGUCAUGCAUAUCAUAUCAUGUCAUCAUGUGCAUUGCAUUUGCAUACGUGUUCGUCUCUUGCAUCCGUGCAUUUUCCCCGUUGUCCGUUUUGCAAUCCGGCACUCCCACCUCCUCCGGCGCACCCCUCUUGUUUUCUUUUCGCGAGCGGGUGUUAAACAUUCUCGGAAUGGACCGAGGUUUGCCAAGUGGCCUUGGCAUACCACCGGUAGACCACCUGUCAAGUUUCGUUCCAUUUGGAGGUCGUUUGACGCUCCAACGGUUAACCGGGUAACCGCAAAGUCCUUUUGUGUGUUGCAGCAAAACCCCCCUCUAAACAACCCAAAACCCCUCCAAGUCACUUCCAUGCUCUAGGUCGUUCGAUCACGAUCGUGUGGGCGAAAACCGCACUCUAUUUGGAGCCUCCUAGCUCCCUCUACCUAUAAAUAUGUGUCUCUCCCGGAUUUCUCACGCAGAUGAAACCCUAGCCCGCUCCCCUUGCGCCGCCGGACACGUCCGGCCCGAGCCGGACGAACNNNNNNNNNNNNNNNNNNNNNNNNNNNNNNNNNNNNNNNNNNNNNNNNNNNNNNNNNNNNNNNNNNNNNNNNNNNNNNNNNNNNNNNNNNNNNNNNNNNNNNNNNNNNNNNNNNNNNNNNNNNNNNNNNNNNNNNNNNNNNNNNNNNNNNNNNNNNNNNNNNNNNNNNNNNNNNNNNNNNNNNNNNNNNNNNCGACCGCCGCCGCUCCUCCCGCGCGCCGCCCGCGCCCGCCGGUCGCCGUCCCCUCGCCGUCCGGGACCGCGCCUCCCCGAGUCCUCCUCUCCUCCGCCGCGCCUCCUCCUGCCGGCGAGCUCGAGCUCCGAGCCGGCCCGAUCCAGAUCCACCGGAGAUGGUUGACUUCUCCCCUCCCCCGAAAUAUUCUAAGUCCCAAAUUUUUGCAAUAUAUGCUCCCGUUCAUCGCAUCAUAACUCUCUGCAUAUAGCUCCGUUUCGUGCGUGUAAUAUAUCGAAAUGUUCGUCUCAAGAUUCUAUUCAUUUUGUUCCAUUAUGCAUGUUCAUUUGAGUCCAUCUUGAUGCCCAAAUCUCUGGUGCAAGAGUACUAGUUGCUGUUAACUGCUGUUACUUAUCAGAACUUGAGGAUUUGUUAUUUUUGUUUCAGUUAAUCUGUGCAUCUUAUAAGUAUGAGCUCUACAUGUGUUUUGAUCUAUGCCAUGCCAUCUUUCAGAGGUAUAUGCCAUGUAUUUUUGCGAUCUCUGUGGUGACUAGCACAAGCAUGCAAACUAGGCUUCGUGAUGUUUCUGAAUUCAGGGACUUGGUAAAUUUACUAAGUAUGUGACUGCUGUUAUUUUGUUGCUGUGUAUCCAUGUGUCUACAGAGAGAUCCAUGCUUAUUUUGGUGAUGUUAAGUAAGGAUGUUUUGUAGAUAUUGUUGUAAUUGUUCCAUCCAUGCCCUUGUUUGCAAUUAUGGAGUGCCAUUGCAUGACUCAAUCUUGCUCUACUUUUGCUAUAAAAUAUUCCUGGCAGAUUGUUUACGUGAUAUUCAAUUUUGCCAAGCUUGUUGUAGUUGAUCCUUUCAUCCUAUGUAUUUGCUCUUGCCUGGGAUAGCUUCAUAAACAUUCCAUCUUGCUGUAGGUAUGCUUGUUUGGUCAUGCAUUGCCUUUUGUUGAGUGAAUCAAGCUCACCAAGAUGCCUUCAUAUUACUGUUUCUGUCAUGCUCUGUUUUCUGCCAAGUCUGAAACCUGUCAACAAAACUUGCUAUGUUUACAUGGUUACCAUCAUAUCUUCUGGUUCCUUUUGGCUUAUGGUCAGUAAGGGACUUCUGUCAUAUGCAUUUAGUAGAUUCAUGCCAUGCCUUGUUUAGCUAUGUUAAGUUCCUGUAGCAUGUUGAUUUCUUGCUCUGAACAUUACUACCUGAUACUGUUUAUGCCAUGUCCAGUAAUUUCACCAAGUCUGUGAACCUGAUAUCUUUUGCACUUUUGCCAUGCUUGUUUGAACCUGUUAUGUUGUGAUCUAGCCGUAGCUCAGUCUUCAUCUUUUGUCAAACAUCUCCUGUAGGUUACUGCCAUAUGAUUUGUUGCUAUGUUGGAGUGCUGUAGCAUAGUUUCUUGAUGUAUUCUAAGUGCUAUCAUGCUGUUAAUCACAGAUUCGUGUCAUUCUUGUUUUGCUUGCCAUUUGCAAACCGUGCAUACGUUUCCGGUGAUCUUUAUAUCGAUUUCGACCGAAACCAUCUCAUCUUUCCAGUGGCAUGCUUCGUUUGCCAAGUUACUGCCUUGUUCAUCAAUUUUCCUCCGGAGCACGCAUACGCAUCGCAUAUCUCGCAUAUCAUACAUGUUUUGCAUCAUGUUGCUUGUGCAUUUCCCAUGAUUGAUUGUGGUUCCGUUGCUUGUGUUCUUGUUUUGGGUAGAGCCGGGAGACGAGUUCGUGAACGAGGAACCUGUUGAGCACGCUUACGAGGAUCAAGCUUUCGACAACUCUGAGAAUCUUGCAGGCAAGAUGACCAUACCCUCGAAAUCACUUCUAUCUUUGCUUGCUAGUUGUUCGCUCUAUUGCUAUGCUGCGCUACCUAUUCACUUGCUCUUCAAGCCUCCCAAAUUGCCAUGAACCUCUAACCUUUGUCACCCUUCCUAGCAAACCGUUGUUUGGCUAUGUUACCGCUUUUGCUUAGCCCCUCUUAUAGCGUUGCUAGCUGCAGGUGAGAUGAAGAUUGCUCCAUGUUGGAUUAUGUUUAUGUUGGGAUAACACAAUAUCUCUUAUAUUAUUAAUGCACCUAUAUAUUUGGUAAAGGGUGGAAGGCUCGGCCUUAUGCCUGGUGUUUUGUUCCACUCUUGCCGCCCUAGUUUCCGUCAUACCGGUGUUAUGUUCCUUGAUUUUGCGUCCCUUACGCGGUUGGGUGAUUUAUGGGACCCCCUUGACAGUUCGUUUUGAAUAAAACUCCUGCAGCAAGGCCCAACCUUGGUUUUACAUUUGCCUCACCUAGCCUUUUUCCCUUGGGAGUCGCGCUCCCGAGGGUCAUCUUAUUUUACCCCCCGGGCCAGUGCUCCUCGGAGUGUUGGUCCAAACUAGAGCACCGUGCGGGACCAUCCCUUGGCAACUUGGGUUACAUCGGUACCUGUACGCUUCGCUUAUCCGGUGUGUCCUGAGAACGAGAUACGUGCGACUCCUAUCGGGAUUGUCGACACAUCGGGCGGCUUUGCUGGACUUGUUUUACCAUGGUCGAAAUGUCUUGUAACCGGGAUUCCGAGACUGAUCGGCUCUUCCCGGGAGAAGGAAUAUCCUUCAUUGACCGUGAGAGCUUAUAAUGGGCUAAGUUGGGACACCCCUGCAGGGUAUUAUCUUUUGAAAGCCGUGCCUGCGGUUAUGUGGCAGAUGGGAAUUUGAUAAUAUCCGGUUGUAGAGAACUUGACACUUGACUUAAUUAAAACGCAUCAACCGCGUGUGUAUCCGUGAUGGUCUCUUCUCGGCGGAGUCCGGGAAGUGAACACGGUUUCUGGGUUAUGUUUGACGUAAGUAGGAUUUCAGGAUCACUUCUUGAUCAUUGCUAGCUUCACGACCGUUCCGUUGCUUCUCUUCUCGCUCUUAUUUGCGUAUGUUAGCCACCAUAUAUGCUUAGUCGCUGCUGCAACCUCACCACCUUACCCUUUCCUACCCAUAAGCUUAAAUAGUCUUGAUCUCGUGGGUGUGAGAUUGCUGAGUCCUCGUGACUCACAGAUACUUCCAAAACAGUUGCGGGUGCCGAUGAGACCAGUGCAGGCGAUGCCACCGAGCUCAAGUGGGAGUUCGAUGAAGACCUUGUUCGUUACUAUGUUUCGUUUCUAGAUGAUCAGUAGUGGAGCCCAGUUGGGACGAUCGGGGAUCUAGCAGUUGGGUUGUCUUCUUUUCUUUUGGUUCCGUAGUUGGACCUAUGUGUGUACUCUGAUUGAUGUAUAAUUAAUUUAUGUAUUGUGUGAAGUGGCGAUUGUAAGCCAACUCUCGUUAUCCCAUUCUUGUUCAUUACAUGGGAUUGUGUUAAGAUGACCCUUCUUGCGACAAAACCACAAUGCGGUUAUGCCUCUAAGUCGUGCCUCGACACGUGGGAGAUAUAGCCGCAUCGUGGGCGUUACAAAUUAUCGGGACCACUCCCGGUGAUGACCGUAGUUUGAGGAGUUCAUGUAUUCACUAUGUGUUAAUGCUUUGGUCCGAUACUCUAUUAAAAGGAGGCCUUAAUAUCCCUUAGUUUCCGCUAGGACCCCGCUGCCACGGGAGGAUAGGACAAAAGAUGUCAUGCAAGUUCUUUUCCAUAAGCACGUAUGACUAUAUUCGGAAUACAUGCCUACAUUACAUUGAUGAAUUGGAGCUAGUUCUGUGUCACCCUAUGUUAUGACUGUUACAUGAUGAACCGCAUCCGGCAUAAUUCUCCAUCACCGAUCCAAUGCCUACGAGCUUUUCACAUAUUGUUCUUCGCUUAUUUACUUUUCCGUUGCUACUGUUACAAUCACUAGAAAACCCAAAAAUACUACUUUUGCUACCGUUACAGUUAUUUCCAUACUACUUUGCUACUAAAUACUUUGUUGCAGAUAUUAAGUUAUCCAGGUGUGGCUGAAUUGACAACUCAGUUGCUAAUACUUGACAAUAUUCUUUGGCUCUCCAUGUGUCGAAUCAAUAAAUUUGGGUUGAAUACUCUACCCUCGAAAACUGUUGCGAUCCCCUAUACUUGUGGGUUAUCAGUCUCCGGCAUCCGCCUUGACCUGGCUUCCGUUGCACACCCGCAGUCCAACGGCCAGGUUGAGCGGGCCAACGGCCUCAUCCUAUCCGGCAUCAAGCUACGGCUCAUCGAGCUGCUCAUCCGUUCACCCGACAGCUGGCUCGAUGAGCUGCCAGCCGUCCUCUGGAGUCUCCGAACGACACCGAACCGGUCGACCGGGUUCACCCCAUACUUCCUCAUCUAUGGAGCGGAAGCCGUCAUCCCGACCGACGUCGAGUUCGACUCGCCGCGCGUCGUGAUGUACACUGAAGCCGAAGCCAAAGAAGCCCGCAAGGACGGCGUCGACCUACUCAAAGAAGCACGUCUCCUAGCGCAUAGCCACUCAACCAUCUACCAGCAAGGCCUGAGGCACUACCACAGCAAGAAGAUCAAGCCCCUCACUUUUCGGGAGGGAGACCUCGUCCUCCAACUCGUCCAAGAGCAGAACGGCCAACACAAGCUGUCCCCCCAUGGGAGGGCCCGUUCAUCGUCAGCAAGGCCUUGCGCGAUCGCAACGCCUACUACCUCAUCGACGCCCGCAAGUCAAACAAGCGCAAGAGAGACACCGCCGACGAAGAAACAACACGGCCGUGGAACGCGGAACUCCUCCGCCCGUUUUACAGUUAGCCGUAUGCACGUAUGUAUCGCUGCCCUUUGUAAUCAUCUGAAAACUAUGGAGUCCACGAACGACGCUCGGGGGCUGCCCUUUACGACCAAGCUAUUGUGUCUCCCGUAUUUAUGCAUUAUUUACCUCUUCAUCAAACCCGGCCACCGGUCCGACUCGCUCGACCCGGGGGCUGGCCAGCUUGGUCACCACCCACCGCCUUACUCAGCGAUUCCUGACGCGCUGGGACUGCCGCGGCCUCCUGCUUUGCCCUAAGCCACAGAACUGGCUUCGGCUGUUGGCCGGCAAGCGCGCAAGUCCAGAGCACCAGCACGCCAUGAACACUAAGUCAAGGACCGCCGGGUCACCCAACCGAGCCACACCACUUUAAGUUGCCGCACGACCGGCUGCUCGCCAACCGGCUUCGCCGGAUUGCCGCUAGCCGGCCCAGUGGGUGUUUCGCUCACGCUCAACGUUUCGAACGCCUAAGUACUGCGCGCUCCUCNNNNNNNNNNNNNNNNNNNNNNNNNNNNNNNNNNNNNNNNNNNNNNNNNNNNNNNNNNNNNNNNNNNNNNNNNNNNNNNNNNNNNNNNNNNNNNNNNNNNNNNNNNNNNNNNNNNNNNNNNNNNNNNNNNNNNNNNNNNNNNNNNNNNNNNNNNNNNNNNNNNNNNNNNNNNNNNNNNNNNNNNNNNNNNNNNNNNNNNNNNNNNNNNNNNNNNNNNNNNNNNNNNNNNNNNNNNNNNNNNNNNNNNUCAACAGAAGAAAAGCAAAGGCGCAGGCACCCGCGAAAUUCAUACAUACCGCCGGGUCGAUCGCCCGGCCCCGUCACUUGUAACACUGCCGCACGACCGGCUGCGCGCCAACCGGCUUCGCCGGAUCGCCGCCAGCCGGCCCAGUGGGUGUUUCGCUCACGCUCAACGUUUCGACGGCUUAAGUACUGCGCGCUCCUCUCAAAGGCUGAACUCCUUGUCACGGACCGGAGCCUCGGCCGUCAGACUCGCGGGGGGGAAGCCCGAGAGGGGAAAAGCGCAAGAAAACGGCUCAAAAGACGAAAAGCAAGAGCGCAAACAUCCACGAAAUUUAUACUUCACCAGUUCAAAUUUAAACAGGCCCAAGGCCAGAAUUCAUCUCACCCGGAUACCCCCAGUGGGUGGGUGGACCUGCUACCUAACCGAAAUUUUUACUAAGUUAAAAACAGGCAGCCUCAUGCAUCUCCCUCGGUGGCCUCCGGGUUCGCUGAGGUGCCGCUGUCCCCCCCCCCCCUUGCUGUCUGCAUGGAGGUAGACGUCCGUCUCCUCGGAGCUGCCCUCCGGGUCGUCUAGGAGCAGGCCGUAGUCGUCGGCAGGCAUGACUCCGUCAUCCUCCGACCGCUCUUGCCGGAACUCGUUGUGGAAGGCGAACCCAGCGAUGUAGCUGGCCCGAGCAGCAAUCCGGCCAGCCUCCGCCUGCAGCUGGCUCUCCGAGCCGGCUCGCUGGCCCAUCAACGUGUCCAGCGACAGGUCCGGAUGCCAAGACAUCGCGAACCUGAGCGCCAUCUUGGUGCCAACACGAGCGGCGGAACCCCGCCAGUCGUGGAGCCGAUCCGGCCCCGCCUCCAACCACCGCGCCAGACGCGUGAAGCUAUUCGGCGUGACGGAACCCGGCCAGAGGGCCGUCGUCAUCGCCGCGCCGGCCUUAGAGAGCCGCCCCAUCUGCUCGCUCAAGACUCGUAGACGAGCCUCGACGGCGGUCACGAUCUCCGGGAAGGUCCAGGCCACCCGCGGGUCAGUCCCGGAGCCGAUGAUCCCCUGCGGGUCGUGCUGAAAGCGGACGGCCUCCUCCGCUAGCUGGCACGUCUCCGGGAAGGCCCUUGUCAAGAAGAAAAGCAAGUCAGAAGAAAGUCACCAAGGACAAGAAGCCGGGGUCCUAGCCCGGCAAAACCCAAGGAAAGAACUUACUGGAGAAGGACUCUUCCAGGUGCUGUGCUUCAAGCAAUGUACCGCGCCGCUCAAGGGCAAGGGUGCGGUCGUGCUCCUGCAAUGACUUCUCCAGCUCGGCGACCUUGGCAAGGGUCGCCUUCAGCUCGGCGUCCUUGGCCUCGGCCGCCUUCUCUGCCUCCUCGCGGCGAUGGGUUUCCCCCUGACGGGUCUCCUCCGCCGCGGCCACCAGCGCCUUCAGGCGCUCCACCUCGGCCUGGAGCUGACCCUUGUCGUUGGCCAGCUUGCCGCGUUGCUGGUCCACCUCGACGAGGGCCCGCUGUGCCUCCACAACCUUGGCGGCUUCCUCCUUCAGGCGUUCCACCUCGGCCUCUAGACGACCCUUGUCGCCUUCCAGCUGCUCCCGUAGCCGGCUGGCUUCAUCGAGUGCCCGCUGGGCCCCCGUUGCCUCCGCCCACGCCCUCGCCACCUCGGCCCCAAGCCGGUCUGCGUCAGCAACGAGCCGGUCGUAGUGGAAGUCGGCUCGCAUCAGCCAGGUCCUCCAGGACAUCACCUUGGCUGCAGAAGAAAGAUUUAGAAACAAAGUACUAUUUUAAGAUUCGGCCCAACUGCUACACAGUUGGCCCGAAUCUUGGGGGCUACACCCAGUGGGUGCGCUAGCGCGCCCCCACUAAAAAAGUGCACGCAAGAAAUGUACCCGCGGCGACGUGGAGCUCCUCCUCCUUGGCAGCGAGCUGCUCCUUGAGCCGCCGGUGCAUCUCCAGGAGCCGGUUGAAGACGCCGACCCAGUAGGAGUGCAGUUGCUGCAAGAAGCAACGAUCAACACAAGACAACGGUUUAAGAUUCGACCAAACUGCUACGCAGUUGGCCCAAAUCUUGGGAGCUACACCUAGUGGGUGCGCUAGCGCGCCCCCACGAAGAAGAAGCAACAGAAAAAUAAAGGCAGAAAGCAAGGAAAACUUAUGAACACGGCGCGCUCCAGCUCCCGUGUCUGCUCCACCUCGGCCUGGGCGCAGGCGCUGGGUCAUGGCGUCCAUCGCCGCGUCCUCCUAGGUCAGAGGCCCGAAGAAGCCCUCGCUUGUCCCGCUCCGCACCGGCUGCGGCCCGAUGGCCCGGCGCUCCCCUGGCCUGGGCACCAGGGCGUGCUAUCCGCUGGCCGCCUCCCUGGCGGCCGGCACCUUCUUUGGCACCAUCACCGGUUCAGUGGCCGGAGUGGCCUGCGGCUCCACCACCAGCGGUGCCUCGCUCAUCAACGCCUGAGGCGCCCCAUCCGGCGUCGUCCGCGACGUCUCCUCGAAGACGGCGUCACCGCCGCCUCCGUCGGCCCCCGUCCGCUCGACCACGUCGGUCCGCGGCGGGGUGUCGUCCCCGAUGACCACGACCUCCCGGUCGAGGUCCAUCACAUCCACACGACCGCCUUGGCCACGCUCCCCCUCCAGCGACGGCACGAAGACCGUCACCGCUGCCACCGUCCCUGCCAGCAUCUCUGGCCACGCCGGCUCCUCGCCGGCUCGCGCCCACGUCGCUGCGGCGUUAACCCAGGCCUGGGUCGACGCCGCCUCCAACUCUGCCUCGGCCCGGUUCCAGUCCCGCCAGGCCAGGGCUUCGGCGUCGGCCGGGUCUAGGCCAAGAUCCAGAUCCACCCGCUCCUCCUCCUCGAACUGGUCGACGGUGCCGGAGCGGCUCCUCCGGAACGCGGCGCCCUCUUUGGACGCGGCGUCCGCCGCCGCCAGCGCCAACGAGAUCGCGACCUGAAACACAAGACAAAAUAAAUACGCAAGAACCAAGCAGAGCCGCUCAGCCACUCGGUUCAGGCAAGAAGAGAACUCACCACGGCACCACCGGAAUGGCAGGCCUCGCCGCCCUCUCCUGCGGAGCGCCACGCCUCCUCUUGGCGGGAGGCUUCGCGCCCCCGGCCGGGUUCGCUGUGCGCUUCACGGCCGGGGCCCGCGGCGCGACGUUGUCCUUCCCGUGCGGUCGGCUCACCGCCGGCGCCCCCCGAGAUGACCCGGCUCCGGCCGCGCCGCCGCCUCCUCCACCUGGCGCCACUACGACAGCAACUCGCAUUAGCACCCCAAGACCGUCCCGCGACCGAUGACCCAAGAAGUGAAGACAAACUUACCCGCUCUGCGCCCUGUGCCCGCGUCGGCGGUCGUCCCCUCCCCUCCGCCGUGGGCCUCAGGCUCCUUCGAGGCAACGCGCACCACCUUCAUCCGUGCCCGGUCGUAAGGAUGCCCGGGCGAAUGAGAAGAUGGGCGGCAACAAAGUACGAAGACCAAGGAUCUCAUCAUCGGUGUCGGGUUCGCAUGGCUGUACGGGGGCUUCCCGAACUCCCAGUCGUCCCGCAGGUUGGCCUUGGAGAUGUUGUUGACCCGGCACGCGACCUGGUCCGCCCCCAGCCGCAGGUUCGCCAUGCGGUUGGGGUCCUGAAGGCCGGUCAUCUGACCGAUGAGGUGGUUGCGCUACUGCAACGGCAGGACUCGAUGGACAAUGAAAGCGGUGAUGAGGUCAGUGCCGGUGAGCCCUUCCCGCUCCUUCAUCACCGACACCCGCUUGCACAGGUUGAGCACCCCCUGUGACGGAUGCUUGGGGUAGUAACCCCAAUUCCGUUUCUCCCUCGGCAGCGAGUUGAUGAAGGGCGGCAAGUUGAUGCGGUCCGCGCCGAGGUUGCGGACGUAGAAGAAGGAAUUCUUCCAUUUCUUGGCAGAAUCCUCCAACGGCAUCUUGGGGCAGUCAGCGCCUGACCGCUUGGAGAUGACGGUGGCCUUGCACUCGGACAUCUCCCUAGCCCUCGGCCCCUGCUGCUUCAAUGAGAAGAAGCGCACCCAGAGGUCGAUCGAAGGCUCAACCCCCAGGUACCCCUCGCAGAGGGUGACGAAGCCCAAAAGCUGCACGAUGGCGCCGGCGCCAAGAUGAUGGGGCUGGAGCCCGAAGAACUCCAGGAAGUUGCAUAAGAAGGUGCUCGCGGGAAGCCCGAACCCGCGCUUGAAGUGCGGGAAGAAGGCCACGUCCUCCGUGCCCUCGGGCCGCGGCUCCCGCUCGCCCUGCGGCAGCCUCCGUCACCCCCGGCAGGCGCCUGGUGGUGCGAAGAUAGGCGAUGUCAUCGAGAGUGACAGUCGAGCCCAUCCACGAGCCCGACGGCAGCGCCAUCGACAAAGGUGCAGAAGAAAGAAGGAAGAAGAUGACGAAGAAGCUCUGCUCGAAGCAACGGGCAUCGCGAUGCGCGGCGGGUGCAAGAAGCAGAGGAAGGAAGAAGAAGGCAGGGGGCGCGAGCGAGAAUGAUUUCUGCUGCCCCCUGCUCGCCCCAAUCUAUAAGCCACAGUUUGAAACAUGGGGGAUUGGGAUCAUUUGCGUUCGCGUUUCCCACUUCCCCGCAAUAACUGCGCACGUACGUGCGCAAUAACUGCCUUGAGAAUGGCAACCGACUUGCGGACGCCGCAAUAAAUCCGUGCACGUGGGCCGAGGGCGCGCGGCCGCGGGCCCCAGCACGUCGCCCUAUCCUGUCGCGCGCGUGGCCUGCCAGGCCCCUCCGGCUUCCGGGCGCCCCAUGGCGCUCGCACGAAGUCCAAAAGAUUGCCUCAAGAUUCGACGGAUUCUUCGGUUUCCCGCCCCUACUGAGGUACCGCGAUCCGGCUUCCGGAAGCCGGCACACAGUGGGUGUUGCUGGACCCGGCGGUCACAAAAUUCGCCUCCUCAAAGGGGGAAACGGCGAAGGCCCUCCCAUCCGAAGACGGCGGACCUUCAAAGCUUCGGGGACUACUGUCGGGGGGAUGAAUCCCGGGAAGGCAACGGAACCCGGAUCCUUUUCAAAAAUGAUGGGGCCAACAUCGCCCCUCAAGCCGGCACGUGCUUGGCUGGGUCGCCCAACCCGGCCAAGCCCCUCGACCCGGCCAAACUCUCCAACCCGGCCAGACUCCUCAACUCGGCCCCAACAACCAGCUCAAGACAGACGAACCCGGCACACCAAGACUUCUCCAACAAGCCAGCUCCACCCUUGGCGCGUUCAUCAACCCGGCCACGGGUCAGCUCCCAUCCCAUCCCAGCCAUAUGAUGGGACGAGUCUCCACCUACCGAUGACCGAGGCAACAGUGCCCCGCCCAUGCCUCUGGCCAGGCGGGGCGUGGCAACAGUGCCCCACCUACCCGCUGACCAGGGCCGGCGUGGCAAUAGUGCAACCAUCGCUACCAAUGACGCUAGCAAGCGGCGACCUGACGGAGCGCCACUGUAGCCGACUCAACCUGGCCACUCCCUGACAAUCGACAAGACGGCCAACAGUGCCCCCGUACCUGGCGGGCCCCGCGUUCGGAGAACCCGGCGAGCCCUGACGGGUUCCAGCGCCGGCUUCCCGGACAAUGACAAUCCGGCCCCACGGCCUUGUAACAUUAUCCUUGUACCCCUGGGGGUUGGCCUAUAAAACCCCUAGGAGCCCUCAUGCAUACGGGCGAUCGAACACAAAGGAUCACUCACUCACACACGCAUAGCAAGCCACACCCAAGGAGAGGGAGCAGCCUAAGCCUCGGCGUGCCUUCCUUGCUCCUCCAUACAGCUCUCAGAGCAACUCUGUACUGAUACACAUCAACUACACUCGGCAGGACUAGGGGUGUUAUCUCUCCGGAGAGCCCCGAACCUGGGUAUGUCUUGCGUCCCGCGCUCGCUCAUGCCGACCUCGCCUCUGGAGCCCACUAGUGCCCUGGAGCCUCCUCCUAUCUUUAGCCAUCCCUUGGAAUCUGCCGUGCGCCCACCAUGACACCAACCUAGACUGUAGUCCUAAAACGCGGACACGGCUAUUCGAAUAUAUAUAACUCUGCAGAGGGUGUACUCUUUACCCGCAAGUAAAGGAUUUCUUUGGUCAAUGCCGAGACGUUGAAUAAUUCCGAUUACGGUCUUUGGGAUGAAAACACACCUGACCCGCACAUACCAGCUUUAAUCCAUCAAGCCAUGGAAUGGAUUGAGCAGAAACGCGCCCAAGGCGUGGUAGAGCCGCGAGGCGCUACUGGGCCAAGCCCAAUCGCUCGACUGCGCGGGAGGGCUGCGACCUCGAAGGCGUGCUCGCUAGAAUAUGCUUUCCUCACGGGAAAGCAACUUCAACGGAACCCGUCUCCACUUAAGACGAGCUGGCGCGACACUGGGUCACUGACAGUGGGCCUGCCUGGCCCACUGGUCAGGUUUGACCAGUCCACGCGCGCGCCAUCUCCUCCGGCCGAACAGAGGCGGCGCUCCGACGAUGCUCGCCGGCGAAUGGCGGCACCCCUCGGGGAUCUGAGCACAUGGGUGUGUUCAGGAGGUCUAGGCGAACCUGUGGGUACCCUCCUUGGUCGCUAGAGUGGAAGGAGUCGCCGACGGUGAGCUCCCCGAUGGAGGGCGGUGUCGGGUGAGACGGGGCUUUCGCCUAUGGUGGUCGCCGAGCUAAAUUGAUGACGGGGAUGGAUCAGUGGGUGCUCAAGGAGGUCGGUGGUGAAGAAAUAUGUGAGGGGGAGGCACUGGCUGCGUCGGAACCGACUGGAACAAGGCGGCGGCCGAAGCUGCCGGAGAUGGGGGANNNNNNNNNNNNNNNNNNNNNNNNNNNNNNNNNNNNNNNNNNNNNNNNNNNNNNNNNNNNNNNNNNNNNNNNNNNNNNNNNNNNNNNNNNNNNNNNNNNNNNNNNNNNNNNNNNNNNNNNNNNNNNNNNNNNNNNNNNNNNNNNNNNNNNNNNNNNNNNNNNNNNNNNNNNNNNNNNNNNNNNNNNNNNNNNNNNNNNNNNNNNNNNNNNNNNNNNNNNNNNNNNNNNNNNNNNNNNNNNNNNNNNNNNNNNNNNNNNNNNNNNNNNNNNNNNNNNNNNNNNNNNNNNNNNNNNNNNNNGAGGAGUGUGGUGAGGAUCAUAGAGAGCCCGGAGUGAGCUUUUAUAUCCCGUCGGGGCCGGUUCCGGCGGUGUCCAGAGGAUAAGCACGACGGCGGCGAUCAUUACAGCGGUAGGCGUGGCCGAUGGAGGUAGGCGAGGGCGAUAGCGGCCUCAAUUACUCCUGGGGGUGCUGGGUGGCUCGGGGUGAGGCACGCGUCGGGGGCGGAGACGUGGCCGUGGGGGACUCAUCGGGCGAUGGUCCUGGUCGUCGUGGACGGCGGUGGACGACGCUAGGGGCCAAGCGGGGGUGUCGGCGAGCUUCUAGGUGGUCGUGCCGAUCUAGAGAAGGAUCAGGAUGAGAGGGGGAGGCAGCAGAGACACGGCAGGAGCUCGGUGCCGACGCGUGCAAAACGCAUGCUCUGGCCGUGCCCGGAGCACGUACACAGAGUGCUCGACAAAAUGCCAGGGCCACCUAAGGGUCUCUGAUGGCAGUGAAAAUUGAUAGGAUUGUGAAACUGGUUAUGAGAGAGCUAAUGGACAUCCUGGUUUGGCCAAAUGACCAAGUGUCCAGUGCAGUUUAGGAAGUGGCAACAUUUCUGUCAUGCACAUGAAGUGUUCGACAGAAUGCUAGAGCAAGCUAGAGGAUACUGUUGAUGAUGAAAUUUGGCAGGAUGAGGUCUCUUUAGAUGAUAGAGAUGGCGGUGGAGUAAUUUUGGCAAGAUGAGAAACUUGCUAGUGCAAGUUUUACCAGAAUUCAGUUCUGGACAGACACUUCAGUGGCAUGUGUGGUGAACUUAAAAGAUGCAAAUAGAGCUGAUCUCCUGGGGUUAAGGUUUUGGUUGGAAGGACUACAAUAUGGCAAAGCUUCGGAAUUAUUGGAGCUAGAAAAAAGAGGGUUGCAGUUGUAACUCAAAAAUGGGACAUAAUUGAAAAGAGGAUGUUUCACUCAAAAUUUUCAAAAGACAUAGUUAGGUUUUUAAUCAAAAGUGAUUUAUAGGCAUCACCUGACCUCUCAUAAUUUUUGUGGGAUUUUAAACAUUUAUUUAAAAUAAUCGUAGUGCAACAGAAGUGUUUCAAGCAUUCAAAAUGCUAGUAAAAGAAUUGUUUGUGGCAUAUUUUAUUAUGAAAAUAUGCCCUACUGUUAUUUGUGAUAUACUCCCUCGGUUCCUAAAUAUUUGUCUUUUUAUAGAUUUCAACAAGUGACUACAUACAGAGCAAAAUGAAUGAAUCUACAUUCUAAAAUAUGUCUAUAUACAUCCGUAUGUGGUAGUCUAUUUGAAAUCUCUAAAAAGACAAAUAUUUAGGAACGAAGGGAGUAAAUGACAAGAUUUAUAAAACAACCACAGACCACAAUAUUUCACAAAAAUAAUCUUCUAUGGAGGGAAGAAUUUUGGAAAACAGAAAAUAGAAAAGGCUGUGAGAUUAAUAAAUGACCUAGUAUAAUUCAAAGUUUUAUUUCUGGCCAAGUUUUACUUAAUAAAAUUUGAUUAAAUUUUUGGGGUGUUAUAGUUAGCUUUAUUAAUACUCAAAUCACUGUUACAUCAUCCGUUAAGAACCCCGAAAAAAUCCGUUAAGAAAUUAACGGUAAAAUCCGGGGGUGACUCAAACCAAAUAGAGGGCUGGUUUUCACACACCCAUUUAGGUAGCACAUGCGCUACUACAUCUGACUCCCUAUUAUAAUAAUCAAUACAAGCCUUCCCGAACUCACAUAACUCGCGACGACAAUCAUCCAAUAUAGGGGCUGCCACCAUAGAAUAACCUCCAUCCUGAUUAAAAGGCUGAACCACUGUGGUAUUGUCCAUUAGAACUAAAAUAAUGUUGCAACCCAUCCGAGUAGCAAACUUCAACCCUUCAUACAAAGUAGUGGCCAUGGCCAAAGUGACGUGAGGAACAUGAGAUAAUUUUUUAGUUGAUGCUGCUAAGUAGGCCCCCGGAUGAUCAUGAAUCACCGGGCCACAAGAUCAUGAAAAAUCUGUAUCUGAAAAGGAAGCAUCGACAUUGACGAUUGUCUGUCCGACUAGGCCUUUCCUCCACUGAUUUGGUGAGGGGUGGAUGAGGCAAACCGGCCGCAUGAACAAAGUUCAGUGACAACGCCUGAAUUGUUGGGGCCGUUCUCAACGAAGAAAGAACAUACUCCGAUCGGACUAUGUAGUGCCCCUGUCACCAUAGAUACCAGCAGGUGCUCGCUACGAUAUCUGAAAAUUGUACCUGUUCCAUUUAUGGACUUUGGACUACUAGGUCACAUAGGAGGUAUUCAAUAAUAGUAGCACCUGAUCUAUCAAUAUUAGUAGACUCAUCGAUAGGCUUCCUAAGAACAAGACCUUCCCAGACCGAUCUUGCCCUCUCACACUUGAAUAAUGCAUGCGCAAUAUCUUUUGCUCCACUUUUACAGAUCAUACAUUGAGAUGUAUUACCAAUAUGGCGAUUUUCUAAAACACAUAAGCAAGGAAUCGCGUUGUGCAAGAAACAUCAUAAGAAAAAUUUCACCUUGCCAGGAAGCCGCACUCUCCAAGCCUUCUACCAAACAGGGUGCGGUGAAGAGCCUUCUCCCGUAGAGUUUUGAUCUUUGUCAAAUAACAAUCUUCCCAUUGCUUGUAAUAAGCCAACCUGACACUAAAAAUACCGUUAUUAGUGAGGUUCCAAGCCAUAUAAUCCUCAGUAUAUUGAUGAUGGAUGAGAAUUUGGAGUAUACAGUCAGCAUCAUCGAGGAGAAGUUGUCUCUAAUUAAAGUCUCAUCCCACUCUCUGUGGCCAAAUCAAUGAGCUCAUUGACCGUCGUCAACACUCUAUUACCUCUGGCGGUGAUGAUCCUCCUUGAAGAGCCAUUUGGUAUCCAACAAUCAUUCCAAAUAUGAAUUUUUGUCCCAUCACCCACUCUCCAUAUACAUCCCUUCUUAUAAGUUUGGACACCAAGCCCAAAUACUUUGCCAAACAUAGGAUGACCCCUUCUUCAAUUCAUAAUUUAAUAUAUCUCAUGAGGGGUAAUACUUAGCUCUCAAUACUCUUGCACAUAAUGAUCCAUGGUUUUCAAUAAGUCUCCAGCAUUGUCUUGCCAACAUAGCUAAACUAAAACCGUGUAUAUCUCAUAAUCCUGUACCGCCUUUCUCCUUAGGCACACACAUUUUCCACCACACAAACCAAUGCAUCUUGUGUUGGUUCUCACCAUCACCCCACCAGUAAUGUGAAACUGUGUCAGUGAUUCCCUUACAUAUUUUUUGGGAGUUUUAACACACUCAUCGCAUACGUCGGGAUAGCCUGAGACACCGCCUUUAUGAGAGCUUCUUUUCCACCAAAGGACAAUGUCCCGUCCUUCCUCCAACAUUCACAAUUUGCAUGAUCUUUCAAUAAGGUUGUUGCCGCGUGUGUGCAGAACACACGCGAGACACUGUGGACUGUGGACGUCCUUUGCUGAAUUGGCGGUAGGGUGCAAGGUGAGGAUCUAUCACCAUAGAAAAUGCCGAAAUGACAUGGUGAUUUACCCAGGUUCAUGUUGCAUGGUUGCGUAAUACCCUACUCCUGCUUUUAUGUGUGGUUUUCUUUAGUUGAGCUACAUGUCCUUCCCGUGAAUGGGGAAGAGUAGUGUGCUCCUACUGGUGUUCUACAAACACUACAAAAAAAGACAACCCAUGACAUUAUGGGCCGAACAAAAAAAUAUGUCAUGCUUAUGACACUUCUACGACGAUAAUUGUGACAAAACCACGUACCAUCAUAGAUGUGGUGGGCUCCGACUUCUAUGACAGAAAAUGGGCUUUUCGUCCUGGGCGGGCCCGGGACGCAGCUGCAUGACAUUCUUUGGGCUGUCCAUGACGGAAAAAAUCGUGGUAGAAGCGAGGGCGAGGAAAAUUUUGGGGAGUUCCCGGUUACGGUGGGUGGUCGGGGCCGAGCGAUGCGCGGAGGUUUUGCGCUUUUCUCUCGUACACGUACGCGCGUGUGUGCGAGGCAUUGGGUGAUACGUCUCGAAUGUAUUUAUAAUUUUUAUUGUUCCAUGCUAUUAUAUUAUCUAUUUUGGAUGUUUUAUAUGCAUUAAUAUGCUAUUUUAUAUGAUUUUUGGGACUAACCUAUUAACCUAGAGCCCAGUGCCAGUUUCUGUUUUUUCCUUGUUUUAGAGUUUCGCAGAAAAGGAAUACCGAACGGAGUCCAAACGGAAUGAAAAUUUCGCGAUGAUUUUUCUUGGACCAGAAGACAUCCAGAGGGCUUGGACUACACGUCAGGAAAGCCACGAGGCGGACACAAGGUCGGAGGGCGCGCCCCCACCCUUGUGGGCCCCUCGUGACUCCACCAACCUAUUUCUUCCGCCUAUAUAUUCUCAAAUACCCCAAAACCUUCCAAGGGAGCCACGAAACCACUUUUCCACCGCCGCAACCUUCUGUACGCGUGAGAUCCCAUCUAGGGGCCUUUUCCAGCGUCCUGUCGGAGGGGGAUUCGAUCACGGAGGGCUUGUACAUCAACACCCACUACAAAAAAAAGACAUCCAUGACAUUUUGGGCCGAACGAAUUUUUUUCCUGUCAUACUUAUGACACUUCUAUGACUAUAAUUGUGACAAAACCCGGUAUCAUCAUAGAUGUGGUGGGCUCCUACUUCUAUGACAAAAAAUCAUGAAAGAAAAUGGGCUUUUCGUCCUGGACGCGCCGGAGACACAGCUGCAUGACAUUCUUUGGGCCGUCCAUGACGGAAAAAACCGUGGUAGAAGCGAGGGCUAGGAAAAUAUCGGGGUGUUCCCGGUUAUGGUGGGUGGUCGGGGCUGAGCGAUGCACGGAGGUUUGCGCGUUUCUCUCGUCCACGCACGCGCGUGGGUGUGAUGCGUUGUGCUCUAACUGAACCCGAGCGAGGCGUUGGGCUCUAACUGAACCCGAGCGAUUGCACUGCAGGCUACGCGUUACUGAACCCGAUCGAUCGAUCGAUGGCUGUUAACUGAACCCGAUCGAUCGAUGGCUGUUAACUGAACCCGAUCGAGCGAUUUCUUCGCUACUGCUGCUAGCUGAAGUCGAUCGAUGCUGCCUCUGGAUGAACAGUGAGUGUUGCUGGGGGGGUUGGAUGAACAGUUCCCAGUGGGGGUGGAUGAACAGGACCCCGUGGUGUUGCCUCUGGAUGAACAGGACCCCUAUCAAUCGAGCCGGUUGGGGCUGGAUGAACAGGACCCCGUGGAGGGCUGGAUGAAUAGGACCACCCCGUGGAGGGCUGGAUGAACAGUAGACGGUGGAGGGCUGGAUGAACAGUAGCCCGUGGAGGGGUGGUUGAACAGGAGCCCGUGGAGAGGGCUGGUUGAACAGUAGCCGGUGGAGUAGCGCGCAGUGGAGGUUGGAUGAACAGGAGGCCGUGGAUGAACAGUCGCAGGUGGAGGCUGGAGGAGGUCGACGGUGGUUGAACAGUAGCCCGUGGCGGCUGGAGGGGUCGACAGUGGAGAUGAACAGUAUCCCGUGGAGUCCCGUUUUGCAGUACGCCACACCCCUCCCGAUGAACAGGACCCCCGUUUCGACCGUAGCGCUCCAACACAAGUCCAUAUCCUCCGUUUUGCGGUACGCCACACCCCUCCUGAUCAACAGGACCCCCGUUUUGACCGUAGGAGGUCCAUUUCCUCCAUUUUGCGGUACGCCAGACCCCUCCCGAUGAAUAGGAUCCUGUUUUGAACGUGGCCGGUUGAACACAAGGCCGUUUCCUCCGUUCUGCGGUACGCCAGGCAUCGUUUCCAUCGGCUGUUCCGUCCAAGCCCUCCCGAUGAUCACGACGACACAUUCCAUUCCGACCCAGCCGGUUGGCUCCCCAUGAACACGACGGCGAUGAUGUUUCUGCAUUCCGACCCAGCCAUGUACACGAGCCCUUGCCGUACGUAUGCGCGAGUAGGCAUUCGAGACCCCGCCCGUAUGUACGUAUGUGGCCAUAUUUUCUUUCUUGCACACUGGCCGCUGUACGUAUGUGUACAUGCUACGUGCGCGCCUCUACAUCGACCAGUAUGUACGUACACAUUCGCGACCAGAAUGACAACGCUAUGUAUGCUUUGACCAGGUGGGUCCUGACUGUCAGGCACUUCCUUGCGUGCGAAGAUGUAGCUGGUGGGUCCCAGCAGUCAGGGGGAAACGUUUUUUUCACGAAAUACGGUGGCCCGUCCGGUGGGUCCCCGCUGUCAGUUGGAGGAAUAAUUAUUUUGCGCGUAAUAAGGAGGCACUUCCUUGCUGUGGCCGUGGACCCAGCUGUCAGCCUCUCCACGUACAGUCCACGUCCGAUGGAAGCUGUUCCUUGACCACGUUGACCACGCCACGCCGAGAGCACCAGGGUUGUGGACAACGGCGAGAGGCCUAGGAAGGGGACGACGUGGAGCCGGGGAAGACGCGACAGUGGAAGCCCGCGCGGAGAGGAGUACGAGGGUUCACUGGUUCGGCUACUGUGUGAGGCUGCCGUCGCCGCAGAAUAAUAGGGGGUGUGGGUGAGUGGAGGGUUGGCCUGGCUAGCGGUGGGAGUAGUAGGCGGUAGUGAGGCCUCCGCGGCAGCACAGCCGGCCACGGGAGGCAGGAGCAGGCGGCACGACCGGCGCUGCUUUGGGAGGCUGGAGCAAGAAGACCAGAGGUUGAAGAAGCACUACGGCCGUUGGAUGGACAUCGUACGGUCACUGGAGCUAGAAUCGUGCAUAUUGACUAAGUUGACAAAGCCCUCCGUCCCUGUCAACUUAGUAGGCCCACAAGUCAGCCUGCCACUAUACUGGGUCCCAGCUAGCAGGGGGAGUAUUCAUUUUUUUGUGCAUAAUAAGGAGGCACUUCCUUGCGUGCGAAGAUAUAGCUGGUGGGUCCGAGCUGUCAGCGGCGGUAACAUUUUUUUCGCGAAAUACAGAGGCCCUUUCGGUGGGUCCCAGAUGUCAGGUGGAGGAUUCAUUAUUUUGCGCGAAAUAAUGAGGCAUUUCCUUGCGUGCGGCUGUGGACCCAGCUGCAGCUUCUCCACGUACAGUCCACUUCAGAUGCAUGUCGGUUGUUGACCACGUUGACCAGGCCGCGCCGAGAGUCACUGCUUGUGCGUCAACCUUUUUUUAGGAAAGCCUCAAAUCUGUGGAAAAUAGCAUACAACCCAUCUGCCAUUAUUUCUAAUAAUUUACAGCCCAUUUGCUAAUUCUUAAGGUUUUUUUGGAGCCCAUAUUCUUUUUGUUAGCAUUACAGCCCAUAGUGUGGCCACAGUUAAAAAAUUAUAUGAAUUUUUGCAUAUUUCAGUGCGGUCCGAACUAUUUUUAAUCCCGAAAUUUUGAGUCACAUUCAAACUGAUUUUAAAAAUAAAUGUAUAUCAAUAUAAAAUCAAACAAAUUGUCCACGCAUAAAAAUCAAUGCAAUUUAAAAUCUCGAAAUGAAAAAAAGAAAUUUGAAACUAAUUGCCGGUUUGAUGUGUUUAAAAAUGUACAGCCCAUUUCUCAUUACUGAUAGGCCAUUUUGUCGGCCAGCCGAAUGAAGCUCUCCUCGCCUUGAAAGAUUUGCAGCCCAACAGGCCUGACAAAGCGACUUACUUGGCAAAUCACAAACAAACUGGGUUGUGGCCGUGGACCCAGCUGUCAGCCUCUCCACGUACGGUACUCUUCCGAUGGAAGUCGGUCGUUGACCACAUUGACCACGCCACGCCAGAGCACCAAGGCGGUGGAUGAUGGCAAGGACUGGGAAAGGGACGACGCGGAGCCGGGGAAGACGCGGUAGUGGAUGCCCAUGCGGAGAGGAGUACGAGGGUUCACUGGUUCGGCUGCGGUGUGAGGCUGCCGUCGCCGCAGGGCCUGGCUAGCGGUGGGAGUAGUAGGGGGUGGUGAGGCUUCAACGGCAGCACAGCCGGCCACUGGAGGCAGGAGCAGGCGGUCUCGCCAGCGCUGGUUUGGGCGGCUGGUGCAAGAAGAGCAGCGAUUGAAGAAGCAGUAGGACCGUUCGAUUCAAAUCCAACGGUUACUGCUGCUAGAAUCGUUUGUUGAUAAGUUGAGAAGCCCUGUGUACGCGUCAACUUAGUAGGCCCACAGGUCAGCCUCCAACCGGUGCGCCCCAGAUGUCAGUGGGAGGAAUCAUUUUUUCGCGUAAUAAGGAGGCAGUUGAUUGCGUGCGGCCAGGCCAGCGGAGGGAGUAGGGUGGGCCGGGGAAGCCUGCGCGGCAUCACAGCGGGCCACAAGAGGAGGGAGCAGGCAGUCCCACCGGCGCUAGUUUAGGCGGCUAGAGAAGGAAGAUCAGAGAUUGAAGAAGCACGUCGGCCGUUGGGUGGACAUCCAACAGUCACUGCUGCUAGAAUCGUGUGUUGACUGACAAAGCCUUGCGUAAACAAGUCAGCCUCGAAAUCGGUGGCGUGUACAACUCAUUUGCUAUUAUUUUUAUAAUUUUUACUCAUUUUUUAAUUCAUAUGGAAUUUAUUGCAGCCCAUUUUCCAUUUUUAGAAUUGCUGCCCAUUUUCUAGUCAGUACAAGGGUUAAAAAAUUAACUGAAUAUGUGGGAAAUUUUGAAAAUUUGCAAAUUUUUGCUAGGGAACAAAAUAUUCUUAAUCCAAAAAUUAGUAGCCAUACUAAAACAAAUUUAAAAAUAAAUUAGUACUAUUUCAUGUUAAAUCCAAUGAAAUACUCCCUCCGUCCCAAAAUUCUUGUCUUAGAUUUGUCUAAAUACGGAUGUAUCAAGUCAGGUUUUGGUAUUAGAUACAUCCGUAUCUAGACUAAUCUAAGACAAGAAUUUUGGGAUGGAGGGAGUAUAAGAUAUCAGUGAAGAACAAAAACAAAAAAAGAAACUAAUAUCUCAUUUUCUAUAAUAUUUUUGGAAUUUUCAACCCCUUUUGAUAUUACUUUUAACAGACACUGACCAUACUCUUUGAACAGGCCGGAAUGCAUCCCUCCUCGUCUUGAAAGAUUUGCAGCCCAGUAAGUCGGAGAAAACAAAUAGGCCUAGCUUGGGUAUUCUUCAAAAAGAAAUACUGGGCUACCUAUUUUCCCAAAGAAAAAACCGCUGGGCUGGUCAUGUUACUAGACGGGCCAUAGAGACCGCACAACCCAGUUUAUAGCCUGCUCCUCCGAAUUACUACUAAAAAAAGUUGUGCAAUUCUUUCGUAAUGGACUAUACGUUGAAAAUGAUGUGGGUCCCAGAUAUCAGCAGGGUGGAUUAGAUUAAAAAACGAAGGGUUCAUCUGAGUAGUAAAAGAGGUGCUUGCUUGUGUUCGGGAGUGGACCUGGUGGGUCCGUACUUUCAUACUCACAACUACAGUCCUCUCCCGAUUCACUAUGUUGACAGGGACCGUUUAAAAAAACUAUGUUGACAGGGCCGGACGGCGGCGCCGUGGCGAGCGCACCAAGGGGGAGGAUAAAGUGCUGUCGCCAAUGUGCUGGGCUGGGUUGGACAUUCUUAUUGAAAAAUAAAAAUGGACAGGAACUAUUUACGACAUUGACUACGAUUUGCAUGGGUCCACUGGUUGCAGGAAGAAAAUGUUGGGAGAAAGAAGACUGGUCGCUAUCUUUGCCUAAGAAUAAUAUCGACUGAAUGUAACGACACUAUCAUAGGAAAUAAUAUCCUCCUGUUAAAUCGUGAAUUUAAAGAACUGGUGCAUGAGCAUUUAGCUUUAUUUAUUUAUUUACUUAUUUAUGUUUAGGGGACCAUGACCAUGUACCCGGGCCGGAUUCAUGUGAGAGCCUCCCUUCCAGUUAAUUAUGGGCUUCUCUAUUGGGCCUUCAUCAGUGGGCUAUAUGUUAUCAACAAGUGGAAAAUGUGUUCCGUACGAAAAAUAGUAUGCGCUACGUACGGUACGGGGCACUAAAGGAUCGAACCGUGCAACGACUUCCAAAACAUUGUGUUUGUCGUUCUAACAACACAUUUAUUCAACCAACAGACGAAAUAUACUACUGAUUGUACAUUGAAAACAGCAGCAACAGCAACCAGGGCUGGGGGUGCAACAGAAGCAGUAAGCAUGCCAGAAGAGUGAAGACGCAGCUCUCUCUUCCAAACCAAACAUCAGCCAUCAUUACAAAAGGGCUACCAAAAAAGAACAAGUGUAUGCAUCAAACUAAAUAAAGAUCCUACUACACCAAGUGUACGCAUCUAACUAACUGGCUCAGUUAGACGUUACUAUUUAUUAACCUAUGGAGAUUGGCUGACGGCUUGAACCAGAUGGGUGCCUGAUGGGGGAAACUCCAGCCAGCAGGUCGAAGUCUGAUACUUGCGACCCUCUGUCACGACCGGUUUUUCAAUAAAAUAAUUAUUGAGAAACCAAUCCCUGUUACGGACCAGCGAGGAAGAAUUCCUUCUCACUGAUAGACAAUACAUUGGUCACAGAAGAAAAAUACCAGGAGUACUAAAUAUAAUACAAAGUUGAGCAGAGACUGCCCAACAAUUUAUUACAUGCACGCCGAUAAAACAAUACGGAGGAUAGGGUGGCAAACUUCUAACUCACGAUAAAAACGGUGGUGGAAAUAUCAUCGCGAAGCGAGUGACAUGAUUCCAGAAUACUACAACUCUUCGAGCGUCGGAGUGAGGCUCGAGAAGACUUAUUGCGGGUGGCGGAAGCGUAAACGAUACAAGUGACCAAAAUCCGGGAUCGCGCAGGACUGACUGGGACUCCUCUAGGCAUCAGACGCGCUAUCAAACUCCUCAUCCAAGAGAUCGCCUUCGUCAACAUCUGGCCAAAUCAACAAGCCAGGUGAGUACUAUGAAAGUACUCGCAAGACAGUUCGGACAUAAGGUAUAACAAAUGCAAACAUGAAGCACAUGAAUAAGUUAACCAGUGCGAUCAGACACAGAGAUAAUAAAUACUGGGUGCCAAGCGAGGGUCUGAAUGACGCCUCGAGCGGAAACUGCAGAAUAGCAAUACUGGUGCCAAACGAGUGUCUGAAAGACUCCUCGAGAGGAAAAUGCGGAAUAAUAAUACAGGUGCCAAACGAGUGUCUGAAAGACUCCUCGAGCGGAAAAUGCAGAAAUAAUAAUACGGGUGCCAAACGAGUGUCUGAAUGACUCCUCGAGCGGAAAAUGCAGAAUAAUAAUGCCACAGUCGGGCGUCGGGGCGACACCACAUAAAGGGCUUAUAUCGAAAGUGAGAAACGAGUACACGCCACAGUCGGACGUCUGCGCGACGUCACAUAAAGGGCUUAUAUCACAACUCAUUAAUACAAUAGCUCGGAGACAUAAAUUAUCACAAGCAUGAGACACAAAAAAAUAAAGUUAGUCCAUCAACUGGAAUAACAAUAAAUCUGAGAUUUUUACCGCUUGAGCUUGUUCACCGGGGGCAAGAUUUUCACACGGAUAGAUUUGGAUGUAAAGUCUACAUUACUGAUCAUGGAUACGAUGAUUUGGAAAGGAUUGACUCUGCAGAGUUUGUACUUAACCACAGCCAACGGAUUUCAGUAGUCACGGGGACUAGUUCCUUCUACGGUGUUCUGGAAGGAACACGUCUAACCAGUACACACCCAAUUUAACCAUCCGAAGCCAGGGAUCACCCUCGGAAACAUUCAGGAAAAACCCUGAGUCGGGGAGGCUACAACCUCGCGUAGCAUGGGAUCAAAUUUCUAUACGCGCGCUAUAAGGGGGUGCCCCCCCCCUCUCGGUCCCAACCGGAAACACCCAUGCCCCCUGACCGAAUGACUGGCUUUAAUCCUGGGCCAAGGUACCAUCAUCCCGGCCUCUCUGUUUGGUGUGUACACGGAAAGAGGUUACCAACUUACUAAACCGUAUCCUGGCAAUGAGACAUGUGGUAGCACGGAAAGGGGAAGGGACGAUAACACGGCUCCAACCAUGUUAACGUCGGGAAAGUCGGAUGACACAAGGCUGGCAUGCUACAACAGUACCACCUUGCUGCCCUUCAUGUCACCACAUGAUUAGGCCACCUCUCAUCAGAGGUCAUCGCAACUUUGGAACAUGCGGGAAAAGAUCGAUAACGUGGCUCCAACCACGUUAACGUCGAAGAAAGUCGGAUGGUGCAAGGCUGGCAUGCUACAACAGUACCACCUUGCUGCCCUUCAUGUCACUACAUGAUUAGGCCACCUCUCAUCAGAGGUCAUCGCAACUUCGGAACAACCGGGUCGUUGCCUUACAAGCAACGAGGUACUUAUCGACACUCACAUGCCACGCACAAACUUUCACAUGAACAUGCAAAACAUCUUCCAUAUCAAAUGUUCAAACAUGCUUGCCUGGUUCGGAGAAGUCGGAGUCUAGCUCGGCGAAGUUCGCGGCUCCGUCCCCUCUCCCGGAACCUACGGCAAUCACGAAACGGGUUACUAACGUGAAAACCAACACAUGCACAGAAACUUUGCCAAAUAUUUUUCAAAUAAAUCCCAUAAAAAACUAGACAAAAUUUGGAGAUUGACAGAAAAAGAAUCACUCAAAAAUACCUUUUCAUUAAAAAGUUAUAAAGGUUUCUGUCCAGGGACCUUUCUGUAAUGAAACAGAAAAGUUCCAGGGUUUUAACUGAGAAAACAGAAAACGCUUCGGCUGGGAAUGCGCAAGCACAAGGGGAAAACGUAUUUAGCCCGAAGGCGCCAACAGAAAACGGUUCGGGGAAAUAAAACAGAGGCUGACACGCGGGGCCCGCAUGUCAGGUUUGAAAGCUCGCCGGCGCCCGAAGACGGCGGUGGACGCCGGCGUCGAACCACGGCGAGUUAGGAGAAACGGAGGGUACCAAGAGCUUCAGUGUCUUCUUCCGCGUCGGUGGGUGGUGGACUCGUCCAACGGGGAGCACCACGUCGACGACGACACUAUCUCCGGCGGACGGCGGUUCGGGUGAGGUUGGGGAACUCCGGUGGAGGGCUGCAAAGUGCGAAUUGAGGCGCGGGUCAGAACGGGUGAUGCAAGGAGAAGCUACUUGCAAGAGAAUGGGGGCUGCGGAGCACACACGGGGGCGAAUCGGGCUGGAUCCCGUGGCGGAUCGCGGCGGCCGGAGUCGAGGAAGGAGACCCCCUCGCGGCUCUUCCAGUGGCUGGGCGUGCUCUAGGGGAAGUGUAGGGCUGGUGGGUGCUCGAGUUGAAGCUUGGGGCCCCUAUUUAUAGGUAGAUCGACGGGGUGGCCGUGAACGGAGAAUCUCCGGCGAGCGAUUAUGGCGGAGCAGUGGAUUGGAAGGUGGUUUGAGCGGUCGGGCAGCAUCAGUGGAGAUUACUGGAGUUGUUCCACUGCUAAACGGAGCUGGCCCUGGCGUAAUGGCAUCUGCCCACGGUGAGGUGACCGCACGGGCUCAACGGCGGCAGAGAGCGCGCUCCGCGCCCUGGGGUUCACGACGAGAGCGCCAGCGCAUUCGGGGGAGUGGACGGCCACGCGGCGGGCUCCGGUGGUUUGGGCGGCGCUGGGUGGAGUCGGCGGCGCCGUGUCUCCCGCUGGCGUCCGCAAAGCCGCCGCCGGCGUCGGUCACGGGGCGGCGCACCUUCUGCUGCUCGUCGCCGACGCCCGCAAGUUGCCAGGCACUCGUGCGGUGCAGGAACGAGAGGGCGAGGACGAGGAGCAAGGCGACGCGAGGGUACUGGCGAGAUCGACGCCCGUUUCUGAAGAAAACGACAGCAGCCACUUAACUGAACUCUGAACUUACUGAAUCUUGACAGUGACCAAGCAUUGCAGGUGUUCGACAGUAGGUUUUGGUAAAGAGAUAAAUUUUUCUGGAGCUGUAACUUGGUGAGAUGAUCACUCAAAGCACCCAGGGGCUGCAUGAAUUUACUUGGAAUUUUUGGAGAAAGUUUUGAAUGAAUUUCACCAAAUUUGGCAAAUCUGGUCCAAACUUGCAGCUGAUGUAGUUUGAAAUUUUUGAACUGGAGACCAGUGGAUCUUCAUGGUUCCAGGUUGAGGGUUCAAAGGACUAGGAGGGGAAAAAGGUUUGGUGGCAAAAAUCAAAACAGAAAAAGGAGUUCCUUUGUAAAUCUCCAAGUGCUAUAAGAGAAGACAGAAAUUUAUUUGAAUAGAAUUUGAAUGGAAAUGAUCACAUGAGGAGGUUCAACUUGCUGGAUUUGAUGCAAAUCAUGAUCCAAAGGUGAGGGAAGGGUUAGGAGAGAGGAUUUGCACUAAUGCCAUGGCAAGAAGGAAUAGUUGAAAGUGGCAAAGGACUUUCCAAAAGCCAUAGUGCAUUCUCAAAAAGGAUUUUCAAAGGUUAUUCUCUCAAAUGAAAAAAAACAUUUUGUCUUGAGCCCAAAUGAAAAGCAAGAACCCCCAAGGUCAAAGGCAGAUCUUGGGUGAAUCCAAAUAAAAUUUUUGCCAUAAAGAAAAAUAUUUGAGAGUGAGAGUUCUCUUGAAGAAUUUUUUUUUUAAAAAUCACUCCCUUCAAGUCAAAUAAAAUCUUUUGAAAAAUCCAAAUAAAAACUUGGGUGUCACAACACCUACCCCCUUAGGAAAAAUCUCGUCCUCGAGAUUUCUGCUGAUCCUCAAAUAGAUAUGGAUACUCUGCUCGGAGGAAAUCUUCCCUUUCCCAUGUGGCUUCAUCCUUGGUGUGGUUGCUCCACUGGACCCUGAAAAACUUUGUCGUUUUCUGACGGGUCCUCCGUUCAGACUCUUCUAAAAUCUUUACUGGCCUUUCUCUGUAGGUGAGAUCUGGUUGCAUAUCAAUGUCCUCAUGAGGUAUAUGUUUCUCCGGGUUACUCACACAUUUCCUCAACUGCGAGACGUGGAAUACGUCAUGGACGUCUGAUAGCUCCUUGGGUAGGUCUAGCUGGUAGGCUACCGUGCCUCUUCGUGCCUUCACACAAAAUGGUCCAAUAAAUCUUGGGGCUAGUUUCCCCUUUAUUUUGAACCGUUGCAGACCCCUCAUAGGAGAUACUCGGAGGUAUACGGAAUCACCAGGUUCAAAGCUGACCUCACGAUGCUUCUGAUCAUAGUAGCUCUUUUGUCGGCUCUGUGCUGUCUUGAGUCUGUCCCUGAUUUGUUUAACUUUUUCCUCGGCCUCCUUAAGCAUAUCUGGGCCGAAGAUACGGCUGUCACCUGUUUCUGACCAAUUCAAUGGGGUACGACACCUCCGUCCGUACAAUGCUUCAAAGGGUGCCAUUUGCAAGCUGGCUUGGUAACUGUUGUUGUACGCAAAUUCGGCAUACGGCAAACUCUCUUCCCAACUGGUUCCAUAGGUGAGCACACAGGCUCUUAGCAUAUCCUCCAGGAUUUGGUUUACACGUUCUGUUUGUCCAUCUGUUUGAGGGUGGUAUGCUGUACUGAAAGCUAGUUGCGUGCCCAGAGCUUGUUGUAGGUGAUCCCAAAAUUUGGAGACGAAUUGGGUGCCUCGGUCUGAUAUUAUAGUCUUCGGGACUCCAUGCAAGCAAACUAUACGAGAUAGAUAGAGCUUUGCCAGUCUUUGAGUGGAGUAGGUAGUCUUCACGGGAAUGAAAUGAGCAACCUUGGUUAGUCGGUCUGUGAUGACCCAUAUGGCAUCAUUUCCGCGUUGUGAUCGGGGUAAUCCGACAAUGAAGUCCAUUCCUAUUUCAUCCCAUUUCCACUCCGGUAUUUGGUUUGGCUGGAGUAGCCCUGCUGGCUUUUGAUGCUCGGCCUUGAUACGCUAGCAUGAAUCGCAACAAGCAACAAAUGUGGCUAUAUCUCUUUUCAUACCGUGCCACCAAAAUCUUUCCUGGAUGUCCUUGUACAUUUUGGUUCCUCCAGGAUGGAUCGAAUAUGGAGCGGUGUGGCUUUCCGUCAAGAUCUGUUGCUUGAGUUCCUCAAUGUUAGGUACGCAAAGUCUGUUUCGGUACCACAAUGUUCCUUCACUGUCUGUGACGAACUCUGAAGUCUUACUAGUAUUCAUUUUCUUCUUUAUGCCUUCGAUGCUGGGAUGUCCCUGUUGGGCCUUCUUAAUUCGUUCCAUCAAGGUGCGUUGUAUCUCCAGGUUUGAUACGGUGCCCUCGGGGACUAACAUUAUGUUGAGCCUAGCGAACUCUCGCUGAAACUCAGGCCUCAAGUUUUGCUGACCGUCACUGUCUGGGCUGGGGUUUCGACUAAGGGCAUCGGCCACUACAUUUGCUUUUCCUGGGUGGUAGUGGAUGCCGACGUCGUAGUCUUUGACCAGUUCCAACCAGCGUCGUUGGCGUAAAUUCAGCUCUGGCUGUGUGAAGAUAUAUUUGAGGCUCUUAUGGUCCGUAUAUAUUUCACAACGAUUUCCCAACAGAAAGUGCCUCCACUCCUUGAGUGCAUGUAGGACCGCUGCUAGCUCCAAGUCAUGUGUUGGGUAAUUUUCCUCAUGCUUUCGCAGUUGCCUGGAGGCAUAUGCAACAACUUUGCCAUCCUGCAUUAGUACACAUCCGAGACCUUUUCGGGACGCGUCACAAUAUACUUCAAAACUCUUGUGUAUGUCUGGCACAGUUAAGACUGGUGCGGUUGUCAGUUUUUUCUUGAGUUCUUGGAAGCUCUGCUCACAUGCUUCCGUCCAUACGAAUCUCUUGUCCUUCUUGAGCAGUUGGGUCAUAGGUUUUGCCACAGUGGAGAAUCCUUCAAUAAAUCUCCUGUAAUAUCCGGCCAUUCCUAGGAAACUCCGCACAUCUGUGACGUUGGCGGGCGGUUUCCAGUCCAGUAUGGCCUUGACCUUUUCUGGGUCUACGGCUACGCCUUCUUGGUUCAGUAUAUGGCCUAAGAAACCAACUUGUCUUAGCCAAAAUUCGCAUUUGCUAAACUUGGCGUACAACUGAUGCUUCCUCAAUUCUCCCAAAACCACUCUGAGGUGCUCAGCAUGCUCUUCGGGUGUCCUUGAGUAAACCAGAAUAUCAUCAAUGAAUACCACCACAAAUUUGUCCAUGAAUUUCAUGAACACUUUGUUCAUGAGGUGGACGAAAAAUGCGGGGGUGUUUGUUAGACCAAAAGGCAUCACUGUGAACUCGUAUAAUCCAUAUCUGGAAGUGAAUGCUGUCUUGGGGAUAUCCUCUGUUCGUACCUUCAGUUGAUGGUAUCCUGAUCUCAAAUCAAUCUUUGAAAAUACUUUAGCUUGUGCGAGCUGGUCAAACAAAUCAUUUAUCCGUGGCAUCGGGUAUUUGUUUUUGAUGGUGACCAUAUUGAGGGCUCGAUAGUCUAUGCAUAGUCUCAGUGUCCCAUCCUUCUUCUUGGCGAACAAUACGGGCGAACCCCAUGGUGAGGAGCUGGCUCGUAUAAACCCCUUGUCCAGUAAUUCCUUUAUCUGCUUCUUCAACUCCACCAAUUCUGAGGGUGCCAUUCUAUACGGCUUCUUAUAAAAGGGAGCGGUGCCAGGUGCUAAUUCAAUGCUGAAUUCGAUCUCUCGGUCUGGUGGCAUACCUGGUAGUUCUUCCGGGAACACAUCAGGGAACUCGCAUACCACUGACACUUUUCUUAAUUCUGCGAUGUCCAUCUUGUUCAGUUUUGGUUUCUGUGAUCGUGGCCUUUCUUGAGCGGAAACUCUUAUUGUCUUGCCGUGAUGGUGAGUGAGAAUCACUGUCCGAUUGAAACAGUCGAUGAAUCCUUUGUUGGUGGUUAACCAGUCCAUUCCUAAAAUGACAUCCAGUCCUUUACUUUCCAACACGAUGAGAUUUGCGUGGAAUGGUAGUCCUUCGAACUCAAUGACCACUCCUUGGCAGUAACCCUGAGCAAUUUGCUUGUUUCCGGGGGACUUGAUGAUCAUAGAUUUUUCCAAGGGGAGUAUCGGAAAACCGUGUUGUGAAACAAAACUCUUCGAAACAACCGAAUGGGAAGCUCCAGAAUCAAACAAAACCAUGGCAGGUACUGUGUUGACAGGGAACGUACCGAGCACGAUGUCUGGGGCAUUCUGCGCUUCUUCCCUGGUCACAUGGUUCAGGUGACCCUUCCUGUGGUUGUUGUUGGGAUUGAAGUUGUUGCGCUUGGGAGCUGGAUUGUUUUCACCAUUGUUCGGCUUGGGUGCCGAGUCUCUUGGUUUCGGGCACUGUUUAGCAUAAUGCCCUUGCUGACCGCAAGCAUAGCAGGUGACCCCUGGACGGUAUGUGAACUCCUUGUCUCUGGCAUGAAAUUGUCCAACGGGUCUUGGCUCAGUAGUCGUGGAUCUCCUCGUGUCUGUCCUUGGGACCUCAGUCUUGCCUCGGUUGCUGCGGGUAAGAGUCGUCUUGUCCCUCUUCCGCUUGCGGAUAUCUUCCAGACUACGGCGCUCAUUCUCCAGGGUGAUGGCCUUGUCCACCAGCGUCUUAAAAUCCGGAAAGGUGUGUACAAUCAGCUGGCAUCUUAGUGCUGGUGCCAGGCCGUCCAGGAAUUUUUCCAUCUUCUUGUUUUCUGUCAUGUGCUCGUCGUAGGCAUAACGAGACAGUUGGGUAAACUGGCCGUUGUAUUCUGUGACGAACAUGCCUCUUUGCUUCAGGUCAUUAAACUCUCUCUUCUUGAUCUUUAGGAUGCUCCUGGGAAUGUGUGCCCCACGGAAGCCUUCCUUGAAUUCUUCCCAGGUGAUGUUGUGUUCCCUGGGGUGCAUGUGUAGGAAGUUUUCCCACCAUGCUGCGGCUGCUCCAGUAAGGUAGUGUGGCGCAUAAAGCACCUUCUCAUGAUCUAAGCAUUGAGCGAUAAUCAGUUUCCUUUCAAUCUCGCGAAGCCAAUCAUCAGCUUCCAGUGGCCUAUCGGUGUGAGCAAAAGUUGAGGGGCGAGUCUUCUGUAACUCAGAUAACUUGGAAUGUGGUUGAUAGGGUUCACGGUGGUUUCCCAUAUUGAUGACAUGGUUCAUCAUCUCCUGGUGCUGUUGCUGGCUUUGCUCGAAGAGACGGCAUACUUGAGAUAGUGCCGCUUCGCUGUCCUGUUGGCUGGACUGACCCUGAGUGAAAUUGUUGCUGGUCUGUGUUCCAUAAACCUCUUCUGCAUUUUUCCAGUCUGGGGUAUCAUUUGCAAAACCCUUGAGAAAAACUGUGUAGCGCAGGAAAACUCUUGCAAAGGCAACACAAAUGAUUUUUCAUGGAGGAGAAGUGCUUAACAUAAAACUUUCAUGCGAAAAGCAAACACACGAUACAACACUCAGGAUGCGCGUACACAAUCCUGACAUGCUAUUAAAACUAGCGUACUACUCCGGAAGGCAGCAAACACACCAAUACAAACUAGCGUACAGAUAAAACAGCACAUCAUACAAGCAGACAUAACACGCGGCUACUCGGUGCUCUCAGUCGGAGAUGGUGAAGAUCUCCUUCCCCUUGCCGAUGGCAAGGCUCAGCGGUCCAGGAGAGUCAACCUCCUCCUCUCUAGCUGGUUCCUGGCGUGCGACGCUGCGCUGCGGUGAUGGUGCGGGGGCGAUUGGUGGUAGAGCGCGUGCGGCAGGCGGUGCGGCUCUGACUGGAGUGGGAGCGAUGACUCGGUCGAACUCCUCAGUGGUAGGCAGACGGCGAGCAGUGGCCAAAACGGCCGGUGCAUACGAGGCUGAAGACGAGACGAAUGUCAGAGGCGGCGCCGUGUGGAGAAGCUCCUUCCUGCUGGCAGGACCGCCCCGGACUAAGUCCAUGCGGGCAGCCACAAGAUCAUCUACGAGGUUGUCGAAAGAUUCCUCCAGAGCCUUGAGAUACUCCACAACCAUCUCGAUGGCUUCGUCUCUUUCUCCCCGAUGGCAGGAAAACGCAUAGUGGCUGGUGUAUGGCACAUGGCAUGGGAGGUAGCGGUAGCGACGAGUCUUCAUCGUAGGAAGGAUGUCCCGAAGGCGAGCUAUCGCCUCACGGGCAGCCAUCUGCAUGGCAUGCCUCUCCGUAGGCAUGGCCCUUCCCACAAAACGGAAGUGGCGUGCAGCUGAACGUCCUCCCUUGAACUGCACCACAGCCUGGUGCAUAGACACGUCGUCACUGAGCUUGUGCUGAUAGAGGGUGAACUCCGGGCGAGCUGCUGGCCCGAUCGCGAGCUUGGUGAUGGAGACGAGGAGCUUGACAAACCCCUCGGGCACGUUGGUGAACACUCGAUUCUCACAGCCGCUGCCAGCCAUCUACAAAAGUAGGCAAAAAUUCUGAGUAGUCAUGUCAUAAAUUUUAUGAUGACCAACAGAAGAUAGCUACAAUUGCAAAAUGCUGAAGAAGCACUAAAGACGCUAAUAACCGAUUAGCGAUCGCACCUAGUGGCUUCCUAUAGUCAGCCUGGCUCUGAUACCAAGCUUGUCACGCCCGGUUUUUCAAUAAAAUAAUUAUUGAGAAACCAAUCCCUGUUACGGACCAGCGAGGAAGAAUUCCUUCUCACUGAUAGACAAUACAUUGGUCACAGAAGAAAAAUACCAGGAGUACUAAAUAUAAUACAAAGUUGAGCAGAGACUGCCCAACAAUUUAUUACAUGCACGCCGAUAAAACAAUACGGCGGAUAGGGUGGCAAACUUCUAACUCACGAUAAAAACGGUGGUGGAAAUAUCAUCGCGAAGCGAGUGACAUGAUUCCAGAAUACUACAACUCUUCGAGCGUCGGAGUGAGGCUCGAGAAGACUUAUUGCGGGUGGCGGAAGCGUAAACGAUACAAGUGACCAAAAUCCGGGAUCUCGCAGGACUGACUGGGACUCCUCUAGGCAUCGGACGUGCUAUCAAACUCCUCAUCCAAGAGAUCGCCUUCGUCAACAUCUGGCCAAAUCAACAAGCCAGGUGAGUACUAUGAAAGUACUCGCAAGACAGUUCGGACAUAAGGUAUAACAAAUGCAAACAUGAAGCACAUGAAUAAGUUAACCAGUGCAAUCAGACACAGAGAUAAUAAAUACUGGGUGCCAAGCGAGGGUCUGAAUGACGCCUCGAGCGGAAACUGCAGAAUAGCAAUACUGGUGCCAAACGAGUGUCUGAAAGACUCCUCGAGAGGAAAAUGCGGAAUAAUAAUACAGGUGCCAAACGAGUGUCUGAAAGACUCCUCGAGCGGAAAUGCAGAAAUAAUAAUACGGGUGCCAAAUGAGUGUCUGAAUGACUCCUCGAGCGGAAAAUGCAGAAUAAUAAUGCCACAGUCGGGCGUCGGGGCGACACCACAUAAAGGGCUUAUAUCGAAAGUGAGAAACGAGUACACGCCACAGUCGGACGUCUGCGCGACGUCACAUAAAGGGCUUAUAUCACAACUCAUUAAUACAAUAGCUCGGAGACAUAAAUUAUCACAAGCAUGAGACACACAAAAAUAAAGUUAGUCCAUCAACUGGAAUAACAAUAAAUCUGAGAUUUUUACCGCUUGAGCUUGUUCACCGGGGGCAAGAUUUUCACACGGAUAGAUUUGGAUGUAAAGUCUACAUUACUGAUCAUGGAUACGAUGAUUUGGAAAGGAUUGACUCUGCAGAGUUUGUACUUAACCACAGCCAACGGAUUUCAGUAGUCACGGGGACGAGUUCCGUCUACGGUGUUCUGGAAGGAACACGUCUAACCAGUACACACCCAAUUUAACCAUCCGAAGCCAGGGAUCACCCUCGGCAAAGUUCAGGAAAAACCCUGAGUCGGGGAGGCUACAACCUCGCGUAGCAUGGGAUCAAAUUUCUAUACGCGCGCUAUAAGGGGGUGCCCCCCCUCUCGGUCCCAACCGGAAACACCCAUGCCCCCUGACCGAAUGACUGGCUUUAAUCCUGGGCCAAGGUACCAUCAUCCCGGCCUCUCUGUUUGGUGUGUACACGGAAAGAGGUUACCAACUUACUAAACCGUAUCCUGGCAAUGAGACAUGUGGUAGCACGGAAAGGGGAAGGGACGAUAACACGGCUCCAACCAUGUUAACGUCGGGAAAGUCGGAUGACACAAGGCUGGCAUGCUACAACAGUACCACCUUGCUGCCCUUCAUGUCACCACAUGAUUAGGCCACCUCUCAUCAGAGGUCAUCGCAACUUUGGAACAUGCGGGAAAAGAUCGAUAACGUGGCUCCAACCACGUUAACAUCGAAGAAAGUCGGAUGGCGCAAGGCUGGCAUGCUACAACAGUACCACCUUGCUGCCCUUCAUGUCACUACAUGAUUAGGCCACCUCUCAUCAGAGGUCAUCGCAACUUCGGAACAACCGGGUCGUUGCCUUACAAGCAACGAGGUACUUAUCGACACUCACAUGCCACGCACAAAGUUUCACAUGAACAUGCAAAACAUCUGCCGUAUCAAAUGGUCAAACAUGCUUGCCUGGUUCGGAGAAGUCGGAGUCUAGCUCGGCGAAGUUCGCGGCUCCGUCCCCUCUCCCGGAACCUACGGCAAUCACGAAACGGGGUACUAACGUGAAAACCAACACAUGCACAGAAACUUUGCCAAAUAUUUUUCAAAUAAAUCCCAUAAAAAACUAGACAAAAUUUGGAGAUUGACAGAAAAAGAAUCACUCAAAAAUACCUUUUCAUUAAAACGUUAUAAAGGUUUCUGUCCAGGGACAUUUCUGUAAUGAAACAGAAAAGUUCCAGGGUUUUAACUGAGAAAACAGAAAACGCUUCGGCUGGAAUGCGCAAGCGCAAGGGGAAAACGUAUUUUGCCCGAAGGCGCCAACAGAAAACGGUUCGGGGAAAUAAAACAGAGGCUGACACGCGGGGCCCGCAUGUCAGGUUUGAAAGCUCGCCGGCGCCCGAAGACGGCGGUGGACGCCGGCGUCGAACCACGGCGAGUUAGGAGAAACGGAGGGUACCAAGAGCUUCAGUGUCUUCUUCCGCGUCGGUGGGUGGUGGACUCGUCCAACGGGGAGCACCACGUCGACGACGACACUAUCUCCGGUGGACGGCGGUUCGGGUGAGGUUGGGGAACUCCGGUGGAGGGCUGCAAAGUGCGAAUUGAGGCGCGGGUCAGAACGGGUGAUGCAAGGAGAAGCUACUGGCAAGAGAAUGGGGGCUGCGGAGCACACACGGGGGCGAAUCGGGCUGGAUCCCGUGGCGGAUCGUGGCGGCCGGAGUCGAGGAAGGAGACCCCCUCGCGGCUCUUCCAGUGGCUGGGCGUGCUCUAGGGGAAGUGUAGGGCUGGUGGGUGCUCGAGUUGAAGCUCGGGCCCCUAUUUAUAGGCAGAUCGACGGGGUGGCCGUGAACGGAGAAUCUCCGGCGAGCGAUUACGGCGGAGCAGUGGAUUGGAAGGUGGUUUGAGAGGUCGGGCAGCAUCAGUGGAGAUUACUGGAGUUGUUCCACUGCUAAACGGAGCUGGCCCUGGCGUAAUGGUGUCUGCCCACGGUGAGGUGACCGCACGGGCUCAACGGCGGCAGAGAGCGCGCUCCGCGCCCUGGGGUUCACGACGAGAGCGGCAGCGCAUUCGGGGGAGUGGACGGCCACGCGGCGGGCUCCGGUGGUUUGGGCGGCGCUGGGUGGAGUCGGCGGCGCCGUGUCUCCCGCUGGUGUCCGCAAAGCCGCCGCCGGCGUCGGUCACGGGGCGGCGCACCUUCUGCUGCUCGUCGCCGACGCCCGCAAGUUGCCAGGCACUCGUGCGGUGCAGGAACGAGAGGGCGAGGACGAGGAGCAAGGCGACGCGAGGGUACUGGCGAGAUCGACGCCCGUUUCUGAAGAAAACGACAGCAGCCACUUGACUGAACUCUGAACUUACUGAAUCUUGACAGUGACCAAGCAUUGCAGGUGUUCGACAGUAGGUUUUGGUAAAGAGAUAAAUUUUUCUGGAGCUGUAACUUGGUGAGAUGAUCACUCAAAGCACCCAGGGGCUGCAUGAAUUUACUUGGAAUUUUUGGAGAAAGUUUUGAAUGAAUUUCACCAAAUUUGGCAAAUCUGGUCCAAACUUGCAGCUGAUGUAGUUUGAAAUUUUUGAACUGGAGACCAGUGGAUCUUCAUGGUUCCAGGUUGAGGGUUCAAAGGACUAGGAGGGGAAAAAGGUUUGGUGGCAAAAAUCAAAACAGAAAAAGGAGUUCCUUUGUAAAUCUCCAAGUGCUAUAAGAGAAGACAGAAAUUUAUUUGAAUAGAAUUUGAAUGGAAAUGAUCACAUGAGGAGGUUCAACUUGCUGGAUUUGAUGCAAAUCAUGAUCCAAAGGUGAGGGAAGGGUUAGGAGAGAGGAUUUGCACUAAUGCCAUGGCAAGAAGGAAUAGUUGAAAGUGGCAAAGGACUUUCCAAAAGCCAUAGUGCAUUCUCAAAAAGGAUUUUCAAAGCUUAUUCUCUCAAAUGAAAAAAAACAUUUUGUCUUGAGCCCAAAUGAAAAGCAAGAACCCCCAAGGUUAAAGGCAGAUCUUGGGUGAAUCCAAAUAAAAUUUUUGCCAUAAAGAAAAAUAUUUGAGAGUGAGAGUUCUCUUGAAGAAUUUUUUUUUAAAUCACUCCCUUCAAGUCAAAUAAAAUCUUUUGAAAAAUCCAAAUAAAAACUUGGGUGUCACACCCUCUCUCCUACUUUGGGCUGCAGAGCGUGGCGGCACAUAUCAGGGUAUGGUGCAUGCAGAGACGCAUGGUACGCUAUGUACACACAGUUUUGCCUGAUGAACGAAACCGCGCUGCCAUCAUGAUCCUUGCCGUCGGUUAUCUCCUGGUUAAUCGGAUAAUUCAGUCCAACAAACAGAGAGCGUGUACCAAGGCUACUUACCAACCUCCAGUCAAAAAUUCCUGAAGGCCCAGAGAAGUUGGGAUCCUGCUCAAAGACCUUGAAGUGAUUGUGAUUGUAUUCCGCGAAACAACACGUCUGGUACGUGCGAACGAUCAUCAAUCGUUCGCCGUCGUCUGAUCGAGCCAGGAAGCACCUGCAACUGCCAUGCCGCUUUUCUUUGAAAGGUUCUGGGAUUAGGAAGGGUACGAACAUGAGGCGACUUACAACAUCAUAUCAAGUUGGAGACAAAUAACCCUCAAAAAAAGUUGGAGUCAAAUAAAAAAGGGCUCUUGAUUGUAUGACAUGGCUAGCCAAGAUGGAUUUAAUCCCGAUAUUCACUUUAUCAAAAGGCUCUAAUGGGUUGGUUCUGAAUCUUGCAAGCUGGGAAUCAAUGAGAUGUGUAGGCAUCUUUGUUGUACUUAUUAUUUGAAUCUUAUUUGUUGGUUCUGAAUCUUGCAAGCUGGGAAUCAAUGAGAUGUGUAGGCAUCUUUGUUGUACUUAUUAUUUGGAUCUUAUUUGUUGGUUCUGAAUCUUGCAAGCUGGGAAUCAAUGGGAUGUGUAGGCAUCUUUGUUGUACUUAUUAUUUGGAUCUUAUUUGUUGGUUCUGAAUCUUGCAAGCUCGGAAACAUGGCAUGAUGAUGCAGAGGACAACAACCAUAACAAACAGUUCAAACUUGGUAGUAUUAUCUUUGUGAAAGUGCGACAAAUGUGCUGAUCGUGUGCGUCCUGAGAAUAAUAAUUCUAAUUGUUGUGCAUGUUGAUCCCGUGGCACUGAUAGAAUGAGCCAAUGCAUUGCUUGUUUUAAGUAUAAAUUUCUAUUAAAGCUAAUUAAAUUUAAGUAAAGUGACCACUAACUCCUGUUAUUACAGGACCAAUACAGACCCGCUCAUGAACCGACGUGUGGCCGGAGUAGGUUUCUUAAUGGAGGCGUUUGAAUGCGCUGAGGGUGCAUCUUCUGCCGGGUGUGCAGAACUGCUGCCGCCGCCUACACACUCGUUCACUUGAAGAGACUCCAAUGGCGAUCCGAGGGGUGAGCCUGCUGGAUAUGGACUUCAGCAAGGAGUUCCCCUUUGAGUUCGCCAUUCAGUCCUAUGGCUGCACCAAGUUGAAUGUGAUGUACACCAACGAUCCAGACUCGGUGAAGCUCUGCCUCGCCGAGUUCAAGCAGUACCUACAGGACGAGAAAGCACAAGGUUGCAGGACUAGACCUUGUGCCCAUCCAUUCUUCUCCUGACAGGGACCAGCAGAUAGCCGUUGCCUAGGAAUGUGUGCGGGACGAGGUUCUCAUCUACCACUUCUGUAGGGCCAUCAGAGGUUCUGGAGCAUUCGCCUGUUUCAUCGGCAGCGCUGACUGCACCUUCGCUACGGUGGAGAGAAGGAAGAACGCGAUGAUUCGGCCAUCUGGUGCAACAAGCUUGUCGACAUCCAGAAGCAAUACAAGAUCAUCAGCAACGAGCAGGAGAAGGACUCCGUGGUUGACCUCGCCGAGACCAUCAUCGACCCCUGAUACGCCAACAUGAAAGAAGACAACGAUAACAAAGACCUGAACACGUGGGAGGUACCUCUGAAUCUAGCCUACAUAACCUACACGGCCAAGGAUGCAUACGCAUGCUACGACAUGUACAGGUAGAUCUUGGACAUGAGGGCGUGUCUGCAUCCCGUAACCGACGAGUACACGGACAGCCGCAGCGUCAUGAUCAAGCAUGCCAGGAAGGUCUAGAUGUUGUACUUUAUCUGUUUAUAAGCGCCUUUAUCAUCUGAGUGUUUCAUGCAUUAUCCUAAGUGUUGUAAUUAUCUGUUUUGUCCGAAAUUUUUCUUUUAAGAACCCAUUAACCUGUUUGGUUUUUUUAGUGGCUAUUUGCUUAUGUAUGUAACUAGUUCACUUGUCCGUUAAAAAAAACUAGUUCACUCGGCUGCCGUGCUUUGAAUCUCCUUCCUCCCAACAUAUUCCCCUCCUCAGGUGGACCCAGCAGGUCUCGUACACAGACAUAUGGGACCAACCACCUAUCCAUUUGUAUUUCUUUAUUUUGUUCAAUCUUUCGUCCUCUUCCUAUACAGCUCAGUUCUAUUUUUCCUUUUCAUUAAUCCUAUAUCUGAAUUUUCUCCCACUUUCUUUUUCGAUGUAAACUGAGUUUUCUCCCAGUACUUUUCCCUAGAACCAACAACUGUCCCACGUCUAGCCUAAAAAAUAAUAAUACCCCACGUACUAUUAACUCAUCAAAUUUAAAUGAUAUUUUAUUUUGUAAGUUGAAAGUUUUUACAAAAUAAUAAUAAUUCUUAUUUAUAUGUAACUUGGCAAGUUAACCCCUAGUGAUUGCGUACAUAAGCUUGCAAAGAUUUUACUGACCAAUGCAGUAAUAGACGUGCAAUCAUGUGUUUAUGUUUUUAUAACAUUUCUCCGUCUAGCCCAACAUGAUAUUUUCACCCAGCCCAGCAAGUCCGCGGAUUUCGAGAAAAAUGCAAAUGGGCUUUAAAUUCUAGCAUACAUAUAAACGGGCUGCAUAGAUGCUACAUCAUUGUUUCACCCAGCCCACCAAAUGGACUAAAAAACAAAUGGACUGGCUGACAUGUGGGCCAGUAGGUCGAAGCCUAAGAAGGCGUUGGAUUUACAUCCAACGGCCGGCAUUCUUCUUCAAUCUCUCGUCUUCUUUCCCCAGCGCUGCCAGGACCGCCUGCUCCAGCCUUCGGCGUCCAGCGGCAUUGUUUUGCACUCCUCAGCGAAACGCUACCCCACCGACGGCCAGGCCAUCCCUCCACUCCGCACCUCCUGUUAUUCUCUGCCGAGUGUAGGCCCACCCCGCACCCGAACCAGUCAAGUUUCCCACUCCUCUCCGUCUGCGACUCCACUGCCGCGUCUUCCCCAUCUCCGGGUCGUUCCAGUCUGGGGCCUCGCCGUCGUCCACCGCCUCGGUGCGCUCGGCGCGGCGUGGUCAACAUAGGAGAGUCAUCGGAAGAGGACUGUACGUGAAGAGCCUGACGGCUGGGACCCACGAGGUCGAUGGUCGCAUGCAAGGAAAGUUCCUCCUUAUUACGCACUGUACGUGGACUGUACGUGGGAAGGGCUUCUGUAUUUCACGAAAAAAUGUUCCCCCCGCUGACAGGUCGGACCCACCACCUAUAUCUUCGCACGCAAGGAAGUGCCUCCUUAUUACGCACAAAAAAUGAAUACCCCCUGCUAGCUGGGACCCACCAUAGUGGGUGGCUGACUUGUGGGCCUACUAAGUUGACGGGGACAGAGGGCUUUGUCAACUUAGUCAAUAUGAUCAAUUCUAGCUCCAGUGACCGUACGAUGUCCAUCCAACGGCCAUAGUGCUUCUUCAACCUCUAGUCUUCUUGCUCCAGCCGCCCAAAGCACAAAGCAGCGCUGGUCGGGCCGCAGCGGCCUCACCACCCCCUACUACUCCCACCGCUCGCCAGGGCAUCCCUCUACUCACCCACACCCCCUAUUAUUCUGCGGCUACGGCAGCCUCACGCUGUAGCCGAACCAGUGAACCCUCGUACUCCUCUCCGCGUGGGCAUCCACUGUCGCGUCUUCCCCGGCUCUUCGUCAUCCCCUUCCUAGGCCUCGCCGUCGUCCACCGCCUUGGUGCUCUCGGCGCGGCGUGGUCAAUGUGGUCAACGACCGACUUCCAUCGGAAGAGUACUGUACGUGGAGAGGCUGACAGCUGGGUCCAUGGCCGCAGCUGGGUCCACGACCACAGCCCAGUUUUUUGUGAUUUGUCAAGUAAUUCGCUUUGUCAAGCCUGUUUGGCUGCAAAUCUUUCAAGACGAGGAGAGCUUCAUUCGGCUGGCCGAGAAAAUGGCCUAUCAGUAAUGACAAAUGGGUUGUACAUUUUUAAAACACAUCAAAUCGGCAAUUAGUUUCAAAUUUCUUUUUUUCAUUUCGAGAUUUUAAAUUGCAUUGAUUUUUAUGCGUGGACAAUUUGUUGGAUUUUAUAUUGAUAUACAUUUAUUUUUAAAAUCAGUUUGAAUGUGACUCGAAAUUUCGGGAUUAAAAACAGUUCGGACCGCACCGAAAUAUGCAAAAUUUUGUAUAAUUUUUUAACCGUGGCCACAAUAUGGGCUGUAAUGCUAACAAAAAGAAUAUGGGCUCCAAAAAAACCUUAAGAAUUAGCAAAUGGGCUGUGAAUUAUUAGAAAUAAUGGCAGAUGGGCUGUAUGCUAUUUUCCACAGAUUUGAGGCUUUCCUAAAAAAAGGUUGACGCACAAGCAAUGACUAUUGGAUUUCCAUCCAACGGUCGUCGUGCUUCUUCAAUCUCUGCUGUUCCUGCUCCAGCCGCUCAAACAAGCGCCGGCGGGACUGCCUGCUCCCUCCUCCCCGCGGCCGGCUGUGCUGCCACGCAGGCCUCACCGCCCCACCGUACUCCCAUCGCUGGCCUAGCUACACCUCUACUCACCCACACCUGUUGUUAUUCUCCGGCGAUGGCAGACGAACCAGUAAACCCUUGUACAGUCGUACUUCCCUCCGCGUGGGAAACAACUGCCGAGUCUUCCCUGCCUUCGGGUCAUUCCCAUCCUAGGCCUCGCCGUCGUCCACCGCCCUGGUGCUCUCGGCGCGGCCUGGUCAACGUGGUCAACGACCGACAUGCAUCUGAAGUGGACUAUACCUGGAGAGGCUGACAGCUGGGUCCACGGCCGCACGCAAGGAAAUGCCUCCUUAUUACGCGCAAAAUAAUGAUUCCUCCACCUGACAUCUGGGACCCACCGAAAGGGCCUCUGUAUUUCGCGAAAAAAAAGUACCGCCGCUGACAGCUUGGACCCACCAGCUAUAUCUUCGCACGCAAGGAAGUGCCUCCUUAUUACAAAAAAAAUGAAUACUCCCCCUGCUAGCUGGGACCCAGUAUAGUGGCAGGCUGACUUGUGGGCCUACUAAGUUGACGGGGACGGAGGGCUUUGUCAACUUAGUCAAUAUGCAUGAUUCUAGCUCCAGUGACCGUACGAUGUCCGUCCAACGGCCAUAGUGCUUCUUCAACCUCUGGUGUUCUUGCUCCAGCCGCCCAAACCAGCGCCGGUCGUGCCUCGUGCUCCUGCCUCCCGUGGCCGGCUGCGAUGCGGUGGAGGCCUCACCACCCCUUACUACUCCUACCGUUGGCCAGGCCAUCCCUCUACUCACCCACAGCCCCUGUUAUUCUGCGGCGACGGCAGCCUCACACCGCAGCGAACCAGUGAACCCUCAUACUCCUCUACGCGUGGGCAUCCACUGCCGCGUCUUCCCCGGCUCUGCGUCGUCCCCUUCCUAGGCCUCGCCGUUGUCCACCGCCCUGGUGCUCUCGACGCGGCGUGGUCAACGUGGUCAAGGAACGGCUUCCAUCGGACGUGGACUGUACGUGGAGAGGCUGACAGCUGGGUCCACGGCCGCAGCAAGGAAGUGCCUCCUUAUUACGCGCAAAAUAAUUAUUCCUCCACCUGACAGCGGGGACCCACCGGACGGGCCACCGUAUUUCACGAGAAAAAACGUUUCCCCCUGACUGCUGGGACCCACCAGCUACAUCUUCGCACGCAAGGAAGUGCGUCCGGGCAUAAAAAAUGAUUCGCCCCCCUGACUGCUGGGACCCACCAGCUACAUCUUCGCAGGCAAGGAAGUGCCUAACAGUCGGGACCCACCUGGUCGAAGUGUAUGUAGCGUUGUCAUUCUGGUCGCGAACAUGUACGUACAUACUGGUCGUUGUAGAGGCGCGCACGUAGCAUGUACACGUACGUACAGCGGCCAGGGUGCAAGAAAGAAAAUACGGCCACGUACGUACAUACGGGCAGGGUCUCGAACGCCUACUCGCGCAUAUGUACGGCCAGGUCUCGUGUACAUGGCUGGGUCAAAACGGAGAAACUGCGACGUCGUCGUGUUCAUGAGGAGCCAACCGGCUGGGUCGGAACGGAAUGCGUCAUCGUGUUCAUCCGGAGGGCUUGGACGGAACAGCCGAUGGAAACGAGGCUUGGCGUACCGCGGAACAGAGGAAAUGGCCUUGUGUUCGACCGGCCAUGUUCGAAAUGGGAUCCUGUUCAUCGGGAGGGGCUGGAGUACCGCAAAACGGAGGAAACGGACCUCCUACGGUCGAAACGGGGGUCCUGUUGAUCGGGAGGGGUGUGGCGUACCGCAAAACAGAGGAAACGGACUUGUGUUGGAGCGCUACGGUCGAAAUGGGGGUCCUGUUCAUCGGGAGGGGUGUGGCGUACCGCAAAACGGGACUCCACGGGAUACUGUUCAUCUCCACCGUCGACCCCCUCCAGCCUCCACGGGCUACUGUUCAUCCACCGUCGACCUCCUCCAGCCUCCACCUGCGACUGUUCAUCCACGGGCUCCUGUUCAUCCAGCCUCCACCGCGCGCUACUCCACCGGCUACUGUUCAACCAGCCCUCUCCACGGGCUCCUGUUCAACCACCCCUCCACCAGCUAUUGUUCAACCAGCACUCUCCACGGGCUCCUGUUCAACCACCCCUCCAUCCGGCUACUGUUCAGUCACAAUGAAUAUAAGAAUGCGCACAUCAGAAGAAUAUUGUGGAACAGUUCAAUGGGUAACAAACUUGGCAUCAAGGGAUUGAGGUCCAUUGUGGAUGCAAUGAAACCCACAUGCUCCCGACCUAUAGAUUCGUAUUCGGAAUAUGAUCCUAAUGACUAUUCUAAGCUCAAGGAGUCAAAGGCAGAUGGCCUAUCCUGUUCACCCAAUAAGGUGCCUGUUCUAAUUUGGCAAGGUUUUAUUGGUUGCACAUAUCUUGCAUAAGGUGUCUUGCAUUUCUUUUGCUUCGUUGCACCGCCAUCUGCUUAGUUUACUCAUGAUAUAUGUGAAGAUGCCAUGCCCAUCCAUUAUCAACACCUAUUCCAUUUGUCGUCAUACCAUGUUUUUUCAUUCAAAUGUUGUUCUUGUGUUUCAGACAUCCAAAAGGAAGAGGGUGAUUGCAGAACCUGAAGGAGUACAAGCAAAGUCCUUGAAAAAGGUGGUGCUACCAGAGAAAUCACCUAGCACCCGACGUAUAUUGGCGAUAGAACCAGUACCGCAAAACCUAGGAUGUCGCAACCAUGCUGGUCGAUGCUUUGCUCUUCUGAGUACAUAUUGUCCUAUCGCUGUCCUUACAUUCAUACCUGGUGGAUUAUGUGACAUCAUUGUGCAAUAUAGCUUUCUUAUCCACUGUUCACUCCAAAUUAUCAGAUCUAUAUUAAUGCUUAAAUUAAUGUAGAAGAAACCAAUGCCUAUGAAGAAAGUUAGUUCUGCAUUGUUCUUGUAAGUAUCUGUUGUCCUUCAUCACUGUACUUAUAUUUGUCAGCUAGUUCUUCAUGUACACUUUGCAGCUUAUUUUACCUUGUCCUCCAUUUUUCUACACAUCAAAUCUACAUUUACUCUUGCCAAAAUAUUGAAUAAAACCAAUGUUACUGAAGAAGUUUAGCUCCGCAUUGCUCGUCAGUGCCUUCUGCCUAUAUGCUGUAUUUACAUUUGUACUCUGCAUCUUAAGUUAAAUAAUCGCCAUUUGUUCCUAUAUUUUCACAUCUAUAUUACUCUUAACAAAAUGUAGAAUAAAGGCAAUACUCUUGAAGAAGAGUGUGCGGUAAAGUUCUUGAAUUGCCCCCCCCCCCAUCAAUAUGGACAAGGCCUUUAUAGAGCAUGUCUUCACUACUAAUGUAAGUUUGUCCUCCUCGAGCCUUCAAACAAUGUUGUGUAUAUUUGGAUAGCUAUGACUGAAAAUGCUGUUUAUUUUUAUCGUCUGCAUCAAAUUUCUUGUUCAAAGUUUAUAAAGUAGAAGUACAUAAACAUAAGUUUGUCCUUCUCAAUUUCAGUCUUUUAGUUGUACAAUCUAGUUCCUUAUUCGUACCAUGUAAAUUAAACUAAACAUAGAAAGUUAUCUUCUUUAGCACUAUGUGUAUGCUUGUGUUCUUGAUCUAUAAUCGAGUGGUGUGGUGAGACUACCAACAACAGCACAAUGUCAUAUCCUGCUAUGUCUCAACUAUGAACAAUGCCUUAUUAUAUUAAUGUUAUUUAAAUCGUGUCUCUUUAUUUACCAAUCUGAAAUGGUAUAAAUUGACAGUACACUCACCAUUCAUGCUUAUACGUUGUUUAGAACUACAUCUAUGCUUGUGUUCUUGAUCUGUAAUCCAGUGGUCUGGUGAAUCUGGCCGCUCCUACACAAUGCCAUUUCCUGCCGUCUUAACUAUGAACAAUACCUAUUAUGUUAAUGUUAUUUUAAAUAGUGUCUCUUUAUUUCUGACAAAGAAAUGAGAUGAAUUGACAGCGCUGAUGCUUAUACGUGCAAAACCUGUUAUCUACCUACUUGUUUCUCUUUCAGGGUGACAACACUGCUGCUAGGAAGAACUGCCACAAUGAUAGUGAGACGACCCCAUUGUUUGUCCCUCUAAAACAUAUUCCACAGGAGAAGGCAACACAUAUUGAGGGUAGGGAUACAACCACGAAGUCACAUCUUGAUGUAGUGUCAAAACUUACUCAGUGCAAGCUCGAUGAAGUAGUCGCCUGAAUCUAUUUGACUUCUUCAGUCUGAAAUUCAUGAGAAAUACAUAAUUCCGCUCAAAUACGAUUGGAACUCCAAUCUGUAUGCAAGAUUAACCUUAAGUACAUGACGUUUAUUGAUGCUGUGCAGCUUAAGUUGGUGGAUAUGAGCACCAAAGAAGCGCAGUCUCAUCAGGUUGCUAAGCUGCUUGCGCUGUAGCACCUGGGCCGAGCUAACCUUUCUUGAACUGUGUUGAAGUGAUGUCGGUUUUGUCUAUUAUUUUGUCCGCCUGUUAACUUCCACUGGUGGCGACCUGCCCAGUUUAUGUAAUCUGCUGUCUGGUUGCCCUUUAUUAUCAUUUGCGGUGAACUUUGAUGCUGAGGGGAUGUAAUAUGCUGUAAUUUCUUUGUUGUAUAGUCUAGGUUUAUUCUUGGUCGGUAUGCUGUAAUUUAGGACGGAAGGUUCAGUGGAUCUCAGUGUUGUCGGUCUUCAGGCCGGCCCGUUACUCAUAUGGACCAAAACGUGGGCCUAUAAUCAUCUUGGGCCAUUAGCGGGUCUAAACCUAUAGUAGUUUCCUUCCUUUAACAGGCCGAGUAAAGUUCUGGCCAGCUGGGCCAGAGAAUACCAUGGGCUUUUAACAGGCUAAAACCUAGAUUGGGCUGGCGUUGAGCCGAAAAUUUCACAGGCCAAAACUUCCUAAGGCCCAUGUUGGGCCCAAAUAGGAUGAGCAGUUAACAGGCCAAAAUAUAUCUCGGUCUUGUUUGGCCAAAUAAAAUUAUCAGCUUUAAGCAGGCCGGUAUCCACGCGGGCCAUAGACCCAAAAGUGUCACGGGCCAUUAUCAGAUGGGCUGUAAGCAGGCCGGAUUCAACGCGGGCUGUAAUUAGGCCCAACUGUUUCACAGGCCAUUAACAGGCCGAUAGGCCAGUUGGGCUGAAAUUUGUCCACGAAGACUACGGGCCGUUAAGAGGCCUAAAGUUUCUUCGGACAAGAAAUAGCCCAGUUUCUGCAUGGGCCGUUAAAUGGCCUAAAGUUAAACCAGGCCGACAACGUCCCAGAUACACCACGGGCCUCUAACAGGCGAAACUAUUAUCGGGCCGAACUGGUAAACGGGCAUUUAACAGGCUGAAAUAAAACAUGUCUUAGAAUGGGCCCAAAAGAACAGUGGCCUGUUAACGGGCAUGAUCCGAUAUGUGCCAUAAUUUGGCCCAAAACACAGCAGGCUGUGAACGGGCCUGAUCUGGUAUGGGCUUCAAUUUGACCCAAAACAUGGUAGGUUGUUAACGGGCCACGCACUAUUGUCUGAAAAAACAUGGUGGGCCUUUAGCUGGGCCGGCCUUUUCAUCGGACUGGGCCUCGGUUGGGUCGUGCCACAUGUCGACGUAUCAUAGUCACCUCCUGUCCCAACGGUGAGCCAACACGUGUUUCCUCAGGCCAAUGAGAAUUUUACAUGUGGAAAAUCCCCAUUGGUCUGGGCUGUUAACGGGUUAUCGGAUCCAAAACCGGACCCGAUAGCUUAACGGCGACCCGUUCCAGUCGAUGCCACAUGUCGGGCACCCUUGACGAAAGCACUUCUAUGAUGCACGAUUUAUCGUCAUGGAAGUGGACACUUCCGUGAUGAUAAUUUUGGUAAUGUCAUGGAACACUUCUACGAUAGCACAGGUAUGACUAUCUUGAUUCUGUCAUAAAAUUGUCAUGGAUGUACAUGCAUGACAGAAAACGUGACCUACUGUGACAAACACGUAUCAUCAUGGAAGUGUAUUUUUUUUGUAGUGUAUGCCAUGACUUGUUAGAAUAGCUCUCUAUGCUUCACUUAAAUUUUUAUGAGCUAUGGAAUUGCUCAAGUGCUUCACUUAUAUCUUUUUGAGCACGGUGUGCUUUGUUAUUUUUGAAGAAAUGCUCUCUUGCUUCACUUAGAUUUGUUUGAGAGUUAGUAAAUUUUUUGAAGAAAUUCUCUCUUGCUUCACUUAAAUUAAUUUGAGAGAAAGAAAUAUUAUGCUCAUGAUCUUCACCUAUAUCUGUUUGAGCUUAUCAAAAGCAACAUGAAAAUUAGUUCCAAAGUGAUAGAAAUCCAAGAAGGAUAUAAUAAAAAAAUCAUGAAGAUCAUUAGACAAAAUAAACUUGAUUCCUUGUAAUAGUCUUGAGAUAUGAUGAUGUGAUAUGUGAGUCAUGUUGAUGAGUAAUUGUGCUUUAGUAAGAAUAUUGGUGUUAAAGUUUGUGAUUCCCUAUGCAAGCACGAAAGUCAAUAGUCAUGCAAUGAAAUUACAUCUUACUUGUGGUGCAUUAUUCGGUGUUAAUUAUGUUUAAUGCUCGCUUAUGAGAUUAUUCGUUUCUUGGUUGGUUGCUUCUCAAUCUUUUGCUAGCCUUCAUUUUGCACUAAGUAUGAUCACUACUUGUGCAUCCAAAAUCCUUUAAACCAGUCUUGCCACAUGAGUCCACUAUACCUACCUAUAUGCGGUGUUCUUUUUCCGUUCUAAGCAAAUUUGUAUGUCCCAUCUCUAAUUUUCAAAAUAAAUUUCUCUUUUGUGUGCUCGUACCGCUCGUGAGGCGGUGAGGGGUGGCAAAUAUUUUCCAUGCUAGAUGUGUUAUUCUCACGACGAAUGUUUAUUCACUUGUCAUUGCACGAUAGUAAGGCAAAGGUAUUAGGGAUGCCCAGUCCCGAAAUGAAAAAUGAAUUUACUUUAUGUUGUCAAAUAAUAAAUUCCUUGGAAAGUGUUGGUAUGGAAGGCAACCGUGGAUUCGGCUAGCCAUGGAAAGUGAAAGUAUGGUGGAAAAAGGAAUAAACUUUAUUUUCUGUUUGGGAACCGCCUAUGAUAUAUCUAGCAUGGAAAGUGUUGGGAGCUCUAAGUCGUUUUCAUUGGUGGGAAAAGCAUGCCUCUCAAAAUGUUUUUAUCUCUGUAGGAUCAAAAGUAUGUCUAGAGGGGGGUGAUUAGACUACUUGACCAAAUAAAAAUCUAGCCUUUUCCCAAUUUUAGUUCUUGGCUGAUUUUAGCAACUUAGCACAAGUCAAGCAAUCAACCUACACAUGCAAUUCGAAGAGUAUAGCAGCGGAAUGUAAAACAAUUGCAUAUGAAGGUAAAGGGAGGAGUUUGAGGGAGCAAACGCAAUGUUGACACGGAGAUUUUUUAUCCGUGGUUCCGAUAGGUGGUGCUAUCGUACAUCCACGUUGAUGGAGACUUCAACCCACGAAGGGUAACGGUUGUGCGAGUCCACGGAGGGCUCCACCCACGAAGGGUCCACGAAGAAGCAACCUUGUCUAUCCCACCAUGGCCGUCGCCCACGAAGGACUUGCCUCACUAGGGUAGAUCUUCACGAAGUAGGCGAUCUCCUUGCCCUUACAAACUCCUUGGUUCAACUCCACAAUCUUGAUGGAGGCUACCAAGUGACACCUAGCCAAUCUAGGAGACACCACUCUCCAAGAAGUAACAAAUGGUGUGUUGAUGAUGAACUCCUUGAUCUUGUGCUUCAAAUGAUAGUCUCCCCAACACUCAACUCUCUCUCAUAGGAUUGGAUUUGGAAGAAAGAGGAUUUGAGUGAAAAGCAACUUGGGGAAGGCUAGAGAUCAAGAUUUAUGUGGUUGGAAUGGAAUAUCUUGACCUCAACACAAGUGUAGGUGGUUCUCUCUCAGAAAAUAUGUAUUGGAAGUGUAGGCAUGUUUUGAUGGCUCUCUCCACGAAUGAAGAGUGGGUGGAGGGGUAUAUAUAGCCUCCACACAAAAUCUAACCGUUACACACAAUUCACCAAACUCGGUGGGACCGAUUCAGAGAACUCGGUCAGACCGAUUUGGUUCAUAAUGUGACCGUUAGGCAUUUCGGUGGGACCGACAUGUCAACUCGGUGGGACCGAUAUCAUUAGGGUUAGGGCAUAACAUAAUCUCGGUGAGACCGAUUACACAAACUCGGUGAGACCGAUUUUGGUAAUAGACAAAUAGAGAGUUGGCCAGGCAAACUCGGUGGGACCGAUUCGCUCAUCUCGGUUGGACCGAAACGUUAUGAAAGGGAAACAGAGAUCUUGCAUUGCAAUCUCGGUGGGACCGAUCGCUCAUCUCGGUUUGACCGAAACGUUACGAAGGGAAACAGAGAGAUUACAAUCCCAUCUCGGUGAGACCGAGAUCCCUAUCGGUGAGACCGAAAAGACUAGGGUUUCUGGCAAUGGCUAUGUCAACUGAACUCGGUGGCUCCGGAUAGAAAGAAUCGGUGGGGCCAAGUUGGACUUAUGGUUUGGGACAUAUGUUUAUAUGAGAAAGUAGUGGAGGGUUUUGGAGCAUAUCACUAAGCAUUUUGAGCAAGAACCUCAUUAAGCAACACCUCAUCCCUUCUUAAUAGUAUUGGCUUUUCCUAUAGACUCAAUGUGAUCUUGGAUCACUAAAAUAGAAAAUGUAGAGUCUUGUGCUUUGAGCUUGAGCCAAUCUUUUGUCCUUAGCAUUUUGAAGGGUCUACUUUCUAAUCCAUGCCAUGCCAAUCAUUGAGCUUUCCUGAAAUAUUUAUCUUGGAAUAGCAUUAGCUCAGUGAACUAUAUGUUGUUAGGAAUUACCAAAACCACCCAGGGAUAGUUGCACUUUCAAUCUCCCCCUUUUUGGUAAUUGAUGACAACAUAUAGAUCAAAGCUUCGACAAAUGAUAAGUAAGAUUGAAAAACAUCGUCACUUUGAGAGGUAUGUGAUAAGCAAGAGCUCCCCCUAAAUUUGUGCAUUAUUUAAAAUUUGCUUUUGAAUGCAAAUGCACAAUCGAUUAGGAUCAUGGGUUAUUCUUCCAUGUCACAUACAUCUUGGUGGAGCGCUCAAAAUGAUAGAAGUUAAAGCAUGCACUCAUCACCAAAACAAGUGAAUGAUCGUCUAGGAUAUAAGAGAUAAUAUCAUCUAACAAGCAUUAAGGGUAGCAUAUGAUCAAACAAGUAUCUCACAAGUAGCUCACACAAGCACACAAUAAAGUUUCAAACCAAACCAAAAAUAAGUGCAAAGAGAGAUAAAAACCAACACACUCUCUCUCUCUCGAAGCCUAUGAUCUAUACAUUUUUCUCCCCCUUUGGCAACAAGUUACCAAAAAGUUCAAAAAAGCAUAGUGCUAAAUGUCUCUCAGGCUUGAUCUUCGGGAGGUGGUGUUGAGAGAACUCCAAGAACGAAGGCUUCAGAUGAAGUAGGUGGAGCUGGUGGAGUAGCUGCUGGAGGUGGAACUGGAGCUGUAGCUGAUGGUGCUGAUGUUGUAGCUCUAGUGUCUGUCACUGGCACUGCAGCAGAUCUCUGUCCUCUGGGCACUCUGGCAAAAGCAUCUGUGGUAGACUUGCCCUUCUUCUCCUCUGCUUCCUCCUGAAGUUGCUCAACUGCAGUUUGGAUCUCUGUUACCUUGACAUCAAGGUCAUAGAAUUUCUGCUCAAUGAUCCUCUCCAUACUCUCCUGGUUCUUGGUCAGGGUGGCCAAGCCCUUCUCAAUCCUCAGGAUGGAUUGGAUUAGAUAUCCAAGCUGGUCUUGCUUGCUCUUCAAGAAUACCUGAGAUGUCUCUUCCACUGUUGGCAUCUUUGCAGCCUUCUCAGCUUUAGCCUUCUCUCUCUUCUCAUGUGCUUGAGCUGAAGAUGGUUCAUUCUCAUUCAUCACUACAGUGUUAUCUUCAAAUUCAGGAUAGAUGGGCAGGUGCUCCUUGUCCAAAAGAUAUGUGAGGGAGACCUGGCUUAGGGGGUCCUCGGACGGCCGGACUAUAUAGUUUAGCCGGACUGUUGGACUAUGAAGAUACAAGAUUGAAGACUUCGUCCCGUGUCCGGAUGGGACUCUCCUUGGCGUGGAAGGCAAGCUUGGCAAUACGGAUAUGUAGAUCUCCUCCCUUGUAACCGAAUCUGUGUAACCCUAGCCCCCUCCGGUGUCUCUAUAAAUCGGAGGGUUUAGUCCGUAGGACAAGAACAAUCAUACCAUAGGCUAGCUUCUAGGGUUUUAGCCUCUACGAUCUCGUGGUAGAUCAACUCUUGUAAUACUCAUAUCAUCAAGAUCAAUCAAGCAGGAAGUAGGGUAUUACCUCCAUCGAGAGGGCCCGAACCUCGAUAAACAUCAUGUCCCCCGCCUCCUAUUACCAUCCGCCUUAGACGCACAGUUCGGGACCCCCUACCCGAGAUCCGCCAGUUUUGACACCGACAUUGGUGCUUUCAUUUAGAGUUCCACCGUGCCGUCACCGUAAGGCUUGAUGGCUCCUUCGAUCAUUGGCAACGAUGCGAUCCAGGGUGAGGUUUUCCUCCCCGGACAGAUCUUCGUGUUUCGCGGCUUCGUACUGCGGGCUAACUCGCUUGGCCAUCUGGAGCAGAUCGAUAGCUACGCCCCUGGCCAUCAGGUCAGGUUUGGAAACUUGAACUAUAUUGCCGACAUCCGCGGAGACUUGAUCUUCGACGGAUUUGAGCCCAUGUCAGGUGCGCCGCACAAUCCCGACGAGCAUGAUUUAGCUCUGCCGUCGGACCGUGUUCGGGAGAUCACACCUGCAACUACUCCGGCCCUCAAUCCAGAACAAAUUGCGCCAUCCGAGGAUGGGUGGAUAGACCCCGCCAUGGAGGCCGCACUCUCAGUGGCGAUAGAGCCGAAUACUGACUUCACCCCUUACGAGAGCCGUGUUGCCGAACCAUUGGAUUCGUCCCCGGCCACGGGCUCUGAGCCGCUUGCGUCCGUGCCUAUCGAAUCCGAUUGGGCACCGAUCAUGGAGUUUACCUCCGCGGAUAUCUUUCAGCACUCGCCUUUUGGCGACAUACUAAACUCGUUGAAGUCUCUCUCCCUGUCGGGAGACCCUUGGCCGAACUAUGUCCGGCUAGAAUGGGAUGUGGACGACGAAGAAAUUCGCGGCCCACCCACCACCCACUUAGUAGCCACUGUCGACGAUUUAACCGACAUGCUCGACUUCGGCUCCGAAGACAUCGACGAUAUGGAUGACGAUGCAGGAGACGAACAAGAACCACCGCUCAUAGGGCGCUGGACGGCCACCUCAUCGUGUGACAUAUACAUGGUGGACACCCCUAAAGAAGGGGAUGGCGACAAGACAAUGGAGGAUAAUCCCUCCAAGAAGCAACCCAAGCACCGACGUCAGCGGCACCGCUCUAAGUCUCACCAUAGCAAAAGCAGCGAUACUGGCACAAGAGACAAUAACGCUCCGGAUAGUGCCGAAGACGACGACAAUCCCCUCCAGCCAGACCUCGAGCGGGAGGAUGAACAAGCUAGCCCUCCGGAACAGGCAGCAAACGGAGAAUCAGAGGAUGACAAUUACAUGCCUCUCUCCGAAGACGAAGUGAGCCUCGGCGACGAAGAAUUUGUCGUGCCUGAGGAUCCCGUCGAGCAGGAACGCUUCAAGCGUCGGCUUAUAGCCACAGCAAACAGCCUAAAGAAAAAGCAACAACAGCUUUGAGCUGAUCAAGAUCUGCUAGCGGAUAGAUGGACCGAAGUCCUGGCAGCCGAGGAAUACGAACUCGAGCGCCCAACCAAGAGUUAUCCAAAGCGCAGGUUGCUACCUCAACUCGAGGAGGAAGCAGUGAAACCUACAUCACCAGCGUAUGAUGUGGCUAAUCGGCCACCUCGUGGCCGAGACAGAGAGGCAUUUCAGCCCGAAGUCCAGCCCGCGCCCCCCCGCCAAUCAAACAAAAAUACCAAGGCCUGGGGCAACACGCAGGACCUGCGAGACGUAUUGGAAAGCAAGGCAAAACAUGCAAGAUCGAUCUACGGAUCACGGGGUCGCGCCCCAACGUGAGACGAUGAUUGUCACGCCGGAUAUACCAAAAGAAAAUCCGGUCGGGCCGAAUACAGCAGACAAGACUCGUAUGAACUGCGUCGUGAUAUAGCCUAGCACAGAGGCGCCACACACCCCCUAUGCUUCACUGAUGAAGUAAUGGAUCACGAAUUCCCAGAGGGUUUUAAACCCGUAAAUAUUGAAUCAUAUGACGGUACAACAGAUCCCGCGGUAUGUAUUGAGGAUUUCCUCCUCCACAUCCACAUGGCUCGCGGUGAUGAUCUACAUGCCAUCAAGUACCUCCCACUAAAACUCAAAGGACCAGCCCAGCAUUGGCUGAAUAGCUUGCCAGCAGACUCCGUUGGCAGUUGGGAGGAUUUGGAAGAUGCAUUCCUUGACAACUUCCAGGGCACUUAUGUGCGACCACCGGAUGCUGAUGACUUGAGCCAUAUAACUCAGCAGCCAGGGGAAUCGGCCAGGCAAUUCUGGACCCGGUUCUUAACUAAGAAAAACCAAAUUGUCGACUGUCCGGAUGCAGAGGCCUUAGCGGCAUUCAAGCAUAACAUCCGUGAUGAGUGGCUCGCCCGGCACCUCGGCCAGGAGAAGCCGAAGUCUAUGGCAGCCCUCACGACACUCAUGACCCGCUUUUGCGUGGGCGAGGAUAGCUGGCUGGCUCGCAGCAACAACACAUCAAGGAAUCCGGGCACUUCAGAUACCAAAGAUAAUAACGGCAGACCAUGUCGUAACAGACAUAAGCGCCGCAACAACGGUGAUAACACCGAAGAUACGGCAGUCAAUGCCGGAUUUAGUGGCUCUAAACCCGGUCAACGGAAAAAAGCCAUUCAAAAGAAGUACUCCGGGCCCGUCCAGUUUGGACCGCAUACUCGAUCGCUCGUGUCAAAUCCACGGCACCCCCGAUAAGCCAGCCAAUCACACCAACAGAGAAUGCUGGGUGUUCAAGCAGGCCGACAAGUUGAAUGCCGAAAACAAGGACAAGGGGCUGCAUAGCGAUGACGAGGAGGAGCCCCGGCCGCCAAACACAGGAGGACAGAAGAGGUUCCCUCUACAAGUGAAAACGGUGAACAUGAUAUACGCAACCCACAUUCCCAAGAGGGAAAGGAAACGUGCACUAAGGGACAUCCAUGCGAUGGAGCCAGUCGCCACAAAGUUCAACCCAUGGUCCUCUUGUCCGAUCACCUUCGAUCGAAGGGACCACCCCACUAGUAUUCGUCAUGGCGGAUCUGCCGCAUUGGUCCUUGACCCCAUCAUCGACGGAUUUCACCUCACCCGAGUCCUUAUGGACGGCGACAGCAACCUGAACCUGCUCUAUCAAGAUACAGUGCGCAAAAUGGGUAUAGACCCCUCGAGGAUCAAACCCACUAAACCCACCUUUAAAGGUGUCAUCCCAGGUGUAGAGGCCCAUUGCACGGGAUCAAUCACACUAGAAGUAGUCUUCGGAUCUCCGGACAACUUCCGAAGCGAGGAGUUAAUCUUUGAUAUCAUCCCAGGUGUAGAGGCCCAUUGCACAGCUGAGGCACAAAGCAGCCUUCCAAGGCAAACCGCCAAUUCAGCGAUAAAACCGCCGGACACCUUCAAGCGAGUCCGGAGCAACCUGCAACAGGACCGCCUGGCACGUUCAGAGCUUGCCUAGCAAUUCGGCCCCCGUCCUAGUCUCAGUCAAGCGACGGAAUAUGUGCCGCGUGUACAUAAUUACGCACUAAAAAUACCAUGGGCAUAGGCGGGGGCACGACCAGGGCACGUCCCACAAUGCGGCUCAACCACCCCAGGGGUUGUAUACCUUUAUCAUUUCUUCUCUUUCAGGACAUUACUCUCUGGAAGCCCUUUCCAGCAGUCCGAUUGCUGGACACAUUAUGGGAAGGAACACCCAAGGAGGCAAGAAGCUAAGAUGUACAAGGGAAUCCUCAGGUGGUCUCUGAUAACAAUCGAAGUACCCAUUUUUAAUACCCAUACGCAGCUUACCCAUGGACAGGACAUGUCAAAUAGUCCUAUUUUUUGCUUAUUGCACUACUUGUAUCAGUACGCUUCAACGUAUUAUUUAAAUAACAAUGCAUAGCAUUAGUCUAUUAUUGCAUUACCCUUCCUUUUUCUUGUCUAUUUUAUUUACGACAACUUGCACCUGUACAUUCUGGUACGACCAGUACGCCAGGGGCUUCAGUAUACCCCAUAAUACGGCGUAAGAAGUCCGAACACUUUCGACAGUGCGGCACCCCGAACUUAUAGCAUUAUAUGCAUCAGCUCCGAAUCAUGUCUUGGGUCAAUAGUUGGGUUUGCCCGGCUCCCAUGUUUUGGUACCUUACGUUCCGCAAUAUCGGCUAAGGUAGCGCUGGGAGAACUACUGCGAUUGUGUCCCGGUUCUUCCGGACAAGCACCUCAGUAGAGAAAGCCGAAAACUGACUGUCAUGAUAAGGCGAGAGCUGGUCGCUGUUCGAGAGGUCUCAAGUCCUUAAAGACUUUUUCCGCUUCGGGCGAGGAGUCGGCCUUGCCCGACUUAGGCGUAUAUAGCGCACCAAAUUCGGCCUUCCGAAUACUAGGGGCUUCGCCAAAAUUUAAAAUUGUAGACUUCUAUGGCUAAGUGAGAGUGAUAAAGCCUUAUAGUCCGAUUGCCUGGUUCGUUGUGCUGAACACCUCCCUCGAAGGACCCAAAAUUGGGAUAAAGAGUGCUCAGGUUUAUCCCGAACACCUCAGUACUAGUUACAUGGGGGCAGAAGGCGACGAAUGGCCAAUUCUCAGAUUUUAUAAACGGCCGCACAAAAGGUAAUAUUUUAAAUUAACAAGCGUUGCAUAGCGCAAAUGAACUCGUUUCACAUUACCGGAUCACAUGAGUACGUUCAUUCAAAUAUUACAUGUUUAGCACAUUCCUCCGCCACAAGGCGGGAACUCUUCAGGACACUGUCAUUUCGGGGUGGCGAUGCUCCUUGCCUUCCGGCGACCCCUCCUUCACCAGCUUUACAGCGUCCAGCUUCGCCCAGUGCACCUUCGCCCGGGCAAAGGCCCUGCAUGCACCCUCGAUGCAGACGGACCGCUUUAUGACUUCAAGCCAUGGGCAGGCAUUCACAAGCCGCCUCACCAGACCGAAGUAGCUGUCAGGCAGGGGAUCGCCAGGCCACAUCCGGACUAUAAGACCCUUCAUGGCCUGUUCGGCCGCCUUGUGGAGCUCGACCAGUUGCUUCAGCUGGUCGCUCAAGGGCAUUGGGUGUUCGGUCCCAGUAUACUGAGACCAGAACAACUUCUCCGUCGAGCUUCGCUCCUCAGCCCGGUAAAACUCCGCGGCAUCCAACACACUGCGGGGAAGAUCUGCGAAUACUCCUGGAGAGCUCCGAACUCGGGUAAGUAAAAGGAAAGUUUCCUUCACAUGCUUGCUUUGCAUAAUGAAUUCUUUACCCGCUGCUAUCUUCUUAACCGCCUCGAUCUCCUGGAGGGCCUUGUGGGCUUCCGCCUUGGCGUUUUGUGCGCUUUCGAGGGCCUUCGCAAGCUCGGACUCUCGUGUCUUAGAGUCAAGCUCCAAGGACUCGUGUUUUCUGGCGAGAGCCUCGAGCUCUUGCUGUACCUCGCCUACCCGAGCUUCUUGCUUUUCUUGCUCGAUGCGCUCCUUGGCCGCUUUGUCUUCGGCCUCGGACAGCGCCUUCUUCAGGGUCGCCACUUCGGUCGUGGCCUCUGGCAAAUUCAUGAUGAUCCUAUUAUUUUACAACUAAAUUUCUUUUUAAUAUAUAGACAUGGUAUCGCUUACCUUUGUUCUCUUCGAACUGCCUCUUGGUAAGGCCGAGCUCUUCCUUGGACCGCUCAAGGUCCUGCUUCAGUGCAGCGACCUCCGCAGUACGUGUGGCAGCGGCCCGCAGUGAAGCCUGCAUAUGCACAUAGACAUAUUCUGAUUAGACUCCUGAGUCAUUAUUUGAUCCUCUAUUCGGCCUUUCUUCACGAACGCCAAACAGAGCAUCAGGGGCUACUGUCUAUCCAGUAAUAUUUUCCUAUAAUUUAGUUACUUACCUGAAAACCUGUUAGGAGGCUGGCACAAGCUUCAGUUAGUCUGCUUUUGGUGGACUGAACCUUCUCGAUAACCGUACUCAUGAUAGUGCGGUGCUCUUCAUCGAUUGAAGCACCGCGAAGCGCUUCCAGCAAGUUGUCCGGUGUCUCUGGAUGGACAGAGGCCACCGGCACGGGCGGCUUGCCCCUCUUAACGGGGGGUCGCCUGACAGAGUCCGGAACCACUGGAGGUUCCAGCGCAGUGUUCGGCUGGAGGCCGAAUUCGGAGCCCAUGGGAGUCUUUCUCCCUUUGCGCCCAGGGUCCGGAAUGUCGCCUCGCGGCGCCUCCAGGACUACCUCCCCUCGGCUCGGUGCCCUUUGAGACAACACCUCGGCGUUGUCCGUAGGGAGAGGGGUGGAGGUGGUCGGAAGUGAAUCGCUAUUCAUAUCCGACGGGUCCAAAGAACCAUCUGACGAAGAUACGUCGAUAUGGGCUCGGGAGGACUGCAUAAUCAUGUUCGGCGUGAUGAGAAGCAGUACAAUAAAACAUACCAUGAAUUGCUAUGGUAUCCGGAUACUUACGACUUCGCUAGGGGCUUGUCCCUGGGCAACCACUCGUCGUCGCUGUAAGAGGCCGUCGUGGAGCAGUCCGGAAGGAGGGUCCUUCCCUUCUUGGACCCUUCGGCCUCCCCGGUUGGGGCGGCUUUCCUUUUCUUGUCUCCCCCGGCUGGGGGGGGAGAACUUUCCUCUUCCUCCUCCUCGUUUUCAUGGGAGGAGUGCGCCUCAGAGUUUUCGGACGAUGAGUCCGAUAUAACCUUGCGCCAGAGACCCUUUCGGGUCCCCGUGGCCUUCUUCUUGGCCUUCUUCACCGGCACCUUGUAAGGCGCCGGAAUUAGCAUCUCCGUUAGGAGAGCAUCUGCAGGAUCUUCAGGCAGGGGGGCUGGGCAAUCGAUCUGCUCCGCUAUCUCUACCCAGUCCUGUUAGAUGGCACGGAGGCUUAGACCCCGCACAUGAUUAAACUGGGGAAAAUAAACAUCCUGUGAGAUAUAAAAAAGUUACCGGAUUGGCAUGGCGCUUUGCGCUGAGUCCGCGGUCCUCGGUAAGGGGAGGAGGUACCUCGUCACCCUUGAAAAGCACCUUCCAGACAUCCUUGUGCGUCGUGUCGAAGAGCUCUCGCAGCGUCUGGUGCUUGGCCGGGUCAAACUCCCACAAACUGAAUGCCCGUCGUUGACACCGGAGGAUCCGGCGGAAGAGCAUGACCUGGACCACGUUGACAAGCUUGAUUUUCUUGCUCAUCAUGUUUCUGAUGCAUUUCUGGAGUCCAGUCAGCUCCACCAAUGAACCCCAGGACAGGCCCUUCUCUUUCCAGGAGGUGAGCCACGUGGGGAUUCCGGAUUGGAAUUCGGGGGCCGCCACCCAGUUGGUGUUGCGCGGCUCGGUGAUGUAGAACCACCCCGAUUGCCACCCCUUUAUGGUCUCCACAUAGGAGCCUUUGCGCCAGGUGACAUUAGGCAUUUUGCCCACCAUGGCGCCUCCACACUCCGCUUGCUGGCCGACCACCACCUUCGGUUUAACAUUGAAGGUCUUCAGCCACAGGCCGAAGUGGGGCCUGAUGCGGAGGAAGGCCUCGCACACGACGAUAAACGCCGAGAUGUUGAGGAUGAAAUUGGGGGCCAGAUCGUGAAAAUCCAGCCCGUAGUAGAACAUGAGCCCGCGGACAAAUGGGUGGAAGGAAAAUCCCAGUCCGCGGACAAAGUGGGUAAGGAAAACCACACUCUCAUGGGGUUCGGGAGUAGGGAUGAUCUGCCCCGCAUCUGGCAGCCGGUGUGCGAUGUCCGCGGACAAAUAUCCGGCUCCCCGUAGCUUUGUGAUGUUCUCCUCCGUGACGGAGGAGACCAUCCACUUGCCUCCCACUCCAGACAUGCUUGGAGUGGCUUGAGGGGAAAAACGCGAACUUGGGUGCUGGAGCUCGAGUGCGCAAGAAUGGAUGAGCAAGGACGAAGAAGGCGUGGGUAAAAAGAGGAAUCCUUGUCCCUUUAUAGGGGCGGAGGAAACUAUAUGCCUCCCCACCUGCCCAGUAAAACUCGCUUAUUCCCCAAGCGCCGUAAUUGAUGGCGCGGUUGGAUUACCCACAUCCGUAUUGAUGAGAAUCCCGUGAUAAGGGGACACGAUCUCUGCUUCGACAAGACGUGCCAAGAAAACCGCCUCGCAAUACGUGCAGUAGCUGCUUGAGAAAAACGGUUCGAAUAAUGACCGGGCCAUGGUAUGAUGUCAUGCUACCAAACGUGUUAGUAGAUUAGAUUUGUGGAAAUAUUAUUCUCUCUACGGUGGUAUGUGGAACUUGUUCAAGAUCUUCUAUGGAGUAUUCGGAGGAAGAACCCGCCUUGCAAUUCUGAAGACAAAUCUGCGUGCCGCACUCAUCGUCAUUGAAGCCUGGUCCAGGGGCUACUGAGGGAGUCCUGGAUUAGGGGGUCCUCGGAUGGCCGGACUAUAUACUUUAGUCGGGCUGUUGGACUAUGAAAAUACAAGAUUGAAGACUUCGUCCCGUGUCCGGAUGGGACUCUCCUUAGCGUGGAAGGCAAGCUUGGCAAUACGGAUAUGUAGAUCUCCUCCCUUGUAACCGACUCUGUGUAACCCUAGCCCCCUCCGGUGUCUAUAUAAACCGGAGGGUUUAGUCCAUAGGACAAGAACAAUCAUACCAUAGGCUAGCUUCUAGGGUUUUAGCCUCUACGAUCUCGUGGUAGAUCAACUCUUGUAAUACUCGUAUCAUCAAGAUCAAUCAAGCAGGAAGUAGGGUAUUACCUCCAUCGAGAGGGCCCGAACCUGGAUAAACAUCGUGUCCCCCGCCUCCUGUUACCAUCCGCCUUAGACGCAUAGUUCGGGACCCCCUACCCGAGAUCCACCGGUUUUGACACCGACAAUAUGUGCCUGUGCCCAUCUUUGAGUUGAUGAGCUCCUGAAUGUGCGGGGCAUACCCACAACUUCUCUUCUGGUCAGCAGCAGUCCUCUUGAUUGUCUCAACAAUCAGGCUCAUAACUUUGAACUUCUGUGGGACAUCAAAUAUAUGCAGCAAGUUGAUGGCAUGUCCUCUGAUCAUCUUGUGAUCACCUGACUUGGGUAGCAGUGUGUGCCUUAAGAUCCAGUUUAUGGUUGGCAGACCAGACAACAAGUAAUGGACAGAUCCAAACCUAUGUGUAUCCAAGGCAGCAUCUGGGAUCUCUUUGUACAUGUUGGCCAUAGUGUUGUGGUCUUUCUUCUUCUCUGCAUAAAUAUCCAAGUCAUCCUCAUGUUCCUUAGGAGCAUUUAUAAGCUUGGCCCAUUCCUCAACUGUAGACUGGUACCUAGUACCCUCAGACAUCCAUACUAUCCUUCCAUCUAGAUAGAAGUGUGAAGUGGAGUAAAACUGCAUGAUGAGCUCAUCAUUCCACUUGGUGAGCUUCUAGGCAAAAAAAGUGUCCACUCCACAUGCCUUGAAGCUAUCAAGCACACCAGGGAAGUGAUCCUCAUUUUCCUUGAUGAAUUCCCAGUCAACCCAUCUCAUAUCACACACAAUGGGCUUCUUGUCAAGCAGAAUAGUCUCAGAAGUCCUGCUGUUCCUUAGUGUGAAAUCUGUAGUCCACAGCAGGCCUUCUCCUGAUAGCAUAUGGAUCAGACUGUCUCCAUAGUCUCAAUCAUGCAUCCUUCCUGAUCUUCAUGUUCUCUGCAAUUGGGUGUGCAUCAGUGUGGUCAGGGAUCUUGGGUUUCAGCUUCCUCAAUACAACAGAAUCAUCUUCUUCUUCUUCAGCAGCUUGAGGCAUUGGGGCCUUGUUCUUCUCUUCUGCAGGGAUGUUCCUAGUGCUUCUCUUGGUUUUUGGCUUUGGAGCUGGAGCAGCAGCCUUGGGAGCAGCUUUGGGCUUAGAUGGAGCAGCCCCUGAUUUGAUUGCAUCUCCCAUGAGCUUCUGAGCUUUGGGUGCUAGUGCAGCAUCCUCUUCCUCUUCUUCUUCAGAAGGUUCUUGCAUCAUGGAGGGCUUUCCAAUGACUCUGGCCAUGGUUUUCUUAACCCUCUCCUUUCUCUUCUUCCCUUUUUCAGCUUCUUCAGCAGCUGAUUUUGAAGCUUCAGUAGUUGAUGAUCUGACUUUUGACAUGGGCUGUCUUCUUGCUGGCAUCUUUGUUUUCAUUCCUGGCUUAGUUGCAGCAGCUGAGCCAUAUUCUUUCUUAAGCACCUUCUUCUUUGAAGUGGCUUCAUCAUCAACAGCCACAUAAUCUUCAUCCUCAGAGUCAGAAGUUCUCUUCUUCCUUAUCCUGGUAGCAACCUUUGGCAGAUUGCUUGGAGUGCUCCUGCUGCCUUCAUCAUAGCUACUAGAGGGAUCUGAGCCCUCACUCAUCUGCACCUGUUGCUCAGACCUGUUCUGACUAUCACUCUGGUCAGACAUCUCUGCAAAUACUCUGAUAGCAGACCCUGUGAAUAGGUUAUAGAUGAGGUAGAGUAGAUGAGCAUCACAAAGUACAGGAGUUUUGCAAAAAGGAUGACUUAAAAACUUAGUUUUAGUUCUUCACAGAAAGCAUUUCGGAGCUACCGAUUUGUAAACUCGGUGAUACCGAAGCAGCUUUUGGAACCUAUACUAGUGAACUCGGUUAGACCGAGUCACAGUUCGGUGGUACCGAGACUGCUACGGUUUCACAGAGAAUCAAACUCGGUCACACCGAUUUGCAAUUUUCGGUCAGACCGAAAACGCAUGUGCUCUGGCCUAAGCCAAAAUCGGUGAGACCGAUUUCUACAAAUCGGUCGGUCUGAGAUGAAUUCGGCGGAGACCUAACCCUAAAUUUUCAAAUCAAAACUAAUCUACGGGAUGUUUUCGCUGGACAGGAUGAUCUCAAUCGUGGCAAGAAUCAUGGCAAAGCAAUGUGCUAAGAAUCGGAGAUAAGGAUUAGCACAAAGUUCAAGUCCGUACCCUAGUUCGGCGACGAACCUGCUACGGCGGCAAUGGCGGUGAAGAUUGCCGUUGACGGCGGCGGAGACCAGUGGCGGGAGGUCGCUAGCGACAAGAGGACGAUCCGGACACCCAAGGAGGCAGAGCAGGUUACGCGCGGGCUAGGAGGUUCGGAAAAAUUUCCAAAAUUUGGCCCGUCGGUAUAUAUAACCUGACCCUGUCGGUGUGACUGAGUGGAACGUCUCGGUGGCACCGAGAUGCAAAACUGCAAGCAGUUACUGCAACUCAGUGUGACCGAAAGGUUCUAAUCGGUUGCACCGAGAUUGAAAACCCUAGAUCAACUUAGUGACUCGAUAGGACCAAAGGGGAUGAAUCGGUCAGACCGAGAUGCACAAAGAGGUUUUGGAGAUUUAAGUCUAUGACGAAUCGGGAACUCUGAGUGCUCCUCACACAGAGUGGUUCGAAUCUGACUUGAUCAAACUUUGUGAUGUAGCAUGAAUAGAGUUUGAGACGAGAAAAGCAUAGAUAGCUAGAGGGAGUUCUUAGGCAUUCUUGUCCAUCCAUUUGGCAAAAGAUAAAGAGCCAAACAAUCAAAACAACAAAUGGAUGUCCUCGAAUGAGUAAAAUAUGCAUUCAACAUGCUCACACAAUAAAAUGGCAAAUGAAAUAUGUGACAAAGCAUGCGCAAACACUCUAGCAUCUAUCAAGCAAUUAGGCGAUGACUAGGUCAUCUAUAUAUGAGUAUAUUUACUUAGGAGUCAAAUGAGAACAUUUGAUCAUAGGUCAUACUUAUCGUUUAAGCACAAGUGGGGUUACCACUUUUACAUAAAGCAUUGUUGUGUUCACACCAUUAGAGUUGCUUUAGCUCAAUUUAUUAGAGUAAAGCUCCCCCUAGAUGUGAUAUCCCCCCCUAAGAGGGAUGAACUAACCUUGGGUUUUGUCGAUGAUGACUUCAUGUAGGUGUUGAAGAUGUAGAUGCUCAAUGUUGAUGUAGAUCAUUCGGAGCAAUCCUUUGGAGUGAGUUGAACUUUCAAUACCUGCACGGGUUAGUCCCACAAGGAACAAACAAGAAUAUCCAUAGACAUAGAGUGAUGCAUACACAAGAUGAUGUCCAUGAAAGCAUUAGGUUUCCUUGUCCCUUGUCUCACCAACAAGAGGGUUUGUGACUCCUUGAACUAGUGCAAGAUACGGAAGUUGUUUGCACUUGUCCUCGCCAAAAUGAUAAGAGUGAAGUAUGUUGGCGGAGUCACCCUCAAGAACUCUCUAGUCCUUCUUCUUCUGGAUCCACACCAUCUUGAUGGGAAUCCUUGGAGUUGUAGUUGUACUUGAUGAAGUAGAACUUGAUGUAGUCUUGGGAACCCACUUGACCAAGGCCUUAGGUGCUUCUUCAAAUGCAUCAAUUUCCUCUUGAAGCUUGUCCUUGCCUUUUUGCUUGUGGUCUUGUGCUGGAAGAUCAUCUUGAGCUUGUGUCCCUUUGAAAGAAGUAGGAUCAUACUUCUCGUGUUGAGGAACAAACUUUGUCUUGGGGUAUUGAUCUUCUUCCCACUCAACUCCAUUGGCAUUGAACUUUCGUUCAAAACCAACACCUUGAUUCUUCCGGUGUCUUCCUUGCUUGCGCACAAUUUCCUCAAAUUUCUUACUUCCGGCAAGGCUCUUGUAAACACCUUUCUCUAUAAUUCCCUUCAAUAAGCUAUUUUCUUGCUCAAGUGUAACUUGGCUAACAACAUUGGAUUUAGCAUGAUUGUUGUUACUACUAGAUGAAGCAUCUUUCUUGUUCUUGUUGCUAGAUUUAACUUGUGGCAUGUAAGUAGACAAGAGUAAACGCUUGGCAAUGUAAGAAGAACUUUUCUUGCGAAGAUCAUCAUUGAGUGCCUUUAAAAACUCAUGCUCUUGCUCAAGGUUGAGCUUUUCAAAGCGUAGCUUAUCAUGAGUCUUUAAAAGUUCUCGAUGAUUUUCCAAGGUAGUUUCAUGAGCUAACUUAAGAGUGUUUAGUUCUUUAGUUAGUUGCUCAAUCUCCUUCUUAUCAUCGUCAUUCGUUUUAUCUUGAUUAGCAUGAUCAAUUGACGUUUCAUCAUAGUCUUCAUCACUAGAGCUGUCAACAAGGAAAUCAUCAUCACCUAGCAAAUCAUCUUCAUCACUAUUGAAAUCAACAUACUCGGGAUGUGUUACCUUUGGACCUUUGGCCAUGAAGCAUCUUCCAAUUCCUUCAUUUGGUGAGUCAAAUAUGUCAUAGGAGUUGGUUGACACAAGUGUUAGACCGGCAACACCUUCAUCUUGAGUAUAUUCGGAGUCGGAGUGAUAACUUCUUUCGGAGUGAUGGUUGGAGUCGGAGCCGGAUACCCAUUCACCAACAUGAGCUUGAUGUCUUCUUUUUGUGUAGCUCCUUGAUGACUUUUCCUUCCUUUCUGAAUCCUUGCUUCUCCGAGAGGGUCUACUCCUCCUUUCUCUUGGUGGUGAUUCUUCUCUUCUACUUCUUCUUUUGGGAGAAUCUUCCCUUCUUUUGUAGGGGGUCGUACACUCAUUGGAGUAGUGUCCGGGUCUUCCACAAUUGUAGCAAUUUCGCUCACGACUAGAAGAUCUUUUGUCAUUGUAGGACCUUGACUUGGAACUUCUUUCUUUGCUUCUACUCUUGUAGAACUUGUUGAAGUUCUUUACCAUUAGGCUCAAUUCUUCAUUUAAGGUCUGUUUCUCACUUGAUGAUGUGGGAGCAUCACACGAGGCUUUGUAAGCACCACUAGACUUGUUGUGAAGCUCUUCCUUAUCCUUGAGUGACAUCUCAUGAGCAACAAUUCUUCCAAUGACUUCCGUUCGCUUGAGAUCUUUGUAAUUGGGCAUCAUUUGGAUCAAUGUGCACACGGUAUCAUAUUUUCCAUCCAAGGCUCUUAGGAUCUUCUUGAUGAUGAAUUUGUUGGUCAUCUCUUCACUUCCUAAGCCGGCAAUCUCAUUUGUGAUGAGAGCAAGCCUAGAGUACAUUUCAGCGGCACCUUCACCAUCCUUCAUUUUGAACUUGUCAAGUUGACUUUGAAGCACAUCCAAUUUGGAUUCCUUGACGGAGUCGGUACCUUCGUGCAUAUCAAUCAAUGUAUCCCAAAUUUCCUUUGCAUUCUCAAGAUGGCUGAUUUUUUUGAAUUCUUCGGGGCCCAAUCCGUUGAAGAGAAUAUCACAAGCUUGAGCAUUGUAUUGUAGCAUCUUCAACUCUUCUGCGGUAGCUUCACGGUUAGGUUCUUUCCCAUCAAAUAAUUCACCUUGCAAGCCAAUACACACAAUAGCCCAAACGGCAGGGUUAUGUCAAAGAAUAUGCAUUUUCAUCUUAUGCUUCCAACUAGCAAAAUUUGUACCAUCAAAGUAAGGACCUCUAUGGUGGUAAUUUCCCUCGCUAGACGCCAUACUCUCCUAGGUUGUGAAACCAAGGCUAUGACCACCAAAAGCUAUGGAAAUCAAAGCAAAUGGAGACCAAUGCUCUGAUACCACUUGUAGGAUCGAAAGUAUGUCUAGAGGGGGGUGAUUAGACUACUUGACCAAAUAAAAAUCUAGCCUUUUCCCAAUUUUAGUUCUUGGCUGAUUUUAGCAACUUAGCACAAGUCAAGCAAUCAACCUACACAUGCAAUUCUAAGAGUAUAGCAGCGGAAUGUAAAACAAUUGCAUAUGAAGGUAAAGGGAAGAGUUUGAGGGAGCAAACGCAAUGUUGACACGGAGAUUUUUUAUCCGUGGUUCCGAUAGGUGGUGCUAUCGUACAUCCACGUUGAUGGAGACUUCAACCCACGAAGGGUAACGGUUGCGCGAGUCCACGGAGGGCUCCACCCACGAAGGGUCCACGAAGAAGCAACCUUGUCUAUCCCACCAUGGUCGUCGCCCACGAAGGACUUGCCUCACUAGGGUAGAUCUUCACGAAGUAGGCGAUCUCCUUGCCCUUACAAACUCCUUGGUUCAACUCCACAAUCUUGACGGAGGCUACCAAGUGACACCUAGCCAAUCUAGGAGACACCACUCUCCAAGAAGUAACAAAUGGUGUGUUGAUGAUGAACUCCUUGCUCUUGUGCUUCAAAUGAUAGUCUCCCCAACACUGAACUCUCUCUCAUAGGAUUGGAUUUGGAAGAAAGAAGAUUUGAGUGAAAAGCAACUUGGGGAAGGCUAGAGAUCAAGAUUUAUGUGGUUGGAAUGGAAUAUCUUGACCUCAACACAAGUGUAGGUGGUUCUCUCUCAGAAAAUAUGUAUUGGAAGUGUAGGCAUGUUCUGAUGGCUCUCUCCACGAAUGAAGAGUGGGUGGAGGGGUAUAUAUAGCCUCCACACAAAAUCUAACCGUUACACAUAAAUCACCAAACUCGGUGAGACCGAUUCAAAGAACUCGGUCAGACCGAUUUGGUUCAUAAUGUGACCGUUAGGCAUUUCGGUGGGACCGACAUGUCAACUCGAUGGGACCGAUAUCAUUAGUGUUAGGGCAUAACAUAAUCUCGGUGAGACCAAUUACACAAACUCGUUGAGACCGAUUUUGGUAAUAGACAAACAGAGAGUUGGUCAGGCAAACUCGGUGGUACCGCGCUCAUCUCGGUUGGACCAAAACGUUACGAAAGGGAAACAGAGAGCUUGCAUUGCAAUCUCAGUGGGACCGAUUGCUCAUUUCGGUUUGACCGAAACGUUACGAAGGGAAACAGAGAGAUUACAAUCCCAUCUCGGUUAGACCGAGAUCCCUAUCGGGAGACCGAAAAGACUAGGGUUUCUGGCAGUGGCUAUGUCAACUGAACUCGGUGCCUCCGGAUAGAAAGAAUCGGUGGGGCCGAGUUGGACUUAUGGUUUGGGACAUAUGUUGAUAUGAGAAAGUAGUGGAGGGUUUUGGAGCAUAUCACUAAGCAUUUUGAGCAAGAACCUCAUUAAGCAACACCUCAUCCCUUCUUAAUAGUAUUGGCUUUUCCUAUAGACUCAAUGUGAUCUUGGAUCAUUAAAAUAGAAAAUGUAGAGUCUUGUGCUUUGAGCUUGAGCCAAUCUUUUGUCCUUAGCAUUUUGAAGGGUCCACUUUCUAAUCCAUGCCAUGCCAAUCAUUGAGCUUUCCUGGAAUAUUUAUCUUGGAAUAGCAUUAGCUCAAUGAGCUAUAUGUUGUUAGGAAUUACCAAAACCACCCAGGGAUAGUUGCACUUUCAAUCUCUCAAAUUUUUCUUUGAGCUCUGGCACCUCUACAAAUCCCUACUUCCCUCUGCGUAGGGCCUUUCUUUUACUUUAUGCAAUUUUUAUUUUCAAUUUGAGUCUCCAUCUUCUCUUAUAUAGCACCAACUAGGAGGCACUAUGGUCGUACUUGAGCAUUCGGUGUAGCUAAUAUGGGAGUGUGUUUCAUGAAUGGAUCGAUGAUUGAGCAUGAUGGGCUAGGGAUAACUUAUUUUAGCAUUGAUAUUUUGAAAGACAUGGUUGCUUGUUGAUAUGCUUGAGUAUUUAAGUCUCAUGUCAAAACUAGACUAUUGCUUUGAACCAUAUAAAAGUCCAAAUGUCCAUGCUAUAAAGAAAAGAAUAUGAUAUGACAUGUUAGGCAGCAUUCCACAUCAAAAAUUCCGUUUUUAUCAUUUACCUACUCGAGGACGAGCAUGAAUUAAGCUUGGGGAUGCUGAUACGUCUCCAACGUAUCUAUAAUUUUUUAUUGUUCCAUGCUGUUAUAUUAUCAUUCUUGGAUGUUUUACAAUCAUUUUAUAGUCAUUUUAUAUCAUUUUUUGGUACUAACCUAUUGACCUAGUGCCAAGUGCUAGUUGUUGUUUUCUGCAUGUUUUUUACAUCACAGGAAAUCAAUACCAACGGAGUCCAAACGCAGUGAAACUUUUUGUGGAUUUUUUGGACCAGAAGACAUCCAGUGGGCCGGAGAAGCACGUGGGGGGUUCUCCGAGGGGAGCACAACCCACCAUGGCGCCCCUAGGGACCCAGGCGCGCCCAGGUGGGUUGUGCCCCCCUCGGGUGCCCCCUGAACCGCCUCUUUGCUCUAUAAAUACCCCAAUAUUCCAGAAACCCUAGGGGAGUCGACGAAAAUCAAUUCCAGCCGCCGCAGAGUACAGAACCACCAGAUCCAAUCUAGACACCAUCACGGAGGGGUGCAUCAUGUCCAUUGGUGCCUCUCCGGUGAUGCGUGAGUAGUUCUUUGUAGACCUACGGGUCCGUAGUUAGUAGCUAGAUGGCUUCCUCUCUCUCGUUAGAUUCUCAAUAUAAUGGUCUCUUGGAGAUCCAUAUGAUGUAACUCUUUUUGCGGUGUGUUUGUUGGGAUCCGAUGAACUUUGAGUUUAUGAUUAGAUCUAUCUUUUUAUCCAUGAAAGUUAUUUGAGUCUUCUUUGAUCUCUUAUAUACAUGAUUGCUUAUAGCCUCAUAUUUCUUCUCCGAUAUUUGGGUUUUGUUUGGCCAACUUGAUCUAUUUAUCUUGCAAUGGCAAGAGGUGCUUUGUAGUGGGUUCGAUCUUACGGUGCUUGAUCCCAGUGACAGAAGGGGAACCGACACGUAUGUAUCGUUGCUACUAAGGAUAAAAUGAUGGGGUAUAUUUCUACAUAAAUAGAUCUUGUCUACAUCAUGUCAUCGUUCUUAUUGCAUUACUCCAUUUUUCCAUGAACUUAAUACACUAGAUGCAUGUUGGAUAGCGGUUGAUGUGUGGAGUAAUAGUAGUAGAUGCAGGCAGGAGUCGGUCUACUAAUCUUGGACGUGAUGCCUAUAUAAUGAUCAUUGCUUGGAUAUCGUCAUGAUUAUUUGAAGUUCUAUCAAUUUCCCAACAGUAAUUUGUUCACCCACCGUUUGCUAUUUUCUCGAGAGAAGCCACUAGUGAAAUCUACGGCCCCCGAGUCUCUUCUUUAUUAUAUUUGCCUUUGUGAUCUAUUUUCUUUUGCUUUUAUUUUCAGAUCUAUUAAACCAAAAAUACAAAAAUACCUUGCUGCACUUUAUUUUAUUUGGUGUUCGAUCUAUCAAUGUUUACAACUCUCUCACGUCCGUUUGCCUAUCUUUGGCGCCGUUGCUCGAAAGGGAUUGACAACCCCUUUAACACGUCGGGUUGCGAGUAUUUGUUAUUUGUGUGCAAGUGUCAUUGACGUAGUGUUGCAUGAUUCUCCUACUGGUUCGAUAAGCUUGGUCUCAUCACUGAGGGAAAUACCUACCGUUGUUGUGCUGCAUCAUCAAUUCCUCUUUGGGGAAAUACCGACGUAGUUCAAGCCAACAUCAAGGACACACCAAAGCUUCCAGGGUUUCCUGUCCAGACACGGAGUCACCUUAUAGCUCGGCCUUGCAGUAGUCGUACAGCAUCCCACCUGUCUGGCCCAUAAGAGAAAGGCCGGCUGCCCGAGGACCCCCUAGUCCAGGACUCCCUCAGGCGCCGCACCGAAGCCAGAGGAGGUGGCUUUCCCGGCCUUCUUCCUCUUCUCCGCCUUGGCCGUGGAAUCUCUCGCAAAAAACAUCGCUGCGGGUGCUCUGAACGCUCGAGCCUGGAGAGGAAUGGAGAGGCCGAGGCAGAUAGAAGGGGAUAUAGGGUCCCGACCUCAGCCCCUAAACCUUUUAUAUCACGGAGCAAAUCAUAUGCCAGAUCUUGUCCAUAGAUCCCCGGAUCGACAGCGCGCGGCAAGGCAUCGCGCAGAACAGACGCUGCACGUGGCAGAUUUUGUGCACGAAAAUCAAGGAGCCGUGCCCCCACUUUCCCCACUAAUGCACGUCGUUACCACUUCUGCGCGCGCACACACAAAUUCAAAUCCCAAGAUUUUCGGGCGAAUCAAUCCGAUUGAUUACCCCCGGUUCCUUUCCUAAACGAUGCAUGUCAGUCCAACUGACCACCCUCCAAGGGGAUUCGUGCACUCGGCCAUGCUAAACACCUGAUUGAAGUAAACUUUAGGAUUGCUAUAAGACGAGCUCGACGCCCCUCCGCGGGUUGACUUGGCCCUUCAACAGGCUCCAAGGCGCAUGACUCGUAAACCUGGACUCGUAGAAGGCCAGCGCUGGCGUUCCCCUGGGAUAAGGAGUGGCAUCUCUCCAGAGAAUCAGGCCUCGCGCCAGCGUCGCCGCUCGAGUUGUUAUGGCAUGCUCUCACUCGGGCCUCAAGUCUAUCUCCCCCGGGAGACAAAUGAAUGCCACCAGGUUUUUCUCGGCGAUCGACAACACCCGGUUAUCUGGGAAAACUUGUAGUCCAGAAUCCAUUGUGUUUUCAUCCAAGGAGCAGCGAACCACGACUCGAAAACAUAUUCCGAGUGCCCUAGAAGCACUCAGACUUAAACAAAGGAUCGGUUCGUUUACCCUAUGAAACCUGAACCGACUCGGGGGCUAAUGAUGAGGUCACCUAUUACAGGUAGGGUCAAGGACCCAUCAUAUGGGACCCACAUGGGGCCCAUCACCACCAUUGGUAGGUCCUAGGACCAUGCCGGCAUUCAGAUGCACAUAUCAGGGAGUCCACUCGGACAGCUCGACAGCACUCGGACAACCACCCGUCACUCGGCUGGACAACCACCACUCAGACUAAAGAGGUGAAGGGACGGCGUGGGAGCUGCAACGGUCGAGGAAUCCUAAGUCGCCCUUGAAGCAGAGUCAAGACUACUGUUACCUAUAACUGAUGUAGUAGAAGCUCAUAAUACCUGUAACUGAUGCAUUCAAUGUCACUUAAUUCCCCGGCGACUGAUGUCUACUAUGCAACUUUAUUCUUGUAGACUCGUGUUGGGCCUCCAAGCACAGAGUUUUGUAGGACAGUAGCAAUUUUCCCUCAAGUGGAUGACCUAAGGUUUAUCAAUCCGUGGGAGGCGUAGGAUGAAGAUGGUCUCGCUCAAGCGACCCUGCAACCAAAUACAAGAAAUCUCUUGUGUCCCCAACACACCCAAUACAAUGGCAAAUUGUAUAGGUGCACUAGUUCGGCGAAGAGAUGGUGAUAAAAGUGUAAUAUGGAUGGUAGAAAUAUAUUUUUACAAUCUGAAUAAAUAAAAACAGCAAGGUAGCAAAUAGUAAACGGGCACAAAAAUGGUAUUGCAAUGCUUAGAAACAAGGCCUAGGGUCCAUACUUUUGCUAGUGCAAUCUCUCAACAAUGCUAAUAUAAUUGGAUCAUAUAACCAUCCCUCAAAGUGCGAUGAAGAAUCAUUCCAAAGUUCCUAUCUAGCGGAGAACAUAAGAAUAAAUUUUUUGUAGGGUACGGAACCACCUCAAAGCUAUUCUUUCCGUUCGAUCUAUUCAAGAGUUCGUACUAACAUAACACAAAGCUAUUCUUUCCAUUCGAUCUAUCCUAGAGUUCGUACUAAUAUAACACCAAAGCAAAUUCAGAUUCAUAAUACUCAAUCCAACAUAAAGAACCUCAAAGAGUGCCCCAAGAUUUCUACCGGAGAAACAAAGACAAGAACGUGCAUCAACCCCUAUGUGUAGAUUACCCCAAUGUCACCUCGGGAAUCCGCGAGUUGAGUGCCAAAACAUAUAUCAAGUGAAUCAAUAUGAUACCCCAUUGUCACCACGAGUAUUCAUAUGCAAGACAUAUAUCAAGUGCUCUCAAAUCCAUAAAAGUAUUCAAUCCGAUAACAACGAAAUCUCAAAGGGAAAAACUCAAUUCAUCACAACAAGAUAGAGAGGGGAAAACACCAUAUGAUCCAACUACAUUAACAAAGCCCACGAUACAUCAAGAUCAUGCCAUAUCAAGAACACGAGAGAGAGAGAGAGAGAGAGAGAGAUUAAACACAUAGCUACUGGUACAAACCCUCAGCCCCGAGGGUGGACUACUCCCUCCUCAUCAUGGUGGCCGCCGGGAUGAUGAAGAUGGCCACCGGUGAUGAUCCCCCCUCCGGCAGGGAGCCGGAAUAGGGUCUAGAUUGGUUUCUCGUGGCUAUAGAGCCUUGCAGCGGUGGAACUUCUCAUCUAGGAUUACCCGAAGGGUUUUGGAAUAUUUGGGAAUUUAUAGGGCGAAGAGGGGGUAUGGGAGGCCACUGAGGUGGGCACAACCCACCCGGGCGCGCCUGGGCCCCCANNNNNNNNNNNNNNNNNNNNNNNNNNNNNNNNNNNNNNNNNNNNNNNNNNNNNNNNNNNNNNNNNNNNNNNNNNNNNNNNNNNNNNNNNNNNNNNNNNNNNNNNNNNNNNNNNNNNNNNNNNNNNNNNNNNNNNNNNNNNNNNNNNNNNNNNNNNNNNNNNNNNNNNNNNNNNNNNNNNNNNNNNNNNNNNNNNNNNNNNNNNNNNNNNNNNNNNNNNNNNCCAUAAAAAUCCACAAAAAGUUUUGCGGUGUUUGGACUCCGUUUGAUAUUGAUUUCCUGCGAUGUAGAAACAAGCAAAAAACAGCAACUAGCACUAGGCACUGGGUCAAUAGGUUAGUCCCAAAAAAUGAUAUAAAGUUGCUAUAAAAUGAUUGUAAAACAUCCAAGAAUGAUAAAAUAACAGCAUGAAUACUUCAUAAAUUAUAGAUACGUUGGAGACGUAUCAGCGACGUGGAGGACAUGGGGCUGCGGUGUACUCUAUAUAAGUUGCCGCCCACCUCCUUAGUGGGGGUCAAGAAAUAUUUGUAACCAUACCCAUCAAAUCAAAACCAAGCCUCAGGGCACGAGACGUAGGGAUGUUUCCUCCUCCAAGAGGGGCUUGAACUCGUUAAACACCGAGUGUUACACCUGCGCCAUAGCUAGGUUCUGCCCCUUAUUCGUACCCCUAGAACUCAUUGUCAGGAUCGUAACCCCGACACCCCCCCCCCCCCGGGUACGCCCGCCGAGCUUGUCGCCAGCUCGUGGCCCUUCUGACCUCCUCCCGAAGCUUCCAGGGUGUCUUGUGGUCCAAUAAAAAUCAUCGUCCAAGAAAAAUCAUCAAAAAGUUUCUUUCCAUUUGGACUCCGUUUGCUAUUGAUUUUCUGUAAAGACAAAAACAAGGAAAAAACAGCAACUAGCACUGGGCACUAGGAUAAUAGGUUAGUCCCAAAAAUGAUAAAAUAGCAUAAUAAUGCAUAUCAAACAUCCAAGAUUGAUAAUAUAAUAGCAUGUAACAAUCAAAAAUUAUAGAUACGUUGGAGACAUUGAAGAAUCCCCCAGCUUAAUUCCUGCUCGUCCUCGAGUAGGUAAAUGAUAAAAACAAAAAAAUUGAUGUGGAAUGCUACCUAACAUGUUUAUCAUGUAAUCUUUUUUUAUGUGGUAUGAAUAUUCAGAUCCAUAUAAGAAUCAAAACAAAAGUUUAAUAUUGACAUAAAAAUAAUAAUACUUCAAGCAUACUAAAAAGCAAUCAUGUCUUUUCGAAAUAUCAUGGCCAAAGAAAGUUAUCCCUACAAAAUCAUAUAGUCUCGUAAUGCUCCAUCUUCUUAACACAAAGUAUUUAUCAUGCACAACCCUGAUGACAAGCCAAGCAAUUGGUUCAUACUUUUAACACGCUUCAACUUUUUCAACUCUCACGCAAUACAUGAGUGUGAGCCAUGGAUAUAGCACUAUGGGGGGAAUAGAGUAUGAUGUUGGAGGUUGUGUGGAGAAGACAAAAAAGAAGAAAGUCUCACAUUGACAAGGCUAAUCAACGGGCUAUGGAGAUGCCCAUCAAUUGAUAUCAAUGCAAGGAGUAGGGAUUGCCAUGCAAUGGAUGCACUAGAGCUAUAAGUGUAUGAAAGCUCAAAAGAAAACUAAGUGAGUGUGCAUCCAACUUGCUUGCUCAUGAAGACCUCGGGCAUUUGAGGAAGCCCAUCAUUGGAAUAUACAAGCCAAAUUCUAUAAUGAAAAAUUCCCAAUAGUAAUAUAUGGAAGUGACAAAAUAGGAGACUCUCUAUCAUGAAGAACAUGGUGCUACUUUGAAGCACAACCACAGAAAAAGAUAGUAACAUUGUCCCUUCUCUCUUUUUCUCUCAUUUUUUCGUUCUUUUUCUGUUUUUUUAUUUUGUUGGGCACUUUGGCCUCUUUUUUUCUUGGGCUCGUUUGGCCUCUUUUUCAUUUUUUAUAUUCCUCACAUAGGACAAUGCUCUAAUAAUGAGUAUGAUCAUCACACUUCUAUUUACUUACAACUCAAGAAUCACAAAUCAAUACUAGAACAAAAAUAUGACUCUAUAUGAAUGCCUCCCGCGGUGUACCGGGAUGUGCAAUGAUCUAGCGUGACAUAUAUAAAAAAUAUGAACGGUGGCGGAGCCACAAAUACUAUGCAAACUAUAUGAUCAUGCAAAGCAAUAUGACAAUGAUGAUAUGUGUCAUAAUAAAAUGGAACGGUGGAAGUUGCAUGGCAAUAUAUCUCAGAAUGGCUAUGGAAAUGCCAUAAUAGGUAGGUAUGGUGGCUGUUUUGAGUCAGAUAUAAGGAGGCUUAUGUGUGAUAGAGUGUAUCAUAUCACGGGGUUUGGAUGUACCGACGAAGUUUGCACCACAACUCGAGGUGAGGGGCAAUGCACGGUACCGAAGAGGCUAGCAAAAUGCAGAAAGGUAAGAGUGCGUAUAAUCCAUGGACUCAACAUUAGUCAUAAAGAACUAACAUACUUAUUGCAAAAGUUUAUUAGCCCUCGAAGCAAAGUGCUACUAUGCAUGCUCCUAGGGGGAUAGAUUGGUAGGAAAAGACCAUCGCUCGUCCCUGAUUGCCACUCAUAAGGAAGACAAUCAAUAAUAAACCAUGCUCCAAUUUCAUAGCAUAACGAGAGACCAUACGUGCAUGCUACGGGAAUCACAAACCUUAACACAAAAUAUUCUUACUAAACCACAAUUACUCACUAGCAUGACUCUAAUAUCACCAUCUUUAUAUCUCAAAACAAAUGCAAUGAAUCAAACUUCUCAUAUAUUCAACGAUCUUGAUGAAAGUUUUUAUUAUAUCCCUCUUGAAUACCCAUCAUAUUAGGACUAAAUUCAUAACCCAAGCAAAUUGCCAUACUAUUUAUAAGACUCUCAAAAUAAUAUAAAUGAGGCACGAGAGUUCAUCAUUUCUUUAAAAUAUAACCACCGCCGUGCUCUAAAAGAUAUAAGUGAAGCACUAGAGCAACUACCUAGCUCAAAAGAUAUAUGUGAAGCUCAAAGAGUAUUCUAAUAAAUUCAGGAAUAAUGUGUGUCCCUCUCAAAAAGGUGUGUCCAGCAAGGAUUAUUGUGGAAAACUAAAAGGCAAAUAAAUCAAAGACUCAUAUAAUACACGACGCUCCAAGCAAAAUUCAUAUCAUGUGGUGAAUAAAAAUAUAGCCCCAAGUAAUUUACCGAUGGAUUGUAGACAAAAGAGGGGAUGCCAUCCGGGGCAUCCCCAAGCUUAGACGCUUGGUUGUCCUUGAAUAUUACCUUGGGGUGCCUUGGGCACCCCCAAGCUUAGGCUCUUGCCACUCCUUAUUCCUUAGCCCAUCAAAACUUCACUCAAAACUUGAAAACUUCACAACACAAAACUCAACAGAAAACUCAUGAGAUCCAUUAGGAUAAUAAAACAAAUCACCACUUUUGAUACUGUUGUAAACUCAUUCAAAUUUCAUAUUAGCAUUAUAUCUACUGUAUUCUAACUUCACCAUGGUUCGUGCCCCCCGAUAUUACCCAUAGAUUCAUCAAAACAAGAGAACAACUCAAUGAAAACAGAAUCGGUCAAAAACAGAAUAGUCUAUAAUAACCUAAAUAUUGCUCACUACUGUAACUCUAAAAAUUCUGAAAAAUUAGGACAACGUGGGCAAUUUGUGUAUCAAUCUUGUGUAAAACAUUCAAAGUAAAAACACGUUUUUGUGAAUUUACAAAAUUCCAGAACUGGACGCAGAAGUUUCUCUUUUUCACAGAAUCAAAUCAACUAACUUCCAAAUCAUCCCAAAGGUCUUACUUGGCACAAACACUAAUUAAAAUACUAAAACACAAUCAUAACAGUAGCAUAAUUGCAUAAACUCAUAAAACAGAAAAGAGAGAUAUUGGGUUGUCUCCCAACAAGCGCUUUUCUUUAAAGCCCUUUUAGCUAGGCAUUGAUAAUUUUAAUGAUGCUCACAUGAAAGAUAAGAAUUGAAGCACAAAGAGAGCAUCAUAUAGCAUGUUAAAAUUAGAUUUAGUUCUAACAUACUUCCUAUGCAUAGGCAUUUUAUAAGAAAAUGAAUUAUCAAAACAAGCAAAAACUAGCAUAAGCAAGGAAGAAGAAUAAACAUUGACAAUCUCAACAUGAAGAGAGGUAAUUUAGUAACAUGAAAAUUUCUACAACCAUAUUUCCCUCUCUCAUAAUAAUUACAUGUGGGAUCAUAUUCAAAUUCAACAAUAUAGCUAUCACAUAACAUAUUCUCUACAUGAUCCACAUGCAUGCAAAGUUGACACUCUUCCACUAUAGUGGGAUUAUCGUCAGAUAAAGUCAUGACCUCUCCAAGCCCACUUUUAUCAAAAAAUUCAUAAGAUUGAUCAUUCUCCAAAGUAGUAGGAUCAUUAUUACCUAGAGUUGACACUCUUCCGAACCCACUUACACUAUUAUCGCAAACAUAUUCAUCAUGAGGCUUAAAUAAAUUUUCAAGAUCAUAAGUAGAAUCACCCCAAUCAUGAUCAUUGCAAUAAGUAGUGGACAUAUCAAAAUUAGCAUCCCCAAGAUUGGGGUUUUGCAUAUUAUUAGCACAAUUGACAUUAAUAGAAUUUGUAAUAACACCAUUGCAAUCAUGCUUUUCAUUCAAGGACUAUCGUUAAUCACUUCAUAAAUUUCCUCUUUUAGCACUUCAUCACAAUUUUCAAAUUCACGAAUUUCAAGCAAAACUUCAUAAAGAUAAUCUAGUGCACUCAACUCACUAGCAAUUGGUUCAUCAUAGUUGGAUCUCUUAAAAAUAUUAGCAAGUGGAUGAGGAUCCAUAAAUUUUUUGCUUCUGAUUUGGAAUAAACAUACAAUUAUGCCAAGCGAACAAGCAAACAAACCAAGUAAGACAUAAAGGCAAAUGGAAAGAAGGCAAAUAAAAAGGCAAAUAUUUUUGUAUUCUCUGAAAAAUGUUUUAGAAGUGGGUGACAGGAAAACGAGAGGCAAAUGGAUAAUAAUGUAAAUGCAAGAGAUGAGAGUUUAUGAUAGGUACUUGGUAGGCUUGAUGUAGAUCCUCCCCGGCAACGGCGCCAGAAGUUCUUCCUGCUACUUCUUGAGCUUGCGUUGGUUUUUCCCUUGAAGAGGAAAGGGUGAUGCAGCAAAGUACAGAUAAGUAUUUCCCUCAGUUAAGAACCAAUGUAUCAAUCAAGUAGGAGGAACACAAGUCUCCAAUGAUAGCACCUACACAAACAAACAAAUACUUGCACCCAACGCGAUAAAGGGGUUGUCAAUCCCUUCAUGGUUACGCAAGGAUGAGAUCUGAUAGUGAUAGAUAUAAAAGAUAGGUAAAAGUGCAAAAUAAAAUAAAAGUAAAUAAAUUGCAGCAAGGUAUUUUUGGGUUUUUGACUUUGUAGAUCUGAAAAUAAUAUGAUAAAAGAUAAACCCCGGGCCAUAGUUUUCACUAGAGGCUGCUCUCUUGAAAGAAAGCAUACGGUGGGUAAACAAAUUACUGUUGAGCAAUUGAUAGAAAAGGGGAUAAUUAUGAAGAUAUCUAAGGCAAUGAUCAUAUAUAUAGGCAUCACGUCCGAGACAAGUAGACCGACUCAUGUCUGCAUCUACUACUAUUACUCCACACAUCGACCGUUAUCUAGCAUGCAUCUAGUGUAUUAAGUUAACAAGAACGGAGUCACUACAAAAAAAGACACAUCCAUGAUAUUUUGGGCCGAAUGAACUUUUUUUCUGUCAUGCUUAUGACACUUCUAUGACGAUAAUUGUGACAAAACCCGGUAUCAUCAUAGAUGUGGUGGGCUCCUACUUCUAUGACAAAAAAUCAUGACAGAAAAUGGGCUUUUCGUCCUGGGCGGGCCGGACAUGCAGCUGCAUGACAUUCUUUGGGCCAUCCAUGACGGAAAAAAACCAUGGUAGAAGCGAGGGCGAGGAAAAUAUCGGGGAGUUCCCGGUUACGGUGGGUGGUUGGGGGUCGAGCGAUGCGCGUUUCUCUCGUACACAUACGAGCGUGGGUGCGAGGCGUUUGGCUCUAACUGAACCCGAGCGAGGCGUUCGCCUACUGAACCCGAGCGAUUGCACUAUAGGCUACGCGUUAUUGAACCCGAGCAAUCAAUCGAUGGCUGUUAACUGAACCCGAUCGAGCGAUUCCUUCACUACUGCUGCUAACUGAAGUCGAUCGAACCCUGCUGCCUCCUUCCCUUGAUGAACAGUGAGUGUUGUUGGGGGGUUGGAUGAACAGUUCCCGGUGUGGGGUUGGAUGAACAGGACCCCGUGGUGUUGCCGCUGGAUGAACAGGACCCCGAUCGAUCGAGCCGGUUAGGCGUGGAUGAACAGGACCCCGUGGAGGGCUGGAUGAACAGGACCCCGUGGAGGGAUGGUUGAACAGUAGCCGGUGGAGGGCUGGUUGAACAGUAGCAGGUGGAGGGCUAGAUGAACAGUAGCCCGUGGAGGGGUGGUUGAACAGGACCCCGUGGAGAGGGCUGGUUGAAUAGUAGCUGGUGGAGGAGCGGUGGAGGCUGGAUGAAUAGGAGCCCGUGGAUGAACAGUCGCAGGUGGAGGCUGGAGGAGGUCGACGGUGGAUGAACAGUAGCCCAUGGAGGCAGUUGACGGUGGAGAUGAAUAGUAUCCCGUGGAGUCCCGUUUUGCGGUACGCCACACCCCUCCCGAUGAACAGGACCCCGUUUCGACCGUAGGAGGCCCAAGAGAAGUCCGUUUCCUCCAUUUUGCGGUACGCCAGACCCCUCCCGAUGAACAGGAUCCCGUUUUGACCGUGGCCGGUCGAACACAAGGCCAUUUCCUCCGUUCUGCGGUACGCCAGGCUUCGUUUCAAUCGGCUGUUCCGUCCAAGCCGGUUGGCUCCCGAUGAACACGACGUAUUCCGUUGCCUACCGAUGAACACGACGCAUUCCGUUGCCACCCGAUGAACACGAAGACGACGUAGUUUCUCCAUUCCGACCCAGCCAUGUGUGCGAGCCCUGGCCGUACAUAUGCACGAGUAGGCGUUUGAGACCCCGCCCGUAUGUACGUACGUGGCCGUAUUUUUUGGCGUGGGGUUGUAUGUACGUGUACACAGUUUAGACGGGGCAACCUGAACUGCUACGUGGGGGGCUCUACUAUGACAUGUGCCGCUACUUACUCGGCCAUGGUUCAUCGUUACAGAGCGACCGAUCGACCAGUAUGUACGUACACAUUCCGGCAAGACAGAAAACGGUACGUACGCUUCGACCGCGUGGGUCCCAGCUCUCAGGGAGGAUAAGGACGCACUUCCUUGCGUGCGAAGAUAUAGCUGCUAGGUCCCAGCUGUCAGGGGGUUUUUUUCCGUAAUAAGGACGCACUUCCUUGCGUGCGAAGAUGUAGCUGGUGGGUCCCAGCAGUCAGGGGGAGAAAAUAUUAUUUUUCAGGGUAAAAAGGAUGCAGUUGCAUGCAUGCAUCCAUGGGCGUGGUGUGUCCCCACUGUUAGCCUCUCACGUACAGUCAUCUUCCGAUGACUCUUGUUUGUUGACCAUGUUGACCACACCGUGCCGGGCGCACCAAGGCCGGUGGACGACGGCGAGGCCCUAGACUGGAACGACCCAGAGAUGGGGAAGACGCGGCAGUGGAGUCGCAGAUGCAGAGGAGUGGGAAACUUGACUGGUUCGGGUGCGCGGCAGCACUGCCGCCCAAGGGCGAUAGGAGCAAGAACAGAGGUUGAAGAAGGAGCACGGCUAUUGGAUUAACAUCCAACGGUCAGCUGCUAGAAUCAUUUGUUGAUUAAGUAGACAAAGCCCUGCGUACAAGUCCGCUUAGUAGGCCCACAAGUCAGACACCAAAUCUGACGAGUCCCAGCUGUCAACGGGAGGAAUGGUUUUUUUUUUUUGCAUAACAAGGAGGCACUUCCUUCCGUGCGAAGAUACAGCCGGUGGGUCCCAGCUGUCAGGGGGAGGAAACAUUUUUUUCAGCUUAAUAAGGAGGAACUUUCCUUGCAUGAGACCAUGGACCUCGUGGGUCCCAGCCGUCAGGCUCUCCACGUACAGUCCUCUUCCGAUGACUCUUGUUUGUUGACCACGCCGCGCCGAGCGCAGCGAGGUGGUGGACAACAGCGAGGCCCCGUACGGGAACGACCCGGAGAUAGGAAGACGCGGAAGUGGAGUCGCAGAUUGAGAGGAGUAGAAGGGUUAUAACUAGUUCUGGUGCCGCGUGGGGCUGCAGUCGGUGGAGAAUAACAGGAGGUGUGGAGGGGCGGAGGGAUAGCCCGGCCGGCGGUGGGGUAGCGCUUCGCAACAAUGCGUGCUAAGCAAAGCCGCUAGCCGCCGGAGGCCAGACCAGGCGGUCCCGGCGAUGCUGGAGGAAGAAGACGAGAGAUUGAUGGUGCAUGCCGGCCGUUGGAUAUAAAUCCAAUGGAUGUGGAUGUCAUAAUCAUUUUUUGACCAAGUUGACAACGCCCUGCGUAGGCUUCGACCUAUUGGCCCACAUGUCAGCAUGCAAAAAUGUGGCAUAUAUUUAACCCAUGUUUUCUAGAAUGUACAAUCCAUUUGCUGGGCUGGGUGAACAAAUAAUUUCGCGUCAAUGCGGUCCAUUUAAUAUUUUCUAAGAAAUCCCAGCCCAUUUGCACUUUCUUGAAAUACAUGAAUUAGCUGGGCUCAUUCUAUAUGUAAUGUUAGGUUAGAAGGUGCAAUUAAUAUCAAAAAAUAAACAGAAGCGGCACAUUUUUUAUAUAUAAUAUUAACAAAUUAGCGAGUUAUUGCUCAAAAUAAAAAUGAGCGCGUUAUUAUUACAUUGGUCCUUAAAAAUCUUCGCAAGCUUUUGUACGCAAUCACCAGGAUUUUCCUUGCCUGUGAGUCAAAAACAACCAGGAUUUAUCUUGCCAACAUCUGUUAAACAUUUACUUUUAUAAGUUAAUAACAUGUGGGAUGUUUUUAUAAUGUAUAUAUAAGUCUCUAUAAAAUAUACGAUAAUCGUAAUAGUAUAAAUAUAUAUAAUGUGGUUAGAAGGCAAAACAUAAAUUGGACACAGCAUUAUUAUUCUUAUAUAUAAAUAAAUAGAACAAAGAUUUGUGUUUUAUUGAUAAAAAACAUUGGGCUGCCAAUCUUUAAGAAAAAGUAAAACCUACGCUGGGAGGCCUAUAGGCCGGUAUGGACCUCAAAAAAUAAGUUGAAACCACUGUCUCCGUAUGUCGUGGGCUACGCAUGUUAAAAAACAAAACCUAGGCCUAGCUGAUACUUGUUCGCCCUCUACAAAAAAAUGAUACCAGCUAGAUCCCCGAGCGAACUGGAUUAAAGAGGGGGCCGGCGGCGCGACUAAAGAAGCACAUCAGACGCGAUUGUUUUUCUUCGGUGGAUGGCUCUCGAUGGCUUUUUUUACUUGCCUCUUCACCAUACAACUUGUAUUUUUAGCCUCCCAGUCCGUGGUGGACCAGCAACCCAUUUGCUGGGCGGGCCAACCUACAGAAACCAGCACUCAAUUUUUCAUCAAGCCCCAAAAACAGUGCAGUACUAUGUUUGUUUUGAGGCCGAAAACAUUACGGCAGGAGUUGAGCGGGGGAGGGGGGAAGAUAGAGCAAAAAGAUUAAAAAGAGCUGAUGCGCCGUUGCUACCCUAACAAAGCAGGUGCAAUUCUUCUCGGGAAGAAGGUGUGCCGUUGACACCCACACGUCACAAAUCCCAUAGUAGACAUACUAACAAGUUCACACACAAGUACAACAGAAAAGGUAAACAUUCAUAUCAAACUCAGGUUCACAGGACACGUUCAUAUUCAUAGCCAACAUUCACAAUCAACAACUCAAAAGAUUCAUAUAUACACAAGUUCAGCAUGUCUAUGCAUCCAAAUGAUUAAUAAAUCACACGACAAUAUUCAUAGAUAAUUCACAAAAAGAUUCAGAUAUACACAUGUUCAGUAUGUUUAUGCAUCCAAAUGAUUAAGAUCAUAGCCAAUAUCAUCCAUGGACGAACUUUAAUUACCUAGGGUACAGACUGGUAAAUGGUGUUCAGUCGGAGGUACUUCUUGCUAAAAUUAAUGCUUGUACGAGUAAACUUUUGAGUACAUAAGAGGCAGCACAGACAAUCUGAACUUUGCUUGUAGGUUUAUCCUCAAAUAGUGGCCUUGUGCCGAGGGAGGUUUGAGCAACUUGCCCACUACUUUCAUCCAACUAGUUUACUAGCUCAUCUUGGUCCUGUAGCUCGCCAAAAUUCUACAUUGCAGACAAGAAAGGAGGCGGUUGAGAAAAUGAACCACCCAAAUUUGUUGUGCAAUUCAACUGAAAUGGAGCAUCCCUGGCGUGCACCCUGAUUAAGUGUCAGAUGAAUAUACGCGUCAACCAACUUGUUUGGAAUCUUUAGACUCCAUGCCAUACAGUUCGCUACCAUAUGUGCCGAUAACCAAAAGGCACAAGUUGGGACCAAAGACUGGACUGCGUUUUUCUGGGCUAUGCGCCAAGCAAUAUUUGUGGCGGGUUAAUGCCGGUUGAUACUCGAAUGAAUAUAGGCACUUCUUCUUGUGAACAUCGAUGCUUGUCUGAGUGAACUUUGGAGUACAUAGCAGCAGCAUAAGUAUCUGUCCAUCUGAUCUUUUUGUGCAGUUCUACUGAAAUCGCCCAAUGUAAUGAUUUGCCUGCGAGUUCAGGCUCCAAGUUACUCCUUUAUGAAAUCGGCAAACAGUAGCACAAUACCAAAUUACCAAUACAUAUGACAAGCACAAUAAUCAGGAUAAAGACUAGUACCAACCUGUGUGAGGUAGCAUAUCAAUUACUAUUUCCUUUGACUGGAAGCCGAGAUAAAUGAAGCGACUGACAGUAAAGGAAGGAAGGAAGCCGAGAUAAGCGACUGACAGGAAAGGAAGGAAGCUGUCGAGGCAAUGAAGCGCCCAAAGUUUUUGUGCAGUUCCACCAAAAUCGAGCAUCCCUGUUGGCACAUAUAUUGAGAGAGUGAGAUUACUGUAAUAGUGGGACUAGUUGAUGAAACAUACACUAACAAAUAGAAGCACCCUCAUUAUCUUAAUGGGUAAAGUUAGCAACAUAGUAGUCUUGCUUGAAGAGAGGUAUUAGUUUAUUUAAUCAGUGCCAAUUAGCUCAACACUCAAAGCAUUGCCAUGUAUCAUAGGUUGCAAAACUUUAACGUGCAAGGAUAAAGGAGUUUCUCAUGACUAUUGCACAAUACAAAUAGAGAUGAUAGCAAACUAAUAUGGAUGAAGGCCUUAGGCCGGUACCAACCUGAGCAAAAAAACUUAUUCAUGUAGUCCCAGAAGAUAUGAUAAAGCACUCACUGGAAUCACUCGAUAGUAUAUAUUUUUGUGCACUUCAAAUGUAUGGUUGAAAUCACUCUUGUUUACCAGUGCUGAGAUUAUAUCGAAAGAUUAUCAAGAACUUUCAGCAGAGUUAAAGCACUGGCUGGGAUACAGUUCAUUGUAUUGUCUUGUGUAGUUCCACUAAAAUGUAUGAUUGGCACAACAUGAUCCCUGUUUGCACAAGUAGGAACAAGGUGAAACCUUCAUUAGCUUAGUGAGAAAGGAUAGAAAGACAUUAGCAUAUUACUCUAAUAGUAGCAUCAAAUUCAUGAUAGACAAUACGCAAAACAUUGCCUCAUUGAACCAAUGGCAAUAAAUUGACAUGCAAAACAAUAGCACUAUUAUUUCAUGACACUACGCAGAUUCCCUCCCUGCUCCACCACAUGAUUCACCUCCACAGACACACAUACACACGUACAUGAUUCAGCAUAGGGUGCUACUAAAGAUUUGUUUAACUCUGACAGGAAAAUUAGGUAGCAAUAAAUUAGUGGUGCUUAAGUACUCCUAAUUAAUUAAGUGACCUUGCAGGAGAGACAACAGAAGUGGAAGGGCUCCCUGGAGGAUCGUCUCACAUGUAAGGUAGACAUUGCUGGAGCCCUUGAAUGGCCUCGACUGAGCCCUCGGGCUUCAGCAAGAUCACCUUGGCACUGUUGAUCGUGUAGAGCUGGGUCACAUAUGCAUCCAGAAUCCAGUUAAUUAGUAUGAUGUGUCGUCAACCCAAGUACUACUCUGCUGCAUUUCUCCAUCUAUCUCUACUCUACUCUACUUUACUUCUCUUAUAAAAAAAUAGAGUUGGUGAUGAUGGUGUGCCUGCCAUCCUACAAUAUAUGCCGUCUGAUUUAUAUCUGACGGAUAGGAAGGAAACUAUGGCAAUUUUGCAAAAAGGUACCCACAGCCCUCUCCACAUUUGCAAAUAAGGCCUUCCCUCGUUCAUCCUUUUCUCUCACAAGAUAAACUACUCAUACAAAUGCAUCUUGAUGUUAUGUGCAACGCACGGGCAUCUUGCUAGUCUUCCAAGUAAAUUAACACUAGUAGCAACACAGAAAUACAAUACCACUAGCAAAAUGUCAGGAUAACAUAGGACGGUACCAUCGUGUGAUCUCCAUUUCCUCUUUAUUCUUCUUCUUCCUCCUCUUCAUGCUCUGUUUCUCUUUCUCCUCAACAGUUGGUGAAACCAAGUACAUGAUUGGCCUUCUAUUUCAAAUUGGUUUUGUCAGUGAGGGAGUACAAGUGUACUAGUAAACAAUAGCAUUAUUUUCUCAUGGCAGUCGCAAAAUAGAGAUGAACACAUGCAUUAAAUAUCAUUCUUACCUAAAGGAAAGUUAUGGUGCCAAUAUGGAUGAUGAGGAUUGGAACACAGAUCUCCCUUUGUGCAGUUCCACCGAAAUGAACCAACUGUUCCAUUCUGACAUUCCAGUUAAACAGCACAAAAGUCACUUCUUUUAAGAAGUGUUUUGUGCAGUGCACCAAAAGGUCACAACAGCAACCAGGUGAAAUGGAUAUCCCUGUUUGCACAAAAAACUACAGAGGAAACAGUCAGAGUCUCAAACAAUUACAGGCAAAAACAUUUGGGUAAACUUGUCAUCGCUUAUAACAGUGGCAUGGCUUCAUUUUACCAGGGGCAUUAGAUUAAGAAUAGCUAAAUAUUUGGUAUAAGGGAAUGGGACAGUGGGCGCACCAGCAGCCCAGCACCAUGUACCUAAACUGGGGCAUAAACUGGUGAUUCAGAGUUUGUUGCCCCGAGAAACAAACAUCCAAGAAACAUAUCUGGGUUGGUCCCAUUUUUGUUCACUCUAGCCACCUACUCCUAUGUGUGGAUAGCAAAUCUAGUCCUGUUCAUACCACUGUGUACAGCAUUUCCCCUAUAUUUCCCUUUUCGACCAAGAGACCGGUUGGAUGACUAGUCUGUACUACUUUCACCCCCUUUCCUUCAUGUUUGUACCAAGUCCGAUGUACAUACUAAAUUCCCCCACCCCCACUUUAUUUCUUGUUUGAACCAAGUACAAGAUUUGACUCCAUGAAGUAGCUUUACCUCUAACAAUAGAGAAAAAAAUAGGUGACGUUGGACCAUCCGAUCGAGAGGGGCUGAGAGGUAGAAAAUGAUGCACAUGCAGCGACGUAGCAAGCUGGGGAAGUAGAGCUAGGGCGGUUUCGAAGGAAGAUAUACCUGAAGGUCAUCGGGAUGUGGAUAGGUGGGUGGCAGGAGGCCGGAUCCGCCCACACUAGGGCAACGACGAAGGGAUCGGAGGACCUCCCGCAUCGGCGCUCGGCUAGAGAUAACGGUGCGGCCGACAGUGGGUCUCCUCCCUCGCUGUCGACGACGGCCUAAAUGCUGCCCCUCCUCCCCUUCACCGGCGGAGGGGGAUACGUCCGAAUCUGUAACCAACGGUGAGGAUAGAAAGACAAUGUUACCACCGCUAUCUUGUUUAGAUCUGGAGAGGAUGAGAGUGUGUGAAUAGAGCAACCCUAGCAAGCAAGCGCGGAUGCUCCGGGCUAUAUAUGCACGUAGUGGGGUAGUUUUCCUUUUUCACUCCAUCAAAACAAUCGUUUAAAAUUGUGUGCGUGCCAGGUCACCGUUUUUUCUUGAGUUGUUGAUUGUUUUUUGAGAUAGCUACCCGCUUAUUCCAAGUGGUGUUACGGUGUGCCAGCUCGCACUUUGUAUCGUUCAAGUCUGGUACAAGACCCUCCAUUAAAUGAACAACCACCGCCUCAUAAAAUUUGGGAACAAGCCCACGGCUAAAAUUAUCAAAAACGUGGGCUGCCCCAACAUGCAUUAUUAUUUAUAUUUUCUAUGUCGGAGUAUCCUCAAAACAAAAUGUGAGAGUACAAUAUUUAUUGGGCCCCUUUGUAAUUGGUGCUAAAUUUUGACCAAAGAUUUAACUGACAAAAUGUUAGUGCAUAUUAACAAAAAUUAUAUCGUUUGAAUCGUAUUUCAACAUAUUUUUCAAUGAUGUAAUUUUUUGUGAUAUGCAUGAACAUUUGGUUAGUUAAAUUUAUAGUCAAAAUUUGGCAAGGUGCAUUAAAUCAACACAUGCAAGUAUCAAAAGGAAAGUAACGCCAUGCAUGCAUGCGUUGUAAUUAAUGCAUCGGUAAACGCAAAUUAUUGAAAUAUAUCGAGUGCAGUGCUUUGAUGUGUCGCGUCAACUCAUACAACAACGAGAAGUUUGAUUACUACAACGCCCUCUGCCUCGCGGACUGAGCUCCGGUGCCUUAACUGCACCUGCCUUUGGCUGUAUGACAAGUGGACCACCCACCUGUUGGGCCCACCUGUGAUACACGCAAAGGCAAGAGCAGUAAGUCAAUGAAGCUGUGUCCCUCCCUCGCCCAUGAGCAUGGUGGCUGGCAGGACUAGGAGAAGCUUUUGCUACACGCUCUCCCUCCCGCACGCGGUGGACAUGCAGCUGUUCAUUCGGUGUCAGAUGACCAGAAGUAUAAUGUAGUACUCCUCCACUGCAGUAGCACUCCAUCAUUGUUCGACUUCCCGAAGAGGCGAAGAGCCAAGCGCAGCCCGGACGCUCAUGUGGCAGUUUCAUGUGUAGAGUAGUCUAGGAUAGCGUGUACCAUGCCUGUAAGCUUAAAAUUGUUGGGGUCGGCUCCAUGCUAUGAGGCCGUCUCGAAGCAUUUUUUGGUUGAUUAAAAUAAUCUUUUGGACCUACCUGUCAUCCUAGUGAUUGUAGUUUGCACGCUCAUCUGGUCAAGACAGGAAUAUAUAUUUUAAUUUGUAGUGGGGUAAAUGUUAGAGGUUGCAGCAAACAUAUUGUACAUUGCGGGUCUUUCAGCCAAGUUUAGAGGCAAGCAUGUGGGGCCAGUGCUAUGAUGUGUCGCGUCAACUUGUACAACGAGGAGAAGCAUGAUUUUACUACUACACGCCUUCUCCCUCGCCCAUGCGCGCGGUGGCUCGCAGACGAGGAUGGGCUUUAAAUUAUACUACAACAAGCUAUCCCUCCCGCACACGGUGGACGGACAUGCGUCAGGGGAUUCGAUACUGUAGAAGUAGUAGUAACAUCAUUGUUCAUCUUCUCGAAGAGGCGAAGAGCCAAGCGAAACCCGAACGUGGUAGUUGCGAACGCUUGCCUGGCAGUCUUUGUGUACGGGUGGGGCGUGGUGCGGAGCCUUGGAGUACGCAUAUAGCCAGGCUCUUGCAUGAGAAAAAAUUGCUAUUUGAGCCCACUAUUUUAGUACACUACUUGCUAGUAUAGCCCUGUAAACUGGAAAGGAGUAUUUGCCUUUCUAGAGAUCUCAAUAAGUGACUAGACUACACCCUAAACGAGUAGUACAUAUGGAGCAAAAUGAGUGAAUCUACACCGUAAAUAAAUACGUAGUUCUCUCGUUUUCCUCUCCGCCUUGGUCGCGGUGCACAAUAUUGAGUACUCCUAUAUGACUAGUCGCUCUAUCUACAUGCGCGACAUCAAAGCAUCCGGGCCUGCGUGCCAUCCACCAAAUCACAGCGAGGUGCUACAGUCGAGACUCACCAGUCACCCCGGUGUGGCCGUCAUGACCCGUCAUAUCACAAAACCCACACCUUUACCAGCAGUGGUAAAGUGGCCUCAAAGUUGGACUGGAUGAAGCAACCAUCAUUUCCCUGUAACGCUCGUUGAAGCCCUUUCUCCCCUUUCUUGAAGAAAACCUCACUCCAGGCUACUCACUUCUGCCAUUUUUCUUCUGUACCGACAAAGGAAAGGUGGGCGAAUCAGUGAUGCUACUAUAUUUUCAUUCCAAGAAUCUUCUUUUCGGGAAGCACCGACCGAUUCUCAUAGCCUAUUCUUUUCCCGUUUUCAUUGCGAUUGUGCUUUCCUUUCGAUUGCUUUUUGUUUGUCAGUUCAUUCCUGAUGGAUCCUGGAGCACUAGGCAAAGAUUUGCCGGCAGACAACCCACUGGAGACAGCGAUCUCCAGGAAGCGAGCACCAACCAACGAGUUGACCAUGUUGGUGGGCCAACCCAUGGAGACGAAGAACUCCAAGAAACAAGCACUGGACAAAGAGUUUAUGACAUUGGCCGAUGAACUCCUCAAAGAAAGCUGGAAGAACAGCAAGGGCCCCACCGUGCCUACCCCAGAAACUCUAAUGGCCACCUAUGCGAGGCUCAAGGCCGAGUUUGAGGAGAUAGUCUCCGUUGAGAAGCAGUAUUCCCCUGGCAAGGUGAUGGCCCCAUCGAGGACGAGGAGAUGGCCUCCGGAGGGAUGGGAUCCCCCGGUGAGCUACACAAGGUAAAAAAAUAAUGGCUUACCAUAGUUGUGGUUUUUGAUUAUUUGCAAUGUGCUUGCUAAUAUGUUAGGGUUGUGCAGGUGCCGGUGGACGUCCUUGAUGAUUCCGAUGUCGUGGCCCGUCCUGUGGACAACGCCCCAGAGAUCGUUUUCGAUGUCGCGGUCCGUUCUGUUGACAUCGCCCCAAAGAAUGAUUCCGAUGCCGCUUUCCAUCCUAUGGACAUUGCCCAGAGAUCAAUUCCGAUGUCACAGUCCGUCCUGUGUACAUCGCCCCAGAGAUCGAUUCCCAUGCCGUUGUCUGUGUUGUGUUCAUUGCCCGAGAGAUCGAUGACAAGAAAUAGUUGGUCAUGCUAAUCCUUCAAGGUAGUUUGCAUUGUGUUUAAUUACCAAAACAAUGUGUGUUAUCAAACCAUCUUAGGGCUAGUGCAUUGUCUUGUGUGGGCGGUACUUGCUACUUUUGUUUGAUAGUGAAUCAUGUGAACCCUCUCCGAGUUAUGGAAACAGAUGUAUCCUCACCAGCUUUUGAUGUAAUAUAUGGCAUGCUUAGAUGUAAGUUUGAACUGUUUAUCAUAUCAGCAGGGCUUGUUUGAUGAUUCUUGGUGUUAGUAGGCUAGCUACUGUGCGAGCUAUAGUACUUGCAAAACACUCACCGAAGAGAAAUGUUGGGGCUGAUGAGCUCCUGGUAUGCUUAUACUGAUCCCUCGUCGAUCGGCCAAUAGCCCAAGCUCCUAAAAUUGUAGGCUUAGCGAUCGAUCAGACAAUAGUCGACACGGAUACAUUCAGGCCUCAUUUGGUUCAUAAGGUAGGAAAAUCGUAGCAAAAGUACAGAGACGUACAACACAAAAUCAUAGCAGUAUAGAGACGUACUCCCUCCGUUCCAAAAUAGAUGACUCAACUUUGUACUACUAACUUUGAAAUGGAGGGAGUACAAAUCCUAGGCGGGCUAGUUUGGCCUAGUGGAUUUCAGUGAUAUGACGUGGUACAGUGUCGUCCAGUCUUCGCGUGUGGUAGCAGUAUUGUGGGUAAAGUAAGUUUUCUUGAAGAAGCGGAAUUCAACGAAGUCAUGAUGGUUCCUUUGUCCGACCAACUUACAGUGGGAAAGGUUGGGCCUGCGCUACGACUGGGGUGGACCAGGAUAAUUUUGUGCAUGGUAGGUGGACCAGGAUGGUCGACGUCCCACAUGUCGGCGAAUGAAAGUAUUCUUUCCGAUAUAGAGGACGAGCAACGAGUAUUCAUUGUUUAUUUUUUAUGAAAGCUAUUGUCUCCAUUGUUACGUCGGAGGAGUGUGAAACACGGCAGCCCAGUGAACUUGGCAUGUGCACCACUCCCUCCUUCCUCAUGUAAUACUACCAUAGUGUUGACUAUAAGGUUGGCUAUAAGGUUACAACUUUUCUCACUUUCUCUCUAUCUAUUUCCUCUCAAAUGUUUUUUACCUUUCUUUUUUUUAGACACAAUUGUUUUUUAUGCCUCUUUUUUUAGAAUUAGUUUUUUUAUACCUAGGAGCACGUGUAGAGACGGGCUCUUGCAGAGCCCACUCCUUGAGUUUGUCAAUGCCUCUCUCUCCUCCACAUAAGCGGGCUUAUAGCCUAGUAUUUUACUGGUACUACUUGCUAUGAAUGCGAGCAGCUGGCGUCUGAGGGGGGAGCGCGCGCGGGGAGGUGGGGGGUUCUGGUGGGCCAAGGUGGUCAGAAGCGGGCUUGGAAGCGGUCCGGACUCCCGCAUGGCCCACCUCACAUUAUCACCAUAUAUUUCUUGGAGUCCGUGCAUGGCAGGCGGGCGAUCUCUUCUCCCUCCCCCGUCUCUCUCUUCUCAGCCGACUCCCGCCGAGCGAUUAGAUUUCGGCUAUCGAUGGUUUAUUCAAUUGCUGUCCCACAUGUCAGUGAAAAUGCAAGACAACGUGUGUCCCCUCUGGUGAGCGGCGUGCGAGCCGGACUGUCAAGGGUGCGAUGCGAACGCGACGCGUAUGAGUCGUAAGUGUGCCGCCUUUUCCUUUUGAACUUGCAAAGCAUAACAUUUUCGUGCGAUCGAUCGAUAGAAAUCCAGAACAAAAUGACGAGGGCAUUGCUUUCCCGCGCGUUAGGCGGGCUAGUUUGUGAUAUGACGUGCUACAGUGCCGUCCACUUGCUCUUUUUAUGUAAGCAAGAGUCUACACUCUUAAGUGGGAGGAGUGCGAAACACGGCGGAUCUGAUUUUGAUCGAGGGAUAACUGUUCCCUGCGAAAUAAUGGAGCGCUGUUAGCGAUUAUAGCAUGAUAGUUAGGGCAUCUCCAGCGCUGGCUCACAAAUUUACACCGGCAUCUGUCCGAGGACACUGAUGGAUGUCAUCCAAUGCUGCCCGCAUACCUUUCGACAACAGUAUGAACUAACCGGACGAAAUUCGUGCAAACAAAGCAAAUUUCAAAUUACAUUUCGAAAACUUAUCCUAUAAACUGGACGAAAUUCAUUACAUAUUUUGCACAAACCGUACUAAAACCUACUGUAAACCUAAUCUAAACGAUCGCCGGCGCCCGACCACCAUGUACGGCCAUGAACCCGAGAAAGCCGGCCAUUGCCUUUGCCUCCUCCUCAUCUGCCUCGAUAACCUCAUCCUCUGGAGCACAAGGUUCUGAAGAUUUCCGCCUCCACGUCGCCGUCAAGAGGCUAAUCGGCCGCCGAUGUUUAUCCCACCAAGCUUGGCGUCGACUGAGUGGAGGAGCGAUGGCCUUCCUGGGACCAGAGCGGCGGCGACCUACCAUGUACUACUCUUCCUCGCUACCGGCUGCGCCCGCGCACGCGCGCCGGCUUCGUGGUCGUGGCGGCAGAGGGCGGCCGGGGGGGAGCCGGCGAUCUCCUUCAUCUGCUCCUACGACAGUACGUCCAAGAGAGCUUUGGAGCGCGCCCGGAGCGGAGCCGCCGAUGUCCUUCGUCUGCUCCUGCGACAGUACAUCCAAGAGAGCUUUGGAGCGCCAGGAGGCCAUGGUUGGAGUGGUGCCGACAGAAGGAAGGGACCGGAGGAGAAUAGGUGUGGGUCUUUGGCUAUGGCUGGGAGCUGGGGCUCAAGUUAAUAUAGCGGGCGAAUGGCAAUGAACCGCGGUAGACGGAUGGACGACUGGCGCUGGAGUAGGUUCGCCAGCAGCCGCGUGUCAUUAAUGUGGGCGGUGAAUGGAAGUAUGGUCGCGGUGUCGUUAAAGCAGAGUAGUCACUUGCACCGGGAUGCCGCGCGGGUGGCGCUCUCUCGGCCGUCGCGCUGCUGCAAUGUCGGCGCCAGUGAGCAGUCGCGUCGGGCGUGAAUACGGAUGCUGCUUCAGUGACUUAACUGCAUGUGCGUUGGGUCACUGACAUGUGGGCCCGACGGGCAUCUGGCCCGCAUGUCAGUGACACACCAACUGCACCUGCAGUUAAGUCUGGUGAAUGCGGCAUUGACAUUCUGGAGAGACGGUGACCAUUUCAGGAGGGAAGCGCGUGCUAGCGAUGGAAGGGGUUUCGGUAGACCAGGGCGGUCAGACGCCGGCGUGGUGGUAAAAUGUGAACUCAUGGAUGACGAGCCUUUGAAGCGUAUGCGGCACGUAUUGACAACCAGGCAUCCAUGCAACCGCUCUUGCCGCCACCUAGCCUUCGAAGACCACCAUUAGACACCACACAACCAUGCAUAACUUACGAAUAAUGGACAAAUCGAUCAGACACACACUCGUGUGCAGUGGCACUAUGAUCGGUCGCUCACGAUAGUACAUACUACGUACCAUAGUACCCUCUCUAGCUAGGCUGUUUUAUAGAUUGUCGUUGUGAUGGACGAUAUACAUGAGCAAGGCGCUGAGUCACGAGUAUGACCGUUGGUGUUGAGCCAGGUGAAUACAUGCUCGGUGUUCACGGAGGCCUCCAGCGAACGUCUAAACAGUAAUGUCAGGCACUGCCGGGGCGCGCAGGCGACGGGAUCGCUGUCGGUGUCGAAACCGGCAGAUCUCGGGUAGGGGGUCCCAAACUGUGCGUCUAGGAUCGAUGGUAACAGGAGACGGGGGACACGAUGUUUACCCAGGUUCGGGCCCUCUCUAUGGAGGUAAUACCCUACUUCUUGCUUGAUUGAUCUUGAUGAAUAUGAGUGUUACACGAGUUGAUCUACCAUGAGAUCGUAAUGGCUAAACCCUAGAAGUCUAGCCUAUGUGAAUAUGGUAGUGAAUAUAUGCCUUCCGGACUAACCCCUCCGGUUUAUAUAGAUACCGGGGGGAUCUAGGGUUUACAUGGAGUUGGUUACAUAAGAAGGAAUCUUCAUAGUUGGUCGCCAAGCUUGCCCUCCACGCCAAGGAAAGUCCAAUCCGGACACGGGUAUAGUCUUCGGCCUUCGUAUCUUCAAAGCCCAUCAGUCCGGCCCAAUGAACAACAGGCCGGACGCCCGAGGACCCCUUAGUCCAGGACUCCCUCAGUAGCCCCUGAACCUGGCUUCAAUGACGAGGAGUCCGGCGCGCAGAUUGUCUUCGGCAUUGCAAGGCGGGUUCCCCUUUUUCCGAACUCCAAGAUAGUCUUCGGACGUGAUAAUCGUAUCCGGACCUGUUAUACACCAUACAUAGCUGCAGAGAGAACAUAAUAUUUGCACAAAUCUAAUCUGUUGACAGCUUCUUUUCAACACGACAUCGCGUCUGUCCGGUCAUAAUUUCGAACCGUUUUUCCUCUGCCAUCCCACGUCUCGAGACACGGUUGCUAUUGGCACGUCUUGUCGAAACAGAGAUUGUGUCCCCUUAUCGUGGGAUUCUCAUCAAUGCGGGCAUGGGUAACUCAACCGUGCCGUUUAUACAGCCCUUGGGAACAGGAGAAUCCUAAGGCGAGUGAGGAGGCGUUUAAUAUUUGUUGCCUUUAUAAGGAGAUAAGUGUUGGGAUUCGUAGCAUAAUUUUAAAAUUUUCCUACGCUCACCAAGAUGCAUCUAUGGAGUCUACUAGCAACUAGGGGAAGGAGUGGAUCUACAUACCCUUGUAGAUUGCGAGCGGAAGCGUUCCAAUGAACGUGGAUGACGGAGUCGUACUCGCCGUGAUCCAAAUCACCGAUGACCGAGUGCCGAACGUACGGCACCUCCGCGUUCAACACACGUACGAUGCAGCGAUGUCUCCUCCUUCUUGAUCCAGCAAGGGGGAAGGAGAGGUUGAUGGAGAUCCAACAGUACGACGGCGUGGUGGUGGAUGUAGCGGGUCUCCGGCAGGGCUUCGCCGAGCUUCUGCGAGAGAGAGAGAGAGAGAGAGAGAGAGAGAGAGNNNNNNNNNNNNNNNNNNNNNNNNNNNNNNNNNNNNNNNNNNNNNNNNNNNNNNNNNNNNNNNNNNNNNNNNNNNNNNNNNNNNNNNNNNNNNNNNNNNNNNNNNNNNNNNNNNNNNNNNNNNNNNNNNNNNNNNNNNNNNNNNNNNNNNNNNNNNNNNNNNNNNNNNNNNNNNNNNNNNNNNNNNNNNNNNNNNNNNNNNNNNNNNNNNNNNNNNNNNNNNNNNNNNNNNNNNNNNNNNNNNNNNNNNNNNNNNNNNNNNNNNNNNNNNNNNNNNNNNNNNNNNNNNNNNNNNNNNNNNNNNNNNNNNNNNNNNNNNNNNNNNNNNNNNNNNNNCCCUUUAUAUAGGCCCCUGGGGGGUGCGCCAGCCCCAAGAGAUGGGAUCUCAAGGGGGGCGGCGGCCAAGUGGGGGGGAAGGGGUGCCUUGCCCCCCAAGGCAAGGGGGAAGCUCCCCCCCUAGGGUUUCCAACCCUAGGCGCAUGGGGGGAGGCCCAAGGGGGGCGCCCCAGCCCACUAGGGGCUGGUUCCCUUCCACUUUCAUCCCAUGGGGCCCUCCGGGACAGGUGGCCCCACCCGGUGGACCCCCGGGACCCUUCCGGUGGUCCCGGUACAAUACCCGUAACCCCCGAAACUUUCCCGGUGGCCGAAACUUGACUUCCUAUAUAUAAUUCUUCACCUCCGGACCAUUCCGGAACCUCUCGUGACGUCCGGGAUCUCAUCCGGUACUCCGAACAACUUUUGGGUUUCCGCAUACAUAUAUCUCUACAACCCUAGCGUCACCGGACCUUAAGUGUGUAGACCCUACGGGUUCGGGAGACAUGCAGACAUGACCGAGACGCCUCUCCGGUCAAUAACCAACAGCGGGAUCUGGAUACCCAUGUUGGCUCCCACAUGCUCCACGAUGAUCUCAUCGGAUGAACCACGGUGUCGAGGAUUCAAUCAAUCCGUAUGCAAUUCCCUUUGUCAAUCGGUAUGUUACUUGCCCGAGAUUCGAUCGUCGGUAUCCCAAUACCUUGUUCAAUCUCGUUACCGGCAAGUCUCUUUACUCGUACCGCAAUGCAUGAUCCCGUGACUAACGCCUUAGUCACAUUGAGCUCAUUAUGAUGAUGCAUUACCGAGUGGGCCCAGAGAUACCUCUCCGUCACACGGAGUGACAAAUCCCAGUCUCGAUCCGUGCCAACCCAACAGACACUUUCGGAGAUACCCGUAAUGCACCUUUAUAGUCACCCAGUUACGUUGUGACGUUUGGCACACCCAAAGCACUCCUACGGUAUCCGGGCGAUCUCAUGGUCUAAGGAAAAGAUACUUGACGUUGGAAAAGCUCUAGCAAACGAAACUACACGAUCUUUUAUGCUAUGCUUAAGUUGGGUCUUGUCCAUCAUAUCAUUCUCCUAAUGAUGUGAUCCCGUUAUCAAUGACAUCCAAUGUCCAUAGUCAGGAAACCAUGACUAUCUGUUGAUCAACGAGCUAGUCAACUAGAGGCUUACUAGGGACAGUUGUGGUCUAUGUAUUCACACAUGUAUUACGAUUUCCGGACAAUACAAUUAUAGCAUGAAUAAUAGACAACUAUCAUGAACAAAGAAAUAUAAUAAUAACCUUUUAUUAUUGCCUCUAGGGCAUAUUUCCAACAGUCUCCCACUUGCACUAGAAUGAAUAAUCUAGUUACAUUGUGAUGAAUCGAACACCCAUUGCGUCCUUGUUGGGUGGUUGGUGCGACAUAUACCAAGGGAUGGCUUAUCAUUGUGGGAGCCAAUAAAACAUCGCCGGUGCCUGGAAACGGGAUGAGGCGAAGACAUGCACGCCGGCGAAUCUUACCCAGGUUCGGGGCUCUCCGAGGAGAUAACACCCCUAGUCCUGCUCUGCGGGGUCUCCGCAUGAUCACUAGAUCGAUAAAGGGUAGCUACAAUCGCUCCUAGAGCUGUUGGGAUCAAGGGAGAAGAAGAACAAGGCUAGCUCUUGCUUCUCUCUAUCUAUGUGUGUGCGUGUGCUAUGCUUGAAGGCCAAACAUGCAGAAGUGCGAACCAGAAGCGAACCCUUUGCAUGGGUGCUCCGGGGGGUUUAUAUAGGCCUACCCCCAGGGGGUACAAUGGUAAUCCGACUGGGAGCGGGUCCCAGCCGUCAGUGUCUAUGCUUGCCGGCUUCUCCACCGGCUGCUGGGUCCCGCCGGCGGCCGGCUACUUGGUCGACAGGCCGGCCCCACCGCCUAGGGCUUUGUCGGCGGCUGCUUACUGUAGCCGCGCCUCUGAUGAUGAGGGCUUUGUCGAGGUGAGCGUGGCUACAGUGGGCCGCCUCGGAGGCUAUCACUGUAGCCUCACCUCGUCUUGUCUCCUUAAUGGGGCUCCUGCUUCGAGGAAGGGCAUAGCCGGCUUCUGGAGGCCGGCUAUGCUCCCGGCCGACUAGGAAAAUCCGGGCCGCCUUCACGCCUCUCUCUGGCUGAAGGGGCCCGCAGUCCUUGGGUCGUACAGGAAUGGGUCGUGGAUGACGUCGAGGCUAACGUGGCUACAGUGCUGGGCCGCACGGGAGACCUCCCUCCCGUACGGCCUCCUGUAGCCAUGCCCGCCUCGGGCUUCGGGGGUCGUGGGCCGCACUGUGGCCAUGCCCCGUCAGGUCGUCGUUAUGUAGGAGUGGUUGUGGUCGUGGCCGGUUUCUAGGAGUCGGCGUCCUUCUUGGCCGGCUCCUUGGAGUCGGCGAGGCUGGGUCGCCUUCCGGGAGUCGGCUUUAGUGGUGACCGGCCGGGGAAGGCGGCCCAAAUGCUUGGAGUGCUUGAAGGCCCAAAGGCCUGAUAAAUUUUCUGAAGAGCCAGGGGUAGUCGGUUAGGCUACCCGUGGCCACUUACUCCGACAGUAGUCCCCGAAGCUGAUCGGCCUUCGAGGUGGAGUAGGGUUUUAGAAGCUCGAACAGCUUCCUAUCAUGACAAGCCGGCAGCUGGGAGCUGGCCUUGGUCAGGCACGCCGCCUGAGCCGAAAUCUUCUGGAGUCGGAGGGCGGGAACCCACUGGUACGUGCGCCGGGCCGCGGGCCGGCCACGGGCCGACGGCGCGCCACGUAGCCGGAAAGCCUGCCAGCCCACGCGCGUGACGGGAUGUUGCCGCAGCGAGGGGGCCCGCCACGUCCGUGCCCCGGCCCAGGCGCGGAUCUUUUGUAUCCCGAAACUGCCCGCACGUUCCGUGCGGCAGUUUCGGCUCGCACUUAUGCGUAAUAAACGCGAGGCGUGGGGGGAGUGGGCGCAGUUAAUCCCAUGUCUCCCCCCACGUCCGGGGUCUUCAGCCGCGUGAGGCUAUAAGUAGGGGGAGGCGGAGGGCGGCAGACCCUCGCACGCUCCUCCUACUCCCUUUGUCUUCUCGUCUUGCUCGUUCUUGCGACAGCGCCUCGCCGCCGCGCUCUUCCCCCGCACGCUCCUCCGCCGCCGUGCUAGCUUCCGCUAUGCCUCCUCACGUCGAGCAGCUUGGCGGGGAUUGGGAUGGCUCCAUCGUCCACAACGACCACAUCGACUUCCUCCGCGACACCCGGCGCCUGCCCAGCACGGACAAAGUGGAGGUCCGCCUUGCGCCGGAGAAGGAGGUCAGGCCGGCGCCGCGGGAUGGCGAGCGGGUGAUCUUCCGCUCGCACUUCCUGCGUGGCUUCGGACUGCCAGUGAGCGCCUUCUUCCGCUCCUGGCUGGACUUCUAUCAGCUCCAGCCGCACCACCUCACCCCCAACGCGGUGGUGCUGCUGUCGGCCUUCGUCACCCUGUGCGAGGGCCAUCUCGGCGUCCUCCCCACCCUCGAGCUCUGGGGGGAGUUCUUCCAGUCGAAGCUGGGUACGCGCGUGCGGGGCGUGCCGGCUCAGACCGGCGCCUUCAUCGCGUCACGGAGAUCAGGCGCCGACAACCCCUUCCCCAUCAUCACGCUGAUCCAAUCGGUGAAGAAGUGGCAGAAGUCAUACUUCUACGUGCGGAACAUGGUGAACUACCUCGUCAACUGCCAGCUUCCCGACGACUGGCAAUUCGGCAAGGAGCCAUACAACCGCGCCAAUCCUCCACCUACGGUACGCUCCCCUUCUCUUUUUCUCUUUUUCUCUCUCAGCUCUGUCGCCGAGUUCCUCUGGGCCGACUCUAACUCAGUCGGCUCACUCUUUUGACAGAAUCCUCUGCUUCGGCCGGCCGGCGGAGCGGACGUGGAACGCCGCUUCGUCCCCGACCGGACCGAGCACGACCAGGAGGACCCCGAUCUGGGGGCGGUCCAUAUGGAGGACGCCGCCAAGCCGGCUGGUGGCCAAGCCGGCGGCGAAGCAGGCGGCGCCGGGUUCUCCGCGACCUUCGACGACUGGCCGGACGAGGACGAAGCCGAAGCCGUCCCGCCCCGCUAGCCGGCCUUCGGACGCGGCGCGGGCUCCUCCGGCGCGCAGCCUGCUCGAGGUAGAGGCCAGAAACGUCGCGCCACCCAGGGCAUGUUCGGCAGCCGGACGAAGAAGCCGAGGGGUGGAGCGGCAGCCACUAGGCGGGAAGAAGCGGCCGCGAAGGCGGCUCGUUUCCGCAAAGUGGUGAAGCAGCCGCAGGCUGUGUCAGCGUAAGCUUUCUCUCUUUCUGUGUAUUCUCCUUCUUUCUUUUCUUGGGUGGUUUUCUGAACCUUUGUCUUCUUUUCCUUGAUCAGAGCUCCACUGUCACUCGAGCGGGCGGCUGCCUGCUCCGUUGUCGAGUCGCCAGGGGGCUCUGGGAGCACCACCCGCCGCGUAGAUCCCCGUGCCGCCCUCCUGGAGGCGACGGAAAGGAACGCGCGGGAGGUGCGGGAGGAGCAGGAAGCGCGGGAGGCGGUGGCACGGAGGGCAGCCGCCGCCCAGGCAGCUCGGGAGGAGGAGGCGGCGAAGGCGCUCGCCGAGGCUGCAGCCAAGGCCCAGGAAGAGGCUGAGGCCGAAGCGGUGGCAGGGGAGGCCUUGAUGGUCACCCCCCUGCGCGCCAUGGCGCCCGGGGACGCGGAUCCCUCGCCAGGGGGAGCCAGCGGUUCCCAGCCGGGUCUGGGCAGGAGCGGCGACGACGUUAUCCUCUUGAGGGAGGCGCCGGGGCCGACUCCUCCGACUAGGGCGGCCCAAGGCGGCCAGACUGAGCCUGCGCCCGCACAGUCGGCGGAAGGCGAGCCGGUCGCGGGAGCUGAGGUGGCGGUCCGGGUUCCGCCAAGCCGGCGCGCAGGGAAGGCCGCGUCGGAGCCGCAGAAGGCGGCGUCGGAGCCACGGCCGGCCGUGGGCUCCAGCUCGUCGGCCCGAGACGCGGAGGCGGCCAGCGCUACCUCCGGGUGGACGCCAGGCGGAGGGACAGCCGUGGUGAACAUCGCUGCACAAGACGUCCGGACCCGGCUCCAGGGCCAAGCCGCGGCGCUGAGGCAGUUCACCGACGAAUUCCUCGCGACGCGGGCAGCCAUCCGGGUUAGUAUUCUCAUUUUGUUCUUGAUUUUUCUCGUGGGGGCGCGUCAGCGCACCCACUGGGUGUAGUCCCCGAGUUCCGAGUCGGCUGCUGAGCAGGCGGCUUGGAACUUCUUGGAGAUUUUGUUUUUGCUGCUUUGUUCUUACUUCGGUCUUCUGUCCAUCUUGCAGGACUACCACAACCUCCGAGCAGCCGCCUUCAACUCCCAGGCUCGGGAGCUGACGCAGAAGACCGCCGAUCUCACUGAAAGCCGAGGUAUGUGACUUGAUCUCUAUCUCAUGUGGGGGCGCGUCAGCGCACCCACUGGGUGUAGUCCCCGAGAUUCGGGCCGACUGCUGAGCAGUCGGCUCGGAUCUUCCUUGAUGGUUUCUCAUUGUUCUUCUUCUCUAUCUCUGCAGCGGCCAACGCCAGUCUGAGGGCACAGCUGGGGGAGUCCCAGACUGCUCUUCGUGCCAAGGACGCGGAGCUCGCCGCCUUGGUGCAGGAGCGCGACCGCCUGGUCAAGAAGCUGGCCGACCAGGAGGAAGGCCACAAGGCUGCGCUAAAGGCUGUGCAGGAUCGUGAAGCCACCCUCCAGGCCGAGUUCGAGACGGAGGCGGCCGGCUGGGACGAGGCCAGGCAGACUCUGGUCUCCGGCUAUGGCCAGAUUGAGGACCUGGUUGACGGUAAGUCGUCUACUCCUUCAUCCUUUCUUGCCAACAGCCACUUCGGCUCGUUUUCCUGAUUUGGGGUUCUUCUUUUCUUUUCUUCUUUGCGCAGAGUACUUCCCCGGCUAUUCCACUGCCGCCAACCAGGCCAUCGAAGCUCGUCGCCAGGCGAAGAGGCAAGCCGGCUUCGAGAUCUCGCCGACCGCCGGCCGCUCGUUGGAGGAGCAGCUCCUGGCGAUCCAGGCUCGCAUCCAGCCGGCUCACAGGCUGCUCCGCCGGCUUCAGAGUGCCGGGUCACAGGUCCUGGCCGCCCUCUGGCCCGGCCAAGUGAUCCCGCGCACUCCCAGUCGGACCGCCGACUGGCUGGAGGUGGCCGUCGGCCGCUUCGAGGCUUGGAAGGCGUCAGCGGCUCGCUCCGGAGCCGGGCGGGCGCUGGAGUUCGUCAAGGCCUGGUACCCAGGCCUGAAUUUGGACCAGCUGGCCACCUGGCGGCAGCAAGCUGACACGGAGCUGGAGCCGGCGCGGCCGGCCAUCAUUCGGCGGGCUUCGGCGAUCGCCGACUACACCGACACCAACGUCUUCGCCCCCGAGGUGGACGACAAUGGAGUCGCCCAGCCGGAAGAUUGGUUCGGGCUGGACCCGGCGUGCGGCGAGGACUCGGCGGAGGAGAUCGACUCCAGCAACGAGGGCGAAGAGGAGGAGGAGGAGGGUGAAGACGUCGAGCCGGCUGGCGGAGUAGCCGGCCAGCCUGACCGUGCCUCCAGCACUACGUCGCGUGCGAGCGUGUCUCCUGCCGCAGGAGGUGGUCAAGCCGGGACUAGCUAGGCGGCCACUCCUUCAGCCGGCGAGCUACCUUCACCGACCCACUCGGCCUCCAAGUCGCACCUUAGUCUUCUUUCCUUUAUUUCCCUGUCUUGUUACUUUGAACAAUAUUUGGUUAAGUCUGCACAAUUCCACCCACUGGGUGUAUUCAAACUUAAGUCUGUUGCCAGCCUGUGGGCGGCUUUAUGUAUAUAAGUUAUGCAAUCGGUCUUUCCUUGUACUUUCGCUUUUUGUCCUUUUGCAUUUUUCCUUUGCCGCCCUCCUUUAGAUGCCGCCUCCCUAGUCAAACAGCUGCUCUGCAAACUGUAGCCGGGGAGUGCCUGGCCGAUUGGGGAGGGGGAAGUACUUUUAGCUCUGUCGGACUUAAGCUAAGUUUUUUAGAAAGCCGGCUAGCCGGCUGCUGUGACAGCCGGUAGGCAUAUACGGAGGCCGUCUUUUUGCUAUAUAGAUUAGUUGUUCCUUAGCCGUUUUUCGUGUGGGCGUCCUGUCUGUCUUCUCUCUUGCUAGUCGGACAGUCAGUUCUUUGAGCUGCGACUUUCAACAAGAGAGGACUUGGGAGCCGGCGCACUACUUUGCUGACUUCGGGAAGAACUUAGAAUAUAGCUCAAGGCGGCCAGUCCCCGGGCCGACUAGUCGGACCCGGUGCCGGACAAGAAUUCGAAAAUGUAAUAAUACAUUCAUGGAUAUGACACUCGUCAUUCAUAGAUAAAUAAAAGGCAGUCCCCGAGUACUGUUCGGGGGGGCUGUUGGUUUGUAACGUAAUACAAAAAGGGGGUAGCGUGAUACAUACUGCUUUUCAGCUGUAAAAUCGUCUUAGGAGGUUUGCGUUCCAUGGUCGCUCCGACUCCUUGCCGGAGUCGUCUCUCUUGCGUGCUCUUGGCUUUUGCGCGUCGAUCAAGUAGUAGGAGUCGUUGCUGAGUGCCUUGCUGACGACGAAGGGGCCUUCCCAAGGGGCCGAGAGCUUGUGCUGGCCGGCUAUUCGCUGGAUCAGCCGGAGCACAAGGUCGCCCUCUUGGAAGGAUCUUGGCUUGACCUUGCGGUUGUAGUAGCGGCGCAGGCCUUGCUGGUAGAUGGCGGACCGGCUGAGGGCUAACAGCCGGCCUUCUUCCAGUAGGUCGACGUCGUCUUCUCUUGCUUCUUUGGCUUCCUCCUCCGUGUACAUGGUGAUCCAAGGCAAGUCGAACUCGAUGUCUGUUGGGAUGACAGCCUCGGAACCGUACACAAGGAAGAAUGGAGUGAAGCCGGUUGACUUGUUGGGUGUAGUGCGCAGACUCCAGAGGACAGCCGGCAGCUCUUCGAGCCAGCAACCGGCCGAUCGCUCCAGUGGUACAACCAGUCGGGGCUUGAUGCCGGAGAGGAUAAGUCCAUUUGCUCGCUCGACCUGGCCGUUUGACUGUGGGUGGGCGACGGACGCUAAGUCCAGGCGGAUGCCCUGUGUCGCGCAGAAACGCGCCAGUGCGCCUUUGGCGAAGUUCGUGCUGUUGUCGGUGAUGAUGCUGUGCGGCAUGCCGUACCGAGUAGUGAUGUCGGUGAUGAACGUCACGGCAGUCGGCCCGUUCAGCUUCUUGAUGGGCUUGGCUUCGAUCCACUUUGUGAACUUGUCCACAGCAACGAGUAGGUGCGUCAUGCCACCGCGGGCUGUCUUGAAAGGGCCCACCAUGUCCAAUCCCCAGACGGCAAAAGGCCAGGUGAGGGGGAUGUUCUUGAGGGCAGAAGCCGGCAGGUGUUGUUUGGAACUGAAGACUUGACACCCUCUGCAGCUCCUCACUAUUUCUUUAGCAUCCUCCAAGGCAGUCGGCCAGAAGAACCCAUGGUGGAAAGCCUUGGCCACGAGGGAUCUUGAGGCGGCGUGGUGGCCGCAUUCGCCUUGGUGGAUGUCUUUGAGGAUUGCCACUCCUUUUUCUGGCUCGACGCAAUGCUGGAAGACUCCAGUGACGCUGCGCUUCACAAGCUCCCUAUUGAUUAUUGUGUAUGCUGCGGCUCGUCGUUGCACUAGUCUUGCUGCGAUCUCAUCAGUCGGCAGUGGUUGACUAGGAACUUGAGGAUGGGCUGGGCCCAUGAGGGAGCUGUGACUUCUUCUGCUGUUAAUGUGGCCACCAUGACUCGGGUGGGUGGGUUGGGUGUUGUAUUGGAGUCGACCGCCGCUUCUUGUGUCGUUGCAGUCCCCGGGCCGGGUUCUGAAGUCCCUGGGCCGGGUGCGACUACGUCAGUCCCCGGGGCAGUCGUCGAAGUCCCCGUGCCGCCUGCCGAAUUUCUUGAGCCGGAUCCGGCUGUUUCUGGCGCAGGCGGUAUGAAGGUGGAGUCCGACUCUGGAGACGACUUGAUGGACGGCUUGAGGAGGCGCUGGAGGGAGACGCCAGUCGGUAUGGCUUGUCGGGUGGAGCCGAUCCAUGCUAGGGCAUCUGCUUGGUCGUUGUCGGCCCUUGGCACAUGAAGGAACUCGCACCCUUCGAAGUAUCCGCUCAUCUGCUGGACGAGGAAGCGGUAGCUCGCCAUGUUCGCGUCCUUGGCGUCCCAGUCGCCAGAUGAUUGCUGGACCACUAAGUCGGAGUCGCCGUAGCACAGGAUCCGGCGUAUGCCGAGUUCUUUGGCUAGCCGGAGCCCAUGUACGAGCGCCUCAUACUCGGCCACGUUGUUGGAGGCGGCGAAGUGGAUCUGCAACGUGUACUUGAGCUUGUCGCCUUUGGGAGAGGUGAGGACGAUGCCGGCUCCCAAGCUGGUGCGCAUCUUGGACCUGUCAAAGUGCAUCCGCCAAUGGGUAGAGUCGGGAGCCGGCGGUAAGUACUGGGUCUCGGCCCAGUCGACGAGGAAGUCGGCCAAUGCUUGCGACUUGAUGGCGGUGCGGGGUUGAUAGAAAAUCGUGUAGGGCGCCAAGGCAAUGGCCCAUUAGGCCACCCGGCCGGAUGCAUCCCGGCUGCCUAUGAUCUCGGCGAGCGGGGCAGUGCACACGACCGUGAUGGGGUGCUCUUGGAAGUAGGGCUUCAAUUUCUUGGCAGCGAAGUACACCCCAUAGCACAUCUUUUGGUAGUGCGGGUAGUUUUGCUUUGAGCUGGACAGUACUUCGCUGAGAUAGUAGACCGACCUCUGGACCAGCUGAGCUCGGCCUUCCUCCGGGCGCUGGACCACAACAACAGUGCUGAUGACUCGGCUUGUCGCGGCGAUGUAGAGGAGCAUGGGCUCCUUCUCAGUCGGCGCAGCCAGGACAGGCGGAGUAGUCAACAUUUUCUUCAACUCAUGGAAGGCUUGGUCGGCUUGAUCAUUCCACUCAAAGUGAGUGGACUUCUUCAUGAGUCGGUACAGGGGGAGAGCCUUCUCUCCUAGUCGGCUGAUAAAACGGUUCAGGGAGGCUAAGCAGCCAGUGAACUUCUGCACAUCUCGCAGUUUGGUGGGAAUCUCCAUCCUCUCGAUGGCUUUGAUCUUGACAGGGUUGCACUCAAUGCCGCGUUCGGAGACCAGGAAGCCUAGCAGCUGGCCGGCUGGCACUCCGAACACGCACUUCUCGGGGUUGAGCUUGAUCUGGAAUCGGCGCAAGUUGGCAAAUGUUUCCUUCAGGUCUUCCAGCAAGGUACCACGCUUCUCUGUCUUCACCACAAUGUCGUCUACGUAGACGUGGGCAUUUCUGCCGAGUUGUUUCAAGAGACAUUUCUGCAUGCAACGCUGAAAAGUGGCACCGGCGUUUCUCAAGCCGAAUGUCAUUGUCAGGUAGCAGAAAGCUCCAAAGGGUGUGAUGAAGGCAGUCUUCAGGGGGUCGGCCGGGUCCAACUUGAUCUGAUGAUACCCUGAGUAUGCAUCCAAGAAACUUAACAGCUCGCAUCCGGCUGUGGAGUCUAUCACUUGGUCAAUCCGUGGCAAAGCAAACGGAUCCUUUGGGCAGGCCUUGUUCAGACUUGUGUAUUCUAUACACAUGCGCCACUUGUUAUUCUUCUUCAAAACCAGAACUGGAUUGGCAAGCCAUUCUGGAAAGAACACUUCCAUGAUGAAGCCGGCUGCAAGGAGCCGGGCUAUCUCUUCUCCCACGAUUCUUCGCUUCUCUUCUGAUAGUCGGCGGAGGGGUUGCUUGACCGGCUUCGCAUCAGCUCGGACAUGUAAUUUGUGCUCGGCGAAAUCCUUCGGGACACCCGGCAUGUCCUUUGGGGACCAUGCAAAGAUGUCUCGAUUCUCACGGAGGAAGUCGGCGAGCUCGCCUUCCUAUUUACUGUCCAAGUUCGCCCCAAUCACGGCGAACCUCUCCGGGUGCUCCGGGUCUAGAGGUAUCUUCUUCGUCUCUUUUGCAGGCUGGAAGGAGCCCUGCGCAUCACAGUCCUUGGGGUUGGGGGACAAGGCCGGCUGCUUGCCGGCCAUGGCCACAACCCGUUCCAACAUCUUCUUCUCUUCUGCCACCACGAGGGACUCGGCCAGCCGGCUGCUGGCCAUGGCACACUCGAUGGACUUCUUGUAGUCGCCGGCUAUCGUGAUGAUCCCUUUCGAGCUCGGCAUCUUCAUCUUCAGGUAGGCAUAGUGGGGCACAGCCAUGAACUUGGCCAAAGCAGGUCGGCCAAGCAGUGCAUGAUAGGGGCUCUCCAAAUCCACCACCUCGAACCAUAUUGCUUCCCGGCGAAAAUGAUCUUUGUCUCCGAAGAGAACAUCCAUCUUGAUCUUGCCGAUUGGAGAGCAAGAUAGGCCGGGUACGAUACCAUGGAAGACUGUGCGGCUCGGCAUGAGCUGCUUUGCUUUGAUGUUCAGCUUGUCCAUGGUAUCGCGGUACAGUAUGUUGAUACUGCUUCCGCCGUCUAUCAGGACGCGAGAAAAUCUGGCAGCUCGCCUCUCCGUCGCAAGGGUGAUGUCCAAGACCAUAGCAUAGGAGCCAGGCGAAGGCAUCACCUCUGGGUGGUCGGCCUGGCUCCAGCUGAUGGGCUUUUCCGACCAGUGCAUGAACUCGGCGGUGCUAGAGGCGACUGCGUUUACUUCUUGGUGCUGCCGGCGUCGGCUGCGCUUGUCGUCGACUUGACUUGUGAAGACGACGUAGGCGUCGUGCGCUUCGGGGAACUCGUCUUGGAUGGCGCCGACUGCCGGCCGGGCCGCCGGCUGCGGGGGAGCUGGAGGCGGCGGGCCGGGAGGCGGAGGCGGCACCAUCCCUUCGCCCUUGGUGGUGCGGGUGAGACAGUGGCAUUUCCGUGUUGUAUGGUUGGACGGCUUCGCGCCGCUGUGGAACUUGCAGGGAGCAUCGAGUGCUUGUUUGUAGGAGAAGGACGGCUGCCAAGGCGGCCGGCCUCCCUUCUUCUUGGGAGCACGCCGCUCUUCGGGCUGCUCGUCUUCAAUGGUGGCCACCUGCCGACUGGAGGAAGUCGGCAUGGGGCCCUUGCGCUUGUGGUCGUUCUGGUAGGGGCGCCGGUUGGGGUUGCCAGCCGGCUGCUUGGGAGCCGGGGCAACCACUUUCCCCGAGGCGUCCACUCGGAGCUCGGUCUUCAUGGAGGAAUCGGCAGUAGCGUAUUUGUCGGCGAUGACGAGUAGCUCGUCGAGGGUAGCCGGCUCGUCGCAGAGGAGUCGGUGCUUGAGGAGGGUGCCCUCUCGGCACCCGGCAGUGAAGUACUCGAUGGCCUGGACCUCGUGCACUCCCUCGCAGGAGUUGCGGAGCUCGGCCCAUCGCGUGAGGUAGUCGCGGGUCGACUCGUUGGGCCCCUGGACGCAGAGGGAGAGCUGGCGAGGCUUGGGAGGCCGCUUGUAGGUGCUGGUGAAGUUGCGGACGAAAACUUCGGUGAAGUCCAGCCAACUGUUGAUGCUGUAGGGCUUGAGGCUAUUGAGCCAUGUGCGCGCCGUGCCCUGCAGCAUCAGGGGGACGUACUUCACGGCAACGCGCCGGUUGCCGUUGGUGAUGCUGACGGCUGUGGAGUAGUCGAUGAGCCAAUCUUCCGGCUUCACCGAGCCGUUGUACUUGGGCGUGUCUCUGGGGAGCGAGAACCCUUUGGGAAAGGGCUCGUCGCAGAUGCGGGGGCCGAAGCAUGGCGGGCCGACAUCGUCUUCUUCUUCUAACACCAAGGAUCGAGCUAGGCGAUCGAUCCUGUGGCGGGCGUCGUUCUCGCCGACUCCUUCUCGGCGGCCGAGUCGGUCGCCAAGAGUCGGAUGCGUGACAGGCGGUGGAGUGAGGCGUCUUUCUCUUCGAGGCGGGGGAGGAGGCAGGUUUCCUUGGUGUUCAACCGCCCGAGGGCGACCAUCCGCGUCGCGCUCGAUAGUGACGCGAGUCCGGCUGCGGCUGGCAGCCGGCUCCUUGUCUUUCUUCUGACGCACACCGCUCGCAGUCGGCGAGCGGGACGUCGCGGCGUGCUCCCGGCGCGGGGGAUGGCUAUCAGCUCGGGCGCCGGCUUCGUGUCGUUCUGCAUCCGCGUCGAUCAGCUGCUGGAUCCGUCUCGUCAUGUAGGGGAGCUCAUCGACUCCCAUCCCACUGAGCUCCUCUGCAGCCGCCUGAGCGGCUCGCAGAUUCUCGAGCGGGGUGGCGUAGACGGGGCGAUCUGCGCCCAGCAUGCUGGCAACGGCUGCGCCGCGCUUCUGGACGAAGCCGGCUCGGCUCGGGCCGCUAGGCGGCGGCGUCCCGAAGGCGGCGCGGUCAACUUCGCGCUGGUGGGCCUCGGUGAGACGUCUCAUCGAGGCUAUCUUCUUGCCCUCCGCGAUGAGGGCACGGCGGCGUGCCUCCAGGGUCUCGGCGUCGGCGUCGGCCGGGAUGGGGACGGAGAGGUCGUGCAUCGCCGCUCGCUGAGCGUCGCGGGCGUUCUCGCCCGAGUCGGAGACGUGGCUGAUGACCAUCACUUCGGUGACAGCGCUGUUGCCGCUGUCAGCUCGAGGGAGUGGGUCGUCGAAGACCACCACGUUGGAGGGGUAAGCGUCGAGCGACGCGGUGUUGGAGUCGAUGAGCAUCGGGUCGGUGGAGCCGACAGACUCCAUGUCCGCGGCAGGCUCGCUGGAGACGUGAAGUUGGUCGAGGAGGCUGACAAGGCGGCUCUCGGGGUAGUCGGUGCCUGCGUCGGACGCAGGCUCGUCGGAGAUGCGAGUCUCGCCGAGCAGAUCGGCGAGGCGGCUCGCUGCGCAGGCGUCCUCGACGCCUUGCAGCGCGUCGGGGCAAGCGCCAUCGGGCGCAGCAGGCUGGCUGCGCUCGCGGGGAAGGAAGAGGGUUCCCGUCCAGAACAGGUCUCCGGACGACGGUGCACCUGGCCCCACGGUGGGCGCCAAAUGUCGGGUGGUUGGUGCGACAUAUGCCAAGGGAUGGCUUAUCAUUGUGGGAGCCAAUAAAACGUCGUCGGUGCCUGGAAACAGGAUGAGGCGAAGACAUGCACGCCGGCGAAUCUUACCCAGGUUCGGGGCUCUCCGAGGAGAUAACACCCCUAGUCCUGCUCUGCGGGGUCUCCGCAUGAUCACUAGAUCGAUAAAGGGUAGCUACAAUCGCUCCUAGAGCUGUUGGGAUCAAGGGAGAAGAAGAACAAGGCUAGCUCUUGCUUCUCUCUAUCUAUGUUUGUGCGUGUGCUAUGCUUGAAGGCCAAACAUGCAGAAGUGCGAACCAGAAGCGAACCCUUUGCAUGGGUGCUCCGGGGGGUUUAUAUAGGCCUACCCCCCGGGGGUACAAUGGUAAUCCGACUGGGAGCGGGUCCCAGCCGUCAGUGUCUAUGCUUGCCGGCUUCUCCGCCGGCUGCUGGGUCCCGCCGGCUGCUGGGUCCCGCCGGCGGCCGGCUACUUGGUCGACAGGCCGGCCCCACCGCCUAGGGCUUUGUCGGCGGCUGCUUACUGUAGCCGCGCCUCUGAUGAUGAGGGCUUUGUCGAGGUGAGCGUGGCUACAGUGGGCCGCCUCGGAGGCUAUCACUGUAGCCUCACCUCGUCUUGUCUCCUUAAUGGGGCUCCUGCUUCGAGGAAGGGCAUAGCCGGCUUCUGGAGGCCGGCUAUGCUCCCGGCCGACUAGGAAAAGCCAGGCCGCCUUCACGCCUCUCUCUGGCUGAAGGGGCCCGCAGUCCUUGGGUCAUACAGGAAUGGGUCGUGGAUGACGUCGAGGCUAACGUGGCUACAGUGCCGGGCCGCACGGGAGACCUCCCUCCCGUACGGCCUCCUGUAGCCAUGCCCGCCUCGGGCUUCGGGGGUCGUGGGCUGCACUGUGGCCAUGCCCCGUCAGGUCGUCGUUAUGUAGGAGUGGUUGUCGUGGCCGGUUUCUAGGAGUCGGCGUCCUUCUUGGCCGGCUCCUUGGAGUCGGCGAGGCUGGGUCGCCUUCCGGGAGUCGGCUUUAGUGGUGAUCGGCCGGGGAAGGCGUCCCAAAUGCUUGGAGUGCUUGAAGGCCCAAAGGCCUGAUAAAUUUUCUGAAGAGCCAGGGGUAGUCGGUUAGGCUACCCGUGGCCACUUACUCCGACAGUCCUGGUGUUGAUCAUGUUUUGCCCUAGGGAGAGGUUUAGUCAACGGAUCUGCUACAUUCAGGUCCGUGUGUACUUUACAAAUUUCUAUGUCUCCAUUUUGAACACUUUCACGAAUGGAGUUGAAGCGACGCUUGAUAUGCCUGGUCUUCCUGUGAAACCUGGGCUCCUUCGCAAGGGCAAUAGCUCCAGUGUUGUCACAGAAGAGAGUCAUUGGACCCGACGCAUUGGGAAUCACCCCUAGGUCGGUAAUGAACUCCUUCAUCCAGACUGCUUCCUGUGCUGCCUCCGAGGCUGCCAUGUAUUCCGCUUCACAUGUAGAUCCCGCCAUGACGCUUUGCUUGCAACUACACCAGCUUACUGCUCCUCCAUUCAAAAUAUACACGUAUCCGGUCUGUGACUUCGAGUCAUCCAGAUCUGUGUCGAAGCUAGCGUCGACGUAACCCUUUACGACGAGCUCUUCGUCACCUCCAUAAACGAGAAACAUAUCCUUAGUCCUCUUCAGGUACUUCAGGAUAUUCUUGACCGUUGUCCAGUGUUCCUUGCCGGGAUUACUUUGGUACCUUCCUACCAAACUUACGGCAAGGUUUACAUCAGGUCUGGUACACAGCAUGGCAUACAUAAUAGACCCUAUGGCCGAGGCAUAGGGGAUGACACUCAUCUCUUCUAUAUCUUCUGCCGUGGUCGGGCAUUGAGCCGUGCUCAAUUGCACACCUUGCAAUACAGGCAAGAACCCCUUCUUGGACUGAUCCAUACUGAACUUCUUCAAUAUCUUGUCAAGGUAUGUACUCUGUGAAAGACCAAUGAGGCGCCUUGAUCUAUCUCUAUAGAUCUUGAUGCCUAAUAUAUAAGCAGCUUCUCCAAGGUCCUUCAUUGAAAAACACUUAUUCAAAUAGGCCUUUAUACUUUCCAAGAAUUCUAUAUCAUUUCCCAUCAAUAGUAUGUCAUCCACAUAUAAUAUGAGAAAUGCUACGGAGCUCCCACUCACUUUCUUGUAAACACAGGCUUCUCCAUAAGUCUGUGUAAACCCAAACGCUUUGAUCAUCUCAUCAAAGCGAAUGUUCCAACUCCGAGAUGCUUGCACCAGCCCAUAGAUUGAGCGCUGGAGCUUGCAUACUUUGUUAGCAUUCUUAGGAUCGACAAAACCUUCCGGCUGCAUCAUAUACAACUCUUCCUUAAGGAAGCCGUUAAGGAAUGCCGUUUUGACGUCCAUCUGCCAUAUCUCAUAAUCAUAGUAUGCGGCAAUUGCUAACAUGAUUCGGACGGACUUCAGCUUCGCUAUGGGUGAGAAAGUCUCAUCGUAGUCAACCCCUUGAACUUGUCGAUAACCCUUAGCGACAAGUCGAGCUUUGUAGAUGGUCGAAUUACCAUCUGCGUCCGUCUUCUUCUUAAAGAUCCAUUUGUUUUCUAUGGCUCGCCGCUCAUCGGGCAAGUCAGUCAAAGUCCAUACUUUGUUUUCAUACAUGGAUUCUAUCUCGGAUUUCAUGGCUUCUAGCCAUUUGUCGGAAUCCGGGCCCGCCAUCGCUUCUUCAUAGUUCGAAGGUUCACCGUUGUCUAACAACAUGAUUUCUAGGACAGGGUUGCCGUACCACUCUGGUGCGGAACGUGUCCUUAUGGACCUACGAAGUUCAGUGACUUGAUCUGUAGCUUCAUGAUCAUCAUCAUUAACUUCCUCUCCAGUCGGUGUAGGCACCAUAGGAACAUUUUCCCGCGCUGCGCUACUUUCCGGCUCGGAAGGGGUGACUAUCACCUCAUCAAGUUCCACUUUCCUCCUACUCAAUUCUUUCGAGAGAAACUCCUUCUCCAGAAAGGACCCGUUCCUGGCAACGAAGAUUUUGCCUUCGGAUCUGAGGUAGAAGGUAUACCCAAUAGUUUCCUUAGGGUAUCCUAUGAAGACGCAUUUUUCCGACUUGGGUUCGAGCUUUUUAGGUUGAAGUUUCUUGACAUAAGCAUCGCAUCCCCAAACUUUUAGAAACGACAGCUUAGGUUUCUUCCCAAACCAUAAUUCAUACGGUGUCGUCUCAACGGAUUUCGACGGAGCCCUAUUUAAAGUGAAUGCGGCAGUCUCUAAAGCAUAACCCCAAAAUGAGAGCGGUAAAUCGGUAAGAGACAUCAUAGAUCGCACCAUAUCCAAUAGAGUGCGAUUACGACGUUCGGACACACCAUUUCUCUGAGGUGUUCCAGGCGGCGUGAGUUGUGAAACUAUUCCACAUUUCCUUAAGUGUGCACCAAACUCGUGACUUAAAUAUUCUCCACCACGAUCUGAUCGUAGGAAUUUUAUUCUCCUGUCACGUUGAUUCUCAACCUCACUCUGAAAUUCUUUGAACUUUUCAAAGGUUUCAGACUUGUGUUUCAUUAGGUAGACAUAUCCAUAUCUACUUAAAUCAUCAGUGAGAGUGAGAACAUAACGAUAUCCUCCACAAGCCUCAACACUCAUUGGACCACACACAUCGGUAUGUAUGAUUUCCAAUAAGUUGGUUGCUCGCUACAUUGUUCCGGAGAACGGAGUCUUGGUCAUCUUACCCAUGAGGCAUGGUUCACACGUGUCAAAUGAUUCGUAAUCAAGAGACUCCAAAAGUCCAUCUGCAUGGAGCUUCUUCAUGCGCUUGACACCAAUGUGACCAAGGCGGCAGUGCCACAAGUAUGUGGGACUAUCGUUAUCAACUUUACAUCUUUUGGUAUUCACACUAUGAACAUGUGUAACAUCACGUUCGAGAUUCAUCAAAAAUAAACCAUUGACCAGCGGGGCAUGACCAUUAAACAUAUCUCUCAAAUAAAUAGAACAACCAUUAUUCUCGGAUUUAAAUGAGUAGCCAUCUCGAAUUAAACGAGAUCCAGAUACAAUGUUCAUGCUCAAAGCUGGCACUAAAUAACAAUUAUUGAGGUUUAAAACUAAUCCCGUGGGUAGAUGCAGAGGCAGCGUGCCGACGGCGAUCACAUCGACCUUGGAACCAUUCCCGACGUGCAUCGUCACCUCGUCCUUUGCCAGUCUCCGUUUAUUUCGUAGUUCCUGUUUUGAGUUACAAAUAUGAGCAACCGCACCGGUAUCAAAUACCCAGGAGCUACUACGAGUACUGGUAAGGUACACAUCAAUUACUUGUAUAUCACAUAUACCUUGGGUGUUGCCGGCCUUCUUCUUGUCCGCUAAAUAUUUGGGGCAGUUCCGCUUCCAGUGACCACUUCCCUUGCAAUAAAAGCACUCAGUCCCGGGCUUGGGUCCAUUCUUUGACUUCUUCCCAGUAACUGGUUUACCGGGCGCGGCAACUCCCUUGCCGUCCUUCUUGAAGUUCUUCUUACCCUUGCCCUUCUUGAACUUGGUGGUUUUAUUCACCAUCAACACUUGAUGUUCUUUUCUGAUCUCCCCUUCCGCUGAUUUCAGCAUUGAAUAUACCUCGGAAAUGGUCUUUUCCAUCCCCUGCAUAUUGUAGUUCAUCACAAAGCUCUUGUAGCUUGGUGGAAGCGACUGGAGGAUUCUGUCAAUGACUGCGUCAUCCGGGAGAUUAACUCCCAGCUGAGACAAGCGGUUGUGCAACCCAGACAUUCUGAGUAUGUGCUCACUAACAGAACUGUUCUCCUCCAUUUUACAGCUGAAGAAUUUGUCGGAGACAUCAUAUCUCUCGACCCGGACAUGAGCUUGAAAAACAAGUUUCAGCUCCUCGAACAUCUCAUAUGCUCCAUGUUUCUCAAAACGCUUUUGGAGACCCGGUUCUAAGCUGUAAAGCAUGCCGCACUGAACAAGGGAGUAAUCAUCAGCACGUGAUUGCCAAGCGUUCAUAACGUCUUGGUUCUGUGGGAUUGGUGCAUCACCUAGCGGUGCUUCUAAGACAUAAUCUUUCUUGGCUACUAUGAGGAUGACCCUCAAGUUCCGGACCCAGUCCGUAUAGUUGCUGCCAUCAUCUUUCAGCUUGGUUUUCUCUAGGAACGCGUUGAAAUUGAGGACAACGUUGGCCAUUUGAUCUACAAGACAUAGUGUAAAGAUUUUAGACUAAGUUCAUGAUAAUUGAGUUCAUCUAAUCAAAUUAUUUAAUGAACUCCCACUCAGAUAGACAUCCCUCUAGUCAUCUAAGUGAAACAUGAUCCGAGUUCAACUAGGCCGUGUCCGAUCAUCACGUGAGACGGGCUAGUCAAGAUCGGUGAACAUCUCCAUGUUGAUCGUAUCUUCUAUACGACUCAUGCUCGACCUUUCGGUCCUCCGUGUUCCGAGGCCAUGUCUGUACAUGCUAGGCUCGUCAAGUCAACCUAAGUGUAUUGCGUGUGUUCCGAGGCCAUGUCUGUACAUGCUAGGCUCGUCAACACCCGUUGUAUUCGAACGUAAGAAUCUAUCACACCCGAUCAUCACGUGGUGCUUCGAAACGACGAACCUUCGCAACGGUGCACAGUUAGGGUGAACACUUUCUUGAAAUUAUUAUAAGGGAUCAUCCUACUUGCUACCGUCGUUCUAAGCAAAUAAGAUGCAAAAACAUGAUAAACAUCACAUGCAAUCAAAUAGUGACAUGAUAUGGCCAAUAUCAUUAUGCUCCUUUGAUCUCCAUCUUCGGGGCACCAUGAUCAUCUUCGUCACCGGCAUGACACCAUGAUCUCCAUCAUCAUGAUCUCCAUCAUUGUGUCUUCAUGAAGUCGUCACGCCAACGAUUACUUCUACUUCUAUGGCUAACGCGUUUAGCAAUAAAGUAAAGUAAUUUACAUGGCGUUAUUCAAUGACACGCAGGUCAUACAAAAUAAUAAAGACAACUCCUAUGGCUCCCGCCGAUUGUCAUACUCAUCGACAUGCAAGUCGUGAUUCCUAUUACAAGAAUAUGAUCAAUCUCAUACAUCACAUAUAUCAUUCAUCGCAUCUUCUGGCCAUAUCACAUCACAUAGCUCUUGCUGCAAAAACAAGUUAGACAUCCUCUAAUUGUUGUUGCAAGUUUUUUACGUGGUUUGUAGGUUUCUAGCAAGAACGUUUCUUACCUACGUAUGACCACAACGUGAUUUGCCAAUUUCUAUUUACCCUUCAUAAGGACCCUUUUCAUCGAAUCCGUUCCGACUAAAGUAGGAGAGACAGACACCCGCUAGCCACCUUAUGCAACUUGUGCAUGUCAGUCGGUGGAACCUGUCUCACGUAAGUGUACGUGUAAGGUCGGUCCGGGCCGCUUCAUCCUACAAUGCCGCCGAAACAAGAAAAGACUAGUCGCGGCAAGAAGAAUUGGCAAACUCAACGCCCACAACUGCUUUGUGUUCUACUCGUGCAUAGUAACUACGCAUAAGCCUGGCUCAUGAUGCCACUGUUGGGAUUCGUAGCAUAAUUUUAAAAUUUUCCUACGCUCACCAAGAUGCAUCUAUGGAGUCUACUAGCAACGAGGGGAAGGAGUGGAUCUACACACCCUUGUAGAUCGCCAGCAGAAGCGUUCCAAUGAACGUGGAUGACGGAGUCGUACUCGCCGUGAUCCAAAUCACCGAUGACCGAGUGCCGAAUGUACGGCACCUCCGCGUUCAACACACGUACGGUGCAGCGAUGUCUCCUCCUUCUUGAUCCAGCAAGGGGGAAGGAGAGGUUGAUGGAGAUCCAACAGCACGACGGCGUGGUGGUGGAUGUAGCGGGUCUCCGGCAGGGCUUCGCCGAGCUUCUGCGAGAGAGAGAGAGAGGUGUUGCAGGGGAGGAGGGAGGCGCCAAAGGCUGUUGUGUGCUGCCCUCCCUCCCCCCCCCCUUUAUAUAGGCCCCUGGGGGGGUACGCCAGCCCCAAGAGAUGGGAUCUCAAGGGGGGUGGUGGCCAAGUGGGGGGGAAGGGGUGCCUUGCCCCCCAAGGCAAGGGGGAAGCUCCCCCCCCUAGGGUUUCCAACCCUAGGCGCAUGGGGGGAGGCCCAAGGGGGGCGCCCCAGCGCACUAGGGGCUGGUUCCCUUCCACUUUCAGCCCACGGGGCCCUCCGGGACAGGUGGCCCCACCCGGUGGACCCCCGGGACCCUUCCGGUGGUCCCGGUACAAUACCGGUAACCCCCGAAACUUUCCCGGUGGCCGAAACUUGACUUCCUAUAUAUAAUUCUUCACCUCCGGACCAUUCCGGAACCUCUCGUGACGUCCGGGAUCUCAUCCGGGACUCCGAACAACUUUCGGGUUUCCGCAUACAUAUAUCUCUACAACCCUAGCGUCACCGGACCUUAAGUGUGUAGACCCUACGGGUUCGGGAGACAUGCAGACAUGACCGAGACACCUCUCCGGUCAAUAACCAACAGCGGGAUCUGGAUACCCAUGUUGGCUCCCACAUGCUCCACGAUGAUCUCAUCGGAUGAACCAUGGUGUCGAGGAUUCAAUCAAUCCGUAUGCAAUUCCCUUUGUCAAUCGGUAUGUUACUUGCCCGAGAUUCGAUCGUCGGUAUCCCAAUACCUUGUUCAAUCUCGUUACCGGCAAGUCUCUUUACUCGUACCGCAAUGCAUGAUCCCGUGACUAACGCCUUAGUCACAUUGAGCUCAUUAUGAUGAUGCAUUACCGAGUGGGCCCAGAGAUACCUCUCCGUCACACGGAGUGACAAAUCCCAGUCUCGAUUCGUGCCAACCCAACAGACACUUUCGAAGAUACCCGUAAUGCACCUUUAUAGUCACCCAGUUACGUUGUGACGUUUGGCACACCCAAAGCACUCCUACGGUAUCCGGGAGUUGCACGAUCUCAUGGUCUAAGGAAAAGAUACUUGACAUUGGAAAAGCUCUAGCAAACGAAACUACACGAUCUUUUAUGCUAUGCUUAAGUUGGGUCUUGUCCAUCAUAUCAUUCUCCUAAUGAUGUGAUCCCCUUAUCAAUGACAUCCAAUGUCCAUAGUCAGGAAACCAUGACUAUCUGUUGAUCAACGAGCUAGUCAACUAGAGGCUUACUAGGGACAGGUUGUGGUCUAUGUAUUCACACAUGUAUUACGAUUUCCGGACAAUACAAUUAUAGCAUGAAUAAUAGACAAUUAUCAUGAACAAAGAAAUAUAAUAAUAACCUUUUAUUAUUGCCUCUAGGGCAUAUUUCCAACAAUAAGGAUUCCCCCUUCCUCUUCUCACGCUCUUUCUCCGUCUCCGCCUCUCCGAUCUCAAGCUCGAGCGCCCAAGUUCUCAUCUCCUUUCCACUCAAGCAACCAUGUCCGGAUCCGGUGGUCAGGGCAAGUGGAUGGUCUCCUCCGUCAAGGAGGAGGACAUUACUGAGCUCCGGGCAGCCGGAUAUUUGGCGAAGGAGAUCGCCCACCGCCUGCCGGCCGAGGUACAAAUUGUCCCCAUGCCGAAGCCCACUGAGAGGGUAGUAUUCAUCCCCCAUUUCUUCCGCGGGCUAGGGUUUCCACUCCACCCUUUUGUCUGCAGGCUAAUGUAUUAUUACGGAAUAGAUUUCCAUGAUCUGUCCCCGAAUUCCUUCCUCAACAUCUCGGCGUUUAUCAUCGUGUGCGAGGCCUUCCUCUGCAUCCAUCCCCACUUCAGGCUGUGGCUCAAAGUCUUCAAGGUGAAGCCAAAGGUGGUGGAUGGCCAGCACGCGGAGUGUGGAGGAGCCAUGGUGAGCAAGCUAUCCAACGUCUCCUGGCCCAAAGGCACUUUUGUGGAGACAGUAAAGGAAUGGCAGAAGCAGUGGUUCUACAUCACAGAACCUCGCGGCACCACCUGGGCCGCGGCUGCCAGAUUCUGCUCCGGUGCUCCCAUGCGACUCACCUCCUGGGUCGAGAAGAGUCCGGACUGGAGUUCACCUGACGAGCUGAUAGCGUUGCAGACGCGCGUUCAAAGCAUGGUGACCAAGAACUUCAAGCUCGUUGACGUCAUCUAGGUGAUGCUGGUCCGCCGGAUUCUUCCGUGCCAGCGCCGGAGCCGCCCUUUGUGGGAGUUCAAUUCGAAGAAGCACUAGACCUUGAAAAGGCUCUUCGAGACUUCUCACGAAGGGGCCUGGAAGUUGCUCUUUAAGGGCAACGAGAAGCCACCGGCCACGGACUCAGACCGUGGUCACGAUUGUAAACACCCCGCCAGCGAGGUAUGUUUUCUCUGACGUAUCCCCGACUUAAAUGUUUCGAGGAUGAUUCUAAGUUUUUAUUAUUUCUCUUUCAGGACUGGAUGGAGAGGGCGAGGCGGAUCCGGUGUCCGGCCCCGCUGCCUGAAGAACCUGUCAUCUCGCGCCUGGCGAAUAUGCUGGUGCCGGUGCCAUAUAAGGCGCCGGAGAAGAAGGCCAAGAAGAAGGCCAAGGGGGCCAAGAGUGGCCCCCGUCGCAAGGGCAGUCCGGACGUGACGUCCGAAGACGACGAAGCUCAUUCCUCUGUACCUGAGGACAAUGACGAGGAAGAGGAGGAGGAGGAGGAGAACAACCCUCCCCCCGAGGAGAAGAAGAAGAAGAGGGCGGCUUCGGCGCAUCUGGAGGCGGAGACGCCCAAGAAGGGGAAAGGCGUCCCAGCGGUCAACACCUCAUGGGAUGUCGACAGUAGUCCGGAACAACGCCCCCGUACUAAGCCCCAGGCCGCAUCGUAAGUGACGUGGCUUGCUCGCGCGCACAUCCGGCCCUUUUUCUCCAUUUAUCUUUGACAUAGUUUAACUGUACUAUUGCAGUCCGGCCCGUGACCUUAUCCAGCAAUCCUCAUCUGAAGGCUCGUUGGCUCCGUCGGAGAUGGCGAGCAUGUCGCCACCGCCCGCUUACUCCCCUGGGGCUAGGGAUGACGCCGAAGUGCUGUCCCGAAAGACCGCUCUGAACUAGGGAGGAGCCCAGGACGUUGUCCGGGAGGCGCCACAAGGCGGGACCUCCACUGCCGGACACAUGAGGGAGCCAAUCCCCAUGGAGACUGGCGAAGAAGGCCGUAUCCAGUUCGGCUCUCAGCCGAAUACGAUUCUAGAGACCCAUAUGGCUCCGGAGUCGGGCGAGCAGCCCCCUUUGAAGGAGAGGGGUGCGCCGCCUCCACCGGUGGCUCCUGUCCAUCCAGGAGCGUCGGAUGACCUAACGGGGGCGCUACGAAGCGCCUCCGUCGUGGACGAGCAUCGUGUCCUUAUGGGUGCGGUGAUCGAGAAGGUUCAGUCCACCAAGAGCGGACUGAAUGAAGCCUGUAGUAGCCUGUUAACAGGUUUCGAGGUAAGAAAGAGAGAAAAACCCGAAUAGUCCGUAGCCCCUAAGACGUUGUCCGGUGUUCAGCGAGAAGAACCGGACAGGGGAUCAAUCCUUAAUUAUAAGAGGCUGACUGAAUAUAUAUCGAUAAGCAGGCGUCCCUAUUGGUCGCGACCUCGCAUGCUACCGAGGUCUCCGAACUGAGGCGGAGGCUGGAGCGGACCGAGAACGAGCUCGGCGAGGUUAAGGUUCGGCUCCAGGAUCAGCAAGGUGAGUAACGACUUGUUGUAUGUUCGGGAAAGGAUAAGCGCUGUAUAUUGACAAUGGUAUUGUGAUACAUGAAGAAGCCGCGACCGAGGUCGAGGCCCUGAGGAAGGCCCUAGGCGAGGCCGAGGAGCAGGCUGUCCAGCAGCAAGAUGCCCGUAAGAAGCUAGAGGCCCGGGUCAAAGAAGUCCAGCAGGAGCUCCAGGAUGCGGUUAACAAAUGUGAGACCUUGGAGAAUGAUGCAUCGGCUCAAGGGGCCGAGCUCACCAAGGCUCGUCAGAGCACGGAGACCGCUCGGAAUGAGGCCCAGGCCGCCCUCCAGGAGAUCCAGGAGGCCAAGAAGAUCACAGCGGGUAAGGCUUUUAAUAUGCAAAGCAAGUACGCGGAGAAGCAGUACCUUUUACUAACCCGGGUUCGGAGUUCCCCAGGGGCUUUUGCUGAUCUACCACACAGUGUAUCGGACGCCGUGGAGUUCUAUCGAGCCGAAGGAGGGGGUUCCACAGAGAAGCUCUUCUGGUCGUAAUAUGCGGUGCCAGAGCCUCCCAUGUCCUUCACCGAUCAGCUGAAACAGCUGGUGGAGCUGCACAAGGUGGCCGAAUUAGCCAUGAAGAAUUUGACAAUCCGGCUAUGGCCAGCCGAAGCUAUGCCUGGCAGCUACUUCAGACUCGUGAGGCGGAUGGUAAACGCAUGUCCUCGGCUGGACGUCAUCAAGCGCUCCGCCUGUAUUGAAGGUGCCCGUAUGGCCUUCGCUUGCUGCAAGAUGUGGUGGGCGAAGAUGAACGCUGUUGAAGUUGCCAGCGGGCUGCCGGAGGGCAAGGAGCACCGCACACCCGAGCAAUAUUUCGCGGAUGUCGUAGAGGGGUCUCGACUUGUGGCGGCGCAAUGUUCGUAGGACAUUGUAUUUAAAUAAAUGUAUUCGUGUUGCCCUUUGCCUUGUAUUAUAGGAACAAAGCCGGUUUUUGUAAAAUAAUUUUAUUAUGCUUUGAAUUGUUUCCUCCUGUGUAGCCGUGUUAUUUGUAAUCUGAGGGUUGGCUAGCCGUCGGCUUCUGCCCUCGCGUAGGUAGUACGGAGGUGUUCGGAAUGGAUUCUAAACAAUCUUGAUCCAAUUAUAUGGUCCCUUGGAGGAUUUGUUUAGCGCAACGAACAAGGCAAUCGGACUGUACGGCUUAAACGCCCUCACUUAGCCAUAGGAGUUUUAUAAUUAAGCAAGUGCGCAGCCCCUGGUCCAAGCUAGGGUGCUGUCGGCGUCUAAUCGGGAAGUGUCGAUCCUUCGCAUGAUGCGGAAAAAAUCUCCAAUGAUUUUGUAACCCUCGAAUAGCUGACCGGCUCUCGCCGUAUCAUGACAGACAAUUUUCGGCUUUCUCUACUGAGGUGCUCAUAUGGUCAAGGCCAGGGCACAAUCGCAGUAGUUCUCCCUUUACUAACCUAGCCGAUAGAGCGGAACGUAGGGUAGCAAGCAUAGGAGCCCGGCAACCCAACUAUUGACCAAAGACAUGAUUCGGAGCCAAUGCAUAUAAUGCUAAAUUCGGGGUGCCGAACUUAUAUAUAAGAAGUGUUCGGACUUUGCUGCCGUAUUGUGGGGCGACAAGUAGCCCCUGGCGAAUAUGAAACGUAAAAGAGUGUCGAUGCAGCAAAUAAGCAAAUCGAAAUAAAAUGAAGUAAGAAGCGAAAACCAUAGAAACUGGGCCACGAACCAUUUUUAUUAUAACUGGAUGGAUACGUCAAGGUGUAUCUUGUAUAGAUGGUGCGAUAAGUAUCCGGGCCUACACACCUGUGCUGCUUGCCUCCGUUGUAUGCCAAUCCUUCUAAAGGACUCGCGAUCAGGCCCGUGGAAAAAGGAACCUGAAACAAGAAAAAAAAAGUAAAAGUGCGUGUGUUCGGGAUCUGUCUGGCCGAACUGUAGACCCCGGGUUAUCUUGUGCCUCCGUCGAUGUCCAUGGAAUUUUGAGUGCGUAAUUGUGUACGCGUGGUACGAAUGCCACUACCUCAUUGGGACUGGGACGGAGGCCGAAUUGCUAGUCGAGCACUUGACGAGCCGCACCGUCCUGUUGCAGUGAAGUCCGGAACCUCUUAAUGAUGUCCGAGGGCUCGACAGCCGUACUAUGGUGCUUCUUGAGAAGGCCGCUCUGUACUUCUGCUGCUAGGGCGGCGGUGUGCUCCUCUGUUCGGAGGGAGCGUUCCGUAUUGCCAUUGACUGUUCUGACGCCGAGUGGACCGGGCAUCUUGAGCUUGAGAUAAGCAUAGUGUGGCACUGCACUGAAUCUAGCAAACACGGUUCGUCCGAGCAGUGCGUGAUAGCCGCUGCAGAAGGGGGCGAUAUCGAAGAUUAACUCUUCGCUUCGGAAGUUUUCCGGAGAACUAAAGAGUACCUCUAGCGUGAUUGAGCCCGUACAGCGGGCCUCUACGCCUGGUAUGACUCCUUUAAAGGUAGUCUUUGUUGGUUUGAUUCGCGAGGGGUUAAUGCCCAUCUUCCGCACUGUGUCCUGAUAAAGCAGGUUGAGGCUGCUACCGCCAUCCAUCAGGACUCGUGUUAGGUGAAACCCGUCAAUAAUUGGGUCGAGGACUAGUGCGGCCGAACCGCCAUGGCGGAUACUAGUUGGGUGAUCCCGACGAUCGAAGGUGAUCGGGGAUGAUGACCACGGAUUGAAUUUUGGGCGACUGGCUCUACCGCGUAGACGUCCCUAAGUGCUCGCUUACGCUCCCUUUUGGGGAUGUGCGUAGCGUAUAUCAUGUUCACCGUUUUGACUUGAGGGGGAAAUUUCUUCUGCCCCCCAGUGUUCGGCUGCCAGGGCUCUUCGUCCUCGUCCUCACUUUGUGAUCCCUUUUCUUUUUUCGGCAUUUAACUUGUCGGCCUGCUUGAAGACCCAACAAUCCCUGUUGGUAUGAUUAGCUUGCUUAUCCGGGGUGCCAUGAAUUUGGCACGGACGGUCGAGUAUGCGGUCCAGGCUGGAAGGUCCUUCGCUGUUUCUUUUGUAGGGCUUCUUCCGUUGGCCGAACUUGGAGCUACUGAAUCCGGCGUUGACUGCGGUGUCAUCGGUGUUGUCGCCAUUGCUUCGGCAUUUGUGUCUAUUGCGCCGGAGCUUUCCAGUGCUGUUCUUGGCCUCAGUGGGGCUUGCCUCGCUGGCUGUGUUUUUACUACGAGCCAGCCAGCUGUCCUCACCCGCACAAAAGCAGGUCAUGAGUGUCGUGAGGGCUGCCAUAGACUUCGGCUUUUCUUGGCCGAGGUGGCGUGCUAGCCAUUCGUCACGGAUGCUGUGUCUGAAGGCUGCUAGGGCCUCGGCAUCCGGACAGUCAACGAUCUGGUUCUUUUUGGUUAGGAACCUAGUCCAGAAUUUUCUGGCUGAUUCUCCAGGUUGUUGAACUAUAUCGCUUAAGUCAUCAGCGUCUGGUGGCCGGACAUAAGUUCCUUGGAAGUUAUCAAGGAAAGCCUCUUCCAAGUCUUCCCAGCUGCUGAUGGAAUUCUCAGGCAGGCUAUUUAACCAGUGCCGAGCUGGCCCUUUGAGCUUUAAUGGGAGGUAUUUGAUGGCGUGGAGGUCAUCUCCUCGAGCCAUAUGGAUAUGGAGAAUGAAAUCCUCGAUCCAUACUGCGGGAUCGAUUGUGCCAUCGUAUGAUUCAAUGUUGACAGGCUUGAACCCCUCGGGGAAUUCGUGAUCCAGUACUUCAUCUGUGAAGCAGAGAGGGUGUGCGGUGCCGCUAUAUCGGGCUGCGUCGUGGCGUAGCUCUGAUGGAGUCCGUCUGCGGUAUUCAGCCCGGGCGUGGUUAGGUUUAUCACGUCCGAAUAGGUAGCCCUCGUCGUGCCUCGAGGCACGUCCUCGCGAUCCGUAGAUCGAUCUUGUAUGUCCUGCUCUACUGUCCAGGGUCUGCCGGAGGUCGUACGUGUGACCCCGAACUCUUCCGUUUCUGUUUUUACGGGGCGGUGGGGCAGGCUGCUGUUCGGCCUGAGUUGCCGCUUUAUCCCGGCCGCGGGGUGGCCGGUCGGCUGCCCUGUCUCGACCACGUGGUGGUCAUUCUGCACUAUGCGAGGGAGAUGUGUGCUCCGGUGCUUCCUCAUCGAAUUGAGGUAGUAGUCUGCGUUUCAGGUAGCUCUUGGCUGGGCGCCUGAGGCCGUAUUCUUCGGCUGUCAGGACAUUAGUCCAUCUAUCGACGAGCAGAUCUUGUUCAGCUUGGAGCUGAUGUUGUUUCUUUUUCAGACUCCUUGCAAUGGCUAUGAGCUGAAGCUUAAAGCGCUCCUGCUCCAGAGGAUCCUCCGGCACGAUGAAGUCUUCGUUGCCGAGGCUUGUCUCCUCCCCGGAGGGUGGACGGUAACUAUCGUGCUCCGAGUCAUCUUCUAUGGCCUGUUCAUCAGGGUUAUCUUGCCUGUUUGCCGUGUUCCUCCUGAUCGGAUGCAGCUCCGACAGGGUCUUCAUUGUUUUCGGCAUCGCCUGGAGUACUAUUUUCUCCGGUGCCGGUGUUGCCGUCCCUUGAGCGACGAGGCUUAGGGCGGCGUUUGGGGCGUCGGCGCUUCGACUGUAUCUUAGAGAUUUUAUUCGCAUCUGGCUCUUCUUUGUCGUCGCCAGAUCCUUUGGGUGUAUCAACCAUGUACACGUCAUACGAAGAGGUAGCCGUCCAGCGUCCGGUGAAUGGCGGGUCUUGGCCUUGCUCCUUAUCGGCAUCAUCGUCCAUACCGUCGAUGUCUUCGGAGCCAUAGUCAAGCACGUCGGUUAAGUCAUCGACGGUGGCUAUGAAGUGGGUGGCGGGUGGGGAGCAAAAUUCUUCGUCAUCCGUCUCUAGCUCGAACCGGACGUAAUUCGGCUAUGAGUCCUUCUCCAAGGAAAAAUUCUUUAAAGAUUUUAGCACGUCACCCAAAGGCGAGUGCUGGAAAACGUCAGCGGCGCUGAACUCGGAGAUCGAUAACCGAUCUAGCUCGGUGUCCGCGGGCAUACACAGUCCGGAACUUAUAGCCGGAGACAAGUCCGAAGUUCCGUUGAAGCGAAUAUUGCAGGGCGUUGAGUCCGUGUGCGGCUCUAACGCCGCGGAUUCUGCGGCCUCGGAUGGCACGAUCUGCUUUGGCCCUAAGGCCGUUGCAGCAGCCGGAACCAUCUCUUGGGUGUGAUCCGAUGACAGAUUUAAGUCACGUUCAUCGGGGUGAGGGGGAGCGAUCGCCGCGGGCUCAAAUCCCUUGAAGAUCAAGUCUCCACGGAUAUCCGCGAUGUAGUUCAAGCUUCCGAAUCUGACCUGAUGGCCAGGGCGUAGCUGUCGAUCUGCUCUAGAUGGCCAAGCGAGUUGGCCCGCAGUACGAAGCCGCCGAAUGCGAAGGUCUAUCCAGGGAGGAAGGUUUCUCCCUGGACAACGUCAUUACUGACGAUCAAAGGGGCCAUCGAGCCCUUUGCCGACGGCACAGUGGAACUCUCAAUGAAAGCACCAAUGUCGGUGUCAAAACCGGCGGAUCUCGGGUAGGGGGUCCCGAACUGUGCGUCUAGGACCGAUGAUAACAGGAGACGGGGGACACGAUGUUUACCCAGGUUCGGGCCCUCUCUAUGGAGGUAAUACCCUACUUCCUGCUUGAUUGAUCUUGAUGAAUAUGAGUGUUACAAGAGUUGAUCUACCACGAGAUCGUAAUGGCUAAACCCUAGAAGUCUAGCCUAUGUGAAUAUGGUAAUGAAUAUAUGCCUUCCGGACUAACCCCUCCGGUUUAUAUAGAUACCGGGGGGAUCUAGGGUUUACAUGGAGUCGGUUAAAUAAGAAGGAAUCUUCAUAGUUGGUCGCCAAGCUUGCCCUCGACGCCAAGGAAAUUCCAAUCCGGACACGGGUAUAGUCUUCGGCCUUCGUAUCUUCACAGCCCAUCAGUCCGGCCCAAUGAACAACAGGCCGGACGCCCGAGGACGCCUUAGUCCAGGACUCCCUCACUCGCCGUUUGUGUUGCGCCAUGAGCAGGACUUUGAUUGAGAGGGCGACGUGCAUGCAUUAGCAUGGUUUGCCAGCGUGAGCGUGAGUGUCUGCACGCGUACAUGCUACUUGCCUCUAUGGACGGUGUGCGCUAAUGUGUGCAUCACGUAUAAUAUAAAAAAUGGUUUGUGCAUUUAACGCAAAGUAUUUCAUUUUCAUUUGGCUGACGAGUGUGCGUUGCAGCGAUGAGUCUGUGGUUUGAUUCCUCACAUACGCACAAUUUUGGUUUUCAUUUCUUUCUCCACUGAUAGGUAGGCCCGCAUAGAUAGAUAGAUAAAGACCACGAGCUGAUGAGGCGCAUGCGGACUGUUUGACUGGUCGACCAGAUAAAUACGGAGCUAUACGCUGAGCCAGUGACCGUAUAAUCACCAUAUCUCCUAUACAAUGAUCAAAGUGAGCUAUCAAGACAAGUUCGAUGACCGCCAAUGCAUUUUACUCGGUAAUAAAUGACCAGGAUUGAAGGGGAAUCCAAAUUUCCUUCGUCUUCUGUCCUUGAGCUCUUGACAAACCAAUGCACUAUACGGUUGUCCGGCCACUCCACCCCAGAGCUGUCAUGAAGCGUCGUUCAUGCCACCGCGCCACACACUAACCGGUAAGGAAGCGAUGGCAUCCCGCCGCGCCGAGUUCCUCGCCGCCCACGACUGCACACAAAAUGGUAGGGAAGUGAUGGCAUCCCGCCGUGCCGAGUUCAUCGCCGCUCGCGACCUCACACCUACGUGGGCGGAAAUUGAAGCUGCCAAGGCCGAAUGGGCGGUAGAGCAAGAGGCGGCCAAAGCCGCACAGAGGGAGCGGAAAAGUCAGAAAGCACUCAAGAAAAGAGAGGCCCGCCACCGCAAGAAAGAAGAGGACGCACGCGCUGCUGCGGAGAGGUCGGCGGAGAUCCAAGCACGGUGGGGUGUCGCCGAAAAAGCCGGGAAGGAGAACGACGGCGUCUGGCCAGCAUGUGAGAAGUAGUAGUACUAGUAGUUAGUGUGUGUGUCUGUGUCACCCAUACAAUUGUUUAAUUAAUUACGAGCAUGUACCAGUACUAGUUACUGCUGUAGUUUUUAGAGCAAAUUACCAGUACAUUAGCCUAGACUCAAUGGAAAAAUUCCUAUCCUAUGCAUCAAAUGGCAUCUGUUUCUCUAUAGGAAUUGAGAUGCAUGUCAUCUCACUUCCUAUGAUUUUCAUAUUCCUAUAAAAUUCCUAUCCUAUGAACCAAAAGAGGCCUCUGCUGGAGUAACUAAUGUAGCUAGCAGUACUGCUGGUACAGUAGUUUUCGUCAAGCAGCGGAAUUCAACGAAGUCAUGAUGGUUCCUUCGUCCGAGCAACUACACUGUGGGAAAUCUUGGGCAUGUGAUUUGACGGCUCAUUAGUCAUUAUUACUGUGGCGCGACGACCGGGGUGACUCUCCCUUGGAGUUCUGCGUGCAUGGCAAGUGGACCAGGAUGGUCGACGUCCCACAUGUUGGCGCACGGAAGUAUUCUUUCCGAUAUCGAGGAGCAAGGAAGCGCGCGCCAGCAAGGGAGGGGGGUUGGGUCAGCCAGGGCGGUCAGAUGCGGGCGUGGUGGUGGUAUUGGUUUUGAACCGUUUCAGGUGUAGUACUGGUAGUUUGUAAAACUAUUCAAUUAUUGCACUCAGUUUCCUAAGAAAUUGUGGUAAAAAAUGUUACUCCACAGCCCGCUUCCCUUCUCCUUCCUCUUCCACCGCCCGGGCACGUCCGCGGGAAGCGAUCGGUCAACCCUUAUAUAGGAGUGCUAGCACAAAAAGAUGCAUGCAUGACCACUAAAAUUUCCAGAUUAAAGCGCCGCUCCGGCGGGAGUACGGCGUAUGCCGUUACCUUCGGCCGGGCCAUGGCUACCAGGCGACAGCGAGCAGAGAAGAGGCGGCGGGAGGGGAAUGAAUACAGCUACUGUUUGGGUUCGCCGUCCGGCUUAAAUAAAUGCGCACCAUCACGUGUACCCGCAGGUGCACAAAUUGUAACAUACGUGUCUGCAUAAGUGGGUGUCACGUAACUGGUGUGUGUGUGAGAUUCUGAGAGACAGAGUGCGUGUGUGCGACUCUACUCUUCGGACAUGUACUCAACCUUUUGCAUCGGGAUAUAAGUAUAAUGGUAUUACACUUUAGCUAGUGAUUUACGUGGCCAUGUUAACGUGGUUAUGUAAAAAAAUGUCACUUCCUGCUCGUGAUUUGCAUUAUAUAAUUACUAGCAAGAUGCUCGUGCAUUGCACGGAACAUCAAUAUGCAUUUUUUUACAAAACACCUGUUGUGAUUGACCCAUGCAGGAGUAAUCCCAUGUGUAAAAACUAAUGAUAUCUCGAGAAUUUUAUCGGAAAACUGGUAUCUCGAGAAUUUCAUCGAAAAAAUGAAAGAUGAGAGAUAAGGUGAGGAGGAGUGGAGCAUGGUGGUGACUGGUGGUCGGACUGGGCGGAGGCAUGGGGAUGGACGACGCCGACAGGCAACAACGGCCACCAUGCUAGAUUGUUCCAGAGACUUCCUUUUUUAAUUGCUCAGCAAUGAGGUUGUGGGAGAUAAGGAUGAAUGAGGCAAGGCCUUGUCUGUAAAUGUGGAGAGAGGUGAGGGUAUCUUUUGUAAAAUUGUCAUAGUUUUCUUUCUAUCCGUCAGAUAGAGAUCGGACGGUCUAUAUUACAAGAUGGCAGGCACACCAUCAUCACCAACUCAGUUUUUUAUAAGAGUAGAGAUGAUAAGUUUGCUAACUACUAAAGUAAAGUGGAAUUUGUCCAUGUUAUACAAGUAAAUUAAGGUGAUUGUUUAUCAUACGGGUAAGGUUGGACGAAGGGUGGUAGGAACAAAUGCUCCGCCUAGAGCAUGUGUGUGUGAGAUGGAGUCUUAGUGUGUGUGGGUGUGGGUGGGUGGGUGGGUGGGUGCGUGCAUGUGUGUGUGACGUGGGGUCCUCGGUGGCGGAUGUAAUUUAAGUGUGUGUGGCUUCAUCAUAGAGAGGUGAUCUAUAUGGCAGAGGCCACCAACGAGGGGGUGCGAGAGACAAAAGGCCCGUAGAGAGGGAAGAGAAGGCGUGUGCGCGUGAGAGGAGUCGACAUCAAGAGAACGUGCUUGUUCGUGAGACACCGAGGAAGACUACUAUAUAUCGAUGGUGCAUGUAGGCGGGAAUUAAAUGAAGGGAUGGUCUUAUUGGUUUCGGCGAUAUAGGGGAAGAGUGAGAGAGGGGGUAGCUAUAAGGAGAUUGUUAAGUGUGAGUGUGUGUUUUACCCAUCCAGGCGGAAGUUAUGUGCACACAAGAAGAGAACGAUUCGAUGUGGCGUUAGGGCUGAGGGUAAUUAACUAAGUAUGGAGACAUAGGAGACCUUGAACGUGCAUGUGUGAGAGGUAUACAUGUAUACGUGGGAUGUGUGUGUGUGCGCGCGCGCAUGAUCAAGAUAAAAGAAAGAAGACAUAAGUCAUAAGAUCAACAACAUGGGAGAGACGGAUCGGUAUGACAAUAUGCAUGCAUGUGAGAGUGCAAGGAAGAAGGCCCGAUAAUUGAGCAUGUGUUUUUGUAUUUAAGAGAUAGUGGCGUGGGUUGGAGCAUGCAUCUGUGGCGAGCAGAGGGAGCGAGACACAACUAUUGUGCAAAAGAGAUCAACCUAUAGAUGCAUGUAUGGAGAGACAUAUAUAGUGUGGGUGAUAGAAAGCAAGAGUGUGUGCGAGAAAGAAAUGUUGACGGAGAAACUACAGAUAGAUACAGAGAUAGAGAUGGUAGCUAGAGGGACAUCGGCUAGUUUGAGUGUUGGAGAUGACCGCCGGGUGGUUCAGAGGGUGAAGUUAUGUGUGUGUGAGAGAAAGAUAAAAAGAGGGAACAUGACUGCAUGUAGAGAGAAACAUAUAUAGUGUGCGUGAUAGGAAGCAAGAGUGAGGGCAAGAAAGAAGGUUGAUGGAGAAACAGAUAAAUAGAAAGAUAAAGAUGCUAGCUAGUGUGCGUUAGAGAUAGGAGUCAAGUGGAUCAGAAGGCUGAGUUAUGUGUGUGGGUGUGAGAGAGAGAGUGUGUGCAUGUGAGUCACAUACAAACAAAUAUCAGAGAGAAAUGAGAUCCCGAGAGACGGAGUUUUGUGUCUGCGAGAGAAAGAUAUUUCACAACGAGAGUGAUAGCUAGAGAGACAUAUGAGGGAACGCAAGAUAUCUCUAGGGAGAGAGUGUGUGUGUGAGCGACAUACAAGAGAAUGGUGGAGAGAUAUGAGACCCUGGGAGACAGAGUUUGUGUUUGUGUGUGAGAAAGAGAUAUUUAAGAGGAAGAGUCGUAGCUUCUCAUACCUAAGGAGCGAAAUACAUCUCUGUGUGAGAGGGCGUGUGCGAGUGGCACACAGGGGAACACUACUAGGAAAAAGGCUACUAGCAGCGCGGGUAAUAUGGCUACUAGCAGCGUGGGUACCCGCGCUACUAGUAUCGCGCUACAGCUAAUAGUUAGGAGUAGCGUGACACCCGCGCUACUGCUAUUACAGAACCGCGCUACUACUAACGAAGUAGCACUAGUAGAAAAACGACUUUUAGUACCGGUUCGUAAGGACCUUUAGUACCAGUUCUGGAACCGGUACUAAAGAGUGGGGACUAAAGGUCCCCCCCCCCCUUUAGUCCCGGUUUAACACGAACCGGGACCAAAGGCCCACCACGUGGCACGAGGCGCGCCGUGGUCUGGGGGGCCUUUAGUCCCGGUUGGUAAGGAUUUUUUUAAUUUUUAUUUUUGAAAUAAAGCAAAAACAGCCAGCCUACUGGGCCGGCACGGCCUGCAUACGACUAGAAACCCAAUCUCUAGUUGGGCCAGGAUGCAGGCCCGUACGGCCCAGUAGGCCCCACAGGGCAGAAGACUUGCAAUAGACCCACAAAGGCCUGCUUAGAGAGGAGCUCGACACGGUAGCCGCGGCGAGGCUUAUAAACCGGUGCGAGCUCCUCUCAACUAGCGAGGUGGGAGUAAACAUUGUGCACUGCGGGUGGCAUCGCACCACCUUUAGUACCGGUUGGGUUGGUGGCUCCAACCGGUACUAAAGACCCCCCCCCCCCUCCUUUAGUACCGGUUGGAGCCACCAACCAGUACUAAAGGCCACCACCUCUUUAGUACCGGUUCAUGGCACGAACCGGUACUAAAGAUUUCCCACGAACCGGUACUAAUGAGUGCCGCCCGCCUGGCCGUUGGAACCGGCAUUAAUGGUCACAUUAGUGCCGGUUCAAUACCAAACCGGGACUAAUGAGUUUCACAUUAGACCCUUUUUCUACUAGUGUAGUAGUAGCGUGCUUAUAAUACCAGCGCUACUAGUAUCCUGAAUACUAGUAGCGCGCAGUUUUUUCCCAACGCUACUAGUAACAAAUCAAGAAUAAAAAAAUAAAAAUUAGACGCAAUAUUCAUGAAUGGAGAUCAGAGACACGUCCAGUGCAAAAUAAAUUAAGGUCACAGAACCAUCUUAACACUUGCAGUGUUCAUGGAUGCAGCAUUGAACAUCUCAACUCGAAGAGAUCACGAGGACGCACACAACCAUCAUCAAAAGGUUGGUACCUUCCCUAUUGUUUCACCACCAACCUAACCAGACCACUUCUCUAGAUGUAUCUACAAAGCGUCGAGGUCCUCCACCUUGAGGAACUCCGGGCGGUGGCGUCGUCCUCCACCUCUGUGACCUUCGUAUGGUGGCGUCGAGGUCCUCCACCCCGGGGACCUCCGGCAUCGCAAUCACCUGGACAAUCAUCAGUAUGACACGGUCGCGAGGCUUCACGGUGAAGUCUGCCCCCGAGUAGUUGAAGAGCACGAUGCCCAUCAGGCCGCAGUAGUCUGCGUCGAUCACCCCUGCACCCAGUCGAGAAAGUGAAAACUUGUUAGUUCGCAUCCUCGUGUAGAUCCAGUAGGGUAUUUUCUUCAAUUAUAUGUCUCUUUUAGUCUAUUAUGAAUCUUCAAAAUGGAAAAACACCUACUAAAUGCAUACCCUAGUUGUACGUGUUCAUGCUAUCUUCUUGUUUUGGUGCAUUCAAGAAAUACUAGUGUAUUUGAGCUAUAUAUUCUUGAAAUAUUUGACAGUUAACAUUCUGUUCAAAAUUUAUUAUUGCAUGGAUAGGGAAAUCGCCAACAAAGGACUUCAGAAAAUUGAUUCCCACUGCUCUUCAAAACAGGGAAUAGGCAAAGUCUUUUUUGAAUUUUGAUAUUCCAUGCCAACUUCAAGUAUAUAUGCUACCAUGUAAUCUUUGAACGUGGAUCAAAAUGAGAUUUCAGGCUUUGUGGGCCUUACCAUGAUCAGUACUAAAUUCUCUAGGCUGCUCAACCUUUCCCUGUAGGGAGCAUUUCUUUCACCAGGUAUCGCAUUGUUAAGUUUGGGAAGAAACCUGCAUCCCUUCAGAUAGUCAUCCAUAUCCUGAAGAAAAAACAGUAUACAUUUUCAGUGACUCACAAUAUAUCAUCGAAUACUGCUCAAGUCUACUUCUAAGAAUAAUUGUUUAAGAUCAGCCAAUGUUUUCUUACGAUCUUCCACUCUGUGAAGUAGAAGUAAAAACUGAAAGCUAAACACACAUUAAGAUUACCUACAUAAAAUUCUUCAGAUAGCGAAUGAGCGAUAGAAAAAAAAUAUAUACUUCAGAUAGCAAGGAGCAGGCCAACAGGCAACAACAUAAGUUUUUUAGCAGCGGCGACAGGUAACUACCGAGACAUUGCAGGUGAAGAUAUGAAUUUUGGGUACCCUUCGUCCCCCACGAGCAGACUUCGUUGACAGUGGUGCAGGGUACAGUGUUGCGCAGGCGACGCGGAGAGAGGCCUGCCUGGCCGGGGCCUAGCCGAGCUUGGCGCUGAGGACGUUGCCCACGGACACCUCCUGCACCAGCGCCGGGUCGACGUUGACUCUCCGGAGAGCACCAUUUUAAAUCGGGCGGCAGAGCAUCACUGACUGGGUGCUCGGAUCCAACUACCAUCUACUUUGACCAUCCGAACCACAUGUGACAACAAGACUCAUCCGAUCUCUUGUCCUCUACCCAAUGUCAUGAGAUAUUGAGAUCCAAUGUUAUUAGUCCAGGUCUGCUACCAUCUACUUAUACUAAUCAAAAGGCAAACCAAUCCACUUACGCCCAGUCUAUCAGGACUAAACUUGUACUCCUAACAGUGGGGCUGUAAAAUUUCCACACGCGUUCAUCUGGGCCUUAUCCUACGCCAUCUCCAAAGAUUUAAAAAUGCAAAAGUUUUCAAUUGACACGACACUUGCCAUUAUAUAUUGUAAAAAAAGUUUAUGUCAUCCGUGCAAAAAACUAAUGCUGAAGUUCUUUCUACUGCCUUUUUCUGAAUUAUUAGUUGCUGAUGCCAAUAAAAACAAGUGCAGUUCAUCUAGCAGCAUACUACCAAAUAUACGCAGCUCAGAAGUUGAAGAUACAAUAAAUAGAUACGGCUAAAAGCAUGAGACCUGCUACUUUGGAAGAUAGUAACUUACAGUAUCCUGGAGAAGGCCUCCCUGUUCUCGUUGAGCUUCCACUGAUCCUCUGCGUCGGAGGCGUAGUAGUCGUACACCAUCUUCAGGAGCUUCUCCCUGGCAAGUUUCCAGUACUCGGACACGUUCGUGAUCAUCUCCAUUCCCCUGCUCAAAUUAUUCAUCAUCAAUUCCCAGUUAAUCUAUUUGCCAAGCAGCAAAAUAGAUCAUCUGCUUUUUCUCUGAAGAGUGAAGACGCUUGAACCUGAACUGUACAUCCUCCGGAUAGCUUGACAGGGAAUAUGAGAAAUCAAGAAGGAUGGCAAGAUAUGGAACAAAUCUGGAGGCUGAUCUAUCCAUGGAGGAGUUGAUUAACUGAAGAAUCGAUCCUGGAUUCCUGAUUCGGUAUCAUAUAUAUCACUCCAUCAGUAGUUCGAGAUGUUGCUUUCGAAUCAGCGGUACUGAAAAAACGAAAUAGAAAGAUUGAGCCGAGGCGAUUUGACGAGUCUUGUUGUCUCAUGACAUUGAGCCGAGGCGGUUUGAGUGGUUGCUUAACUAGUAGCAAGGAUUGGAGUAAGAAAGCAGAGAAAUUUCGUUACCCUGGAUGGCGACGGAGCCGAGCUUGGUGGCGGGGAGGGACGAGAGGCAGCCAAGCAAGGCGUCGAUGGGCGUGCUGGCGACGCCGACGGUGCACACGUCCAUGGGAUCCAGGCCGCCGUCGGGGGCGCAAGUGCUCGGGGACGGCGCCAUGGCGUGGUGGUGGACUGGCUUGGCUGUUGGAUCUUACCCCUCUGUGUGCUAGGGCUCACCGGCGGCGGGUGGAUUGGGUUUGGCCGGAGAGAGCGAGAGGGAGAGAGAGAGAGGGGGUGUAGCGACCCGACCUCAAACGGUAAAGUCUUUGUGCUUCUGUGUCAUCCCUGGAUCGGUAAUGCUGACACACAGUGCUCGAAGGAUUUAUAACAGAGUAGCAAUCACAAACUUAUUACAUCGAAUGUCUCCAAAAAGAACUUAUUACAAUAAAUAUGGCAUAAGGCCAUCUAAUACGAUAACAGCGGAAGACUUGGAAGAUAAAGUGAGUCCAUCAACUCCAACAGCAUAGCUGAGCUGCACGGCAACGACCUAACGAACCUUACUCCUCGUCUGAAAAGUCUGCAACAUAAUACGUUGCAGCCCGAGAACGGGUCAGCACAUGGAAUAUGCUGGCAAUAUAACACAGUAGAGCAAGAACAGAAUAAUGCUACCACUACAUGCAUAUUUGGCUGGUGGAAAGGCUCUAUGGUUAUAGUUUUGCGAAAAGCCAAUUUUUUCCUACAACAAUGGAAUAAGUUUUAUUUAACUAUCAUGGUAGUUGAAACAUCAUUGAGAAGGUUCCUCCAACUCAAUCCCAAUUAAAGUAAUUAUCAACCCAACAUAUUAAAUUAGAGUGAUGAGAUACUUAGGAUAAUCCAAGUACUAGAUACUCAAGAUGUCCAUAACCGGGGACACGGCUAACCAUGAUUAGAUUGUACACUCUGCAGAGGUUUGCGCACUUUUCCCCACAAGAUUCGAUCUCCUCCGUUGGAUUUCUCGCACUACAUGGUGUUUGAGAAACGGAUGACCGAGACACAGUCUUUCAGAAGCAUUAACUCUAACCCCGGGUAGACAGUACCAACCUACAUCCCUCUACAUCUGCUAGCCUACCACUGGAAGAGGUCAGGCAACUUACUCAACUAUGCUAGAGCCCACAAUAGCUUGUGGCUGCACACGGAAGUUUCUAGCAUGAAUAAUCUUAUGAUCCCUUUGAGCCUGGGUGGCGAGCCGUAGGAUGAUCACACGGGUCCUCCGGGAUAUCCUAGGACAACACUGGAUUCUCCAGGUGCCCGUAACCAAUCCACCCAGAUGUGUAUUAAAGUACCCACCUUAAGUUGAACCAUUAAGUAAACAAUCUCACAUCUGUCAUGGAUUCACUCACCCAAACCACGUCUACGAGCAUAGCAUAGCAAUAUAAGCAAUACGUUGAAGUAACUCCCAAGGGUUUGAUAAUAACAGGGCAAUAGGUUCUACCUCAUCAACUACUUCCCAAUACCCACAAGUUAAUCACAUCCUAAUCAUGCAGUGUUUGAGGAUUGGAGCUAAUGCAUAAAAACUGGGUAUGAAAAGAGUAUGAUCAAUGUGUUACUUGCCUUGCUGACGAUACGCAAAACCUAGAGACUCGUAGUAGCACGCUUCGCACUCCGGGAAUUCUAUCGCAAAAAAACAAUAGCAUGCAUAAGCAAUCAAUCAUGGAUGCACGGGUAAAACUCAAAUAAGAAGAACUAACCAGAAAAUCCAACUUAAGAACUCCGGUUUGCAAAAAGAAUCAAAUCAAACGGAGCAACAAAACUCAAACUGCGAAAGAAACAAGAUUCGAUUACUAAUCUGGACUAAAGUCAAAUUUUACAGUACCAAAAUCUUGUUCAAGUUGGUUAAACAGAAAUAGGGUUUCGAGACGAAGAUCUAGGCGCUUGAAUCGCCUGAUUCCGAUAAACGAGCGAAAAGAUAAACUAAAACGAAAAUCGGAUCAGAAAUCGCGAUCGAAAAUAAUCGCGAAAAAACUGAGAAAAAGAAAAACUGACGAACAGGCUAACGAACGAACGUUCGUUGUCUGUAACUAAUGAGCGAAAACGGUUCGUUAAAACGAACGUACGGACGAACGUCCGCUAAAUAAUCUAAACCGAGAAAACCAACGAACCGAUAAAAAAAGCAACUAGGGUUUUUAAAAAAACCGAUGGUUUUACCUAAACCGAAAGAAAAACAGCGGCUCCGGCGGCUUCCGCGGCGGCGCGGCGAGGCGGGGGCAGCGCGGGGUGAGGCGCGGCAGGCGGCGGCGGCUGCUGCUGCUGCUUGCGGUGGCGGUGGUGGCGAUUUGGGGGCGGGGGCGGCGGCUUUUAAAGGGGAGAGGGAGGGUGGCUUGCGGGAGGGGGCGGGAGGAGUCCCGGGCGGCGACGGCGACGGCUGCCGAGUCCUGGCCGGACUCGGGCACGGCGGAGGCGGUGGCGCGGCACGGGCCGGCGGCCUGGCUCGGCUGGGUCUUGGCCCAGUCGGGCGCGGAAGAAGUUUUUUUAAAAAAAAUGGAUUCCGCCGAAAAUAAAUCCUAGAAAAAUAAAUAAAAAUCUAAAAAUGCCAAAACAAAUUUUCACCGUCUAAAUAAAAUAUUUAGAACAAGAUGAACGUUUUCUUGGCCCUAAAAUGCAAUUUUGAAAACAUGCAAUUUUUCUAAUGCAAAUAAAAUAGCACUAAAAGCCGAAUAAAAUCAAAUAUUUGAUUUUAAUAUUUUUCCUCCAAUAUUUCAUUUAUUUUGGAGAAGUCAUAUUAUCUCCUCUCAUAUAUUUUAAUAUGAAAUAUUUUCGGAGAGAAAAAUAAUUAAAACAAAUAAUCCUCGUUUCAGUAUUUGAUAAAAUUCAAAUAUGGAAACAGUGAAAUCCCCAACUCUCUCCCAGGGUCCUUGAGUUGCGUAGAAUUUCGAGGAUCGCGAAACGAAAUGCAACAAAAAUAUGAUAUGCAUGAAUGAUCUAUGUAUAACAUUCCAAAUUGAAAAUUUGGGAUGUUACAAACCUACCCCCCUUAAGAUGAAUCUCGCCCUCGAGAUUCGGGUUGGCUAGGAAAUAGGUGUGGGUGGUCUUUACAAAGAUCAUCCUCUCGUUCCCAGGUGGCUUCAUCCUCGGUAUGGUGGCUCCACUGAAUUUUGCAAAACUUGAUAACCUUGUUGCGGGUGACUCGGCUGGCAAAUUCAAGAAUCCUGACUAGCUUCUCCUCAUAGGUCAGAUCACUGUCCAACUGAAUUGCUUCUAGAGGCACUGUAUCUCUCAGUGGAAUAUCGGCCAUCUCCGCAUGACACUUCUUCAACUGUGAAACAUGAAACACAUCAUGAACUCCCGACAGUCCUUCAGGUAACUCCAACUUGUAGGCAACCUCUCCCAUACGUUCCAAAACACGAUACGAUCCUACAAAUCUCGGGGCUAACUUUCCCUUAACUCCAAAACGUUUCACUCCUCGCAGAGGUGACACUCAUAGAUAUGCUCUGUCUCCAAUUUCAUAGGUUACUUCCUUGCGUUUCGAAUCUGCAUAACUCUUCUGCCUGGACUGGGCUUCCUUCAGUCUAUCUCGAAUCAAUUUAACCUUCUCUUCAGACUCCUUAAUCAAAUCUGGUCCAAACAACUGUCGGUCUCCAACUUCAUCCCACAUCAACGGUGUUCUGCACCUUCGCCCAUACAGGGCUUCGAACGGUGCCAUCUUCAAACUGGCUUGAUAGCUAUUGUUGUAUGAGAACUCCGCGUAGGGUAAAUUGUCAUCCCAAGUAGAUCCAUAAUCUAGUGCACAAGCCCUCAACAUAUCCUCCAGAAUCUGGUUGACUCUCUCGGUCUGUCCAUCUAUCUGCGGAUGAAAAGCUGUACUGAACUCCAGCCUGGUUCCCAAAGUCUGGUGCAACUGAUGCCAAAACUUUGAGGUAAACUGUGUUCCUCUAUCUGAGACGAUGGUCCUUGGAACUCCAUGCAGACAUACGAUCCUGGUCAUGUAUAUCUUGGCCAACUUCGCACUUAUAUAGGUGGUUUUCACUGGAAUAAAGUGAGCCACUUUGGUCAAGCGAUCAACUACUACCCAUAUAGAAUCAUAUCCUGAUUUGGUCCUGGGCAAUCCGGUGAUGAAAUCCAUGCCAAGCUUAUCCCACUUCCAUUCGGGUAUCGGCAUAGGCUGUAGCAAUCCUGCUGGCUUUUGAUGUUCUGCCUUCACUCUCUGACAUACAUCACAUACGGCUACAUACUCGGCAAUAUCCUUCUUCAUACCAGUCCAUCAAAAAUGUUCCUUCAAAUCCAAAUACAUCUUGGUGUUUCCGGGGUGUAUCGAGUAUGGUGAGUCAUGGGCCUCCUGAAAUAUUAACUUCCUGAUCUCUGUGUUAUUGGGCACAUAAACACGGUCCUCAAACCAUAAGGUGUCGUGCUCAUCCUCACGAAAACCUUUGGCCUUUCCUUUGCUCAUUCUCUCUUUUAUCUCGGCAAUUUCUUUGUCAUCCUUCUGAGCUUCUCGAAUCUUUGCUAACAAUGUAGACUGAACUUCCAUUGUUGCAACAAAACCUCUAGGAAUAAUCUCCAAUCGAAGUUCCCUGAGAUCCCCUGCUAACUCCUUUGGCAAUCCUGUGCUUACGAGGGUGUUAGCAUAACUCUUCCGGCUCAAAGCGUCUGCUACGACAUUGGCCUUGCCUGGAUGAUAGUGAAGCUUCAUGUCAUAAUCCUUUAUAAGCUCCAACCAUCUCCUCUGCCUAAGGUUCAGCUCCUUCUGUGUGAAAAUGUACUUCAAACUCUUAUGAUCCGUGUACACAUCACAACGGUUUCCAAUAAGGUAAUGUCUCCAAGUCUUGAGCGCAUGCACUACAGCUGCUAACUCCAAAUCAUGUGUGGCAUAAGUCAAUUCGUGCGGUUUUAGUUGUCGUGAGGCAUACGAAACAACUCUUCCGUCCUGCAUAAGCACACUUCCAAGUCCUAAGCGAGAGGCGUCGCAAUACACUUGGAAAUCCUUGCGUAUAUCCGGCAGAAUCAGCACUGGGGCUGUAGUCAGACGUUUCUUUAACUCCUGAAAACUCGCCUCACAUUCUUCCGUCCAUAUAAAUUUGGUAUCCUUCUUCAAUAACUCUGUCAUUGGCUUCGCAAUCUUGGAAAAAUUCUCAAUGAAUCUCGGAUAGUAUCCUGCGAGUCCAAGAAAACUGCGGAUCUCGCUAACUGAAGCGGGUGCCAACCAUUCAGUGACUGACUGAACCUUGGUGGGGUCUACUGGUAUACCUUCUCCUGAUAUAACAUGUCCAAGGAAUCCAACUUCCUUCAACCAAAACUCACAUUUGCUGAACUUGGCGUACAACUGAUGUUCCCUGAGUUUCUCGAGAACUAAUCGUAAAUGCUCAUUGUGCUCCUCUUCAUUCUUCGAGUAUACCAUUAUAUCAUCAAUGAACACCACAACAAACUUAUCCAAAUAUUCCAUGAACACCUUGUUCAUCAUGCUCAUGAAAUAGGCAGGGGCGUUAGUCAGUCCAAAUGACAUGACCGUAUACUCAUACAACCCGUACCUUGUGGUAAAUGCGGUCUUUGGUAUAUCCUUCUCUCGAAUUUUCAGCUGGUGAUAUCCUGAUUGUAGAUCGAUCUUUGAAAACACUUUAGCUCCUUGCAGCUGGUCAAACAAAUCAUUGAUCAUCGGCAAUGGGUAUUUGUUCUUGAUCGUCACCUCAUUCAAUGCCCGAUAAUCAACAACCAUCCUCAAUGAUCCAUCCUUCUUCUCAACCAAAAGCACUGGGGCUCCCCACGGUGAUGAACUUCGUCGAAUGUAACCUUUCUCCAAUAACUCCUUGAUCUGCUCUUAAUCUCUUCCAGAUCAUUUGUGGGCAUCCAGUAGGGUCUCUUUGAUAUAGGCCCGGUGCCUGGCAACAGUUCUAUCAAAAACUCGAUGUCCUGAUCUGGCGGCAUGCCUCGUAAUUCUUCUGGAAAUACAUCUGGGUAAUCCUUUACGACAGGCACUUCCUCCUGAACAACUCCUGAGAGGGAAUUUACUUGGGUUCUCCUUGUCAUAUGCCUGGAUACAUACUUGAUCCUCUUUCCCUCCGGGGUGGUGAGAUAAAUCGACUUACUAGCACAGUCAAUGCUUCCUCCAUACUUUGACAUCCAGUCCAUGCCUAAUAUCACAUUCAAUCCUUGUGACUCCAAAAUUAUUAGGUCGGACGGGAAAACAUGGCUACCAAUGGUUAAGGGUAUCCGGUCGCACCAUCGGCUAGCCAUAUACUCUGCUCCAGGUGAACUUACUAACAGAGGGGUCCUAAGGGCUUGGGUUGGUAGUUUAAACUUAUCCACAAAUCCCCUUGAUAUGUAUGAAUGCGAUGCACCAGUAUCAAAAAGAACAAGGGCGGUAAAAGACUUAAUCAAAAACUUACCGAUAACCGCGUCUGGCUGCUCUUCAACCUCCUCCAUGUUAACGUGGUUCACUUGUCCUUUGUUGAAUGGUUUGGGCUUCUUCCCAGCGCUCCCAUUACCGUUUCCAUUCUUCGCUUCAGGGCACUCCGUGGCAUAGUUUCCAGUCUUCCUGCACUUGAAGCAAGUAAUGUGACUUAGGUCUCUCUUGGUGGGUGUGCAUGGAUUGGAGCGGUUCUGAUUGUUGCUUGUUCCGUUCCCAGUCCCAUUCUUGGAACCAUUGUGGUUAUGCGAACUUCCUCCAUUGUGAUUAUGACCUCCAUGGUUAUGAACAAGUCCUCCUGAGUUCGGGGUUAGACGAGGCUUCUGCUGAGCUCCUGAGUUGUAUCUUCCUUGCCCAUACUUCCUCUUACGGCUCUCAAUCUGUUGCUGCUUCCCUUCAAUCAUAAGAGCCUUAUCUACCAACUCCUGGUAGUUGUUGAAUGUUGCCACCAUCAACUGCAUGCUCAUCUCAUUGUUCAGACCUUCCAAUAAACUUCUCCUGCUUCGCGGCAUCUGUGGCCACAUCAUCAGGGGCAUAGUGAGAUAACUUGCUAAACUCAUCCACGUACUGAGCCACAGUACGGUUCCCCUGGCGUAAGUUGCGAAAUUCACGCUUCUUCAUAUUCAUAGCUCCAGUUGAGACAUGGGCUGUGCGGAAAGCUUGCUGAAACUGAUCCCAAGUGACGUUGGCUAUGGGGAAAGUGGUCGUAUAAUUCUCCCACCAUGAGGCUGCUGGUCCAUCCAAUUGAUGUGCGGCAAAGUGCACCUUCUCAGCAUCUGUGCAACCUGCGGUGGUCAGCUCCCUUCCAAUACGGCAUAGCCAAUCAUCAGCAACUAUAGGCUCGGUGCUACUGGAAAACACUGGCGGCUGCAACCUUAAAAAGCGAGCUAAGUUGUCAACUGGAGGCGGGUUGUUGUUGUUGUUGCCUUGGUUCUGGACUAACAAUUGCAUCAAGGCAUUCUGCUGCUGGAUCAACUGAGUGAGCUCCAGCGGGAAGGCAAAUCUGGUGUCACGUCUCGGAGUCAUCUGAUGGGUUUAGAGGGGAGAGAUUGGAAUAGAAAAGGGGUCUAGUGAGAAGGCACUACCCAUAUGCACAUGAGACAAACACAAUCAUAUCACUCAAUCAAUCAAGCAAGGGCAUACAAACGGUCUAGAACUAUCGUUAAGAGUGCUCAACUACUACUAUAUACAUGGGGGAAUACUACUAAUCAUUUGGUGGUCAUCUAGAAAUUUUGAUCGGUGGAAGACUCCAUGAUGUCUGCUCCAGCUUCGUCUUCAAAGUCAUCUUCACUGGAGUCGGAGUCGGUGUCGUCGAUGAUGAUGUAGUUCUCCGGGCAAGUGGAAUCGUCGUCCUCUCCUCCUGACGCGGGGUCUCCCAUGAAUACUCCGAUCUUCUUUAUCAGGUCGUCAUUCUUCUCCAAUAGUGUUGCAAUUUCCUCCUCAUAUCCAUCGCGUGUAGACUUAAGUUCUUCUUCCAGCUCGAUGAUCCUUGUCUUCGCCUUCUUCAAAUCUAUCAUGCCUGCGCACAUCUGAUUCUCCUGGAGUCGAAUGUGCUGGUUUAACUCCUGGAUGAAAGCUGCAAUGGAUCUGUCCUUCCUGGUGCUGAUCAUCUCCCAUUGCUCAUCUCGGCGUCCACAUAUUUGGUAGAUAGUGUCCUUGAGAUCCUUGUUGUAGACUUCUCCAAUGCGUCCCAUGGCAAUGUGGGCUGCCAUGCUCUUGCCUAGACUCCAGGUUGGUGCUUCAAAGGAAAACUCUAUGGGCUCAGUGACUGGUGUGAACGUCCUUCCUGGAACUUGAACUCGAAUCAUCCAGCGCUCCUCUUCUGGUAAAGUGGCGUUGUAGGUCCCGGUGAAGCUUGGUAUUCUGAUGUUCAGAUACCUAGUGACUUCCUUCAAGUGUCGUCCAAAGGGUGUGUCUUCAUCCGGUUGUGCAGAUUUGUUCCUCAAAUCCGCCAUCCUAAAGAGUAGAAAAUGGAGAGGAGUCAGAAAUGAGUAGAGAAGAGUGACCUAUGGCUUAUCUUAGUGGUCGUGUCCUACACUCAGCAUGUGCUCUGAUACCAUCUUGUAGCGACCCGACCUCAAACGGUCAAGUCUCUGUGCUUCUGUGUCAUCCCUGGAUCGGUAAUGCUGACACACACAGUGCUCAAAGGAUUUAUAACAGAGUAGCAAUCACACACUUAUUACAUCGAAUGUCUCCAAAGAGAACUUAUUACAAUAAAUAUGGCAUAAGGCCAUCUAAUACGAUAACAGCGGAAGACUUGGAAGAUAAAGUGAGUCCAUCAACUCCAACAGCAUAGCUGAGCUGCAUGGCAACGACCUAAUGAACCUUACUCCUCGUCUGAAAAGUCUGCAACAUAAUACGUUGCAGCCCGAGAACGGGUCAGCACAUGGAAUAUGCUGGCAAUAUAACACAGUAGAGCAAGAACAGAAUAAUGCUACCACUACAUGCAUAUUUGGCUGGUGGAAAGGCUCUAUGGUUAUAGUUUUGCGAAAAGCCAAUUUGUUCCUACAACAAUGGAAUAAGUUUUAUUUAACUAUCAUGGUAGUUGAAACAUCAUUGAGAAGGUUCCUCCAACUCAAUCCCAAUUAAAUUAAUUAUCAACCCAACAUAUUAAAUUAGAGUGAUGAGAUACUUAGGAUAAUCCAAGUACUAGAUACUCAAGAUGUCCAUAACCGGGGACACGGCUAACCAUGAUUAGAUUGUACACUCUGCAGAGGUUUGCGCACUUUUCCCAACAAGAAUCGAUCUCCUCCGUUGGAUUUCUCGCACUACAUGGUGUUUGAGAAAUGGAUGACCGAGACACAGUCUUUCAGAAGCAUUAACUCUAACCCCGGGUAGACAGUACCAACCUACAUCCCUCUACAUCUGCUAGCCUACCAAUGGAAGAGGUCAUGCAACUUACUCAACUAUGCUAGAGCCCACAAUAGCUUGUGGCUGCACACGGAAGUUUCUAGCAUGAAUAAUCUUAUGAUCCCUUUGAGCCUGGGUGGCGAGCCGUAGGAUGAUCACACGGGUCCUCCGGGAUAUCCUAGGACAACACUGGAUUCUCCAGGUGCCCGUAACCAAUCCACCCAGAUGUGUAUUAAAGUACCCACCUUGAGUUGAACCAUUAAGUAAACAAUCUCACAUCUGUCAUGGAUUCACUCACCCAAACCACGUCUACGAGCAUAGCAUAGCAAUAUAAGCAAUACGUUGAAGUAACUCCCAAGGGUUUGAUAAUAACAGGGCAAUAGGUUCUACCUCAUCAACUACUUCCCAAUACCCACAAGUUAAUCACAUCCUAAUCAUGCAGUGUUUGAGGAUUGGAGCUAAUGCAUAAAAACUGGGUAUGAAAAGAGUAUGAUCAAUGUGUUACUUGCCUUGCUGACGAUCCGCAAAACCUAGAGACUCGUAGUAGCACGCUUCGCACUCCGGGAAUUCUAUCGCAAACAAACAAUAGCAUACAUAAGCAAUCAAUCAUGGACGCACGGGUAAAACUCAAAUAAGAAGAACUAACCAGAAAGUUCAACUUAAGAACUCCGGUUUGCAAAAAGAAUCAAAUCAAACGGAGCAACGAAAUCUGCGAAAGAAACAAGAUUCGAUUAUUAAUCUGGACUAAAGUCAAAUUUUACAGUACCAAAAUCUUGUUCAAGUUGGUUAAACAGAAAGAGGGUUUCGAGACGAAGAUCUAGGCGCUUGAUUCGCCUGAUUCCGAUAAAUGAGCGAAAAGAUAAACUAAAACGAAAAUCGGAUCAGAAAUCGCGAUCGAAAAUAAUCGCGAAAAACCCGAGAAAAAGAAAAAUUGACAAAUAGGCUAACGAACGAACGUUCGUUGUCUGUAACUAACGAGCGAAAACCGUUAAAUAAUCUAAACCGAGAAAACCAACGAACCGAUAAAAAACGCAACUAGGGUUUUUAAAAACCGACGGUUUUUACCUAAACCGAAAAAAAACGGCGACUCAGGAUCGGAUCGGCUCCGGCGGCGGCGCGGCGAGGCGGGGGCAGCGCGGGGUGGUGCGGCGCGGCGGCGGCUGCUGCUGCUGCUUGCGGCGGCGGUGGUGGCGAUUUGGGGGCGGGGGCGGCGGCUUAUAAAGGGGAGAGGGAGGGUGGCUUGCGGGAGGGGGCGGGAGGAGUCCCGGGCGGCGACGGCGGUGGCUGCCGAGUCCUGGCCGGACUCGGGCACGGCGAAGGCGGUGGUGCGGUGCGGGCCGGCGGCCUGGCCCGGCUGGGCCUUGGCCCAGUCGGGCGCGGAAGAAGUUUAAAAAAACGAAUUUCGCCGAAAAUAAAUCCUAGAAAAAUAAAUAAAAAUCUAAAAAUGCCAAAACAAAUUUUCACUGUCUAAAUAAAAUAUUUAGAACAAGAUGAACAUUUUCUUGGCCCUAAAAUGCAAUUUUGAAAACAUGCACUUUUUCUAAUGCAAAUAAAAUAGCAAUAAAAUCCGAAUAAAAUCAAAUAUUUGAUUUUAAUAUUUUUCCUCCAAUAUUUCAUUUAUUUUGGAGAAGUCAUAUUAUCUCCUCUCAUAUAUUUUAAUAUAAAAUAUUUUCGGAGAGAAAAAUAAUUAAAAUAAAUAAUCCUCGUUUCAGUAUUUGAUAAAAUUCAAAUAUGGAAACAGUGAAAUCCCCAACUCUCUCCGAGGGUCCUUGAGUUGCGUAGAAUUUCGAGGAUCGCAAAAUAAAAUGCAACAAAAAUAUGAUAUGCAUGAAUGAUCUAUGUAUAACAUUCCAAAUUGGAAAUUUGGGAUGUUACAGAGGGACGAUAGCGAUCAGAGAAGAACGACCACCGCAGGGGUGGACGGCAGAUGAGAGGAGAGGAGGGUGGAAGGGAGGCCGGCGGUGGAAGGGAUCUCGAUCUGAUCUGAAUCGAGGGUGGGCGAUGUGGGAGUGGAUCAGGGGUGGGAGGUGUGGGAUCUGAGUGACACACUUAACGGUAGCGUGAGUAUCUCAAAAGCGCUGCAACUAUCGACUUAGUAGUAGCGCACGUUUUGCAACCAGCAUUAUUAAUAUGGUCUGUCCACGGAUCACGGUUAAGAAUAUUUACUAGUAGCAUGUUUUUAGACCACGCGCUACUAGUAAUAUUUAGUACUAGCGCGGGUAAAUGUAGCUCGCUACUAGUAAGUAGCAGUAGCAUGGGUCAAUAUAGCGCGCUACUAGUAAGCGUCUGCCUAUAAGUUUUUCCCUAGUAGUGGAAUAGUAUAGAGAAAUGAGAUCCCGGGAGACGAAGUUUGUGUUUGUGUGAGAGAAAGAGAUUUCACAUGGAGAAUCAUAGUUAGAGACACAUAGCAGGGAGCGAGAUAUACUUAGAGAGAGAUAGAGUGAUGAAGGUCGAGGGAGAUAGUACCGUCAGUGUGUUACGUAGAUAAAAGAUCAUUGUCAACAUACAGGUAGCACGAGAGAUACCCGAGAGACGAUGAACGCGUAUAGGUCUAGAGAGAUACUCCUAUAUAAGAAUGAGUGAUAGCUAUAUGAGACGAAUAUCUGGAUUAAAGGGGAUUCAAAUAUUUAAACUGGAGAUCACGACAUCGAUAAUAUCAUAACGCAAAUUAGUGUAUCAAACAUGCAUAUUCAUUUGAAUUUGGGGACACGUGUAAUGUUAUAUAGUUUAUCAAUAUUAGUGAUCCAUAGAUUCUUUAAUUAGAGACAAUGCAUGGUUUAUAUGCAAUUAAUGUCUAAACGGGAUUAGACUAUAUGUUGCGUGUGUGAAACACAUUAUAUAUGUUUGAGAAGUAAAAAAACCCGCAUGAAACACACAUUAAUAGGAGACGGUUAACGAGGAAUGCAUACGUUGGAUUUCAACAUAAAGUGGUUUCAAAUAUUUGAAAAUCCAAAUUAAGAUGGAUACAGCCUUAUGAAUCUGAGAUCAUGCCAUUUGUAAACCAUAUUUAUGUAUAAAGGGUGUUGUGCUUUUGAAAGUAUAUAUAAAACUGAUGUAUAUAGAAUUUUAUUCCAAUCGAAAAUGGAUCCUGCCCGAACAAAAAUAGAAUACAAACUAGAUUCGGAUUGAGUUGGCACGGUAAACGUGCACUCUUGCUUUGCAAAAAUUUGAACGAAGCGGGGAAAGUCGCAGUAACUGCCCGAAACCAAAAUCUGUGAGAUGGAAAUUACUGCCUAUCCCUGACACGCAAAGCCUAUCGGCUCGAUUUCUAUAGGUUUCGAUAGGGGUAGGUUUGUAAUUUCACUCAAACGUGACAUAACCACCUAUCACCCGGAUUCAUACACGGUGGGCGCCAAAACACAGUGUCUCCUCGGCCGAAAUUGAAUCCCUCCCUGAUUCAUACACGGUGGGCGCCAAAAACAAACUCUCGUCGGCAAAUAUUCAGUGUAUGCGAGAUUACCGUCCUAUCCCCAACCGACUAAUAUUGUUGUGAUGUAGGAAAUUUUAAACGGGGGCUAAGUUUGUAAAUUUCCAACAGGGAGCCUAUUUUUUGUGUAGUUGUGCCAGAUUAUAUUAAUCUACUCACCAUAUUACAACAUACAUGGGCUAUCUCAUCAGAAUCCAGUGAUAGCACACAAGGGUUUACAGGGAGCCUCUAUUAUAUUACAAUAUCCUCUGCAUUACAAAGAUAAUCUCACUACUAUUUGUGUUUUCAUGCUUUACAGAUAUUGUACGCAAUCACAACGAAUAUAAGAAUACGCACAUCAGAAGAAUAUUGCGGAACAGUUCAAUGGGUAACAAACUUGGCAUCAAGGGAUUGAGGUCCAUUGUGGAUGCAAUGAAACCCACAUGCUCCCGACCUAUAGAUUCAUAUUCAGAAUAUGAUCCUAAUGACUAUUCUGAGCUCAAGGAGUCAAAGGCAGAUGGCCUAUCCAAUUCUCCCAAUAAGGUGCCUGUUCUAAUUUGGCAAGGUUUUAUUGGUUGCACAUAUCUUGCAUAAGGUGUCUUGCAUUUCUUUUGCUUCGUUGCACCGCCAUCUGCUUAGUUUACUCAUGAUAUAUGUGAAGAUGCCAUGCCCAUCCAUUAUCAACACCUAUUCCAUUUGUCGUCAUACCGUGUUUUUCCAUUCAAAUGUUGUUCUUGUGUUUCAGACAUCCAAAAGGAAGAGGGUGGUUGCAGAACCUGAAGGAGUAUAAGCAAAGUCCUUGAAAAAGGUGGUGCUACCGAAGAAAUCACAUAGCACCCGACAUAUAUUGGUGAUAGAACCAGCGCCGCAAAACCUAGGAUAUCGCAACUAUGCUGGUCGCUGCUUUGCUCUUAUGAGUACCUAUUGUCCUAUCGCUGUCCUUACAUUCAUACCUGGUGGAUUAUGUGACAUCAUUGUGCAUUAUAGCUUGCUUAUUCACUGUUUGCUCCAAAUUAUCAGAUCUAUAUUAAUGCUUAAAUUAAUGUACAAUAAACCCAAUGCCUAUGAAGAAAUUUAGUUCUGCAUUGUUCUUGUAAGUAUCUGUUGUCCUUCAUCACUGUACUUAUAUUUGUCAGCUAGUUCUUCAUGUACACUUUGCAGCUUAUUUUCCCUUGUCCUCCAUUUUUCUACACAUCAAAUCUACAUUUACUCUUGACAAAAUAUUGAAUAAAACCAAUGUUACUGAAGAAGUUUAGCUCCGCAUUGCUCGUCAGUGCCUUCUGCCUAUAUGCUGUAUUUACAUUUGUACUCUGCAUCUUAAGUUAAAUAAUCGCCAUUUGUUCCUAUAUUUUCACAUCUAUAUUACUCUUAACAAAAUGUAGAAUAAAGGCAAUACUCUUGAAGAAGAGUGUGCGGUAAACUUCUUGAAUUCCCCCCCCCCAUCAAUAUGGGCAAGGCCUUUAUAGAGCAUGUCUUCACUACUAAUGUAAGUUUGUCCUCCUCGAGCCUUCAAACUUUGUUGUGUAUAUUUGGAUAGCUAUGAGUGCAAAUGUUGUUUAUUUUUGUCGUCUGCAUCAAAUUGUUGUUCAAAGUUUAUAAAGUAGAAAUACAUAAACAUAAGUUUGUCCUUCUCAAUUUCAGUAUUUAGUUGUACAAUCUAGUUCCUUAUUCAUACCAUGUAAAUUAAACUAAACAUAGCAAGUUAUCUUCUUUAGCACUAUGUGUAUGCUUGUGUUCUUGAUCUGUAAUCCAGUGGUGUGGUGAGACUACCAACAACAGCACAAUGUCAUAUCCUGCUAUGUCUCAACUAUGAAUAAUGCCUUAUUAUAUUAAUGUUAUUUAAAUCGUGUCUCUUUAUUUACCAAUCUGAAAUGGUAUAAAUUGACAGUACACUCACCAUUCAUGCUUAUACGUUGUUUAGAACUACAUCUAUGCUUGUGUUCUUGAUCUGUAAUCCAGUGGUCUGGUGAAGCUGGCCGCUCCUGCACAAUGCCAUUUCCUGCCGUCUUAACUAUGAACAAUGCCUAUUAUGUUAAUGUUAUUUUAAAUAGUGUCUCUUUAUUUCUGACAAAGAAAUUAGAUGAAUUGACAGCACUAAUGCUUAUACGUGCAAAACUUGUUAUCUACCUACUUGUUUCUCUUUCAGGGUGACAACAUUGCUGCUAGGAAGAACUGCCACAAUGAUAGUGAGACGAACCCAUUGCUUGUCCCUCUAACACAUAUUCCAGAGGAGAAGGCAACACAUAUUGAGGGUAGGGAUACAACCACGAAGUCACAUCUUGAUGUAGUGUCAAACUUACUCGAUGACACAAGCUCAAUGAAGUCGCCGCCUGAAUCUGUUCGACUUCUUCAGUCUGAAAUUCAAGCAGAAAUACAUGCUUCCACUCAAAUACGACUGAAAUUCCAAUCUCUAUGCAAGAUUAACCAUAAGUACAUGACGUUUAUUGAUGCUAUCCAGCUUAAGUUGGUGGUAUGAGCGGCAAAGAAGCGCAGUCUCAUUAGGUUGCUAAGCUGCUUGCGCUACAGCUCCCGGGCCGGGCUAACCUUUCUUGAACUGUGUUGAAGUGCUGUCGGUUCUGUCUAUUAUUUUGUCCGCCUAUUAACUUCCACUGGUGGCGACCUGCCCAGUUUAUGUAAUUUGAUGUUUGGUUGCCCUUUAUUAUCACUGGCGGUGAACUUUUUUUUUGACAGAAAGACUGUAAGGGGACCCCCUACAGUAUAAUUGGUGCAACAAACCCAAAUUGCAAGUACCAUGCCUUGAACCUGGGUGGAUGGGAAGGCAUCAGCCCCUUCCAACCACUAGGCUAUGCCUUAACCUGCACUAGGCUAUACCCAAAUUUCUUUGUUGUAUAGUCUAGGUUUAUUCUUGGUCGGUAUGCUGUAAUUUAGGUCGGAAGGUUCAGUGGAUCUCAGUGUUGUCGGUCUUCAGGCCGGCCCGUUAGUCAUAUGGGCCAAAACGUGGGCCUAUUAUCAUCUUGGGCCAUUAGUAGGUCUAAACCUAUAGUAGUUUCCUGCCUUUAACAGGUCGAGUAAAGUUCUGGCCAGCUGGGCCAGAGAAUAUGGGCUUUUAACAGGCUAAAAUCUAGAUUGGGCUAGUGUUGAGCCAAAAAAUUCACGGGCCAAUACAGGCCGAAACUGCCUAAGGCCAAUGUUGGGGCCAAAUAGGACGAGCAAUUAACAGGCCAAAAUAUAUCUCGGGUCUGUUUGGCCAAAUAAAAUUAUGGGCUUUAAGCACGCCGGUAUCCGCGUGGGCCAUAGGCCCAAAAGUGUCACGGGCCAUUAUCAGAUGGGCUGUAAGCAGGCCGGAUUCAACGCGGGCUGUAAUUAGGCCCAACUGUUACACGGGCCAUUAACAGGCCGAUAGGCCAGUUGGGCUGAAAUUUAUCCACGAAGACUACGGGCCGUUAAGAGGCCUAAAGUUACUUUGGACAAGAAAUAGCCCAGUUUAUGCAUGGGUCGUUAAAUGGCCUAAAGUUAAACCGGGCCGACAACGUCCCAGAUACACCACGGGCCGCUAACAGGCCGAAACUAUUAUCGGGCCAAACUGGUAAACGAGCAUUUAACAGGCUGAAAUACAAACAUGUCUUAGAAUGGGCCCAAAAGAACAGUGGCCUGUUAACGGGCCUGAUCCAAUAUUGGCCGUAAUUUGGCCCAAAACGCGGCAGGCUGUGAAUGGGCCUGAUGUAGUAUGGGCCUCAAUUUGACCCAAAACAUGGCAGGUUGUUAACGGGCCAGCCCACUAGUGUCUGAAAAAACAUGGUGGGCCUUUAGCUGGGACGGCCUUUUCACCGGAAUGGGCCUCUGUUGGGCCGUGCCACGUGUCGACGUAUCAUAGUCGCCUCCUGUCCAAUGAGUGGAUGACAUCUGUCCCAACGGUGAGCCAACACGUGUUUCCUCCGGCCAAUAAGAAUUUUACACGUGGAAAAUCCCCAUUGGUCUGGGCUGUUAACGGGUGAAAGGACAUGCGGUGCCCCCAUGUGUGGUUUUGGUAAUUGAUGACAAUCUGUAUGGACUAAUGGUUGCAUUGAGUUAUAUUUGAAGGAUUUGUCCAUAGGCAUGUCUUGAAGUCCAUGUGUUGGUUUCAAGGAGUUUAUGUGUUGACAGAGGUGCUUUUAAGGAAUUAUCCAAAGAUUGGUCAUGUGAGAGUUGAGCUUAUUGCAAGCAUGUCUUGGAGAAGAAGAUUGUGUGAUCAUUCAUGUCUACCUUCAAGACAUCAUCCAAAUGAAGAGAGUUCGAAAGAUUCAAGGUUGAUCAAGAUUAAGUCAAGAGUGAAUCAAGUUGAUCAACACACAAAGCAUACAAGAUGUACCAAGGGAUCAAGUGAUCCCAUGGUAUGGUAAGCAUUGUCCAUUAUGCUUUGUAUGCUAUACCAUGGUAUUCGUGAGAGUUUUUUGUGGGGUUAGGUUGCGGUGUGUGAUACGUCUCCAACGUAUCUAUAAUUUUUUAUUGUUCCAUGCUAUUAUAUUAUCUGUUUUGGAUGUUUAAUGGGCUUUAUUAUGCUCUUUUAUAUUAUUUUUGGGACAAACCUAUUAACCGAAGGCCCAGUGCAAAUUGCUGGUUUUUUUGCCUAUUUCAAUGUUUCGCAGAAAAGGAAUAACAAACGGAAUCCAAACGGAAUGAAACCUUCACGAGGAUCGUUUUUGGAACAAACGCAAUCCAGGAGACUUGGAGUGGACGUCAAGGAAUCAACGAGGCGGCCACGAAGCAGGAGGGCGCGCCCCCCACCCUCGUGGGCCCCUCGUGGCUCCACCGACCUACUUCUUUCGCCUAUAUAUACUCUCAUACCCUGAAAACAUCCAGGAGAGCUACGAAACACUUUUUCCACCGUCGCAACCUUCUGUACCCGUGAGAUCCCAUCUUGGGGCCUUUUCCGGCGCUCCGCCGAAGGGGGAAUCGAUCACGGAGGGCUUCUACAUCAACACCAUAGCCUCUCCGAUGAUGUGUGAGUAGUUUACCACAGACCUUCGGGGCCAUAGUUAUUAGCUAGAUGGCUUCUUCUCUCUCUUUGGAUCUCAAUACAAAGUUCUCCUCGAUCUUCUUGGAGACCUAUUCGAUGUAAUACUUUUUGCGGUGUGUUUGCCGAGAUCCGAUGAAUUGUGAGUUUAAGAUCAAGAUUAUCUAUGAACAAUAUUUGAUUCUUCUCUGAAUUCUUAUAUGCAUGAUUUGAUAUCUUUGCAAGUCUCUUCGAAUUAUCAGUUUGGUUUGGCCUACUAGAUUGAUCUUUCUUGCAAUGGGAGAAGUGCUUAGCUUUGGGUUCAAUCUUGCGGUGUCCUUUCCCAGUGACAGCAGGGGCAGCAAGGCACGUAUUGUAUUGUUGCCAUCGAGGAUAAAAGGAUGGGGUUUAUAUCAUAUUGCUUGAGUUUAUCCCUCUACAUCAUGUCAUCUUGCCUAAUGCGUUACUCUGUUCUUAUGAACUUAAUACUCUAGAUGCAUGUUGGAUAGCGGUCGAUGUGUGGAGUAACAGUAGUAGAUGCAGAAUCGUUUCGGUCUACUUGACACGGACGUGAUGCCUAUGUUCAUGAUCAUGCCUAGAUAUUCUCAUAACUAUGUGCUUUUCUAUCAAUUGCUCGGCAGUAAUUUGUUCACCCACCGUAAUAUAUGCUAUCAUGAGAGAAGCCACUAGUGAAACCUAUGGCCCCCGGGUCUAUUUUACAUCAUAUUAGUUUCCCGUCAACUAGCCAAUUUCUGUCACCGUUUAUUUUGCAACCUUUAUUUUCCAAUCUAUACAACAAAAAUACCAAAAAUAUUAUCUUAUUAUCUUUAUCAGAUCUCACUUUUGCAAGUGGCCGUGAAGGUAUUGACAACCCCUUUAUCGCGUUGGUUGCAAGGUUCUUGAUUAUUUGUGCAGGUACUAGGCGAUUUGCGUGUAGUCUCCUACUGGAUUGAUACCUUGGUUCUCAAAAACUGAGGGAAAUACUUACGCUACUUUGCUGCAUCACCCUUUCCUCUUCAAGGGAAACCAACGCAUGCUCAAGAGGUAGCAAGAAGGAUUUCUGCCACCAUUGCCGGGGAGGUCUACGCACAAGUCAAGACAUACCAAGUACCCAUCACAAACUCUUCUCCCUCGCAUUACAUUAUUUGCCAUUUGCCUCUCGUUUUCCUCUCCCCCACUUCACCUUUGUCGUUUUAUUCGCCCUUUUUCAUUCGUCUCUUUUCGCUUGCUUCUUGUGUGCCCGUUCUUAGUGAGGUUUGUCGCCAUCAUGUCUGAAAUUGGGGAGGUUAUCGUCGAAAAAGAUAAUAGUAACAAUGGGGGAAACCUUGAUACUUUUGAUAAUCCAGAUGAAGAAUCCGCUAUUCUACACACUAAAAAGUUUUGGAUUGGUAGUGGUAAUAUUAUUGGAAAAGGAGUUACUCAAGAUUUCUUUACUUGUGCCGGUGCUUUGCCCACUAUGGGAGGGUCUAUUCUUCAUAGAACUAGUAGUCUCGCGGAUGCUAUAUCUUUUCUCAUAGUUGAACUUGAAAGACAAUUUAUGCAUAUGCAUCCUUGCAUACAAAGGAUUUUCCUAGAAUUUUUCAAUAUUGAGCAUUCUUCUGUUAAGCGUGUAGCUACUAUAUUUUUAGCACAUGAGUUCAGAUUUAUAAUGAAAGAGGCCAAUGAAAUUUUUGCGCAUUAUAGGGUGGACGCUUGCCGUCCUCCCAUAUAAGCUAUCCUUUUUAAUCAAGAAGACAUAAUGCGUUUACGAUCUUUAGAUCAUGUUGCUUAUAAUGAAAACCUUAGAAAAAAGGUUCCUACCGAUGUUCUAGUUGAUAGAAUCUCUAAACUUAAUGAUGAUUUUGCUAUUCAGAAUAAUGGGUUAGGAUUUCCUCUUGAACAUAGGCUCAUGACUUUUUGCCAAAAGAAUGCUUAUAAUGAUGAAUUGGUUGUGCAAUAUGAGGGGCCGAAGGAGGAACCAAUACCUCCCAAGCUUGAUCUUGGGGACUUUUGUCCCAUUAAAUUUAGCCCUUUUGAUUAUUUUUGCCUGCCGCAAAGAAAGCUUGCUGCUGAACGUAGGGAGUAUGAGAUGAGUUUUCGCGAUUUGCCCUAUCAUUAUGGCAAUACCUGGAUCUAUUCUUGUUUUUAUGCCUAGCUAGGGGCGUUAAACGAUAGCGCUUGUUGGGAGGCAACCCAAUUUUAUUUUUGUUCCUUACUUUUUGUUCCUGUUUAGUAAUAAAUAUUUCAUCUAGCCUCUGGUUAGAUGUGGUUUUAUGUUUUAAUUAGUGUUUGUGCCAAGUAGAACCUUUAGGAUAACCUAUGGUGAUAGUUAAUUUGAUCUUGCUAAAAAGCAGAAACUUUUGCGCGCACGAAAUUAGUUUUCAUAAAUCACAGGAACGUGCUUUUCAGUUGAUUCUUUUUGCAGAAUAUUAAUAAACAAAUUGCUUAGGACUUCCUAAUUCCUCAGAAUUUUUGGAGUUACAGAAGUAUUUGAAACUAUUAGAUUUCUACAGACUGUUCUGUUUUUGACAGAUUCUGUUUUUAGUGUGUUGUUUGCUUAUUUUGAUGAAUCUAUGGCUAGUAUCGGGGGGUACGAACCAUAGAGAAGUUGGAAUACAGUAGGUUUAACACCAAUAUAAAUAAAGAAUGAGUUCAUUGCAGUACCUUAAGGUGGUGGUUUGUUUUCUUAUACUAACAGAGCUCAUGAGAUUUUCUGUUUGAGUUUUGUGUUUUCAAGUUUUCAAGUUUUUGGGUAAAGAUUUGAUGGAUUUUGGAAUAAGGAGUGGCAAGAGCCUAAGCUUGGGGAUGCCCAAGGCACCCCAAGGUAAAAUUCAAGGUCAACCAAAAGCCUAAGCUUGGGGAUGCCCCGGAAGGCAUCCCCUCUUUCGUCUUCGUCUAUCGGUAACUUUACUCGAGGCUAUAUUUUUAUUCACCACAUGAUAUGUGUUUUGCUUGGAGCGUCUUGUAUGAUUUAAGUCUUUGCUUUUUACUUUACCACAAUCAUCCUUGCUGUACACACCUUUUGGGAGAGACACACAUGAAUCGGAAUUUAUGAGAAUACUCUAUGUGCUUCACUUAUAUAUUUUGAGCUAGAUAAUUUUGCUCUAGUGCUUCACUUAUACCCUUUUUAGAGCACGGUGGUGAUUUUAAUUUGUAGGAAUUAUUGAUCUCUCAUGCUUCACUUAUAUUAUUUUGAGAGUCCUUUAGAACAGCAUGGUAGUUUGCUUUGGCUAUAAAAUUAGUCCUAAUAUGAUAGGCAUCCAAGAUGGGUAUAAUAAAAACUUUCAUAUAGAGUGCAUUAAAUACUAUGAUAAAUUUGAUACUUCAUAAUUGUUUUCAGAUAUAAAGGUUGUAAUGUUAGAGUCAUGCUAGUUGGGUAAUUGUGGAAUUGAGAAAUACUUGUGUUGAGGUUGGCAAGUCCUGUAGCAUGCACGUAUGGUAAACGUUGUGUGACAAAUUUGAAGCAUGGGGUGUUCUUUGAUUGCUUUCCUUAUGAGUGGAGGUCGGGAUCGCGCGAUGGUUAACACCUACCAACCCUUCCCCUAGGAGCAUGCGCGUAGUGCUUAGUUUUGUUGACUUGUAGAUUUUUGCAAUAAGUAUGUGAGUUCUUUAUGACUAAUGUUGAGUCCAUGGAUUAUACGCACUCUCGCCCUUCCAUCAUUGCUAGCCUCUUCGGUACCGUGCAUUGCCCUUUCUCACCUCGAGAGUUGGUGCAAACUUCGCCGAUGCAUCCAAACCCCGUGAUAUGAUACGCUCUAUCACACAUAAGCCUCCUUAUAUCUUCCUCAAAACAGCCACCAUACCUACCUAUUAUGGCAUUUCCAUAGCCAUUCCGAGAUAUAUUGCCAUGCAACUUACCACUGUUCCGUUUAUUAUGACACGCUCCAUCAUUGUCAUAUUGCUUUGCAUGAUCAUGUAGUUGACAUCGUAUUUGUGGCAAAGCCACCUUCAUAAUUCUUUCAUACAUGUCGCUCUUGAUUCAUUGCAUAUCCCGGUACACCGCCGGAGGCAUUCACAUAGUCAUAUUUUGUUCUAAGGAUCGAGUUGUAAUUCUUGAGUUGUAAGUAAAUAGAAGUGUGAUGAUUUUCAUUAUUAGAGCAUUGUCCCAUGUGAGGAAAGGAUGAUGGAGACUAUGAUUCCCCCACAAGUCGGGAUGAGACUCCCGAUGAGAAAAAAAUAAAUAAAUAAAGAGGCCAAAGAAGCCCAAAUAAAAAAAGGCCAAAGAAGCCCAAACAAAAAAACAAAAAAAUGAGAGAAAAAGAGAGAAGGGACAAUGUUACUAUCCUUUUUCCACACUUGUGCUUCAAAAUAGCACCAUGAUCUUCAUGAUAGAGAGUUUCUUAUUUUGUCACUUUCAUAUACUAGUGGGAAUUUUUCAUUAUAGAACUUGGCUUGUAUAUUCCAAUGAUGGGCUUUCUCAAAAUGCCCUAGGUCUUCGUGAGCAAGCAAGUUGGAUGCACACCCACUUAGUUUCUUUUGAUGGGCUUUCAUAUAUUUAUAGCUCUAGUGCAUCUGUUGCAUGGCAAUCCCUACUCCUCGCAUUGAUAUCAAUUGAUGGGCAUCUCCAUAGCCCGUUGAUUAGCCGCGUCAAUGUGAGACUUUAUCCUUCUUUUUGUCUGCUCACAUAACCCCCAUCAUCAUAUGCUAUUCCACCCAUAGUGCUAUGUCCAUGGCUUGCGCUCAUAUAUUCCGUAAAAGUUGAAAGAGUUUGAAAAGGCUAAGUAUGAAACAAUUGCUUGGCUGAAACCAGGGUUGUGCAUGAUGGGAGCAUUUUGUGUGACGAAAAUGAAGCAUGGCCAAACUAUAUGAUUUUGUAGGGAUGAGCUUUCUUUGGCUAUGUUAUUUUGGUAAGACAUAAUUGCUUGGUUAGCAUGCUUGAAGUAUUACUAUUUUUAUGUUGAUAAUAAAAAUUUGUCUAGGAUCUUUUGGAUCUAAGCAUUCAUGCCACAAUAAAUAGAAUUACAUUGAAAAUUAUGUUAGGUAGCAUUCCACAUCAAAAAAUUUGUUUUAUCAUUUACCUACUCGAGGACGAGCAGGAAUUAAGCUUGGGGAUGCUUGAUACGUCUCCACCGUAUCUAUAAUUUUUGAUUGUUCCAUGCUAUUAUAUUAUCUGUUUUGGAUGUUUAAUGGGCUUUAUUAUGCUCUUUUAUAUUAUUUUUGGGACUAACCUAUUAACCGAAGGCCCAGUGCAAAUUGUUGUUUUUUGCCUAUUUCAGUGUUUCGCAGAAAAGGAAUAUCAAACGGAAUCCAAACGGAAUGAAACCUUCGCGAGGAUCGUUUUUGGAACAAACGCAAUCCAGGAGACUUGGAGUGGACGUCAAGGAAGCAACGAGGCGGCCACGAGGAAGGAGGGCGCGCCCCCCACCCUCAUGGGCCCCUCGUGGCUCCACCGACCUACUUCUUUCGCCUAUAUAUACUCUCAUACCCUGAAAACAUCCAGGAGAGCCACGAAGCACUUUUUCCACCGCCGCAACCUUCUGUACUUGUGAGAUCCCAUCUUGGGGCCUUUUCCGGCGCUCCGCCGGAGGGGGAAUCGAUCAUGGAGGGCUUCUACAUCAACACCAUAGCCUCUCCGAUGAUGUGUGAGUAGUUUACCACAGACCUUCGGGUCCAUAGUUAUUAGCUAGAUGGCUUCUUCUCUCUCUUUGGAUCUCAAUACAAAGUUCUCCUCGAUCUUCUUGGAGAUCUAUUCGAUGUAAUACUUUUUGCGGUGUGUUUGCCGAGAUCCGAUGAAUUGUGGGUUUAUGAUCAAGAUUAUCUAUGAACAAUAUUUGGUUCUUCUCUGAAUUCUUAUAUGCAUGAUUUGAUAUCUUUGCAAGUCUCUUUGAAUUAUCAGUUUGGUUUGGCCUACUAGAUUGAUCUUUCUUGCAAUGGGAGAAGUGCUUAGCUUUGGGUUCAAUCUUGUGGUGUCCUUUCCCAGUGACAGCAGGGGCAGCAAGGCACGUAUUGUAUUGUUGCCAUCGAGGAUAAAAAGAUGGGGUUUAUAUCAUAUUGCUUGAGUUUAUCCCUCUACAUCAUGUCAUCUUGCCUAAUGCGUUACUCUGUUCUUAUGAACUUAAUACUCUAGAUGCAUGUUGGAUAGCGGUUGAUGUGUGGAGUAAUAGUAGUAGAUGCAGAAUUGUUUCGGUCUACUUGACACGGACGUGAUUCCUAUGUUCAUAAUCAUGCCUAGAUAUUCUCAUAACUAUGCGCUUUUCUAUCAAUUGCUCGGCAGUAAUUUGUUCACCCACCGUAAUAUAUGCUAUCAUGAGAGAAGCCACUAGUGAAACCUAUGGCCCCCAGGUCUAUUUUAAAUCAUAUUAGUUUCCCGUCAACUAGCCAAUUUCUGUCGCCGUUUAUUUUGCAAUCUUUAUUUUCCAAUCUAUACAACAAAAAUACCAAAAAAUUAUCUUAUUAUCUUUAUCAGAUCUCACUUUUGCAAGUGGCCGUGAAGGGAUUGACAACCCCUUUAUCGCGUUGGUUGCAAGGUUCUUGAUUGUUUGUGCAGGUACUAGGCAAUUUGCGUGUAGUCUCCUACUGGAUUGAUACCUUGGUUCUCAAAAACUGAGGGAAAUACGUACGCUACUUUGUUGCAUCACCCUUUCCUCUUCAAGGGAAAACCAACGCAUGCUCAAGAGCUAGCAGUGUGCAAGUUCAAGUGGAGCAUCACGAAGAAAUCAAAUGCUUGAAGCUUGCCGUCCAUUGUGGUGACAAUGGAUUUGUGAAGAUGUGCGGAAGAGUGGCUCACCCAUAGUGGAGUAUGGGGGAGCAAUCAACUAGUCUUCAUCGAGCCAACGCAAUCAAGAAAGGUGGUCCAACUUGAGGGAGUCAAGAUCGUCAUCAUCUAGCUCAAGUGGACCAUGUGCAAGGCAAAGGUUUGCCCUUGAUAGGUUUUCUAUUUUACCGAUCUCAUGGUGGUAGUUGGGAGACCGGGUUAUAGGAUCGAUUGCCGUACUAUCAAGGGGGGCUCUCAAUGAGUAGCUUUAUCGUAUCAUUCGUAGAGAGCUCAAACCAUUGCAUCCUUGCAUCAUCUUUCUUGGUUCUUGUUUGAUUCUCUUUGUGAGUCUUAGAGCUUAUGGUCAUCUUGAUGACAAGCUCGAGUUCAUCGAAAACGGAGUUCACCUGCAUCUUCUAUGAUGUUUUCGAUGUUGGAGGUUAUGCCGGUUCUUCUCUGUUGGAGGUUUCACUCCUCUAUAUGUUAGGCAUACCUCCCUUGCCCCUUCUUACUCGCUGUUUUGAUGCUACUCGUUGUCUUCUAUCCAACAAGCUUGAGUUUUCUCAAUUCGGAGAUCAUUUGCAGAAGUUAUGGCAGUUCUGGUUUUAUUGGAUCCUUUUGUUGGCUUUAGCUGCGAUAUGAAGGCAGCCAAGUGCUAAAGCCUCUGUGGCGUGCGGUAGUACUGCUCAAGGGAGCGGUAGUACCGCAGGGGCCAGCGGUAGUACCGCUCCUGGUGAGCAGUAGUACCACGGCCUCUAGCCCAGAACAUUGUCACGCACGGAAGUAGGCGCGGAAGUAAUUUUUUACUUCCGUCCCUACGCGGUAGUACCGCUCCCUGCGAGCGGUAGUACCAUGCCGGCUUUCUACUCAAAGCUAGCUCCAGCGGAUGUAGGCGCGGCAGUAAUUUUUUACAUCCGUGGACGCACGGUAGUACCGCUAUCCCCAGCGGUAGUACCGCUACCUCACCGUGUAUACUGCUGUGUGCUGCACCUGUGUGGCCGUUGAAUACUACCCCUGCGGUAGUACCACAAGGGCAGGCAGUAGUACCCCUCCGGCAGUAGUACCACUCUGUUGCCCCGUUGUAGUAGUGUUUCAUUUGGCUACAGCCGCCCUAGCGGUAGUACCGCUCCUUGGAGCGGUAGUACCGCUCGGUGCGGGCUGUGAGGAUAACGGUUGGAUUUUUCCCCACCUAUAAAAGGGGGUCUUCUUCCCCAAUGAACCUUAUCCUUUGAGCUCGUGUUCUUGCCCCAUUGCUGACCUUCUUCGAGCUUGCUAACUCUCAAUCCCUCCAUGGAUUCUUGCUAGUUUUUGAGGGAAAAGAGAGAGGAGAUCUAGAUCCACAUUUCCACCAAUCACUUUCUCCUCUAUGUGAGGGGAACCCCUUGGAUCUAGAUCUUGGAGUUCUUGGUGUUCUCCUUCUUGUUCUUCCUCUCAUUUUCCUCCCCAGAAUUAGUUGCUUCGGUGGGACUUGAGAGAGAAGGACUUGGGCACUCCGUGUGCCCUUGCCAUUGCAUUUGGUGCAUCGGUUUGAGUUCUCCACGUGAUACGUGGAAGUUACAAGUUGAGAAGCUUAUUACUCUUGGGUGCUUGGUACCCUUGAGCUUGUUCCUCUUGGGUGCUUGGGCGCCCUAGACAGUUGGUGGUGUUCGGAGCUCAAUCAUUGUGGUGUAAAGCUCCGGGUGUCAGUGUCAAAACUGGUGGAUCUCGGGUAGGGGGUCCCAAACUGUGCGUCUAAGGUUGAGGGUAACAGGAGACGGGGGACACAAUGUUUACCCAGGUUCGGGCCCUCUCUACAGAGGUAAUACCCUACUUCUUGCUUGAUUGAUCUUGAUGAAUAUGAGUAUUACAAGAGUUGAUCUACCACGAGAUCGUAAUGGCUAAAACCCUAGAAGUCUAGCCUGUAUGACUAUGAUUAUGAUUAUUCAUCCUCUACGGACUAAGCCCUCCGGUUUAUAUAGACACCGGAGGGUUCUAGGGUUACAUCAGGUCGGUUACAGAGAAAGGAAUCUUCAUAUUUGGUCGCCAAGCUUGCCUUCCACGCCAAGGAGAGUCCCAUCCGGACACGGGAGAGAGUCUUCGGUCUUCGUAUCUUCACGGCCGAUCAAUCCGGCCCAUGUAUAACAGGUCGGAUGCCUGAGGACCCCUUAAUCCAGGACUCCCUCGGUAGCCCCCGAACCAGGCUUCAAUGACGAUGUGUCCAGCGCGCAGAUUGUCUUCGGCAUUGCAAGGCGGGUUCUUCCUCCGAUGACUUUCAAAGAGAUAUAUUCGGCACUCCAUUUAACGUUGUGCCCCUCGGCUUCUGUGCGUCAACAACUUCAGCUUCCACGUGUCGAGCGAAUGCGGGAGGUCAGGGUAUUUUCACAUAUAACACCCCGGCCAUGUAAGAACAGCGUCUAUUUAACGGGAUUGGAUCUCAGAUCCAUUCUAUAUCAUGCAAAAAAUCCUCAGAGCUUGCUAGGAAAAACCAUUCCAACAUGGCCAGCGCUCCUAGCUCUUCCUCCCGUCCCCACGGCCCAGAAAAAGGCAAUUGGGAGAGAUGUUUCAUAUCUCACGGUCAGUUGGUGAAGCUGCAAACACAGGGAUUCCUUCCCCCUGCGGAUCUAGUCCCCGUUCGAGUAGGAUUGAAUUCCUUCAACGGCGGGGCUCAGGCUGAGAAUUUCCACAACCCAUCCAGGGGGGAGCGAGUGUGCUUCAUCCCCUACUUGCUAAGAGGCGUCGGAUUUCCAAUCCAUCCGUUCCUCCGAGGGCUUCUAGAGUAUUAUGGCUUCCAACUGCACAACUUCACUCCUGCCUCCAUCCUGCACAUCACGGGCUACGUCACUCUUUGCGAGCUAUUCUUGGGUUGCGAGGCCCAUUUUGAUUUGUGGAGGAAGCUAUUCUGCCUCGUCCCUCGCAACCAAGAUGGAUCAAUAUUUGAAGUGGGCGGAGCCGAAGUAUGGCGCAUCGCCGGGACCGGAUACCUGUCCGGCACGCGGAAGAAGGCAUCCGAAGAAUGGCCUUCCGAAUGGUUCUAUAUCGAGGACGUCGCCCUUCCAGACCCAGUUCGAAUGGGUCUUCUCGAAUUUACAAGGGUUCCGUUGAAGAAAUGCCACAGCUGGCGCCCUCGGAGCCUCGAGGAGGAAGAUAGUGCGGAAGUCCGUCAACUGAUUAGCAAGAUAAAGACGCUUGCCCAGCCCGGAUUAUCAAUAGUCGACGUAAUGGCGACUUCCAUAGUGCGAGGGGUUCAGCCACUCCAAUACAGAGGGCUUCCUAUGUGGCACUACAAUGGGGAAGAUGACGCCUCCCGUUGCGGUCGAAAAGGUCCGGACACCCCCGCCGCUUUGGCCAAGAUAUUGGUCGAACUAUUCAAAGGGGAGGAAGAGGAAUUCCUUCGCAUCAAGCGUCGGGAUGGAUUUUCCAUGUACAACCCUACUAGUUGGGUGAGUUACAAUCCCAUUAUUCCAUUCAAUCUACUCCCUGAGUCACUUUUAACGAACAUUACUCCGUCCAUUCGUAACAGGAAUGGCGAAAAAUCACCAAGGGGCUACACCGCCCCGCCCCACAGCCAGAGAACCAUAACCGGGACCUUGACCCUGGAUUUGAAGAGGAUCCGGACAUAUAUGUGGAGCUCGAGGAUGGGGUGUUCUACCAGGCGAGCUAUGACGGCAUGGAAGUGGCCAUCACUGCCGACUAUCCCGGUCUUCUCCCUGCCUCGCACGUAAAUAAUCAGGAGAUAUCUCCUAUGAAAGAGCCUCCUCAUUCUGCCUCAUGAUGGGGAACGUAGCGAUAAUUCUAAAAUUUCCUACAUGUCACCAAGAUCAAUCUAGGAGAUGCUAGCAACGAGAGAGAGGGAGUGCAUCUUCAUACCCUUGAAGAUCGCUAAGCGGAAGCGUUACAAGAACGCGGUUGAUGGAGUCGUACUCGCGGCGAUUCAAAUCGCGGAAGAUCCGAUCUAGCGUCGAACGGACGACGCCUCCGCGUUCAACACACGUACAGCCCGGGGACAUCUCCUCCUUCUUGAUCCAGUAAGGGGAGAGGAGAAGUUGAGGGAGAACUCCAGCAGCACGACGGCAUGGUGGCAAUGGAGCUCGUGGUUCUCCGGCAGGGCUUCGCCAAGCACUAUGGAGGAGGAGAUGUAUGAGGAGGAAGGGGGCUGCGCCAAGGGAAGGGUAUGGCUUCCCUCCCACCCCCUCACUAUAUAUAGGGGGAGGGGAGAGGGUCCGGCCCCUCUAGAUGGAUCUAGAGGAGGAGGCGGCGGCCAGGGGAAACCCUAGAUGGGUUUGGGUGCCCCCACCCCCUAGGAAACUUGCCCCCCAAGCCGGGAGGGGCGGCUAUCCUAGGGGUGGCGCCCCCACCUCUCCUGGUUACGUGAGAGGGGUUGGGAGGGGCGCACAAUCCCUUAGUGGGCUGGUUUGACACUUCCCCUUGGCCCAUAAGGCCCCCCAACACUUGCCGGGGCCUCCGAAACCCCUUUCGGACAUGCUGGCCAUAGCCUGGUACCCCCGGAACAAUUCCGGACUCCAAUACCCUUCGUCCAAUAUACCGAUCUUCACCUCCGGACCAUUCCGGAGCUCCUCGUCAUGUCCGGGAUCUCAUCCGGGACUCCGAACAACCUUCGGUAACCACAUACUAUUUCCCAUAACAACUCUGGCGUCACCGAACCUUAAGUGUGUAGUCCCUACGGGUUCGGCAACCAUGCAGACAUGACCGAGACGUUCUCCGGCCAAUAACCAACAGUGGGAUCUGGAUACCCUUGUUGGCUCCCACAUGUUCCACGAUGAUCUCAUCGGAUGAACCACGAUGUCGGGGAUUCAAUCGAUCCCGUAUACAAUUCCCUUUGUCUAUCGGUAUGUUACUUGCCCGAGAUUCGAUCGUCCGUAUCCCUAUACCUUGUUCAAUCUCGUUACCGGCAAGUCUCUUUACUCAUUCCGUAACGCAUGAUCCCGUGGCUAACUCAUUAGUCACAUUGAGCUCAUUAUGAUGAUGCAUUACCGAGUGGGCCCAGAGAUACCUCUCCGUCAUACGGAGUGACAAAUCCCAGUCUCGAUUCGUGCCAACCCAACAGACUGUAGGAGAUAUGCCCUAGAGGCAAUAAUAAAUGAUAUUAUUUAACUCCGAGUUCAUAAUUAUGUUUAUGUUCCAUGCUAUAACUGCUAUGGUUCUCGAGUCUGCAAUAACCACGAGGCUCGGAGGAAGACUCAUAUGCACGUGUGGAAUAAUAAACGGUAAAAUGUAUUCCUAGUAUGGCCUCUAAGACUAGCUCAAGUGUUGAUGGUUAUGUUUUCCUGAUCAUGGGCAUGUCUAUGUCAGCAACCUUGAGGGCAUAAUGUUAAGAGAACAUUUGUGUUGAAUCGACCCGGCAUGAUGUUAUGCUAUGAGAUUCAUUCGUCACAAGUUUAUUGGUACAUAACACAGAGAUGGUUAAAGUUUGCAUGAUUCCUUAGACCAUGAGAGUAUCGAGUUUCUUCAUGCUUGCUUCAUGAACUUUGGGGUUUGUUAAACGUCAUCCGUAAAUGGGUGGCUAUUACGGCGGCUUACGGGUUCAUGGAAAAGUGUGUCAAGUAACUUGAUAGCUCAAGAUUGGGAUUUGCUCCUCCGACGAUGGAGAGAUAUCUCUGGGCCCUCUCGGUGUUACGGUAUCCAUCAUCGUCUGGCCAGACACUUUGUGAUUUGAUCACGGGGAUGCCGGAACACGAUAACGAGAAAAGAGAACAAUACCGGUAACGAGGUAACUAGCAUAGUGGACAAGUUGUUGAUCCACGGGAAUGCCAACAUGUCUCACCUCGGGUAUUUGCAACAUAUUGCGAAGCAACAGGAAUAGCACACGGCAACUGGAGGUUCACUCGAAUAUUUAUUCGUGUGGGUAUAGGGGUCAAUAUGGGUGUCCACGGCUCCGAUGUUGAUCAUUGAUCGGAAGGGGUUCCGGGUCAUGUCUAUACUUCACCGAACCUAUAGGGUCACAUGCUUAAGGGUCAUCUAUCUACUGAAUACUAGACAGGGAGUCUGAGAGAAAAUCACCGAAAAAGUUUCGGACACCGAAAAGUUUCGGACAGCGGAAUCGUACCGCAGAGAGAGGUCAUCGGAUAAGUUUCGAUGAUACCGAAAAGUUGUUUCGGGAUACACCAUUAAGUCAAAUUGGUUUCGGCACAUGCCUGAUAAUUCUUGGAGGAUGCCAGAAUCAUUCUGGAAGCUUUUUGGAAUUUUCUGAGAUAAAAACCGGAAAUGUUCCGGAGCUGCCGGAGCCACUUCAGAUGCGUUUCGCAGAUGAAAAUCACUAAAACCGGAAUUGUUUCGGAACGCGUUGAAAAUCAUUUUAGUGGGUAUUGGAAAUGUUCUUAGCCCACAUAAAUAUUUUCAGUUCGAUCAGACGCUGAAAAAUGUCGUCGUGAAUAGUGAAAAUCAGCUUUAUGGUUACUUUAUGGAAAGCCACCUUUUGGGGCUUUGCUCCAAAAGAUCUUGGGGAUGACAUGGAUGGAUAGGAGCCAUUUUUGGGGCCCCUCAUGGGGGUGUGGCCGGCCACAUGGGGUAUCCCCCCUUGGGGACCCUCUUGUUCCUUGGUUUCACUCCUAGGUCCUUGUGGAAGGACUUCAUUCAUGUGCAUUUUGGGUUUUUUGUGAAACUACCCUACCCCCUUGGGAUUUCCUAUAAAUAGAGGUGGAGGGGCAGCCCUCCACACUCAUCCCUUGCUCUCAUACACAUGCCAUGCAUUAUCUGGCUUCUUCUCUCCCUCCCACGAAAAGAGUUUCGUAGAGCCGUAAGGCUGUCUGGGUUCCGGCAGGAACUAGUUCUGGACGGCGAAGCCCUGCCGGAUAGAUGACACCGUAUGUGUGCAACUCUUUAGAGAGAUCGUAGUUUCGGUCUUAGUUCGUGAGUGCCUCCCGAAGGGCUGUCCGUGUGACCGUCCGAGUUUCGAAGGUCCUCCCGAAGGGCUGUCCGAGUGACCGUUCGAGUUUCGAAGGUCCUCCCGAAGGGCUGUCCGCGACACCGUCCGGGGGCUGUUCGACCGCCUCCUGGAGGGCUGUCUGAGGAGCAGAUGAGGGUAUACAUCCUCGCGGUUGGGAGGUUGUAAAUCCUAGCUGUGGGGAUCUGCACCGCCGAUCGUCAUCGACUCUACUUCCCGCUGCGCUACGAGUCGGUAACGAAAAAGAUCAAACCAUGUAUGCAGUCUCCAUAGUGGUCCUGGGCUGGUCCGUAGGUCGGAAUUUUUUUUGUUUUCUGCUGCGUUCCCCUACACAGACACUUUCGGAGAUACCUGUAGUGCACCUUUAUAGCCACCCAGUUACGUUGUGACGUUUGGUACACCCAAAGCAUUCCUACGGUAUCCCGGAGUUGCACAAUCUCAUGGUCUAAGGAAACGAUACUUGACAUUAGAAAAGCUCUUAGCAAACGAACUACACGAUCUUGUGCUAUGCUUAGGAUUGGGUCUUGUCCAUCACGUCAUUCUCCUAAUGAUGUGAUCCCAUUAUCAAUGACAUCCAAUGUCCAUGGUCAGGAAACCAUAACCAUCUAUUGAUCAACGAGCUAGUCAACUAGAGGCUUACUAGGGACAUGUUGUGGUCUAUGUAUUCACACAUGUAUUACGGUUUCCAGUUAAUACAAUUAUAGCAUGAACAAUAGACAAUUAUCAUGAACAAGGAAAUACAAUAAUAACCAUUUUAUUAUUGCCUCUAGGGCAUAUUUCCAGCAGUCUCCCACUUGCACUAGAGUCAAUAAUCUAGUUCACAUCACCAUGUGAUUAACACUCAAAGUUCACAUCGCCAUGUGACUAAUACCCAAGAGUUUACUAGAGUCAAUAAUCUAGUUCACAUCACCAUGUGAUUAACACUCAAUGAGUUCUAGGGUUUGAUCAUGUUAUGCUUACGAGAGAGGUUUUAGUCAACGGGUCUGCAACAUUCAGAUUCGUGUGUGAUUUACAAAUCUCUAUGUCAUCUUGUAGAUGCAGCUACCACGCGCUACUUGGAGCUAUUCCAAAUAACUGCUCUACUAUACGAAUCCGGUUUACUACUCAGAGUCAUCCGGAUUAGUGUCAAAGUUUGCAUCGACAUAACCCUUUACGAUGAACUCCUUUUCCACCUCCAUAAUCGAGAAAAUUCCUUAGUCCACUAGAUACUAAGGAUAAGUUCGACCGCUGUCAUGUGAUCCCUUCCUGGAUCACUAUUGUACCCCUUGACUAACUCAUGGCAAGGCACACUUCAGGUGCGGUACACAACAUAGCAUACUGUAGAGCCUACGUCUAAAGCAUAGGGGAUGACCUUCGUCCCUUCUCUCUCUCCUGUCGUGGUCAGGUCUUGAGUCUUACUCAACACUCACACCUUGUAACACAGCCAAGAACUCCUUCUUUGCUGAUCUAUUUUGAACUCCUUCAAAAUCUUGUCACGGUAUGUAUUCAUUUGAAAGUACUAUUAAGCGUUUUUGAUCUAUCCUUAUAGAUCUUGAUGCUCAAUGUUCAAGUAGCUUAAUCCAGGUUUUCCAUUGAAAAACACUUUUCAAAUAACCCUGUAUGCUUUCCAAAAAUUCUACAUCAUUUCUCAUCAACAAUAUGUUAACAACAUAUACUCAUCAAAAAUUCUAUAGUGCUCCCACUCACUUCUUUGGAAAUACAAGUUUCUCAUAAACUUUGUAUAAACCCAAAAUCUUUGAUCAUCUCAUCAAAGCGUACAUUCCAACUCCGAGAUGCUUACUCCAGUCCUAAGAAGGAUUGCUGGAGCUUUGCAUACUUGUUAGCAUCUUUCAGGAUUGACAAAACCUUCUGGUUGUAUCACAUACAACCUUUCCUCAAGAAAAUCGUCGAGGAAACAAUGUUUUGACAUCCUAUCUGCAAGAUUUCAUAAAUAAUGCAGUAACUGCUAAUAUAAUUCCAACAGAAUCUUAGCAUCGCUACGAGUGAGAAAGUCUCAUCGUAGUCAACUCCUUGAACUUGUCGGAAAACAUCUUAACGACAAGUCGAGCUUUCUUAAUGGUGACACUUACCAUCAUUGUCCGUCUUCCUUUUAAAAUCCAUCUGCACCCAACAGCCUUACGACCAUCAAGUAGUUCUUCCAAAGUCUAUACUUUGCUUUUAUACACGGAUCCUCUCUCGAAUUUUAUGGCCUUGAGCCAUUCGUCGGAAUCCGGGCCCACCAUCGCUUCUCCAUAGCUCGUAGGUUCAUUGUUGUCUAGCAACAUGACUUCCAAGACAGGAUUAGUACCACUCUGAAGUAGUACGCAUCCUUGUCGACCUACGAGGUUUGGUAGUGACUUGAUCCGAAGUUUCAUGAUCACUAUCAUAAGCUUCCACUUCAAUUGGUGUAGGUGCCACAGGAACAACUUCCUGUGCCCUGCUACACACUAGUUGAAGUGAUGGUUCAAUAACCUCAUCAAGUCUCCACCAUCCUCCCACUCAAUUCUUUCGAGAGAAACUUUUCCUCGAGAAAGGACCUGUUUCUAGAAACAAUCACUUUGCUUCCGGAUCUGAAAUAGGAGGUAUACCCAACUGUUUUGGGUAUUCUAUGAAGAUGCAUUUAUCCGCUUUGGGUUCGAGCUUAUCAGCCUGAAACUUUUUCACAUAAGCGUCGCAGCCCCAAACUUUUAAGAAACGACAGCUUAGGUUUCUCUAAACCAUAGUUCAUACGGUGUCGUCUCAACGGAUUGCGUGGUGCCCUAUUUAAAGUGAAUGCGGUUCUCUCUAAUGCCUAGCCCAUAAACGAUAGCGGUAAUUCGAUAAGAGAUAUCAUGGUAUGCACCAUAUCCAAUAGGGUGCAGUUAUGAUGUUCGGACACACCAUCACACUAUGGUGUUCCAGGCGGUAUUAGUUGUGAAACAAUUUCCGCAAUGUCUUAAUUGUGUGCCAAACUCGUAACUCAGAUAUUCAUUUCUAUGAUCAUAUCAUAGACAUUUUAUCCUCUUGUCACGACGAUCUUCAACUUCACUCUGAAAUUACUUGAACCUUUCAAUAAUUCAGACUUGUGUUUCAUCAAGUAAAUAUACUCAGCAUCUACUCAAAUCAUCUGUGAAGUAAGAACAUAACGAUAUCCGCUGCGUGCCUCAGCACUCAUUGGACUGCACACAUCAAAAUGUAUUACUUCCAACAAGUUGCUUUCUUGUUCCAUCUUACUGAAAAUGAGGCCUUUCAGUCAUCUUGACCAUGUGUUAUGAUUUGCAUGUCUCAAGUGAUUCAAAAUCAAGUGAGUCCAAAUGAUCCAUCUGUAUGGAGUUUCUUCAUGCAUAUCUACCAAUAGACAUGGUUCGCAUGUCUCAAUCUUUUCAAAAACGAGUGAGUCCAAAGAUCCAUCAACAUGGAGCUUCUUCAUGCGUUUUAUACCAAUAUGACUCAAAUGGCAGUGCCACAAGUAUGUGGUACUAUCAUUACUAUUUUAUAUCUUUUGGCAUGAACAUGUGUAUCACUACGAUCGAGAUUCAAUAAACCAUUCAUUUUAGGUGCAAGACCAUUGAAGGUAUUAUUCAAAUAAACAGAGUAACCAUUAUUCUCCUUAAAAGAAUAACCGUAUUGCGAUAAACAUAAUCUAAUCAUGUCUAUGCUCAACGCAAACACCAAAUAACAAUUAUUUAGGUUUAACACCAAUCUCGAUGGUAGAGGGAGCAUGCGAUGCUUGAUCACAUCAACCUUGGAAACACUUCCAACACAUAUCGUCAUCUCACCUUUAGCUAGUCUCCGUUUAUUCCGUAGCCUUUUAUUUUGAGUUACCAACACUUAGCAACCGAACCGGUAUCUAAUACCCUGGUGCUACUAGGAGUACUAGUAAAGUACACAUUAAUAUAAUGUAUAUCCAAUAUACUUCUGUCGACCUUGCCUGCCUUCUCAUCUACCAUGUAUCUAGGGUAGUUCUGCUUCAGUGACCGUUCCCCUCAUUACAGAAGCACUUAGUCUCGGGUUUGGGUUCAACCUUGGGUUUCUUUACUAGAGCAGCAACUAAUUUGCCGUUUCAUGAAGUAUCCCUUCUUUCCCUUGCCCUUCUUGAAACUAGUGGUUUUACUAACCAUCAACAAUUGAUGCUCCUACUUGAUUUCUACUUUCGCGGUGUCAAACAUCGCGAGUUGCUCAAGGAUCAUCAUGUCUAUCCCUGAUAUGUUAUAGUUCAUCACGAAGCUCUAAUAGCUUGGUGGCAGUGACUAUGGAGAACCAUCACUAUCUCAUCUGGAAGAUUAACUCCCACUCGAUUCAAGCGAUUGUAGUACUCAGACAAUCUGAGCACAUGCUCAACGAUUGAGCUUUUCUCCCUUAGUUUGCAGGCUUAAGAAACUUGUCAGAGGUCUCAUACCUCUUGACGUGGGCACUAGUCUGAAAUCCCAAUUUCAAUCUUUGGAACAUCUCAUAUGUUCUGCGACGUUUCAAAAUGUCUUUGGUGCCAUAAUUUUAAACCGUUAGCAUUACGCACUGAACUAUCACGUAGUCAUCAAAACGUGUAUGUCAGAUGUUUCGCAACAUCUACAGACGACGCUCGAGGUUCAGCACACCGAGCGGUGCAUUAAGGACAUGAGCCUUCUGUGCAGCAAUGAGGACAAUCCUCAGUAUACGGACCCAGUCCGCAUAAUUGCUACUGUCAACUUUCAACUAAAUUUUCUCUAGGAACAUAUCUUAAACAGUAGAACUAAAGCGUAAGCUAUGACAUAAUUUGCAAAGACCUUUUGACUAUGUUCAUGACAAUUAAGUUCAUCUGAUUAUUUAAUGAACUCCCACUUAGAUAGACAUCCCUCUAGUCAUCUAAGUGAUACAUGAUCCGAAUCGACUAGACCGUGUCCGAUCAUCACGUGAGACGGACUAGUCAUCAACGGUGAACAUCUCCAUGUUGAUCGUAUCUACUAUACGACUCAUGUUCGACCUUUCGGUCUCUUGUGUUCCGAGGCCAUGUCUGUACAUGCUAGGUUCGUCAAGUCAACCUAAGUGUUUCGCAUGUGCAAAUCUGGCUUACACCCGUUGUAUGCGAACGUUAGAAUCUAUCACACCCGAUCAUCACGUGGUGCUUCGAAACAACGAACCUUCACAAUGGUGCACAGUUAGGGGGAACACAUCUCUUGAAAUUUUAGUGAGGGAUCAUCUUAUUUAUGUUACCGUCGUUCUAAGCAAAUAAGAUGUGAACAUGACAAACAUCACAUGCAAAUCAUAAAGUGACAUGAUAUGGCCAGUAUCAUCUUGCGCCUUUUGAUCUCCAUCUUCGAGGCGCGGCAUGAUCACCUUCGUCACCGGCAUGAUCUCCAUCAUCGUGUCUUCAUGAAGUUGUCUCGCCAACUAUUACUUCUACUACUAUGGCUAACGGUUAGCAAUAAAGUAAAAUAAUUACAUGGCGUUUUUCAUUGACAUGCAGGUCAUACAAUAAAUUAAGACAACUCCUAUGGCUCCUGCCGGUUGUCAUACUCAUCGACAUGCAAGUCGUGAUUCCUAUUACAAGAACAUGAUCAGUCUCAUACAUCACAUAUAUAUAAUUCAUCACAUCCUUUUGGCCAUAUCACAUCACAUAGCAUACCCUGCAAAAACAAGUUAGACGUCCUCUAAUUGUUGUUGCAUGUUUUACGUGGCUGCUAUGGGUUUCUAGCAAGAACAUUUCUUACCUACUCAAAAGCCACAACGGUGAUAUGCCAAUUGCUAUUUACCCUUCAUAAGGAUCCUCUUCAUCGAAUCCGAUCCGACUAAAGUGGGAGAGACAGACACCCGCUAGCCACCUUAUGCAUCAAGUGCAUGUCAGUCGGUGGAACCUGUCUCACGUAAGUGUACGUGUAAGGUCGGUCCGGGCCGCUUCAUCCCACAAUGCCACCGAAUCAAGAUAAGACUAGUAACGGUAAGCAAAUUGAACAAAUCAUCGCCCACAACUACUUUGUGUUCUACUCGUGCAUAGAAUCUAUGCAUAGACCUAGCUCAUGAUGCCACUGAUGGGGAACGUAGCGAUAAUUCAAAAUUUUCCUACGUGUCACCAAGAUCAAUCUAGGAGAUGCUAGCAAUGAGAGAGAGGGAGUGCAUCUUCAUACCCUUGAAGAUUGCUAAGCGGAAGCGUUACAAGAACGCGGUUGAUGGAGUCGUACUCGCGGCGAUUCAAAUCGCGGAAGAUCCGAUCUAGCGCCGAACGGACGGCGCCUCCGCGUUCAACACACGUACAGCCCGGGGACGUCUCCUCCUUCUUGAUCCAGCAAGGGGAGAGGAGAAGUUGAGGGAGAACUCCAGCAGCACAACGGCAUGGUGGCAAUGGAGCUCGUGGUUCUCCGGCAGGGCUUCGCCAAGCACUACGGAGGACGAGGAAAUGUAUGAGGAGGAAGGGGGUUGCGCCAAGGGAAGGGUAUGGCUGCCCUCCCACCCCCUCACUAUAUAUAGGGGGAAGGGGAGAGGGGCCGGCCCCUCUAGAUGGAUCUAGAGGAGGAGGCGGCGGCCAGGGGAAACCCUAGAUGGGUUUGGGUGCCCCCACCCCCUAGGAAACUUGCCCCCCAAGCCGGGAGGGGCGGCUGCCCUAGGGGUGAUGCCCCACCUCUCCUGGUUACGUGAGAGGGGUUGGGAGGGGCGCACAGCCCCUUAGUGGGCUGGUUUGCCCCUUCCCCUUGGCCCAUAAGGCCCCCCAACGCUUGUCGGGGCCUCCGAAACCCCUUUCGGACAUGCUGGCCAUAGCCUGGUACCCCCAGAACAAUUCCGGACUCCAAUACCCUUCAUCCAAUAUACCGAUCUUCACCUCCGGACCAUUCCGGAGCUCCUCAUCAUGUCCGGGAUCUCAUCCGAGACUCCGAACAACCUUCGGUAACCACAUACUAUUUCCCAUAACAACUCUAGCGUCACCGAACCUUAAGUGUGUAGACCCUACGGGUUCGGGAACCAUGCAGACAUGACCGAGACGUUCUCCGGCCAAUAACCAACAGCGGGAUUUGGAUACCCAUGUUGGCUCCCACAUGUUCCACGAUGAUCUCAUCGGAUGAACCACGAUGUCGGGGAUUCAAUCAAUCCCGUAUACAAUUCCCUUUGUCUAUCGGUAUGUUACUUGCCCGAGAUUCGAUCGUCAGUAUCCCUAUACCUUGUUCAAUCUCGUUACCGGUAAGUCUCUUUACUCGUUCUGUAACGCAUGAUCCCGUGGCUAACUCAUUAGUCACAUUGAGCUCAUUAUGAUGAUGCAUUACCGAGUGGGCCCAGAGAUACCUCUCAAUCAUACGGAGUGACAAAUCCCAGUCUCGAUUCGUGCCAACCCAACAGACACUUUCGGAGAUACCUGUAGUGCACCUUUAUAGCCACCUAGUUACGUUGUGACGUUUGGUACACCCAAAGCAUUCCUACGGUAUCCGGGAGUUGCACAAUCUCAUGGUCUAAGGAAACAAUACUUGACAUUAGAAAAGCUCUUAGCAAAUGAACUACACGAUCUUGUGCUAUGCUUAGGAUUGGGUCUUGUCCAUCACAUCAUUCUCCUAAUGAUGUGAUCCCAUUAUCAAUGACAUCCAAUGUCCAUGGUCAGGAAACCAUAACCAUCUAUUGAUCAACGAGCUAGUCAACUAGAGGCUUACUAGGGACAUGUUGUGGUCUAUGUAUUCACACAUGUAUUAUGGUUUCCAGUUAAUACAAUUAUAGCAUGAACAAUAGACAAUUAUCAUGAACAAGGAAAUACAAUAAUAACCAUUUUAUUAUUGCCUCUAGGGCAUAUUUCCAACACCUCACCCACCGCACUGUCUUGUGCUCCAAAGGGGAGGCGCUCGAUGCGUCAUUCUACACCAGAGGCAACUCCAAAGAGAGCGGUGCCCAAGCCGGGCAGGCCUUCGAAGAGGAAGGCAAGCGAAGACACGACCGAGCCUUCAUCGAAGAGGUAUGGCUUUGUAAAUAUGCCCCUUGGCAAUCACAUCCAACUGUGACAUUAUCCGUUGUGUCUUAACAGGAAAAGCGUUCACCGGACUAUGUCCAGGGAUCUUACCGGCCGCGCCUCCACAAGUCAGGUUCCCGACCCUGCUUUAAAGGCAAGGGCUGAUACGGGAGUGACGCCGGAUUGUCCCUCGGCAGAUGAGUCGGAUGAUGUAUCCGUCACAAACUCGGAGGUGGAGAGCGCCAUGAAUCAUCGGCGCCGGAGAGCCGUUCUACGCGACCCCGGCUUUACGAGCGAGGCAUUCAAUGCCUUCAGCUCGACUGAUGCAUAUAUCCAAGCUGCUCGAGACGGGCUUGCCAGAGCCACAGACCAACAUUUGAAAGGUAUGCGGGUAAAUUUAUAUUAUACAAAACUGAUAAUUAUAUACUAGUAGCCCCCGAGACUUGAAGCAGUUGAUACAACUGAUUUAAGGAUCAUUGUAUAACUAGGUGCUUAUGGAGAAGAACAGCCUGUUGUCUCAGGAACUAGAAAAGUGUCGGACCCAGCUAACUGCUGCUACCACCGAACUGGAGAAAUCCAAGAAGGCAUCACCUGGUAAUGUUCCCCUCCAUCGAGAAAACAUAAUUAUAUACCGGAAAUGCUAACACUGUUGCUCAUCUUAUGGCAGGAUCGUUAGAUCAACUGAAGGAGCAACUGAAAGCCGCCCAAGCGGAAGAACAAGAGGCCAAAAGACUACUGGCCGCGGGCGAACGUGUGCUGACACGAGUCAGAGAUGAGAAAAACAAGCUGUAGGAUGCCCACACCCAGCUGGGCGAAGAACUGAAAGAUGUACGGGCCCAGCUGGCUAAUUCUGUAAAGGAAAAUAAGAGGCUGCGCGGUGGCAUAUUUGGUAUGUGGUCACACUUACCUCCGUGUAGUUCGGAGAUGAAAGGGACUGACAGAAUUAUAUCUGUAGGUAUGCUGACCGGCCGUCCCGAAGAGGAGAUGUCCAGAAUCUCGGGCGAUCUGCUACAAGAGCUGUCGCAAAUGCACGAGCAAGCUCGGCAGGUGAUGCGAAGUAUUGCCAAGGCUUUAUGGCCAUCCGUCUCCCCUCCAGGAAGGAUGGAGGAGCUUAUACAGCUAUUCAAGGGAGCGCGGCGGCGCUUCCGAUUAUGGAAGAUAUCGGCCUGCCGGGAAGGUGCACGAGAAGCCUGGGCCAUGGUGAAAACACGGUAUACCAAGCUUGAUCCAAAUCAUAUGGCCCAGGUCGGACCUCUAGGGUCAGAUGGGAAAGAAAUUCCCAUGAAUUUGGUAUAUGACCAAGUAGAAGUAGCUGCCAGAUAUUCCCAAUAGGAUUGUAAGUUAGACAGCCUGUUAGACGGUAUAGAGGAGGAAAUUUGUGAGUCUAAGUGACUAUGUACUUUCCCUGACGUAUUUGUCCCUAGCCGGAUUGUAAAACGAUUGUCAUGGCAGACCUUUUCGCUUUGACCUCUGGACCCAAAGGUGCAGAGUGUUUCCGAAUACCUGAGCGGCAAAAUAUACCGGAGUAUGCGUGGAAACCAGGCGUAGGGGUCAUAGUUGCUUGAACAGACAAGUUGUCUCUGGCUAGCUAUGUUAUAUUACAUUGUGAUUGUAAGAAACAUCUUCCAGAGAGAAUAGUUCUGUUAAGGGUUCCUUUCCCUGGGUGUGCAUGCGGUAAUGUGCAUGUCCGGACUGUGAUUGAAAAAAUCGCAGUAUAUUCAAUAUCUGGGGGUUCAUAUUUUAAUGAAUGUAAAAACAUCUUUAGUUUGCCGACCGAAUAUUCCCUUAAGAAUGCUAGCUUUCGGCUUCACCCAGUCUGAGGUACACAUCUGGAUGACCCGGCAGUAACAAUCGCAGAGGUGCUCCCUUUAUGCCCUAGCCGAACUAACGGGAACGUAGGGCAUAAGCACAGGAGCCAGGCAACCCAGCUUGGCCAAAACUUAAGUCAUAUCGAUGCAUAUAAUGGCGAAGAAAAGGUACAUAUGGGGAAAACGCGCAUAUGUGAUGAGCUUGAUGCUCAAAAAUAACAAUAAUAAGCUUCUAUCAAAGAAGCCCCCAGGUAUAAUUGACGUACAUAUUUGAGGAUGUGUAUGUCACUAGUGCACGGUUUAGCCGCACGAAAAGCUUUAAGGCUAAAAACGGAAAAAGCAAAAAGAGAGGAAAAAGUAAUGGAAACAAUAGGGAUAAGGAGACGAACAAAGAGUUCGGCGCUAGGCAUAGAAUCUUCGGAGUCUGGCCGCGUUCCAGGGGUUCGGCUCUAGGCGAUUGUCUGACGCAUCACGCAGGCGGUACGCUCCUCCGGUGAGAACUUCGUCGAUGAUGAAGGGACCCUCCCACUUGGGCUUGAGUUUGUCUUUUUUUUCUUCUCUGGCAGGCGUAGAGCAAGUUCGCCAACGUUAUAAGUCUUGGCCCGCACUUCUCUGCUUUGAUACCUGCGAGCCUGCUGUUGAUGAAAUGCGGAACGGGCUUUUGCAACGUCGCACUCCCCCUCCAUGGCAUCUAAGCUAUCCUGCCGAUCAAGCUCGGCUUCUCUCUCUUCGUACAUGCGCACUCGGGGUGAGUCAUGAAUAAUGUGGCAGGGUAACACAGCCUCUGCGCCGUACACCAUGAAGAAAGGUGUAUAUCCGGUGGUGCGGUUGGGCGUGGUCCGCAGCCCCCAGAGUAUGGAGUCGAGCUCCUCAACCCAGUGCUUGUCUGAUUCUUUCAAAGACCGCACCAGUCUAGGCUUGAUGCCGCUCAUAAUAAGACCAUUGGCUUGUUCGACUUGACCGUUUGUUUGCGGGUGAUAGAUGGAGGCGUAAUCGAGCUUAAUGCCUAGAUUGGUGCACUAGUUUUUCACCUCAUCGGCUGUGAAAUUGGAGUCGUUAUCGGUGAUGAUGUUGUGUGGGACACCAUAACGGUGUACAACGCCGGAUAUAAAGUCUAUCACUGGUCCGACUUCGGCCGUUUUAACUGGUUUGGCCUCUAUCCACUUAGUGAAUUUAUCCACCCUGGCCAGCAGAUAUUUUUUCUUAUGGCUUCCUCCUUUAAGGGGUCCAACCAUAUCAAGCCCCCAGACCGCAAAAGGCCAAGUGAUGGGGAUUGUUUGCAGAGCGGUGGGUGGCAUAUGGCUCUGGUUGGCGAAGAGCUGGCAUCCGACGCAACGUUGGACAAGGUCCUGUGCGUCUGCUCGGGCCGUCGACCAAUAGAAACCUAUACGGAAAGCCUUGCUUACAAGGGCCCGAGCCACGGCGUGGUGACCACCGAGACCGGCAUGAAUUUCAGCCAAGAGUUGCCGCCCCUCUUCCUCGGAGAUACAUCUUUGGAGUACUCCGGUAGCGCUUUUCUUGUAGAGUUCUCCCUCGUGAACCUUGUAGGCUUUAGAGCGCCGAACAAUGCGGCGAGCCUCGUUCUGAUCCUCGGGGAGUUCUCGCCUAUUAAGGUAAGCCAAGAAGGGUUCGGUCCAUGGGGCAAUGACUGCCAUUAUGAGAUGGGCCGACGGUGUUAUUUCGGUGGCUGAGCCCCCGAUGAUAUCGGUGUGUUCGACAUCUAAGGUUAUAGUCGGGUCCGGACUGUUGUUGCCGCUCUCCCCUUGCCACACCAUGGACAGCUUGAAAAGCCUUUCCAGAAAGAUGUUAGGUGGGAUGGGGUCGCGCUUGGCGCCGAUGCGAGCAAGGACGUCCGCCGCUUGAUUACUUUCUCGAGCCACAUGAGGAAACUCAAGCCCCUCGAAGCGGGCCGAGAUUUUAAGAACGGCGUUGCGGUAAGCCGCCAUUUUUGGAUCUUUGGCAUCGGAAUCUCCAUUUAUUUGAGAUAUUGUGAGGUUUGAGUCCCCACGCACUUCCAGGCGUUGUAUGCCCAUGGAGGCAGCCAUCCGAAGCCCAUGCAACAAGGCCUCAUAUUCGGCUGCAUUGUUGGAGUCUGUGUAUAAUAUUUGGAGUACGUACUGAACUGCGUCUCCAGUGGGGGACGUUAAGACAAUGCCCGCCCCUAACCCCGCCAACAUUUUGGAACCAUCGAAGUACAUAACCCAGUUGGAAUAUGUGUCGUACUCUUUAGGGAGUUCGGCCUCUGUCCAUUCGGCGAUGAAAUCAGCCAGUACUUGGGAUUUGAUGGCCCGGCGUGGUUUGUAUGUUAUGUCGAAUGGAAGGAGCUCAAUGGCCCACUUAGCAAUCCGGCCUGUCGCAUCGCGGUUGUUUAUUAUGUCAUUGAGUGGUACUUCGGAGGCCACCGUGAUUGAGCACUCUUGAAAGUAGUGUCGUAGCUUCCGGGAUGCCAUGAAGACCGCGUAUGCUAUUUUUUGGUAGUGAGGGUACUGGGAUUUGCAUGGUGUGAGGACAGUGGAUACGUAGUAUACCGGUUUUUGGAGUGGGAACUUGUGUCUGUCCUGCUCUUGCUCGAUGACGAGCACGGCGCUCACCACCUGGUGUGUUGCCGAUAUGUAUAAUAACAUGGGUUCGCCGAUGUUCGGCGCGGCCAGGAUUGGGUUGCUCGCUAAAAAGGCCUUUAUUUUCUCCAGUUCGGCCGUUGCCGCGUCCGUCCACUCGAAGUGGUCGGUGCGUCGGAGAAGGCGAUAGAGUGGCAACGCUUUUUCUCCCAAUCUGGAGAUAAAGCGGCUUAAAGCUGCCACGCAUCCUACAAGUUUUUGGACCUGUUUAAGGUCUGUUGGCGUAACCAAUUGUGACAAAGCUCGGAUUUUCCUCAAUUCCUCUAUUGGAAACGAUGAAGCCCAGCAGUUUUUCGGCGGGGACGCCGAAAACACACUUUUCCGGGUUGAGCUUGAUGUCAUAUGUACGGAGGUUGUCGAAUGUAAGACGUAAAUCAUCUAUCAGUGACUCGACGUGCCUGGUUUUGAUGACAACGUCAUCCACGUAUGCUUCAACUGUCUUGCCGAUAUGUUUCUCCAGGCAUGUUUGAAUCAUGCGUUGGUAGGUGGCGCCAGCGUUUUUGAGCCCGAAAGGCAUAGUGUUGAAGCAGAAAGGCCCAUAUGGGGUAAUGAAUGUCGUUGCGGCUUGAUCGGACUCCUUCAUCUUGAUUUGAUGGUAUCCGGAGUACGCGUCGAGGAAACACAGUGAGUCGUGUCCUGCGGUUGCGUCAAUAAUCUGAUCGAUGCGAGGGAGGGGGAAGGGAUCCUUAGGGUAAGCCUUGUUGAGGUCUUUGAAAUCGACGCAUAGGCGCCAGGAUUUAUCUUUUUUUGGUACCAUCACCAGGUUUGCUAGUCAGUCCGGGUGUUUUAUUUCUCUGAUGAAUCUGGCUUCGAGUAACUUGGCUAGCUCCUCUCCCAUAGCUUGUCGUUUGGGUUCGGAAAAACGCCGCAGUGUUUGUUUGACCGGUUUAUAUCCCUUUAAGAUAUUGAGGCUGUGUUCGGCCAACCUGCGUGGGAUUCCUGGCAUAUUAGAAGGGUGCCAGGCGAAUACGUCCCAGUUCUCACGCAGGAACUCUCGUAGCGCGGCAUCGACCGCUGGGUCGAGUUGUGCCCCGAUGGAUGCUGUCUUCUUGGGGUCCGUCGGGUGGACUUGAAAUUUGACUAUUUCAUCUGCUGGUUUAAAGGAGGUGGAUUUGGGUCGCUUGUCCAGGAUUACGUCAUCCCUAUCCACAGUGGAGCAUAGCACGGUCAGCUCUUCGGCCGCGAGGGCUUCAGACAAUGCCUCGAGGGCUAGGGAUGCGGUUUUAUUUUCGGCACGCAGUGCUAUGUCUGGAUCACUGGCAAGAGUGAUGGUGCCGUUGGGCCCGGGCAUCUUGAGCUUCAUCUACCCGUAAUGAGGUAUAGCUUGGAAGCGUGUGAAUGCGUCUCGCCCCAGUAGGGCGUGAUAUCCGCUGUUGAAAGGGGCCACUUGGAAGGUUAUCUCUUCGGACCGAUAAUUCUCCGGCGUGCCGAAUACCACGCCGAGCGUGAUUUUUCCUGCGCAACGCGCCUCUCGACUGGGAAUGAUUCCCCGGAAGGUCGUGCUACUUUGCUCAAUGCGGCUCCUAUCAAUUUCCAUUUUCAUGAGUGUGUCCUCGUAGAUGAGGUUUAGUCCGCUGCCGCCGUCCAUGAGCACUUUGGUGAGCCGGAAGCUGUCCACGAUUGGACUGAGGACCAAGGCGGCUGGUGCCCGGACUGUCUUGAAUUUUGGUUCGUCAUCGGCAUUGAAAGUUAUGGCUGUGUAGUUCCAGGGGUUUAUUGCUGCGACUUGGCAGACUUCCGCAAGGUCGCGAAGUGCCCUUUUGCGCUGAUUUUUUGAAGCAAAGGUCUCGAAGACCGUCAAUACUCUGAGGUCGUCGUCUUCUGGGGGGUGUUGUUCUGGGGUAUUUUUGGUGAGGAGAUCUUCGCCGCUCUUGGCCACUUGCCGGAGUAUCCAACAUGCUCUAAGGCUGUGGGUUCGUGUGGCAUCCGGUGUUGUAUGUAUUUUGCAUGGCCUAUCGAGCCAUCCUUCCAGAACAGUUCCGUGCCCCAUAAUGGGCUUUGAUUUCUUUACUAUUGGGUCAGGCGCUCCACGAGGGUGCGUCCUUUUUGCCCGGACGAGGGGCUGAGUUGAAACCGGUGGUUCCCAACGAGCUGCCUGAGUUUUCCAGGCGCUUUCCAUUGCGCAGUACUUCUGUACUAUGGUUGCCAAGUCAGCAAAGUGUAAUACGCGACGGCGGUUGAUGGCGUUGAGGAUUCCUUCGUCCGUGCAAUUGUUGCAGAAUACUGAGAUUGCGUCUUCAUCGCGGCAAUCUUUAAUCUUGUCUUUGACAAGGAGGAAUCUGGCCCAGAAGUGAUGGACCGUUUCCUGAGACUGUUGUCGUAUGUACAUAAGAUCGCGUAUAGCUGGGUGGGUGGGUGGUUUUAAAUCUGAACCCUGACCCGGUUUGGGAUCCGGAGUUUGUAAAUCUUCCGAACUUAAUGGUUCAGACUCCGGGAUAUCAACUGAUGUUUUAGGCCCGUCGUCCGAUUCUAGGUUCGGAGGGCAGGGCACGUCGUUCCGCGAACAGGUAUCCGGCUCCUCGAGCUCGGAAAUCUGAACAUAGUUCGUCCUCAAUAUAGAGGAAGAGUUAUUGUCUUGCUCCUCCACUAUCGCUAUCUGAUGGGUGAUAGGCGGAGAUUUAAUUUCUCUCUGGUCAGGUUUAAGCCCAAUCCGACCGUAGUCUGUAGCGACCCCCAAGGCGGUGAUGCGAUCUAGGAGUUCGUUUAAAGACGACAACUCCGUCGGAUCCAUCCGUUUGGAGUAUUCGGAGUCAACGCAGAGACGAUUUUCGAUGACUCGAGAGGUCAUCGUCGGCUUAAAGGCCGAACAGGCGGUCAUGGUGAAGCCGCCAAGUCGGAGGGUUUGGCCCGGAGCCAGGGCUCCUCCGGAGGUGAUAUUAUCCUUGACAACAAGGCGAGCCAUCAACCCUGUCUUCGACGUCACAGCGGAACUCUCAAUGAAAGCACCAAUGUCGGUGUCAAAACUGGCGGAUCUCGGGUAGGGGGUACCGAACUGUGCGUCUAAGGUUGAUGGUAACAGGAGACGGGGAACACAAUGUUUAACCAGGUUCGGGCCCUCUCUACGGAGGUAAUACCCUACUUCCUGCUUGAUUGAUCUUGAUGAAUAUGAGUAUUACAAGAGUUGAUCUACCACAAGAUCGUAAUGGCUAAAACCCUAGAAGUCUAGCAUGUAUGACUAUGAUUAUGAUUAUUCAUCCUCUACGGACUAAGCCCUCCGGUUUAUAUAGACACCGGAGGGUUCUAGGGUUACAUCAGGUCGGUUACAGAGAAAGGAAUCUUCAUAUUUGGUCACCAAGCUUGCCUUCCACGCCAAGGAGAGUCCCAUCCGGACACAGGAGAGAGUCUUCGGUCUUCGUAUCUUCACGGCCCAUCAGUCCGGCCCACGUAUAACAGGUCGGACGCCCGAGGACCCCUUAAUCCAGGACUCCCUCACCGGGCAAGCGUCGGGGUCUCCAAUUAGGUUGUGGAGAUCACCCCGAGCAAUUUGACGGGUACCGAUGACCGCCCCCAAGGGUUCCCAAAGGGUACGGGUUCGGUGACCGCCCCCAAGGGUUGCCAUUUGUACGAGUUCGGUGAUCGCCCUCAAGGGUCCCUUAGUGGAAUCACGGCAUCUUGCAUUGUGCGAGGGCGUGAGGAGAUUACGGUGGCCCUAGUGGCUUCUUGGGGAGCAUUGUGCCUCCACACCGCUCCAAACGGAGAUUAGCAUCCGCAAGGUGUGAACUUCGGGAUACAUCAUCGUCUCCGCGUGCCUCGGUUAUCUCUUACCCGAGCACUUUUACUUAUGCACUUUACUUUGUGAUAGCCAUAUUGUUUCUUGUCAUACAUCUUGCUAUCACCUAGUAGUUUAUCUUGCUUAGCGUAAGUUGUUGGUGUACAUAGGUGAGCCUAGUUGUUGUAGGUUUGUGCUUGACAAAUUAACCGCUAGGUUUAUUCUGCAUUUGUUCAAGCCUAAACCAUAAUUAUUUUAAAGCGCCUAUUCACCCCCCCUCUAGGCGACAUUCUCGAUCUUUCAACGGGUUAUCGGAUCCAAAACCGGUCCCGAUAGCUGGCGACCCGUUACGGUCAAUGCCACGUGUCAGUCACCCUUGACGAAAGCACUUCUAUGACGCGCGAUUUAUCGUCAUGGAAGUGGACACUUCCGUGAUGAUAAUUUUGGUAAUGUCAGGAACACUUCUACGAUAGCACAUGUAUGACUAUUUUGAUUCUGUCAUAAAAUCGUCAUGGAUGUACAUGCAUGACAGAAAACGUGACCUGCUGUGACAAACACGUAUCAUCACGGAAGUGUAUUUUUUUGUAGUGAGUAAUGCCUUAAGCAAGAUGCCAUGAUUUAGAGGGAUAGAUCCAAUCAAUAUGAACAAACCCCAUCUUUUUAUCCUUAAUGACAAUAAUACAAAUAUGUGUCAUGUCCCUUUAUGGGAUUGAGCACUGCAAGAUUGAACCCAUUACAAAUCACCUCUCCCAUUGCAAGAAAAAAUCAAUCUAGUUGGCCAAACCAAAUCAAUAGAUCGGUGAGAAAUACAAAGCUAUAUAAAUCAUGCAUAAAAGAGUUCAGAGAAGACUCAAAUAAUAUUUAUAGAUAAUCUGAUCAUAAAACCAUAAUUCAUCGGAUCUCAGCAAACGCACCGCAAAAGAAGAUUACAUCAAAUAGAUCUUCAAGAACAACAAGGAGAACAUUGUAUUGAAGAUCAAAGAGAGAGAAGAGGCCAUCUAGCUACUAGCUAUGGACCCGUAGGUCUGUGGUAAACUACUCACACAUCAUCGGAAGGGCAGCAAGAUUGAUGUAGAAGCCCUCCAUGAUCGAAUCCCCCUCCGGCAGAGUUCCGGAAAGGUCCCCAGAUGGGAUCUCACGAGGACAGAAGUUUGCGGCGGCGGAAAAGUAUUUUUGGUGUGCCCCUGGUCUUCGGGGAAUAUUUGGGUGUUUAUAGAAGAAAGAUUAGGGUUAGAGGAGCCACGAGGGGGCCACAAGCUUGGAGGGCGCCCCCCUAAGCUUGUCGCCAGCUCGUGGCCCUUCUGGCCUCCCCCCAAAGCUUUCAGGGUGUCUUGUGGUCAAAGAAAAAUCAUCAAAAGUUUAAUUCCAUUUAGACUCCGUUUGGUAUUGAUUUUCUAUAAAGACAAAAACAAGGAAAAGACAACAAUUGGCAUUGGGCACUAGGUUAAUAGGUUAGUCCCAACAUAAUAAUGCAUAUAAAACAUCCAAGAUUGAUAAUAUAAUAGCAUGAAAUAAUAAAAAAUUAUAGAUACGCUGGAGACGUAUCAGGUACCAUUGCCACUUCUGGCACUGCUCAGUGUAAACCUGUGGUGACCCAACCCCGUGCGGAACUUGAUUGCAAAUCGAACGGUGGCUUUCAUGACAGGCUCAACCUUAGGUCACUCCGAGGCUGCCAAUGUUUUCCUGACACCUGAAGCCCCCUGUAGAACGGGGUAUCCGACUAAGGAGGCCCAACCCCUUAUACCGAAGAACGACGGCAAGGACUGGGAUUGCAAUAAAGCCUGCGCCAACUGGUGGUAUCUUUUGGAACUAGCACGACGUUUGGUUACCAACGCAUGUAUCGUUCCCGCGGGCCUCCCUCCGGGCUAUGGUUUCGCCGAAGUUCUAUAUGAGAAAUCCCCUUGAAGGCCACCCUGGUCCCAUUGUAGGCCCCUUGCGAAUCCCUCAGCAGAACUUCACCAAAGAGACUGGUCCAACUGGUGGUAUCUUUUGGAACUAGCACGACGUUUGGUUACCAACGCAUGUAUCGUUCCCGCGGGCCUCCCUCCGGGCUAUGGUUUCGCCGAAGUUCUAUAUGAGAAAUCCCCUUGAAGGCCACCCUGGUCCCAUUGUAGGCCCCUUGCGAAUCCCUCAGCAGAACUUCACCAAAGAGACUGGUGUGUUUUUUUAAUGAUAUUCUUGUCGAGUUUCAUGUGCUAACUUAAGAGUGUUUAGUUCUUUAGUCAAGCGCUCAAUUUCCAUCGUUGCAUUGGCAACCGUCUCAUCUUUACUAUCAUGAUCACUAUAAAGUUCAUUAUAGCUAACAUCACUAGUUUUCUCAUUGAGCAAGUCAUCGUCACCUAGCAAGUCAUCCUCAUCACUGAUACGUCUCCAACGUAUCUAUAAAUUUUGAUUGUUUGAUGCUAUUAUAUUAUCAAUCUUGUAUGCUUUAUAUACCAUUCUAUAUCAUUUUUGAGGACUAACCUAUUAACUCAGUGCCAAGUGCCAGUUGUUGUUUUCUGCUUGUUUUUGGUUUUACAGAAAAUACAUACCAAACGAAGUCCAGAUGACAAACAAGGAGACGUCAAGGCAGCACGGCCCCCCUUGUGGGCCCCUCGUGGCUCCGCCUGACCUAAUUCUAGCGCUAUAAAUUCCCAAAUAUUUCGAAACCCCCAGGAGAGGCCCCGAAACAAUCCUUCCGCCGCCACAAGCCUCUAUUCUUCCGUGAUAUCUUCUGGAAGCCUUUUCCGAUACUCUGUCGAGGAGGGAAUGCAUCAGGGAAGACAUCAGUAAAGCAACUUUGUCAAUCUCAAAGCUCCGCAACUUUGAUCUAUCUUCGGUAGGUGCUGUGCGUGGUGAUGUGAUUGAGUGCAUGUCCAUAAGAAAAAAAAACUCCUUAAUUAAUGAAAAAUCUUUUGCCCCCUUGAACAAGUAUUGUUUUCGAUACGGGCUUGGGAGUACAACGGUAGAUACGAUGCAUUUAUUACAUCGAUGAUCCAUCGUCCCGUGUGCGGCCGCCCACACCAGUUUCCUCGUCCCACGAAAGCCCCUUCCAUGCGGGCCCUCGGAAGAGCGCACGCCCACUGGCCCCACAGGCAGCGGCACGGCUAAAAACGGGGGACGCUUCCCUUUCAUCUCGCGACUAUAAAAAAGAACGGGCGGCCCUGCCUAAAGCCCCCGCCCCCUGUCCUCUCCCCUCUCCUCGCCUUCUCCGCCCUCCGCUCCAUUCGUUUCGAUCUAUUUCGGCUUCCUCUCCAAGCUUCGGCCAUGGCGGCGACGAUCCAGUCCGUGAAGGCCCGCCAGAUCUUCGACAGCCGCGGUAACCCCACCGUCGAGGUACGCGCGGAUGCGCCCAUCCCCCGUCCGCCUCCCCGAUCUGUACGUUGUGGUCCGGUUCGAUUCGAUCUGGUAGGGCGGCGGGCGUACGCAGCAACGGCUUGUUUUCGAUCUGGUGAUUCGUCCGUCGGCUGUGGGUUGGGGCUUCUGGGGCGCGGGCAGUAGGUUUCUGAUGCGCUAGAUUCGAGGGGUUUUGGGUUGGUGGGCCGGUAGGUAGGAUGCGGAUUACUGUUGCCCCUCGGCCAGACUUUAUGGGGUUUGGAUGUGCUAGAUAGAUUCGAUGUGAGGUGGUUUGUUUAGUCGGACGCUGCCUGCUCGUCAUGCAUUUUGGGGUUUCGCAGGAUGUAUCCACAGAUCGGCUGGCCGCCAUGCCCAGCGUUUAUGUAGUCAUUAUGGUUUCGUGCCCUGGUUGUUGCUCAGCGCUUAUCGUUUGAUCUGCGCAUAAUGCCGUGGUGUGAAGUAAUGUGACGAAAAUGUAAAUGAGUGUAGGCUCAUCUCAUUCUGGUCCAAGUGGUUUUGGGCGUGCAGGUAGGAUUUAUAAUGUCGUUUGCUCGUUGCCCCUUGGCCAGUUUUUGUUUCUUCAUAUGUUAGAUAGAUUUGACGCAAAGUGGCUUGUUCAGUCAGGUAGAUACUGGGUAGAACUAUUUUUUAUUUUGCCUGCCAGGCGUCCAUUGUAGGUUUUCACAGUGUGUAUCAACAGAUGGUUGUUCGCCGUGCUUGGUGUUUACAUAGCUAAAUGUAGCCAUAUGGCCUGUGUCCUAGUUGCAUGCGACAUUGUCUGGAUUUUAUUGUUUAAGCUAUGCAUAAUGCCAAAGUGUAAAAUAUUUUGGCAAGUUAUUUUGCUAAUCUCAUGGUUUUGUGCAUCAGGUUGAUGUGUGCUGCUCAGAUGGAACCUUUGCCAGGGCCGCUGUUCCCAGCGGUGCAUCAACUGGUGAGUUAUUUUGUUAUUAUCAUCACUCUCUCCUUUUCAACCUUAAGUUUUUGCUUUGGUUUCCUGAGUUCCUGACUAGUGAAGGCACAAACUCUUAUUUGGAUCAUUAUUUAUGGAUUGUGAUUGUAUUGUUUUUGUUGAACUAAUCUUGUCUGAAUCAUCCCUCUUCUGCAGGUGUUUAUGAAGCUUUGGAACUGAGGGACGGUGGAUCUGACUACUUGGGAAAGGGUGUAUCCAAGGUUUACAUCCAUUUGAGCGAAUUUUAUCUUCACAUUCUUUAAAUCUAUGUCAUAGUUCUUAGUCAUGUAAUGUGGCUGCUGUAUAUGUUUUUUUUUGCCUCAACUCUGCUUUUGUUACACUAGCAAUAUUGUUGCCAGCUUUUGAAAUUUUCCUACUUGUUUACCGAAUUAUUAUGCCAAAUGGACCAAACAGUGCUAUCUUUCCGGUUAUCCUGUUUGUGAGGACAAGUUAUUUUGCCAUGUUGGUUUGGUUUCAUCCAUACAAUGUUUCCUUGUGCUGUAUAACUUGAUGUUUCUAGUUUGUGCCAGGUUGUAGAUUUUUUUUCUUAAUUUUAAUGUGAACUACAAUAUUUUUUCUUAAUGUUAAUGUGGUAGGUUGUAGCUUUUUUUUUUGAUAUCUCAUUGCCGUUGAUUGUAUGUACUCCCUCCGUCUGAAAAAGUUUGUCCCAAGCUUGUCCCUCAAAUGGAUGUAUCUAGCACUAACUUGGUGCUAGAUACAUUCAUUUGAGGGACAAGCUUUUUCGGACGAGGGAGUAGUAGCUUAGGAUUAUGUAUUUAUGAAGUGAAUAAUCGUGGGCAAUAUCUCUUGUGCACAUUUUCUUAUUUACUAAAAAACCAACUUGCUCAAGUACUGUCAUGAAAUGAACAACUCAGGAUCAUUUAGUGCUUGAUGUUUCACUAUAGCUAUCCUGGUUUUUUCUAUUGUAGCGAAUAGUCCAUUUGCAUGCAUAAUUUAGUCUUUUCUUUGUAUUUACAUGUAUUUUUUUAUUUUUUUCGCAGGCUGUUGACAAUGUGAACUCGAUUAUCGCGCCAGCUUUGAUUGGCAAGGUUAGCAUUGUCUCUGCCCCCUUUUCUAUUGUGAUAUGAGAGUUGAAUGCAUAAUUCAUUCAGUGCUCUCUUUCCUUCCACAGGACCCUACCGCUCAAACUGAGCUCGACAACUUUAUGGUUCAGCAGCUUGAUGGAACCAAGAAUGAGUGGGGUUGGUGCAAGCAAAAGGUAUAACAUAACCCAUGAUGAGUUUUACCUUUAGAGAGGGAGUACUAAUUUCCAUUUGCAGAUUCCCUUCUAACAGCUUGAUUUCUUUUGUAAACUCAGCUUGGUGCUAAUGCAAUCCUGGCUGUGUCACUAGCUGUUUGCAAAGCUGGAGCCAGCGUCAAGAAGAUUCCGCUGUACCAGGUGUGCAUCAUUGCUAAUCUCCUCUUUUAAUAUUCUACAUUUGUUUGCUAUUGCCUAAAGUCUUCGAACAUGAAUAUUCUUCACUGCAGCACAUUGCCAACCUUGCUGGCAACAAGCAAUUGGUUUUGCCUGUUCCUGCAUUCAAUGUCAUCAAUGGUGGAUCCCAUGCUGGAAACAAGCUUGCUAUGCAGGCAAUGCUCUGACCUAAGAUUUUCACAUCUUUCAUCAUGUUGUUUUCGCACAUUUCUUAUUUAUGCCUAUACUUGCAUAUCUGCAGGAGUUCAUGAUCCUUCCUACUGGAGCUGCCUCAUUCAAGGAGGCAAUGAAGAUGGGCGUUGAAGUGUACCACAACUUGAAGGUAAUUCUUUCAUCUUCUUUUUCUCUUUGCUAUCUUGUAAAAAGCAAAUUUACUAAAACUAACAUUUUCUGUGACAGUCUGUUAUCAAGAAGAAGUAUGGGCAAGAUGCCACCAAUGUUGGAGAUGAAGGUGGUUUUGCUCCUAACAUUCAGGUAUUUCCCUGUCCUUAGAGGUUUACGAUCAGAUUUCCUUGCUUUGUUAUGCCUUGUUAUUUCGACAACAGUUGCUGAUUGUCAUGUUUGGACGUAUAGAACUACUGUGUUGUUAUAAAUUGAGGUCAAUGUUUGUGGGGUGUGAUCUGAGUUCUUUUUAUUUUCGGGUGUUGUAGGAGAACAAGGAGGGCCUUGAGCUCUUGAAGACUGCAAUUGAAAAGGCUGGAUACACCGGCAAGGUUUGUCUGCUUGAAUUAAUCUGUUGUCACGCACUUCUCAGUGAGCUUUUAAGUUAGUGACUGAAGGAGAUUUGUUGGUUUGGGAAAUUCUAGGUUGUCAUUGGAAUGGAUGUUGCUGCUUCAGAGUUCUACAAUGACAAGGACAAAACCUAUGACCUCAACUUCAAGGAAGAGGUAAUUAGCCCCAUGGUUUAUUUUGUGGCAACAAUUUGUUUUCUUUUCAUGAGCAUUUUUAACAUUUGCCCUCCCUUGCUGUAGAACAACGAUGGUUCCCAGAAGAUAUCUGGAGAUAGCCUGAAGAAUGUAUACAAGUCAUUCGUGAGUGAGUACCCCAUUGUGUCGAUUGAGGACCCAUUUGACCAGGAUGACUGGGUGCACUAUGCUAAGAUGACUGAGGAAUGUGGAGUGGAAGUUCAGAUUGUUGGUGAUGACCUUCUAGUCACCAACCCAACCGUGAGUUAUUUGUUUUCUGUUGUGUAGGUGGGCAUUUUCAUUCUGUUGGAUCACUGUAAUUAAUUUGCUGUAUCACUAUGUUGUGCAGAGAGUUGCUAAGGCAAUCAAGGAGAAGUCAUGCAAUGCUCUUCUGCUGAAGGUAUUAUUCUGUUCAAACAUAAGCUGUUAUUGAUUCUUAUCCUUUGGUCGUCAUAGUACAAGUACUCCUUCCGUCCAUAAUAAGUACCUGAUCGGAUGGAGUAUGUAUUACAUAUUCUGAUUGUUUCAUCCUUUUCAUGUGUAGGUUAACCAAAUUGGAUCCGUCACUGAGAGUAUUGAGGCCGUGAAGAUGUCAAAACAUGCUGGUUGGGGUGUGAUGACCAGUCACAGGAGGUACAUACUAGAUACUGCCUUAUUACCCAUCCGUUUUCCCCCUUGUUUCUAUUGUUAUUACCAUUUGUAUGCUUAUGUACAUUCACUGUGUGCAGUGGUGAGACUGAGGACACAUUCAUUGCUGAUUUGGCUGUCGGUUUGUCCACGGUAUAAUUUUAUAAUCUUCAUUUUAUUGUUUGUCUGAAUAAUUUUAAUGAGACUACUGUUUCUUCUCCUCUGGAUCGAUUAGGAGUAUCUGAACAAUGUUUCUUCAUGUGCAACAGGGCCAGAUCAAGACUGGGGCUCCCUGCCGCUCAGAGCGGCUUGCCAAGUACAACCAGGCAAGUGGCUUUCCUGUAAUUCUUGUACUGCUGAAGCAUUCUCCUGAUAUUCUGUUGACCAACAUGACCUCUCGCAAUAACAAAAACCAAAUUAUUCUUCCUCUUUAAUCUUCUGUUCGAUGCAUUGUGCUCAUUUAAGAAUGAUUUCUUGUCUUUUGUUUGGUGUUAAGACUGAUCUUACAUGUUUGGUUUCUGAUAUUCUUUUGUUCAGUGUAAUGUGUUUAUUUGAGCAGUCAUGUCUUGUUUUUUUCUUGAUCUGUUUCCCAAAUUUAUACUAAGGUGUUAUUUCUUUUCCAAUUGGAACAGCUUCUGAGGAUCGAGGAGGAGCUGGGCGCUGCCGCUGUGUAUGCCGGCCUCAAGUUCCGUGCACCGGUGGAGCCAUACUAGAUGGGAUCUGCAUCCGAGACAUGAUCACCACUCUGCACUUGUUUUUGUGAAAGUGGGCGUGUGUUAACUUGUGGAAUGAACUAUGGUUGAAGCUCUUAGGACUUGUCGAGCAAUAAUGUACCGCAUGUUGCUGUGAACGGGACGGAUAUGUACCUACGUACUCCAAACUUGCUCCAAUUUUGGUCUUUGUGGUGAGCGAGCAAGUACGCCUGAUUACCUUUUGGAUCUGUAGUAAACUGUUUGGCUGUUGGCAUCAUCAUAUUUGGCGUCAGUUUAAUCUUGCAGAAAGCAUGCUUUUCGUUCGCCAUUCCUAAUUUACCACUGUUUUCGGUCUCUCUGUUUUUCUUAUUAUUAUAACUAGCACAAAUGCCCGUGCGUUGCAACGGGUUAAGUAGUUUAUAUUC